rnacentral:lncRNA from 1 species
UCGGCAUAAGUGACAUAUAUAACCUUUUGUGUUCGUACUCUUAUGACACUUGUUUUUGUUAGAAAACUCCAUCCUAUUAUAACUUUGGGAAAAAUACAAAGAAAAAAGAUUUUGUUUAAAAAACAAUUCGAAUUUCCGAUUAAUUUAAAAAGAAAAGAAAAUGACAAAUUCGAUUUUACCCAUAAGAGUCGGUCAAAAAAUAGGGAAAUGAGCAAGAUGAAGAUUUAGCGGGAAAAUUAAAAGUCGAAACAAGAUUGGCGGGAAGAUCAUUUGCAUUCCCAAAUCCCAAAUAUAAAUAGCAUCAAAUCAUCUCAUGCCCUACUUUCCCUCUCUUUCCUUUCCCAGAUAAAUUUCUCUCUCCCACGGUUUCAGCGAUGUUCUCAAGCAGCCAAUUCGACUCCACCUCCGCCUUCUCCGGCGGCGGCUUCAUGGCUUCUCAGUCUACUCAGUUCGGUGAUUCCACUCCAUCUCCGGCCAAGGUAACGCAUCUCCUCCACUCUCUCAUAUGCCUCCCUUAGCCUCUCGAAUAACUGCAAAAUGAAAAGUAUAUUGCGUUUGUAUUUGUGAUAGUUAAAUGCGUUUCGAUCUGAGUCAGUGUUUGGUUGCUUGCCCUUCAAUUUCCUGGCAACCAAACAAGGGCUUUUAUUUCGAUAUUAUUUUUGUUUUAUUACUUGUUGAGGAAUUGUUGUUUUGACUGUUGUUGCAGAGUCGCGAGACUCACGGGUUGGUUCCUGUGACAGUGAAGCAGAUAAGCGAAUCCCAUCAAUCUGGUGAUGAAAAGUCAAAUUUUGUAAUCAGCGGGGCAGAUGUUGCUAAUGUACUAACUUUUUUUUUUUCGAAAAAUCAACAUAUUUAAGUUUUCUUUUCUUAAAAAGUUGUAAUUAAAAUUAUAUGUGGUUGGUUUAGGUAUCGGUGGUUGGCAUGGUAUUUGAUAAAUCUGAAAGGAACACUGAUGUUGGUUUCACUAUUGACGAUGGAACAGGGCGAAUCAAAUGCCGAAGAUGGUAAUGUUUGCAUUUUUUUAGUUAGAUACAGUUUAUGUCAUCACAUUUUUAACAGUUUGAAUAAUUUAUUUAGAUUAUAUUGUUUCAUGUAAUGCACAAUUUAUAGCAACAGAAGCUAAAAAUGUGUUUCAAUUAUACCUACUACUUUCUUGCACAAGAUAGAUAGAUUGAUCAGUAACGAUAUAAGUUCUGAGUCCACCCUGGUUUCUGAUAAUGAGUUACUCUAUUUUUUGUUCUCUUAAUAGGGUGAACGAGAAUUUUGACUCAAGAGAAAUGCAGGAAAUAGAGUAAGUUGCACUCUCUAUCAUCAGUGAGUUUUGUAUUGAAAUUUUAAGCCUUAUUGUUGACAUCAGAUAUAAAGAGCAACCAACUCAUUAUGAGGUUCUUAUGUAUUAUUUUCCAAUUGAUACAGAGAUGGAAUGUAUGUUCGUGUUAAUGGACACUUGAAAGUCUUUCAAGGUGUUCGACAAAUAGUUGCCUUCUCCGUGAGGUAUGGUAUAAAAGAUGUUCCUUUUAGUUUGAGAAAUUUAGAUGUCUUGAGAUUUUCGGUUGUUUUAAUGCCAUAUGAUUCACAUUUCUCGUUGUACCUAGCCACUUAGCUUUACCAAUGCAUCAUAUAACUAAUUCCAAUAUGUCACUUGAGGUGGGAUGAUGCAACUAAAACAGGUGCCACGUUAUAUUCACUCAUAAUCAACACACAGGUGCACAGUGCACGCACACACAAACACUUUACUUUUCAAUAUGGUUGAAACAACACAUUGAAAUUUGUGUCAAUCUUAAUGUAGAUGUCUUACUAUCGGGAAUAGUUGAUUGGGAGAAUGUUUUCAAUCGCACAAUAUUGUAUUGUUAAAGAAGUCAGAUUUCAGACAACUCUUGUAAAAUAUUGUUGAGUUUUACUUUAGUUUUGGAUCUUUGUUCUUUUAAUGUUUUGCUGUUACUGUGAUGUAGCUCUAAAGAAUUAUUAUUGACAGAAUUUUGGGUUGUGUUGCAGGCCUGUGAAAAACUUUGAUGAAGUUACCUUUCACUUCAUUGAAUGCAUACAUACCCACUUACAGACAUCAAAGUUACAGGUAUCAAUAAUAACUUGAAUCGAUGAAACAAUUACCUUCUUUUACACCUUCAUUCACUUGAAGGUGAAUUUGGAUAGAAUGCGUAUCUUAUGUCUUUUAUAUUUGUUCAUGGUGUAUUUACAUUCAUUAAAGCUGCAAGGAAAUUCUGCAACUCAACCUCAGUCUGUGGACUCAUCUCUUAGCACUCCUGUGCGGAGUGGGUCAAGUGGAUACCAGACAGCCCCAUCAAACCAAGUAAGCUAUCUAACUUUGAAAAAUUUACAUUUCAAGCUGUCCUGUUCAUGUUUAGCAUGCAAUUAAUGUUGAAUUUUGCAGUUCUCUGGGCAAGUUAGCGUUGAUGGGAUAAAGGGCUGUGAUCAGUUGGUCCUUGACUAUCUGCAGCAGCCUUCAAGCAUGUGAGUUAUCAUGAACUUAUUUCCCCUGUUUUGGUUUUUGUUAGUUUGCCUUGUUUUGUGUAAGAUAUGUUGGCAUCGGCUGCCUAUAUUGAACUCUUGUGACUGGUUUGCUAUUGCAGUGGAAAAGAGAAGGGGAUACACAGAGAUGAACUUUCCCAGCACCUGAAAGUCCCUGUGGAAAAGAUAUUGUAUUCUCUCUCUCUCUCUCUCUCUCUCUCUCACCACAUCCAAUUAUGCAUGCAGGAGUGACUUCUUUUGAUUCUUAUUCUUGUUUCAGGGAAGCAAUCAGGUCUCUUGAAGAGGAAGGCUUAAUAUAUUCCACGAUUGAUGAGUUUCACUACAAGUCAGCAGCAUAUGGCUAAGUAUUCGUCACGAAUUUUGACUUUGUGCUGCUACGGUUGGAAAGGAAAGUAACUUAUAUGAAUGCUGUUAUGUAUAUUUCUCUUUUAAUAUCUUUUUGUCCAUUUUUAUGUCACACAAUUACAUUUGUUUUGUUUAAUCAAAAGCGCUACUCUUCCAGCCAAAAAAUAUUCUGGAUUGAACAUCCAGUAUCAAAUACUAAAUAGUCACAGUAGUUAAAUGUCAUUUAACUAAUUUGUUGUGUUUAUUUAAAAACUAAAUUGUUAAAAUUAAGAGGAAAGAUAACACUGCCUGCCUAGCCAUUUAAUUCGAAGAUCCGAGGUUGAUAAAGGUUAUGUCUGUAUUAUUUGUCACUCUAAUUUUUAUUCUUAGGGUAAAUUACUCAAAUGGUUCUCAAAUUGUAUUCAAUUUACAUUUUGGUUCUUAAAUUAAAUUAUUCGUUCAAAUGGUUCACCAAUUCUUUAUUAAUCGGCUCUUUGGUCAUACGGUUACAUUUUUUGUUAAAUUUAGUCAUGUGAGCAGCACAUGAUACAUUUGUGGGGGCAAAUAAGACUUUUGACCUAUUUAUCACCCCUUUAUCAUCACUUGAUCAUUUAUGUAUCACCAUUUUAUCGCAUAUUUAGGAACAUAGGAUGGUUAUGGACGGUUUUACCCUUACAUUUGAUGGUAACAUUAACAUAAUGUAAUGGUAGGAUCAAUGGAGCGAUUAAUAUAGAGUUGAUGGAUCAUUUAAACGAAUAAUUUAAUUAAAAGACCAAAAUGUAAAUUGGGUAUAAAUUUAAAGACCAUUUGAGUAAUUUACCCUUAUUCUUAUAAUUUCUAGAGUAUCAACAUCAACUUAGAAUUUGAAUUAAUGUGAAGCAAAAAAGGAAUUAAAGAGUUCAAGAACAAGUGACAUGUAAAGGCAGGAGACCAAGAAAAUCUAGCGCCCCCCUUUUCUUCUUAGCGUUGCACGGCUCCAUUUGGGGAGGAGGAGGUCUGUCCCUCCCACCACCCACCCACCCCCCAAACACCCACCUGCACCUUGUCUCUUUCGUUUGAGGUCUGUCCCUCCCACCACCCACAUGCACCUUGUCUCUUUCGUUUCUGCUAGUUUUCAACCUCUCUUGCUUUGGAUUCUUUUGUGGGGCUGGUCUUAUUUUGUGUUUGAGCCUGUUUGGUUGUGUUGGUGGCUGUCUUUGAGAGUUGGUAGUUGUCUAUGAGAAUUGGUUGCUUUUCCUGGUGACUGCUUGGGCCUUGUGUUCUGGGCUGAGAUUGUGUGUCUCAAGCCGAUUUUGUGUCCUCCUUUCUUCGCCAAUCAACCCUUUCAUUCAGAUUUACUUCUCCCACAACAUCCCCUCCUACUCUUGCCUUCUCCUUUUUCCAGAUCUGGUUUCUCCAUCAGGAUAUAGGAACUACUUCUCUAAGCGCUUUGUCGCGUCGUUAUCGGAUUGUAUAUAGAGCUCUUGCUAAGGUUCUAGCUCUGGUGCUUGCACCAAUACUCUCCACUCCCUUGAUUUCGAUCCUUUGGUAUAUACCAUGCUUGUGUUGUGAUUGGUUGCCACUUUCUUCUUGGUGCACAAGCGGACUCGAGUGUAAAGCAGAAAGUGACUCUUGGGGGAAUGUUCUUGUGCUGAUGUGUUUCUGUUUUUUGGGGAAAUUUUGUUCUUGGCGUAAGAUCGGUGGGUCUCUAUGCACAGCUAUGUUGACUUGUAUGGAGGGUGUGAAUCCCCUCCUUUGUGGCCAUAUUGGUGAGGUAGGUGCGGUCUCCAGUCCUUUUGUGGCGACAGUGGCUCGGUUUUGAAUUUUGUUUUGAAUUUGUAUGGGGAAGAAAAGGCUAAAAACACCAAGUUCUAUUUAAUUAUGAUGAUUUUUUAAUUUUUGUAUAAUUACGACAAGCUUUAAACAGUUUAUAAAAUAUGGAAUAAAUCAUAUAUUACAAUGUCGUUUUUUAAAAUAAGAUUUUUCAAAAGCACCUAAGAAAAUGUACUUAUUAUUUUUACGCCAUCACAGAACAUAAACAGUACUAGUCUCUCCAAUCACAAGUCUUUUGCCUCCACACGUAUCUCGAGUCACGACUAAUUGUUAGAAAUUAAAGAGAAUUAGAAAUCUGUCAUAUCCAUAAAAAGUGAUUAGGGAAGUGAAUGAACACAAUCAUUUAUUUUUUGAAGUCCGUUUAAAGCAACCAAACUGACCAACAAAAGAAUAACGAAGAAAAGUCUUCUCUGUUUGGUUGAUGAGAAAAGUAAUGGUUCAUGCAACUAAUAAAUCUUCAUUGUCUUUCGGAAGAACCAUUGAACAAAUCAAAUUUUUCUGCUUCUCUAGAUUUUGUUACUUGUCUACAUGAAGAUAUCUAGCAAAUAACUUCUUUUGUUUCGCCUUCAUCUACCAAAUAACAUGUUGAAUGUGGUGGUGAUCAAUAGUCAUAAGGCUUCGAGUACGUACCAGGGACUUGGCUAGACCUACUGUCGCCAACACAAAUAGAAGUGAAAGAUGUCGCGUUUAUAUAUGUUUCACUCUACGAUGGGAGCCAAGAAUAAUAAAUUUGCCGAAUACUUUGUCAUCUUUUUUCUUCGUAGGAUUUUAUUACGAAAUAAAAAUAAAAAUUAAUGGGUUUCUUAAGGUUACAUGUUCAUGGUUUCGAAUCAGAAUUUUAUGUGUGUGGAUACCUCUCACAAAAUAUCUAUAUAAAAAAUUUCAACUCAUAAUACAUCCAAAAAUUAACUAGGAGGACGAAAAUUAUAUAUAUAUAUAUAUAUCACAUAAUUGUUGCACCUCCUACGACUUGCUUAAUUUAUUUCCCAUCUCUCUUGAGGACUUAUUUCUCGGUUGUUGUUGAAAGUUUGAAUGAAAUUCAAUGACUUUUGUCCCACAUUGGUAUAAAGAAGAAAAAGUGAGGUCUUUAUAAGUGUGGUAGCCCUACAAAAGGUAAUUGGAAGUUGAGCCAAGUAGAAGCCAAUUGGGCUUCAAAUUCAACUUGGGCAUUGAAUAUUUAAUAUUUAAUUAUCAAAAAGAUGGCCUUGGGCCUUGGGGCACUUGGGUAUUUAGUUUCAAAUUAAUAAUUUUUUUUAAUAAUUAAUUCAUACUAGUUUAAUUAAUUUGACUGGGGGACUAUUUUAAUUUUUAAUAAUAAAUAGUAUAAUAUAUUGCCGUUGAUAAUGGUGUUAUACAAAUACAUACGUAUUUUUCAAUAAAUAGUAUAGACGAGCGGCUAUAAUCUUUUAGAUAUGUAUUCACACACACACACACACACACACACAUAUGUAGGUACGUAUUUUUCAACAAUACAUUCGUGUUCUAUACACGUCUCACGUUUUCUUUAAAAAGCAAACAUACAAUAGUCGUAUUGUACAUGUACGUACGUAUUACUAAUGUUUUAUACACGUAUUUUUUUUAAAAUUUUCAGUAACACACACAAAUUCACGUAUUAUACAAAUAAUUCUCACAUAUUAUUGAAUAAGAAUAACACCUGGUACAAAAAUUAUAUUAAAAUAUCAAAUAGUGGAACAUUAAUACCUACUUUGGAUAUGUUGCAAAUUAAUAUCCAUAAGGUACAAACCAAUGCAACUAGGAGGGUCUUUAUUUUUUUUGUUUUUAGGGGAAGACUAAGAGUACAGCCGCCCGGCUAUACUCCAUGUUUUCAAAUUUUUUAAAAAAGAUAUGUGUUGACACGAGGGUCCAAAUGGCAGGAGUCUUUUUUACAUUUUAAAAACGUAUAGCCGCAAGGCUAUACUCAGUUUUGAAAUAUUUUUUACAAAGGCAUGUGCUGACACGUGGGGCAUAAUGGUUGGGGACUUUUUUUAUAUUUAAAAGUAGUAUAGCCGAACGGCUAUACUCAGUUUUGAAAUUUUUUUUAAAAAAGACACGUGUUGACACGUGUCGCCUAUUGGAUGGGAGAACUUUUUUUACAUUUAAGAAGUAUAGCCGGCCGGCUGUACUCAGUUUUGAAAAUUUUAUUUUUUUUAUAUUUAAAAAUAGUAUAGCCGCCCGGCUAUACUCAGUUUUGAAAUGUUUUUUAAAAAGACAUGUGUUGACACGUGGCUCCUAUUGGUUGGGGGAACUUUUUCUACAUUUAAAGCAGUACAGCCGGCCGGCUGUACUCAGUUUUGAAAAUUUUAUUUUUUUUUAUAUUUAAAAAUAGUACAGCCGCGCGGCUAUACUCAGUUUUGAAAUUUUUUUCAAAAGACAUGUGUCGACACGUGGCGCCUAUUGGUUGGGAGAAAUUUUUAUAUACGGAAAACACGUAUAGCCGCCCGGCUAUACUCGGUUUUGAAAUUUUUAUUUUUUUUAUAUUCAAAAAUAGUAUAGCCGCGCGGCUAGACUCAGUUUUGAUUUUUUUUCAAAAAGACAUGUGUUGACACGUGGCGCCUAUUGGUUGGGGGCCCUUUUUUUAUAUUUAAAAAUAGUACAGCCGCGCGGCUACACUCAGUUUAGCAAUUUUUUUUUUUUAAAUUUUAAAAAAGUACAUGUGUUGACAUGUGGCUCCUAUUUGUUGGGGGACUUUUUUUAUAUUAAAAAAUAGUAUAGCCAACCGGCUAUACUUACUUUUUUUUAUUUAAAAAAAAAUAGAAGCCAAUUGGGCUUCAAAUUCAACUUGGGCAUUGAAUAUUUAAUAUUUAAUUAUCAAAAAGAUGGCCUUGGGCCUUGGGGCACUUGGGUAUUUAGUUUCAAAUUAAUAAUUUUUUUUAAUUAAUAAUUAAUUCAUACUAGUUUAAUUAAUUUGACUGGGGGACUAUUUUAAUUUUUAAUAAUAAAUAGUAUAAUAUAUUGCCGUUGAUAAUGGUGUUAUACAAAUACAUACGUAUUUUUCAAUAAAUAGUAUAGACGAGCGGCUAUAAUCUUUUAGAUAUGUAUUCACACACACACACACAUAUGUAGGUACGUAUUUUUCAACAAUACAUUCGUGUUCUAUACACGUCUCACGUUUUCUUUAAAAAGCAAACAUACAAUAGUCGUAUUGUACAUGUACGUACGUAUUACUAAUGUUUUAUACACGUAUUUUUUUUAAAAUUUUCAGUAACACACACAAAUUCACGUAUUAUACAAAUAAUUCUCACAUAUUAUUGAAUAAGAAUAACACCUGGUACAAAAAUUAUAUUAAAAUAUCAAAUAGUGGAACAUUAAUACCUACUUUGGAUAUGUUGCAAAUUAAUAUCCAUAAGGUACAAACCAAUGCAACUAGGAGGGUCUUUAUUUUUUUUGUUUUUAGGGGAAGACUAAGAGUACAGCCGCCCGGCUAUACUCCAUGUUUUCAAAUUUUUUAAAAAAGAUAUGUGUUGACACGAGGGUCCAAAUGGCAGGAGUCUUUUUUACAUUUUAAAAACGUAUAGCCGCAAGGCUAUACUCAGUUUUGAAAUAUUUUUUACAAAGGCAUGUGCUGACACGUGGGGCAUAAUGGUUGGGGACUUUUUUUAUAUUUAAAAGUAGUAUAGCCGAACGGCUAUACUCAGUUUUGAAAUUUUUUUUAAAAAAGACACGUGUUGACACGUGUCGCCUAUUGGAUGGGAGAACUUUUUUUACAUUUAGGAAGUAUAGCCGGCCGGCUGUACUCAGUUUUGAAAAUUUUAUUUUUUUUAUAUUUAAAAAUAGUAUAGCCGCGCGGCUAUACUCAGUUUUGAAAUGUUUUUUAAAAAGACAUGUGUUGACACGUGGCUCCUAUUGGUUGGGGGAACUUUUUCUACAUUUAAAGCAGUACAGCCGGCCGGCUGUACUCAGUUUUGAAAAUUUUAUUUUAUUUUAUAUUUAAAAAUAGUACAGCCGCGCGGCUAUACUCAGUUUUGAAAUUUUUUUCAAAAGACAUGUGUCGACACGUGGCGCCUAUUGGUUGGGAGAAAUUUUUAUAUACGGAAAACACGUAUAGCCGCCCGGCUAUACUCGGUUUUGAAAUUUUUAUUUUUUUUAUAUUCAAAAAUAGUAUAGCCGCGCGGCUAGACUCAGUUUUGAUUUUUUUUCAAAAAGACAUGUGUUGACACGUGGCGCCUAUUGGUUGGGGGCCCUUUUUUUAUAUUUAAAAAUAGUACAGCCGCGCGGCUACACUCAGUUUAGCAAUUUUUUUUUUUUUAAAUUUUAAAAAAGUACAUGUGUUGACAUGUGGCUCCUAUUUGUUGGGGGACUUUUUUUAUAUUAAAAAAUAGUAUAGCCAACCGGCUAUACUUACUUUUUUUUAUUUAAAAAAAAAUAGAAGCCAAUUGGGCUUCAAAUUCAACUUGGGCAUUGAAUAUUUAAUAUUUAAUUAUCAAAAAGAUGGCCUUGGGCCUUGGGGCACUUGGGUAUUUAGUUUCAAAUUAAUAAUUUUUUUUAAUAAUUAAUUCAUACUAGUUUAAUUAAUUUGACUGGGGGACUAUUUUAAUUUUUAAUAAUAAAUAGUAUAAUAUAUUGCCGUUGAUAAUGGUGUUAUACAAAUACAUACGUAUUUUUCAAUAAAUAGUAUAGACGAGCGGCUAUAAUCUUUUAGAUAUGUAUUCACACACACACACACACACACACACACAUAUGUAGGUACGUAUUUUUCAACAAUACAUUCGUGUUCUAUACACGUCUCACGUUUUCUUUAAAAAGCAAACAUACAAUAGUCGUAUUGUACAUGUACGUACGUAUUACUAAUGUUUUAUACACGUAUUUUUUUUAAAAUUUUCAGUAACACACACAAAUUCACGUAUUAUACAAAUAAUUCUCACAUAUUAUUGAAUAAGAAUAACACCUGGUACAAAAAUUAUAUUAAAAUAUCAAAUAGUGGAACAUUAAUACCUACUUUGGAUAUGUUGCAAAUUAAUAUCCAUAAGGUACAAACCAAUGCAACUAGGAGGGUCUUUAUUUUUUUUGUUUUUAGGGGAAGACUAAGAGUACAGCCGCCCGGCUAUACUCCAUGUUUUCAAAUUUUUUAAAAAAGAUAUGUGUUGACACGAGGGUCCAAAUGGCAGGAGUCUUUUUUACAUUUUAAAAACGUAUAGCCGCAAGGCUAUACUCAGUUUUGAAAUAUUUUUUACAAAGGCAUGUGCUGACACGUGGGGCAUAAUGGUUGGGGACUUUUUUUAUAUUUAAAAGUAGUAUAGCCGAACGGCUAUACUCAGUUUUGAAAUUUUUUUUAAAAAAGACACGUGUUGACACGUGUCGCCUAUUGGAUGGGAGAACUUUUUUUACAUUUAAGAAGUAUAGCCGGCCGGCUGUACUCAGUUUUGAAAAUUUUAUUUUUUUUAUAUUUAAAAAUAGUAUAGCCGCGCGGCUAUACUCAGUUUUGAAAUGUUUUUUAAAAAGACAUGUGUUGACACGUGGCUCCUAUUGGUUGGGGGAACUUUUUCUACAUUUAAAGCAGUACAGCCGGCCGGCUGUACUCAGUUUUGAAAAUUUUAUUUUUUUUAUAUUUAAAAAUAGUAUAGCCGCGCCGCUAUACUCAGUUUUGAAAUUUUUUUCAAAAGACAUGUGUCGACACGUGGCGCCUACUGGUUGGGAGAAAUUUUUAUAUACGGAAAACACGUAUAGCCGCCCGGCUAUACUCGGUUUUGAAAUUUUUAUUUUUUUUAUGUUUAAAAAUAGUAUAGCCGGGCGGCUAUACGCUGUUUUGAAUUUUUUUCAAAAAGACAUGUAUUGACACGUGGCGCCUAUUGUUUGGGGGCCCUUUUUUUUAUAUUUAAAAAUAGUACAGCCGCGCGGCUACACUCAGUUUAGCAAUUUUUUUUUUUUUAAUUUUAAAAAAGUACAUGUGUUGACAUGUGGCUCCUAUUUGUUGGGGGACUUUUUUUAUAUUAAAAAAUAGUAUAGCCAACCGGCUAUACUUACUUUUUUUAUUUAAAAAAAAAUAGAAGCCAAUUGGGCUUCAAAUUCAACUUGGGCAUUGAAUAUUUAAUAUUUAAUUAUCAAAAAGAUGGCCUUGGGCCUUGGGGCACUUGGGUAUUUAGUUUCAAAUUAAUAAUUUUUUUUAAUAAUUAAUUCAUACUAGUUUAAUUAAUUUGACUGGGGGACUAUUUUAAUUUUUAAUAAUAAAUAGUAUAAUAUAUUGCCGUUAAUAAUGGUGUUAUACAAAUACAUACGUAUUUUUCAAUAAAUAGUAUAGACGAGCGGCUAUAAUCUUUUAGAUAUGUAUUCACACACACACACACACACACAUAUGUAGGGUACGUAUUUUUCACAAUACAUUCGUGUUCUAUACACGUCUCACGUUUUCUUUAAAAAGCAAACAUACAAUAGUCGUAUUGUACAUGUACGUACGUAUUACUAAUGUUUUAUACACGUAUUUUUUUUAAAAUUUUCAGUAACACACACAAAUUCACGUAUUAUACAAAUAAUUCUCACAUAUUAUUGAAUAAGAAUAACACCUGGUACAAAAAUUAUAUUAAAAUAUCAAAUAGUGGAACAUUAAUACCUACUUUGGAUAUGUUGCAAAUUAAUAUCCAUAAGGUACAAACCAAUGCAACUAGGAGGGUCUUUAUUUUUUUUGUUUUUAGGGGAAGACUAAGAGUACAGCCGCCCGGCUAUACUCCAUGUUUUCAAAUUUUUUAAAAAAGAUAUGUGUUGACACGAGGGUCCAAAUGGCAGGAGUCUUUUUUACAUUUUAAAAACGUAUAGCCGCAAGGCUAUACUCAGUUUUGAAAUAUUUUUUACAAAGGCAUGUGCUGACACGUGGGGCAUAAUGGUUGGGGACUUUUUUUAUAUUUAAAAGUAGUAUAGCCGAACGGCUAUACUCAGUUUUGAAAUUUUUUUUAAAAAAGACACGUGUUGACACGUGUCGCCUAUUGGAUGGGAGAACUUUUUUUACAUUUAAGAAGUAUAGCCGGCCGGCUGUACUCAGUUUUGAAAAUUUUAUUUUUUUUAUAUUUAAAAAUAGUAUAGCCGCGCGGCUAUACUCAGUUUUGAAAUGUUUUUUAAAAAGACAUGUGUUGACACGUGGCUCCUAUUGGUUGGGGGAACUUUUUCUACAUUUAAAGCAGUACAGCCGGCCGGCUGUACUCAGUUUUGAAAAUUUUAUUUUUUUUUAUAUUUAAAAAUAGUACAGCCGCGCGGCUAUACUCAGUUUUGAAAUUUUUUUCAAAAGACAUGUGUCGACACGUGGCGCCUAUUGGUUGGGAGAAAUUUUUAUAUACGGAAAACACGUAUAGCCGCCCGGCUAUACUCGGUUUUGAAAUUUUUAUUUUUUUUAUAUUCAAAAAUAGUAUAGCCGCGCGGCUAGACUCAGUUUUGAUUUUUUUUCAAAAAGACAUGUGUUGACACGUGGCGCCUAUUGGUUGGGGGCCCUUUUUUUAUAUUUAAAAAUAGUACAGCCGCGCGGCUACACUCAGUUUAGCAAUUUUUUUUUUUUAAAUUUUAAAAAAGUACAUGUGUUGACAUGUGGCUCCUAUUUGUUGGGGGACUUUUUUUAUAUUAAAAAAUAGUAUAGCCAACCGGCUAUACUUACUUUUUUUUAUUUAAAAAAAAAUAGAAGCCAAUUGGGCUUCAAAUUCAACUUGGGCAUUGAAUAUUUAAUAUUUAAUUAUCAAAAAGAUGGCCUUGGGCCUUGGGGCACUUGGGUAUUUAGUUUCAAAUUAAUAAUUUUUUUUAAUAAUUAAUUCAUACUAGUUUAAUUAAUUUGACUGGGGGACUAUUUUAAUUUUUAAUAAUAAAUAGUAUAAUAUAUUGCCGUUGAUAAUGGUGUUAUACAAAUACAUACGUAUUUUUCAAUAAAUAGUAUAGACGAGCGGCUAUAAUCUUUUAGAUAUGUAUUCACACACACACACACACACACAUAUGUAGGUACGUAUUUUUCAACAAUACAUUCGUGUUCUAUACACGUCUCACGUUUUCUUUAAAAAGCAAACAUACAAUAGUCGUAUUGUACAUGUACGUACGUAUUACUAAUGUUUUAUACACGUAUUUUUUUUAAAAUUUUCAGUAACACACACAAAUUCACGUAUUAUACAAAUAAUUCUCACAUAUUAUUGAAUAAGAAUAACACCUGGUACAAAAAUUAUAUUAAAAUAUCAAAUAGUGGAACAUUAAUACCUACUUUGGAUAUGUUGCAAAUUAAUAUCCAUAAGGUACAAACCAAUGCAACUAGGAGGGUCUUUAUUUUUUUUGUUUUUAGGGGAAGACUAAGAGUACAGCCGCCCGGCUAUACUCCAUGUUUUCAAAUUUUUUAAAAAAGAUAUGUGUUGACACGAGGGUCCAAAUGGCAGGAGUCUUUUUUACAUUUUAAAAACGUAUAGCCGCAAGGCUAUACUCAGUUUUGAAAUAUUUUUUACAAAGGCAUGUGCUGACACGUGGGGCAUAAUGGUUGGGGACUUUUUUUAUAUUUAAAAGUAGUAUAGCCGAACGGCUAUACUCAGUUUUGAAAUUUUUUUUAAAAAAGACACGUGUUGACACGUGGCGCCUAUUGGAUGGGAGAACUUUUUUUACAUUUAAGAAGUAUAGCCGGCCGGCUGUACUCAGUUUUGAAAAUUUUAUUUUUUUAUAUUUAAAAAUAGUAUAGCCGCGCGGCUAUACUCAGUUUUGAAAUGUUUUUUAAAAAGACAUGUGUUGACACGUGGCUCCUAUUGGUUGGGGGAACUUUUUCUACAUUUAAAGCAGUACAGCCGGCCGGCUGUACUCAGUUUUGAAAAUUUUAUUUUAUUUUAUAUUUAAAAAUAGUACAGCCGCGCGGCUAUACUCAGUUUUGAAAUUUUUUUCAAAAGACAUGUGUCGACACGUGGCGCCUAUUGGUUGGGAGAAAUUUUUAUAUACGGAAAACACGUAUAGCCGCCCGGCUAUACUCGGUUUUGAAAUUUUUAUUUUUUUUAUAUUCAAAAAUAGUAUAGCCGCGCGGCUAGACUCAGUUUUGAUUUUUUUUCAAAAAGACAUGUGUUGACACGUGGCGCCUAUUGGUUGGGGGCCCUUUUUUUAUAUUUAAAAAUAGUACAGCCGCGCGGCUACACUCAGUUUAGCAAUUUUUUUUUUUUUAAAUUUUAAAAAAGUACAUGUGUUGACAUGUGGCUCCUAUUUGUUGGGGGACUUUUUUUAUAUUAAAAAAUAGUAUAGCCAACCGGCUAUACUUACUUUUUUUUAUUUAAAAAAAAAUAGAAGCCAAUUGGGCUUCAAAUUCAACUUGGGCAUUGAAUAUUUAAUAUUUAAUUAUCAAAAAGAUGGCCUUGGGCCUUGGGGCACUUGGGUAUUUAGUUUCAAAUUAAUAAUUUUUUUUAAUAAUUAAUUCAUACUAGUUUAAUUAAUUUGACUGGGGGACUAUUUUAAUUUUUAAUAAUAAAUAGUAUAAUAUAUUGCCGUUGAUAAUGGUGUUAUACAAAUACAUACGUAUUUUUCAAUAAAUAGUAUAGACGAGCGGCUAUAAUCUUUUAGAUAUGUAUUCACACACACACACACACACACACAUAUGUAGGUACGUAUUUUUCAACAAUACAUUCGUGUUCUAUACACGUCUCACGUUUUCUUUAAAAAGCAAACAUACAAUAGUCGUAUUGUACAUGUACGUACGUAUUACUAAUGUUUUAUACACGUAUUUUUUUUAAAAUUUUCAGUAACACACACAAAUUCACGUAUUAUACAAAUAAUUCUCACAUAUUAUUGAAUAAGAAUAACACCUGGUACAAAAAUUAUAUUAAAAUAUCAAAUAGUGGAACAUUAAUACCUACUUUGGAUAUGUUGCAAAUUAAUAUCCAUAAGGUACAAACCAAUGCAACUAGGAGGGUCUUUAUUUUUUUUGUUUUUAGGGGAAGACUAAGAGUACAGCCGCCCGGCUAUACUCCAUGUUUUCAAAUUUUUUAAAAAAGAUAUGUGUUGACACGAGGGUCCAAAUGGCAGGAGUCUUUUUUACAUUUUAAAAACGUAUAGCCGCAAGGCUAUACUCAGUUUUGAAAUAUUUUUUACAAAGGCAUGUGCUGACACGUGGGGCAUAAUGGUUGGGGACUUUUUUUAUAUUUAAAAGUAGUAUAGCCGAACGGCUAUACUCAGUUUUGAAAUUUUUUUUAAAAAAGACACGUGUUGACACGUGGCGCCUAUUGGUUGGGAGAACUUUUUUUACAUUUAAGAAGUAUAGCCGGCCGGCUGUACUCAGUUUUGAAAAUUUUAUUUUUUUAUAUUUAAAAAUAGUAUAGCCGCGCGGCUAUACUCAGUUUUGAAAUGUUUUUUUAAAAAGACAUGUGUUGACACGUGGCUCCUAUUGGUUGGGGGAACUUUUUCUACAUUUAAAGCAGUACAGCCGGCCGGCUGUACUCAGUUUUGAAAAUUUUAUUUUUUUUAUAUUUAAAAAUAGUAUAGCCGAGCGGCUAUACUCAGUUUUGAAAAUUUUUUCAAAAGACAUGUGUCGACACGUGGCGCCUAUUGGUUGGGAGAAAUUUUUAUAUACGGAAAACAAGUAUAGCCGCCCGGCUAUACUCAGUUUUGAAAUUUUUAUUUUUUAUAUUUAAAAAUAGUAUAGCCGCCCGGCUAUACGCAGUUUUGAAUUUUUUUGGAAAGACAUGUGUUGACACGUGGCGCCUAUUGGUUAGGGGCCCCUUUUUUUAUAUUUAAAAAUAGUACAGCCGCGCGGCUAUACUCAGUUAAAAGAAAAAGUACAUGUGUUGACAUGUGGCUCCUAUUUGUUGGGGGACCUUUUUUUAUAUUUAAAAAUAGUAUAGCCGCCCGGCUAUACUUACUUUUUUUAUUUAAAAAAAAUAGAAGCCAAUUGGGCUUCAAAUUCUAUUUGGGCAUUGAAUAUUUAAUAUUUAAUUAUCAAAAAGAUGGCCUUGGGCCUUGGGGCACUUGGGCAUUUUGAUUUAAAUUAAUUAUUUAGUUUCAAAUUAAUAAUUUUUUUAAUAAUUAAUUCAUACUAGUUUAAUUAAUUUGACUGGGGGACUAUUUUAAUUUUUAAUAAUAAAUAGUAUAAUAUAUUGCCGUUAAUAAUGGUAUUAUACAAAUACAUACGUAUUUUUCAAUAAAUAGUGUAGACGAGCGGCUAUAAUCUUUUAGAUAUGUAUUCAUAUAUAUAUAUACACACACACACACACACACACACACACACACACAUAUGUAGGUACGUAUUUUUCAACAAUACAUUCGUGUUCUAUACACGUCUCACGUUUUCUUUAAAAAGCAAACAUACAAUAGUCGUAUUGUACAUGUACGUACGUAUUACUAAUGUUUUAUACACGUAUUUUUUUUUAAAAUUUUCAGUAACACACACAAAUUCACGUAUUAUACAAAUAAUUCUGACAUAUUAUUGAAUAAGAAUAACACCUGGUACAAAAAUUAUAUUAAAAUAUCAAAUAGUGGAACAUUAAUACCUACUUUGGAUAUGUUGCAAAUUAAUAUCCAUAAGGUACAAACCAAUGCAACUAGGAGGGUCUUUUUUUUUAAUUUUAGGGGAAGAAAAAGAGUAUUUAUUAUACUAUUUAUUAUUAAAAUUUAAAAUUAAAAUAGUCCCCAAGUGCCCCAAGGCCCAAGGGCAUCUUUUUGACUAGGGGGCUAUUUUAAUUUUAAAUUUUAAUAAUAAAUAGUAUAAUAUAUUGCCGUUAAUAAUCGUGUUAUACAAAUACAUACGUAUUUUUUCAAUAAAUAGUAUAGACGAGCGGCUAUAGUUUUUUAGAUAUGUAUUGAUAUAUAUAUACACACACACAUAUGUUUGUACGUAUUUUUCAACAACACAUUCGUGUUCUAUACACGUGUCACGUUUUCUUUAAGAAGCAAACAUACAGUAGUCGUAUUGUACAUGUACGUACGUAUUACUAAUGUUUUAUACGCGUGUUGUUUUUAAAAAAUAUCAGUAACAGACACAAAUUCACGUAUUAUACAAAUAAGUCUCACAUAUUAUUGAAUAAGAAUAACACAUGGUACAAAAAUUAUAUUAAAAUAUCAAAUAGUGGAACGUUAAUAUCUACUUUGGAUAUGUUGCAAAUUAAUAUCCAUAAGUUACAAACCAAUGCAACUAGGAGGGUCUUUUUUUUGGUUUUUAGGGGAAGAAAAAGAGUACAGCCGGACGGCUAUACUCCAUGUUUUCAAUUUUUUUUAAAAAGAUAUGUGUUGACACGAGGGUCCAAAUGGCAGGAGUCUGUUUUAUAUUAAAAAAUAUUAUAUCCGCACAGCUAUACUCAGUUUUGAAAUAUUUUUUACAAAGUCAUGUGUUGACACGUGGGGCAUAAUGGUUGGGGUCUUUUUUUAUAUUUAAAAAUAGUAUAGCCGAACGGCUAUACUCAGUUUUGAAAUUUUUUUAAAAAAAGACAUGCGUUGACACGUGGCGCCUAUUGGUUGGGGGAACUUUUUUACAUUUAAAAAAAGUAUAGCCGCCCGGCUGUACUCAGUUUUGAAAAUUUUUUUUAUAUUUAAAAAUAGUAUAGCCGCGCGGCUAUACUCAGUUUUGAAAAUUUUUUUUAAACGACAUGUGUUGACACGUGGACCUAGGCGCCGGGCAAGUCCUUUUUUAUAUAUAAAUAGUCUAGCCACGCUGCUAUACAUUUUAAAAAGAAAAUGUAAUCCAAAAAAUUUCGCCGCCGUUGACCUGUGCCGACGAACAUUCAUCUGGGUAAGUUUUUAUUUAUUUAUUAUUAUUUAGUUUUAAAAAUAUAAAAUUAGUUUCUUUACUUUUGUAUUUUGUCUCACUUAUUUAUUCAUAUACGUAAGUAAGUAAUAUCUUAGCCUUUUUGAAUUACUUUAAUUAGUAAUUAUUUUGAAUUAUUAUUUAAUAUAUAAAAAUUAAAGAAAAAGUCCACAAAAUAAUUAAUUUCUAUUUAUUAAAUCCUUUGUGAAAUCGUUUGGGUGUCUUAAUUAAAUUUCUCCAUAGCCCAAGAACCCCAAGACCCAACUCUCCAAUGUUAACUACACUUUCCAAACCAUCAUAAUGCUUUUUUUAUAAAUACCUUUAUAGAAGUGAGGAUUUUCGAUGUGUGAUUUUCACAAAGGGCACCUCAAAAGAUAGGCCUGUAGAGAAAUCUAUAUUUUUAUUGUUGGUGCAAUGUGAAAAUAUAUUUAAAGCUCUUAAAGGUCUCCAUGAUGCAUCUGUAAAUACCCUUCAAGGUCAUCUAUCGGCCUUGAUAUUAUUCAACUUCUUAUAGCUGACGUUUACUAUUCUUUGAAGAAAAAAGACAUGCCUUCACCCCCCACAUCAGACAUACCUGAAAUCCUACAAAUUCCACCUCCAUCCUCAUCUCCAAAAGAGUACCUUUAUGUGCAGUGUGGAGGGCGGAGUUAUGGUUUUGAUGUUGACUUCCAUUCUUUGUAAAUACAGGAACCAAAUGAAAAAGAUAUCGCACAAAUUUUGCCUUGCCUUAGAAAUGACCGGAUGAGCUAGAAGGUUUACACCUCAUGCCAGAGGCGGACACACGUUGGGAUAAGAGGGGUCGGACGACCCCUUGGAAGGCUGAAAAUUUGGCAAGGGACUCCAUUAAAGCCCCCUUUAUGCACACCAAGUGCUCGACGAAAGUCCCAAGCCAUUUGUGAAGUCUGCUGUGCAGCUGUGCUGCACCUUGAGCGUGCGCUGCGCAUCUUUUUUUUAUAUUUAAAACGAGCCUUGCCAAACGACGUCGUUUGGUCCAAGGCUCAGUCAAAUAUUUUUUUUAAUUGACAUGGCCUCAAAACAACGUUGUUUUGGGCCAUGUUUAAAAAAAAAAAAAUUUAAAAAAAUUUUAAAAAAAAAACAGAACACAGAACAACACAGAUUCAAUUCGACUCUGCCUCCAAACCCUUCAUUCCCAAUUCCAUAGCUCCUCUUCCCACCCUCUCAAACCUUAUCCUCUCCCAACCUCCAUCAACUCUUCGCCGGUGGCCCAGUGCCGAUCACCACCAUCUUCUGCCGCUGUCCGCCGCCCCCUUUUUAAACUACAAGUAAGCAUGGCAAAAUUUAUAUUAAUAAUUAUAGUGAUAAUAUAUAUUGUUGAUAUUGAUAUUUUUUUUUGAUGUAAUGAAAUUUAUGGAUGUGAAUCAUAUUGAUAUUUUUUUAAUGUAAUUAAAUUUGUGGAUAUGAAUCAUAGUGAUAAUCAUAUUAAUGUAGAUUGAUUGAGUUUAUGCUUGAUUGAUAAUAUGAAUUGAUUGAGUAUAUUGAAUAUUGAUUGCUAUUUGAUAUGAUAAUUUGGUAUAUUGAAUAUUGAUUGAUAUGGGUUUAGGGAGUAUAUUGAAUAUUGAGAGUGGGUUAUUGACCUUUUCAUAUUCAUAUGAUAAUUUGGAUAAAAAUUAAUGAUUGAUUGAAUUAAUUGAUUUGUAGAUUUAUGGAACGAUUCUUUAAAAGAAAAUUAUCUACGGAUAGUCCUUCUCCUUCUAAUCCGGGUAGUUCAAAUGCAAGACCAAUUGAAGUAGAUGAGAUCUUAGCUAAUCUUCAGGCAGACUCUGGACUAAGAACUUGAAUGGCGGAUUAUAGUCUUAAUAUUCGGGAUGAGAUCCGAAGAGCAUAUCUACAAAAGGGACCUUGUCAACCUAGAAGUUAUAAAUUCUCACAAACUAAUCAAUCAGGAAUUAAUAGAUGCUUCAUUGCUCAUUGGUUUGAUGAUCAUGAUUGGUUGGAAUAUAGUAUUGCUAAAGAUGCUGCGUUUUGUCUUCAUUGUUAUCUUUUCAAAUCUAAUUUUGAUCAAGUGGGUGGUGAUGCAUUCACUGGGGUAGGCUUCCAAAAUUGGAAGAAGGCGAAAGAUAUAUUUAACCUUGGUAGUGUUCACAACCAAGGUAGAGAAGUUGCUUACAAUUUGAUGCAUCAAACUACACACAUUGAAACAAUUGUGAUCAAGCAAACAAGCCAAGCUUGCACGGCUUAUCGCACUUGCUUGAAUGCAUCACUUAAGUGCACUAGGUAUUUGUUGCGACAAGGGCUUUCUUUUCGUGGUCAUGAUGAAAGUGCACAAUCAAGUAAUAAAGGGAAUUAUUUAGAGCUCUUGCAAUUUCUUGUGGAUCAUGAUGAAAAAGUUAAGGUCGUUGUGUUGGAAAAUGCUCCGGGAAAUUUAAAGUUAAUAGCUCAUUCAAUUCUUGUGCUAAAGAAACCAUUGGUCUUAUCUUGAGUGAUGUAAAAUAUAGAUAUUUUUCAAUAAUGGUGGAUGAAGCACGUGAUGUUUCAAUAAAGGAGCAAAUGGCGAUGGUGUUGGUUAUGUGAAUGACAAAGGACAAAUAAUUGAAAGGUUUGUGGGGGUUCAACAUGUAAACGAUACUACUUCAAGUGCACUAAAGGAAGCCAUUGAUGAAUUCUUUUCUUCCACGAAUUUGAGCUUUUCCAAGCUACGAGGACAAAGUUAUGAUGGAGCUAGUAAUAUGAGAGGUGAGUUCAAUGGCCUUAAGACAAAGAUUUUGAGAGAACAACCUUGUGCAUUUUUUGUUCAUUGCUUUGGUCAUCAACUUCAACUAGCUCUUGUUGCGGUAGCAAAGAAAAACAUUGAUGUCAACUCUUUUUUCACAAUGGCUAAUAGUUUGGUUAAUGUUGUUGGAGCAUCUUGUAAAUGUCGCGAUGCACUUAGAGCACAAUACUAAGAAGAGCUUGUGAGAGCUUUUGAAGAUGAUUGUCUUAUUACAGGGCGGGGCUUAAAUCAAGAAACUACUCUCAAACGUGCCGGCGAUAAACGAUGGAACUCACAUUAUGGUACGUUGAUUAGUAUCAUUUCUAUGUUCCCAUCUGUGGUGAAUGUGCUUCAAAUGAUUGUUGAUGAUAAUUACAGUUCCUACCAUGGAUGAGGAAUAUGUAAUUCCAGGGAGAUCACAACAUAAUGCUCCAAUGAAGACAAAUUAUCAUCGUUAUUGUGUGGAGAUCUUUAUUCAUGUAAUUGAUGGGCAACUUGCGGAAUUAAAUGAUUGCUUCAACGAGGUAAGUACUGAGUUACUUACUUGUUUGGCAUGCUUGAGUCCGAAAAAUAACUUUGUAGCUUUUGACAAACGAAAGCUAGUUCGUCUUGCUCAAUUUUAUCCUUAUGAUUUUUCGGAUAUAGACUUAUUGAUGUUUGAAGAUAUGUUCAUCAUAUGCGUUCGAGUAGUGAUUUUUCUCAAUUGGAAGAGAUUAGUGGUCUUGCGGAAAAAAUGGCGGAGAAAGGAAUGCAUGAAAUAUUUCCUUUUGUGUAUUUGCUUUUUACAUUGGCUUUGGUUUUACCGGUUGCAACUGCAUCAGUGGAUAGGGCAUUUUCCGCCAUGAAUAUUAUUAAAAAUCCACUUCGCAACAGAAUGGGAGAUCAAUAGUUGAAUGAUAGCUUGAUUGUUUACAUUGAGAGAGAUGUUUUUGUUUGUAUUGAUAACGAAAUUAUAAUGCAACGUUUUCAGAAUAUGAAAACUCGUCGUGGACAAUUGUAACUUGUAUUAUUGGUUUUGUUAUGAAUUAUGAAUAGAAGUACUAUCUUUCUUUAGCAUUAUUUUCUUUGUAGAAAAAUUUCGGAACUUUUACACUAAGCCCCCUUGACUACAUAAUCCUGGAUCCGCCACUGCUUCUAGCUAUACCAUACUGACUCCUUCUUCAAUGAAACUUAAAUCUGGUAUUUUGUUUUUCAAAACUGGCAUGUGCUUGAUAUUCUGUUUUCAGAAAUCAGAAUAAAAGGUGCACUUUGUGAGAUCGUUGUCAACUCUCAUGAUGUGGUCAAUUUUGCAGUUCUCUGGGAAAGUUAGCGUUGAUGGGAUAAAGGGCUGUGAUCAGUUGGUCCUCUACUAUCUGCAGCAGCCUUCAAGCAUGUGAAUUACCAUGAACUUAUUUCCCCUGUUUUGGUUCUUGUUAGUAUUGCCUUGUUUUGUGUAAGAUAUGUUGGCUGCGGCUGCCUAUAUUGAACUCUUGGGACUGGUUUUCUAUUGCAGUGGAAAAGAAAAGGGGAUACACCCUUUCCCAGCACCUGAAAGUCCCUGCGGAAAAGAUAUUGUACUCUCUCUCUCUCUCUCUCUCUCUCUCUCUCUCUCUCUCUCUCUCUCUCUCUCUCUCACCCCAUCCAAUUAUGCAUGCAGUAGUGACUUCUUUUGAUUCUUAUUCUUGAAGAGGAAGGCUUAAUAUAUUCCACGAUUGAUGAGUUUCACUACAAGUCAGCAGCAUAUGGCUAAGUAUUCGUCACGAAUUUUGACUUUGUGCUGCUACGGUUGGAAAGGAACUUAUAUGAAUGCUGUUAUGUAUAUUUCUCUUUCAAUAUCUUUUUAUGUCCAUUUGGAUGGGUUUAGUACCAAAGUUCAAACAAUUAAAUUUGCUGUUUUGGUUGAUCAAAAGCGCUACUCUCCCAGCCAAAAAUAUUCUGGAUUGAACAUUCAGUAUCAAAUACUAAAAUAGUCACAGUAGUUAAUUGUCAUUUAACUAAUUUGUUCUGUGUUCAUUUAAAAACUAAAUUGUUAAAAUCAAGAGGAAAGAUAACACUGCCUGUCUAGCCAUUGAAUUCGAGGAUCCGAGGUUGAUAAGGGUUUCGUUUGUGUAUUAUUCGUUACACUCAUUUUUAUUCUUCUUAUAAUUUCUAGAGUGUCAAUAUCAACUUAGAAUUUGAAUUAAUGUGAAGCAAAAAAGGAAUUAAAGAGUUCAAAUACAAGUCAACUGCAUAUGGUUAAGUAUAUUCGUCACCAAGAUAAUACUGCCUAGCCAUUGAAGGGGAGGUUGAAUUUUGGAGAGGAGGGGGGAAUGGUUGAUAAACAUUUCGUCUAUGUAUUGGUAGCCACCUAAUUUAUUUUUAUUUAUUUAUAAUUUCUAGAGUGUUUCAGUGUAUACAGGACACAAAAUCAACUUAGAGAUAAAGAGUUUAAAUACAACUAAACACAAAGUUAAAAAGAAAAAUGUUGGUUUAGAAUUCUAAGUGAUUUACGAAAGAAUCAACUAAGUAGGUACAUACGAGUUGAACCGAAAAUUUAGGCAUAUAAUUACCAAACUAAGUUUAACUUUUACGCAGACUAUUUAUAAAAAAGUACAACCCUAAAUAAAAUAGGAAAUAAAUCCAAAUUACAAUAGAAAAUAAAUAUAAAUUAUAAUCGGAAAUAAAUUUUAAUUAUAAUAGGACUAGAUAAAUUAAUAAGUAACUAAAAUCCUAACAUCGUAAGAAACUCAAAUUCUAACUAAGUAAGGACUCGUCAACACAUCAUACAUAGGACAUAGGAGAAAGAAAGACCUCGAUGAUCUAGGGUUAACUUAUAUAUAAAGUUCAAAGCCAAGGGAUACCCUAUUAUUAUUCUCCAAUUUCAUGUUGUUGAAAGAUCAUAAAAAUCAAUCAAGCAUGUCGACGGAGACGCAUCUUUUUCGUAGCACAGUACUUAUUACUAUGGAAAGUCGAGAAACAGCAGUACCCGAAACUACUGUAAUCCAAAUCAGUAUGGACGACGGGUUUCCGAUCCGCUUGAAGCUCUUCAACCGUGUCAGAGGAAGCUCCGGCGAUCCAGACCUCCUAACCGAAAGAGGAGUUACGGUCCCUCUCUCUCGUCUCAAGCUAUCAGCCGAAGGCAACAGCAGGAGAAUCCGGCGUCGGUAUAGAAAGGUUCUGGCCGCCAACCUUAUCAGGAUGGGUGUCCCAGAAGAUGAACACCGGGGUAUUAUUUGGAAAAUAUUUCAAGGCCGUUGAUGAUGUGGCCAUCCACGGAAGCAGCCGGGAGGGGUUGCCUACAGUUACUAUCCUCAUGGUCAUGGAGGAGGUGACUUUGAAUAACUAUAAUAAUAAGAAUAUACCCCCAUCGUUAGGUUUUCGAACAAGUGUUGAGGAACCAUUAUAUUACAAGCUGCUUGGAUUAUUCUAUCGUCCUAAAUUUCCUUUUCAUAAACCUCGUUCUGAGGGUGUGGACGGUUUGGACAGAGUGAUGGUUAGGCUGGAAGAAGAGGUUAGAUGUAGGGCAUGUCUAAUUUGUGGCGAGGCCCUUGAUUCUCCUCCUCCUCUUGGAGAAGAAGAAGAAGAUCAUCGUCAACAUCAACAAGAAGAAGGGGUGCCCAAGAAGAUUAGUAUGAUUUCUCGCUUGCCUUGCUCACAUCUUUUUCAUCAAGAUUGCAUUGUGCGGCGGUGGCUGCAUAGUAGGGGGAGGAGUCGCGGCGGCGGUUGUCCCGUGUGCCAAUUGACAAUGCUCGUUAAGGGCACAAAGGACAUGCUCGCGAAAUUUCAAACACCCUCGAGAUCGUGGGGGUUGCCGCUCACGAUAUUUACCGGCGGCUUAAUAACUGCCGGUUCGCUUCUUUGCAAAUUAUUGAAGCAUCGAUCAUCAAAAGGGAAUUAAAUUUGGUGUCUUGUAGUAGGUAUUUUGAAGGUUUAAUAAUUCAUAGUUUCCUGGAGUCAGUCUUUGAAUUUACAAAUUAAUCGAAUUGUUAAUUUUAAUAAAUUAAAUUAGCCUUACAAUUACGGAAUUACUUGUUAUAGUGCUCAUGAUUCUUUUCUUAAUUACUUGUUAUGGUGCUCAUGCUCAUGCUCUGUUAGAUAGUUAGGGGCUAACAAUUGGGUUUUACAAUUUUGUUUUAUUGCUUUUUUUAGGAGUGUAUAAUAUAUUUGAUCUCAACACCAAGUUAAUAACGGAUUAUAAACUAUCCAAUACACAUGUUACAUGUGGAAAUAUUGUUUAACAUAUAGGUUAUAAAAAUAAAAUAUUUUCACAUAUCGUUUGUAUAUUGGAUAGUACACCAGUCACGUGGUGUAUCCAAAACCGGUGCUUUCGUUUCAUUCUGUGGUUCUUAUACUUGUUGGCUUUGCUGGUGACACUAUAAUUUUAAAAUCAUGUUUAGAGAUCUCUAAUUUAAAUUCUGAUAUUAUAAAUAAAAAAUAAAUUAAGAUGUGGAGUUGAUCUGAAACUCAAAAACUGAGAUUUGGGUUAGCCCAAAAUAGUCCCACGACCAAUGUAUUUUGGCCUCCAAAACUUCACCAAGCCCAAUUCCAGGCGGAUUGGAAUUUAGCCCGAGUUUCCAGUCGGACCGCAACAGACAUAUACAAUAGAAUCGUUGCACUUGGGGGUCCCUUACCCCUCCUUCCUACCGCCUCAAAACUUCUACUGUCAGCCUUAGCACGUGACACAACAAUGAACUUAAAUGUGAAGAAAAUUUGGAAAUAAGAGUUUCAAUACAACUAAAAGAAAAAUACGUGUUUUGAUUUUGGAUAGGAAAGAAUCAAAACACGUAUUCAAAAGGGCAACAAGAAAAAUACUGCACUGCAAUAGGGUCAAAAUUUGGACCAAAAAAAGAAAAAUACUUGUACUGAAUUCAAUUCCAGCUCGUCAGCACAUUGAUGCAAGCAUGUGUUCGCUGACUUGGUUCGAGCAGCAAGAACAUCCUUUGGGCUGUAUUUUUAUUCUCUUUUUUCUUUUCUUUAUAAAAACAUUUUAAAAAAUAUAUAAAAAUAACCAACAUCCAGCAAUAUAUAUAUAUAUAUCCUCACACUUUCGUCAACAUCAGAAAGGAAAAAAAAGUUAAUCAUCAUCAUUCAUCAAUCUCUUUGCCUCUUUUGUUCAAUCCUUUGACAAUUUUGUUUUUCUUUCAAAUUCAGGAAUUUCAACACCAAAAUAUGAAAAUUCUAAUUCCUAAAUUCAUAAAGACCAAUCAAAAUUUGUGAUUGCCAUUGUUGAUGAUGAAUUUUAGUUAUAAAAAAAUUGUUUGAUGACCUUAAGUAAUGAAAAAUGAUUAUUUUUAGUAUUUGGAUUAGAUUAUGUGAGGGUCCCAUUUUAAGUUUCACACAAGGCCUUCAAAACUUCAAGACCGACAAUUGUUGGUGAUGAUGGCAACAUGGGGUGGGUGUGGUGGUGACAAUGGUGGUUGAAUGGUAGUGAUGUGAAUGAGUAUGGUGUGGGUGACGAUGGUGGUAGAAGUUGUGGUGGUGAUGGCUACUGCAAAAGAAAAAUGAAAGAAGAGAGGAGGGAGAAGAGGGGUAAUCACCCUUUUUAAGUUCAGUUCAGUAGUGUGAAUGCUGGCACAAUGUCAUUUCUUUGUUUUCUACUCGUACGCUUUUCACGGUCUCUAAAAGAGUGGUGUGUGGUCACUCUGCUACAUUAAAUUCGUUUCCUUGGAUUUAAAGGGCUGUGCCACGUGCGAACACACUCCAUCUGUGAAAAGCUCAAGUGAAAUCCACAAUCCCAUUUCGACACUUGGCAUGUGCCACCUGGCCCUGUGAUCUAGUGUCUCCAUCUCCUUCACGUGAAACCCCUCACAUUUUGAAGAUUUUGAUCUUCCUCCCCCUCAUGCUCAUGUUGGGGACCUCAAUGUUGCUGUACAAGAAUCAUCUCCAAUCAAUAAAAAGUACUCUUGUUUUAUGAUUUUGGAUAAAUUGGUUCUCUUUCCCUUCACAUGAUUUGGAUAUUGGAUAAUGUUUUGUCCCUCUACUUCUUAAUCUUACUCCCCCCAAAUUUUGAUAAGAGAAAAACAUUUUAUCCAUAAAUUCCAAAAAAAAAAGGCAAAUAUAUAUCCAUUGUGGAAUUCUAAUGUGAAAAUUAUAAGCAAAUUCUAAGGAAAAUUUUAGUUGUCGUGACGAUAUCUUUCUCUUAGUAGAAGAUCGGGAAAGAUUUCUCUUGAAAAAUACAGCUUUUAUUCUAGAGAACAGUUAAUUAAAUAGUUCUAGUUUAACUUAAUUAAUUAGUCAGGUUUUAUUUAUAUAACUCUUUCCUUCUUUUUCAGAGAAUCAUAGCAGUAACUAUCAAAUCAUGGGCAUGUCGUUGGUAUAUAUAGCCGUGAGCUGUGCUUAGUGAUUGUAAUUACCAAACUGCCACUGUCUCUUUCGCAGUAGCAACGCACCUAUCUAUGCUCUCCAAAUAACACACACAGCACAAAAUGUAAAUUAAAAAAAAUAUAGUCGACCCAUUUGCUCCAAAUCACAAGAACUUCUUAUUAGAUGAUCACAAAGCCAAUAUUUUACAAAGCAAUCCAAUAUAUAUAAUAUAUAUAUAUAUAUCCCCAAAUAACACAAACAACAUGUAGAUGUACUCUUUAUUACAAGCAAAUAAAAUUAAACCCAAAACAUAUCAAACACUGAACCAACUAAGGAUGACAUAAAGAAGGAAAUUAAACGUAACAAAUGAGACUCACACAACUUUAGGAUACCAACUGAUCAUGUGUCACUCGCAUAUAGCUACACCUACAUGUCUCGGACAUGGAAGAUGUUGGGGUUUUUAAUGACAAUAUCGUACAUGUAAACGGAGUUGAACUUGGAGAAGUCUCUGGGGAGAGAGAUUAGGUCAAUGGAAGAUCGCUUGUGGAAUUGGAAGAGGUCGGGGUCGCCUCCAUAGUACCUCUCCCACCCUAACCCGGUCAAUAUUUGCUCGAGCGUCGAGUAGGACGACACCACCUGUCCACUUGGCAAGUGCACCAAGGCCUUCUUCCUAGAAGAUGUCUCAGCCUGUGGAUUUUCCACCAGACGAAUCACCCCGUUCUUGAAAACCCAAACCCCAGACAUUGUGUUUCUUCUUUCUUUGGUAGUAGCUAGUGCUUUGGUUUUUUUGGGUGGAGGGUAAAUUGAUGCAAAUGCUGUUUGUUUGGAGAUGAGAGAGAGGAUAAGGAAAUGAAUUGAAUUGUGUUGUGUUGUGGCAAAAGAGGAGGGGGGGAAGGGGUAUUUAUAUGUGUCAAAGGGACAAAUAAAAACAAGGGGGAAAUACUCUUUGAGUGGGAGGGAGAAACUGAAAAGGAUGGUGGAUUGUGGUGUGGGCAUGUUUGGCUUUGGAAGAGAAUCUAGAUUAAGUGGGACCCAAUGGGAUUAAAAUUAUGAGGGUGCUGCAUGGAUGAUGCCCCUAGGGUUUGAUUUAGGGCACAAUUCAGCACCAUCCACACACAUCCAAUUCCGUGGGGUUGGGGUUUGGAGGAAUCUUUGUGUAGCUUCAACAUUGCAAGCUAAGCUAAAUGUAGCUUUUUCGAGUGUGCUUUUUAUUUUUUAUUUAUUUAAAUUUUUUUAUGGGGAAUCUUUUAUAUUGCUAGGUUUGGGGCAAUGCAUGCCACUAUUCAUUCAUUAAGAAAAGAUUCAAAAAAGAAGAAAGUCAAAUGAUGGAAAGAAACCCACUUAGAUCACGAGAUGUCCACGUGAAGGGAGUGGGAGUGAUUGAGGCAUAUUUUGAUUUUCUUGUGUGGAUCUUGGGAUGUUGGUGGGUUUGGCGACUGAAAGCAGAUGUUUGGGUUUCUUUCUGUUGGAGACACGUACUCCUUUGCUACUUGUGAUUUUUUGCAACCUUAAAAAAGCCUUGCUUUGCUCACGCUGUCUUGUCAAAUCAGGUUUGGAUUUUGUUUGUGAUUUUCGAGCCUAGAUUUAUGAGAAGGAAAAUUAGUUAGAGUCUAGACUAAUGAAAAAGACAAGUUAAUUAGUAAUGUGAUUAGUACAUAUAUGAUAUAUUAUACGAUUUAGUUAAAUAUGAAUAUGUGAGGAUCUGUGGAUUUUUAUUUGAACUUCAAAUUUUAUGAAUCACAAGCUUCCAAAAUCAUAUAUACUUGUUUUCAAAUUUUUAUUCUAAAAGUGUUGCCGUUCACACUCGGUAUUUGCUUUUAUAUUAUUGAUUAGUAGAAUAUUUACUUUUACAUUUAAGGUUAACUAGCAAAUGACUUUAAAUAUUCGAUUCGUAGACCUUACGUCUCUUUUGCGUCUCUUUUAUCAAAAAUUUAAAAUUAAAAAGAAAAGUAUUCAUCCACUACUUAUCGCUGUAUAUAUAUAUGUACUUGGAAGUUGUUGAUAUUGCUUGAUCUAAAAAGCAAAUUAAAAGAAAAGGAUAGUAAGUCUGCCAAUAAAAUAUGGAAUUUUUCCUUAAAAAGAAAAGCCGUGUGCCAUAAAUAACAUCCCCUUAGUAUCUAAAAGCAGCAAAUUUCAACCAACAAAAUGCUUGAAAUGAUUAAGAUAAGACAGUCAAUUAUUAUUGUAAAUAAUAAUUUUCAUAAUUGUGAUUUCUGAACACCACUCAAAUAAAAUUAUAUAUGUCACACUCAAUUCAAACAUAUAAUUGAGCCCUAAUGUACAAUAAUUUGUCACCAAAAGGACCACUUGACUAAGUCUCAAUUAUCAUUGUCAAAAACUUCAUGCUUUCCACAGUUUCUCACACUCGGAAUUUUAUAAUGCUUCAAAAAAAAUGCCAUGUUGCCCACAUGUCAUCACAUGGGCUACAAUGGUCCUGUAGCCAGAUCGAGGGGCUAGGACCUUUGAGUAGCCGUCUUGUCAAAUCCAUGAUUAGGGUUUUACGUUAGGAUAUUUUGGAGUUUAAACUACCUGCCACGUAGAAGAGACCUGUGGAAAACUAAGACACCACAAAAACUUGAUGUUCUUCAUUUUGAAAUUAACAUGACAAAUGAAGAACCAUGCGACAAGAUAUCAAUUUCAGUACAAAUGUUGGUUUGUGAUCUCAUUAAUGGUGCACUUUGUUUGAUCUGUUUCUUACUGUGUGCAAAUUGCAAAAAGGAAAGUUUGGUUACGAUUAGUCAAUCUUUGAGUUUUCUUGUGGGUCAGGAAAUUCUGUUCUCUUUUUUAUUUUUUAUUUUUUAUAAAUCAUUUUAUCAUCGUUGAUGUUGUAUGAAGGAUCAAAACUUCUCGUGUUAGGGGUUUAAUUAAUCCGUCAAACUUGAUCAAUCAUGUAUGAGUAACUCUAAUAAUACUUCAAUAUAUCCUUAAUCGUUUGUAUAUGUUCAACUCUGUCAUGAGAAUGUCAUGAGUUUAAAUCUCAUGAACGACAAUUGUUGAAUAAAAAGGAAUAACAGUUUAUUAGAAACAUAUUAUUCUUUGUUAUAUUAUUACUUCAAGACUAUCAAUUGUUAAAAAGAAUAGUGGUCCUCAACUUUUGAGUUUGAAAGUUGAUUCCCAUGCUCCCCAUUGCGCAUGUAGAGCAUUGCAUAUGCAGGUUUUUGUAUGCCUUUAGGCAUCCAAGCCCUCGAGCACCAUAUCAUCUUUGCUUCUGUAUGUUCCUCUUUUCACAUGCCCAAGGUCCUAACGAUAUAGACCUCUCCAAUCCUAUCCCCAUUCACUUUGGAAAAUCCUAAAUGGUACCCAAUUCCUUCAAUUUUAGUCCUUUCUAUUUUUGUUGCACUUCCUACUCUAGAAAUUUCUUUGUAAUUAUAUAUAUAUAUAUAUUUCAUUUUAUUGGGUGGAAAAAUUGGGCUAACAGCUCAGAAAUUGCUACACCACAAAGUUCUUCCCCAUGUCAAGUGGAUUGCAUGCCUGGCAUUAGGGUCUACAGCACAACUUGAAGAUAUUAUUAUAGUAUGAGUCUAUUAUGAGGUGUUGCCCUCGAGGUUUUCAAUCCUCUCUUUCUCAAUAUCGCUUGUAUCAAAAGAUUCAACUCCGAUCCGAGUACCGAACAAGUUGCUUUGUAUCUCAGUGACUCUUAAGGCAUGUAGACAUCAAGUAACUUUAAUGAAAUUUAAAGCUCCGAAUUAAUUUAGAGUUCUAUAUUUGGAGGAUAUAUAUAAUGUGAAGUGAUUCAAAACCAGAAAAGAGAAUCCCUUCCUUAUUACGUGCAGCAUAUCACUAUAUGAUGAUGAAAUAAAGAUGCGAAAUGAUCAUUCUUUCGAUCGAUAGUUAAGUGAUUCAAGACCAGAAAAGAGAAUCCCCUCCCUUCCUUACGUGCAUAUUAAUAUGAUGAUGAAAUAAAGAUGCGAAAUGAUCAUUCUUAAUAUGUCAUAUCAAUGAGGUGUUUGGAUCUUGGAGGACAGCUCUAGCUCUACAUGAUUUUCGAUUUUCAUAUUCUUUUUGUUAUAUAUUCUUCGAAUUUUUCAUACGAAUUUCCACAUUCUUUUUUUUCUUUUCUUUUUUUCCCUCCCUUUUUCUCUGUCUACAAAAGUUUUUUGGUGGGGGUGAGCCGUAGAUUCCAUUACACACCACAAACUUUAAGAAACAUGCUUAGCUUUAUAUAUGUAUAUAUUUAUCGUUUAAAAUUAGAAGUGAGAAGAAUCAAGGGAAAGGUAGCCUCCACUAGAAUGUGCUAAGCUCAUUACUAUCUUUUAUAUACUCUGAUAAAAUAAAAUGAAGAACUUCAGGAAUUAACACUUGAAAAACACGGAUUGAUUGUGAUAGCCGAAACUUCUAGAUUUAGCCAAAGUUUUCAUUUUACAUUGGCAACGAGCAUCAGACCUAUAUUCAUCGUCAUCCAAACUACUAUAGAAUAAAGGUGAAGCAUACAGCUUGCGUUUUGGACAUGGUUAGUUUAAUUUAUUUAUUAUUAUUAUUAUUUUUUUUAAAAAAAAUACUGGAGGAAGGGGAAUCAAACCUAAGACCUAGAAUGCAUGGUAAAUGAUCUUAACUACUUGAGCUACACACUCUUUGUUUAAACCCAUUAACUUAAUUACUGUAAAUUCGAUGCAUUUCUGUCGUACUUGGAUAUAAUUUAAUAUCCAUAUACCAUAAUUUUAUGAUUCAUCCUUUCUUUGAGAGAUUUAAAUUUUGAACCCCACAAUACCGUAAUAUAAUUUAAUUCAUAAAAUAGAACAAUAUUUCAAUGAAGUAGUAGUACUUACGGAUUCUACUUAGGGGUUUUUUUUUUUUUUUUUUUUUAAUAAUAAUAUUUAUUUAUUUAAAUUUUAUUCGACAAUAGUGGCAGCAUUUAUACUCAUAACGUAUUUUAUGUGCCAUAAAGCAAGUUCCUAGAGCUAAUGUGCUCUCUGGUAGGCAUAAGUUUAAAUGGUAAUAUAAUAUACAUAUAGAGAUAAUCUAGCUGAAAGGAAUAUUAGAAAAGUUAUUAGGAGGAUAAUCUAGUUUGGUAACUUCAAACAAAACUAGUCUUGUUUUAGAAAUCCGAUGCUAAUUCCCAUCAAAAAGAGCAAAUAGACUGCAAUGAGAAUAAGAUUAGUUAGACGCGCAUAAAAUCCUUGUAAGUAAUAGAUUUUAUAAUUCAGACAUCUCUUUUAAAGGAUUUUGAAAAUUCCAUUUAUAAUAAUAUGUGAGAAACCGUAUACGACACACAUUAAAUGAAUAUGAACGAAAACUAUCCAUAGUGGAUGGGAGACCCUACUCAACCCAAGUUCAGAGGAUGCUUAGGGUUCCAUGCUUAAUUCCAAAUACAAACCACUCAUUUUAAUCUUUUGUUUAAUUACAAACUCACGCUAUGUGACUCAACUUAACACGAUAACAAAAUGAAAUGUAUAUUGCAAAGAAAUGUAUUACAGCACUUCUUGAAGAAAGUUGAGGUUCCACCCCAAAACCAAUUGGCAAUGGGAGGAGUAGUCCAACUCCUUAUAAGUCCUUACUAGGUUUCUCAACUUUCCAAUGUGGGACUUUUUACCUUCACAUUCUCACACUUCUAGAGCUGUCGAAUAGAGGAAGAAGGGAAGAGAGGUUUGCAAGCAAUGUGCCACAAUAAUUUUGCGAUAAACUCAUACCAUGAAGAAGGGAAAAUAUAUUGCUAGCAUUUUUCAUUGAUUUCAGUAACCUGAUUACCUACAGUGAUAGUUGUGCGUGAACACCGCAAUUAAUGUAGCAUUAAACAAGCUUAACAAACGAAUAUAUAACUAAUCCUUUAACUAAUUCUAAUUAGUUUCGAACUAGGAAAAAUGAGUUGUGUUCAAUUUCUCUCUCCCUCUCAUGCUUUGCAAUUAAAUAUUGGCGCAUGGAGAGAGUUUGGUGUUGUACUAGUUUUAGGGCUUUCAAAUUCUUUCUAUUUGUAACUAAUUAGAUGAUAGAGUAAUGCACUCAAUAUAUACGAGACAAGAUAUGAAUAUGAAUUCAAUGAGAUAAAAUCAGCACCGUAGGGGUUUACAACUUACACCAAUUUAAGGAACAAGGGCCUUCUUUAUCUCAACAUUUUAUGAGAAACAAAUUUAAAAAUACAUAGGUCUUUUUUUUUUCCCCAGUUUUUUUGAACCCAUUCUCAUAAUUUCCUCUGAUGAGCUGUGAAUCUGUGAUCAAUACUUCAUCAUCAGAUCUAGUUAAUUAAGCAGCCAAAAGCGAAACCAGCCCCAUGAUCACCACCCCGGCACCAACGGCCAUGAUCUCACGAGUGCGUGAAGCUGCAGAGGGCGCAGGUGCCGAAGGCGUGGGCGCUGUACUAUCUGAAGCUGAGUCAGCAGAUACUGGCGGCGAGGAUUUGUCAUUUCCUUUGCCCUUACCUUUGUGCUUUGACGGAGCUGGAGCCUCGUCUGACGAGCUUGGAGCUUCGUCAUCAGAGUCGUCCUUCUUGGACUUCGAGGGGCUUGGGGCCUUGGCAGACUUGGGUGAGCUGGCAGGGCCCGAGGAGGACGACUCCAUGUCAGGAACAUUAAUAAUGGACCCCACCUGAAGCACUGAAAUGUUGUAGGGCUGGGAAACAACCGACUUAACAAAGUUUACACUGUUGCCAUUCCCGCCCUUGGCUGCAGACUCGAAGGAAAUUUGUCCGUUGUUCACCGAAACCUUGAUGAAGCCUUGCUCCCGCCUUGCCUGACCUGUCGACUGGAACAAAGUUGUGAGAGUGGCGGACUUGUUUGAUUUGAAGAUCUUCUUGAGCUUGUCCUGAUCGUAGUAGUCCAACACCACGUGGACGCUCAGGAUCUUCUUGGCCAUAUCGGAAGACUCCCCGGAGAGGCCUCCCGCACCGCCAUUGUCCACUGCGAGGAUGGUGAUGGUGCUGCGUCUGUUGAUCUCGUCGGCGAGCUUAGUCUGGGAGAGGAGGUUGUUGAAGUUGGAGAAGUCGGAUUGCUUCUCGAGGAGCUUGGUGAUGUUGAAGGCAGAGACAGAGGAGGGUGACGAGAAGAAUGCAAGGAAGACGGCAAGGAAGAAGAAGAAGAGGAGGGAAGAGGCUCUAUGUUCCAUCUUUGUUAGCUGCCACUUCUUGCUUUGCUUUCUUUCUUGCUUUCUUGUUUGCUGCUUUGAGUUGUCAAAGCUUGGUUUUUGUGUUGAGGGAGUUUGUGGGAUUUAAAUAGGGCACAAAUUGUGAGCUAUAAUUAGACAUGCAUGCACAAAAUAGGAUGUUAGGGGUUCUAAAGGUUGGGAGUGAUUUUCUCCCAAUUGGGAUUAGUUCUAGUCGACGCACUCCUUAAAAAUUGCUAACCAUGCGUUAGUUACUCUCUCUAGAAGCAAAUUAACCCAAAUUUAGAAAACUAAAGUUUCUACUCAACACAUUCUAAUCACUUAAUCUUUUAUUUCGCGGGUUGUUGUUCUAGUGGUAAAGAAUAUUUACUCUACACUCAUGAUCAUAAUUUGAGUCGUAUAUCUUCUAUAUUGGCCUCUAAAGUUCAUUAAUUUUAUUUCGCUCAAACUUAAGAAAUAAAUAAAUGUAAAGGGCCAACCAUUGCUGAUGUGAUCUAUGUGUUAUUUUUAUUUUUUUUGGUUUCUUUCACUUUAAAUAAUGUAUUAAUGAAAGUUGCCAUUGAAGAUUUCAUUACAGUAACGAUAGAUUGGAUGAUUUUUUUGGUUUUAGUUAACCAUAUUAUUCAACAAGUAUCAUUCUAAUUUUUGCGUUUUGUAAAUAUUUAUCUGAUUAAUGUAAUUAAAUGAGAUGAAAUUAGUUGUUUUUCCGAUUACAAUGGCUGUUCUGUUGGGUGGUUUGGUUACAGCCAAUAUUUUCCUUUUUUUGGACUUCUAGAUGCAGUGAAAAUUUAGGUAAAUACACCCAGUUUAAUAGAUAAUUAAAUUAAAAAUUAUAUUAUUCUUUAAAAUUACUAUAAUAAAAAAUUUGAUAAAGAAAAACAAGAUUAACCUCCAAUUAUUUACAAUCAAAUAUGCAGGGAGAUGGCCACCCAUAAUUUCAUCCUUUUUAGGGAAAAAAAAUAUUGAAUAUUAUUUUUGUUGUGUUUUAAGGUGUGUUGAGCAAUGAUAUAUUUCAAAAUUUAUAAGCUAAAUGACCUGAGUAAGGCCAUCUCCAAUGGAGAGGGCCAAAUGUCAAAUUUUGGCAAUAUGGUCUGGAUGGAGCCCCCAACGCAUGUAUAGGGCCAUGCAAAAUAUCAAUUCAGUCAAUUAUUUUGGGUGGAAUAGCAGUCCACGUUUUGCCUAGACUGAAAUUUGGUAGAGCCCACUCACACGACCCACUACCCCAUGUGUAAAGUGAUUUUUUUGACCUAUUAGAGUUAAAACUAUUUUAAAACAAUUUAAUAAGGCUACGGAUUCAAAAUUUGAGUUUGGAGGAUUGGGGAAAAAAUAUUUGAAUCCGGACAAUACAUGAAUAAUUGUAUUUUGAAGGAUGAAAAUUUAGAUUUAGCCCUUUUAGCAUUGGAGAUGGCCUAGUGUAAUGGGGUGUCAUGGUCAAAUCCUUGGGUGUAUAUUUAGAAGCCCUUGUUACACAUUUACAAAUAAACUAGCCCAUGAAACCAGUUUCAUGGACCGUCCAUUUACCUUUUUGAAGAAGCCCAAUGAGAGCCACUUGUAAUCUUUCAAUCUCAACAAGACAAACCCACUCUUUUUCAUUACCAAUUUUACUUUGUCAAUUCUCAUCUCCCAUUUUUCCCUCUCUCUCUCUCUCUCUCUCUCUCUCUCUCUCUCUCCAUUGGCUCUCUUUCCCACAACCUUGUCCCAUACUCGAGGAAUGUAUAACAUAAUUUCUUGUAAGUCUUUUUUUUGGAUUGAUGGAGUUUGGGGUUUCGUACUUGGGAUCUUUUUUAAUAUUGGGAAGAGAAGUACCACUAAACUAAGAGCUAGUUGGUUCGUAUAAAUCAUUCUUAAUUUGACUAUUUGAUAUUGAAAUGUAACAUACUUGUAUACCUCAUAGAGACCCAUUCACGUAGAAUGGCUUGUUGUCCGUAAAUAUUUGGACACUAUCGAAUUUAGUCGUCCAAUUUCAUCAUUAUUAAGUUUACCAAACAUGGUUUAUGUUAAUAUUAUAAUUAUAAUUAGAUAGAUCAUAUAUAUUUAAUAGCUUGUGAAAAUGCACUUAAAGGGUAAUCUCUAAUGAUUCCAAAACAAUGGUUGUCAGAAGAAUGUAUAUGUUUUUACAUACAUUUCCCCACAAAAACCAUUAAGUUUGUAUUGUACCCUUCAAGAUUUGAUCUUUUCUGUUCCUAAUACAUUCAUAUCUCCUCUUUUGAAAAAAACCCCAAAAAAAAAAAAAAAAAACUUAAGCAACCAAAAGUGAGGCCAAGCCGAUCAUCACACCGGCACCAACGGCCAUAUCAACGCGAGAAGCAGCAGAUGGGGCAGGGGCAGGGGCAGUGCUUGAUCCUGCCUCGUCAGGCACUGGUGGUGACGACGAUGUCGUCUCAUCGGACGAUGUAGGUGCCUUGGACUUGGACGACUUGGGCGAGGCGCUUGGGGCCUCGUCAUCGGACGAUGAAGAAGGAGCCUUGGAUGGGGAAGGAGAUGACUUGGGAGAGCCAGCAGGGCUUGAGGCAGCAAUGUCAGGGAUGUCAAUCAGCUCAGAGACUUGAAGAACAGAAAUAUUGAACGGCUGAGAAACAACGGAUUUAACAAGCUUGGCGUUGAGCUUGCUGCCUUUGGCGGCGGACCCGAAAGCGAGCUCGCCUUCGUUGACAAUGCCGGCGUUGAUAAAGCCCUGCUGGUUCUGAGCUUGGCCGGAGGACUGGAACAUGGUGGUGAGGGUGGUGGCCUUGCUGGACUUGGCCAGCUUGGUCAGCUUCUGCUCAUCAUAAUAGUCCAGGAUCACGUGGGCGCUCAGGAUCUUCUUGACCACGUCUUGGGAUUUGCCAGCGAGGCUGGAGAUGGCGCCGUUGCCGACGGCCAAGACGGUGAUGGUGCUGCGGCUGUUAAUCUGUUCGCCAAGUUUGGUCUCCUUGAGGUAGGUGUUGAAGUUGCUGAACUCCGACUGCUUCUCCAGUAGCUUUGUGAUGUCGAAGGCCGAGGCCGAAGAGGAGAAGACAAUGAAGAGGAGGGCAAGGCAGAGGAUGGUAGAGGCUUUGUUCUCCAUCUUUUUAUUCUUCUUGCUUUGCCUUAUUUAUUCCUGCUUUGAAAGAAAUGGUUGCUUAUUGUUUUCUUUCAAAGCCUGAUUUGUGCAGAGGGCGGUUUGGGGGAUUUAUACAGAGAUUGAUUGCUAUAAUUAGAGAAACAAAAUUGGAUGUUGGAGCCUGAAGGUUAGGAGUGAAUUUCUCUCUGCCCUACACAAAAAAAGGCCAAGAGAUUUGACCAGGUUUUUUUUUCUUUCUCAUAAUAAGAACAGAAAAACACAACUGAAAGCCUGUUAGAUUAUAAUAACCAAUGUAUAUUUGACACAAAAAGAUAGUAAUAUAGGGUUAUGGAAAAUAUUUGUUUAAUUCCUCUCGAACAUAGAUUAUUGUAUGGUACUAGAAUACGCUCACGUAAUAUACAACUUCACAUAUUAGUGAUGAGUUUAGGGUUUACAAACGGUUUUAUAUUUGUUAGAAUUCAGUUUUAGGAAAACAGUGGACACUUGCAGGAUGACAGUUAAUGACAAUUAAGUUAAAUGAUGUAAAAAUGGGGUGUUGAAGCUAAUAAUCACCUUGCAUGCCAGAGUCGAUAUGUCAAUCAAAACUCCAAAAUUGCUGCUUCUAAACAUGGUAAUUUCAUCAACAGCCUUGCCUAUAAAAAUUACCAACACCCUUCUCAAUUUUCACAACCAAAAAGAAAAAAAACUAUGGCUUCUCUCAAUGUCUCUUCCCUCCUUCUCCUCCUUGCUUCUCCAGUGCUUCUGGUCUUCAUCAACUUGGUUACGGCAGCAGCCUUGGACGUCCCUAAUAAUCUCCCACAAAAUUUGAAAGAUUUGGGUGCCCUCGGGGACGAGGACACUAAAUCCAAGAUCAUUAAUCAGAUCAACGGCCAAGCUGGAACAUUGGCAAAUGCACCAAAGAGUGAUGCUACUGGUGCUCUAGCCAACAUGCUCAAUUCUGCUCCGGCGCCUCAAGGUAAAGAUCAAAUUACCAAAAUCAUGGAUCAACUCAAAGGGCCAGCCCCACAGGCCGCAGAUGCACUCAAGACUGGAGGGGAGGAUACAAUGCUAUCCCAAAUGUUCAAGUCUGCUCCGGGGCCUGGCGGCAGCGCUGUAGCUGGCGCCGCUGUGGAUGUCUUUACAAGUAUAUUGAAGCGUGGUCCACCAGCCACUGAUGGCAGCCAACAAAAGCCAGAGGCCCCUCCUACGGUUUCGGGUUCACCAACUCAGGUGGCUUCCGGCGUCCUCCUUGGUGUUGUUGCCAUCUUCUCAUCUUUUGUGGCAUUGUAAGGAAAGCAUGUAGCAUAAGACAUAGAGAGCAAAAUGGAGAAGGGGGAAGAAUUGGAGGCGCCAGUCUUCAUGUCCCCAAAAACUAGGGAUGGCGGAAAUCCCCGUCGGGUCCCCAAUCCUAAUGGGGCGGGUACGGGAUCCUCAAUUUAAAAAUAUCCGAUCGGAGACGAGGUGGUGAUGGUAUUGUUAUUCCCAUUUCCGAACCCGGCCGCAUAAGUGAUGUAUUUGUUUUUAAUUAAUAAAUAUGUUAAAUAAUAUAAUAUAACAAUUAAAAAAUUACCCUAACCUUUGUAAGAUGAUGAAACUUUGGAAUGUUUAUUAUUAUUAUAUGAUUUUACUAUAGGAACCUUCCCUUUAGGCUUCUUCGGACCUGAAAAUUCCACCAAAUACUUCCUUUUUAUAUGGUACAACACAAUCGCAAAUACACCAAUAAUAUGGGUUGCUAACAAAGAAUCCCCAAUUGAUUAUCUGGGUGUUUUCAUACUCGGCUAUGAUGGACAUUCUGGUGUGUUAGAUGGUAGUUAUUUGGUCAUCAAAUGCAUUAUGCAUAUCUGCUUCUGCAUUGAAUGCCAUCACAAUUAAAAGUUAUCCUAAGCUUUGUAGAAUGGUGAAAUUCUAUUGAAUUAAAUUGAGAUGAUUUUGAAUAGUUAAGUGAAAUUUUAUAAUUCAAUUAAAUAGGUGAAAUUUAUGUGUUAUAAUAUGAAUAUUUUUUUUUAUAAUUGUUUUUAAAACUGGGGAUUCGGGCCGGGUUUGGAAUACCAACCCCCGACAGGAUAAGGAUGGGAAUUCUCUGAAAAUGCAAGUCAGGGAAAGGAGUGGGUAUGGGGAGCGGAGACGGGAAUUAUAUUGCUAUACCCAAUCCCUAACCGGCUAGUUGCCAUCCCUACCCAAAAACCCCCAAAGUGAAUGGCAGAGAUCAAAAACAUGUUUUAACAAUAGAAACGCAGUACAUGAUUUUAUCAAAUUUCUUUUUCAUUAUUCCUCUAAUGAUAUUAUUUGUUAUCAAUUUUUUUGAGAGGAUGGAAAAUUUCCUCUGGCUCCAAACAAUUCUCUGUACUUCCCAAAAAUUUAUUUUCCUUUUUUAUUUCUUUUACAAACUUAAAAUGCAUACAUAUAAGGGAAAAGUAGGAAAAUAAUCAUUCAACUUCAAUCUAUUAUCAAAUCUAAACAAAGAUCAUUAACGGAAAUUGAUAUUAUAAACCUAUGAGCAGACAAAAUCUCGGGCAUACUUACGAAAUGGUGGCAGUCAUGAAGAAACUUCUAACCACUCGAAGACGCAGAAUAGAUUUCCAUUUCUGUCUGAUAUACAAGCAUAUAAUAAACUCUAAUUGGGAUGUGAUAGAAAAUAAUAAUAAUAAUAAAUAAAAACCUUUGCUUGGGUAUAGAAAGCCUUAAGAAUAAUGCAUAGUGGAGCGGAACUGGAAAUCAAAUCUGGAAUCUGGAAUAUUAUGCUGUUAAAGCAGUUCAACUGAUUUCCUUCAAGCACUUACAAAAAGAGUAGGAUCAUCUGUAACCUACAUUCACUUGUAUGCGACGGCUAAUCAUUUAGGUCCUUCAAAAGUAUCCAGAUCAGUAUCGGCCCAACUUUACAGUCAUCGUUAGAACACAACCAUAUGCAAAUCAGUAGUAAAAAACUCUACUGUCAAAACAGCCAAUGAACUUUGGCUACCCCGAAAAAGACGGUUAGUUCUAAUAACAAAAACUCCGCUGCCAUGCUAUGCACCACCUCCUUCAUUUGAUCUUCUCAAUUAUAUUGCCAAUGACUUCCUCCAUGUUCAGAUCCUUCAUUGGUUUAAACGGUCGCUUCAUGCCCUGCAACAGACAUAAAUGACAACUCAGAAAAAGUAAUUAAUUCUUAAUAGGCUGAUAACACGUAGUGUGGAUCAUUUCUUCACCAUAAUAAACCGUCUCAUGGAUCAGAAUCUUAAGAUCACCCUCCCUUCAUAAAUCUAAAUGAUCUAACCCAGCGUUCUUUUUUAAGAUACGAGAGGACCAGAGUUUAUCUGACAUAACCUUGGCCUGAUUCACCAAAUAUAAUCAAAGCAAAGAGGUUCAACUGCAAGUAUAAUUUGUCUGACCAAGUAAAGGUGGGGCAAAUAUUCUUGUCAGCAGCUCAAAUCUUUAGGGAACACCUUGAGUAUGGCUCAUUUGGGCCAAAGCAAGCUCAGAUGCAAAAGGAAAUAUUCAACCCAAGAUAAAACUUGACUAAUUUAUGUCAGCCCAAGCUUGAGGACUAUAAUGCCCAACCGGGGUCUAGCCUACCCCCUUACAGCUUCUUUUAGCAUUUCUUUUAAACAAAAACUUACCUUUCCAGUGAAAAAAAAGAGUAAGCUCUUCGCUCGCCCAUAGGAUCAUUCAAAAUGUAAAUAAAAAACUUGAGGUCGUCACAAAUGCAACUUGUAAAAAUAUAAUAAUGCGGGUGUAAGAAUUACCAAAAGACUGAUGAAUGUCUCACCACCUUCCUCCCGUAUUUCAAAGCAGCCCCUUCUUGGCUAUUUCCAGAAAGAAAAUAAAGGAAAAAGUCAGAUGAUUAUUUAUGCUGAUGAUGCCUUGAUCCAUUAAUUAUUGAUUGAAAACUACUGAAAUACCAAACACUUUAGUCCUAGAGAUUUAUUUGCUAUUUUCCUAGUGACAAAAGGUUUUGUAUGAUUCUAAUCUGCGCCCUAAUGCCUUGUACAUUAGCUUCCAAAUAGUUUGAAUACUUAUAACUUCUAAACUAAAACUUCUUUCCUAUAGUUGAAUAACAGGUCUACAAAGCAAUUAUGCAUAAAUACCAAAUUCGGUAUAUCCCCUUAUCUGGUUAUUCAAGUGAAAGAUUAUCAAACUUAAGCCAAUUUCUAUUAGGGUCCAUUUGAGAAGAGUAGUUUCACAUUUAGGGAUAUAGUGAAACCCCUAUAGUUGGACUAUUAAAAUGCAAACCUAUAUUUGAAUUAGAGAAAAAGAAGAAACGUAUGGAUUUCAAAUGAUUCCUUGUAUGCAGUCAUUUCAAAUACACUAUGUCUAGUGCUUUACAGGUUUUCUACUAAUUCAGUCUUAUUGUAAUAUCCAAACGCUUUCUUUUAAAUCAUUUCAUCUAAAACUCAAAUUCAUGGACAAAAUUAAUAUCCUUCAACAAGUAUACCUUAUCAGGGUUUAUGAGAACUGUGAUACCAGGAACGCCUUUCUCUAAACCACCUUUGACCUGAUUAGCUCUUGUCUUGAAUGAAUUGCAUUGCUUGCUACAGAAAAGAAGCAAACACUAGUUAAAAAGAACAAUAAGAUGAAACUGCAAGUAGCAAAAACCAAAUACUAACUGAAAAAGGCAAAAGCAAACCCAAUAUGGGCUAUGCGGAAAAGGAAACGUACAAUGGUUCCCUACUUUCAGAGAGGCUAUUUUGCCAACUGGAGCAUGUAAACAUAGUCACUUGGAGUAAAUAUUGUUGUGCCUGAUGGACACCUCAACAAAAACUGAGGACCAACUAUCUACAAAAUAUUCCUCAUACUCAUUAAAACAGAAAAGGCAGCGGACUGCACAAGACACUCGCUAAUGUGGGGUUUGGGAACGACAUGACAUACACAGCCAUACCUCUGUUUCUGGAAGCAAAGGUCCAUGAAAUUGUAUCCACCAAUGAAACUACUCAAAAAAUAAAAAAUAAAAAAGAAGAAACAUUCUAAGUUCUGAUUCAUAACUAUAUUUACUUAUUUCACAAGCUGGUAGAAUCAAAGGCUCUCUUAAAAGAAUGAAUUUUAGUUGGACCAACGAAGAAGUAUUUACCACAGACGCAACAAAUGUGCACUGUUUAAUGGUCAAGAAGAAUCUUGAUUCCAAAACCAGUUCCUGCUUUCUAAAUGCCAAGUUAAACAUGAAGCAGAGAAGGGGCCAAACACCUCAGCUUUACAUUUAAACCACAGACAGAACCCCUUAAAUCAUUGGCUUUUAUCUAGGGGCCAAACACCUUAAAUCAUUAUGUAAAUAAUGAAACCAUGACAUAGAAAAUGAAUAAAAAUACCAAACAAAAAUUGUUGUGAAUCAAGUUUUUUAACUCCUAUUUUUCUGUAGGUACCAUGAGGCUCACAUAUCAUUUUCCUUUUCUUCCAUUCUUUCUCACACAGCCACAUUCGUAAAGAGGAAAGAAAGAAAGACAAAGCGACAACCAUUACCCAACCAAAUUAAGCCAAAAUCAUUGUUCCUUCCUUUCUUCAAAAGAAGAAGGACAGAAAGAAAAAAAAAAGAGACCGAAACUGACUUAAUUUUCGUUUCAUCUUUCCUUGGUAACCAAACAGAAGAACAAGACAAAUCAAACUACAAAUUACCACUACGUAAUACAGCGCUUACGAUUCCAAUUUCCUGAUUGUCAUAAGUUUUCUGAGGAAAUAGCUAUAACUUAUAAUAAAACCCCCAAAAAUAAAAGCAUACUCAAGAAACCCUAGUGUUCUGAUAAAUUGAAAAAGAAAGAAAAUAGCAAAAUCUCAAAGCGAAAACCAUGGUAUGAACAAAAAAUGAAUAAGUAAAUAGAUUUUUUUAAAAUAAAUAAAACAAGAAGCGUAAUAAGAAAUUAAAUUUUCUUGCAUAUUCCGAAAAUUUCUCAGUAACCAAAAAAGGCAAAACGAAGAAGAGGAAACGAAUACAGAGGGAUAAAAUUGCCUCACCAGUGCUCAAUCACAAUGGUCUUCUUGUUUGACCCCUCACCAUCAUUCUCCUCAGCUUCGUCUCCUUCGACCUCAUCUUUCUCGCCCUCAGUCUCAGCCCCCUCCGUUUCCUCACCAUCAUUCUCCUCAGCUUCGUCUCCUUCGACCUCCUCUUUCUCGCCCUCGGCCUCAGCCCCCUCCUCGCUCUCUUCGGCCUUCUCCUUCUCUUCCUCCACAUCUUCCCCUUCCGCUUCCGCUUCGUCUUUCUCUUCCUCUUCCGCCUUCUCUUUCUUCGGCUCCUUCUUCUUCUGAGCUCCCUUGGCCUUCUUCCGCGCCGGAAACUCGGGACGUGACUCAACCGGGUUUGCACUCGAAGCUUCCCGAGUCAAGCUCCGAGUCACUCGCCUAGUGGAGCUGUGAGUCACCACCGUGGUCGUCACCGUGGUCACCUCGGCCGGCUCCUCUUUCUGAUUCUUGCGUUUCCUCGGCGCCAUUGUCACAAAAUCCACAAACCCUAACAGACUAGCAGAGCUCGGAGAGAGAGAGAGAGAGAGAGAGAGAGAGAGAGAGUUGCGUUUAGCUUCUCUCACAAGCAAAGGCAACGAAACGGAAAACUGACUCGCUCCGGCUGAGUGUGGUGUGGUUUUUGUACCUGACAGAUGGCUCGCAGAUAAUUUUUCAUUUUCCCGCGCUUUCGCUGAUCGCGUAUUUGAACAGACGGCUACGAUUUGCUCAUAGGGUAGUGAAUGACUGCAGGCCGUCGAUGGAUGAGCGAGUACGGUGUAGCAGUGAUCUGUGACUCCUGAUGGGAAAUGAAAAGGCUUUUUGGGUGUCGAACCACGUCCACACAAUUUCUCUCUCUUAUGCGGACACGCUCAUCAAGACAUAAAAUAGUUUUUUUAUUUCUUUCAGAUUGAUGUAUAUAUAUCAAUAUAAAAAAUAUAUUUUUUAUUGUUUUUUUAUUUAUAAUUCUUUUGUAAGAAGUAGUUGGAGUUUUAAAAAUUUAUAUCUUAAAUCCAACUUUAUACUCUCUUGUGUAAUUAAGAAAAAAAGGUUCUCAUCUUACUAAAUGACAAAAGGAUGAAUUUCAUGCUUUUCUAAAAUUAAUUGAGAGGAUUGAUUUGGUGUCAUUUGCUAAUUUAGCUUUUGAGUACUACUAGUGACGUCAUCUUUGUUUACCAAGUUUCGCGUGUUUGAUUGAUUCAAAUUUGAGUUUAUUUUAUGUGUUAUUAUAUAUUUGGAGAUUUUUUUUUUAUAUUAAAGAUUGGUUACAUACUUCUAAUAUAGGUUGUUAGAUCGUAUUCAUUAAUCUCUUAAAUACAAUUCAACGACCGAAAUUAAAAAUAUUAAAAAAAUUGCAAUCAAUAUCCAUAAGAUAAGUUUAGAUCUGAGGAGAGAGAAAUGACUCCUAGUAGCUCCCUAUAAUUUAAUGCUGAUAUAUUUAAUGAGUAUUUCAAAUAUUUAAUUAUUAUUUAUUAUUUAUUAUAUUUUUUUAAUAGAGAUUGACCAAUUAAAAAAGAGUUAUAGCAUUUAUGACUCCCUAACUAGGGAGCAUGAUUGGAGUUUAAAUUUUAUAAAGAGCUCCUAAAAUAACUUUUAUAUGUUUUUAGCUAAAAUUUAACUAAAAAAUAGAGAGCAUGAUUGUGGAUGCUCUUACUAUUCACAUGAAUAGUACUUGCCUUGUUAAUUUUUUUGUAGUUUUCCACCUAUUGCCAUGGCAAACUAAGGGCAAUCACUAUUCACAUGAGAUAUGCAGAGAUGAAUUUGUAUAGAGUUUUGGUGUGUGAAGUGAAGAAUAUGGCUAGGUAUUUAGAAAUAAAUAAAAAAUUCUGAAUUUUUUUGUAUAAAAAUUUCGUUGCUAACGUCAUCACAGCUCUUAAGCAACAGCUCAGGUUAUUCUUGCUUUCAAGUACUGACUUGGUGGAGCCCACGCCUUGCCUGGGCUGUUUUGUACAGUUGGAGUGCAUUUCUUGGCCUAGGGAGCCUAUUGCCCAGACUAAGGCCUCCCAGUGGAAAUGCUCUUAGAGUUUAUGUUGGUUUUGUUAUUCGAGACCAUAGGGAUAUGCUAAGGUUGUAGGUUUAUUUUCUUUAGGUUUGAAGUUUUAAUUUAGUGAAGUAAAUGGUUUGAAGUAUGAGUUGUAUGGUAGUAGGAAUGUAGGCAUCCUUGUUGUAAUUAUAUUCAUGGCUUAAAAACACAAAAAAGCAAGAAGAAUCACUAUUUAGUAGUUUGAUGUGCUUGAGAGCUUAGUAUGUAGAGAGAGACUUUCAUGCAACGAGAAUAACACUUUUUGCUAUUCUGGUCAAUAGUGCAAUGACAUGCAUGAUAACUUUUUCACGUGUCAUUGCAUUAUUGGCAAAAAAUAGCAAAAUAGUGCUAUCUUCAUUACAAUAAAGUUUUUUUGCUAGUAUGUAACUAGGAAGAGGAGCCAAACAGAGCCAAAAAGCGUUCUAAUAGCAUUCACAAUGGACUCCUUAAACUACCUCCUAAAAUAAGGAAACUUCUAGGAGCUCAUAAAUAUGAAGAGAGAUGAAGGACUCAUAGUGGUUCCCUGUAGUUUAAUACUAUUUUAUUUUAUGAGUAUUUUAAACCUUAAUUAAUGUUAAUGAUUUAUAUAUAUAUUUUUUUUAUAGAACUUGGCCAAUUAAAAAAGAGUUAUAGUAUUUAUGACUUCUUAAACUAGAGAGUAUGAUUGGAGUUAAAAUUUUAUAGAGAGCUCCUAAAAUAAAUUCUAAUAUUUUUAAUUAAAUUUUAACUAAAAAAUAAAGAGCAUGAUUACAGAUGCUCUAAAAUUAAGGGUAGUAAUUUUCCACUUACACUCUAUUUUAUUUUUAUAAUAAUUUUUACUAUAACAAGAAAGAAAAUGUAGAACAAAAGAGGAGUGGUAAAAGCUCGGAACGCUUCGACCAAAACAAAAACAGAAAAAAGCUCGGAACGCUGACCAAUUAGAUAAGGCAAAGAAAUAAAGUUUUCAUACGUGGCGUCAUCUACACCAAUAGCCUAAACCAAAGCGGUCCCGCCUUUGAUUUGCAUUGCCUACGUGGCACCACUUCACCUGUAAUCAGAUAACUGCAAUCGCUUAGCAGAUUUUCACAAUCUGGUCGAAGCCCCGCCUUUCCUCCAUGGCUGCUGCAUUAACCUCUUCAUUAGCUUUGUCACCCUCCACAUUCAGAGGAGGCCCUGAGCCCUCGAAACCCCAAUUCCUCAAUUUUUGCUCAAAACCCACAAAUUUGGCUUUUGCCAUUUUACCUUACACUCGUUGUCGUCGGCACAAAACGUUGAGGAUAUUGGCCUCUGUUUCAGUCUCCAACCCCCAAGUGCUGACCGGUCCCGAAGAGCUCUCUGCGUCUAUUCUUUCCAAGGUAUGGCUUUUAUCAAUCCCAUGUUUUAGUUUUUUGGUUUUUCAAUUCUGGGUUCGUGAUUUGUUGUACAGUAGCUGAGAAAAUGUGAUUUUUUUAUCCAUAUUAGUUUCACUGUUGCCUUGUUGGAAAAUUAAUAGGCUUAUGUUAAUGGAUUUAGUACUGUAUGAAGUAUCGUAUGUGCAGUUUGAUUUGUGGUUUAUGCCAAGUCUUUUUAUUUAUUUUAUAUUUGACUCAUGAAAUAUGACUUAUGAUCUGAAUCAGGUGACACAUUCUGAUAGAGGAGUUUUGCUGAAAAAGGAAGAACAAGAAGAGGUAGCUGAAGUGGCUGAGAAAUUGCAGAGCUUUUGCGUUAGUGAACCAGUGAAAUGCCCUCUUAUUUUCGGAGGUAAAUCCCAUUAAGGUGUGGACUUUGUUUCUGGAGAUGCAUAUUACAGCUUAACUUUUGGGCUGAAAUAUCUUCUUUUCUGGCAUUGUGGCCAAAACUCAAAACUCUCAGUUCAAAAUUAGUCUCGACUUCAAAGUUAAAAGAAGUUAAAAGUUGAAGAACAAGCAUCCAUAUGACAUAUGAUUUUCAACUUUAUCCAGGUGUUGAAAACAACAAUGACAAUUACCACAACUGCCUUGGCAUUUGUUUUUGAAAAUUAGCAUGAGCAACUGUUUGGCUCUGUGUAACGUAUUUGAUAAUCUGCUCAUUACUAUUACAUGGUAUGCAUUUCUUUGUUGUUGUUGGUCAUAUGAUGAUUUAAUCUAGUGCUUUCACAGAUUGGGAUGUGGUGUACUGUUCAGUGCCGACAUCACCCGGGGGUGGCUACAGAAGUACGUUAGGCCGCCUUGUUUUUAAAACGAAGGAGAUGAUUCAAGUUAUUGAAGCUCCUGACAUUGUCAAAAACAAAGUCUCCUUCUCUGCUUUUGGGUUCUUGGAUGGAGAAGUCUCUUUAACAGGUAGGCUGCUAAGGCUAAGAUAAUACCGAUGUUUAUUUUUUUCCUGAUUAUACGCUUUGCUUUGUAGUUUGAACUUUAAACACCAUUCUCAUUUUCUGGUCUGGUCAGUGAUGGUUGUGUUAGCAACAAAGCUCCUUUUAUUGAACAUUGUAUGAAAUCCAAUCUGUUGUUGUAAGCUUCUGUUAUUCUUUACCUCACAUACCUACCUUUGACAACAACAAAAUCACAUUAUCAAGUUUCAUAUGCUAAUCUUUUCAUAAGCUUGUUCCCUUUUCUACUUGAUUGAGUGUUCUCAACUUCUCAUCUCUGCACGCACGAGCAGGAAAGUUGAAGGCUUUAGACGAUAAAUGGAUCCAAGUUAUAUUUGAGCCACCAGAACUGAAGGUUGGUGCAUUGGAGUUCCGAUACGGCGGUGAAAGCGAGGUUAAACUCCAGAUCACAUACAUAGAUGACAAGGUCAGGUUGGGGAAGGGCUCUAAAGGUUCACUAUUUGUUUUCCAAAGACGUGGUAAUUCCACUUGAAAUGGUUAUUGUGAGACAAGAACCGUUUUCCAUGAAAAAUGUAACGCUUAAUGCUGCAAACAAAUGUGUGAUAUCUCAAUGCUAUUAUUGUACAUCUGAAGCUACUUUGAUACGACUGAACAUGUUAGAUCAACGGAAAGUUGGGCCUUAGAUUUCGAAAGCUACAAUCAACAUGAUCGCGAACACACUAAAACAUGAAAAUUUGCUUGAUCUAAAACAAGUGAGAAGUGUUGCAGCAGACAAAGGAAAAGUAGACAAUCUUCUCUAUAAAAAAUGUAGUAACACAAAAAGGUUUCUUGAGGUCCAAACAAUCAAAAUGCAAUUCCAAAAUUCCAAAUUGACAAAAAAGAAGAAAGGGAAUGUUGUUAGCCAGGGCCUACUUUGGGAAUGUCAUGAUGCUCACUAAGAUUUGCCAGAUAGUGGUUAAAUUCCUGAACCCGAUCGCGAUGUGAUUUUUUGGCCAUCUUGGCAAGCUUUUUCAGUUGAAUCCUCUCUGUCUGUUGGAGGUACCGCCUCUCCGCGGGUGUCAGAUGAUCAUCAUAAGCCCCAGCCUGUCCUCUGCCACCGUCAUUCUCAGUAUCAUCCAUCACUGCUUCUCCACCUAUCACCCUCCAAAACAAAAAAUUGAUUUCUCCAUUAGCGAAACAAAAAUCACAACCUCCAAACAAAAAAGAUCAAAACUUUACCACAAAAUUGGAAAAGGGUUCAUUCAUAUUUGUAAAUUUUAAUCACCACCUACCAAUCCCGUCUUCCACGGGACCAUAAAUUCAAAAAAAACACCCAAAUAAAUAAAUAUAAAUAAAAAUUUCAAGAAUAUAAUAUCAGAUUACAUGCAAUGCAACGCAGAAAAUAAGAAUUUGAGUAGAAUUAGAAAAGGAGGGAAGGGCAUCAACUACCCUUGUGAGGCUUGAGACAAUUGGUGAUAAUAAUUGCUGCGUUUCUUCUUAUUUUUCUUUGAAACCCCACCUCCUUUCACGGCCAAGGGUUUUCCUUUCAGCUUCAGCUUCCCAACAACAACUACGUUAUCGAAAGCAGACAUCUUUACUGGAAGAGAUUACGCGAGAGAAUGAGAAUUGAUCGUCGAACCCUUCAAUUCUGUGAUUAUGGCAAAUAUAUAAUAUGCAGGGACGUAGGUUCUAGAAACUCCUCAAACUCUCUCCUCUUCCCCAACGGACAUGCACGCACAUUGAGUUAUGGGCCUACAUCAAUGGGUUAUGGGCUUCAAUUCCAAAUACAAGUCCAACCCAGAGUCUGUCCCCUGCUCUAACCCAACGUCUCAUCAUUUUAGAAGCACGUUCUAUGAGGCUAGAAAUUUUUAUGGGUUUUAUUAGAAGCUUUGCUUCUGCUGUUGAACUCUCGGCGGUUUCACUCAGGGCCGUGAAAAGCCGUCGCUUAACGCUAAUUGAGAGAGAGAGAGAGAGAGAGAGAGAGAUUAAUAUCAGUAUUCGAGUUAUGUUUCUUUGUUGAACUGGGCACUGCCCAAUUGGCUCCUUCGAACUUAAGGUUGGUAUUUGUUCUUAGGAUAAUCUGGUUUUUAUCAUUUCCCCAUAUUGUCUCAUUGUUAACUUGCUGCAAAGUUUGGUUUGCCAUAUCAUUUGCUAGAUUUUGGCAACCAAUUAUGUAGAACAUUUUUGCAUCAAGGGCCCAUGAUUUUAUCUUUUCUGUGUCUUCCAUCGAACUAUAAGCAAGAGUAAUUUUGUUCGUUUUAUCUAUUUUUUUUCUCCCUUGCCAAACAUGAAACAUAUGAAACUAGUUCAUAUCGAAAUUUCCUAUUGUUCAGAGCUUUUCCUACGAAAUAAGCAAAGAGUAAUUAUGGCCAAUAAUCUCACCAAAACCAUGUGCCUGCAUUUUGUGUAUUAUGAAAUGAGAAGAAUGGCAAUGCUCACAUUUUUCAGUGAGGAAUAGGAUGUCACCAGAGUGGUUUUACAUUUGCCUAAAAAUAUUCAAUACACAAAGCCUACAACAUCAUAAAUCACCGUUCACAUUCUUGUUUUGUCUUUUUCAGGGUAAAUUUGGUCCAAAUUUGGAGCUAGAAGUACCAUUUUUUUUUGGUCUUUCUUCCCUUCUAAAUGGUUGUCAUGCUUAGUGCCCGUCUUCCCACCAUUAAUUAUGCUCUUCCUUCAGGUUACUGUUAUCUCAGAACCUUAGCAGCCCUAUUAUAUUCUUCAUUAUCUCAUCUCAAGUUUGUCAUUUUAUGAACUUGAUUUCGUUUACAAUUUUCAGGUAGAGAUUGUAAGUACACAGGUCAAGCAGUGGUAAACUAUCUCCACCUCAAUUAAUAUCCUUUGUUUUUAAUGUAUAUAUUUCAAAUAUUUCUUUAUUCAUACCGAAUCAGUGAUUGAUACUACAUCUGCCGUCGUUGGAUUUAUUACAUUGCGGAACAGUAAGUUUUAUCUCUGGAACGAAAACUAUAUUUAUAUGAUUUAUGAGUUCAACUUUGUUACCCGACAACCCAUCCAUUGUUUCAGUUUGCUCAAUGAUCUUGAUUUUGUUGGCCCUUUUUUGAGUAAUUUGCGUAUCUGUUUCAAUUGAAAUCCACCCAUCAUGUUAGCUAUGAAGUAUCAGUUUGCUCAGUGAAUUUGAUUUUGUCGUUCUUUUGAGCAUUUGGCUACUGUGUGUUGCAUCAACAGAUCAUUACACCUACUGGACCUAGAACUAGUAGGUUCUCAUUCUGAUUAAAUGUGAUAUUGAUUCUGGGCAGAGAGCAUUCCCUAUACGAAUAAUAUCAGUAGGGAAAAAGAGAUCACAAGGUGUACAACUCGUAGUGGAUGAGUACAUUGAAAAGCUUAAGCUCUACUGUAGUGUUGAAGAUGCUCACAUACGGAACAAUCCUAAAAAUGCACGGUACUCUCAUCUUUUUUCAUCUAAAUCAUCACAAUCUUUGUAGUUAAUGUGAAUAUAUAUAUAUAUAUAUAUAUCUUUAUCUUGGAUAUGCAUAGACCUCUUUCCUGCAAACUGGACAUUAAUAAUGUGAGAAAGUUCACCCAAAAAAAAAAAAAAAAAAACCAAAAUUGUGAGAAAAUUAUUGACAUUGGACGCAUGGAGGAAACAUUCGUAUUGUGGUUUCAUCAGAUCAUUUCUUUUUGUAGAGCUUAUAUUAGUUUUCUUGUACAUUGUAGUGAUUGGAGAGCUCAGGUUGAUCAUGAAGACAGUGCUGUUAUGGAUCUUAUCACGUCUGACGAUUGGGUACAGUCUGAGCAUCAUAUGGACUCAAUCUUAAUUGGAUGAAUAACUUCUCGCAAUAGUAGGAGAAUUAGUCUUGCCUUUACAUAAAAAAAUUUGCUCUGGAUACCUUUUCUUUGUAAUGUUCUGCUAUUACCCUUGAUCUGCUCAUCUACCGAGCCUGAACCGACUCAAUCUCUACUACCCUUUCAGCACAUGUUUUUAAAUGCCCUCGUCAGGCUUGAUUUUUCUUACAUAUAGGAUUUCCAUGAAAUAAAAGAGGUUCCGAUUCUUAUGGAUUUAACCAUUAUUAUCAUGCUGAAGGCUAAAUUUCUUUUAUUCUAAAUCCAUUGUAGAAAUGACUUCCUUUCUCAGAUGCUCUGGAAAGGGAAAGUGGUGCCAUUCCAUUUUGGUGGAAUUCAUCAAAGCUGUUAUAAACUAUAUGCUAAAAGGGUUAUACUUGUUUCUACAUUGUCACUUUGUAAUCUUGUGCUCAUAGGUUGUGCUGUUGGAUGAGCGUGGGAAAGACAUAGGGUCCGAGCAGAUGGCUGAGUUGGUGGGGGAUGCUGGAAAUACAGUAUGAAUGACCUCUCGUUUUAGUGAUUUUCAAGAAUGAUAGUGUGCAUGCUUGAAAUUCAUCCAUUCUUAAUAUAUGUUGUUUGUAUGUAUGUUGAGCUGGCAGAGGAAAGUUAAGCACGAAAAUUCAAGAACUUUUUACCAAUAACACUAUUGUUCCUUUGUCUGUAGGGAGCUUCAAGACUAUCAUUCUGCAUUGGUGGACCGUAUGGUCAUGGAAAACGAUUGCGAGAGCGUGCUGAUGUUUCUGUCAAGCUGUCUUCUAUGGUAUUAAACCAUCAAAUUGCAAUAGUUGUGCUCGUAGAACAACUCUAUAGGUAGGAGUACGUUGAUCUGCUGACUUCUAAAUCAUGCGGUUCCCAAUUACUGAAAUGCUGACUUCUGAAAAGUAUUCAAGGAAAUCAUUUCCAGCUUAAAGCAAAUAUUAAGGAUAAAUUAUAUUAAAUAAGUUAAGGAAUGCUUGAAUUUUAAAUAAGAUAAUGUCAGAUCACGCUGAAUGAGUAGAUAAUCUAUGUUUAUCAAUUUACUUCAGGUCGUGGACUAUUCUGAAAGGACAGAACUAUCAUCGUUAGCCUUUCGUUUCCUGUUCUGAACAAUGCUAACAGGUAUUCCCGUUCUUCAUUCCAGAUGAUUACCCUGUCUGCCUUGCUUGAGUUAAUUUUGAGUGACUUGGUUCAACUGAUGUAGGGCAUCGGCAACAUAUACAUCAGAGUAAGAGUAACACACUGGACUGACAGGGUUGCUGGUGGCUUAAACGUGUAUUUGGGUUUGUGGAACUAGAUUGUUCUAUAGUUCUGAAAUUCAUACAUUAUUUUUCUUACUCUCAGUAAUGUAGUGGAUUAAACCUCAAUGAGAAAGAAAUUACAGGUAUUAAAGGAGUUUCAUGAUAGAUCGUUUCUGUGAACCUUUAGCCUCACAAUGGCAAAGUUUUCUAUUUUAAUCCAACACAUCACUAGUGAUCAGUCAUGUUCAAAUUAUAGGAAACAGAGUGUAUUAUACGAAUCUUGAUACCUUGAUUUAUUAUUAGUUUUUUUGUUAGAUAUGCUUUAAUUUUUAUCAAAAUCGUUUACAAUUUUUUCACAACGGUAAAAUUUGGAUAAUAAAAGGGUGGAAAUAGCAGGUCUUUGUUCAACUCUAUUUAUUUAACCAAAAAAAUAAGGUUUUGACAACAAUAAAGAUGAAACUACCGCCAAUAAUAACGGACCUAACGGUAGGUUUGAAGGCAAAUCAGUGUCCUUCCCUCCACUGGCUUACAAACCGCCACGUUACAAAUUCAAACUCUCUGCCACGUGUCAGCAACCCAACAGCCUAAAACUCUCUCUCUCUCUUUCCCUCGAUCUCACAACAUGGCAUGGCUGUUCUUCACUCCUCACUCGCUCCCUACCGUCUGAAAAAGCUGAUCAUCCUCCCAUUCCCAUAUCCAAAACCCACAAUUUCAACCAAAAGACUCAAUCUUUUCCAAGCAAUGAGUUCCAGCUCCAAAUCCCAAUCCUCUGCCCCGGUCUACAAGGUUCCGGGUUUGGACCCGGAGGAUAUGGACCGGGUUGCGGACCAAACCUUUCAGAGGUACUCGGCCUCCCCUGUCAAGAGAAACGGCAAAGGUGUGGCUGUCGUUUGGUUCAGAAACGACCUCAGAGUGCUGGACAAUGAGGCUCUUUACAAGGCUUGGAUUUCGUCCCAGGAGGUUUUGGGUGUGUAUUGCGUUGAUCCCAGGCUUUUUGGCUCUACCCAUUACUUUGGUUUUCCCAAAACUGGAGGUACCAAUUUUAUUUUAUUAAAAGAAUUUCAAAUUUUUUAUCCUCCUAGUUGAAGUUUUUGGACUUUUGGCUUGUUUUCUAUUACCUUGGGCUGUGAAAUGUUUGGAAUUUUGUUCUCAUUUUGGCUUGUGCUGCUGUGUUUAAAAUCUCCUUGUAACAUAGAAUGAUGCAGAAUUGAAAUGUCAUACAAUUUUGUUGUUUGGCAGCGUUGAGAGCGCAAUUUCUCAUUGAGUGCUUGGCUGACUUGAAGAAAAAUUUAAUGAAGCGGGGUCUUAACCUGCUCAUUCAACAUGGGAAGCCUGAGGAGAUUCUCCCUUCUCUUGCAGAGGUUUUUGGAGCCCACACAGUUAAGUGAUUUCCACACUAUUUGAUUGGUAGAAUGAGUUUGUUAUGUUCUUUUCAACUUAUUAAAGCAGCAGAAUGUUGGUAUGUAAUCUAAUCUACAUAGGUAUAUGCCCAAAAAGAAACUUGCAGUGAGGAGCUAAAUGUUGAAAGAUUGGUCAGAAAAGGUCUGCAACGAGUGGUUUUACCAUUGUCUUCAGCGCAAUCCUCUGGGCCUAGUUCUACAAACAAUCCUAAGCUACAACUUUUAUGGGGUACCACUAUGUACCACAUAGAUGACCUCCCAUUCGACACCCUCAGCUUACCGGAUGUGUAUACGCAGUUUCGUAAGGCAUGUAGAUUUCUUUCAAGUUCAUUUUACUUCAAAUCUAUAUAACUGGGGGAGGUUUUCUCUGUUAGCUGUGUUUAUUGAUGAUACCAAAAACUUGCAGUCAAUUGAAGCGAAAUGCACAGUUCGUGGCUGCAUCAAACUUCCAGCAUUUCUUGGGCCACCACCCAGCAUUGGGGACUGGGGAUGUGUUCCUUCAUUAGAUCAGUUCGGACUUCAAUCUCCAAAUGUAGGUUAUUAUAUCAUACAUACGAGUAUACAGGCACAUAUUUCAUACUUUGUCUAUUAAGAAAUUUAAGAAGUUCCUUUUACAUACUCUGGAUGCAGGAAAGUAAAGGAAUGAAGUUUGUGGGGGGUGAAAGUGCAGCCUUGGGCAGAGUAAACGAGUAUUUCUGGAAGAAGGCAAGAGGAAUCUUUAUGUUAUAUAUGUGUGUGUGUAUAUAUAUAUAUAUUGUGAUGUUGAAAAUGUCCAAUAGAGGAAAAUGGCUUUUUAUUUGAACACAUUUUAUAAUAUUCAAAGGAACAGUGUUAAUAGAGUAAUUUAGUUAUCUGACUUAUUCUCAUGUGUUUCAUGUGUAGGAUUUUUUAAGGAUAUAUAAACACACCAGAAAUGGGAUGUUAGGACCUGAUUAUUCGACAAAAUUUUCUCCAUGGCUUGCUUCAGGAAGCCUUUCUCCUCGUUUCAUUGGUGAAGAGGUUGAAAUUCUUGGUUAUUAUGUUCCUUUCUAUAUAUGACUACAUGACAUCGAGAAAACUGACACUAAUUUUGGCAAUUGAAUCCUUAAGGUAAAGAGGUAUGAAAAAGAAAGGCAAGCAAAUGAUUCAACAUACUGGUAAUUCUCUCUCUCUCUCUCUCAGUUGCAUGAACUAGAAUGAAACUUUUGGAGGACAAAAUACUGUCAAUAUAUAAUUUCUUUGUUGGAACAAAGGUGAUAUAGAUCCCCCAGGUAACACAACAGAAACCAUUCUUCAAGUAGUGUUGAACUUGUAUUUUGUCUUUUCCGUUUAUCUAUGUUCAACACAACAGGGUGUCGUUCGAAUUGAUAUGGAGGGAUUACUUCAGGUUUCUAUCAGCAAAAUAUGGGAAUUCCCUUUUCCAUUUAGGUAAUUUAGUUGAUUGCUUUAAUACAAUCAUGUCAAAGUAUUUAAAAAAAGGCCUAAGAAAAGAAGUAAAAUUAUGUUAACUAAACAGUUCGUUGCUGCGCAGCACAUGCGAGCCACUUAGUUUAACAUAUCAUUGUAGAGAUAUCAAUUCUCUCUACUUCUCUUUCUUAGCAGUCAUGUCUUUUUUUGGCCUUUUUGAAGGUGGCCCAAGAAAUGUGGAGCAUAGAUGGAGCCAAGACAAGAUUUUAUUUGAAUCCUGGAGAGAUGGUCGUACAGGGUACAUUGCUUUGCACAAGAGCUAGAUGAUGAAUAUUAUAUCUCCAUAAUCUUUAUGAAAAACAAAACGGAAAAUCUCUCUCUCUCUCUCUCUCUCUCUCUCUCUCUCUCUCUCAAUAUUAGUGUUUUGUAAUUGCUCUGCUAAUGAUAUACAGAGCUUGUUAAACCUCUAGGUACCCUCUAAUAGACGCCAACAUGAAAGAGCUAUCAACCACGGGAUUCAUGUCGAAUCGGGGAAGGCAGGUAAUUCCAAAGUAAACUGUCACUAUGAAUGGUAUAUGGUAUAUUUAUGCAUUGCUACCAUAAAACUUCUUGUUUUAACCUUUAAUGUUAUUAUUCUGGGAAAAUUGGGCAAAGUCUUGAAAAUAAUCAAUACUUCAUUUAUUAUUCUACAGAUUGUAUGUUCCUUUCUAGUUCGUGAUAUGGGUAUUGACUGGCGAAUGGGAGCUGAAUGGUUUGAGACUUGCCUUCUGGAUUAUGACCCUUGUUCCAAUUAUGGGAAUUGGACCUAUGGAGCAGGUGGUUUCAAAUUCAUCAUUUUAUUUACUUCCAUGCAUGCAUGUUUCUGUUAAAAGUAUUGGCAUGCCUCUCUCUUAACUUUCUGUGUUGGGUAAACACUCCUGGCAGAGGAUGAUCAUAAAAUUAUAAAGAACCAAGGUCUCCUUUAUAAUUGUAGCCACAUGCUUUAGGAUUGUAAUUACUUAACUAUUUUGGUUUAAUACUAAUCAACAUUUUAUCAUUUGUUCAUCCUGUUAAGGAGUUGGAAAUGACCCCAGAGAAGAUCGUUACUUCAGUAUUCCGAAACAAGUGAGUACACAAUACGUUGCCUUGUUAUAUUUUCUUAAUAUGAGACCUGAUUUCGAAUGACAGGAGUGCAGAGUUUUUCACAAAUUUUUCGAUGAAUUAUGUUUGGAGCUACAACAGCUUUAUAAACACUUUCUGUACCUAAGAUGCUCUUAUAUUUUUUCAGGCGCGGACAUAUGACCCCGAAGGCGAGUAUGUUGCAUAUUGGCUGCCUCAACUAGAAUCACUUACAAAAGAAGAAAGAAACUUUCCUGGAAGGGCAUAUAUGAAGCAGGUUGUGCCUCUCAAGUUUGGAAAUACCAGUAGGCACCAAAACCAGGACAAGGCCUUGGCUGCUAGAGGCACCAAUUUUGGAGGAAGACAAACAAAAGGUCAAAGGAGAUAAAUCUGGGUUGAAACUUGAAAGGAUUUUACUAUACAUCUUUAUCCUUCUCAAAGUAUGUGCUGAAAAUGAGAUGCAAAUAUUUUGUUACUAUUAACCUUCAAAUGUGUAUGCCCCCACUUUUCACUUGCCACCGUUGUUUGUUUAACUUGAUUUCAUUCGGACCUAAUUCGAAACUUUCAUUGACCUAAUUAGGAAUUUAAACUUGUUUGAGUGGCCGGAAGAAAACAUGAUUAGUCAGAAUCAUAGAUUAAGAAAUUAACUUGAUCACAUCUGGGUUAAUUUUAUGUAAUCUGAGUUCAAGUUAGAGUGGUUCAAAUUCGUAGUUCGAUUUUGAACUAGGUUUAAUGAUCCGAUGUAAAUUGUAAUCAUUGUUAAUAAUCCGAAUCUAUACUAGAUGUGAUGUAGUGGUACUCUUUUUUCUUGACCAGAUUUUCCUCCAUUUGGGGGUUUUUAAAGGCAAGGUUUUAAUGAAGCCACACUUGUUACAUUACUAAAGUCCAGACUUCUUUUUGUACUCUAAUAUUAUUGUUUCAAUGAAGUUAUCUCACUUUGAUUAUUUAUUAAAAAAAAAAAAAAAAAACCCAAAUCUAUAGCCUAACCCAACUUUAUAUAUGAUUUCGAUGUAAAGGCUUAUAACUAUUUGAUAAAAAGAAAAAAAAAACUUACUAUAGUGGGUAGAAUAUUAAGAUAGCUUAAUAUAUAUAUAUAUAUAUAGCAAAAGGUAGAGAAUGGUAAAACAUUCAAAAUACCAGAAAAUAUCAUUGGUUAAUGCAAGCAUUAAGAAUUGAAAUUAUUAAUUAAAUGAGAAUAAUAUAAUAAAUUCACACUUUUUCAUAUUAAAAAAAUUAAAAUUAAAAGAAAAAUCAAAUAAUUAAUCAUAUUUUUAUGAAACACAACUAUCCUUAUCUCUUUAAUUAUAUAAUAAAUUUAAAUUUUUUUAAAAAAAAGCCUCUCGCAGACGCAUGUGAAGAGGCUAGUAUUACAUUUAUUCAAAAAGAAGAGAGAUAAUAAGAAGCUGGAUUUGGGCCCGACUUCCGAGGCUCAACCCGAUUUGACCCAAAUUACCCUCCGACCCGCCCCUACCUGUGUGCAUUCGGGUUCUUCAAUCUUCAACAGCACAUGAACCAUUUGGAUCUUCCAAAAACUCGCGCCGUCCGGGCUAACCUCGCUCAGGAGAAGACUAAUCCGUACAAAAACCAGUCACAAACACUUAGUUACGGAGUCAAGGAAGAAGAAGAAGAAGAAGAUAGAAGAAAGGGGCUUCUUCUUCUUUUUCAAAAACUUUCAAUUUCUUCACAGAAAGCUCCAAUGGCAGUGAGUUCAAUCCCAUAAAUUGUCAUUUCACAUUUGUUUAUAUCGUCGAUUGUUCAUCUGUUUGUUUGUUUGGGUUUUUACAGCUCGUAAUCGCAUGUGGAGAAUCGUCGCCGUCCCACAUUACCCUUCUGAGAUGUUUGAAUCGAACCCUCGACUCUAUCAAGCACAACAUUGCUCGCAUCUUUGCUAACAUUUUGUGCUGCCAAGCUAACUCUGAUGAAAGCUCCUGGUAAAUUUUAAUUUUCUAGUCUUACACUUUACUCUUAGUCUGUUGUUUGUUUGCCGAGAAAAACUGCUAGAAAAGAUGAAGAAAAGGCCUAUACAUACUGAUGCAGAUGAUAUUAUUGCUUGUCAUUUUUAGUCUUAUUAUUAAUCUGCUGUUUGUAUCAGUGAAAAUGAGUAAAAAAAGAGGAAAAAGAAAGCUAAAGAAUUAAUACAGAGGACAUUAUUUAUUGCUAGAAACCUCGUAGUGCUCUCAAAUUUCAGCACAUUUGCCUUUUUGUAAGGAAAAAAAGAAGAAGAAGAAGAAGAAGAAGAAGCUAAUAUGCAUUAUCUGCUUUGUAAUAUUCAUAUGCAGGACUUGUCGGGGUAAGGAUCUACUUCCAUCCACUUUUGAGGAUUUCAGGAAAAAAUGGGACGAGAAUUACCAUGUGAGUGCUCAAAAUUGGUUUUCAAAGAAGAAGAAUUCCCGUGGUAAACAAAAUCCACACGCAGUUUGCAAUGUGUUGGAUGCAAUGUUGAGGGAUAGUUUGGAACGUCUCAAAACGAUGAGGUCAGCUUUCAGUCUAUGUACUCUUAGGAUCAAACUCAAAAUCUUAUUUGAUGGAUAGGGGAAAUGCUCAAAUACAGAUACAUAUUUCAUAGUUCAUAACAAGCUUUUGUUAAUUAUGUGAAAAUCUGCAGGGAAGGCAUAUCUAUGGCAAAUAUAGGCUUUUUGGAUUGCACUUUGAAAGCUAAUUACACAGAUUGCAUGGCCAUCAUAAAGGUUUUAUGUAUAGAUGGUAAGUUGGGAACAGCUUUUUGGCUUCGGAGAAAACUGAUAAAGAAAGGCAUUGUUCCUGAUGUCUUGACACACAAUUAUCUAUUAAAUGGACUGUGUAAAACUGGUGACUUGGAGAAGGCAGAUUGGCUUAUUAGAGAGAUGUUAGAAAAUGGCCCCUCUCCCAACUGUGCCACAUACAACACUUUUAUUAAGGGUUAUUGCCGCCUUAAUGAAGUGGAUAAAGCUCUUUGUCUUUUAUCCACGAUGGGUAACAGUGGUAUUAGGCCUAAUAGAAUCACUUGCAACAUAAUUGUACAUGCAUUGUGCAAGAAAGGCCUUUUGGAGAAUGCUAAUAAGCUUCUAGAAGACAUAUUAGAUGAUGAUAAUGACAAGACAACAUCAGAUCUAGUCAUCUCAACUACACUUAUGGAUGGUUAUGUUAAAAAUGGAAAUAUGGUUCAGGCACUUAGUCUUUGGCAUGACAUGGUCCAAAUGAAUACCCAAGUAGAUGCCGUUUCUUAUAAUGUUCUCAUUCAUGGAUUUUGUCUGAGUCAACACAUGGACCUUGCUUAUGGAUACCUUUGUGAAAUGAUCAAAAGAGGAAUACUUCCUAGUGUUUUUACUUUUAAUAUAAUUUUAAGUGGUCUUUGCAAAGGAGGAAAGUUAGAGGAGGCUUGUUACGUCCAUGGACUUAUGUCAAGAAUGGGAGUUACUCCCAAUCAAAUUUCAUACAAAAUACUUGUUCGGGGCCUAUGCAGUAAAGGAGAUGUUGUCAGAGCCAAUGAGUUUCUUCUUCAUAUGCAAGAGAAGUCAGUGGUGCCUGAGAGUCUAAUAUGGAAUACUGUCAUUGAUUGUCAUGGAAGAUAUGGGGAUCUUACUACUGCAUUCUCUGUUAAGGAUCAGAUGCUCGCUUUUGGUGUUAAACCAAAUGUGUAUACUUACAAUGCAUUGAUCCACGCCCAAGUGAAAGGAGGAAAUAUUACUCGUGCUCUUUCUCAUAAAAAGGAAAUGCUUCUGUCUGGUCUUUUUCCUAAUGUGGUCACUUAUAAUUUGUUGAUAGGUGCUGCUUGUAACUUAGGCGACAUUCUUUUCGCAGUGCAGUUAUAUCGUGAAAUGCUGAUAACAGGACUUGAUCCAGAUAUAAUUACUUACACUGAACUAAUCAGAGGGUACUGCAUGAUAGGUAACAUGAAGAAGGCAGAAGAGCUUUUUGAAAAUAUACAGGCAUCUGGUUUACCUAUCGAUCAUGUUCCAUUUAAGGUACUUGUCAAGCAGUACUGCAAAAUUAAGGAGCCUGACAUGGCAUUUGGCAUUUACCAGAAGUGGCUGACGAGGGGGAACUGAGUUAUCCUCUUCUAUAAACUUUGACAUGCAUACUGCAACAUUGUCAUCUUGGCAUGCAAUUCAAAAUUCUUGGAUCUAAAUUCAACAGAAUCCCUUCUGACAGUGGCCGUUUUCUACUUGUGGCAAAUAGGAAUCUUUCAUAUGUUUUUCCUGAAGGUAUGUGUUUCCACAAAUGUUCCAUCACACUUUGAGUGAUACAUUUAUUUUUAGGUAUUUGUGUUAUUAAUUUAGACUUUUUGGUGAUUCUGGUCAUCCAUGGAAAGCUGGACAGAGAAGCUUCUUUGUCUACUUCUAAAGUUCUACUAGACUACUAACAUACAAAGAUGCUCGUCUGGUUUUGUGUUAUGUUAAAACUUGAUAACUUAUAUUAGGAUGGAUAAAAAAAGGUCUUGGUCAAGUCUAAUUCGUGUCAGCUUAGGGCGUCAAGUUUUUGCGUUCAUAUUUUUGUGAGUGAUAUGGAACACUGACUGUUUUGUGCAAAAAUCUUACAGGAUCAAGUGGUUGACAGGUGGCUUAUAGAAUUGACUCUUUUUCUUGAUGGUCGUGGUCCUAAAACUGGGACCAAAUCUGAUAAUUCCUUUCACACGGAAACAGGAUGCUUUAAUAUAUAUUUGUGAAGAUCGGAUGGGCCCAAACAUCCCACAAUUUGGACCAUCAUUAUAAGGAAGAUGUCCUGAUGCUAGGGAGUAUAUUCAGCAGGACUUUGGUCAGAAUGUUUCACCUAUAGUUGUUCAGGUUGGUAUAUUCAGCUGUUUCCUACCCACUUAUAUAUACUUGAAACAUGAGUUUCAGAAUUAUGAUUCAUGAAUUAUUCACUCUAUGGAGUCACAUUCUAACACAUCUUGAGAAUUUGUACAUUUCUAUGAGGUUUCUUUUUGUGUUGAAAAUUUAUAGAUAACAUGACGGGACCUGGACGUGUAAUGAGAACAAAAUCCUUCUUUUGAAUGCUUUACUCUCUCGUGUGCAGGUGUUUAUACCACAUAUACAGCAGAGAUGGAUACAGGAUUGUUUGCCUCUGAGGUUUCAUGUUCUAUUCACCAUGUUUUGACACCAUAUUAUUCGUCCAGUUUGGGAGGAUACAAUAGAUUCUAGGUUCUGGUUUACCUUUCAAAGAAGAAAUCCGCAGGUUGUGAAAUUGACCUGGAAGUAUUGGUUUUUUGUUUUGAAUUUUUCAUUAUUUAUAGUAAAAAUGUUACAUAUAGAUUACAAGGGAAGGGACCAUAGAAGCCGAGAAUAGCCUUAUAAAAACAAACCGAGAAUAGCAAUGGGUAUUGGAAUUUUUGUCUCUUUUUUUGGGGUGCAUAAUUCUGUAAUGUUAUUAUAGAAUUUUGUGUAAAACCAAGAGGUGAUGUAAUAAUUGGUGAUCAGAUUGGUCUCAAAUGGAAUUCAUGAGGUUGCUCCCAUGAUAGUAAAACUAUUAUUUAUUAUAAUAAGAGUUGGAGAGUUGAAACUGAUUAGGCAAAGCAUUAUUUUGUUCCUUGGUGAACCAUUAACAAUGGGCUUUGGUAGCUACGAGAGGAAAAGAAUACAAGGAAAUGGGAAAGAGGGAAAGGGAGACGGCAACCCCCUUGUUCUAAGCUUUCAGUCGUCCCAGAAUUGAAAUGCUUUCUUUUGGGAUCGAUUUCCUGGCUUCUAAGUUUUAGAGUAGGUCUCAAAAGUAAAGAUUCUUUCCUUGUCCUUCCUAAAUGUGGCACCAAGAAAGGAAAAAGAUGAACAACUCAAUUCCAGUCCACCAAUACAAUGGGUCCCACACUCUAUUAGAGAGUUGGUACACAAGUUGGUAUUUAAAGUUGGUCUCCCUAACAUUUUCCUUUGUAAUAACCAAAAGUACUUCUCAAAGCUUUCGGUAGAAAAAUUUCAAUGUGCUUUUAGGCCAUAAAACCACUUUUUAGAGAAGCACUUGGUAUGUGGAUUUUUAUGAGAUACUUCCAUGUACUUUUUCAGAAAAGCAUUUAAAAUUUUAACACAAAUUUUGAAGUGCUUACUAACAAAAAGUGAAUCAUAUAGAAGCAGUUUCAAACGAGUAGGUAGAUAGUUAGAAAAUGAUUUGGAUAGAGAAAUUAGUUAUAACUAAACCAUCCAAAUGGCCCUAAAACCCAACUGCUGCUUCAUUUCUUACUAAAUUAAGCCUACAACCCAUUUCAAUUAAGAAAAGAUUGAAUUUCAUUUGCAUCUUCAAAACUUUUUAACAAAAACUGUUCACAUUUUAAAAGAAAAAAAUAAAAAUGGGUUGAGAAACUGAAUUAUAUAUAAUGAAGUAAUGAAAAGGGUCGUUGAGUAAAAAAAGAGCAAUUAGACUUUUUGGCGGGGAGACUCUAAUAGGCCAGCGCGGUGUGGAGAGCUGGCGUUGGGGUCGGUCCUGCGCUCCAAAGAAGAGGGUCUGUGGUCCGGUGUGGGCCCCACUCACCGUGUGAUCCGGCCCCGCGUUGGAAGCCUUGCGGUGCGUCUAAUUGAAUAUUUGCGUGUAAAAAAAAUAAAACCAAAAAUAAAGAAGGAAGAAAGAAAACGAGAAAAAAAGCAAAGCCCCAUUUUUGAAGAGGACGCCCUUUCUUUCCUUCAUCCUUUUUCCCUCGAUACUCUCACUCCAUCGCCGAUACUCUCUCUUCUCUCUCCAUCAUCGAUCAAAGCUCUGCGUUUGCGUUGCCCUCACGGACUUCUCUUCCUUGUCGACUUUCAUCAUUACUUUCCCUCGCUUUCUCCGCCUCCAAGAUCUGAAAAGCCAAGGUUGGUUUCUGCUUUCAAGGUUCUCUCUCCCACAAUUUUUCGUAAUUUUCCAGAUCUGAUUUUGAUUGUUUAUUCAUCUCUGCAUAUUGCUUUUGCUUAUUGAUGAUUGAUUUGCUAUUCACUUUCAAUUCAAAAGAGCAAUUUGAAAGGGAAUAAUAAUGGCGGACGACAAAGGCGUCGUCGGAGAAGCCGACAAGAAAGACGCGGCAACUGUUCCUGAGGUGGUUGCGAAGAAGAAGCGCAAGGGACUUUUCUCCAGAAUGUUCAGUGGGAUCUUCCGAUUACACGGCGAUGACUUCGAGAAGCGGCUCAAGUACAUUUCCAAAGAAGAAGCCACUGUCCUUGCUAGAAUGCAGAGGAGGUCCAUAACGUGGAGGCGCAUGAGCAGACAUCUCAUUCUCUUCUCUGUCUUAUUUGAGGUAUUGGAAUGUCAUUCAUAGGACCCAUCAAUUAGGACUUUGUUGCAGCAACUGGUUUUUUUUUUGGCUGAUUAAGAAUUCUGAACUUUUAUGGCAAUACUAUCCAGAAAUUGCACCAUACUCGUCGUCAUAUUUAUUGGCAUAUAGAGUUUGAACGAGUUGGGCAAGUGAAAUAUUAGAAGGGAAUGAUAAGUGUUUGCAUACUUUUGUCAUUUUCAGAUUAUUGCAAUUGCUUAUGCUAUAAUAUCAACGAGAGCAACAAAUUUAGAUUGGAAGAUGAGGACAUUUCGAAUUCUUCCGAUGUUUCUUCUGCCUGCUUUAUCUUUUCUUGCUUAUUCAGCAUUUGUGACCUUCACAAGAAUGCGUGAGUAUCUUAAACUUUGCAACUUCCUUAAUUUUUGAUGUUCAUGUGACGAUUCUAGUUAUUUUAUUAAUAUCUGGGACUUAUUUUGCAAAAGGUAUCUGGUUCCAUGGUUGUCAUAGGGUCUUGGGUUGGGCUUGCUAGGAAGCAUUUUGGCUUAUUGGUUCAUCAUUCUGUGGUUUACUUCUUACUUUGUUUAUUGAAUUUGUUUGAGCUUCAUAAUACAUUCUUUGUGCAUGGGGUGUGUAGCUUCUCCGCGUAUGACAUUUGGAGUAAGAAAGGUCCCUUCACACAGGCCCAUCACACAUUAAAUUGUUGGUCAUUUGUUAGACAAUUUUUGUUGAAAGUCACUGAGGACCUGUCCUUUAGACAUUGUUCCUCACAGGGGGACUUUUCGUGCUGACUGGUAUUUUAAUUGUGUGCCACUUUCCAUGCAAGAGGAAGUUCUUUUUAAAUUUAUUAGUUGUGAGUUUGAACUGUUGGAAAAUAAGCGUUAUGAAAUUUGGGAAUUUUCUUGGGAAUCGUUUACGAAAUUCGCAAAUCUUUGAACUGGAAUUGGGCACGGUACUGGUGGGUGGCUAGUUCAUAAAAGAUACCUGAUCUACAAUGUCUGAAGUUCAAUACCGUUUUCAAUAUGUACACAUAUGGUACAUAUCAUGCAUGUUUCUUUGAGCAAAAUUCUCUUUCCAGGCUGUACCUAUUUUAAUUGUCUUGACGUGUUAAUGUUUGAUUUAUGUAUGCUUUGAGUUUAUGCUUAACAGCUUCCAUGCAUACCUGUAUCCUAGGAAGCACAAACUGAAACAUCAGGCAUGUUUUUUUAGUUGUCUAACACCAUGUCGGUGCUGUAAUGGAUCAUUGGAAGAAAGCUAGAAAAGUAGACCUAUGACGUUUCAUUAGUUCAUUGCUGUUGUUAAAAAUGUUUGUUGAAUAAUUUGGAUGAUUGGUUGUAUGAACCCAUUCUUUUUGUAUGAAUCAAGUUUUCCAAUCUAAUGCGGCAACUUAGUGACCAUUACUUGUAUAAAGUUGAUGUGUGCAUGUAUUAGAAAUCUGAUAUCUCAACCUUUCAAUGUAUUAGGUGAUCGCAAGGACGCCAAAACCCUGGAAAGGCUUCGGGCUGAAAGGCAAGCAAAAAUUGAUGAACUAAAAGAGAGGACAAAUUAUUACACUACUCAACAGCUUAUUCAGGUAAUUAUUAGAAGCAAGUUUUGUUGUUAUAUUGCAUUUGUUAUCUGUCUUUAUGCCUCAUUAUUGAAUUCUCUUUGGUAUUCUUUGUUAGCUUGUUGAACUUUUAUCAGGUGAAUGGGGUAGCUGUUGAUGCCUUUUGCCCCUUCAUCUCAUUUGACUGUGUUAAUGGUUGUAUAGAGUUUCUUAAAUGAUAUAGACAAACACUGUUUGGAAGAAUUCCAGGAGGUCAUGUAAAGUGGCCUUAAGAAACCAUUCAUUUAGAUUGAUUGCAAAUUCGCAAUAGUCAUAUGGCAUACUUAUUUCUAUUGUAGUUGGCUGAAUCAGUUUUUGCUUCUUUGAGAGAACAUCUCUUCAAAAAAAGCACUGUAAUGAACAAGACUCCUGUGCCCUUUAUGCUGGGUUUUAUUUUAUUUUAUUUAUUUAUGUUUUUAGGGGAACUCUGCAAUGGUUUGUGUUUGAGUAAUGGUAUAUGUGAAGAUGUACCUUGCUUGUCCCCCUCUGUUUUCUUGGUUUGAAUUUAAGUUAUAUUCUUUUAUGCAGAGAUAUGAUCCUGACCCAGCAGCAAAGGCAGCUGCUGCAACUGUCCUAGCAUCUAAGUUGGGUACAGAUUCAGGUCUGAAAUUCUACGUGGGAGAUGAAUCUGAGAUUAAUGCCUCAACAGGGAAAAGCAAUGAUGUUGAACUUGUCCAUUCUGGUGAACUUCGAAACCGUAAACCAGUACACACCAGAUCUAAUAGUACAGGGAGUGUCCCAUUGACUAUUCCUGAAGAGGAGGCACCUCGUUCUGCAAGGUCUGACGGUCAUCAGGUUUCUGAGCAUAGUCAACUGAUUGUUAGUCAUCAUAGUCCUCAGGGAGCAUCUCCACAGGAUGGAGGAUGGAUUGCUCGGAUUGCAGCAUUACUUGUGGGUGAGGAUCCAACACAGUCUUAUGCACUCAUAUGUGGCAACUGUCAUAUGCACAAUGGUAGGUUAUCCGCAUCCUGAGUAGGCACUGUUGCUUUUUCAUGUUUUCAUAGAAGCAAGUGAAGGAAAGGCCUGAUUAUGGUGCACACUCAUGCACUUUCCUCACUACCAGUUGUUUUCUUUCUUUCUUGUGGUUGAAAUAAUGAUCUCAUACUUUUUUUGUCUCUAUGCAGGGCUUGCUAAGAAGGAGGAUUUCCCAUACAUCACCUAUUAUUGCCCGCACUGUCACGCCCUAAAUCAGCCAAAACAUUUGGAAGGGCGUGUUUCUGGUUCUAACACGCCUAUCACCCCUAGUUUGAGCUCUUUGAGAGCAGGGGUCAGCAGUGAGGCAACAAAGCACGCUGGUGACUCUUUGGAUGACAGUGUACUCACAAGUACCAGCCCUGUUAGAGCUGGUUCAGAGAUUGAGGAAGAAACCGAAAAGCCUGCGUCCGGCGAUACAGUUAGUUUAGAAAAACAUGAGUAGGGUUAAGAUGUUCCUUUCCUCAAUUAGGCCGUCUUUUCCCUUUGCUUGUAGGUAUGGGGUUUAUUUUCUGCUGGAUGAAUUUACGGGUUUGCCUAUAUGCGUGGUCGUGUACAAGAAUAUGUUGAGUUUCCUUGCUGAUAAACUUUUGGGGCUUUAUGUUCAUAGAAUACAUGGAUUGAUUGUAAUCUUGUACAUCUUGUGAGUUUUUCUUUUCUGGUUCAAUUGUUGCAGCUGGUCCAAAUACCUUUCCAGAUUUGGAAAGCUGAAACUUUACUGAUGUAGUGCAAAUGGUCCAAAAGGAGUCUUUGCUGCGGUCAUUUUUUAUUUUUUCAUAUUCUGAAUUGUAAUUUUUAUUUUUUUAUACAAGUGAGAAUCUAAACUAUUCUAAAUUAAUUUGAUUUACGUGGAGUUCUCAUACUUCUUUGUUCAAAAUAAUAAAGGAGAGGAGAAAAUAAAACAUUUUUAGCAAAUUUGGUUAGGAACGAAAAUGAUCGACGGGAUAUAUAUAAUAAGAGAAACCGUAUGAAAUUAGAUCCUCAAUAUUUCUUGGACGGGUUAUUCUUUUGUCGGGUCUUUAAUGGGUUAGGGGGGUGGAAUUUUUUUUUAAAUUUUUUAUAUAAGCAAUAAUUUAAACUAUCGGGAAUGUAGAGUUUUUCACACACACAAUUAAGAUGUUAUGAAGGUUCGAAUUUGAGGUCUGUAAUCUGCAAGUCAAAACUCUUUUUCACUGGACUAGAUCUCUUUGACAAACAUUAAACAUAAUUGAUUCAUUUUCUUAGUAAAAAAAUAUAGAGGUUUUUCCUUUUAACUACGUAGUCUCACCUCAUUUGUUACCCCCAAAAAAACUCUUACCUCAUUCCACUCAUUUGAUGACACUUGGGCUGAGGUGGAUGGUUAAUAAUAGAGCGGUAAUUUCAACUGAUGUGAGACUGUAAAAGUCGUCUCAGAUUCUGACUGGAUCUUGACCCACCCCCGUGCUCGACUCUCAUUCAAAAACCCCCAAAAAAAAAAAAAAAAAAAAAAAAAAAAGGAAAACCUUGUGUCCGUCUGUCUGUCUGUCUGUCUGUCCGGCUACUCCCUCUCCUCCCUGCGUGGCUCANNNNNNNNNNNNNNNNNNNNNNNNNNNNNNNNNNNNNNNNNNNNNNNNNNNNNNNNNNNNNNNNNNNNNNNNNNNNNNNNNNNNNNNNNNNNNNNNNNNNAUAAAUGAUGUCGCAAGGCGGCGCGGUCCCCAUUUUUAUUUUUAUUUAUUUUAUAAAAAUAAAUUAGGAAAAAAACAAACAAGACCAAGUUUUGUGUUACCAAAAUCGAAGCCAUUCCUCGCACGCUGACCUAAAAAAAACCCCAAAAUCAUAUAUUUUUAUUUUUAUUCCUCAAUUUCACACCAAAAGCUCGUCUCUUUCAUCUUCCUCCAAGCUUCAGCUCCAAAGGUCCAGCUUCCUGUUCCUCCUCUGCUCCUCAAACCUCAGAACCAGGUACCUCUUGAGCUAUUUCUCUUUUGAUCAUAUGUUUUUGUUUCUCUAAUUUUCUUUUGCUUUAACAUGCUUGGAUACUGUGAUUUGAUUACUUUUUUUUAUUGUUGGUUUCGAUCAGGUUGUUUUUGUCGUUCUUGUAGUUUCUAGGGUUUUUUUUUGUUUUUUCUUUCUGUUAAUUUCUUUUUGUUUGUUCCUUUUUAUUUCUGGAAACUGCUGCUUGAAGAUCAUUUUAUUUUCAUUUGCUUAUUAUGUAUUCGUGACUAGCUUUGAGAAUGCAUGAUGGAAGUCUUCGCAUCUGAAUUUUAUCAGAAUGCAAGCUUUCGGUUGUGUUGUGACAAACAAGGUACAAGGACAUGCUUUAUCUGAGAGUAUCAAAAACUGUAUUUCUCCAAAGAUUCCGAAAAUUAUAAAAAUAAAUAGACAUGAAGCCAUUAAAACUUAAAAAUUAGUUUUCUAAUACCUUUAAACCCAAUAUCCCACAGUAGUGAUAUGGAACGCAUUGGGCUAGUAUAUAAACUGCUUGUACACUUUGACUACAUCCUAUUGCAAAAAAGAUCAUUGUAAAAUGAUUUUAGAGAGUAUAGUUUGUGACUGUAAUUCUAGAUUAUAUAUAUAUAUAUAUCUCUCUCUCUCUCUGUGCACAUAUUCAUUGUAAAAUUUUGAAGAAUUCAUGUUUUGCAUUCAUGUCCAUUGCAGGGUUGGUCGGUGGUUAAAAUGAGCCGACCAAGUACACGCAGUAAAAAUAAAAGAAAUAGACAAGGGGAUAAUGUUGACACCACUUCUGAAAUAUUGAGGUAGAAAGUUUUUUUGGUUUAUGUUAAAGAAGUUAUUUCUGUUGCUUGAUGUGCACCUUUGUUAUGUGUUGGCUCACAUUAUGGUUGGUAUUGUGUAGGAAAAUACAUGCAACAGGUGAAGUAACAAAUGAGGAUAUAAAUACGCUAUAUAAAAUUUCAAAGCCAGUUUGUCAAGGUUGCCGUGUGAAUACUAAAGAUAACCCAAAUUGCUUUUGUGGACUAAUUCCACCUCCUAAUGGAAGUCGGAAAUCUGGCCUAUGGCAGAAGACAUCAGAGAUUAUGCAAAAUCUUGGCCCAGACCCUUCUCAGGAUCUUCGUCCUUCUGCUGAUUCUCCUGCAGGCCUCACAAAUCUUGGUGCAACAUGCUAUGCUAACAGCAUACUCCAAUGUUUGUACAUGAAUAAAUCCUUCCGUGAAGGUAUUUUCUUGGUUGAACCUGAGGUUUUGGAACGGCAGCCAGUGUUGAAUCAACUUUCUCGGCUUUUUGCACAGUUGCAUGCUAGUAAAAUGGCUUUCAUAGACUCAUCUCCAUUUGUAAAAACGCUGGAGUUAGAUAAUGGAGUUCAACAGGACAGUCAUGAGUUUCUAACGUUACUUCUUUCUUUACUUGAACGUUGUCUGAGCACCUCUAAAGUUACAAAGGCAAAAUCUAUUGUUCAAGAUCUUUUUCGUGGAAGUGUAUCCCACGUUACCAGGUAAAACCAAAUCUGAUUGGAGUAGAAUUAUACUUCUUUCAGAUAAGGCCUUUCUCUGUGUUAUUUUUAUGUUCUUUUUGCAUUAUGGGGAUUACCAAUUGAUGUUUGUCAAUUGUUUAAAAUGUCACACAAACAUUGUGGUGUCUUCUUAUUUCGUUUGGAUAGGUAGUGACUGAGUUCAUAGAAUGAUGUAAAUUAUCCAACCUGUCUUUAAAAAAUUUAAUGGGAUCAAGAUACCAAUCAAAGUGAUACACAAGGGAGCCAAUAACAGUGUAAAUGAAAAUUGUCAAAUAAUUAUUGACUGAUUAGCGGUUGUUUUCUUAAUGCGUGCUUGCCAUUUUCUUGUUGAUGUUAGCCCUUUAAAAAACAAGUAAAUACUUCCCCUCCAUUAGAAAACUAUUUAUUCCUUUUUUUUUUGGUAAAAGAAUUGUGAAUGAGAUUUGUAAUGUUCAUAUUUUUCUAGAUGGACUUAUAAAGUUCUUGUUCCUCAUAGUGACUGGUGUGGCAUUAGAUAUACUUCUGAAGUUUGUUUAAUAUUUCCGUUCAUUUGUAACUUUUGAAGUUUUUAGCUUUGCUGCUUUUUUUUUUCAUUUGGGUUAUUUGUAUCAUUAUGUUUGUGCCCCAGCAGCAAAUUUUUGAGUACAUUUGCUUUUUCAUAUAAAGGUGAGUCUACGGUUAUUCCUUCAGCUGAUCUCACAUGGCUAUUAUUUUAUCCUUGCAUGUAUGCAGGUGCUCACAAUGUGGAAAAGACUCUGAAGCUUCUUCCAACAUGGAGGAUUUCUAUGAGCUGGAGUUGAAUGUGAAGGGUUUGAAAAGUUUGGAUGAGAGUUUAGAUGAUUAUCUUAGUGUUGAAGAGCUUCAUGGAGAGAAUCAAUAUUUUUGUGAGUCGUGUAAAACAAGAGUUGAUGCUACCCGAAGCAUCAAGUUGCGGACAUUGCCUGAUGUUCUGAAUUUUCAGCUUAAGCGUUGUGUUUUCCUUCCAAAGGUAGUUAUGAUAUUCUUGAGAAUGUAGAGUUUCCAUUUAACUUGUUGAUGAGCACAGAAAAGCAGUCUAAGCUAUGUUUUAUGUAAUACACAUGUUUGAUAUUGAUGCAGAUUAGAGGUUGUACACUUGUUGGUUAUAUGGUUAGUUAUAGAAGUUGUGGUUAAUAGUUAUUUUAAUAUUUUCUUCUCUAUUGAUUUGUGUCAGUAGACGACAACAAAGAAGAAAAUUACUUCUGCAUUUGUUUUUCCUGAAGUACUUGAUAUGAGGCAGAGGCUAUUUGAGCCUUCUCAGCUUGAAUCAAUAUAUGAUUUGUCAGCCGUGCUGAUUCACAAGGGGACUGCAGUUAACAGUGGCCACUAUGUAGCGCAUAUCAAGGAUGAGAAGACAGGACAAUGGUGGGAAUUUGAUGAUGAGCAUGUUUCAAAUUUAGGUCCUCACCCAUUUGGAGAAGGCACUUCAGGUUCCAAUACCAAGCCUGUUCAUGUUAAACCUGAAUCAGUUCAUCCAUCUUGCACGGGACAAAUUAAUGCUGUUUCGAAUGGUGAUAAUGUGGAUGUCAGUCACCAACAACCUACGGAAUCUAUUUCUGGUCAUGUGGAGACGUUUUCAUCUAGUGAUGCAUAUAUGCUGAUGUAUAAUCUCAGGCGUUGCCGAAAGGAUGAUGAGAAAGUGCCUGUAGAGUGUAAUGCCAUUGAUAGGAAGAUAGAAGGUGAUAUUGUUUGUAGUUCUCUUCCAUCUCAUCUUUGUGAAGAGAUUAAAAACUUUAAUGCAUCAUAUCUUGAUGCUUGCCAAAAAUACAAAUUUAAAAAAGAAGAAGAGAUGAAUCAUAUCACAGAGCGUAGACAGGAAGUGCGUUCAAUUUUGUCUGAAGCGCCUGUUCGAUCUUUGGAGGAAUCCUUUUUCUGGAUUUCAACAGACUGGCUCCGUCAGUGGGCUGAUAACAUGAUUUCACCGUAAGGACAUUCUUUCUGUCUUUGUUUAUAUUUCUAGUUCUUAACUUUCUUUCUGCUGGAAAUACAGUGUCAGGGUCUCUGUUUUGCAUAUUUUUGUGGGCUUACACAGUAAUCACUUGCAGUGUUCUUGACAACACAUCCAUCCUAUGUUCACAUGAAAAAGUUCCAGCGUCAAAGGUUGGCUCCAUAAAGCGGUUGUCAGCUAAAGCAUGGACCAAGUUGUUCUCUAAGGUAUUUGCUUGAGUAUUUUGGACUCACCUAAUACUGUGUGAACUGUGGUUACAUACAGCCGAAAAUUGCAUCAUGAUGCUCUAUGUGAUGAACCUGAUGUCUUUUUCUGGUUUCUUAUGUGUUGAUGCUGUCAAAUGUUCUGUUUGCUUGUUUUAUCUUUUCCAUGUCUGUGUUUUACUUCUGUUGCACUAUGUGUUUUACUUCCUUUUUAACCGAAUGUUGGUAAUUUCAGUAUAAAGGGAGCCCAAUACUGGCCUCUGAUGCCUACUGCAUGGUUUGCCUUACUGAGGGGGCUCGAAAUGUAGUGUGUGCUGACAGCUAUAGGGAUAGGAGAAUACUCAUGAAGCAAGUUGCUGAGGAUGCACUAGCCGGGAGGUGUUCAGAUGGAGAAUAUUUUGUUUCUAAAGCAUGGUAUGGCUGCAAACUAUUCUGUUGCUUUUUAUUCUUCCUUCAGACCUCUUCAAUCUUCUGCUGCAUCAUAUUUUCUUUUUCUAUAGUAAUUCUAGUUAGUUUCUAUUUGUAGGUUACAACAGUGGCUUAAAAGAAAAAUUCUUGAUGCUCCAUCAGAAGCUGAUGCGGGACCAACAGCUUCAAUUAGGUGUCCUCAUGGGCAACUUAUGCCUGACCAAGCCACUGGUGCUAAGAGAUUGCUUGUUCCCGAGAAUCUCUGGCUCUUCCUUUAUGAAGAUGCUUUUGCAGUAAAGCCUGAUGAUCAGUUGGGUUGUUCAACGUUUCCUUUAGACUCUGCACAGUGUUCCCAAUGCAGUGAUGAACUAUCUGAAGUAGCAUGCAUGGAGGAUUCUUUGAGGUAAUUUAAACUUUUACUCCUAGCAGACUGAUAAGCAUGUGUAAUUGCGUUAACCAGUAUUUGUGCUGCAGAGUGGUGAGGCUCAAACAGCGCCAGACUCAUGAGAAAUUACUUACAGGGAAAACUGUGCCACUUUCUCUGGAUUGCAAGUAUUACUUGAUACCCUCUUCUUGGCUUUUGAAGUGGAAAAACUACAUUACUGCAAGUGGCAAGAAUGUUUCCUCAGUGGAGAAACCUGAAACAUUAGAGGGCAUCAUGGAUUUGCUGAAGUGUGAAAAGGUAACUUGCAACUUUUCUGGGCAGUGAUUCUGUUGAAUAUCCAGCACCUCUGGUAGACCAUAAAUGGCGAUAUGCAUGUUUUUUACUUUAACCAUACUCAUAAGUCAGACAAACUUACCAUUGGUCCCAAUUCAACAAGUUGAGGAAUCCUGGCAUCAAGUUAUGGACUGAUUAUUUGAACUAAAAGUUUUUUUGCGCAUUUGAGAACUAUUAUGGUCCGUGUUCAAUCUGCCUUCUUUUUAUUCUGUUAUUAGUGUUAUGAAAUUAUUUUAACUUUCCUCUUGCUUUCUUUCAGCAUUCACGACUUCUAGAAAGGCCUGUUGAUCUGGUCUCUAAACGUGGUUUAAUUUCCCAGAAGUCUCCCCCUGUAAGUGUGAAUAAAUGUGUUUGUGAAUAUGUGUGUGUGUGUGUGUGUGUUUGAGAGAGAGAGAGAGAUGCCAGGCCAUUUUGAAUGGUAAACUUGCAGCUAUUUUUGUUGAUUAAUCUUGUGUGAAUGCUCUAAUGUUGGAAUUCUUGCUUCUUCUUUUUUCUCUGUGGAUUCUAGGUGGAUGGGUUAAUAAUCAUUCCUGAGAGUGACUGGAAAUCCUUUUGUGAGGAAUGGGGUGGUGUACAGGAGAAGAGCAUAUCUGCUGAAAUUGAGUUAAGUAAAACUGAAGGAAAUAAUUUGGCAGGGUCCUGCGAAGAGAUGCCAAUGUGUGAGGAGGAUCUAAGUACCCCAAAUCCAGUAAAUGGUGAAGUUGAGUCUAGACAACUCGUGAUUAGGACUUGUCCUGAGGUAAAGGCUUACCUUUUUUUUUUUUUUUCCUUCUCUUUUCUUGUCAUGCAUAGCGGAGGAAACUUGUUUUUCUUGUUUGUUUUUUAAGUAGAAUUUGUCUACAUUAGGAGCUCCAAUCUCUGGAAUCUUCGGAUCUGUUGUCUUCUGGUAGGAUAAUUGGUUACUCGAGUUAACUUAUGGAAAGUAGUAGCUUAAGUUGCCUUGUGGAAUUAGUUCUCUCUGUCUCUCCCCGUCUCUCUUUUAGGAAUCAAUUUUGUUAUUAUGCAGAAUUUAAGUGCCAGCAACAUUUGCUAGAUUGUUCACAAAAAAAAUCUACAAAUUUUACAAAUUUUGAGUGUGGGUUACAUCAAAAUUUGCAAGUUACAAGGAGCAUUUUUAAAGUUGUUCUUCUGAUUAGGUGUCUCAAUUUUCCUAGAUAUGUGAGGAUUGCAUUGGAGAAAGAGAAAGCAGGGAACUAAUGCGGAAGCUUGACUAUUGCAAUGAGGACAUAUAUGUGUACUUUAUACAUGGCAAGGAAGCUCCAAAAUCCAUUCUAAAACCAUCUGAAACAAAUUUUGAUCCAGAUCGCCGAGUUUCCAAGCGCUCUCGGAAGACAAAGACUGGGGAUCAGAUAAGCUUGAAAGUCUCUGGUUCCACAACCGUAUACCAGUUAAAAAUGAUGAUAUGGGAAUCUUUUGGGGUAUGCUACUUGAAGCUAACACAUACAAGUGAACAUACACACUAAUGCACACAUACACAAACACAAGUGCUAUGUGCACUUUCUGUUGGUUUACACAUCCAUCUUUCCAAGAUUGAAAGUAUUCUGGUUUCAUUUCACAACUUGUCCUUUUAAGGUGGCACUCUCGUGUUGUGCCCCUGGUGUUUUGAAUAUAUAAAUUAACUAUGAGUUAAAAUUGUUUUGUUCCUGUUGGCAUCUGAUUACUGUUUUACAUUAUGCAGGUUGUUAAGGAAAACCAGGUACUUCACAAAGGUACUCGGAUAAUUGAUGAUGAAGUUGCUACUCUUGCGGACGUGAAUAUAUUCCCUGGGGAUAAGCUUUGGGUGAACGAUUCAGAAAUCCAUGAGAACCGAGAUAUUGCUGGUAAUUUCAUGUUGUUAGUUAUUUGGACAUUUUUUAAAAUAUGGUGCUUAGGAAAUGUUUGUAGUUGGUCUGAUUGUAAUGCAUUGGCCAAUUUCAAUAACCAUAACAUGCAUUUUAAUUUUUUUUUAUACAGAUGAGCUAUCUGACCAGAAAAUGGAUGUGCAACACACUGAAGAGGGGUUUCGUGGGACGCUUUUGACAGCAAAUGUUUCAUCGCAAGUUGUAUAAGAUGCUUGCUUUUGCUAUUUAAUAUUUGAAUGUAGUAUGCAUGUUUUUGUAGAUAUUGAUAGAGGGGAGGUGACUUGAAUAUUUUUAAACUUCAACCUGCAUUCUGAAGACCUGCAUUUUUGAGGUUAGUUGCAAUUGUACUAUCCAACUACUUUCUUUUUGUUCCAUAAACUGGCUUGCUGAAUCUUCUGUGUUACCUUUUCCUUUUCUUUCUUUUUUUCUCCACUUCUUAACCUUAUCUUGUACAUUCUUUCUCCUCUGAUUCCUUUUCCCCUAUUUAGGUAAAUUAUGUUUUAUGAGUUUUUUUUUCCAUUUUAAUUUUACUUCAAUUAAAAAUGGAUAAAUGCUGCCGCUGAUUUUCAGGAUUUGUUUGGGAAAUCAUUUUUUAUUUUGACCCUUCUCACUCUUCUUUUUGUUCCAGAAGCAGUUGAACCUAGUAACUGUGGGCUUCCUGAAGGCUGGUCCCGUGUGUAAUGUAGGUUACCCUGCCCCUUGCCUUUGAAGACAUUUUGCCAUAUGCUGCCAUGCUCGCUCGCACAUCGGAAAAGGAAAUGUGAUGUGUGCCGUGUCCUGGUCAAAUGUUUUGGUUCUAACCAGGUGGUCAUUUUUCUGUUCGUAAGGAUGUUACCGUGCCUGUUAUAUAUGCCGAACAAUGUUCAAGUAUCAUGGCAUGUGUUGUCUUGAAUGUAGAUUUGUCAAAAUUGAUGGAGUGUGAUGUUUUCUCUCAUAGCUAAUAGCUUCUGCGGCUAGUCAUUGUACAAGUAAGUUUUAUAAAGUGUUAAUAAAGCGAGUUUUAUGUGUUAUUUCCUCUGCACUCGUUCUUAAUCUUCGAUUGCGGCAAUAAGAAAAAUAAUUGGAAUAAAAUUUCUAAUUACUAAGGCCUCUUUAACAAGCAAAAAGAAUGUUGAGACCAAAAAUAAAAAUAAAAAUAAAAAACCAAAUCGAAAAAGAUAGUAUGAUAAUAUAACAGAUGCUCAAAGGGGCAUAUACCAAAUGAAUUUUCUUUCGUGUAAUUUUUUAUGUUUGCUUGUCUGUAUGCCAAUCAUGUUCUUCCCAAUAAGUUAUUCAAAUCAUGGUCAAAGAAAGUGCACCAAAAACAGAACCUCCUAUUUUCCCCUGCCUGAAGAUAAUGCAUAAAAGAAAGAAAACACUGAUUUUGAAGAAAGUGAACAAGUUUUUAGAUCCAGCGAUUGUGACUUCUUGAGUUGUGGGCUCCUCUGAACCACCUAUCCCACCCUACAUCAGCUGGACCUUUAGUCCUGUGUGUACAAAAAUAUCCCAUCCCAGUCAAGAUUAAGAUAGAAAAGAAAAGUCCUCUUAAACAACAACAAAGAAAGAAGGGACAUGGUUGGUGGGAAUUAUAAUUAUCUCUUACGAUGGAAGCAGGGGAUCAGAACUGGAUUCAACGCUGGCAAUGAGCCUGUAUGAGAUUCACCAUAAACAUUUAUAAAAUUAAAAAUUAAAAGAAAAAAAAGAAAAAAAGUGAUGUUGGGUUGGAUUGAAGUUUGAUAAAACAGAUUAACAUUGGAUUUUGCUUACUCUUUGCAGACAAUGGAGGAUUCACCUACUGUCUCUAGUUGGGUCAGCUCUUUCUGCAUCACAAGUCAUAACUUUUGUUUUUAAUGAUAAAUUAUUGGUUUUUCUAGCAAUUACAGAAUACACAAGAAGAAUGAAAUGAAAGACCGACCUGGAUGAUGUCGAUUUGGUUAUGGAGAUGGGAUAUAGAAGCUGCCAGUUUAUGCUUCCCUAUGAAAGUGGGAUAUUGGGCUGCUCUUGCUCUGUCCUCAAAAUGAAGAGCCGCUCCUCCUCCUCCUUCACCUUCAUGAUCUUCUUCUUCUCUCUUUAGUCCUUCUUCUCUUCCUCUUCCUGGAGAUGAUGAUGGUGAUGGUGAUGGUGAUGAUGAUGAUGAUGGGUUUGCUUCUACUUGCUUAUCCAUUGUUGUCGACAUCACCACUUACUUGCACCAAUACCAACUACAACCAAGCCUGUUUUUUGGACCUAAAUGAUCAACUUUAAAAAGGAAGGGGAGAGAGAGAGAGAGAGAGAGAGAGAGAGAGAGAGAGAGAGAGAAUGUGGACCUAGUUUGUUUUCAUGAUUAAAGCAACAAGCAGUGGACAUAGAAUAAAAAAGGUGAAAUAAAUAAAGAAAGCAAUGGGAUUAUAAAGAGUGAUGAAUUUAAAACUAAAGCAGUCAGUCAAAAAGAAGAAAAUGGUUUAUGAGCGGCAGAGACACAGGCAACACGCUAACAGCUCAGGCAGACCAUAUAUUUCCAUCAUCCUCGUAUAAUUUAUUUAAUAAUGUUAAUAAUAAUUUUGUAAUAUUAAUGGAGAUGACAAAUGGUUAGGGGAUGAAAGUAGCUAGGCCGCCACCUAUCUCUCUCUGUUAACUGCUUUUGGCGGUUUGACAGUUGACAUACCAAAGAUUAGCUUAGUCCUAAUCAAACUGUGAUAGACUUUCCAACUUUUAUCUGCAAUAAGCAAAGCUUUGCUUAUUUUCAAUCAUCACAUUAAUGCAAAUGCAAAAUUUCUGCUACUAGUUAUUUCAAUGAGAGUAUCUCCCAACCCUUCCCCCGUGUUCUAUAUUGGUUGUGAGAUAUUUUGGAUUAAACCGAGGACUCCAUCAAUUAUUUAGAUUUCUUACAAUAAGAAGACAGUUCUUUGAAUUCUUUAAUAUUCCCUGAACUAAACUUUAGGAUUCAUACUCAAAAACACAAUCAAAACUCAAAACUACAAAAGAUCAAAAUUCAUACAUGAAGUCCCACUCUAAACCCAAAAUACGAAAAUUCAUACACGAAAUCCUAAUCCAAAAUCAAAACCCCAAAAUACUGAAAUUCUUACAUGAAACCCCAAUCCAAACUCUAAACCUCAAAACGUCAAAAUCAAAACCCUAAUCCAAACUCAAUACCCCAAAAUGCUAAAAAUUCAUAUCCAAAACUCCAAUCUAAAUUCCAAAAUUCCUACCCCAAAAUCCAAUAUAAACUCGAAAUUUAAAACCACAAAAGGCCAAAAUUCAUACACGAUCCAAACUCACAAACCUAAAAAAUGCCAAAAUUCAUACCCAAACUCAAAACUCCAAAGUUUAUACCCAAAACCCUCAUCCAAUAACUAACUUCAAAAUGCCAUAAUCCAAACUCAAAACACAAAAUGUCAAAAUCGUAACCGAAGCCCCAAUCUACACUCUAAACUCAAAAGCCCAAAUUCACACACGAAACCUCAAUCCAAACUCUAACUAAAAAUCCAAACUCAAAACCCGAAAAUGCCAAACUUCAUCCCCUUAACCCCAAUCCAAACUCUUAACUCGCAAAUAUUCAAAUGUAACUCAAAAUCCAAAAAUGCGAAAAUUCAUUCCCAUAAACCCAAUCCAAAUUCCAACUCCAAAAUGUCAAAAUUUAAAAUCAAAUGACUAAUGCGCUUGUUCAUAAAUAGCACAUUGCUUCAAUUUUCUUUUCAAGCGGCGGUGUACAACAAGGCCUAAAACUUCAUGUGUAAUUCGUAAAAUUUUCCCUUCAAGGUUUGAAGUUUGGUUUUUGAUUUUUGGGUAGUGGAGUUUGGUGUUUGGGCCAACCCAGCAUCCCACUUUAGGGCUACAAAAAUUAAAAUCAAAACCACAUCAGUGUGGUUAUAGAUUUGGAAGAAAUGGCAAUAGCAUCAACAUCAGCCUCAGCCUCAAAGCUCUUCUCUUUUUCCUCGUUAUCAUUCCGUCUGCGAAGCCUCACAACCGCCUCUAGUAUCAGCAGCAACUGCAGCACCACAAGCAAGAAGAAGAAGGAGAAGGAGAACCUGAAGCAGAGAGUGGUGAUAAAAGAAAAGAGGAGAACGCGUUCUGAUAGAGAGUUCAAAUUGGAAACCAUUAAACGUUAUGGAGAUACUGCCGCCCACAUUCCAGUCAUGCUUGGUGAAGUUUUGGAUGUAUUCUCGGCAUCCAAACAGCUCCGGUACUUCGUCGACUGUACGGUUGGAGCUGCUGGGCAUUCCUCUGCGGUCAGUAAUCACUCUUCAUCUCUCUUCAUUUGAAGUUUUUGUGAGUUGGGUUUUUGGAUUUAUUGUUAAUUACUUGCAGAUAAUUGAAGGCCAUCCAGAAAUGGAAGUGUAUGUAGGACUUGAUGUUGAUCCUGUGGCGCUUGAGAAGGCUCGAGCACGGAUCAACUCUGUUUUGCAUAACCCAACUUCUUCGACCCUCAAAGCUUCCACCUUUCUGGAGAAUUUCAGAUAUGUUAAGUCUCUGCUUUGCGAUGUGGAUGAGACACUCCUUGACACUGGGAUUGAUGGGAUUUUAAUGGACUUGGGAAUGUCAUCAAUGCAAGUGAACGAUCCUGAAAGAGGGUUCAGUGUGCUUGCUAAUGGACCUCUUGAUAUGCGAAUGGAUCCUCAGGUAACAGAUGUUUCGACAUUCUUAUAUCUAAUGGAGACUGGGAAUUUUUUAUUUUUUUUUUGGUUCUCUAAUUAUGCAUAUAAAAAAUUUGAGUGUGUAAGUGUAGGCUGCCUGGUUACUCCAUUUUGAAGUCUUGUUUUUUUUUUUUUUUUUUUUUUUUUUUUUUUUUUUUUUUUUUUUUUGAGGACCUUUUCUAUUGAAAGGGGCGAUAGCAUAUUAAACUCACACACACAACACGAAGUCUUUCAGCUGGUAGAACUUUGUUAUAGACUGUUGGUAAUCUUAUUGAGUCAAUCUAGUAUUUAUGGUGAUAAUUAUUUCUUUAGAUGGGCUCCAUCAGGGAGUCUUUAAUACCAUUCUCUCUAUACUUGUCCAUCAGGGUUGCUUGCGUCCGUGAAUUAACUCAAAUGCGAUGCCAAUUAUACUGAUGUUUAGGCUAUAAUCACUUCUCAUCAGAAGCAUAUGGUGAGGCUACAGUUACGCCACAUGCAUGUACAUGCAGCAAAUUGUUGCCCUUGACGAUAUUUUACAUAAGUAUGAGGAUUGGAUGUGCCAUGACCUUCAUGAGGAUUUAAUAUUUAGGACAGUUGAGGAUGGACUGCUGUACAUUGCCUAUCAUGGGCUCAUGUGGGGUUGAAAAGAUUUGAAUGGCCCCAAUUAUGAUCCCCUUGUUAUAAUUUAUAUGAACCUGUGACUCGACUUCUGGAACUAGGCUUAGUUAUCUAUUUUCUUUUCGAAAUUAAUGCCCGCUGCCAACAAUGUCUGUCUGCUUCAUUGAAGUUCUAGGUGAUAUUGUAGGGUGAAUGAAAAGUUUCUAGGCGGAAUGACAUACAUGAUUCCUAUGUUUUACUGGUUGCAUCAUCAUUUUAAAUGUUUGUUUCAUUUAAUUGAUUGGAGUAGGGCUAUGACAGGCAAGUCUGAAAGCUGAAGACAUUUUAAACUCUUGGCCAGAGACUGAGGUAGGGCGCAUCCUGCGAGAGUAUGGGGAAGAAAGUAACUGGUACUCUCUUCAAAAUAGAAUUGUUAAAGCCCGAUUGAAUGGUGGAUUGCAUUCCACUGGUGAUCUAGUUGAUCUUAUAAAAAGUGCGACUCCUCUGAGUCGAGGUAGGUAUCCUCUUGUGCUCUGUUGUGGUUCUACUUUGGCCUUGCAUUGUAUAUAUCUGUCAAGAUUAUAGUACCUUUGCGUGUUUUGGUCAUGGCUAUGCAAAAAAAGUUUCAAUUACUAAAAUCGAAUUCAAUUGCAACAGAAGGAAGGCAAGGUUGGAUUAAGACAGCUACAAGGGUCUUUCAAGCUCUGAGGAUAGCUGUCAACGAUGAACUGAAGACUCUGGAGGAUUCUCUUUAUGCUUGUUUUGACUGCCUUGCACCUGGUGGUAGGCUAGCGGUCAUCUCUUUCCAUAGUUUGGAAGACAGAAUUGUGAAACAAACAUUUCUGGACAUAAUCAAUGUCAAAGAUGGAGAUGGGGAUAUUGAUAUGAAUGAAGAAGAAGCGCGGAACAAAGAUUUGAGAAAGGUCAGGAAUGACAUUGAUGAAAGUGAAGCAUGGAUCAAACAAAUGGUACAAGGCUUGAGAGGAACAAUUCUCACUAAGAGACCAAUUACACCAUCUGAAAAGGAAGAGAGCCUGAAUAGCCGUUCCAGAAGUGCUAAGCUGAGGGUGAUUCAGAAGGCUUAGUUUAAUUAUUUUGAUGAAUUAGGUUUUGAAGACAUUCCUACAGCAAUAUUUAUCUGCAUCUCUGGUGUUUUCCCCAUUUUUUAUUCACAUUUUGUUUAGGUUGGGAGUUUAGAUUAUAUAAACAUUUUUUGUUUUUGAGGAAUGUAAUAUUCCACAUAUAUGAAAUAUCUCAAACCCUAGAGUGUUCAUCCAUUUGAUAGGAACUAUUUCCUUGCAAAUAUGCUAGAGGUUGGUGUUGGAAGUGUAAUGAGAGAAGUGUAAUGACCAUGUAUUAGAAAUCUUCUCGUUUCUCUUUUGUUUUUUUCUUUUGAUAAAUUACCAGAAAUCUUCUCUUGAGUUAUUGUAAAUCAAGAUGCAAAGUUGUUUAUCUUUCACUAAUGUGCAUAGAAUAAAGGUUUAUUAUCACAAAACGUCCCUAAGGUUUACGAAACUAUCAGAUUGCAUCCUUAAUGUUUUUGUGUGUCAUUCGUGGUCCUCAAGGUUAGUAUGUGUUAUCACAAAUGGUCCAUGUCGUUAGGUUCCGUCAAAAACUCUGUUAAUUUGUUGAUGUGGCAUAUAUAUAUAGCACAAAACAUCCCUGAGGUUCAUGCACUUAUCAUAAAUGGUUCUUGCCAAAUUUUUUAAUUUAAAAUUCAUAAAAUUUUGGUUUUCUUUUUAAAAUUUUAUGAAUUUAAAAUUAUUUAAAUAUAUAUAUUAAUAUUUCAAAUACAUGUGAUAUUGUAGAUGUGGGCUUCAUAUAUAUGCCACAUCGACAAACUAAUGGAGUUUUUAAAAAAUAAUUUAAAAAUGAAAAAACUAAGGGUUUAGGGUUCAUAAAUGGUCCUCAAGAUUAAAAUCCUUCUAUAAAUAAUAUUUUCAUUUAUAAAUAAUUUUAAAAAGAAAACCAAAAUUUUAUGAAUUUUAAAUUAAAAAAUUAAAAAAAUUCGUAAAGACCAUUUGUGAUAGGUGCAUGAACCAUAGGGAUGUUUUGUGAUAUAUAUACAGCCCCGAUCUCUUGGACCACAGGGGUCCAAGAAAUUGUGGUCACCCACCGUUGGAUGUUAAUCCAAUGGUUCAAAAAAAGUUCUUAAAAUGAGUGCAAGAGUGAGUGAACUGUUGAAUUUACAUCCAGCGGUGAGUAACUACAAAUCUCUUGGACUCCUGUAGUCUAAGAGAUCGAGACUGUAUAUAUAUAUAUGUCAUGUCAGCACACUAACGGAGUUUUUGACGAAACUUAACAGCAGGGACCAUUUGUAAUCGCACAUACUAACCUUGAAGACCACGAGUGACACAAAAAAAAAAAAAACAUUAAGGAUGCAAUCUGAUAGUUUCGUAAACCUUAAAGACGUUUUAUGAUAAUAAGCCUAAAAUAAAUAAUAGUUUAGACUAUUACUUUUAUUAAUUAAAUAAAAGGAAGAAGUGGUAAUGGUAAAUAAUAGUCAUAACGGUGGCAUGGGCAAAAUUGUAUUUUUGCAGUGGUUGUGGGUUGAGAGACAUUGAGAACUGCUGAGUUGUCAUGUCUUUUCUUUUCACGAUCCUAUAUCUUAUCUCAAAUCAAAUCUGAAUCCCCUCCAACUAUCCUCUUCCAACUCUCAGUAACAUUUAAUAUUCGACCCACACAUUAUAACCACUAUCCUCUUCCAACUCAAAACCAAAAUAAUCUUUUUUUGGAGGAACAAAACCAACAGAAAUUUAAAGAACCAGAACUGGUGAAUUUUCUUCCCCUCUCUGUUCCCACUAUUCUCCCCAACCAAACAGAAAUAUGAAAAUAAUAAAACAGGGCUUGCAGACAAUUUUAUUUUCUAUGGGUUUUGUUCUCUUCCUUUCCAACAGUUCAUAAUUUAAAUUUCUUUAUGUGCUCUGCUUCCUAAAAUAUCUUUUUGCAGCAUAAUGAAGACACUGGCUAUCAAAUGGCAUGAACAAGUACAUUGGUGUGCCUCAUUCCCAUCCUCUCAUAUGCCAAUCUUCAACCCCAGGUUCUUUUUUCUAAUUUUGUAUUGCAAUUCGCAAUUUUAUCUUGACCCAUCGAAGAAAAGUUAGCAGUGAUCAUUCAGUGGUUAAGAAAUCCUUGCUUUUAUAUUUCAGGAAGAAAAUUGAAGUGAUAAAGGUAACUAAAGCAACCAGCUUAAGUUCAGAGUCAAAUGCAAAGAAAGCAAAUUUGUGUGCUGCAAAGAAGGAAAGAAUUAAGCUGCCAAAUCAUGAUGAUAGCUCUGGUGGCAAGACUUUUCACAUUAGUGAGUUUCUCAGCCACCAAUCAGGAAUUGAAGCCAUGCUUAACACCAGAGCCUUAAAAAGCUUUGAAUCCCUUGAUACUGAUACUUACAGGUCAUUCCCUUGGAACCCUUUUGUGCUUGACUUCUUCCAUGUUCACUUGAAACUUCAAAAGUGAGUCUAAGAUAGGAAAAAACAAUGCCCUUUUUCUGUGCAGAUGCACCCUGCCAAAGCUUCAGCUUUUGAAUUUUGAAGCUGCUCCUGUGCUGGACUUGAGAGUGACCCCAACAAAUGAAGAUUGUAUAGUUGAGAUGCUUUCUUGCAGGGUGAGUUUCAAAUCCCAUAAAUGCUUACAUAUAAAAGUGAACUUGUAACAUUGCAAAAUGAGGAUGCAUUUGAUGGCUUCUUACAAAUUUGAUUUGCAGUUUGAGGGUUCAGAAGCCGUGGAACGCCAAAACAGCCAUUUUUCAGGUGAAUAAAGAUUGGGUGAGAGUCUUGUAACUUUUAGAAGAGUAAGUUUUAGUCCAUGGGAAUAUCGAAUUUACACUUUCGAAGGAAGAAAGACUUGUAAGGUCAUCAAAUGCUCAUUUAUUUUUGAAAGCCUUUAUUCUAAGGGCCUGGCUGCAAGGCUCUUCAUGUAUUUCUUUGAAAAAGAAUAUCAAGCGUCUUCUAAUCUUAUGGUCUCUAUUUACAGCAUUUAUGAGAAAUCACAUGUCGUGGGACACAAAUGACUCUGAAUCUUUUUUGGAGGUUGAUGUGAAGCUAAACCUCACUCUUGAGGUUGUUAAAAUUUCGCUUGCAUUAUCCUUCACUCUCUGUUAUCUUUCUCCUUCACUUUCGACGCAAUAGCCAAUACAUGCCAUUUUCACCUGUCGUUAGCAGCUGUUUCUAGUUUCUACUUGCAUAAUUGAGCUGGAAUAUAGGAUUUCAAUAGCAUAUGUUAUGUGCAGAUUUAUACACGCCCUUUCACCAUGAUGCCAGUAUCAGCUGUUGAGCGUCCUGGAAAUUUGUAAGUACUUGAAGCUUUGUUUGUUUCUUUAGAACUUUAUAUAAUUGUUUUUGGGCAGAGAUGAAUUCAAACUGUGCAAGUGUGAUGACAUGCAGAAUGAUGCAAGCCUUAGUGGAUAGGCUGGUGCCAUUGCUUCUGCAGCAACUACUACAAGAUUACAGCAAAUGGGUUGUUGAUAAGCAAGCAGUUGGAUGAUCUUCCAUCCAUUUCUGCAAACAGAGAUAGAUGAGUAAAACAAAAGAAGACAGAAUGGGGAGUCGUAGUUUCCAGCCUACGACGAAAAGUAAUCCCUUCUGCAUCAAUCUGAACAUUCAACUCUACUUUCCGGCGACAUUAUUUCAAGUUGCGGUCAUUCUUUUGGGGAGGAAAUUGUUAACUUGCAGCUUAAAUUUAGGUCUAAAACUAAAACCUCCCCACAAUAUCCUUGAUCCUUAUGAUGAUGUCCUAGAAUUUUGCGGAUGGAUAUAAAAUGUGUUAAAAUUCUCGAUCAAGAGGAGAUGUAAAUUUUUAGUUGUCAUUUUCGUCUGUAUAUCUUAAGAUGUAAUGUAAUAACAUUGUUAGUUCAUCAAUUUAUGACAUUCAAGUUAGAAGGAAAUUUGUCAAUCCCUAGCUUUCAUGGUUUUAUCAUUGUCACCUUACAAAGAAGAAAAAUUACAAUUGUAACCAAAUCCGUGACUUCAUUGGCAAAUGCCAUGACACAUUGGGGGAUGCAUUGCAUCAUGCUGCUAAUAAACAAAUAGGCCAACAACAAAUAAAUAGAUUAAAAGCAUUGCGUUUCUCAUCGCUUCCUCAAAGACUCCCUUGGCUGCAGGGAAGAAGGCAUGCCAAAGACUCGUGAAAAUAGCAAAAUAAAAUCACAGCAUUCCAGGGCUGGAUCUGAUGGCAAACAAAAAAAACUAAGUCUCAAACUGCGUUCCUAAAAACCGUAUUACAGGUAAGUUGCAUCAUCUGAUACAGAUCCAAGAAAACAUUACAACUCAAAAUGCAAUACAACAAACUCGGCCAAACUAAAAUUGCACUCCAUCACAGGCGGCACAACCAGUUCAGCUCUCAACGGUUGGUCAAACUAAUAUGCCACCUCCAUCACCAGCAGCACAACCGGCACAACCAGUUAUCUCGACAGUCGAUUAUGUUCAGCAAGCUCCUCUGACAGACACAAUAAAACCUGUCACAUUUUUAUGUUAGAACCACAAUGAAGGUUAUAUUGCGAUGAAAAAACAGAUUUAGAAAACAAAGGGCACGCGCAUGGAUGAGUUACAAAGAGCGACUCAGAGGAGACUAUUUUGACACUACAUAUCCAACUGCCACUUCUAAUGCCACACUUUGCUAAGCAUAUAAACCACUAUGUUUCAGCUUUCAACAGAUAGCUUUAUUCCUCUCUUUACAGAAAUUAGUGUUUUGCAGAAAAGAAGCUGCAUGAAGACGACAGCUACAACCACCUUAAUUCUUAUAAACCAAAAACAUAGAAACUAAAGCAUGGGAACCCAUGACACAUAACAAAAUGGAUGGCUGAUAACAUGCACUCAGUGACAUUUAUUAAAAGGCAUGCAACCUUGAUGUUUGUAUGUGACCUCAACAUAACAAAAAAUUCAAAAGCAUUUUACAAACAAUGCAUGUAAAGAAUUUUUUUUUUUAAAAGUAUAUCUUACCAUAAAUCAGUCCCGAUUCCUGGAACGACCAUCAUUAUGUUUGUCAUUUUCAUAUCUUCUUCUCUCACUUGAUCUAGAAUCAUCAUAUCUUGCUCUCUUGUAAUCCAGGUGCCUAUCUCUCUCUGUCUCCUUACUUCCCCCUUCUUCAUCUAUGUUUCCAUGCCUUCUAGAAUCAUCAGAUCUUGCUCUCUUGUAAUCCAGGUGCCUAUCUCUCUCAGGCUCUUUACUUCCCCCUUCUUCAUCUAUGUUUCCAUGCCUUCUAAUUCCACGCUCCUCUUCAACAUCCUCUCCAUGCCUUCUAUAUAUACGAUCAUCUUCAUUGUGUUUGUCAUUUUCAUGCCUCCUCCUAACCCUUUCAGUCUCCUUACUUCCCCUUUCUUCAUCUACUUUACCAUACCUUCUAUUUCCACGCUCCUCUUCAAUAUCUUCUGCGUGCCUUCUAUAUUUGCGAUCCUCUUCAAUAUGUUUGUCAUUUCCGUGCCUCCUCUUCUCCCUCUGUGUCUCCUUACUUCCCCUUUCUUCAUCUAUUUUUCCAUGCCUUCUAUUACCACGCUCCUCUUCCACAUCCUCUACACGCCUUCUAUAUUUAGGAUCUUCUUCAUUGUGUUUGUCAUUUUCGUGCCUCCUCCUCUCAUUUGAUCUAGCAUCAUCAUAUUUUGCUCUCUUGUAAUCCAUGACUUGAUCCCUGUCAAUAUCCUUAUUUCCCUGUUCUUCCUCCAUUUUCCCAAGCUUUCUGUUUCCAUGCUCCUCUUCGUGAUUUUCUCUGUGCUUUCUAUAUUCAUGAUCCUCUUCGUCUCUUCCAUGCUUCCUUCCCCUAUUUUCUUCCUCCUUGUUGUGUCUUCCACGUAUUCCAUGAUCCUCUUCAUCCCUUCCGUGCUUUCUACCCUUAUGCUCCUGAUCAUCCUUGCUGCGGCUUCUACCUCCUCCACGCUCUUCGUAAUCCUGAUUACCCCUCCUACUAACCCAUUGUGGUUCACUAUCCUUGCUGUGAACUCUGUCCUCACGUUCUACAGUCACAUCAUCAUCAGUAUCAAUCCUGCCACUUCCUCUACUCUUUUCUGUUAUUGCACCUCUACUUUUUCUGGACCUUUCAUAGUCAGAUUCAUCAUCCACAUCAUAAUUUUUCCUGCUUUUUCCACUUCUAACAUUGUUGCCUUUGUUGUCAUCCUCCACGACAAAAUUAUCUCGCUCCACCUUUCGGCUACCAUGCUGAUUCCUCUGCUUCUCAACUUGACUUUUUUUCCUUUCCAUCCUGCUGUCAGAAUCAGACUCAUCCCCAGAAUCAUGCCGCCUGCUUGGUUUCACAUGUAGUUUCUCCUUUUCAGCUCUACUCUUCGAGAAGUCUUUAUCAGAACCAGAAUCUUCAUCAGAAUCAUGCCUCCUACGAGGUUGUUUGGAUUUCUCAACUUCCUUUCUGGAUCUGCCCUCAGCACCAUCAUCACUGGUAGCAGAAUCAGAAUCAUCAGUGUCAUUCUUUCUGCUCUUAUUAUGCUUCUUUACAACCUUCUGCUUCUUUCUACCAUCAACUUCUGAAUCAUCUUCAUCGGAAUCAUGCCUCCUAUGAGGUUUUUUGAACUUAUCAACUUUCUUUCUUGAACUGUCCUUCGCAUCAUCAUCACUGGUGGCAGAAUCGGAAUCAUCGGUGUUUUCAUUUCUUCUUUUAUUGUGCUUCUUUGCAACCUUGUGCUUCUUGCCAACAUCAACUUCAGAAUCAUCUUCAUCACUGCUGCUAGUUCCACGGCGCUUCUUCUUUUUAUCAGCUUUCGGAGGACUACCACUGUUAUCGGUAUCAGAAGAAUCAUACUUAUGCCUUUUCUUCCUACUUUCUUCCUUCUUGUUCCGCCUAGAUUCUUUCACACUCUUUUUCUUAUCAUCUUUUUCAGCUUUCUGCUUUUCCUCCCCAUGUUUCUUCCGCGAAUAGUCCCUGUCCAAAAAUGCAUGCUCGCUUCUCUCCUGAGGCCUGCCAUCAUCAUUUGGACCAUUCUUCCGACUACUUUUCAGUCCAUCAUCAACCUCAUCAGUAUCUUUUUCUGUUAAAUCAGAUGAAGCUAGUCCAAGAGCAGCUCUUAAUGUUUCCAUUUGCUUCUCCUUCCUGGCAGCAAUUUGGUGGGUCUGUGUAUCUGAAACCCUGGUUAAGUGACAAAAUAUAAAUUUAAUCAAAAAAUUCAAAAUACCAAAUUUCAAUGUCCAACUUUUAAUCACAUUCUAUUGAGCAGCAAACUACAUGCAAAAUAUACUACUAUAAUUAGAAAAUUAAAGAUAUUACUAUUCAUAUAUGCAAGCAAUUCUCAACAUUUCAUACUUUAACCAAAAAAGAGAGAAAUUACUUCUUAUCGGAAAUCACAACGGCGGUGGAUCCACCGAGCUCCUCGGAAGCAGCUGCGGCUUCGAGAGUCUUCCGAGCCUCCUCGAGCUUCUCCGCGAUCUCAGUAUCCGUAAAACCCUGAUCGAUGAGCUUAUCCUCGAGCACCACAAGCUUGAGCUGAAUCUGGCGCUUGCGAUCAUGCUCGAGGAUGUCCCUGUUGGCCUUCUUCAUGACGCCGCCCAUGCCCUGGUCGUCGUCAAAGCCUCUGGAAGAAUCGGCGACCUUUCCGGUCCUCGAUUUGAUGAAGAACUUGUUAGUCUGUAUGUAACCAUUGGUCCCAGACCCCCUUGGAGUUUGUAACCCUAUUCCGUUGUACAUCUCGCUCUUCAAAAUCACUGUUCAAUCACAAUCGGUACUAAAAUCAACUCGCAGAAACCCUAGAUUCAAAAACAGGUGGAUACAAAUCCAACGCAAAACGAAGAAGGGCAAGCAAUUGAUUUCCAGGGAAACAAACAGAACCUGGAUUUCGCUAAGGGCGGUGUUUGUUGAAAUUCCCUGGCUCUCUCUUCGUAUCACAAGCAGAGAGGAAAAAUACAGAUUUAUAACCUCUGUAUUUUUUUCUGUUUUAAAACCUUUUCAGGUUUGGAAAGGAAUUUCGAGAAGAGGCCAACUUUACAGGCUUUGGAAUUUAUAAAGGCUUUUUUUAUCACAAAUUGUGCCUUAGGUUUGUAAAAUUAUCGUCUUUGAUUUUUUAUGUUUUUUUAAUGACAUUAUUGGUCAUUCCGUCAAGUUUAGUAGAAAAAAAUUUAUUAGAUUGUUGAUGUGGACGCUAAGUGAAUUAAAAUUAAAAAUAUAUAUUAUAAAUGAAGAAAAAAAAUUAGGAAAAAAAAAAAAGAUGGGUACGAGCUGGGGAUGGGUCUCUGGUGGAGGUGGGGUUGGGGUUGGAAUUCGGGCAGUUGUUGGGGGAUGGGUCUUGGGUGGGGUUAGGGUUGGGAUGGAUCUCGGGUGGAGAUGGGGGUUGUAUAGUGGCAUUGGGCUUGGGAGUUUUCUGGAUAGAGAAAAAAAUAGGGUGAGAGAGAGAAAGAGAGGGAGAUAGGGAGGGAUGGGGAAGGAGGGAUUGGGGGGGUUUGUGGUCGAGUAAUUGGGAGUUUGUCACAUGUAUAAAUAUUAUUUCCGUUCACAUGUUCUAUUGUUCACUUGCAUUUUUAUACAAAAUGUUAAUGAUGAGUUUUAUAACCCAAAGUCUGAAACUCAAAGACCCUAAUCUAUUUGAUUAUUUUCUAAUUGCAUGGACAUGGCCCUAAAUUAUCUGAUUAUUUCCCCAUUGCCCAAAAUUAGACUUAGAGAGAGGGCAAAUUUUAAAUGAUAAAUAAGAACAAUUAUGUAUAUAUUUAUAUUUCAAAAAAAAUUUGUAUUAUAUCAUUUUCAAUUCCAGUUGUAUAGACCCCGUUCCCUCUAUGUCCAUUCAAUCUGAACCUUGCUGCAUGAAUGCACUGUAAGACCAGGAAUGCCCUCAAUGAUCCAUUCCUCGCCCUCAAAUUAAUCCACUUUUAUCUCUAAUCAAGUGAUUUCAAUAACUCAUAUCGUCAACUAUUGUAUAGAGUCGAACAACAAAAUUUCAAAUCCUAACAACAGAUACAUUUCUAUUGCCUUAUAUAUUCAAUACAAACAUCAGGGACAAGCACUGCAUGUAUCCGGGUGUAAUUCUUCCCAAAUCUAUGGGGCACCCAAACUAAUUCACCACCAUGAAUUUUAGGUGGGGCAUAGGCAUAUUAGACACUCAACUUAGUCGCCUCUAAGAUGGAUCAAACAAUCAACUCUGCUUGCGUUUUACGCAUCGGAAUACCAGACUUUCAAUCCUCAUGUGUAUCGAACAAGACAUAAAACCAAGCGACGCUACAGCCCGACCCAAUAUGAACGUCCAUUGGUGUUGUGAAUGGGUGAACUGGAGGGCGAUGUCACAGUCCAUUCAUACCAAACCUGCAUCACAUUCCAUAGGAGCUCAUUCAAAGACUCAUUAUUCAUAAAAAAAAAACUACAAACUCAGGAACAGAUGCACAAAACACACUAAUUAUAUGCUCAAGAUUCUGACCAUGCAUAAUGGCCUUGAGAUUUAUACAUUCUUUGUAAACAAUAAAGGAUUGUCUUUUAAGGGUUUACUAAUCGUUACCUUGCUAGGACGGCAACAACGCCAAAAAUGUACUUCAAGAGAAGAACCAGGAUGUAGAGAAAUGGGUGUCCUCAGUGGGAAAAAUAUUGGAAACCUGAGUACAACAACAUACCAGGUCAAAUAGUGCAAUGAUUUACAGAUACAAGAAACCAAUAAUUUUUGGGUUCAUCUAGAUGAUAAACAGCAUGUAAGUCAUACAACUACCACAUAAGUUUGAGCUAUGAUAAACAGCAUGUAAUGUAAGCCAUAUAACUACCAAAUAAGUUUUAGCCAUGCUUUGCUUCAUGUGUUUACCAUUUGUAGCAUAACCAUGAAAAUAUAAAAUAAACAAAAACAUUUUAACAAUUGGAAAGAAAAAGCAAACAUAGGAUGACAAGCAUCAACCGCACAAGAAAAGGAUAGUAGGGAUCCACACCAGCUAAACAUGUUCGGUGUUGACGUUGACGGUUCAAUGCCAAGAUGAACUUCUUUGUAUAGAACAGCAUCAAAAUAGCCAGCAAAUCCUGAAGGUGUAGAGAAAAGGGUAAAUCAGACAUUUCCUAAUACAAACGUCUUAAUUAAAUGUGUGCCUGUGUUUUUCUCAGCAUAAAUACUCAGAUCUUAGUCUGCUCAAAGAACAAAUUCAAGUAGCGGUUGUUAAACAUGGCAGGUGCAAUAAACCAAAAUCAUUGCAUUGCAUAACCAACCCACUAAUGCUUUCUCAACCCCGAAACAAAAUCCAUAUCUUCCAACAAUGUUCAGCAAGAUUUUACAAUAUACAAAUUUUGACUAUUUGCAUUCCUCGACUUUUCCCAUCCUGUCAUGCAUACUAUCAUUACAUGUGCAUGCCUCAAGCACUUUUUUUAUUGUUCAUUUUUGCCUCCGUAACGAUAAAUGAUGUUUAACAUUUCUUGAGAGUUUUCCAGGGUAAAUUCAUUUCAUAUCGACAAAUGAUACCCAAAAAAGAGGCCCAAUAAGUAUUGAUCGGAUUUUAACAUGAACCAUUCAUAUUUUUAAAAUUUCCAACAUUAUGGCACAUGAUAAUCAUUCAAGAGUCAGCAGUACAAUCAGAGGAGAAUUCAGUCACAUUAACUAAAUGCAAACACCCUAAUGACAUUCUUGAAUCAUUCAAGAAUACCUAUUUACCAAAAGAAAAAUGAUGCCACCACAUACCGUGAAUCAUGGCCGAGCCAGUAUCACUGGAUACUCCAAACUGCAACUUCGUGUACCGGUUAUUGCUUUUGUCAAUUGAGCGAUUUGGAUGAAUAAACGUGAACACCUAUCUUAGUUGAAAACAAUAUAUCAAGUCGUGGUGAAACAGUUGAUGAAUUAAGACUGUUUACAAGUUAAUAACAUCAAAUGCGCCUGAGUGAAAAAAUCUCACAGGUUGAGGAGGAGCAAGUCUUGCAAUGUUGUGCAAUUUAACAACAUAAGCAGUUUCAAAGUGUGCAACAUCUUUAUGCGACUUAACCUGAAACAUAACCACAAUAAGUUGCUAAGGAAUCCUCAAAACAGAUAGUAUUGGGACAUCUUGGGCACAAAGACACAAGCAUACAUCAUUGUAAAGCUUUGAAGCAGUCACCGGUUGGAUGAAACUCGUGUACCUGAAAAGAGGCAUACAAACUUUUAUGAGAGAAACACUAAUGAAAAUUGAAAACUAUUGAUGCUGAGCACUUAGAUAAGAAAUCUGGACAGUUUCCCCACAAGAUAUCCAAAUGUCAAUACUGAUUUUUGAACAAAUCCUGUCCCGAGGGGGGCACCUUUCACGUAAAACUUCAAAAUAAAUGUAUACGUACGAUGAAGGUAUUGAGAUUCCAUCGUCCUUCAAAAGUCUCUGAGCUCCAUCAAGGCACUCAGGAGAUAGCUCAUUAUCACCAAAUGAACCCAAUAAUUCACUCACCUAUUACACAAUUGAAGGCAAUGGUUUUAAGAAAACCCAAAAACAAAUAGAUGAUUAUUCAUGAUAAUACUUGCAUACCAAAAUGUCAGCUUUCUCAGGAGCAUCCCAGUAACGCAUAUCACUUGAAAUUAUGGAAACAAUGUUUUCCCACCCCUCUAGUUUAACCAAGCUCUGCUCCAACAAACACAGAUACGUCAAUAUAUAAAAUGCAGACCAUGAAAAAGGGGAGGGGGGGGAGAGAAGUCUAAUUCAAACAAACACCUAUAUCAACUUUGCAACUUAGCACAGAAAGAAAUACAAUAAAGAGAAUUUGCAACUCACAUGCAGUGUAACGACUGCAUUUGGAUUUUUUUCCACAGCGUAGACUUUAAGCUUGCGCCCAGUUUCUUCAGCUGCCUGCAUAUGAGAAGGAGAUAUAGAGUGAGCAUCAAAAUGAUCUGCUACAUGUAAAAUCCAGUCUGGAUAUAAACAAUUUAGUCCAAAAGUAAUAUAUAUAAGAUAGAUAAGGCACCUGCAAUGAAGCCCUUACAAGAGGUCCACGUCCUGCUCCUACAACCAUCAAUACCUUGCCAGAACAAAUAUGAAGCCAUGUCAUGACCUUCAGAACUUUUGUCAUCAAACUUAAUAAAGCACAGUUACAAGUGAGCAGCUUACAGUGGUCACUGAAGAUGCCUUGUCAUCUGGAACCCUGUCCUGUAAAGCUUUACAAAUUGCCCUUUGGUACUAGAAAAGGUGCCAAAAAAAAAAUUUACAAUUGUACGCAAUAAAAGAAACUACACCUUCUAGCAAACAUUUGAACCAGUAGGUAACAAAAGUAAUUUAGUUUGCAAUGUCUUCCUUUUCCAAAGAACCCCUGGCCCCUCCAAAACGUAGAUAGAAUAAUUACAUAUUAAAUAAAGCACUUCAUUCCCCCAAUUAUUUCACACUACGAUGGCACACAAAGAAAAUAACGAUAUCAAAAUAUCUGAAAAGAUUUUUAUGCAUUUAUUUGCAAAGGCAGGCAUACCUGAAUGUAUUUCAUCGUGUCCUUUUCAAAUGUCUCAUAGGUUUGAGCCUCUAGAUUAUCCAUGAGAGGCUGCAUUAAGAAUAGCAGAUUUAGCCUAACUUGAAAUUGUUUUAUAAGAGGAUGGGCAAUCACUACGUGUGUAGGAUUCAAUAUUUCAACAAAUAGGAAAGGAACACUUAAGAAAAAUACUAGUACCAAUAUAAUAAUACAAGAGAGCACUAGGCAAAGAAACUGUACCUGUAAGGGUGACUGCAGGAAAUCCCUGUAACCAAGCUGGCAUAAGAAACUUAAAAGGAUCAAGAAAUGUAAAACAAAUAACUGAUACACAUUCAGAGAGAGACAGACAGACAGACAGACAGACCUCAAACCGUUCUUGCUCAGGAAGGGGAUCCAUCCUUUGGUAGAGAUAACCAACAUAAUCCAAAUACGGCCUCAGGGGAUGUUUCUGGACACCUGAAUGUCAAGAAUGCUUUAUCACAAUUCAUUGUGUUAAACUGAAAGUGUUUUUCUAGUCUUAGGUAUCAUAUAGCUUGUUUCUUGAUAUUUGUUCUGUGUUAGUGGAAUAAACAUAUGUUUUUUUUCCAUUCAUUGUUUCCUUCAUAUUUGCAUCUGGAUCUAUAUGAUCCUGAGGAUCAGAAUCAAAGAAAGUAAUUUAGAGAACAAAGCGUAGCACUCUAAAAGCCAGUCAGAACUCAGAAGCACUUAUAUGAAACUAGUCAUGACAAGCAAUAAAAAGCACUUGAAAACGAAACAAUGUUCAUAUAAUGGCGUAGCUUUUCUGACUCAACUAGUUCAAAUACUUGUCAAACGAAAUUAUUACUAUUUCAAUGAUCUACUAGCAGUAUUUAAGACAAUUCACUUGUAAACUGACGGUAGGUCUUACCGUCAACAUUAUUAUCAUUAUUAUUGGCAGCUAAAUCUGAAUUUAUCCUGGGGAGACUGUGUACUGGUUCUCCAGAUAGAACUAUCUGAAAAUAAAUUUCGCAUUCCAAAGAUUAGCAAACAUUGCAGGAAGUUGACCAUAAGAUCUAAAACUAAUGAUGUCUAUGAAGAAAUUUUGCAACUACGAAACCAUAAUUGGGUGGAACUUGCUGGAGAUUUUAAGUAACUUUGGAGCACUGUCCAAGAAAAUAUUUUGAACAAACAAAAAACAAAAUGAAGUAUGGGGUUGCUUAUACUGCAAGUGCAGGGAAAUGGGAGAAGGAACUUCAACAGAACAAAAUACUGUUGAUAACUCCUUCAUCAAUACCUGUAUAGAAUGAUUGAAAAACCCACUGACUAGCUUUUGGUGGCGCUUUGACAGACAUGGAUAACCCCGUGCAUUUGUUAAAAAGCACUGGCAAAUAAACAAGACCAUUGUAAGAAAAUAAGCAGUAAUGAACUUGAGCUUUCCUUAAUACACCAAUCAGCAUAUAAUUACAUCAGUACUGAUUAUGGCUGCUCUAACAGACUCCCCAAACCAACGUCCAAGUGAGUUUGCAGAAGGUAGUGAAUUCCUGAUGAAAAAGAAAGUUCGCUCAAAAUUUAAAAAAUAUGUAUGCUACUUCAGGCACAGUGAAAACAAAAAUCAUAAAUCCGCCAAGUUAUACAAGAAUGGUCAAUGCUAAACUUACAAAACAUCAAGGGCAACAGACAAUUGACUGUGAUGUUCACAUAGCAGACGAAAUGAAUUCCAAAUCUCCCAGGAAUCAUCCUGCAAGAGGAAAAAAAAAUUAAGGAAAAUGAGGUUUAUCCUCUGGUAUGUCAAUCAUCAUACCACCAUAAGUGAAAUAAUAAUCAAAAUAACAAAAAAGGGGGAGAUAAAUAAAGGUUAUACAUAUUAAGGAAACCUCAAGUUCAUGCAGAAGGUCUACACCCUGUAUAAGUUUGACUACCCUACUCAAUCUACAACUACACAAAAGAGGCAACUCUCCACUCCUCACCUCCCUCUUUGCUACAAGACAUCUAACAACAAAGCAUUUACACAGAUUCCAACAAAGCACCCAAUUUGCUGGUAGAUUUAGCACAAGACUUGUCAUUCUGGUGGUUCAACAAGGGCCAUAUGCAACAAAGGUUGGACUUCUAUGUACAGUGCAACAUUUAUGGGCCAAGAGUCAUGAUAUACGUUCAAACUCAGUGGCUGGAAACUAAGAGGUUCCAUCAAAAGAAGGAAAAAAAAUCAUCAAAAUGGAAAAUCUAUUUUGAGAACUUAAACAUUCCUUCAAGAUGAGAUGGAGAUCUAAGCAUAAUCAGAAGGGACUUCACUCACCAAAUUACUAGAGUUCACCACAUCCAUCGUAUCGUUGUCUGUCUUGACCAAUGGAAUCCGCAGCCACAACUAUAACAGAGCAUAACAAGAAAUAAUAAAACCCAGCUUCAAAAGUAGAAUACACAAAGAGGUUGAAAGAUGUAAACUGUUUUGGAUUGACAAAUGUACCUGCAUACUGUUUAGUCCUUGUAAAAUCUGAUUGACACACCUAGCAUAAUUAGCACAGGAAUUCCCCUUUGGAGCCGGAAGAAGGCAUGCCUACACCCAACAAUAGAUAAGAAUAGAGGGCCAGCAAGAAAACAAAAUUCAGUUAAUAAUAUCCAGAAUCAAUUUGGUGUAGCAAAGCACAGGAAAUUUUUAAGCAUGGCCUGUAAUAACAAUUCCAAUAUUUUGCAACACUAUAUCCAUAUUUACAUAAAACUAUACCCACCUGCAGGGACAAAUGAGAAGCCCAUGCUAUCUCUUGCUUCAAGGUAAUUUCAGAAUCGACCCGGAGGAUCUCAUCUUCUGAAUCUAAGUCAAUCCAUGAGCUAAUUUUUCCUGAAUAAAUUCAAGAAACCACAGUGAGCAGUCAAUGUAUUAGGAUGCAAGAAGAUAUGCGGUUGAAAAGUACACAGAAUGUAAGCUUAUUAAAACAACUCCAUUCUUAUUCAGCCAAGAAAUCAUACGGCAUAAUGCAGAGAAACGUAACCAGAAAAGCUAGACUUAGCCAGCUUAACCAUCAACCUUAUUGGCUUACAGCCAAGACAUUAUCCAUCCCGAUGCAGAGGAAUCCCACAUAAAAGUAACCACAAAGCUAGACUCAUACAGCUGAAAGAUCACCCAUAACUACUAAUUCCAAUCUGAAAACGGAAACCACACUGCCAAUGAAAAGUUUCUUUGAGAUGCAGAUUAUGAUGAUCACAGAGCCAUGCACUUGCAUUGCAAUAAGAAAAAAUAAUAAUUAGAAAACAAUCAAAUAAGCAUAACUUCAUAAAAGAUACCAACUACCAGUGACAUCUUUCAACAACAAUUAAUGAAUUUCAAGCACAUUCUUAUACUGAAAAUUGAGAAACAUCCAACCCAGCAAGUAAAUCAAACCAAAGUUCCACAUAAGAGUCCUAAUUGAUUCGGAGGCCUUUCAAACAAUAUUAACACAUAAAAGAAAAACUUUGAGAAUAAAAUAAAUGGGUCAGACUGACCAUGGAGGAGACAAUGUAACACAACAAAUUUGUCUACAUAAGUCCAUACCCACAACAUGACUGCUCCAUUGUGAAGGACUCAAAACCAAAUCUGACCCAGCAAAUGGCAGAACACCAGAUACUCCACUUUCUUUUUGCAUUAAGCUUGGUUGAUAAGCAGGAUCCAUCUACAUCAUCAGGUUGAACAAGAAUCACUAUCCAUUGUCCAAGUUGUGUAUCAGAGGAUAAAGAAAGGGAACAGGAAAAGGAAUGAAGAAACAGACACAGACAAACACCUUAGUGAUACAAUCAAGAUGCUGAACACAAGUCAAAAGAUUAACUGCAUACAAACAUGUACUGCUUUUGAUAAAGGCUUUCAUGACCAAAAAGGCAAGCAAAUAAUUCAAAGGACUUCAAGAAGACAUUACAAUCCUACAUGUUGAAUGUAUAUCAUUAUUUUCUAACAUAAUCUUCAGGGGAAAAUACAUAAUUGAAAAAGACAAAUUAUAUCCAAUAAACAUUAACACACAGUUAUGAAGCAUACAAGGUAGUUUACUCUCCCCAUGUGGAAAGAGCCUCAUUAUACCAUGAGAGGCAAGCAACAUAUUCAUUUUAUGUAACAUGUUUGUCUAUGGAAGUAAACAAAUAGUACCUUUGUGGCUCAAAGAAAAGUCCUCAUACCCACCAAUGAUGAGAAAAAUUACAAAGGUAUCACAAAUUUAACAAUGUAGUUUACAGCCUAAAGGUGAAACCAGAGCUACGCUUCACCAUUCAAGACCACCAACAAAGCCUUACUGUCGGUGAGCUUACUGACCAUUCACACAAAACAGAAGCCAUCUCUGGCUGUAUGUGACUGGCUAAUUAGCCACCAUGAGCAAAGAAAUUGCACAAAUGUCCAUGAAGUAACAUGAAAUUCAACGCAUAGUCUUCUAAACAACUAAGCAACACACAAAUAAUUGACAAGUAAAUCAUCGGCAUUUACAGUAAUUUUAAUCACAAAUUGACGUGAAUGUAGUUAGUGGACGUAGAGUGAAGCUGCAUAGUCGAGCAGCUGCACAAGCAACAGCCACUAGCGCAGCAUUGUUAUAGGUGAGCUUACUGACCAUUCACAUCAAAAGAGCAGCUGUAAAGCCGAUAUGUGACUGGCUAAUUAGCCACCAUACAGUCGUUCGAAAAUAAACGACAUCGAAAAUAUUGAUCAUUUCUAAGCAUAAACAGAAGAAUCAAAUGAAAUACGAAACAAGAAAAAUAAUUGUAAAUAAUAAAAAUUAAAAAAAGAAAAGUACGGACCAGAGGAGCCACGACGAAAUCGAAGGAGCCAUGGGAGAGAUUGAAAGCGAGGACAUGAGGCAUGUCAUCGUUGAACUGGGUCUCCACGCCACAAUAGCGAGAUUCGCUCUUAUCUCCUGCUCUUUCACCAAGCGGCAUUUUGCUCUGAACAACUUUACUUGCCCAAAGAGGAGAGAGAGAGAAUGAGAGUGUGCAAGCAGAGCAGGGUUUGGGUUUUGGUGGGGGUUUUGAUUGAUGUCAACGGAAAUGGAAUGCUGCCUCUAAAUAGGGUUUGCUUGCGGAGCUUAGGACUAGGGUUUUGGGUAGCCGGGUUUAACCGAAUGUUUAACGGGUUUUAAAAAAUUGGGUAACCCAUGAAGUAAAGGCCCAACCUAAGAACCAGGCCGAAUGGGUUUUUACAAGAUUCUCCUUUCUAGUAUGGGAGGAAUAGGGUGUUGUGUGAAUCAUCAUCAACUUAUGACUACCACAGUCGGUCCAAAUACAUGAAUAUUAGUUUUAAUGUAAUUAUCUUUUUUUCUUCUUUUUUUUUUUGUCUAUUUGGCAGUAUGUUCACAUUGUCUUCUCAGUUGAGAAUUAAGUGCUAUGCAUACACAACAUUGAUACGAUAAUUUAGAUAUGAAAUAUGUGUAUAUGCAUUCGGUUUUUAUGUUUAUAUAAAUGUGUGUAUUUGCCUUUAGUUUUUAUGUUAAGUUUGUAGGGAUAUGUGUAUAUGAUAUUUGGUUGGUAUUUGUAGGAUUCAAAAGUAAUUACAGAUAAUUACCUGCAUUUCAUAAGUGGUUCACUCAACUUGAGAUGCCCUUCAAUUUAUUUUGCUUGCGUUUGCACAAGUCUGAUCAAUCAAGUUGAGGGUGGAUAAUCCAUGAAUUUUCAGUUGAUUCACUCAUCAGCAACUGGAAAUUCAUCCGCUAUCCAUCCUAAACCCCGAUCGUUCAUAAAUGUGCAAUCACGAGCAAAUAAUUUGAACCGCAUCUCGAAUUGAGUGAACCACGUAUGAAAUUCAGCUAAUUAUUUGUCAAUGCAAUCUAUCUACUCAUCAAUCCUACAAAUACCAACCAAAUAUUAUAUACACAUAUCCCUCCAAAACUUAACAUAGAAACUAAAGGCAUAUACACAUGGGGCAUGUUUACGUAUUAGUAAUGGGUAUGGGAGGAAAGUGAAUGAUUUCCAUUCCCGACUUCUCCUGCGUUUACUUGUAAUCAGGAAUGAAAAAAUAAGUGGGCCCCACCUCAAAAUCAGUAAUCACAUCCCCUCAGAACUAGGUAUCAUAUCAACUAGGGGGGAGUAGUCGAUACGAUUCCCAUUCCUAUUUUCUCUUAGUAACUUCCGAAAAUACCAUUACCACUUUACCAUAAUCCCAAAACACCCCAGACCCUAAAAAAAAUAAAAACUCACACCAAGAAGUUCCAAGACGCUCAAACCCUAAAAAAAAAUAAAAACUCAUUUCCAAGAAGUUCCAUGUAUUUAAUGUAUGAAUAUUAUGCAGGUUAUUAUUAUUUGAUUGUUUACUAGUUACGUAGGUGAAACAUAUAUAUUUAUUGGAGUUUAUUUUUUCGUUUGAAAUUGGCUCUGGACAAAGGUGUUAUUAACAUUAUCAUUGAACUGGGCUCUUGUUAUUCAUCUUGUUCAGCAUAUUGAUUCCUCAUGUUUGCACCGCCUUACUGGUUUGUUGCAGGAUUAGCUUGGUCUCCUUAGCCAAUUUGAGAAUUAUAUAUGUGUUGUGGUGAAAAUGUCCAGGGCAUUUUAAUAAUCAAAUUAAUUUGGAUUUUAUUCAUGAAAAUUAGUAAACAAUAACAAUAGGAAUCAACCUCAUUCAUUUGCUAAUUCCAUAUGUUUAGUAAACAGCAUAAUGGGAAUGAUUCUUCCCAUACCGAUUCAGUAGUUCUCCAAUUCCUAAAUUCUCUGAUUCCUUACUUUCUUCAUUAUUGAUACUUAAACAAGCCCAUAAUUUGAUAUGAUAAAGUACACACAUAGUGUCACAAUAUGCGAUAAUUUUUUCAAAUGGUGUGGUAGUUACACUGCGUUUGGAUCAGAAAGUCCAAAAGGGCAAGGAAAAUUAGUUAUAUAGUCUUGAGAAAUGGUUGAGCAUCUUGUAUAAUAAUAUAAAAAAAUGUCGAGUAUACUUCAAUUCAAAAUAAUGACAAAUUUAUUCUAAAAGAUGGAUUUACAAUUUAAAUUUUAUAAAGUUUAUUUUUUAGUUAACCUAUUAAAUAUAGUUGGUAUUAAAUAUGAAAUUUACAAUUUAGCUUGAUGGAUGUCUCAAUGCGUAAAUGGGUACUGAUGCGCAGGCGGCAACCGCGGUGGUUGUUGGUUGGUGUGUCAAGGUGGCGAUGAUGAAGGUUGUGGUGGUGAAAAUGGAGAUGGUGGUGACAGCCAUGUCAACAGGUGGGAUUACAUUAGCCUGAUUUCUCCACCCAGGUUUAAAAAUGCGUUCACCUAAUGAAAUUACUAGCAACUAGUAGAAAGAAAAUCUGAAAGCAAAGUUGAAGAGGCGAAAUUAAAAAGUCUAUUCAUAUGCUUCAGUUUGCCAAAUCCACAACCACAAACAGAAAGUACUGAACAAUGUCGAAUAGCAUCUACAUUCAUUUUCACUACAUAAAGUUGCUUGACACACAAGCUUAUGAGCAUAUAUAUGAAAUGGAAGCGUCCGAACGAAACAAAGAGACAUCCAAGUGCCUCUUGCGAAGGGAACAUAAUUCAAGCACUUCCUUUCACAUUCACACGUCCAUCAUAAUCAGUUGCAGAAACUUGUCCGUACUCACCCUUAACAUCCUCUUCAAUCUCCUCGAAGUAAUCCUCUCGGGCAUUGUCAGCCAACAUAAGGGCAACCAACCACAACAGUGAUGCAUCAAGGGAUACAAAAGCGCCGCCACCUAGGAGUCCAGUCUUAGCAGUUGGGCAAGCGGUAUCAAGAUUACGAUGAACAUUUCGUGAUCGAUGAAGUUGCUCGGUUAUUGUGGGCCAUAGCAACAGAGCUGCAGCUAAUCCGGCUGUAAGCCUGUGUAAUGUGACCACCACCAAAGAAACACAAUUAGAGAGAGGUGGAUCAGCAUUUUGCAGAAAACCUUGAAUGAUACAUUUUUGGAAUAUUAUAUGACAUGAUGCCCAACUUGAAUAGCUACUCUAAAUUAUAUGAUGUUCUAAAUGGCUGCAAGAUCCAUAACUAGAGAGUUCGAGCAAGAACAACAUCUUCUUAUAGGCACAAUUUAUACAUAUUAUGCAUCAACAUAAUAAGCCUUGAACUAUUCAAAUCUAAGUACGCUUAUAUAGAUAUAUGCACAACUGUGAACACUUACAGAGAAAUGUUGAAGAAUACAACAAAACUAGUGCUUCGGAACAAAGCGGCCUGUGGGAGGGCCUUUCCUUUAUAUGGGUAAAACAAUGACAAGAACCCAGCCACUGUAGAUACCAGGAGGAAGGCAAAAGACAGAUAUCCCAGGACAACUGAUGGGUCAGCAGGAUACUUGCAGAACACAACACCUUUCCCCGGAAUUGGAGUUCCAGAUGCAGGCUGUCAAGAGGUCAGAAAACAAAGAAUCUAAUUAGUAGCCAAGAAUACAUGUAACUAGUUCGAAUCAAAUCAAAGAAAUAUAUGAAUAAGACUGGAUACAUUUUCUGCUAUAAUUUCCACCACCCUAUGGUAAAUAAUCUAAAGAACUGUUCUUUUGUUCUUUUUUGUUUUUUGGGAUUAAUCAGAAUCACUCGGUCGUUGACUGUUAAUCAGAAUUCAUUUACCCACCAAAAUUCUUUUCAAGCUUAAAGGCAGCAGUAACUGUUGCCUAGAACACAGACACAGAGGAAGAAAUAUUUGGGACAUAUGAAUUAGAAAGCUGAAAACAACUACUCUUUCCUUGCACUCUUGAAUUUCAACCAUGAAGACACAAAUAAUUCCUACAGCCUACAGCAAAAAAAAUUCGCAGGGGACACUCAAUGUUACUAUUUAACCUUCAAUUUCAAUCAGGGUGUUUUUAUUUGUGCACAUGAUUCUCCUGUCAAAAGACCAAAAGAGAAUAUCAUGGCUAUGGUGCAUGAGUUCCAAGACUGCAAGUUGAGUAAAAUUUACAGGGAAAAGUCCGAAAAAAGACCCAAAACUCAAAUGAAACCAAUCAAUCUUCUUCUGAUACAAAAUUCACACCAAUUUCACCCAACAAACUCUUGAACAUGCUAAAAUUUUGCAACCACAUGAUCGCAUACAUACAGAAACUUGGAGUGUAUAUUGCAAAUCACCUUCUUGUUUUCGGCAAUCACUCCUAAAACGAACGAGAGCACACCGAAAAAGGCCACUGUCAAUGACAUCUGCUUCACGGUGACAGCCAUAGCCGCACAAUCACAAGAUUACCAACCUGAAACGGAAAAAAUAAAAUAAGGGUUAAAAAAUCAAAAUUCAACAAGAGAAAAACCCAACAACAAAAAUUCAACCAAAUCAAAAUUGAACCAAAACCCAACAAAAACAAAACAAAACAUUACCUGAUAGAAGGGAGGUGGGGAAAUUGAAUAAUUUUCUGAACCAAUUUCACAGAGAAAAGUGUUCCUCUCUCUCUCUCCUUAUCUGUCUCUGUAGGCCGAUUUCGCUUUAGUAUUCUCCGUCUUUGAGAAUCCGAGAGCAAGAGCAGAGCAAUAGGCGGACGGUAAAAAGGGAGACUUUGUAUUUGUCUUGUAUUUAUGUGGAAGAUCCUAAUCCUACACAAACAAGUCAACCGGAUCCUGGAAUCCCUCCUUUCUAUCCGGUGCGUGCCAGCCCAGCCAAGCUGAGAGAGAGAGAGAGAGAGAGAGAGGGAGUUAACUUCUCGUUAGACUACUGGUUUGGCGCGUUGGUUAUCUCAAGCAAGGAAAGUUGUGGUUGUACACACCGUGAUGAAUCUGGACCGUGUGUAGGCCCAGGUUCGUAGGCCUGUGGGACCCGGCUCAUUAGUUUUGGAAAUGUUUGAUUGAUGAUGAUUGAUAAGCUGGGCAACGAUCUUAUUAGGAAACCGGUCACAAUUGUUGACGAUCGGACGGUUAUAAAUAUCGUGAAGAUGUGGACUUUAAUUAUUUGUUAUUCUUGUGAAUCUUUAAGGUGUCCAAAUUGCAGACUACGUAGUGAAAUGUUGAACAAUCUUGACAAGAUUCUUCUGCAUUUGGAUAUACGUAUGUGGGAAUAUUCAUCAUUAUUUAUUUGCUUUAUGAUCAAUGAUUCAUAAGCAGAUUCAUUAAUUUUAUAAAGAAUUCAUUUAUGUAUAUUUUAAUAUUUAAGAAAUAACAAUAGGAUACCAUUUUGUUAUGGUACUAGAUUGUUUGGUAAGGUAUUACCUGUACAAGUAUUUUAUUAUGAUGAUGUUAUUUUCACUCACAUGUUUAUUUUUUAUUUUAAUACUAGUCUUUGCACGCGCUUUUGUACCUGCGAAAGCUUUUAUUUUUUAAAAUUUUAAAUUUAAUUUAGAAUUAAAAAAGAUAAUGGGUAGUUGUGUUCCAUAAAAAUAGAAUUUAUUAUCUUAUUUUUCUUUUAAUUUUAAUUUUUUUAAUAUGAAAAAAGUGAAUUUACCAUAUUAUCCUCAUUUAAUUAAUAAUUUUAAUUAUUAAUGUUUGGAUUAACUAAGAGUAUUUUCUGAUAUUUUGAAUGUUUCACCAUUCUCUGACUUUUGCUUUAUAUAUACUAACCUCUCUGCACGCGUUUCCGCGCAUGCGAGAGGUUUUUUUAAAAAAAAAUUAAAUUUAUUUUAGAAUUAAAAAAGAUAAUGGAUUUGUGUUCCAUAAAAAUAGGAUCCAUUAUCUGAAUUUUCUUUUAAUUUUAAUUUUUUUUAAUACGAAAAAUUGUGAAUUUACCAUAUUAUCCUCAUUUAAUUAAUAAUUUCAAUUCUUAAUGUUUGCAUUAACCAAAGGCAUUUUCUGGUAUUUUAAAUGUUUCACCAUUCUCUGCCUUUUGCUUUAUAUAUAUAUAGAUAUAGAUAUAGAUAGAUAUAACAAAAAACUUUUAUUUUUUAUUUUAAUAAACGAUAGUAUAAUUACAAAAUACUUUUAUAAGGAAUUAAGAUAUUCACACUAAUUUAUAGCGGGGCAAUGCACCUAUAACAAGCCUGCACGAAUCUUUAACGUUAAUUGGUAUAUAACAAAUAACAAUUAGAUCGAACAAUAAAUAAAUAAAUUUUGGUAAGAUAUUACUUAAAUAUUUAUUAGGUGGUAGUUAUUUUCCAUCGACUUCCUUGAAAAACAAAAAUUACAGAUUAUUAUUAUAUCUUCUUUUUUUGGGCCAGCUUCGUGCUUAAUUUACAUAGAUGAUAUUUAUAUAUAAUUGGAUUUUUUGCCAUUUCAGUGUUAUAUUAUUGACACCAGUGUGCUUCUAUCACAAACGGGUUUAUUGGUUAUGGUUAAAGGGUUUUUAUCACAAACGGUUUUUAACUUCGUUAAAAUUUCUCAUUUUGGUCACCAAAUUCUCAAGCCAAUCAAUGUGGUCUUUCAUUUUUUUUGUCUACACAACAAUUUGGUCAAUAUUAUCGCAUUGACAAAAAAUUUGUAAAAUUGUUCACGUGUAAUCGCGUGACCAACUUUAUAGAUACAUUAUCAUAAAAAUAUAGCUCAUUUUAGUUAUAUAACUCACAUUUUUGCUCAACAAGGCUCACAUUUGGGGUCUAUUAAGGAGAGUAAAUAGUCUUAUCGAGCAAAAUUCGUGAGACUUACAAUGUGUCAUGUGUGGAUAGGUUGCAUUUUUACAAAAAUAUGCCUUAUGUUGGUCAUGUGACCAAUUUCAAUGAAGAUGUUGAUGAAAUGCAAAGAAAUGGACAAUGGGCCAAAAGAUUAAUGACCACAUUGAUUGAUUUGAAAAAUUGAGGAUUCAAAUAAGGACUUUUGAAAAUUUUAGGGACCAUAUCUGAUAAAAACCUUGAAAUAGUAAAUUUUGAAUAAUUUUUUAUGAGAUUAUAAUGUCCACAAUCAUGCUAUCUAUUUUUUAGUUAAAAAUUCGCCAAAAACACUAGAAAGCUAUUUUAGGAGCUCUCUAUAAAAUUUCAACUCCACCAUACUCCCUAAUUAAAAAAUUCAUAAAUAUAUUUUUAUAUUUUUCAAUAAAGUGUUGACACAAAAGCAACAACAAAAAAUAGUUGGCAUUAAAUAAAUAAUUUAAAUACUAUUCAAAUAAAAGAGCAUUAAAUUAUAGGAAGCCACUAGGAGUCCUUUCUAUCUCCUUAGAUUUAGGAGCUCCUAGAGGUCUUCCUAUUUUAGGAGGUGGAUAGGGAGCAUGAUUGAAGUUGUAUUUUUUCAAAUUCCUCCAUAAAAUUUGUCUAAUUAGGUGUUUUAGGGAGUCUGUAGAUGCUCCCAUUUGGUUCAUGGGAAAGUAGGCUUGGGGAUAGGAAAUCAAUUGCUUUCCCAUGUUUAGCAAGUCCAGGCAUAUGAAAUGGUUGUCUUACAUAUGGGAAAGUAGCGGGAAAGUGAAGCCAUCCUCCCCUCUUGGGUUUUGUUUUCCUCCUCAUGGGAAAGUUUGAGAAAAUUAGCCAAUAAUAAAUGCACAUUUUUCAUGACCAUUUCGUCUCCAUUCAUAAUUUAGAAUUACAAUAUAGCAUUAAAUGCAAUUUUUUAAAUUUGAUUUUAUAUAGGUAUAAUUGAAAAAUUAAACAAACUUUGUUUUACAUUCCUACACAAACAAAACAUGUGAAAGGAAAUAAAGUGGUAUUUCGUUGUUAUUUUCUCAGGAGUAUCAAACAUAGGAAAUGAAUCUUCCAUUUCCCACCCCUUCGAAAGACAUGAAAAAUGAUUUUCCAUCAAAUCUUUUCUGCGAACCAAACGAGUAAGAUUGAAUUGUUGAUUCGUGUUGUUUCAUAUUCUACUUGCGGUAAGACAUUUGUAUAUAAACAUGUUGUUUUAGAUUAUAGUUGGUUGAUUAUACUCAUAUAUUAAUGAUAACAGUUGGUCAGAUAAUGUAGCAAGUGGUUCAGUAUAGUCAAAUAAUCGUGAUAGUGUUUUAUAAGAUUCUCUCUUAUGGUAUGGGAGGAAUAGGUAAUGUGUUAUCGUCAUCCUACAUUUGACAGUCAUAGUCAAUCUAAAUCCAGGAAUUAGUUUCAAUGUGAUUAUUUUUUUGUUUAUUUGUCAAUACGUUCACAUUGCAUUCUCAUUUGGAAUUUUAGACAGAGAGGGACAUAUGAGUGUAAUGGACCAACUAGAAUCCGAAACAACAUGUAAUUGCAAACCUUUGCAAUCCACGACUAACUUGAAGUCCCUUAUGCUACGGCGUCAAGAAGCUAUUGAACCUUUGCUGCUAAAAAACAUAAAAUAUGGGUCCAGCUCAUCUUAAAUUUGUGGUCACAAAUAAAUAAUAUUAGCAUGUCUGUGGAAAUUUGUCACAAGACUCAUCCUAAAAUUGGUCAAAUGCACCACUGUUAAGGUCAUGAAGUUAUUUUACGCCUUCACAAAGAUUACAUGGUUCGAAAUAAGUGCGAAUCUCAUUCAUGAAUUAUGAAUUAUAAAGGAUUUGGUGUGCAUGUAAAUUGUAGUACUUUAAAGACAAUAUAUUUUAAAUUUUGCGUUUUUGCACUUUUGAUUUCAAUUGGUUAAAUGAGGUUUUUUUUUUUGAAAGUCACAUUGGUUGAAUGAGGUAUUGGAGUAAAUUAAGUAAUAUAAACAAGUAAUUAAUUCCUUUCAUCAAUCAUUUUCACCUUAUCUCGUCCAUUUCUUUUGCUAUGCUAAAAGAAAAGGCUUUUCUAAUCUUGAAGAAAAAAAGUUAAUGGCAGUUGUCCGGCAAAUUUCUCACGAAGAUCUUAGGUUGCAAUAUGAGAGUUUAAUUUUCCUGUGACCAAACUCUCUGUGCCCGUCUUGUGACCUUCUUAUUCUUUUGACAUGUGUCUUCACUUAACGAAAAUUUAACUAUGUUAAGUCUCUAAUUUAUAUCAAAGUAAUAAUUAAUAUAAUUAUAUUAAAAGUUUGUUUUUUAAGAACUAGCUGAGUUUUCAGAUUUUUUUUUAUAAGGAAAUUGAGUUUUCAUAUGAGAGCGCAGGAAAGAUGAAGGGACAAGGAAAACAAUUUUCCAGUGUAAGGUGGUUAAAAGGCUAACGGGGUUUUGUACGUCAAAGCAUGGCGGCUUUAUUGCUGGCCCUCGACAACUCGAGUAGAAGCUCGGCCGGUCCGCAAAUUGCAGUUUCGGCAAAGAUUUCUAUGGCGAGUUGGACAACUUUCAGGUGUUGGAUAACGGUGGUUUCAUCUGGGUUCCAUAGAUCAGAGCCCAUAGGUGUCACCAAUUGAUGUGCUGUUGUUGGAAAUUAACUAGGCAAACGGGCGUCACCUCAGUGGUAUCAACAAUCUGAUUUGAUCAAUGAAAAAAACACAACAAAGAAAAUCUUGUGAAUUUAAGAUGGGCUCAUUGAUGUUGAUGACGGGACAAAAAUACACAUGCAAAUUUACUACUUUAUUGUUGUGGAAAAUUUUUGCUUGAUAAUUUGUCGCUCAUAGUGAAUAUUUGGGCACAUACCAAAGAGAUGAAGUUAAUAGUGUUAACUUUAUGUUAAAUGAACGAACACAUGUCAAAAGAAUAAGAAAGUCACAAAGUGGCACAGAGAGUUUGAUCACAGGAAAAUUGAACUCGCAAUAUGACAAGUGUUGUUGUGACACUCCACAUCAUAUUUGCACUGAUGUCCUUUGAAUCACAACUUCAAUAUAAAAGGAAUGUCAAGGAAACUACGAUAUUGCCAAGUUAUAAAAAACAAAUACCUCAAUAUGAUUUAUGAAUAGUACAAGUCCAUUGAGCAAACCAAUUUACGCCAUAUAUAUAUCACAAAUAUGUUGAAGUUAAAUUCUUAACUGCUUGCAACUGAGAAGUACAAGAAUUUUAUUUUUAAUUUUUGGGGCCAGACUAUGUAAAUUGCACCUAAAAAUUAAGGAGGAUUCACUACUAUACCAAAUAUAGGAGCUCAAAUUAUUAUUAUUAUUUUUUAAACUUAUAUAAAAUGGACUUUAAAAAUACACCCAAAGCCUAUUUACAACAUAACAAAAAGACUUUUACCUUCUUUUAAAUUACAAAGUUGCCAUUAAUUUUUUUAAACAAACGAAACUCCAAAACCUCAUAAAAAAAAUCCAAAACACUCAAUAAGACAUCAAAGUAAUUUAAUAAUCAAAAUUAAAUUCAAUAGGGCCAACUGUCAUUUUUUUGGUUUGUUUGUAGAAAUUAAAUGGUGUCGGGUUUAUUUAUAUUAUUAGUGCUAAGAAUGGAUAUAUGACUAAAUAUCUCAAAAAGUAACACCUUCGUUCAGUUUUGGUUAUUUUUAGUUGAGGUCUCCAACAUUCCGACUGGUUAAUUGAUAAGAGAGAUAAAUUGUAUGACAUAAAACUAUUAAGCAUAUGUUUGGGUUUAUUUUUGCAUAGAUAGAUUUAAUUCAAUUUUUAUGUGCAAUUAGUUUUAGUAUAACACAGAUAUAUGAACAAAGAAGAAACCAUAUAAAUUGACAAAUAUAAUAUACCAAACAAUCCAUUGAGAAUGUGUUUGAUUUUUUGUUGGUAUGUUUGAUUAAAAUAUUUUCUACAUAUUAUUUAUAGAUUAUCUUUUAUUAUGUCGUAUCACAAUUGAACCCCAAGAGAACAAAGAAUUUGUGGCUUUUGUUUUGUUAAGCAUUUAUUUAUUUACAGAGAUGCCCGGCCAGGACCAUAAGCGAUAAUGAAAGUAGGAAUGUUGUCACUAGAACGAACCACACAAAUAGGGGUGAUCUAUCCAUAGUCAUUCUAGGUCCACGCAUGUUUGAGAUAAUUGUUAUAAAAUUGAUAGAACCUAAAAUGGAUCAUUUGAGGGUAAGACUCAUUAUUUCCUCGUGACUAGGCGUAUAUUUUCAUGUUUAUUAAUGAAAUUCACCGGUGCUGUCGAGUUUAGUCUGUAAGUUUUGCCUAGCCAACUUUCAGAUCUUGAAUUCGCCACUAAACUAGACAAUUGUUGUGUGGAAAUGAUACUCUUAUGCACCAAGAAUAGGGGUGGUGGCGUCAAGCAUUAGCAACCAACAAGAAUUCUAUAGUGAGAACCUUAUAAAUAAUUCUUAUGUAAGGCUCUAUAUCUUAACCGUUGAAUCAAAUUAGUUAGUCUAAUCCAAUAUUUAAGAAAUAAGACAUUACCUAUAAGCCAUAUAUAAGUACCUCAGUAUAUCAACUAAGGAUCAACAAAACCAAAAGUCCAUCUAGAGGCCCAUGCACAUAACAAGAAGAAUCAGGUAAAUUGCAAGAAACAGGCCGAAAGAAUCGAAAAUUACCUGCAUUUGAAUGUAAGCGUUUUUCUAUUUGGAAAUGUUGGAUUGAGCCAAACUUUUUGUAAAAAAAUUGAUACGGUGGGUUGGGCCUAAUCUAAUAAAAUAAAUUGAAAUAAUACAUUUAAAAAAAAAAACAUAACAGAGAAGUUACAUAACAUAAUUUUUUUUUUCUUUGCCAAAUUCCUAACUUAAUCGGCACAUAUAGUACCCUUUUUUUUUUCGUUUUCUGUAGUGACAUGGGUGGGAGGUGGCGAAAACACCCAGCUUACUAGAACGCAUUUGGAUUGCGGAAAAGAAUUUAUGAGAAAUUAAUUCUUAUGUCUUUUUAUUUUUUUUAUUAUGGGAAAUGAUCCAUUUCCCUUAUUUAGUAAAUCUAAGAAAAUAAACAAAAAAUAUCAUUUUAUUUAUUCUCUCAUAUUUGGCUCUUCCAUAAUUUUCAUUUGGAAUUUUUAUUUUUAUUUUUGCAUUUUAAGUUUAAUGUUUUAUUUUCUGUAAAAAUAAAGAAAGUGCCAGCCAAAUUAGGUUGGGACGUUACGUAUACCGACCGACUACGAACGUGGGAAUGAAUGCGGGAUGCGGUAAAUGCAAAAUGCAAUACUUCAACACUGAAAAAAACAGCACAAUGCAUCCCAUAAUUGGCAAAGCCAAUUUUUUAAGUGUGGUGCCAUAAUCUAUUGUUGGUCAAAACGCAUGGUCUUAUGGUGCAUACAAGGAUACAACUAGAAAUGAUAAUAAACCUAAUUUUUUUUUAAUACAAGCAAUAUUAAUCUAAAUUGUUGGGAUGGAUAUUUAAAUUUGGCAUAAAGUAGGGGAGCACAUUCCCUCUAGCUUGGCUAAGCGAUAAUAAACAUAUAAUUAGACCACAAAGUUGUUCACUUCUUUAAAAGGCAAACCACGUAGUCACUCAUGGUUUUUAGUAAAAUAAUCAAUAGAUAAAUAGAAAACCUUGGUCUGGGGUUUACUUGCAUGAUGUAGGACUUUUUAUUUUAAAAGAGAUCCCUUUGAUUUUUUUUUGACUCAUUUGUGCGUGAUGGAUGCCAGUGAUAAAAUUCACUUAAGCUAGGCUGCCAUCUAUGCACAGAAAUGCUCUCAAAUAGCAGCAUGAUUUUGUACAAUUCAAAGUGAAAAUGGCGUAUAGGUUAAAAGAAAAUAAAGUUAAAGAAAAAGUUAGGACCAUCUAGCAUUGUCUACAAUACAAUUUCUUAAACGGAAAGCUAGAUAUACUGGCAGGCUGGCAGCCACUGUACUGAACUCACAGGAACAAACAGACAUAGCGAUAUCAGCCACUAGUAACCAAAGGUAAACUUACCUCGACUGAACCUUUUCUUUACACAAUCAGUCAUGAAAGUGAGAAGUCUAAAUUAUCCCCACCGAUAUAUGACCCUUCCUUUUUUUUAUGGUGCAAAGAUUCAAGAAACUUCUUUAAUUAUUCUUCUCGAUCACCACUUUUAUUCAUAAUUCAUUUUUAUAAUAGCCCAAUCAAUGAAGUUCAAUGUUCAUCCCACACCCAAACAAAAAGAAACAUUCUUAUUCGUCUUCUUUUUCCUCUUUCUUUGUUUGUAAGAAAGCAAGCCCUGUCGUGUUGUAACUUGCAAUAACUUGCAAUAUCUUGCAUUUUAUUUAUACAUCACUCAUUGAAAUCAUAAUUUUUUUUUGAGGAUUUUGUAGCAAAUGUUGGGUACUUUAUGCGAAAACCAGUUUGAUCAUUCUCUUCCUUCCUAUCAAUCAUUGUUUCUGCUUUGUGUAAAUAACUUGUAUUCCCAAAUAUUAGUUGUUUAGCAUUGAAUCCUCUUCUGGGUCUGUGCCUUUGUGCUUUGCUUUCUUCUUCUGUAUUCUUAUAGUUCAAUUUCGGUGCAGUCUUUGAUUUUGUUCUUUCUGCUCCCCAAGUCUCUGUUUUGCUUAGUUUAUAUUUGAUUCUGUUUUCCAGAUCCCUUGUUUAAACAAAAAAAAUUGUUUAUUGGCUAGUAAAGAAGAAUAGUUUCUUCCAAGUUUAGAACUUGGGUCGAUAUUUUCAAGCUUCAGCAGCUGAAAGUAUCCAACUUUAGCAUCAAACCCAUCUGUUAAAGCCACUUCUUUGCUUCAAAACCAGUUUUCAACUCGUACCCUCCUUCUUUUAAGCUCCAAGAGCAAGUCUCUGCAAGUGUUCUGCUGAAGGGUUUUAUGGGGUUGUUGAAAGCUGUGGGCUUUAGAGGCCUUACUGUUGCCUUGUUCUUCAAUCUGCUUGUGGGUUUAGCGGUUGGCAUUGGAGUGAACUGGGGAACUCAGUUAACACACCCUCUCCCACCAGCAACAGUGGUGAAGAUGUUGAAGGACAACGGGAUUCAAAAGGUUAAGCUUUUCGAUGCCGAUUCUUCGAUAUUGAAUGCUCUGAGCAAGUCUGGGAUUCAGGUAAUGGUCGGAAUUCCCAAUGAAAUGCUCUAUGCUUUGGCUAAUAGUGUGCAAGCAGCUGAGAAUUGGGUUUCCAAGAAUGUCUCCUCACAUGUCUCCAAUGGUGUAGAUAUUAGGUAAAUAGCCCAUCUUUCUCUCGUCCUUAUCUAUGCUAUGUGCAUAUUUACAGAUUUAAGUUUAUUUUCCAAACAUGUGAAUGAUUAAAACAAGUGGUUAAUGAAUCUAUGUAUUGAUAUUUGUUUUGGAGAGAGAGAGAGAGAGAGAGAGAGAGAGAGAGAGAGAGAGAGAGAGAGAGGGUGUUAUUUUGAAGCUAUUCACUUCUUGGUGUACUCUGGCCAAUAUAUGCCCAAACUGCUUCUAGGAAAUUCAAAUUCUUCAGCUGCUAUUUAAUUCACUCUUCUUGAUCAAAAGAUGAUCUGGAAAAGCGACAACCUUGUUCAUUUCGUCUAGCUAGAGUCCUCUUUGAUUUGUCCUUGGCAUUGAGUGUGAAUUUUUUUCUACCGUUUCUGAUAAUGUGGUUCAGUUCAUUUGCAUCUCCAUGUGAAAGUAGAUCUGUAUCACAUGUUAGCAAACAAGCUUGUAUUGAAACUUCAGCAAAGUUCCCAACUUCUUUCAGAAGUCUUUCAGAAGAGUAUUCUGAAAUGCUUGACAAUCAAAAGUAGGACUUCUCUUAACUAGAAGGUGUUUUUCUGCUUCAUUGUUAGUUGUUACUGUUUUUGUCAUACUAGUUUUCCAGUUCUGAUCAGAUGCGCAAUCUAUGUCUAAUUUAUAUCUUACCUAUUUCAUACAUUCUCUGCAAGGUAUGCUGCAGUGGGAAAUGAACCAUUGUUGUCAACGUACAAUGGAACCUUUCUUCCAACAAUAUUUCCUGCCCUUCAGAAUGUCCAGUCAGCUCUCAUAAAAGCUGGUGUGAGCAAUCAGGUUAAGGUCACUAUUCCCCUCAACGCCGAUGUCUAUGACAGCAGUGGCUCGGAUAUGCCUUCUAAUGGCGACUUCCGACCAGACACCAAGGAUCUCAUGGUGGAAAUCGUCAAGUUCUUGAGUGACAACGGCGCUGCAUUCACAGUCAAUAUCUAUCCCUUCAUAAGCCUCUACAAUGAUGCCAACUUCCCUGCUGACUAUGCCUUUUUCAAUGGAUACUCAAGUUCCAUUAAUGACAACGGAAAAAUCUACAACAACGUAUUUGAUGCAAACCAUGACACCCUUGUAUGGGCCUUACAGAAAAAUGGAUUUGGAAACUUGUCCAUAAUAGUAGGAGAGAUCGGUUGGCCUACAGAUGGGGACAGAAAUGCAAACUUACAGUAUGCUCAAAGGUUCAACCAGGGGUUUAUGUCCCAUAUCAAGAACAAUGCAGGCACCCCAAUGAGACCUGGCCCUGUAGAUGCCUACUUAUUUAGCCUUGUUGAUGAAGAUGCCAAGAGCAUUCAGCCAGGUAAUUUUGAACGCCAUUGGGGGCUAUUUUUCCUUGAUGGAACACCUAAAUAUCAGCUCAGUCUAGGCACGACAAGCUCGAAUGGAUUAGUAGCAGCAAGCAGUGUACAAUAUCUGGACAAGAAAUGGUGUGUUAUGUCACCAUCGGCGAGUCUUGACGAUCCACAAGUGGCACUAAGUGUGAGCUAUGCUUGUGCAAAUGCUGACUGCACCAGUCUUGGAUAUGGAACUUCAUGUGGAAAUUUGGAUAUUCGUGGAAACAUUUCCUAUGCAUUUAACAGUUACUAUCAGAUAAAUAAUCAACUGGACACUGCCUGUAAGUUUCCAAACCUUUCGGUCGUCACCACGAGCGAUCCAUCAUCUGGAGACUGCAAGUUUAGGAUUAUGAUCCGAUCAUCUUCUUCAUCUGCUUUGAAUGCCGGAGCUGGUUCUGUUGAAAAGCCUAGUUGUUUAAUUCUGUUUGUGUUAGUGUCCGUGUUCGUCUUUACAAUUCUGUGAUUUUUUAGGUUUUUUUUGUACAUUAUUAGUCUCAAAUAAUGUAUUCACUACUCAAGGUUUUCAAGCAUUGUUUGGGCUGUGUGAGCUUGAUCUUUAUAUGGGAAGUAAAUAUUUACAGAGACAGCAAGUUUGGACUUGGACAAUUUAUGUACUCCAAUUUCUUUAUUCAUAGCCUGCCUCAAAAUCAGAAGGAAAAUAUCAAUAAUUGCUGACAAGCUCACAUUUCUCAUUAGGUUUUAGAACAGUUUACCUGAUGAAGUUUCUAUUUCAUAUAUAUACAAAAAAAUUGUGGCGUAAUCACUGAAGCCAACAAACAAGAAUAAAAAAAAGGCGCAAGUAAAAAAUCUACCUAUAAAUUGAUGAAACUAGCCUCGUCUCAUUGGUGAAUAAUUCAUAAAACCCCAAACGAAAGAAACAAAUUACACCAUCUGGUAAACUGCUAACACCAAUCAAAUCGAGUUUAGAUAAUUUGUUGACGAGGAUUUCACAUGGACCUCCAUAAUGUCACCCUCCAUUUGGAUUCAUGUGGAAUUUGGAUGCUCGUGGAAACACUUCCUAUGCAUGUACGGUGUACCACGGUAGCCCAUCAGAUAGAUAUUCAACUGGAGAGUGGCUUUAAGUCCCAAACCUUUGUUAGUAAGAAUAAAGAGCCAUCAGCUGGAGACUGAAGUUAAGGAUCGUGAUCUGAACAUUUUCUUCGAGAGUGGAUGGCAGACCCGGGUCUCUUGAAAAGCCUGGUGGUGUAAUCAGGGCCGGCCUUGAGUUUUUGGGGGCCGAGGAGAAGCAUUAAAAUGGGACCUGAUGCGCAUUCUAACACUCUAUAUAUUGGUGUGGCAAAAAUACUGCAGGCCCUGAAAUCUCACAAAUUUUGCCUUGUUAACUAACAACUGCAGUUUUCCCAAUAAAACGAAGUAACACCAAAGUUGGAAAUACCCUCAUAUGUAGCUUUGUUAAUUCUGCCCUCGCAUGUAUAUUAUGUAUAUAUGAUAAAUAAAUAAAAGGGUCGAAAAGGUGAACCUACCAGAUUCUUGAAAUUGAAUCAUUUGGACAUUCUCAUUUGAUGCUUCCGAACAUAGUCUCUGGAUCUUAUGUCAGCCUGCCUCCAUAUCAGAAGGAAAAAUUGGAGCUUUAAGAUAAUCUCCCCUUACCACGGAAAAUGCCAACAUCGCUAAAUGGCCAACAAAAGAUUGUAGCAAACAGACAGAUAACACAGCAGGCCCUCCCUAGAAUGCCUGUAACUUCACUAUAUAGAAAAUAUUCAUUUCACAUCUAAUAACUAACCGAAGAACUUAUUAGAGAUUAGAGACACAGGGCAUCUAAGCAUCGAGAGAAGGCCAUUAUAUCCCUACUUAGUUUAUACGCUCAAGUUCAAUUAACAGUCCAAAAUAUUAGUGGGGAGUGGCCAUAAUGAAUAUGAAGCCACUCAGAGCACUCGAACAGUUCAAGUUUUCACCUGCCGAAUAGGCUCCGGGACACGAAAUUUGCAAGUCAUUUUUACAAUCCUGAUGGCAGUAUCAAGUGCUAUACGGUGACCAACUGAGAUAAAUAUAGGCUUCAAUGAGCCACCAGUAGAUCUCACUGCCUGGAAAACAGAAACAUAAUGGAGACAUGGAAUCAAUUGAAACAGAUAACACAAGACAAAGUGCAAAAGAACUUCCAGCAAAGGGCACAAUUACAUGUUUAUUACCCACUUUUUAAUCAGAGUAUAUAUCCAUAUUGUUUGGAUAAACUAAAAAGUGCUGCAAAAUGAUCUUUAACUUCCUUAUAUUAUUGCAUGCCAGCCUCUGAAGAUUCCCAUCACAGUUUAAAUACCACACCACAUUGUUAAAAGAUUUAAACAGUUUUGAGAGGAGAAAUGAAGCUCAUAAGAUGUGUACCACUCCCCAUAUACGCCCAGAGCAUCCUUUCAAAGUAACAAAAUCUUGAGCGUAGUCUUCCUUGGCUUUAAGAAGUUGCAUCACACCAGAUAGUGUUAGGCCAUCCACAUGGUGAAGCUGAAUUGAAUAUAUAUCAAGAGAAAUUUCUAAAAGUCAGGCAAGCAGGGACAGCCCAAAUCAUCAAAGUUGAUGGAUGUAGUUACUGUCCGUAUUUACAUUUUUUCCAAUCCCAACAGUAGGUAGAUUUGCCAGAAUGCCAAGGUGACAAGCCAAGCCAAAACCUACAAAAGAAACUCUACAUUUUAAAAAUAUUCUCCAGUUGAGUAAGGAAGCUAAAUGCUUUUAAUCACAACUCAAGCUAAGGACAGAACGUAUCAUCUACGUUAUGAAAAUGGAACUAACAGGUUCCAAAAUGAUCUCUUGAGAGUGUAGAAGCUUUCCAAUUGUGAAGUGAGCAAAAGAUUCACUAGACCUAAGAGUGUAACCUACCCAUAUUUUCAGCAACUCCAGACUUUCAGUCCCAUCAUAGACCUCAAAUUACAUUAGCAAAUUAACAGGAAAAGGCUUCAUUUACAAAGGGCAAGCAUCUAUUCUAUGGGGAUUUCUGUCAAAGGACUUGCCUCGAGGAUGAAGUGUUCCAUUUCCAUCUACCAUUAGCAGCUGUUAUCAUUAAAGAUAAUUAUUGUUAUUUACUCGAACUCUAAAAUAAAGCAGAGUAAAAUUACAAAACACACAGAACAGUUUGCAAGUCACCAACUUGCCAGAUUUGGCAUAAGGUUAAUAUUCUCUAAUAUAUCUAAGGUAAGUUGAGAAAAGUUUAUACGUAAAUAUGAAAAACCAAAAUCAAAUAUUAAAGCUUUCAAGAACAUAAAAUUAUUCAUGUAGAGAGAUGAAGCGCAGUGAAAGGGAACCGAAAACAAAUGUAGUAGGAACCAAUACAAGUAUUAGGAUCACCUGAGGAUAUAAAGGAUUAGCAUUGGUUUUCAUUUUCUCCAAAAGCUCAAGAAGCACUGGGGCCUACAUCAACAUAGAACAAUCAAAUACAUCAAACAGUCAAAUCACUGGCAUAUCAAAUUCAAAUCCUUGCCUCUUUCUUAUUACUUUUCUCAGCUUCUGUGAUCAAAAUAUUGUUGAAACAUGAACAUCAAGAUAAACCAAAGAAAAAAGAAAUGGACCUCUCUGAAAGCAAGGAAGCCAGGAAGAUAAGGGACAUGGAGGGUGACAAUAGAGAAGUCUUCAUAGACAACUUGGAGAGUUUGGAGGUCCAAAACUACAAGAAUCCCACAUGCCAUUGAUGGGUCUUCCUUUGAAUAGCUUAUAUCAACUCCACCCACAUACUUCAACACCUCCUCCUCUUUCUCCAUUGACCUUCCUGUAACAGCUAAUCUCCAUGUGAAAUCAUCUUCUGCAAUCAACUUUUUCUUCAGAAAAUCCUGGGUCCUGAAAUUUUCACCGCGAUCUUGUCAAAAUUGAAUUGAAAUGAGAAUGUGUGUGUAGAAGUUGUGAUGAGCUUAUCGUUCUGCUUACUCUAUCCAAGUUUUAUGGUCUACUGAAGAAGAAGAAGGUGAUGUCUCUAUCGAGCCUUGUUCAUGGGAUUGCUCUUCCAUGUGAGUAUUACGGAUUUGCAGUGCACACAACCUUGCUGUGGCGUUUAUGGCUCUCUGGAGCUCCACCGAUCACGGGCAAGAUGGAACCUUUGGACUGAGAUGUGGCCUUCAUUAUCCAAAAGGUUUCAUGAUAUACUAAAAUUUAGCCCACUUUGUUUUUUGGGGACAAAUUUGAGCCCACUUAGAGAUCACAAGUUUUAGUUUUUGGGCCUGGACCCUUUCUUCUAUUAUAUUCUAGGCGUAACUGUCAAAAUAGAACAAGUUUUUACGUCAUCCGUCAAUUUAAUUCAAUAUGAUCAAUUUGACCAAUUUAGUUCAUGUGUUUUGUAUCAAUUAAUUAAUCUAUGUGUUCACUCUGUCAAAAUUCCAUUGAAACUAAUUUAAAAAACCUGCAAUUUGAUUAGGGUAUUGAUAUUUCCACUUCCUUUUGUCCACUUAUUCUCUCUCUUAAUGGUAACUAGCCCUUUGAGCAUGUGCCAAUUGAUUUUCUUUUUUCUUUUAUUUUUAGAAUUAAGAAAAGAUAAUAUGGGUAGUUAUCUAUAUAUAUAAAGCAAAAGGCAGAGAAUGAUGAAACAUUCAAAAUACCAGAAAAUGCCCUUGGUUAAUGCAACAUUAAGAAUUGAAAUUAUUAAUUAAAUGAGGAUAAUAUGGUAAAUUUACAAUUUUUCGUAUUAAAAAAAUUAAAAUUAAAAAAAAAUUUCAGAUAAUGGGUCCUAUUUUUAUGGAACACAAAUAUCCAUUAUCUUUUUUAAUUCUAAAAUAAAUUUAAAAUUUUUUUUAAAAAAACCUCUCGCAUGCGUGGAAGCGCGUGCAGAAAAGCUAGUUAAUUAUUAAGAAAUAAAAAUUCAAAUUCAAAUUGAGAGGAAAGACACAAUUAAUCUAUAUAUAUAAAGCAAAAGGCAGAGAAUGGUGAAACAUUCAAAAUACCAUAAAAUACCCUUGGUUAAUGCAAACAUUAAUAAUUAAAAUUAUUAAUUAAAUGAGGAUAAUAUGGUAAAUUCACAAUUUUUCAUAUUAAAAAAAUUAAAAUUAAAAGAAAAUUCAGAUAAUGGAUCCUAUUUUUAUGGAACACAACUAUCCAUUAUCUUUUUUAAUUCUAAAAUAAAUUUAAAUUUUUUAAAAAAAAGCCUCUCGCAGGCGCAGAAGCGCGUGCAGAGAGGCUAGUGUUCUAUAAAAGCAGAACUUAUUAUAUGAUUUUGUUUUUAAUUUUAAUUUUUUUAAAUAAAAGGUGAAAUUACCAUAUUAUCCUUAUUUAAUUAAUAAUUUUAAUUCUUCAUGUUUGAAUUAACUAAAAGCAUUUGUUGAUAUUUUGAAUGUUUCACCAUUCUCUAUCUUCUGUUUUAUAUAUAUAUAUAAUAGACAGUCCCGAUCUCUUGGACUAUAGGAGUCCAAGAGAUUUGUGGUCACUCACCGUUGGAUGUAAAUUCAACGGUUCACUCACUCUUGCACUUUUUUAAAGAAACUUUUUUGAACCGUUGGAUGUUACAUUCAACGGUGGGUGUAGUCCAAGAAAUCGAGACUGAUAUAAUAGAUUACAAAAGUAUUAAAAAAUAAAAGAGAGUGUAUAUGGACAAAAAAAAAAGUGAGAAAUUGAUAAUAUUCAAAUUUGUAAAGUGUUGUGGAAAAUUUUUGGUCAGUUAAAACAUGUCGUAAGUGAUGUGGUAAAUUUUGUUUUCUGCUAAAAAUAAUAGUAAAAGAAAAAAAAUGCUCCUAUAAAAAUAAAGCAAUCACAAAAGGGGUCAGAUAACGCCCGGUUCAAGUGAACGCCGGUAGGGUAGGGUUCCAAAUUACCGGGUCGGGUUGUUCCGGAACUUUCCGAUUCGACCUUUCUUUUUCGCACUCUUUUCUCCUCCACUAUAAAAUCGAACGCACACUGCGCAAGAACAACUUUUGUUCCUCUUUCAAUUUUUUUUUGUUUCCUCUCCAUCUCUUUCGCUCUGCAAACUCCAAAAACCUAUAAAAUUAUAAAUAACACAAACCCUGAAAAUCCAAUUCAAAAACAUUAACGUACAUAAAACACACAAACACAGAAAUAUUCAAUUUCAAUUGUUAAUCCAUUCGCGACUCUCUCUCUAUACCAAUUCAUCUGUCUCUGUAUUCGAUAGCAUAUGGAGGCGGCCAUGGAUGAGCAGCAAACCUUAGGGCAAGGGCAAGCCCAGCCACCAGCGCCACCUCCACCGCCUCCGCCAGCGCCCGAAUCCCAAUCUCAAGGAGGCGAGGACGAAGACGACGAUGAAGAAGAGGAGGUUAAGAAUGAAGACGACGAAUUGGUUGCCAAGGCCCAGAAGCUUAUGGACAAGAUCACUUCCGCGCCGGAUAACCCUAAUCCUACUGUUCUUCACGCACUUGCCUCCCUUCUUGAAACUCAAGAGUCUCGGUUCGAACCGUUUCUUCUUUUGAACUUUUGCUUUUGAAGCUUUUUUAUGUAAAUUGAUGCGAAUUUAUUCAAGAAUUGAGUCUGAGAUGCCACUCAGUGCGAGUUAUUGUUGUAAUGCUGUGCUUUGUGUUUUCAUCAUUUGCAUUUUCUUCUUUUUUGUCUUUUCCUUUCAAUAUUGAGUUAUUUUAAAUAAAAAAAAAUUGUGACUCGAUUAAUGACGAUAAACUUACAAAUUAAGAGGUUUUAGAUUAAUGAUUUCAAAGGUAUUGUGUGUGAAUUUUAUGGCUUUGUUGGCAAUUGUAUAAUUAUAUAUUUGCUUAUUGUGUUGAAAUCGGUGAUAAUGUGAAUUUUUGGAAUGCUCUUGGUGACUGUCAUUUACACAGUCGACGUUUCAUUUCCUUGUAAGCAAUACUUCUUCCUCUUUACUUAGUAAUGCAUGGCUUUCUGGUGGUAUGAUAUUCUGGUAGGAUUGGGUAUCGAUACUUGAUGUGUAAUCUUGAUAGGUCAUGUAGGGCAGAAGAUCACAGAAAAUGUAAAUUUAGUUUGAAGACUUUGUUUGGACUUUGAGUUGCUGUAGUCAAAGGUAGGGUUUAAGGACGACAUGGAAUGUCAUUGUAGUUAUAUCAUGAGGUUAGGAUUUUUCAAUGGCCAAGGCGAUGGAUGUGUUCAAGCAACUGUCUUAGGAUGCCGAGUCGAUGAUUUUAAAAUUUUUCUGGUGUACGGGAAUUAUUGUUCUUAGCAUAGGAAAGACAGUUAGCAGUCAGUUCACUAGAUGUAUUAACUGUUGACUUUGGAAGUAACUUCGGGGUGUGCUUGAGUGGUUAGAUAUGGAUUUUGUCUGAAUGGCGGCUACUUCUAAUAGCUAGGUAAUAAUACUUCAGAAUCUGAAGUUCUAAUAUCUUUUUUGGUGGGCAUUAUGAUUGUUCUUGUUUAUUUAGAAUGCUUUGUCUGGUUAUAUAUGUACUGUAAGUUGACUUUUCACUGUUUGUUUCGUUGCACAAGUCUGUGAUCUUAUAUUUAUACAUUAUAUGUGGCUGAUUAUUUAUUUACAUUGUUAAACUUUGUUCUGGUAAAUAAACUCUGAACCUUACCUAAAGAAGAAAAAACCAUCUUUUAAUGCAGAUACAUGGAAGAGAAUGGUCAUUCAUCCAGCAAUGCUCGUGCUUCACAUAACAUCGGACGGCUAGGGAACUUAGUCCGGGUAACUGGUUUUGGCGUGUGGUUACCUUUUGUAAUUUUUAUGUAUUUAUUUUUGGGAUGGUUGCUAAAAUGUAUUCAUAUACGUGGAUUAUAUCUUGUUUGCAGGGACCAAGCUUUUGUUCUAAUUUUUUUUCUCUUUUUGCCAGGAACAUGAUGAUUUCUUUGAAUUAAUAUCUUCAAAGUAUCUGUCGGAAACAAGAUACUCUGUUGCCGUCCAGGCAGCUGCUGGAAGGCUGCUUUUAAGCUGUUCACUAACCUGGAUUGUAAGAUUGUUGUUUUUCUGAUACCAUUGAGUUUCAUUUAUUUUAUUUGUUCCGUAAUGAAGAUGAUUAUUAUGGCUUAUUAUCAAUCUGACAAGCGUGAAUGUGAUACAGUAUCCUCAUGUUUUUGAAGAAGCUGUUUUGGAGAAAAUAAAAGAUUGGGUGAUGGAUGAGACUUCCAGCUCAUCUGUUGAAUACCAGAAUUGGAAGCAUGAUUUGGGGGGCAAGGAGGUCUCAGAUUUUGAAAUGCUGAAGACCUAUGCUACAGGACUUCUUGCUGUAUGUUUGGCUGGGUAUGCUCCUUCUUUGUAUCUUUAUUUUCCCUUCCUCAUUUUAUUCUUAUUGACUAGUUUGGUUCACAUAUCUUAAUUUUUAUUGAAAAUAGUGGUGGUCAAGUAGUGGAAGAUGUGUUGACGUCUGGAUUGUCUGCCAAACUUAUGCGUUAUCUUCGUGUGCGUGUUUUGGGGGAGUCAAGUAUUACUCAAAAGGAUUCUAAUCAUUUAACAGAGAGCAAAAAUACCUUGAAUACUGUUUGUGUAAGAGGUAGAGAUGAAGGUCGGGGUAGGGUUCGGCAGGUUCUGGAAACAACUCAUUUUGAUGAUCCAAGGAUAACAGAUGAGAGAUGUUUAGAUGACCAGAAUGUUGAUGGGGGAGAACCACCUGAUGGAUUGGCUGAGGGGGUUGAGAUCUAUGAUGCAGAUGGAAAGAUGAAAUUUGGAGAUUUUGAUGAAAAUGUGAGAGACGACUCCUCAAGGCGCAGACCCAACCGUGGAUGGACAAGAUCUAGAGGGAAGGGAAGGGCAAAUGAAGGUGCUGUAGAGAAUGAACAGCUCUUGACCUCUCCAGGAUCUGGUAGUAGGUUGGGGCAGGGACGGAGCUUUAGAGACAGGGCUGCAUUGAAAAAUUCCGAUGUGAAAAAAAUACCAGAUUCUAGGAAGUGUUUGGACAGGAAUACAGAUGUUCUCUAUCUGGAAAGGGAGGAUAACGAUGACUGCUUCCAGGACUGCAGAGUUGGAUGUAAAGAUAUCUCUGACUUAGUAAAGAAAGCAGUUAGAUCUGCAGAAGCUGAAGCCAGAGCAGCUAAUGCACCUGCAGAAGCCAUCAAAGCUGCUGGUGAUGCUGCUGCUGAAGUUGUCAAAACUGCAGCUUUGGAGGUACAAAAGCUGUUAUUCUCACUCUCUGUAAUGGUUUUUGUUUAGUUUUCACUUCUCAGUUGUUUGCCGCUUAAUUAUGCAGGAAUUCAAAAUGACAAAUAAUGAAGAAGCUGCAGUUUUGGCUGCUUCAAGAGCAGCAUCUACUGUCAUUGAUGCUGCCAAUUCAGUUGAAGUUUCAAGGUAGGUAUUUCAUUUUUUUAAAUGCAAAGAAGAGGUAUAUAGUACAGAUACUUGAUGAAUCACAUGCUGUGUUAUCAACUUUUUUUUAUGGCUGUACUGCCUUAGAAUAAUACUUCUUUACUGCGGGUUAUAAUUCUUCCUAUGGAUUGGUGGCAGGAGCUCGAGUAGCAUCAAUGCUGAAUCAAUGACAUCAAGCAGCACAGAACCAGAAAUCCAUGAAGAUGCUGAAGAAUACUUCAUUCUUGAUGCCGAGUCCCUUGCACAGUUGAGAGAAAAAUACUGUAUUCAGUGUCUUGAGACUCUUGGAGAAUAUGUCGAAGUUCUUGGACCUGUACUGCAUGAAAAGGGGGUAGACGUAUGUCUUGCAUUAUUGCAACGAAAUUCUAGACAUAAAGAGGCAUCAAAGGUUGCAAUGCUCUUGCCUGAUAUAAUGAAGCUCAUUUGUGCUUUGGCUGCUCAUCGGAAAUUUGCUGCCUUGUUUGUGGAUAGGGGUGGCAUGCAGAAACUGCUUACUGUCCCUAGGGUUGCUCAAACCUUCUUUGGCCUUUCUUCUUGCUUAUUUACUAUUGGUUCUCUCCAGGUAAUCACACGUGGUGUGAAGUUGAGCUGUUAGAGACUAAUUUCCCAUUUACUUGUAUCAUGAUAAUAAUAUCCAUCUAGUCUUCAUCUUUUGUGAUGACCAAUUAAUCUUUUUUCAGGGAAUUAUGGAGCGUGUUUGUGCUCUUCCUUCAGAUGUGGUCAACCAGGUGGUUAAGUUAGCUCUUCAACUUCUUGAUUGCUCACAGGAUCAAGCCAGGAAAAAUGCAGCCUUAUUUUUUGCUGCUGCAUUUGUUUUCCGGGCAGUUCUUGAUGCUUUUGAUACUCAGGAAGGCUUACAUAAAUUACUGGGCCUUUUAAAUGAUGCUGCAUCGGUCAGAUCUGGAGUAAAUUCUGGGGCAUUAGGACUCACUGGUUCAGGAUCACUUCGAAAUGAAAGGUCACCUGCAGAGGUACUGACUUCAUCGGAGAAACAGAUAGCUUACCACACUUGUGUUGCUUUGCGGCAAUACUUCAGAGCCCAUCUUCUGUUGCUCGUGGAUUCUAUUCGUCCAAUUAAAAACAAUCGAAGUGCGGCUCGGAAUCUUCCAAGUGUAAGGGCUGCUUACAAGCCACUUGACAUCAGCAAUGAAGCUUUGGAUGCAGUAUUUCUGCAGUUACAGAAGGACCGGAAGUUGGGUCCUGCAUUUGUGAGAACUCGUUGGCCUGCAGUCGAUGAGUUCUUGCGUUUUAAUGGACAUAUUACUAUGUUGGAGUUAUGCCAGGUAUAAUAUAUUACAUUAAAGUUCUUUCUCUCUGUGUGUGAAAUUAUUCAGGCCAAUGUUAUACUGUAUUCCUAUACCCUUGCCACAUGAACUUUCAAUAUGCUCACUCACUUUUCACUUUCUGCCUUCUCUGGAUAUGCUGAAUUUUGAUUUCCGCAGGCUCCGCCAGUUGAGCGUUAUUUACAUGAUUUACUUCAAUAUGCAUUGGGUGUUCUGCAUAUUGUUACGUUGGUCCCUAGCAGCCGCAAGAUGAUCGUGAAUUCUACAUUAAGCAAUAAUCGUGUUGGUAUAGCAGUCAUUUUGGAUGCAGCAAGUGUUGGUGGUAGUUAUGUGGACCCUGAGGUAAAGACUUUGUUUAUAACUGGAUGUCCAUCUUGCUUUGCCUUUAUCAUUGGAUUUAUUCUAAUUAUCUAUUUGUGUUUUUCCAGAUCAUUCAGCCUGCACUAAAUGUGUUGGUCAAUCUUGUCUGUCCUCCACCUUCAAUCAGUAAUAAACCGCCUUUGCAUGCUCAAGGUCAGCAGUCUGUUUCUGCCCAAACCUCAAAUGGUCCUGCUACAGAGACUAGAGAUAGAAACACAGAACGUAAUAUCUCAGAUGUAGUAGAUCGAGGUAGUGCAGCAGCACCUGGUACACAGUCCAACAGUAGCAAUUCACAAGCACCUGCUGCCACAGCAACAUCAGGAUUGGUGGGGGAUCGCCGAAUAUCUUUAGGACCUGCUGCAGGUGGUGCCGGCCUGGCUGCACAAUUAGAGCAAGGCUAUCGCCAAGCAAGGGAGGCUGUUCGCGCCAACAACGGUAUAAAGGUUCUCCUGCAUCUCCUCCAACCACGCAUAUAUUCACCUCCUGCGGCACUUGACUGUCUCCGUGCACUUGCUUGUCGAGUCCUCCUUGGUUUAGCCAGAGAUGAUACUAUUGCCCAUAUAUUGACAAAGCUCCAGGUACAUGACAGCUUUACAGAAUCAAAAUUUUAUUUUAUAUUUUCUUCCCUUGGGAUGUGGUUGACCCCUAUCUUUUCUGCUUCGGCUCAUUCGGUUUAAAUGAUGUUGCAAAACAUCAGACUUUUUUUAAAAAGAAAUAAAGUACAGGGAAAUUAGGGCAUGGUCAGUUAUUUUACACCAGGGAUUCCUGUUUUUAAUAAGUCGCCUCUGUUAGUGGGCCUUAAGGAAAUGUACUUCCACAUCCAAAAUGGGGGGCAAGAGAAUGUGAGACUAAAAAUUUCCUUUAGGAGAUGAGUACAGUUUCAUCCAGAACUUUAAAUAUUCUGGAGAAAGAAAUACUUUCAAAGUAAACGUUUUAAGGCAUUCUGGAAUUCAGUAUUCCUACAGAAGCUACAUUCAAAUCUCUUUGUUAACAGACGAGAGGGUUUAGCAUCAGUUGCAGAGAAGACUGAGAAGUGUUACGCUGUCUUCUUUUAUUAUAUGCUGCUCCGCUAGUUCAAGUUGAAGGUUUAGUUGGCCCUUUGCCUCAGACAUAACUUUGUCGCUGGCUAAUUUUUCUACAUUCAACUUUUGAUUUUGUUUCAAACAUAGUUUACUGCCUUUUAUUGUUAUUCUUCACUGUUUCCAUCAAGUUCUAAGUCAUUAAAUUCUUAAUCAUGGUUUUUUUUUUUGUGUCAUUGUCUAAAGAUAGGACCUUAUGUUAUAUUAGUCAAUCUUUUCCUGCUACUGAGUGCAACAUGAUGUUCUAGGUUGGAAAGAAACUUUCAGAACUAAUUCGAGAUUCAGGGAGCCAGACAAAUGCAACUGAGCAAGGCAGGUGGCAAGCUGAACUUUCACAGGCAGCAAUUGAGCUCAUUGCGGUAAGCAUUUGUUUACAAUUAGAAGUUUCUUAGAAAUAAUGUUUAUUUAACAGAAUCAGUUUUAUUAAUGAGAUAGGGUUAUUCCAUAGCCUUUUGCCCGCACCCUUUUCCCUUUCCCUCAACCUGCUUUGUACUUCAUGGUCAAAACUCAUGCGAUAUUAUUUUUGUUGUAGAUUGUGACAAAUUCUGGACGAGCUAGUACAUUGGCAGCCACUGAUGCUGCUAUGCCAACUUUGAGGCGCAUAGAAAGGGCAGCUAUAGCUGCUGCCACUCCUAUUACUUACCAUUCCAGGUAUUGAGUGAUUCCGCGUAUAGUGCCAGUAUUUGUUGAAAUUUGUUGCUUUUGAUUCUUCUGUUGACUUUUUUCCCUCUUUAUGUGUACUUGAAAUGUCAGGGAACUAUUGCUCUUGAUACACGAACACCUUCAGGCAUCUGGUUUGGCCGCAACAGCUGCUUCACUGCUAAAAGAGGCUCAGUUGAUGCCUUUGCCCUCCUUGGCUGCCCCCUCAUCUCUUGUUCAUCAGGCCACACAGGAAGCUCCCUCUGUACAACUUCAGUGGCCCUCUGGUCGCACACCUAGUGGAUUUCUGACAAACAAAUCAAAGAUUACUGCAAGGGAUGAGGAACCAAGUGUGAAAUUUGAUUCUGCUUUCUCGUAUUCAAAGAAAAAACCUUUAGUUUUCUCUCCUAAUUUUGCUCUACAGUCGAGGAAUCAAUCUCAGUCCCAUGAUUCUCACUGGGCAUCAGCCAGGAAAGUCUUUGGUGCUUCAAAACAGUUUUCUGCAACUGCAAAUGCAUCAGAAACUCCAUCAGCAUCCCUGCCAAAACCUACUUUUGAUACAGAGUCCCCAUGCAAGACACCCAUCGUCUUGCCAAUGAAACGGAAAUUAUCUGAGUUAAAGGAUCCUGGGUGUUUGCUAUCAUCAGGGAAACGUAUUCACACUGGUGACCAAGGGCUUCGAUCUCCAGUUGGUCCUACACCCACUACCAUGCGGAAGACCAGCCUACUAACUGAUGCUGGUGGAUUCUCUACACCAACUGCUAACUUAAGAGAUCAAUAUGGUCGAUCAACACCAGCUUGUUUUCCAUUAGAGUAUCCUGAUGAUAACCAGUAUGGUAAUUCUAGCAUGGGCCUGACAACACCAUCCUCCCAAUUUGGGCUGCAGAGUGACCCUCAGCCAAGCAAUGCAGAGCGAUUAACUCUAGACUCUGUGGUUGUUCAGUAUUUGAAGCACCAGCACCGGCAAUGUCCCGCCCCUAUAACCACUCUUCCACCACUCUCUCUUUUACACCCACAUGUUUGCCCUGAACCAAGACGAAGCCUUGAUGCCCCAUCGAAUGUUACAGCCCGGCUUGGUACUCGCGAGUUCAAAAGCAUGUAUGGUGGGGUCCACGGAAAUCGCAGGGAUCGUCAGUUUGUUUACAGUAGAUUCCGACCAUGGCGAACUUGUCGGGAUGAUUCUGGUGCCCCUUUGACAUGCAUCUCUUUUCUUAGUGAUUCCGCUCAUAUUGCAGUAGGCGGCCAUGGUGGUGAGCUCAAAAUUUUUGACUCCAAUAGCAGCAAUGUACUGGAGAGUUGCGCAAGCCACCAGUCUCCUAUAACGCUUGUUCAGUCACAUCUUUCCGGUGAGACCCAGCUGGUGCUUUCUUCAAGCUCCCAGGAUGUGAGGUUGUGGGAAGCAUCUUCAGUCUCUUCUGGGCCCAUGCAUUCCUAUGAAGGGUGUAAAGCUGCAAGAUUUAGCAAUUUUGGGGAUAUUUUUGCAGCUCUUCCAUCAGAGCUGGCCCGGCGAGAGAUUCUCCUGUAUGACAUCCAAACUAGCCAGUUGGAAUCGAAACUGUCAGAUACAUCUGCUAGCUCUACAGGUCGGGGACAUUCUUAUUCUCAUAUACACUUCAACCCUUCAGACACAAUGCUGCUUUGGAAUGGGGUCCUAUGGGACAGACGGGUUCCUAUCCCUGUUCAUCGUUUUGAUCAGUUUACAGAUUAUGGGGGCGGUGGCUUCCAUCCUGCUGGGAAUGAGGUAUGUAGAAAGAAACCUUGCGUCUACCACAGUAGGCUAAUUCUUAUUUCCAAAGCAGUCAUCUGCAUUCUGCCUCGAAAGCUUUGUAUUCUCCUCCUUUUUUGGUCAUUUCUAAUCCUUGUCUUUUCAAUAGGUGAUUAUAAACUCUGAGGUCUGGGAUCUCCGGAAAUUCAGACUCCUUCGGAGUGUACCUUCAUUAGACCAAACAACAAUAACUUUCAAUGCACGCGGCGAUGUAAUUUAUGCAAUCCUCCGGCGAAAUCUGGAGGAUGUAAUGUCAGCGGUUCACACCCGACGUGUAAAGCAUCCCCUCUUUGCUGCAUUCCGCACGGUGGAUGCAGUUAACUACUCUGACAUUGCCACUAUUCCAGUUGAUCGUUGUGUCCUUGACUUUGCAACAGAGCCAACUGAUUCCUUUGUUGGGUUGAUCACAAUGGAUGACCAAGAUGAUAUGUUAGCUUCUGCUAGGGUUUAUGAAAUUGGUCGCCGGAGGCCGACUGAUGAUGAUUCUGAUCCUGAUGAUGCUGAGAGUGAAGAAGAUGAAGAUGACGAGGAUGAGGAUGAUGACGAUGAUGUGGACCCUAUACUGGGCCCAGAUCUUGAUGGGGAUUCUGACAGUGAUGUUGAUGAUAUGAGCAAUGAUGAGGAUGACAGCGUGAGUGACCUCGACGAUGAUGACGAGGAUGCAGAUUUUAUUAUGGAUGACUUUGAGGGAGGAGGUGGAAUACUGGAGAUUGUGACAGAUGGCGAGGAGGACGACGACGACGAUAGUCAAUUUAUGGAAUCCUUUAGCAGUGGUGAUGAGGAUUAUGUGGGCGGUUUUGGAUAUUAACUGUAACAUAAUUUUCUUAAACCCGAUUAGAUUGGUGUUAGUAGUUGACCAGAUAGUGUAAUUAAUUGUUUUCUUUUUGGUUUUUCCUUGAUGCAUUAUUUACCAAUGAGAAGAAGGCUAGUUUCAUUCAUUAGUUUACACGUAGAUUUUUCAUCCGCGCCUUCCUUCGUAUGUUUUUUCGCUUGCUGGGUUCAGUGAUUACACCAUAAUUAAUUGUUCUGAAACUUAUGGGAAAGCAAUAAUUCAAUUCUUUUGGUGUUGUAAAUAUAUAUAGUGGAGCCCACUUCUAUUAGAAGAUGCUUGCCUAUAAAUUAGGCAUUCCCCCUUACUUGUAAUACACACACAGAUUAAAAUGGAAGAGCACAAACAUUCAAUAGAGAUCAGUUCCUAUAUAUCCCAAUUCCCUCUCUCCAAUUCCUCUUGAUUCAUAACACGUUAUCAACACGAAUAUCUCUAAAAUACCUGGGAAAUUCGAUCAAAACAGACCACCUUGCAAAAACUCAAGCACAGGCUUGAUGGCGGAGCCCGUUGCUUCCAACUUCAGUUUCUGACAACUCCAAACAUUUCAAAUGCUGAAGGCCUGUCAAGUUGACCAGCCCUUCAUCACCAAUCCUACAUGAAUCCAGGUUCAAGCUCUCCAAAUUUGUCAAACCUUUCAAGUGUACCAGACAAGCAUCGGUGAUGGCCCAUCAAAGCCGUCACUGAGAUCUCCAAGUUCGCUUCGAACUUGUUGCAGCUUCAGAACGAAGCUCUGGAAGACGAUGAUGAUGAUGAUGAUGAUGAUGACUGUUCUCAACUCCAGACUCAUCGUCCUCCCCCACUUCCCCACCAUCCUCAGCCGUCCAACGCGCUCUGCAACUUAUCCAAUCCGACGACCAGGAUUCCAAGCUCCAAGGCGCGCAGGAAAUCCGCCACCUCACCAAGACCUCGAACAGGUGUCGGCGCCAGCUUUCGGCCUCGGUGGGCCCGCUCGUGUCCAUGCUCCGAGUCAGCGACUCGACCGAGUCUCACGAGUCCGCCCUCCUCGCUCUCCUCAAUCUCGCCGUCAAGGAUGAGACAGAUUUUUGCAAGGCCAGAAAUGACAAAGGUGUACCCAAACGCUGCCAAUGCCAAAAUUGCCCUUACCUACGAGCCUGAGAGGCUCAAGCUUUCUGGUUCCGACCAGGAGGAUGCGACGGUGCUGACCAUGUGGAAGAAGUCUUUGCUGCUCAACUGCAAUGGCUUCACCGUGUUCAACAACAAGGACUGGGACUUGGCGACGGAAAAGAGGAGGCUCAGUUUUCAGACCCUGAUGAUAACGAUGGUAGAUCUGAUGAGAGAAUCCACCUCUUGCUUCUCAGUGCUCAACAAAAGAAAUUAUCAACAACAAUGAUGAAAGCAAAAGCAGAUCAAACAGCAAAUCCACCGAAAGAAAAGAAAAAAAAAAAAACAAUAAUAACAAAAAAAAUUUUAUGCUUUCUAUCACUUUAUUAUUCCUCUACAGUAUUUAAUAAACCAAUUGGUGCAGGUGUGCAGAUUACAGGUGGUAAGCGACAAGCAUGAUGCCUUCCACAAACGAUAACAAUAUUAUCUGCUAUACUAUUUGAUCGUGGUGUUGAUGAGAACCCACCAAUAAUCACAUUUACUUUAUCGCAAAUUUACUUUUAUUUAAAGUAUGAUGUGGAAUUAACCCUCAUACUUUAUGAAUUUACUUUACUGCACAUUUACUUUUAUUAAAAGUAUGAUGUGGAAUUAACCCUCAUACUUUAUAUUUCCUUUUAUUUAAAGUAUGGUGCGGAAUUAACGCCCAUACAGCAAGCAAUUUAAUUUAUGAAUUUAUUUUAUCGCACGUUUACAUUUAUUUAAAAGGGUGGUGCGGGUUUAUCGUCCACGCCUUUACUUUCAUUUAAAUGUAUGGACAGAAUUAGUGCCCAUACAAGCACGUUUACUUUACCAAUUUAUUUUACCGCACAUUUACAUUUAUUUAAAGUAUGGUGCGAGUUUAUCGUCCAUACUAGUAAUUUAUUUACCAGUAAUUUAUUUUAUGGAUUAAAUGUGAUGUAUGAUGAGUUUUUACAGUAUGCAGAUCAGGACCAGAAGUUCCUUGAUCCUCAUCAUACAAUUACAUCAGGACUUGAAGAUCCUUGAUGAUGAUGUUAAUAUGAGAGCUGGCAGUCUCUCCGGUACUAUAUUUGUAAACAUGUGAUUGGACUUGAGGGUCCUUGAUCCCUGACAUGUAAAUAAGGACCUGGGGUUCCUUAAUGAUGUAACAGUACCGUAUUGUUUCAUAAUGCCGUACACAUGGAUGAUAACUGUACUGACAAAUGUACUGUCCACAUGAAUAGAUACGUAUUCAUGACUUGAUGAAUAGUACCGGAUAUAUGAAUAGUGACGUAUACAUAAACAUUAACCAUUUUGGGUAAACCGUCACUAUAUUCAAAAAGGGAACCUGCAGUUCCUUAAACUCAUGAAUGAGCAAUUAAAUGAGAUGCCAGAAGUUCCUCAAGAUAUGGACAAUUAUGUAAGGACUUGAAGUCCAGAAAAAUGUACAGAAAAUUGUAAAAAUGUCCAUACCAUGAGAAUAUAUGAUUUUGGCCCGAAGUUCAAAAUCUAAGGGGAUUGAAUGUCCAUACCAUGAGAAUAUGUGAUUUUGGCCUGAAGUUCAAAAUCUAACAGUAUUGAGAACCUAAAGUUCCAACAGUUAAAUGGACAAUCCUUGAGGUAUUAUUGCAAAUUGUGGUACACCACAUAUUUCUUUGGCAUAAGAAAACGAUGAAUUGAGGCUUCCCACAUAUUUUGUUAUAUCUGGGCCGGAAGCACAUGGAUUCAAAUAUAUGAGAUAUUAGCGUGGCUUUUACUCAAUUCAUAUUUCAUGUCCACUUGAAAAGGGCGAAUAAAUUCUGAGUUUGUGUUUAGCCCAGGCCAAAAGUUCCAUACGUUGAAAUAUGAAAUUUGGGAGAGUCGAUGUGGUUAUUUGAACCUAUAAGGUACAAGAUUCCAAACCGUCAUUUUGAAAAGACGUAAAAACCACAGGUGCAAGUUUAAGAAUGUGCGUAAUUAUUAUAACAGGAACAUACAACAGAUAGAUUUUUUCCACCUGCAAUGAAGAUGCAGGCCCUGUAAAAUCUAUAAAAUUACAUUAUGUUCUGGAAGCCUCUGCAGGAAGAGGACGACGCCUCUUAAGCUUCGCCAUGAGCCUCUCAUGGUCUCCCAAAAUUCUUUCAUUGGAGACCUGCAGCAUAUCUAGCCUUCUCAGUGUAUCAACAGAGUACGAACUCACCAGUUUCAACAAAGCAUUAUUCUCUCCUUUAAGUUUCUCAACCUCCUGUUGAGACUCAUGAAGCAUUCUUUGGAGAGACGAAUUUUCAGUUGUUAAAAUCUGAACCUCGUUUGCUCUAGCACGCAAACGAUCAGCCAUGUUAGAAACAGAAGCAGCACUCUGAAUGCUAAAAGCCAUUGAGUCAUCAAUAGCCUCUUCCUCUGAUCUCCCUGUCAACAACAUUUCAUCCAUUGGAAUAAUGAAAUUCUUAGCUACUAUGACAGCAGUAGCAUCAUUCAUCAUCACAGAAUCAUUAACUGUGAGAUGACGAUUUUUGGAUACAAAGGAUGGACGCCAAACUUGGGCGUCACUGGUUGUUGUGGGAGUAUCAUUUAAAUUGAAAUAAUUUGGGCAGGAAGAAGAGGAAGCCAUUUUUAAGAAGGUUUCGAAGAAAGUCUUAAGAAAACUAAAGUUUCAGAAAAUGAAGGGAGUUCAGUUGAAAUGCAGUUACUCCAAUCAAGUUUUGCAAAGGCAAUAUCUAUAGGAGGAAAUAUGGCUACAGUUUUUCAGGAUCCCAAUAUCUUUUCGGAUCCCCAUAUUCUCUUUUUCCUUCCCAGAUUCCAAAACUUCACGUGGCCUCCAUUAAUGUUUGUCGGCAAUUUCGGCGUUUUCAAAGUAUUAUUUUCGUCAAAAGCCGAUCUUGCUUUACGGAUUUCACGGAGCUACUUUUUCAAAAGUAUCCCGAGAAUCUCGCAAUUUUCCUAUGGUUAAUUUGAAAUUCACCGGUUCUACCUAUUCAUUGUAUUUGUGUAUAAAUGUGUUACUAACGAAAUUUUCUUUGCAGAAGACAUCCAAUUUUCUCCAUACCUAGUGAUGCGAUAUCUACUUGUUUUUCUUAUCAGUAAGCACUUAAUAUGCCCGAGAAGCAAGACUAUCUCUGAUCAUCCAUUCAGGAAGCGAGACUAUCCCUGAUCACGUUUCCGCCACAUCAGGGAACUGUGAAGGCAACCUUAUGCUCUAAUCUCCGGAAGUUCUUCUAGACUAGAAGAAAUGAGAGCUUGUUGUUUGCUCCCACCAGCUUCCUUCCUUGAUUGCUGAGCUUGUUGUCUGCUCCCACCAGCUUCCUUCCCUGAUUGCUUACCUUCUCUUGCAAUCAAUAUCACAUUAUUUUUGCAUUUUUUCUCUUUUUAUAACUCUCUGUUCAUAAGAGAUUUUAUUUCUUUAGAAUGAACAUCUGAAGAAAGAAUCCAUGAAGUGAUCCUAACUCUGAGGGUUAUUUAUUUUUGACAGAGAAAAGAGUUGUGAUUUUGCUCUUGCAGGAUAUAACUAGAUCAUCAAGCGCUACAUUAUAUUUACUAGGCCGAUACGAGCUUGAAUGAUACUUGAGAAAAGUUUCUCCCACCUAAGGAUGUAAGCAGUAUUUGUGUUAUUAUAUGCUUAUAUACUUAUUUGAUAUUUUAUCUUGAAAGGUAACCAAAUAGGGAGAUAAGUCUGUUCCAAAAGAAUGACUUGUAUGUAUCCAUGAAUUAUUAAUGCAAAUUUUACAGAUUGCAAGUUGGAUACAUUGAUAAUACACUGCACAGAUUAAAGUCCCAUAAGAACAGAAUAUGGGUAUAGCAGUGAUCAAUAUGAUGCACGCCUGUUGCGUAGCAAAUGAUGUGGAUUGAAGUCCCGAAAGGACAAUCCUUUGACAUGUCAAUAUUGAUAUUAUGCACGCCUAAUGCGUAGCAAAUUAUAUGGGUUAAAGUCCCAUAAUAUGGGUUAAGGUCCCAGAAAUUAAUUGACAUGUAUGUAUUAAUCUGUGGCAUGCCUUUAGCAUGACAGAUAUAUGGGUUCUAAAUGUUCCAACUCCCUAAAUGGAGAUUAUCCACGCCCUACUGCUAAAUAACGCUCUAAUGGAGGUUAUAAUUCACAUUCUCACAUAAUAAAAGCCCCAUGAAGUGGCUUGGGUACCCAAAGGCAAAUAAAUGCUUAUAAUUGAUGCAUGCGCAUGCACAUGAGAAUGGUGGGAUCAUGAAUUGAUGAAUGACAAUUUUUGGUUUUGGAGUAGCUACUCAAAUCAUCAAUGGGCUGUGUUGAUUGGAACCACGUUCAAUUAUUAAAUGUCGACAAUAUCAUUGGCCAAAAUGGAAUAAGGUAAUUCCAUUAUAGAUGAGAAUGAACGUGAAAGAACAAACCCACAGUACGAACCCCAAAAGAUGUUAAUACUGAAAUUUAUACUUGGGUGUUCGGAAUAAAAGGGAAUAUACCUACUUUGUAUGACACACUGUUUCUGGCAGAAACAAGGAAUGUUGGGUUUUCUCCAUAUUUACAGAUUCAAUUGUGCCCCUCCCCCCCCCCCCCCCCUUUUAUUACACAAUUACGGAGACCAACAUAUUAUCUUUAAGGGUUAUUAAAUGCACGGAGCAUAUCGCCAGAAGCGAUUUCCUAAAGAUAUAUAAAUAGCUGGGUAAAAGCUAUAUAAUGUGUCAUAAAGUUUAAUUCCUUUUAAACAAAAUCCGUUGAGAGGAUUGACAUUGCAUAAAGCAAGUCCCUAAAAGACAUGUGCUUGAAGCACAAAAUUUGUACUCAAUAUUAAUAUGCAUAAAUUACCUCAGUGAGUACAUUGAUUAUAAUGUGUUUGCAACACAUUAAAGCUUCUGAAGAGUUCAAGAAAUAUUUGUCUCGACUUAAGGAUCGAGCAUUAUGCCAACGAGAUUCUUGCUUAUACUAAGAAAGUAUUGAAGCAUUUUUUAUCUGUUGGACACUUUAAUGAUUUUCCGGAAGUAUAUUGGACCGGACAUCAUAUUUUCCAGAUAGGGCUCAACUCCAUCACCAUCAUUUUGGGAUGAUGUGAGGUAUAUUUGAUGCUAUCUCCGCAUAACACCAUGUACGGGCAUAUUCUUUCAAAUGAACUUGCAAAUAACCCAAGUUUUGUUGAAAACGCGGACUCUGAAAAUUUCUAUGAUUUACCUAGAGAUAGCUCACUGGAAAUAUAUUUACUUACUCAACUACGAGAAUUGUUAAUGGCUAUAUCCUCCACUCACUCCGAAAGAUUCUCACUCUAAAAGAUAGUCAUGAAGACAUCAGGAGGAGAUAUUAAUCAGGGGGAGGAUCCAGAAGUAUGCUAUACAAAUUGUUGUACUCUUCCUUCCAUCAGUAUAAAUUUUUCAGGGGGAGAUAUUCACAAAAGGGAGCGUGGUUUUAAUAAAGACCUCCAUACACUGUACUCUUUUUCCUUCAUCCAGGUUUUUAUCCCACUGGGUUUUUCCUGGUAAGGUUUUAACGAGGCAGUGUCGCUCAAGUUUGACUCACAGAAGCAGUGUCAACUACGAUAUUCAGAAAGCUGAUCAACAGUAUGACUUAAAGAUAUUUUGCCAAGCAUCAGGGGGAGCGCGCUAUCAAUAAAGAUCUUCAAACACUGUACUCUUUUUCCUUCGUCCAGGUUUUUAUCCCACUGGGUUUUUCCUGGCAAGGUUUUAACGAGGCAGUGUCGCACGCGUGUCAAUAUACACAGAAUUUUAUGUUACACAUGAUUAUGUACUCUUUUUCCCUUUGACCAGUUUUUGUCCCACUGGGUUUUUACUGGCAAGGUUUUUAACGAGGCAUACUCCAUAUCAUUUGUGGUCUCCAAGGGGGAGUGUUGUAAAUAUAUAUAGUGGAGCCCACCUCCAUUAGAAGAUGCUUGCCUAUAAAUUAGGCAUUCCCCCUACUUGUAAUACACACACAGAUUAAAAUGGAAGAGAACAAACAUUCAAUAGAGAUCAGUUCCUAUAUAUCUCAAUUCCCUCUCUCCAAUUCCUCUUGAUUCAUAACAUUUGGGAGAUUUUAGAAAUUUUAUUUUUAGGCCAUUAAACGCACCGUUUUGGUGGUAUGCAAUUUCAUAAUCGUAAUCUAACCUGGAAAAGACAUCCCCUUGAACAAAACAAACAAAAAAAACCCCAUCAAUUCAAUGGCAUGUGGGGGUUCUUGUAGUUUUGGACCUCCAAACUCUGCAAGUUGUCUAUGAAGAAGACUUCUCUCUUGCGUUCCUGCCUGCCUUGCCUUCAGAGGGGUCCAAAUUCUUUUUAUUUUAUUUUUCUUUUGUUUAUCUAAAGUGGUGAGUAAAAAUAUUCCCCUUCAUUAUAAAGAUUUUCAGCACAAACAUAUCCAAACAAAGCAGAUCAAGAAUCAGUAGAUCAAUACUCAACAGAAACCCACAUGAUACAAACUGAAAAAUACAGAAAACUACAAACACAGAGAGAAUAUGACAGCAUAUAGAGAGAACAAAAUAAACAUUAUGGAUUUUGCUCUUCUUUCACUUUGUUAGUGGUUAGACUGAGAAAUAACUUUGUUAAAGAAAAUUGAACUCCUAAUUCUUAUUGUCCACAUAAGAAUUUUUUGUCUAUGCGGUAGCGAGCUAUCAUGCAUUCCAUCUACUAUCUACUUGCCAUAUAGAUAAACAUGUAUACCAUCUACUUGCCUUCUAACCCAUCCAUCCAUCCAUUCACUUCAAAUCGUAUGAACAUCAAUAAAAACGACGCAAUCAUCUGACAAUGUGCAUUUAUCACUUGUAAGAAUUGAUUGUUUCACAAACUAAAGAACAGAAACGAAAUUAAGUAUGUUUUAAGAUCUCUAAAGAUCGAAUUCUGCCAAAAUGAAUAAUACACUAAGGGGCAAUCCUAAGUGGAUCACGAGGGAACAGAGAAGUUUUGCGGAUGUUGUUCAAACCGCAGAAAAGCAUGACAACGCGCUCCAGCCCUACCCCGAACCCACCGUGCGGAGGUGCACCAUAUCUGUAAGAGCCAUCACAAGGGUUAACAAGAGCCGGGCCAAAAAAACUCAUGCCAAACAUACUGAGCAGCAUAGAGGUGUAUAGCAUGGUAAAAAGCAAAAUUUGUAAAGAGCUUUUGACUUGGAAUAUUUUAAAAAAAUGAUAUCAAUAAUAACAAGGGAAGAAAAAAUAAGAAUACCUGAAAGCAUCGAUAUAUGUUGAAAUUGUCUUCAGUUCAAUCCCACAUGCUUGUGCACGUUCAGCCAGUAAUUCUGGCACGUGCACACGUUGGGCACCAGAAAUUAUCUCCUCACCUGAGGGAUGGGAAAUAGAUAAUUAGAUUUUCGUUGAUAUUUAAAACCAAAACAACAAUGCUGAUCCAGCCAUUGAUGAUUUACCUCGAAUAAAAACAUCAAAUGAAUUACUGUAGGCAAGAUUAUCGUGGCAAGGCAUCGUAUAGAAUGGCCUCACAGCCAAAGGAUAGCGGUGGAGUAUGUAGAACUCAGUGCCGUACCUAUGAUCAAGUAAAAUCCAGUUCAAACAUUUAUAAUAACAACAGAAUCUAUAUUAAACGAGAGCAAACUAAAACAUAUACUAUGAAGAUAUAGAGCAAGAAAAUUAAAAAUUACUUCUCCAGAACCAGUUGCCCCAGUUUUCUCUCAGCCUCAGUGUUUAGGUCCCCCAUAGGAUCCACUUCAAUGCCAGCAUCCUGUACAAGGAGGUCAAACUUACAAUAAAAAGAAAGAAAACUCUGCAAUUGAAAGCAGGUCGUGCAUGUUUUGGCCUUCCAUGCAUGCAAAAAAAUCAUAUACAUAAGGGUUUAGUCGAAAUAAAUAAAACAAAGAACUAUUCAGCUCAUUUAUGCACAAGUUAUAAAUUCCAAGGCACUCCUCUCCCUCAAUGGCCUGCACACAGAUCCAUGCAUCUGUGCAUCCAUUGUUUUCAUUUGUUGCCCACUCUGCAAGAUAACUCCAGACUACCUAAUUUGUUGGGUUGUUUUCUACGGCUCAUGAACACAAGUUUCUGAAUUAACAGCAAUUGCCUACAUGGAGCUUGCCGCUCCAUCUGAAGCUCUCCUAAUCAUAACCACUGCAUGAAAGAUCAAACUAGUAUGAUAGUAUUCUAUCCCCUCUUCAGCUUCAAGAUUUCUUAAAAGUCAUGCUUCCUCAAGAACUAUGUGACUUGUGAACUGUGAUACAGCCCUAUCAAAAUCUACAAUCAUUCAUUUAAUUUCUCUAUUUUAUUCAGUGCAAAACAUGAACCAAUGAAAAUAAGUAAAUAAAUAAAAUUAGCAUAGUAUUCCUAACCUUGAGCAUUUGAAUACCUUCUUCAAAUGUAAGGCGUAGAGUCUCUGGCAAGUACUGCAAAUUUAUGACAUGUCAACAAUCAGAAUCCAAAAAAUUUAUGUGCACAGGCCUGAAAUAUUUGGUAACAGUUUAUUCUAUAACUGACAGGAAUAUAAAUGAGUUUAUUAGGAAAAGAUCAUGCAGCACACCAAACAUAUCACAUUACAAUUAUAAUGUCAAUAAAAAAACAAAUAAGAAUCAUGACCUUCAAUGGUUCGAAGGGAUAUUGCCUCCCUACAGCUUCAAGCUCCUUCUCACAAGUCUUGUUCAAAGUGUCGAAUAUUGUAACAAAUAAACGGCCAACAAUAUCCAUCACCUGCACGAACAAGCAUAUAACUACUCAGAAAUUCACAUCCAUGAUCAUAUUGGGUGCUAAGAGAAAACCUUAGAAAUUCAAACUCUACCUCAGAAUAGUGACUCUUGAUCUCCAUUUCAAGAUCAAGACCAAUAAACUCACACAAAUGCCUAUGGGUAUAGGAGUCCUCAGCUCUAUAAACACCACCAAUCUCAAAAACACGGCCAAAGUCACCACAGAUAGCCAUCUGCUUGUGAAGCUGAGGUGAUUGGGCAAGGCAGGCAGGUUGACCCUUGUAGUCGAGUCUAAACACAGCAGCACCACCUUCGCUUGAACCAGCAAUCAGUUUUGGCGUGUGGAUUUCAAAAAAGCCUUCAGAUAACAGAAACUGCCUAAAGAUCUACACAAUAACACAACCAAUUACAUACAGAACUAAACUAACAACAAAUUUUCUACAAAUUUACAAAGAGAAACAAACACAAAGCAUAUAUCUGCAAAUGCUACAAACAAAACUUACAGUUCCAACUUGGCUCUGGAUCCGGAAGAUCCCCUGAUUCGCUGGUGUUCGCAAGUCAAGAACUCUAUUGUUCAAGCGUGUAUCCUGAUUAACACGAACAAGCUUUUCUCCAGCCUAAAACCCACCAAAAGAUCCAAUAAAUUUACAUACAAAAAAAAAAAAAAAAAUCCAAAUCCUUGACAAAAUUUCAAGAAUCCAAUUAACCAAAAAAAAAAAAACCUCUAAUCUUACUCUCUUAAAUAAUCAUUGUACCUGCAAAGCUUUUUCGAUUUCAGCAUCGCUUCGAGCAGCAUCCUCAAUAUUAAUAGGUAGCACAGCAGCUUUACUCACACAGUACAAUUUCCUCACUUGAACCUCCACCUAAUUAAAAUCAACAUUUCAAUUAUAUCACAUAUUAACUAAGCAGUGAAUUCAUAAAAUUAAAAAAAAUUGAAAUAAAAAAUUACCUGCUGUGUGGUUCCUUUUAUCUCAACACUAGGAACAGAAACAACUCCUUCAAUAUCAAUAAUCGAUUCGCGGCUCAAACCGGCAACGUACUUCACCAUCUGGCGGCUCACGGUAUCAGGCUGGACCGUAGCCACACACUGCACGGUGAAGCCUCUCUCUCUGACGACCACAAACGCCAUGUUCUUCCCCACGGCUCGGAUCGUCUGCGCUCGGCCUCGAAUCAGCACCGAGCGGUUCUCCGAUGUGUUCGUCAGAGCGCCGACCUCGGUCCAUCGGCUGACGUCCUCCACCGUCUUCGAUUGUAUCUCGUUGAGCGGGACGUCUCCAUAGUUGGCGGAGAGCGGGUCCUGCUCGUCAUCGACGGCGAGAGAGCGAGUGGCGGCGGCUAGGGCUUCUUGCUCUUGGCGGCGGCGAAGCUUCUCUUGCUUGGCUGCUUCCUUCUUGGCGGCCUUUUUGCUGACCGAGGCUGCGUCCUCGGAAGGGGGUUGCGAUUCGGGUGUGGACAUUGUCGGGUCGGGUCGCGUUCAGAAUAGUAGAGUGGUGGACUGAAAUGUCUGGACAAACAAAACUGCUAAAAUAUUUGGAAAUGUUGUGUGCGUUUUGUAUUGUAGGAUGAUAUAUAAACGAGUACAAUUUUUAUUUAUUUAUUUAUUUUUUUGGGUAACAAUACGAGUACAAUUUAGGCUAUGGAGGAAUCUAGCCUAGGGAUGGCAAUGGGUCGAGUAGGGGUCGGGUAUGACAAUACCAUCCUCAUCCCUGCUCUUCAUCCCCGCCCUCGUCCCCAAACCCAUCCCCAUUUAAUAGGUUUCGGAAAAUCCUCAUCCCCGUUCCCGUCGGGGAACUAUUCCCCAUACCCGCCCCGAAUCUCCGAUUGUUUUUGCAUAAAAAAUAUUUAUAAUACAUUUUAACAUUAAGUUUCAUAUUAAAUUAUCAUUCAACGCAUCCACAAAUUUUCGUUUAUUUUCAAAAAAAAAAAACUCUCUUCGUUUUAUAAAUAAUAAAAAAUUUCAACUCAUGGCAAUUUUUAUUUUAAGGGAGGCAUAUUUUCUUUUUUGGAAUGAGUAUUAAACAACUCUCAAGUUACUGUCCAAACCACACACAACACAACACGAAUGUUAGGACUCGAACCCAAGACCUUGUCUGAGGAAGUAAAUACUUCAAACCACUACACUAGUGGGUCCUUUGUCCAUGUUAUUAUUUUUAAAUAUCACUUUUGACCCUUAAAAAAUUCUUUAUAUUAAUAACUUUUAAUAAUUAAAAAUAAAAAAUUGAACAACUUUUCAUUCAUAAUUCUCUACUAGUGCUUUAAUUUAUCAAACAUUGGAAUUAACAUCCUACAUUCUCAUCUCUUAGGAAAGUCUUUUUAUUUUUUUUUCAAAGAUUAGGACAGUUUAUUUACAGCCUAACCCGUGAGAGAGGUAAACAGUUAAGAAAAUCUCCCUGUGAGAUUCUUUACCAUCACAGAAUCUGAUUCGAUUGCUACCUGGAACAAUUUUGAGGAGGCAAAGAUGCUGCUUUCGCUCGUGAUUUGAUUCGAUUGCUACCUUCAACUUAAACCCUUGAUUAAAAAAACUAGAAUAAAAUCGCGGGUUUUCGUUUUCUCCUUCUCCUUCCUGCUUUUUCAGUCUCUGAAAAGCUCACUCUCACUCUCACUCUCCCUCCACAAACCCUUUCCCUGCUGCUUGCUUCUACUGCCUCACUCAAAAAUGUUGGCAGCUAAAACCCUAAUAAACCCGUCUCCGCCCCUCAAUCUGCCGCCCAAACUCACCCUCCGUCGUCCCAAACCCCCAUUCUCUCUCUCAAUCCGCAACUCGCUCUCUGACUCACAAGCCCCAACCACUCCGGGUCAGCUCCGAGUCGACAUCCUCUCCGAGUCUCUCCCCUUUAUCCAAAAAUUCCGAGGCAAGACCAUCGUAGUCAAGUACGGCGGCGCCGCCAUGAAAUCAGAGUCCCUCCAGGCCUCCGUCGUCAACGACCUCGUCCUCCUCUCAUGCGUCGGCCUCAGGCCCGUCCUUGUCCACGGCGGUGGGCCCGAGAUCAACCACUGGCUCAAGCGCCUCAACAUCGAGGUCAGCUUCCACGACGGCCUCCGAGUCACCGACGCCGCCACAAUGGAGAUCGUCUCCAUGGUCCUCGCCGGAAAAGUCAACAAAAACCUAGUCUCGCUCAUCGACCGCGCCGGAGUCAAGGCCAUCGGGCUCUGUGGCUUCGACGGGCGCCUCGUCACCGCCCGACCCGCCCCGAACGCGGCUAAGCUCGGGUUCGUCGGGGAGGUUGCUCGGGUGGACCCCACUGUGCUGUGGUCGAUCGUGAACGACGGCCACAUCCCCGUGAUCGCGUCGGUGGCGGCGGACGAGACGGGGCAGCAGUACAACAUCAAUGCGGACACGGUGGCGGGGGAGCUGGCGGCGGCGCUGGGGGCGGAGAAGCUGAUUCUGCUGACGGACGUGGCGGGGAUCUUGAGCGAUCGAAACGACGCGUUUAGCUUGGUGAAGGAGAUUGACAUCAAGGGAGUGAAGAAGAUGGUGGAGGAGGGGACAAUUGGUGGGGGUAUGAUACCAAAAGUGAAUUGCUGUGUAAGGUCUUUGGCUCAGGGGGUGAAGACUGCUAGCAUUGUUGAUGGGAGAGUGCCCCAUUCUUUGUUGCUUGAGAUUUUGACUGAUGAAGGAGCUGGGACCAUGAUUAGUGGAUAGUUAAAUGCUAAUUGCUUUGAUUAAGAGUGUAAUUGUUUAUGAAUUUGAGAGAGAAUAUUGAGAGCUCUUUGUCAUCCCAUAAUUUGCAAUAAUUAUCAGCUGCUCUAAAAUUUUACUAUAAAUUUAUGCUUUGGUGAGUUUCUACUGUUACCCAAUUUCAAUAUCUGCAUAACUUGAUGUCAUGAAGAACAUUUUAAGUGACAUUAAAUGAUGCAUAAAUAAUCAAGCUUCACAUCCCCAGAAAUUAGCAGAUGAAUUAGUAUAAAUCAUCUGGCAUAAAUUAACAAUGGUGUCCCAGUAAAUACAAACAAAAGGGAUUUAGCAGGGACUACGCGGCAUGAACAGAUCAAUUUCUGAAACUGAGACAUGAUGGAUGCCAUGGGAAACAAAAAGAAGUCCUAUUGCAUUUACAAACGAUUGUUCCAAAAGUUUCCUCCUGAAUACAAAGUUUGAGGAAAAUCAACUUACACCGUAUAAUGACCUGAGUGGUUCUGCUUCAGAAUGCUUUCAGCUUUCACCGACCUCUUCUGGAUCAGUAACUGGCAAUUCGUCGUGCCCUGCUAUCUCACUGUUUGCAUGUUCCGAUGAGUUCUCGUCAUCAGAGUCUUGUCUUACAACAGAAUCAAGAGCAGAGUUACAGAUGGGUCUUUGUCUCGACCUAUUCUUGGUGCCCAAGUUUCUGUUUUCCAGGACUGGAUGGCUAGUGUCUCCAGCUAGUCUUUUACUCCAGCGCACACCCAUAGGCUUUAGGGCAAUACUAUCAGUUUGAGCAUGGUUCUUGUCUGUCUCAGAUUUGCCUGAGUCACUAUGGUCACCCUUAUCUUCAUCCUUUGUUCCACCAUCAUCCCAAUUGUUAUCAUCGUCAUCACUAGCAACUUCUUCAAUCCUGUCGCUUGAGGUGUCACUGCCCGCAGAGUCAUCCUUAUUACCAGAAUCAUUGGCGUCACUGUCAUUGGAAUUACUUUUUUUACCUGAAUUGUCUUCUGAGUUUGUGUCUCUCUGUGGGGCACCAUUAGUGUCAGUGCCAUUUCUUCUUCUACGCUUACCCUCUUGCCUUUUCUCGUCGGCAGUUCUCUUCCCGCUGGACCCCAAGUAAGAUUUACAAUUGGUGAGAAAAGUAAUAUAAUGUGGAAACAAACGAGCAGACUUGGCCACAAAGAGGCCACAUAAAGAAUCAAGAACAAGUUUUAGAGUAACGAACAGACAUGAAAGAAAAUUGUGAAAAAAAUGUUGCAUACAUCCAGAACAAUAACAUCCUUACAGUAGUAACCUUCAUAUGCCGAUGAAAAUCAUUUUCCAAGAAUACAAAAUGUACUUGAAACCAUGCAAUAUGCAAGGAGGGUCACAAAAAAUGGGGACUAUGCAAAAUAUCCAAAACUAUUACAGAAGUCUUACUUUGUUACUUUAAUAGCCUCAUGAAUAGCCCGAUCGUACUCAUCUGCACAUUAUUCAAAACAAAAUCUCUUAGAAUGUAAGGAUAAAAAAUAAGUAGAUAAGGAAGUACAGAGUGAUAACAGGAUACAUACAGAAUAAAUUAACAAUCAUUGAUCAUAACGGAUAAAGAAAUAAAAAUCUGUUCUCAAGUUCAAAGCUUACCCUGAAACUCCUCUAAUUUCCCAGACAUCAUUUAUAAACAAUCAGCUAGAGUUAGGGCCAGUGUUUGAUGCAAUCAAAAUUAUUGGAGCAAUGUCACAUGUUGAGAAGGAGGUAGCCAAACAAAAUUUUCAUCAUACCAAAUGUGUAGCUGACAGGCCUACGGUUGCGACAGGAACGAGUAGUUCCAGCACCACAAGAAUUUCUCAAAGUAUUCAGAUGCCUCUCUUGCCUUUCUUUCUGCUUUAGUGCCCUUUCUUUCUUCUGUAGAAUACAACAGUUUUAGUAUAAACAACACAAGCCUAAGCUGUUGCAUAAGGUUCACUGCUAAAGACAGUACCCACAAUUUCAAAAUUAACAGCCACUGCAAAAGUUUACCUUCUGAAGUUUCUCAAGAACAGGAAUAGCAUUGGUUUCAAUAAUCUUAGCAACAGAAACAUCUGCUACAACUUUGCUUGAUGAGAGUUCAUCCUACCAUGACAGGGAAGGGAUAAUUUCUUUUAUGAGAAACAAAUUUUAGUAAUAAUACUCAUAAAACAAAGUACAAAACCCCGGUGAACAAGAAGUCUACCAACAAUUGAAUACUGAUUUUAGUCUUGUGAUAAACAAAAACUUUGACUUACUACAACUUUACGAAAUUCCUCGAGAUUGGUUGCCAGUGUUUCCCACUGGAGACUAAUAUUUGCCAGGUUUAAACAUCCUUUUCCCCUGCUCUUUGCCUUUGACUCAAGGGCAGUUACUUCCUUGUAUAAUCUAUGACCGGUAAUCGUAGUUCCCUCGUACCUGAAAUGAAUGCAGUAACUGGUAUUACAACUGAUCGUGCUAUCAAAGGCAUAAAAUUAAUAACAUAUCAAAAUAUUACCAAUAGGAAGUUCCAUUUCCAUCUCCUCCUAUCUUAUUUUUGCGAAAGAAAGAAACUUCAGUUCCUUGUUUCAGAGCAUCAUUAAUAUAAGCUAAUGCAUCAUCUUGCUGGGAACCCCAAAAAAAAAAAAAUAAAGAGUUAUUUAUAUCACACCAUCUUUCAACAACAACAAAAAAAUUUACUUAUAUCAAACUCCCAUAUAUACUUCCAACAUAUAAUCACAUGUUCAGGUAUAAUGCAAUUGUAACAUAAAAUUAGGUGAUCCAAUGGUUAAAAAGCAUGUAAACCACCUAGACAUAUAGAAACAAAUACAGGACAAAUUGGUAGGACUUAGUACAUCAGCUCUGAGUUCACAAAGUGCUUUUAAGAGUAGUAAGCGUUUUGUUGGAUCGAGUUCCUUGUAACGAGAUAUCUCUUCUCUGCAAAAACAGCACAAAUGGCAAAAAUUAUAGUUGAUUUUUUAAAAAAAAAACUAAAUCAGAUUAAAUACAGUCAAACUAACACAUUGUCAAUACCCUUUAGCUGCCACUAGCGGAAUCUCCCCCUCAGCAACCUGCAGUAAAGAGAAAAUAUAUUGCUGCAGGUUAUACACAGGCUAUAUAAAGAAAGGGGGCAAAAGGAGUCAAACUCCUAGAUUCUAAAACAACUCACCCAUGGCCACCAUGUUGCAAGUUUCUUACAAAGCACAGUCACCCAUGCAUCAGAGCCAUCCAAUGCUUUACUUGCAGGUGGUAUUCCCUGGAAAGAACACAGGUUAGAAUGAGAUGAAGAUGAUCAUAUGUGGAAAAGGAAAGAAAACAAGAAAAGACAAAUAUUUUGUAUAGGUAGGGAUUUCAGACCCAGCUGAAAACAAAUCAAAUUGUUUUCUUUAUAAUUUUUGAAAUCGAUGUAUUCCUACCAAGACUAUCCUGUUUGUUUCUUAGUCCAAAAACUCUCCGUAAUCAGUAAUAAAACUGACUUCAUUGUUGUCUUCCCCAAAACCGAUUGUUCAGUCAAUCAUCUAUCAUAGUCUAAACAGAGAAAGAAUCAGCUAAGAUAUUUAAACUUGGGUAAACAAAAUCAAUCUUUGAAUGAAAGAAUAUGACACAGUUCAACUAUUCGAUUCUUAAGUUAAGCUUAGGCAAAACAGCAUUACUAGACUGAACAUAUAUAGUAAUAUAUCACUUAAAUAAUUAAAUUCUUAUAUUUACCAUAUGUAUCACAUUCUACAAAUCCAUGACUUAAGAAAAUCUAUUGAGGCACAAUUCUGCCUAAUCCCCCAAAAAUAAACAAAGCAAAAGAAACCAUUAGACACCAUUUCUCACCCUUGUCUUCAUCUAACAAUAUUCCAUAUAUUAGCAACAAUCACAUAUCUCGUUAAAUGAAAACACCAAACACCAAAUCAGAUGCCCAUUCAAUGUCAAUGAGUAAUAGCAAAAUGUAAAACACAUUAAUGCACCAACAACUAUAAGCCUUUGCUCACACAUUCUAAUCGCUCCAGAGGCAAUGGUGUUUCAUAUAAAGUUGUAAACAACUUAAGAAGCAUAUAGUAAAAUCAAACAAACUAAUAUAUAUGAUCAAAGAAAUUUUUAACCUUCAACAGGGCAAUGUGAAGCUGAGCAAGUGCACCGCCUGGGUUUAUCAAACCCAUCUCGAUCUCUUCAGCUGAUAUUUUCGAAGCCUUCCCAACCACUGGCUCAAAAACCUACCAAAACAACACCAACAUUACAAAACGAAAACAAAUGCAGAAUAAAAAAUGCGACCUCUCUCUGUGAAACCAACAAAAUAGGAUCUUACGAUCAAGAAGUCGAGGACGGAGGCCAGUUCCCAUCGCUGACGAAGCUUCGCGACCUGAGCCUUUAGAGAAUCUUCCUCUUUUUCCUCUUCUUCCUCCAAAACCAUCACUUCCACGUCUUCCUUCGCUGACCUCUUUUCUUCUUUGACGACGUCGUUCGCCUCCCGCCUCCGGCGACCCCCAGCCAUACCGCACGGACAAAGAUAUGCUUAGAGAGAGAGGGAGAAUAAACGAAGCGGAUGAUGAAAUUCAAUGAAAAGGGAGGGAGAGUUGUGGGCAAUUAAAGUUGGGGUGAAAUGUUGUUUCGAGGGUUUUCCCGCCUAAAUCUUUUUUUUACCAGAGAUCGUGGUUAAGGUUACAUUUCUAGGGUUAAUUUGAAGACCGACUUUUCGACUCUCCCCCUCUCUCCAAUGUUAGGUCUCUGUCUCUCUGUCCGAGACGGAACGCUGCGUUUCAACACAAUUUCUGAUUAAAUUAAAUUAAAUUAGAAUUAGAAUUAUAAAAGGGAGACUUUGAAAAAGCCCAAAGGAGAGAGAAAAUUUUUAAAAGAAGCAAAAAUGGACAAAAUUGCCCUUAUUUAUUUUUUGAUUUCCUAAGAAAUCCUUUACAUUUGCAUGUCUUUAGUUUGAAAGUUGAGAGGUUAUUCUGUCUUUUUUGAAAAAGCUUUGGCUUUUUCCAAAAGUGAAAGUUUUUUUAUGGGUAAAACCUAAAUUUACUAUUAUAAAACUUAUGAAAGGCUCGUUUGGGAUUUAUUUUGUUAAGAAGCACUUUCGCUAAUAAGCAUUUCUUUAAGAGUAACAUUAAAAGAGUAUCAAAAUUUUAAUGGCAAAUCAAAGCGUUCUUUUGGAAAAGUACUUGAAAGUGAAUUUUGAAUAAGCUCUUUCUAGGUACUAAUCCAAAAUUUUAUGACCCUUAAAUACUUUAUAAUUUUUCUGCCAAAUACUAUCAAAAUCGCUUUUAUUGUUAAUUUUCUUUUUAAAAUAACAUGUUUGAUAAAUAAUAUAUUAAAAGUAUUUUGAGUAUCAACAAAUGUUAAAUCGUUUGGUAAAAUAUACAGAGACGUGUGGAUAAAUAUUAAAAUAUACAUGAUGGAAAGUAUUAUGUGCUAAACAUGUGAUAGAAGUGGAGAUUAAGAUAAAGACAGUAGUGGUGACAAAAAUAAUAAUGGUGUUUUCAUCGUGUUGAAGAAGACUAUCUUCUUUUUACGGGUUCUUCUGCUCCUUUAUAAUGUUCUUGCGUGUGUGCAAUUCUCUUGAUCAUAUGGUAUGGUGCUUCUUCACUAAUCUUCUGUGGUUGUUGGAUGAAAUUUCGAAUUUUUUUAAUUUUCACCAAUGCAAGAUAGAUUCGUUGUUCUGUUUUGACAUUUUCGCUGUUGUGAAACGUGUGUUUCUUUAUGUUCCUCGUUCGUUGCUAGCUUGUAUUUUGUCCUAUUUGGAUUUACUAUUGCUAGUUAAGUUGGGCUAUUUGGUUUAUAUUGGCUUGGGCCUAAGCUUUUGUCUUAUCCGUUCUUCUAGGGUAUGCCCUUCCCCCUUUUGGUCCAAUGAUACCAAGGAGCCCCUAAAAUAAGGGGCCUAUAUUAUCUACCCUUCCAAGUUGCAGAGAGACUGAUCUCAGUAUAGAAGUGGAGAUUGUGGCAAACAUGGUCUUAGCUCAGUGGUAGAGUUGUUGUCGUGCAUUUUGGUGGUAUGCGAGUUUAAUUUUGGUUUUUCAUUGCACCGUGUGUGUGCGCGUAAGAAUAGCCCCUCUCAAUUACACCGUGUGUGUAAAUGUGGCAACCAAAAGAAUAAAAAAAGUAACGGAUUAUGUGAAAGCAUGUUAAGAUAUCACGGGAUCUCUUGUAGUUUAUAAAAGGGAGAUUCACUAUUAUACCCAAGAUGGGGGUCCAAAUUAUAAAAAUAUCCUAUAUAAAAUGGACUUUAGAAACACACCCAAAGCCCAUUUACAACAUAACAAAAAAGCUUUUAACUUCUUAUAAAUUACAAAACUGCCAUCAAUUUCUUAAAACAAGCCCAACCCCAAAAUCUCAUAAAAAUACCCAAAACACUCAAUAGGGCAUCAAAGUAAUUUAAUAAUCAAUAUUAAAUUCAAUAAGGCCAGCUAUCAUUUUUUGGGUUUUUUUUGGGUUUGUUUAUAGGAAUUCAAUUGUGUAGGGUUUAUUUAUAAUAUUAGUGCUAGAAAUGGGUAUAUCACUAAAUAUCUCUUUAUAAAACCCCAAAAAAAAUGUGAAAACAUAUAUAGCUUCAGGGGGUUUAUAUGUAAAUAUGAUAAAUCUCAAGAGCUGUAGUCCAUACAAUUUAUUUGAAAACAUAAUAUUAUAUCUCAAUAUUAUUAGUUUUAGGUUAGUCUUUUGACCAAAAGUAGCGCAAUGACUAGUUUGGAUUAAACUUUAAAGACAUUAUAAAAAGACCAUGACCGUGGAAAGCAAGCAAUAAUGCCAGCUUAUUGGAAAUGUAAUAUAAUAAAGAACGUCGUUUUUGCAUGUAAUGGUUCCAAUGUUGCGCGCAUCAUCCAUUUUUUUAGUGCUAGCUUGCAGUGAUGACUUUCUGAAGCCAACACAUGGAAAAUCCAGGGAAGAGAAGAACGUGCAGCGACAUUUCCACCCAGAAAUGCUGUCUCAUAUUUUAUGACCUCAAAAUCCUGUUAACAUGUUUUUGUUUAAAAUAAACAACAAGACGCUGAAAACAAUUAGUUAUAAAAACAAAUAUUGCGUAAUGAAAAGGAAGAUAAGUCUUUCUAAAUUUCGACCAAAAAAUAAGUCUUUCUUAAUUAAAAACUAUUCUAUUAAAAAUAUUGUUGCUUAAGAACUUCCGAAGUACCCCACAAAUAUAUAAACUUAAUAUUUCCUUCACACGUUACACAUAAGAACAAGUUUCGUUCAUAGAAAUCACCUACAGCUACUUGACAUUCGUGGCUCGAACUUCUGGAAGACGGCCUACGCGCUUAACAUAGGACGAAAUUACACAAAUUUAAACUAACCUAGUGUUACAGACAUACCAAGAAAAUUAUUGUCUGUUGGGAAGCAUGGUUUUCAGAGACCCUUCAAACUAAAAUUUAGACAAAGUUGAGGAGGCUCCUUCUAACAAACAAAUAAAAAAACAUCCACCUAAUCAAAAAUUAUUGUCUGUUGGGUAUUCAUUCUAAUCUAAUGAUAAAUUGUUGUUGUUUUUUUUUUUUUUUUUUUUUUUUGGUCUGAAAAAUUGUUGUUGCUGAUCAAUGUUACUUUAUAGUAAUCAAUCACUCGUUUGUAUCCAAAUCCAUGAUGUGAUCGAUCUUAUGAAUUCAACUAUUCAUAUUUUUAUAUUGUCAUUCAGAUAUUUUCUUUAUGCAAAAAAAGGCAAAUCGAAAAACAUUUGGUAUGCCAUCUAAUUGGGAUUAAAUAAAUAGAAAAGCACAAUAUUUUCGAUAAAUAAUGAAAAUAAUAGCAAAGAUAGUAAAAUGGUCAAACGAGUUACCUUUAUAAAAAUAAAAUAAAAAUUUAUGCAUUGAGGACUUAAAAUUGAAUGGUUCAUAUCAUAAACGAUUAAUAUACGACUAGAUUAAAAUUUAUGCUACUUGAAUGGUUCAAUUUUAAGUCCUCGCAUGUAUGACUGUGAUUUGUCUGUAAGGAGGAACGUCAUUAUAUGUAAGAAGCUAAAGUUUUUUCCUUUGCUUACUCUUUAUAUAUAUAUAAACAAAACGACAUAUAGUAAGUAUUUCAAUUUUUCUGAAUAGACAAGAAAACUUCAUCAACUUGGUGAAUGUGAGAAGCUUAAAUGAUCUUUUCCGUUUUAUCUAACAAAUUGUGUGUUUUUUUUUAAAAAAUAUUUUAAAUAACUAAACAAUUUAUAAUUUGGAUUUUUUUAGAAGGGAUGACCCUUAAAAAAGCAGGAUAAAAAGGUAUAAAAGAUUCCAAUUGUUGAAAUAUGCAUUGUUGGAUAACCUUUAAAAAAAGAUGUGUACAUUUAGUGUCCGUUUGACAUUGCUUAUUUAGGAUGAUAAGUGAAAAUUUUUGGGAAGCUCAAUCUAUUUGGUAAACUAUGAGAAAAUCACUUAUUGUUAAAAAUUGUUGUGAGAGCUAAUGAGGUGCUUUUAUUUUCUGAUUAUGCAGGAACAAUUUUGAAGGGGCGUUGGGUUUAAUGAUUAUACCGCAAUCAUUUUAUAAUUAUGCGGGAAUCAGUACCAACAACACUUUUAACAAAAAUUUAUCAAAUGCCAAAUUACUUUCUCUCAUUGCAAAUCUAACAGCGAUUAUUUUCAUAGCACAACAAUGCCAAACUAAUACAUAUAUUUAAUUUAAGACAUCCUGAACAUAGAAAAACUGCUAUAUAUAUAAAGUUGUGUAUAUCAGAAGAUCACUAUCGCUUAGUAUUGGCUAUCUCUCUCUCUCUCUCUCUCUUUCUCUGGCUGUUACGAUGCACAAACAAUUUUGCGGGCUCUCUCGGCUGUGAUUGAUUACACACAAACAUUUUUGCUGGCUACGACUCCUGAACGUGAACAACAACAAAUGGAAGCCCUAGAGAAUAAAAUAAAAGAGAGAAAAAUUUUACUUAAGGAACAUGAUAGUCGUCUCAGUUAUCUUCAAUCAAAAGGCUUCGAACUUGGAAACUUCUACUUGGUGUUUCAAGGAGUUAUUCUGACGGCAAUUGCAAGUGGUGACUCAGUGUUCAGAUGUUUAGACCGUAGCCUGCUCAUCAGCGUUUCUGCAUUAGCAACCCUCCCUAAUUUGUUUGCAUUGUAUUUAAUUGGAGAGGAAUAUAUAAAAAUCAUCACCCAGCGAGACGAUAUCUCGAUUCGGUGCGAUACGGACAAUAACGAAUUAGCCAUUCUCAAGACAGGAAACCCUCAAAAGGUUACCGUUGGAAAACGUGUUGAUAGUUUGAGAAGGCAUGUACGUAUAUUCUGCUUCGUCAUUUGCAUGGCUUGUUUUCUGGGCGUUUUCGUCGUCGUGGUUUUGGUUUGCAUGAAGACUCUUCGCAAACCAGGGACUAAAUGUAAGCACUAACAAAGCUGAAUGAUAGAUAUAUAUAUACAUAUAUAUAUAUAUAUGCUAGCUAGUGUUUCCUUUCAGCUUUUCGUCGAUUUUUUGUUUGGGAUCAAAAUAAAGCUUAUAAUUAAUGCUUUGUAUGGUUUUAAUUUUUCCUUCCGCACAUUUGUGAAAUUGGAAAUUGCUAGUGAAUUUUAUACCUAUCAUUAUGUACCAGAGUGACUACAUAUACGAGUCUUGUUCUUCAUCAUCUGCAUUAUUUAAAUUAAUCUACCUUUUCUCCUUUCCCUGCAUUUUAGAAGAUUUUGACCAUCAAAAUACACGUCAUAAUAAAAGUUUUCUUUUUGUUUGUUCUAAACGUUCGUAUUCUGUAGAUAUUCUUGCAUACAAUCAAUUUGUGUCUAUGUCUCUCGUUACCCUAAUGAGAUAGACCAAUGGCGACGGUGGUACAUGCCCUGCCCCCUCUCUUUGUUUUUCAUUCAAGUGAAUAUUAUUGUUAUACUUUGGAGUGCAAUGGCCUAAGGUUUUUUGUAUCCAUCGAUACAUGUACUGAUUCUAUUAACUUGAAGUUCUUGAAUACAGAAAAAUACUUUUGGACCCGAAGAAAAAAAAAGGCCAUAGUUUUAUAGGAUUCUUAGGGAUAUCUAAAUUAUUGUCUAAAUUAUUGUCUCCGUCUCUGAGUUAGACAAGACAAAUUUAUAAUUUUAUAAUUAAUAAAAAAUGCUCCUCUUGUUCAUAUUUAAUGAAACAAAUAAAAAAUGGCAGGCAUGGUAUUGUGUCCAACUUAAAAAAACUAGUAGGUAGAACAACAAAAGAAAAAUAUCAAAUUUGACAUUGCGUAAAGAAUAACCAUAUAUUUAACAGUCUUUUUUAAUUACAAAAUAAUCUAUUUAUAAAUAGGUGCUUAAGUAAACCCACAAAUACUUAAUAUUUUCUUUAGACAUACAGCUUGGACAAGUUUUUUUUUUCUUCAUAUAAAUCACCUACAGCUGUUUUAGAUUCCAUGGCGUAUCUGGUAGAAGGCCCACGUCUACGCCACCACCUGGGCCAACCACCAUUUCUUGUAAUUAUGGGUAUUCUGUGGCUUUUAAUUCCAUUUGAAAUCAUUUUUUAUUAUUAUUAAGAAGAAAAAAAUACACAUUUAAUUUCUAAUUUUUCUUUAUUUUAUGAAAUAUCAUGUAUUUACGAAAAACUACAAAAGAGUUUGUUUACUAAGUUUACUUGUACUUGGUAAAGAAUAUAAGUAUGAUAUCACAUCGAAAAUUUGACUAAAUAAAAUAUAAAUUUAUAUGAAUGGUUCAAUUUCUAAAAGCACCGAUACCUUUUGUGAUAAAACUCUAUAUCUAUUGGGCUUUAUAGGUGGUUAAGUUAUGAACAAUAUCCGUGUUGCUAGUAGUGGACCACUGGCCCAUCUCUUUCAAAUUUAACUUUCACUUUUAACAAAGAAAGAUAUAUAUAACAUAAGGGUUAAAAUAUAGAUGAUUAUUUUUGCUCACCACUUUAACUUAAGAUGCAUCAUCGGUAUCAUCACUAUCCUUCUCAACACUUGACACGUGUUCAUGAUCAUAACUACGGUUCCACAAAUACAAAAGCAAAGAGUUAACUAUGGUUAUUCCUAUGAAUACAUAUCAAGUGUUGAGAAAUAUGAUAAAGAUACACCUUGGGUUAAAAAGGUGAGCAAAAAUAUUUUCAAAUUAUAGUAAGGUUUAGAUGAGUUUUGUUUUAGUAAUCUAAUUUAGUUUUUAAAUUUUCAUGUUUCUACUUUUAUUUAUGCAUCACUUUUGUUCUUACUUACUGUCAAUUUUGUUAAUUUUGUUGUUGUUGUUAGUAUUAGGGAUAAAUCAGACAAUUCACUUCACAUUUUAAAAUAUUGAACUUUAAAAACAUAAUAUACAAUUUAAAAAUAAAAAAUUAAGUUGGGCGAUACAAAAUUUGUAUAUUUUUAAUCUAUAUAUAUAAAGCAAAAGGCAGAGAAUAGUGAAACAUUCAAAAUACCAGAAAAAUGUCAUUGGUUUAAGAAUUGAAAUUAUUAAUUAAAUGAGAAUAACAUGGUAAACUCACACUUUUUCAUAUUAAAAAAAUUAAAAUUAGAAGAAAAAUUAAAUAAUUGAUCAUAUUUUAUAGAACACAAUUACCCAUUAUUUUUUUAAUUCUAAAAUAAUUUUUAAAUUUUUUUAAAAAAAACCUCUUGCAAGCACAGCGUAUGGAGAAACUAGUAAUAAAUUAAACUGUUUAGUUUCUGAAGAUAAAGACGUGCAAUUUUAAUUAAUUAAUUAUUUGUUGGGUACAAUUUUAACUAAAGCAUACUAUAUAUUUAAAAUUGAGAACGUGACAACGUUCACAUGCGAAGUUUGAAAUUAUCCAACGUCAAUCAUAUUUCCUUCACCUUAUUAUAAUAUUUCUUACAAUAAAAAAUUAACGCAUUAUAUAAAAGUUCCACUUUGCACGCCAUUUGUCGUGUCAAAGAAGGCCAUCCUGAAUCCUGAUCCAGAAAAUCCUUAAAAUAAUUAGGCAGAGUCCAAAGUUUGAUAGAAAUUUGGUUUUAUGGCCCGCCACUUUACCAAGAAAAGUAGCUGCUCCCUGUAAAACCCAUCACCACCGUCAAACAUGACACAGCCUCCACCAUCAAAACCCCACGCCAUAAUCAAACCCACCACCACCACCUGCAAACCUGAAACAGCCUCCACCAUCAAACUCUCAGCCACCACUGCCACCGCCACCAUUUGACUUUCCCCGGGAGACUUAGAGAGAGUUUGAGAGAGGUAGAUAUCUGAGAUCAGAGAGAGGCUUGGUACCACCGCGGAGGCGAGAGAGAGAGAGAGAGAGAGAGAGAGAGAUAGAGUUUGUGUGUGUGUGUGAAGCUGAUGGUAGUAUAAGGAUGAUAGGCGUUGGUGGUAAUUAGUGGUCAGUUUUGCACACAGUGAAAAAGAAGAAGGGAAGUUACGACAAUGAGGGGAUGUUUGUUUAGGGUUGAGAUGCGUUGCCGGACGUGCCCUGAAAUGGCCUUUGGUUUAUUCUUCGUCAUCAUUGGAAAUGGCCUUUUGUUUGUUAUAUUUUCAACGGAAACAAAUGAAAUGGCCGAGGCGGGUUCAAACACUUGUUACCCGACAAAAAGCUCGACGUGGGCCGCUAAGAGUUGACCUAACGGGCGGUGAUUUGUGGGGUUCUAGUAGUACAGCUAACGCUGUCGCCAUUAAAUAAUAACACGUUUGAAAGAUAUUUAAGAAGAUUGAAAGCUAGUGGUAUUAAAAAAAGGAAACAAGUUUUGAAUUCUAAAUCCAUUAAAAUUAAAAAAUUAUUCAAUCACUUUGGACGAAAUGCAGUAGGCCUUUUUCCUUCGAGAAACCCAACCACCACCGCUUAGUUAUAUUACUGGUAUCUCAUCUGCAGGAAGGCCAGAUUUCAUCAACACCAAAGCUUCAGAAAACCGAAAAUGGAUUUUCAAUCAAAAGAACAAGAGAGUGAAUCGAAUAAGCUGAAAGAGAGGAUCGAAAAACUAGGCAAAACAGUGACGGAUCUGGAAACAGCUAUGAUGCUGCUGGUCAUGGGUUAUAUUUUCUUCCAAGGCGCCAUAUUCGCGUCUGUUUUCCACAAUCCCAGCAACAUGUCGUGCGAGUAUUGGUGGAUUCCUUUCUCCCUCUCCUGUCUGAUUUGCGUUAUCUUCGCCAUCCCAUUUCAGUCUUAUGUCGCAAAUUGGGAGCGAACAAAACAUCAUCACUCCUCGGCCUUUCUAAAGCAAGAUUUGCUUAACCACAAGAUGGUCACUUCCUCCUCAGUCGAAACCAGGAUGUAUGAUCAGCCGCAGUCGCAGUCGCCGCCGCAGCUGCAGGGAAUAUUGAAGAGCGAUAGGGCACAAGUUUACCAGAGAAACGCAUUCAUAUACCUGGUUUCUUUAGCCCUUCUGGCCUACACCAUACUUAUUUUGAAGGCAUGCGGAUCCAUUCCCUGCCACGGAGAUGCUACACCCUAGACAUAUAUACAUACGGUAACUUCUCCCACUAAUCCAUUCAUUUGACAUGUAAAGCUGUAUUAUUCAUAGAUGCGGAUCCUCUGUUUAGCUUUUCUCUGCUACCUUCUAUUCUCCACACCACAUGGCACUUCACAGUUUUAUUUUAGGGUAAGCCUAAAGAAAAUUUAUUUUUUCUUUUUGGGGUAAGACACAAGAGUUACAGGUCAAAACCACGAGCACAGCCCCACCAGUAACAUCAGACAGAGUUCAAUGCCUGGAGGGCUUCUCGAGGUACACCAUAUACCCAAACGUGAGGUGAAUUCAUGAUGGCCUAUAUUUGUAGUAAAGUUUGCUUCUCUUAGGUCCUGCUUGAGGAGAAAACUCAGAUGCAAUGGAGAUAUCAUGUUUUGCUAUCCCGGUUAAUAAUGUUAUGUCACAUGAAAGAGUUAUCAUAUGUGUCAUAGCGUUAUUGAUUGAAAUAACAAAAUAGUAUUAUUACCGUUUCAUAAAAGUCUUUCUCUGGCCCGAGAGAAAUAUGUAUGUUGCAUGGAAAUUUUACUUUAAUUAAGGAAGAACAAAAAAAAAAAAAUUUACCUUAUCGAUCUAACCUCAAAGCAUUGUUGUAGCCGUCAGUCUCUCUUCUCUCUUGUUUCAAUCUCCGCAUCUCCCUUUUCCCUAAAACUUGUGUAAACACCUCUCUUCCCAACUCACAAUCUAUCCUCUUUCCCUAUGAAAACUAGCCCUUGCCAAUUCCCCCGAACUACAACAACUAUGUUAGCUUUCAUCUCACAGUUUCCCCCUUUAAACCCAUGCACUUUAUCUUAAGAUUAAGAAAUCUUUAAGACAACAUAAAAUUCUCAAAUAUGGAACUGUUUAUUGGAAAGGCUUUUUAUCGCAAAUGGUUAACGAAAAUUAAUAAAAGUCGAUAACCGAUCUUUGUAGGUGUUUGUGGCCUAAAUGCUUACCAACCCUUUAUCUCCUACAUAUCUAAACUUUUGUUACAAAAGAAAUAUAAAUCACCAAUAAUACAGUUAAAGUGGGAGAAAGAAUGGGAAUUUGGAGAUAGAUGCUUUGAAAAACGAAAGGAGGUAAGAACAAAUGGUGCCAGACGUCAAAUAUAACGUUUGGUCCUUGCCUUUUAAGUUUUAUUUAUUUUUUAGUUGCGUGGGGUAUUAUCUUUUAUUUAUUUUUUAAAGUUUUAUUUAUUUUUAGUUGCGUGGGGUAUUAUCUUUUAUUUAUUUAUUUAAGUGUGACGUGUUAACUUUUUAGUUUAUUGGAUGAAAUAUACAUAAGGUGCUAUGUGAAGAAGAAAAGUUAAAUUAGAGGAUGAGAUACCAAAUAAUAUUGUUAUACUAAUUACCACUUGCUUUAUGCAUUCUUUAGUGUGACUGAGAACGCGCUGGACGGUACCAAAUAAAGCAACGGCGGCAAGGCUGUUCCCGAAACUUUCCUUGGUGCUUCGUUGCUGAUGUAAUAUUAACCCUUACAAAGUUACUUUGCUUUGUGGUUAAUUUGGGCUUAACGCCCCGUCAAACUUAAAAGGAAGAAAAAAAAAAGAAAGAUACAUUGUGCUAAUUUGAUAUGAAAAAAACCCUCGUCAUUUGAGUAUUCUGAAGUUCAUCCUUUGGGGUUCGCUUGUAAAUUAUUAUUAUUUUUUUCUUCUUGUAAAUUAUUUAAUUUGAUAUGAAUUCAUGUAUUUUCAUAUAAAGUCAGAUUUAACCACUUGUGUUUUAAAGCAAGUGUAAUUACAUGGGUUAGGCAAAUUAGCAGGACAGUGACUCCGGACCCUUAUACCCAAAUUUGAAUUCAUGUCUUUGUAAAUUAAAUUAAUUUCUAUUGUUUCAGAAUAUCGUUUAUAUUAAAAAAUAUAUAUAUCAUGUGAAAUUAUUUCAAACACAAAUCUGACCCAUUAACCUAUUAUAUCCAAAUAUAUAUAUAUAUAUAUGUUUGUGUGUAGAAUAUAAAACGUUACAAACAAUAUAAGCUACAAUUUGAUAAUACAAUACAAAUUCAUAUCUAGCUAGUCUAUUUAACAAACAAAUGUCUAAACAUGUUACCCCAAAAAAAUGUCCGAACGAUGCUUAUAAAUGUUUGAAAUAAACAAGAUCAACUACAUGUAAUCCUCCAAAUUUUGAGGAUUAUUUCAAAUUGGUAUCCCAAUUUUAUGUUGAAAUUAAUAUAACUUAUUGACCACAUAGACAUAGACGAAUUAGUUUAUAAAGAAUAACAUCUAAAUAUUGGCAUAUAAUAGUUUUUUUAAGAAUUUCGGUAUGAUUUUUCAAAAUUGUAGCCAUCAUACUUCCUUAAGAUCAAGAUGGGGUUAUACAACCUCAGUUUUCUUCAAAACACAUAAAAUUCUCAAAAAUGAGACUGCUUUAUAUGCUACAUAUCUGUACUUUUGUUACAAAGUAGUAAUUUGGUAUUAUAUUGUACGUGAUAGUUAAAGUGGGAGAAAUAAUGAGAUUUUUGGAGACGUGUACUUAGAAAAACUUUGAAAACCAAAAGAAGGUAAGAACAAAUGGUGCCAGACGUCAAAUUUAACGUUUAGUCAUUGUGGUUGGCUUUUAUGUUUUAUAUUUAGGUGCGUGGUUAUUAUUUAUUAUUUAUUUAUUUAGAUGUGAGUGGUGUUAAUUUGUUUACUUAGAUAGGGUAAUUAAGGUAUGGAAAUCAGAUCAACUGCUCUCUCUUAGUUGAUCUAAUUCAUGAUUUUGAGUAUUUAAUUAUGGAUUUUACAUGAAAACUAAUUCAUGAUUUUGAGUAUUUAUUAAUUAUGGAUUUUACAUGAAACUCAUAUAAAUUUUAUUCCUUAUGUGUUAGUAAACGUAUGAGAAGUCAAGAAUUAAAAUCAUUCCAAUAUCUGUGUGUCAAUAAACAUACUUUUAGUUAGUUUUUUUUUUUUUUGUUGUUGAUAAAUUCUGGAAUUGCAUUCAUUAUUCAACAAAAAAAAAGCCAAUAGCCACAAAAGGCCAAUACAAACUAGCCAUAAAAGGCCAUUACAAUAACGGAGCGAUUCAACAUAAAAAUUAAGACAAUCUGGUGCGCCUCUCAACUAAGAUUGCAAACUCAGAACAACCAAAUAGAGACAACGCUUGAAAAAAUCAAACCAUAACAAUAUAAAUAAAACUCUCAUAAAAUAGAGGUUGAAAACUCUCACAAAAGGAGAGGUGAAAAACUCUCACAAAAUGAGAGAUGAAAACUACACAGAAAACCCAAAGAAUCUCUACGACUUAUUCCAAACGUAAAAAAACCUCAAAAAAGGAUGGUGGUAGAGAUACGGCACUGAAACACAAGUAAAGAUCUGACAUUUAGACACAACCGCCUGUAAUAGGUGGAGAAAAAUCAUAACAAAACGAAAACAAAUAGGGAAAACCUUCUAUCUCUGAAAAUGAGAGAAGAAAAGAAAAGAGGGGAAUGGAGAAGGAGAGAGGGGAGGAAGAACAUUGACUUUCUCCUCCUCAAAAUAAAAAUGACUCACGAGUGUUUUUUGGGAGAAUACUUAUAGUUUAUUAGAUAAAAUAUAAAUAAGGUACUAUAUGAGAAAGAAUAGUCAAGUCGAGGAUCGGAUACCAAUCCAAUAAUAUAUUAUACUAAUGUUGGUUUUAUUUUUUUGGUUGUAAAAUAUUUAAUUUGAUAUGAAUGCAUGUAUUGUCAUAUAAAGUCAUAUUUGACCAUGUGUUGCGUUUUAAAGUAAUCAUGUGAAAUUAUUUUAAACACAAAUAUGACCCGUUAAUUUAUUUACUUAUUUAACAUUUUUUUCAUUUAUUUAUAUAUAAAGGUAUAGACAAAGAAUAGUGAAACAUUUAAAAUAUUUCAAAAUGCCUUAGUUGAUUAAAGAUUUGUUUAGGAGUGAUUAUGGAUAGACCAAUAAUCAUUUCUAUGGAGAAUCACUUCUCCAUAUAAUUACUUUAUGUGAUUUAAAGUAAAUGUGGGCAUUCAAACUGAAAAACUGAGUUGAAUUGAGCCCGAAAAAACCGAAUUGACCAAAAAAGGACCAAGUUGACUAAAAACCAAACCAAACUCAUUUGGUACAGUUUCGAUUCCAAUUUUUGCAAUGAAAAAAAUCAAACUAUGCCAAACCAGACCGGUUGUCUUAAUAUUUUUUUAGGGUUAAUCAUUUUAUUAGUUCCUGAAUUUAGACCCGAUUUGCAUUUGAGUACCUCAAUUUCUAAAAUGGUUCCCGUGGUCCUUUAACUUUAGUUUCGUUAUGACAAAUGGUCGUGUCGUCAAUUUUGUUAACUUUUCUUUUAAAUGCAGAGACAAAAUGAUAUUUUUAUAUCAAAAUUUAUUAAAAUAUGAUAACUUUUCUCUCUUUCUUCUUCGACUUCUCCUAUUUUCUUCCACAUUUCUCUCUCUUUUCUUUGUGUUGUUUGUCUCUCUCACUUUAUGUCUCUUCCUAUCUUUUUUUUCUCUCAAUUUAUUUCACCAUCAAGCCACCAUCACAUAUCUAGCAGAUCUUAUGCAUGCAAGAUCGUAUACUACUAGAAUAUUGUAUUUAUAGAGUAUAGACGCUCAACUAUAUGCUUAAAAUAUCUUUUUUUUUAAUUUUCUUUUUUAUUAAUUAAAUAAUAUAUUAACCUUAUUUAAAUACUCUCAUUAUAAAUUAUGUUUUAAUUAUUAUUUCUUUAAUGAAUAAUUAGUGUUAAAUAUAUCAAUAAAAUCCUAGAAAUUUAGGUUUGGUACCCAAAUAUUUUAUAUGUUUAAAAACAAAAUUAUUUUCUUUAAAUAAAUAAAAAGCGAGAAACCUCUCCUUACCAAAUUCACCUCUGCCAACGAAAUGUCUUCGGGAGAGAUCUAAUCUGGCACAUUUCACCGAGAUAGAAAUGGGCCAAUGCAAUUUCAUAUCUUUAGGUCCAAUACAUUUUCUUUUUAGUAAUUAAAUAAUAUCUUAGCCUUAUUUAAUUACUUUCAUAUGUUAUUAAGUUUUAAUUAUUAUUUAUUUACUGAAUAAUUAAAUAUUUUAAUUAACUUCCUAAAUUAUAUUACUUAAUAAAUGGUUUUUAAAAAUAAUAAUUAAUCAAAUAUUUAAAUAAUAAUUAUUCAGUAAGUAAAUAAUAAUUAAAACAUAAAUACUAAAUAAAGUAUUUAAAAAAGAUAAAUCAAGAUUAUGCUAUUUAAAAGGGUAUAGCCGCGUGGCUAUACUGUCAAAAUAGUCAAUGGGGUUAAAAUAUAAGAGUAUAGCCGUGCGGCGGUUCUAUUAAAAUUCUGUUUAUGGUGUAUUGCCGCCCGGCUAAACUGCUUGAAUAUUCUAUUUAUCUAGUACAGCCGUACGGCUAUACUCCUUAAAUAGGAAAGUAUAGCCCGGCGGCUAUACGAUUAAAACCUCCUUUUUAAAAUUUCAUUUUUUAUUAAUUAAAUAAUAUCUUAGCCUUAUUUAAAUACUUUCAUUUGUAAUUGUGUUUUAAUUAUUAUUUCUUUAGUGAAUAAUUAGUAUUAAAUAUUUUAAUAAAAAUCCUAGAAAUUUGGUUUUGGUACCCAAAUAUUUUAGUAUUCCAAAAAUGGAUUUUAGUCUCGAAACUUAAAUCCAAGUCAUAACGUGAUUCGACAAUAUCAACUACUCAUUGGAGUUUGAUUGAAAUACAUGAACUUGAGUCCCACAUUGGAAAAUAAGAGAAAGUAUCUACUCCUUAGUAUGUUUAGGGUUCGAGGUUCGAGAAAGAGUUUGGAACAAGUUCUGAAGUUAGAGUUUUUUGUUCUAUACUUGAAUUUAAUCAAACUAAUUUUGUAUUAAAAAAAUGUAAACAAAAUAAUUUAAAAUAAUUAAUUACUAUUUAUUAAGUAAUUUAUGAAAUGUGUAAAAUAUUUAAAUAUUCACUAAAAUAAUAAUAAUAAAAAUAUAAUGACUAAUUAAAGUAAUUAAGAAAGGCUAAGAUAUUACGUAAUUACAUAUAUUAAACAAUGGAAGUUGGCCCAAAAAAGAGAGUAAAGAAACUAAUUUUAUAUGUUUAAAAUUAUUAUUAUUAUUUUUAAUAAAGUGAGAAAACCUCUCCCGAUAGCAUUUCGUCGGCACAAGUCUAUUCCGGCGAACUUUGCUGGAUUAGACCUUUUCCGACGAAAUUUUCUCAUGAUGACGAAAUGUCGUCGGAAGAGAUCUAAUUCGGUAAAGUUUGUAGAGAUAGACCUGUGCUGACGAAAUUUCGUCGGGAUAAAAUUUAAAAAUAAAUAAAUAUAAAUUUAGUAUUUUUAGGUCCAAUAAAUUUUUAUUUUAAAUUAUCUUUUUAGUAAAUAAAUAAUAUCUUAACAUUAUUUAAUUACUCUGAUCUAUAAUAAAAUCUUUGCGGGUUGGAUACAGCCAAAUCCGGAUUAAAGGCAAUUUUAGCUCUUUAUAGACUGCAUUGCUGGUCCAUGUUCUAUAUCAUGGAAUAUUCUUACUAUUAUCAAGGAUAUUCAUCAUCGAGCCUUAUCGUUUGUGAGUAUUUUUUUUUUUCAGCAUAUCCUUAGAGAAGUUAAUUUUGUGGAUGAUGAUUUUGCUCCUAAUUUUUUGAUUUACAACCUCCUAAGUUAUUCUUGAUGAUUUUGCUUCUUUUCCAAACCCCUCUUCUUGGCAUAAAAUUAAUAAAAGAGAGAAUUUUUGCAGCCACUUAACCACCACACUGCUGAUGACUUUGUGUUUAUAAAUUAUGGAAUAUAGUAUAUAUAAUACUUGCGAGACUUUCAAAAAUUAAACAAUUUAAACUCUCACGCUCUCACACACAAUGGGGUUCGAACCCCUCUCCACUCCAGAAUUUGCAGCCAUUUCACCACCAUGCUAACUUUGUGAUUAUAAAUUAUGGAAUCUAGUAUAUAUAAUACUUGCGAGACUUUCAAAAAUUAAACAAUUUAAACUCACUCACGCUCUCGCACACAAUGGGGUUUGUACCCCUCUCCACUCUGGAAUUUGCAGCCACUUCACCACCACGCUGCUCAUAAUUUUGUGAUUAUAAACUAUGGAAUCUAGUAUAUAUAUUACUUGCAAGCUGCUUUUCAAGUUUCAACUUUUCAUAGGAACUCUAUGUGGUACUAAGUCACUUAUGUAUCUUACUAUGCAACGUAUAAAAUGUAAAAUAAUGUAGUAAAUCAUUAUAUAUAAAUGAUUGUGGUGUGUUUAAUCAUUUUUCAUUAAUUACUACAUAUUUUCUAUACUCACGGUGUUUGUCAGCUCGCUAUAUAAUCAAAUUAAAUUAGUUAAAUCCAUCAUGCAAUGCAUUUCCUUCCAAUUUUUUGUGAUAAACUAAUCGAUAAUUGACUAAAUAAGCAUCCUCCAAAGUUUCAAUAAAAAUUUCCAAGUUUUUCUUACAAUUUCCAUGAUUUUUAUUCAAUUUUUAUCGAUAUCGAUAAUAUCCCGAUAUUUCCAUCGAAAUUUCAAUGUUUUUGGACUACCGAUAUUUCCGAUAUCACCGAUAUUUUAGACCUUGCUUUGAACCCACUUACUAAUGAAAUAAUACGUUCAAACCUACGGAGGGGUUAAGCAUGGGGAAAAUUACAGAGUUCAACUGAAGUGGACCUUGUGAAGGAUUAUGAUUUAACAACAUAAUGUCGCAUGGCUAGUGAUAUUAUAAGUCCACAAGACCCGCAAUUUAGGAGAGUUCCAGAUAAAUUGUUGGAGAAUGAUACGACAGAUGCAUAACUUUUCUAUGGAAAAACAAAUACAAAUAGUUGUUGCUUCAAUGGCUCUUCACAACUUUAUAAGAUGUCAUUCAAUGAUAGAUCAAGAAUUCCAACUGUAUGAUGAUGAUGAUGAGCUACUUCCCUCUGGUGGGGCGGGAGUUACUAUAGGAGAAGAGAUGGUUGAAGAACAAAAUCUAACCCAUGGGCGUGAGAUGGAUUACUCAAUCCGACGUCGUUCACUUAAAACCUAGAGGAAAACAAAAGUUGAGUCAGGGUUGGGUCUUCCUCUUCGCGAGGAAUAAGCCAUUGACGGCGCCUCACAGAGCUUACAUCGCAUGGCAACCAUAGUUGCUGUUUGCACUAGCAGAGUGCAUUUUCAGGCACCUCCAAAGUUUUUUCAGGCAAAGAGAGGUGCAGCUGCAUUUCUUUGCACCUCUGUAGAUCAACCCAGUGGUCCUCUUCAUUUAGAGGCUCUAAGUGGCCGUCUUGCCUGCUUAUGUCCAAAGCCACCCUUGGAGUGAGGAAGAGAAAGGAAAAACGCUAGUCAGCUCCAAAUCCACCAUUUGUUUCUUCAAAUAGUUGAGGUUUGCCAGCUGCGGUUGAUCAUGUCCAAGUUGUUGCGUGUGUAGUGAACACAUGAUAUUUGGUCCAAAGCAAAAGCAAAACAGGGAAAACGAAGGUUGAAAUUAAUGGUGUCUUUACAAGCAAUUUCAUUUGUUAAUGCCAUGUUCAUGUAGGUUGAUCAAGGAAUGUCAAACAUGUUGUAUUUUUUAAACACAAACUUCAAAGCAGUAGUACUAUAUGUUUAUUCCCUUCAUUUUUUUUGACCAACACAUUAUAAAUCGAUAAUUACAAUAAACGACAAAAUUGUGGUCACAGCACGAGGGCUCAUUCGUCGAGACAAAUGUUCCUAUAUAUUACAGAGUGCAUAUUGCAAACAAUACAAUGCUUUCGCCAAGAUUUCUGUUGUUCCUUUUUUCAUUCUGAAACUCAUGAGCAGCCCUUUUCUACGAAGAAAAAUGCAUGCUACGUUACUCAAGUAACUUAGAAAGCAUGCAGCAAGAAGCUCAAACGUUUCGAAUUUGAAUCAAACGAUACAUGGACUUGCUCAGAGCACGCCAGAUUUGCCCAGUAACCAUUGUUUUCAAGGUACGAAGAUGCGUGUAUGAAGAAUAAAAGAUGUGAAUUGGUCAUCUGGGCUACAUUUGAUUUCAAUUUGGAGAAACUCUGUCAUGUAUUCUAAUUCUACCUUGAGAUUUUGGUUGUGUUAAUCCUGGAACUUCAAUUUGAAAGUUCAGCUCCAGAAUUUGAUAUCGGACUGUCAUUCUCACUGUUGUGGGCCUUGUGGCAAUUGCUGUUGCUUUGAUAUCCGUAUGCAUUUAUUUGGUGUGAGAGUUAAAUAUAACAUUGUACAUUCAUGACAUUACAGCAAUCGUUGCCGUAGUGGGAUUGAUCUGCAAUUCCUUGUUUUCUUUUCUGAAAAUAUUCAUCAAGUUUUUUUUGAAUGUGAAACGGGACUGAGUCUUUUGACUGAGCAUUAUUUUAAAGAAAUUAAAAGGGGAGUGGUUGAAGAAAGCCCAAGGGUUUGAAAGGUCUUCGCCGCCGCGGUUGACAUCUUCGGAGGGAUGUAAAUUUUUCUAUGUGAGCGGUUGUGAUGGGCGUUGAAUUUUUCUUCAUCUGGGGAUCUAGAAAGAUUAUUAUUUUUAUUUUUUAUUUUGAUCCAUGGCUAAAAGUACUAAAACCCUAUAAAGAAGACUGUAGAUACCGCUUCCAGAGCCCUUGGGCAUCUGCCUGUCUGAUUAAUGGCGUGUUUGUUUGCUCGAAUGACUGAUCUCGUAAACAAUACGGGAGUAGUUGUUCAGAUACGAGAGGUCGAGGGAGAUGAUGAUGGGGAAGGCGAACCAUUUGCUACGCUGCAAAUUGGGGAUCGCACAGUGAUCAGAGGGAUGAAGUUUUUGGAUCGAAUGGCUGAUUUGGGCCCCAGAAGCAUUCAUGUCACUGCGAUACUUGCUGCUGGUUCCACCACGUUGAUCUUUCCAGCGCAGUAUUUCGCUGCCUACGGACGGGUCGUCUUUCGGCUUCACGACCAACAACUGGUGGUUGAGCCCGAAGAGAUGUCCGGAAUCCGCCGCAUGAGGUAAAUCAUCUCUCUCUGGCUCUUGCUGAUGUAUUUGCAAUAUCAAUUUUGUCAUGAGUGUGGUGAAUUGCAGGCCGGUUAGGUUCUUAGCAUGUGUUUGAGCAAAUCAUCAAAACGGCCGGCGCGGAUCAUGAGCAAUAUUCAUCGGUAUCGUUUCUUGCUCUCUCUCUCUCGAUAAUAUUUGAUGAAAAGUGAAUUAUGGUUUUGCUCGCAUGCCCACCAAGUGUUCGAUCAAAUGCCUAAAUAAAGUUGGGUUGUGUUUUCACUUAUAAAAUACCCACCAAGUGUUCGAUCAAAUGUCUAAGUAAAGUUGAGCAGUAACAGUUAAACUAUUUGUUAGAUAGAGGUCGGUCUAGUAGCCUGACGAUCCAGUUUCAUACCCACUAAUUGUUCUUGAUUUUUUAAUUGACUCAUACUAAGAUUGCCAACAACAAAAUAGUCUAACCAUAAUUGUCUACAUCGGAAGUGCCAACAAAAUCAAUUUUGUGUUUGCAUUGUGUCUCUAAAACCUUGUGUAGCCUAGUGACGCAUUUCUGCUGGUGCUCUUCAACUGAUGAAGUUUCACAUGAAUGCAUAACUUCUUUUCAAGAUACAGAUUCUUUGUUUCCAUCUGCCAAUUGAUGAAUAAAUUGACUGUGUUCACCACUAUUGUCUGCAUUGCCUUGCAUUUGAGCAGGUCCGCUAUAGAGCUGAUCGUUUGGUCAAAUUUUAGGUUCACCUUGUGUAACAUGAUUUGGGGUUCCAGUUGGACUCACUGUCCAUCUCUUGCUGACGUGCAUUUACAAAAUACUGCUACUAUCAAUUUAUAUAUGUUUCUUCAAUAUCAAAAGCUAACAAAUUUGAUAUAUGGGUGUUCAAGAAUUAUGAUAAAAAAACGUAGACAUCAAAAUAGAGGCAGGGCAGAUAAAUUUCUUUUAUGUGGGAAGGAUACAGAGUUAAUUUGGUGGUGUUUUCCCUGACCACUGUAUAGUUUGCUGAGAACUGAGUUUCCUGGAAAUGGGUUUCAUGGGAAAGUGUUUUUGUUCGUUUAAUUUGGUGAUUUUUGUUGGACAUGAUUUUCUUACAUGGUUUCUCUUCUGCUCUGGAAUUGCAGGGGGUGAUGACAUUGACUAUGCUGUUUUUCGGGGUGUAAUGUUUUAUGAAAGCACUUCGAACGAAGAUCUUCUGGUUGAAUUAAGCCGGUUUGUCACAAGGACUUCAUAUGAUUUCUGAGAAGAUCUUAUGUUGAGUUGUGUAAUUUUAAUUACUCUAAGAAGAGCAUUGGUGAAUUAAUUGUCAUUUUUAAUGACAAAAGCAAGUUAAUGAUGUCAAACCUUUUUAUGCUACUUGUUUCUGGUUGCUCAAAAUUUUCAUGCAUUGAAAUCAUGACAUUCGUUUUCAGGUCAUAUAUUAGUCCACCAUUAAUUAAUUACUUGUAGGACUCAAUAUUAACCAAAUCGGUUCAUUAUUCGUAUCCAGUUUGGCUUGAUUGAUUGAUAUACGUAGUGGAGAAAUUACAGGAGAAAAAAAGCAGCCACAACCAUUCCUCGCCGACGAAGCCCCCCACCCCCACAGCCUGCCAUGCCUGUCACCGAUCUUUCUUUUUUCAUCAUCUUUCAUAUCUCUUCACUUUACAAUUUGUCAACACACAACCUUGAACAUUUAAAGGACGCUUGAGAAUCAUCAUCUAGGAGGCCUAAUAAUUGCCAUGGUCGACCCGGUAUCUUUCUCUCUCAAUGCAGGGUUCAAUUAAAUAAUACUGAGGAUCUGGAAGGAGUUUGGUUUAUGGUCUCGAGGAAUCAAAUUGAGCAUGCUUGUUAAUCUGUAAUUGGAUUAGAAUCCGAUUAUGGGCACAUCGCUUUAUGGUGUAUUAGAGUAUCUCCAAGGGAGAUAUCAAAUACCAAACAUCAAAUUUACACAGUUUUACACUCCACUCGAUAUGUCAAAUAAAUAAUUAUUGUAACAGUCAAAUCAUUUAAGAUAAAGAAGAAAAUAAUAAUAAUAAUAAAUGAAAGUAACAAUCAGUUGUCUUUAAAAAAUAAUAAAAUAUUCAUUUAACAUCUUGCUUUUGGGAUGUCAAAAAUAACAUCUCAACUUCCAGCCUUCAUUCCACAUCAGUUUGGACACAUCGGUUGGAGUGAUGUGAGAUGUUAUUUCUAGCUGUUAAAUGUCUAUGUGGCACUUUUGACACAUCGGUUGGAGAUACUCUUAGCGUUGCAGACAAACAUUGUGUGAAGUUGCUAGACGACCUAAAUGACAGUUAAAUAUAAAAAUAUAGGUGUACAUAGGUAAAUAAUGCACCUAUCUUGUAUAAAUACUAAUACUAAUGGAUAAUAUUCGAAACUACUCUUAUCAAUAAACAAAAAUCGGGAAAAAACAAUUCAAAAAAAGAUUAGAGAGGAAGGCAGCCUUCGUGGAACAAAACGAAGCUGGAUAGCUCAAUCAGGGGUUGGGGAGGGGUAGUGCACGACGUUAUUAAAAAAAAAAAAAAGUAAAGAGUAUAGCCAUUUUGGCUAUACUAUUUAUAAUAAAAUUUUUUUUUAAAAGGAACCCAGUAUAGCCGAGCCGCUAUACUCUUGUUUAAUAAUUAAAAAAAAGCAGUAUAGCCGGACGGCUAUACUAUUUAUAUUUUAAAAGGGUAAAAAAGAAAAAAGUGGUAUAGCCGUUCGGCUAUACUGGUGUUUAUGUUAUAAAAAAAUUAUGAGUAUAGCCACUGCCUAGCCCUGUAGCGCCUAUCGAUUAGCUCCUACGUGGCAAAAAAAAGUAGCUAUACGUUUUUAAAAUAAUCAUAAAAAGCAGUAUGGCCUUCCUGCUAUACGCUUGUUUAUUUUUUUUAAAAAUCCCAUGUAUAGCCGCCCGGCUAUACUAUUUAUAUAUAAAAAAGACUGUCUAGCGCCUCCCUAUUCGUUCCCAAGUGUAAAAAGCGUAUAGCCGUGCGGCUAUACGAUUUUUUUAAUAUAUACGGUAUUUUUAAAAAAAAUCCCAGUAUAGCCGCACGGCUACACAAUUUAUACAAAAAAAGAGGACCGCCUUGCGCCAAGUGGUUCACAGCUAUGAUGAGUAUACAUACAUAUUGUUUAAUACUUGUUUUGUACAUGUACAUAUUUUUAUGUUUAAUACUCGUAUUGUAUAUGGAUGAAGGUAUUUUUCAUGUUUAAUAUAAUUAUUUUUACCAAAUUUUCAACAAUACACACAAAAGUCACGCUAUGUAUACACAAAAUUUUCACAUAUUAUUGAUUGAAAAUUAAUAUCCAUAAAAUAUAAACUAAUGCAACUAGAAGGGUCCUUUUCUUUUAAUUUUUGUUAAUAAAUAGAAUAGCCGCACAGCCGCACGGCUAUGCGCCUUGUAAUUUUAAUACACUUAAAGUGUAUAGUCGAUCGGCUAUACCCAUUAUAGCCACACGGCUAUACUCAUUAUAGCCUCUCGACUAUUGUUUUUUUUAUAAAAAAACCCCAGUAAAGCCGCGUGACAAUAGAGAGAUUGCCGGAGUGGACAUGUGGCAUAGUGUGCUUGACUUAUAUGGAGUGACAGUGUGUGUAAUUUUGUUGUUUUUUAAUUACAUUGUUGUAAAAUUAGGUACUACUUUUUUGUCUUUGGCUUUAUCCUAAUCAGGUGAAAUUGAAUUCCUAUUUUUCAAAUUAGUAAACUAUAUAGUGUGUCUUUCUCAACAAAAAAAUAAAUAAAUAAAGGCUAGAGGGCUGCCAAUGCCAUGGCAGAAGCAUCAUAGUUUCAUCGACUUGCUAUGUCGAUGGGUGUUUAUCAUGUAUUUAUAUUAGUGUUCAUAAUUUACAUAUACUCGGAGAGGUACAGCUUAAUUCAUCAACUAUAAUUUUAUGGGUCCACCACCAAAACUAUACGACAAAUAUCAAAAUGCAGUAUAAAGGGAAAGUGUACCAAUCAAAUACAGUUCCUACCAAAUUCUCAACUCUUGUACAAAUAUCACUUCCCAUCUCAAGAUCUUAAUCUCCACAUAUUUGGUAUUACGUGUUUCGUAAAGCUCAGAUAUCACUUCAAAUCAAUGCAAAAAUCUAAUCUCAACUGAACUUCCAAUUUGCUAAAUUGUACACAUGAUUAUAAUUUAAAUCUGAAGUCCACAUUCUGGUCCUUACCAAUUGUGGCUAAUAUUUCCUUGAACUCCGACUUCUAUCCUCUCAUUGCAUUUUCAGAACAAAAAUUUGAUAUACUUGCAUUUGAGCGGUACAAAACUAAGAAUUGGCAAAUAAAUUGGUAUCCAAAUUUUCUUCAUAAUUACACUUAAAAAGUUAGCUAAAAGACUAAAGGAAAAAAAAAAAAAAGUAUUCCCAAAAUGAAUUUCCAAACCCUAAAUUCAAGUAUCGAACCAAACACCACUCUAGAACUUAUCCGAACUUGUUCCAAAAUUGUUCGCAAUCCUCGAACUCUAGCCCUAAACCUAUUAUAGGGCAAUUAGGACUUGGAAUUUUGUCGGGAAAGCUAAUUAAGUAAUGUUUGUAAUUAAGAAAUACCUUAGCGUUAUUUAAUUUCUUUAAUUAGUAAUUAAAUGAGGCUAAGAUAUUAAUUAGUAUUUAAAUAUUUUAAUUAAUAUCAGAAUUUACUUAAUUAAUAGCAUUUAAUUCUUUUAAAUUCUUUUGUCGACAUGUGCCGAUGAAUUGUUGCCGGAAUAGACAUCUACCGACGAAUUUUUGCCGAGAUAGAUUUGUCCGCGUUGAAUAAAAUUUCCUAACACACUGUCCCUUCAUUUUAGAGGGAUAUAAAACCAAACUCCACAUCUUUAUGUAUAUAUAGAGAGCAAAAGGGAGAGUUUAUUUUUAAAAGGGCUUUUUUUAAUCACAAAACAUCCCUAAUGUUUGCGAAACUAUCAGAUUGCAUCCUUAAAGUUUUUUUGUAUCACUUAUAGUCCCUAACGUUAAUGUAGGUGCUCUUAAAUAGUUCAUCUGUCAAAAAAACUGUUAAAUCCAGAGAUAUAAUUGUCAAAAUCAAUCCAAAAUUAUAAUAUAUAUAUAAUUUCCUUCCCUUCUUUAUUUCUUCCACUUUUUUUUUUCAAUUAAUUUUCAUUAGAGUUUUCUGGGUCGAGAUACUUAUUUAAAUCAAGCUUAUGGAAAUUCACCAGGCUCGACGUUGUUUUUGACUGUGAUAUUGGUGAGCGGUGAGCAGUUUCGACGGCGUCGACCUUUUCCCCAACCUCCGUAGCCUUCUUUCAUAUCGAAGCGGCCGACAUGUCGUGUAGCUGCUGCCGUCUUCUUAGAACACAAGUUCUGGGAAGUUGAGGCGCGCAGAAGGGCAUCUGAGGUAGAAAACGGCGGUGUCAUAUGCUCUGGCGGUAGCAACCAGCGUCGUGUAAGAACCAAGCCAGAUUCGAGACCUUUUGUUAGGUUCUUUAAUCUCAGCCACCCACUUCCUCAUCCUUAUCCCUCUGUAUUGCUUUUCUUGAUGACGAUGAUCAUGGUUGCCUCCUACUUGUUGCUGUUGCUGCUGGUUUUGCCUCUGCUUGCGCUUCUCUAUGCUUGUUGUUAAAGACGAUGAAGAUGGAGAACAACCAUACUCUCCUUCCAUCCUGAGAAAAGUUAGAAGCUACCUAAUAUUAAUCAAAACCCUUUUAAUCUGCUGUUGUUCUUGUUGUUGUGGUUGCUUUAGAAACUAAAUAAUCCCAAAACACAAAACGAAAAAACCCAAAUGAAAAUAAUUAGAAAACACUUGCAAUUCCUGAGAGCAAAGGUUAUAUUAGGGGUGGUUAAGGUUCGGUAACUGCGAAUUUUUGCCCAAAUCGCGAACCGACCGACUAUUUGAGGUAUGAUGAUUUUAAAACCGCAAACCGACCGCUUUUUGUGGUUUACCAAUGCGGUAAACCGCAAAAAGCGAUCAGUUACUGUGAAUUAGCAGUUUAAAAUCGCUAGUUCUUUUUGUGUCAUAAAUAUCCAAUCUUCCACAUUUUAGGCCUAAUUUUGAUGCUUCUUUUGAAGCCUUUUGAUUUCAAGCAUACUUUAACCAAAAAAUAUAAAUUCACAACCUCAACUUCUCAGCAUAUAUAAAUUCACAACCUCCUCAACUUCUCAAGCAUUCACAACCUAAAGAAAAUUAAAGUUACAAUUCUAAGCAUUCCAAUUAAAGUUAUACUUCUCAAACAUUCACAACCUCAACUUCUCAAGCAUUCCAAUUCCAAAUCCUUUAAAGUUACAAACAAAAAGGAAAAUGCAAUGCAAAAUGAAUUAAAGUUACAACCCAAAGGAAAAAUCAAAUUCAAAGUUAAUUAAAGUUACAAACUAAAAGGAAAAUACAAUGCACCAAUGUUACAAAUUAAAGUUACAAACUCAAGUGUUGGUGGUGGUGAGUGGAUUUGAAGGACCCUGUUGUGUUGUUUGAGCACAAAUUGCUAUUUACAAAAUGCAAAUUUUUUUUUUUUUAAAAAAUAUAGUUGCGGUUUGAGGUAACCGCAAGUUUUGAAAAUCAAAUACCACAAUCGCAACCGCAAAUGCGGUUCGGUUCUUCAUACUGCAAAUACGGUUCGGUUUCCCGUGAUUACGGUUCCAUUGCGGUAAAUUAUCGGUUGAUUUUUACGAUUUUUGUGGUUUUUGGGUCUAAAAUGCCACCCCUAGGUUAUAUUAUAUUCACAGGGAGAGAAAGAAGAAGAAGCAAUAAAGAGUGAAGGGAAGGAAAUAAAAGAUAUAUAUUUUAUAAUUUUGAAUUGAUUUGACAGUUAUAUCUCUGGAUUUAAUAAUUUUUUUUAAUAAAAGAACUAUUUAAGAGCACUUAUAUUGACAUUAGGGACCAUUAGUGAUACAAUCUGAUAAUUUCUCAAAUGUCAUAGACUUUUUGGGAUAAAAAGGCUUUUCAAAGAGAGCUGUUAAUCGUCCUGCACUCCGAGAUUUACCCUUUUAUGUUUCACUUUCACCUAACGGUAACAUAAUAUGCAAGACGACGCCGUCUGACAGUUGCACUGGCGGUUUGUCAUCCUCGUUGCAUUUUCUUCACGGUUCUUCUUCAGUUCCAGUGACGUGCUUUGAAACACAUUACCUCGACGUCGCUUUUCCGUCAUUCCUCGGAUCUACUUUCCCAAGAACCAAACAACCAUAUACAGAUUUAGCGUCUUCCACACGCGCAAUCCCUGACCGAAAACUCCCUCUCAACUCUCAAUACAAAAAUUUUCUCUUUCACGUCCACAGUCGACUUCAUCCAAUCCACAAAAACCACAAUUUUCGACCACUUUCCGGGAACCAAACACUCCGACAAGCCACAACCACACCGAAUCCCAAAUCACCCUCAUGAACUGAAAUCCAAAACCCUAGGGCUCGGUUCUCGGCUCGGCGUUGCAAUGGACAAGGAAACCGAAAUCCUCUCGCGCUUAGCCGCGAACCAUCUCUAUCUCGCCCAAUUUGAGCCUCUUCGAGCGAUUGUCGUUGCUCUCCGAGCUCGAAACCCCGACCUCGCUCUUGCCGUGCUCCAAACCAUCGUCGCUCACUCGGGUCGCUUCGAGAACAUUCUCUGGUCAAAAUCAUGCCCAUCACCAGCUCUGCUCACUUACUUAUCGACCCUUGAACUGUUGCAAUUCGAUAACGCUUCGUCGGUAUGGAGCUUCGAUCCCGAAACCCUGCGAUUGCGCGCCGAGUUCUUGUUGUUAGUUCAGAAUUUGAUCGACCGCGUCUCGGAGAGUAUGCGGAAGAAUUUUGAUUUGGAGAGCAUAGAGAAAGAGAAGGAGAAAGAAGGAUUAGGCGAGAGCGAGAGUUUCGAAGAGCGAGCAGAGUUUUUGGGUAAGAGUGAGGAUACUGGCAAGGAUUUGAGAGAUGCCAGUGGUGAAUUGGAUAGCUGUGUGAGAAUUUUGGAUAGGGUUUUGGAAUUGGGCGUAAAUAGAUUGAAGCCAGACUCCGUAGUAGUAGGUGCUGCUGAUACUGAUGGUGGGAGUGAAAAUGAGGCUGCAGGCGUUGUAUCUAUUGAGGAAGGCGAAUUGAUGUGUUUGAGGAGCGUAGUUUGGGACAACCGUGAUGUUUUUGACGCGUUGUGUUGGAAUAUACAGAGCCAAGUGAGGGGAUGGGAGGGAUAUGAUUCUUCGGGUUUAGCAAUAACGUUGAGGAGGGAUGAAAAUGCAGGGGAAAUGUCCAAGGAGGAUUUGAAGGUUCUUGGUUUGAUACAAAGGAGUGUUCAGUUAGCUCACUUGGAUGCUAUGAAAGAGUGCAUGAAGGAUGGUGAUGUGGAUGGAGUGGUUUCGCGUAUUCAUUUUCUUCACCUUGAUUAUGGAGUGGAGGAGACUGAGUAUCGGUAUGUUUAUAAAAUUUGAACGGAUUAUUAUUUGUACAAUAUGUGUAGUGUUUUUAUAGAUUAUGGUUUGUACUUAUCUCAGUGCCACUUACGCUCUAUCUUGCACAAUUGUUUCAUUAACUAGUUAGAAUUUAAACCUGCGCUAAACCUUUUCAAAGAAGAAACCAUUGAUACCAAGAUUAAAGGUUUGUGGUUCUGUUCAAUAGUCUUCUACAGUUGGUAGGCAAAUAUGAAGAUUGACACAUAUUUUAUGUUUUUAGCUUCUGGGCCUAGUUGUUUGGUUUGUCAUAAAUGUGAUAGAUAGGUAUGAGGAGGAUUGGUCAGUUUAAGAAAGCUUUUAUACAUGUUACUUUGAAGAUGCUUCAUGAAUUGUGGGCCAUCUUAGGAGUGGUGUCUGUGGUGUUCAGAUGUGAGAUUAGAUUUAUGUGUUACUGCAUCUUGGAUGAAUUUUGAGAAUGGCAAUAUCAGAAAAGGAAGUAGUUAUUAUUAGGGUAUCUUCUCCUUGAAAUACCAAAAGUGGCCUUAGGAUGUACUGCUUACUUUCUUCUAGAAUUUUUUUUCCAUUCACUCUUGAUGUUCCUUGCAGCAUGGUUUUGCAAGAUCUCCUCAAGAUGGUGUCAUCAGGAAAGGAGGGAUAUGGAGAUUCUUGGCGUAACAUGCGAGAAAAAUUACUGUGGAUUUAUAGCACGGCUAUUGCAUCAAAUUGUGGACAUCUUGUCAAAAUGAUACAAGUAAUGUUUGCCAUUUUGCUUAUAAUGGAUUUUGCAUGGUACAAGUCUUUGUCAGCAAAUUGUUUAAAAUAUGCCAGUAGUCUUGCAAUUAAUUUUCUGUGAGAUGAUUUUGCUGAAGGAUCCUGGUUAGGUCCUUACACGAUGCAUACCAUAACUUGUUAAAGCUAAGCUGAGGAUGUUUGGAAAGCUACAAUACCUAGUUGGAAAGGAUAGUUAUCUCCUUUUCUUUUUUUCUUUUUUAAAUUUAUUUUUGUGUGCAUGGUCGAAGUUGGAAUGCUUUCCCUUGUUGAAGUUUUGCAGCAAACACAUCUCAAAACCACAUAAAUUCAUGGAUAUGUAUGUAGAAAACUGGUUAAGCCUGAACUAGGUAGAUUAGUUCAGCCAGUUUCAUAAGUUCUGUAGAUUGUUCGAAUCUAUUAGGUGGUUAUUCUGAUGUAAGAAGCUAAUGGUUAUAAUAAAUGGCAGUUUUUCUUCUUCUUCUUUUUAAUACAUAUCAUGGUCGCCGGGAUUUUUUUAUAUAAUAUAAAUUAUUUAACCUGUGUUGAGAUGUAUUUGAACAUUAACAAUCAGUCAUCUUGUAUUUUUUAUCAUUCAUUGGGUCCCAUUCAAUAUGUAUUUGUAUUACUUUUGAGCCAUGCAUUCUUGGAGGGUAAUAUUGACUUGGCAGGUGGCUUCCUGCAGGCUCUUCAAGAUGACUUACUCUCAAAAGAGAUUGAGGUGUACAGAUCUCUUGAUAACAACCAGAUUCCACCACCUCUGGAACGUCUUCAAAGAUAUCAUGUAGAAUUGAAUCCCGAUACAGAAACUUCUACCCUCAACACUGUAGUUGGAUUUUGCAUGAGAGACAUGUAUCAUUAUGCUCGUGUUUCGGGUUUACAUGUCCUUGAAUGUGUCAUGGACACUGCUUUGUCUGCUGUAAAGAGAGAGCAGCUUCAAGAAGCUAGCAAUGUAUGUGCCCAGUUUUAUGUUUAAAUUGAAUAUGUGAGUAAAAUGGUAUUCUAAUUAUUAUUUGGGAUCAGUUAUUGCAUUAUUUGAUGGUGGAUUGCUAGUAUAGUUACAAGCCUUUCUUGUCCAUAUAUGUGCAGAUUCUUUUAUUGUUUCCCCGCCUUCAGCCCCUGGUAGCCACCAUGGGUUGGGAUUUAUUAUCUGGAAAAACUACAGCACGAAGGAAAUUAAUGCAACUGCUGUGGAGAAGUAAAUCACAAGUUUUUCGGCUGGAAGAAUCUUCUCUUUAUAGUAAUCUAUCUGAUGAGGUACUGCCCUUAAAGUCUUCCUUGUGAUAUUCGUGGCAUGAUAUCAUUGUUAUUAUUCAAAGGAAAUAUGUGACUGUAUGUGUUAUUCAUUGGCAGGUAUCGUGUGUGGAGUAUCUUUGUGAUUCUUUAUGUUAUCAGCUUGAUCUUGCCUCUUUUGUUGCCUGCGUCAAUUCUGGUCAAUCAUGGAAUUCAAAAUUAUCAUUGAUGUUGUCUGCUAAAGAACAAAUAGCAUUCAGUAGUGAAGAUCAGCAGUUAGACCCUUUUGUUGAGAAUUUCGUACUGGAAAGGCUUUCGGUUCAAAGUCCACUUCGGGUAAGUCCUCAAAAAUAAUCUUAUUGUGGCCUAGUUCUUUGUUCUUUUUAGAAGGAAAACUAUAUCUUAUUAAAAACUGAGAAAGAAAAACUACAAGAAAGAUGGGCUAGAUCCCAUCAAAAUCAGACCAACAAUCAUGGCAUGACAUAUAAAAUCAGUUUACAUUCAACCCAAAACUCUGUCCGAUCGACAUGAGUGAGUCUUUGAAAUGCUUCAACAAAUACACUCCAAGAAAAGCUAAAAUUGUAAUUCUAUUAUAUCCCAAUGUAAAUCCACUUCCUCCACCAUAUCAUGAAAAACGUAUUAUUUCUUUCAAAUUAAACAAUCCACAUAGAAGCCAAUACCAUGUGAUGAUUUAUGUAAAUGUCUAUGCUAGCAUCUUUUUUAAAUUAUUUUUUGAUUUUUAUGUGCAUUUGCAUUACAAUUAUGUUAUACAUUAAUAUAAUAAUACUAUUAUAUUGUGUUGUAACUCGUAAGUUUGUAGCAAUCUUUCUCUGCAUAAAAAUUGUCUUUUGAUCUCUGAACAUGUUCAAUUCCCGUUGCAGUUUUCACCUUACCUUCAUAUGUUAAGGGGUUUGCUGGGUAUUUUCUUUUUCUAUGCCAGUUAGUAAUGAAUCAUUGCCUUCACAUGAAAAAUGCAAAAACAUUGACUCAGUGCUUGUUAAAGAGAAAUUCAACUUUCAAAAAUAACCCAUGGUUCCUUGAUGAUGGUGUUGACAUUAUAAAAUGAAACUCCAAAUAUUGUCUGUAUCUGAACUCUGAAGAAUUAUUGGCAUGUCAGGCACAAUAAGGUUGCAUUCUAAACAAAUUAUUUUUACUAAAAAGGAAAAAUAAUUUAUCACAAAUUCUUAUUGUGGACAUGCCUAAUGAUUGCUAUUUCAGAAAGCUUCACUGAACAAUCAUUUACCACUUUCCCCCGAAUUAUAUUUCUUUAGAAAUGCUAAAGAUAUAGUUAGCAUUGUAGUGUACCCUUUUUUCUUUUUAUUUUUAACACUUUUGUAUUGAAUGUUGGAAUGUGACGGGUGCAUUUUCUGUAGGUAUUGUUUGAUGUUGUUCCAGGCAUAAAGUUUCAGGAGGCUAUUGAAUUGAUCAGCAUGCAGCCAAUUUCUUCAACUUUAGAAGCCUGGAAGAGGUGUGUAUUCUUGUAUCAUAGCUAAGUGGGUACUAGAACUAGUGUUACUUUGUUGUGCACGAUUUAUUUUGUCAUCAUGUAUUACUCAAGGAUGAAAAGAAAUCAUCUUGUGUGGGAAGUGAGCUGGGGUUGACAAUGCUGCCAUCCUUUUAUGCUACUUUAUUUAUUUACUCAUAUAUUUGGAUAUCUAAAAUUAGUUGGUUUUCCUUUUUUCUUCUUCUUUGUGGUGAUAAUAGAGAUAUCUGUAUAUGAAGCUGGGGCUGGGGAUGUGGGACCAAUUGUGCACUCUAUGUAUUUCAUAUUUUUGUCAUUUUGGGAUUUGACAUGCUUUUCUUAACAUGUUGAUGUUUUCGCGUUUCUCUAUUCUAUUUUAUUAUAUGGUAGGAUGCAGGAUAUUGAACUUAUGCACAUGCGGUAUGCUCUAGAUUCAGCUGUUCUUGCGGUUGGAGUGAUGGAAAGGACUAUGACUGGUGAAAGAGAAAGUCUUCAUCAAGUUGCAUUUGACCAUUUGAAAGAUCUGCAGAACCAUUUGGAGGCUGUCAAUGACAUCCCUCGCAAGGUAGUCUAUUGUGAAUAUGUUUUUUUUAGCCCAACAUUUUCAAUCCUAACUCCUUUUUGUGGUUGUUAAAACUGUUAUUUUCUCAUGUUUAUGCUUGAUAAGUACAACUUGCAAUUACAUGUCUAACAUGUUUCCUCGGGCAAAUCUGUUGCAUUUUGUCUUUGAAAGUUGUUUUGUGUAAAAUAUAAUCGCCGAAAAAUGCAUGAAAAAGAAAUUAUUUAUCAUUCAUGUUCUGAUGCUAGAGAAUUAGCAACUGCUAAAGGGAUUGCAUUUUGGUAUUUUGUUCAAGUUUAUUUUGAAGUUUCAUGUUUUCCUUUGAAAUCUAAAUGCUCUCAAUUUGUUCGUGAUGUCAUCAGUUUUAUUAGUUUGCUGCAUCUUUUUCCUGUUGUUCAUUGUAAUUAUUUUAUAAUGCCUCUGUAAUGAUGCAGAUCAUGAUGGCGAAUGUCAUAAUUUCGCUUUUACAUAUGGAUGAUCUUUCUCUCAAUUUGGCUCAUUGUGCCUCACCAGGGAGCUAUUCUGAAUCACAUUACACAUGUUCUUCAGAACAAACUGAUCUAACACGUGAAGAGGGAAACAAAUUGGUUGUAUCUUUCACGGGGAAACUACUUGAUAUAUUACAUCACUGUCUUCCUUCAACUAUAACUGAACUAGAUCAUGCUCUAAGUGAUGGCGUAAGUAGGGGUGGAAGACAAGCAUUGGAGUGGAGAGCAUCAAUUGCUAAACAUUUCAUUGAAGAGUGGGAAUGGCGGUUGUCAAUUUUGCAGCGUCUUCUUCCUUUAUCUGAACGCCAGUGGCGGUGGAAGGAGGCAUUAACUGUAUUACGUGCCGCACCAUCUAAACUACUUAACCUGUGAGUUCUACAAGCCUUUUCUUCUUUGGGAAUUUAUAUGAUGAUCAAUUGGUUCUUGUGCAUGAAUUACUUUUCGGAUAUUGGUUAUAGGGUUUGCAAAUGGGGGUUUAUCCUAUAAGAAAAUGGUAGUUUAUAACGAUUAUAAACUAUAUUGACCACCCAGGCCAAACAAAAUGUGAUGACCUCAUUUGCCAAAUGAUAGAAAUAGAUGCUGAUAUUUGAAGAUGAUAGUACAUCAUCAGUUAAUAUGAAGUUGAUGACAUCUUAUUUUCUGAAGGUAAAUAUUAUAGUUGUUCUUAUAUAUCUCAGUUGCAUGCAAAGAGCAAAGUAUGACAUUGGGGAAGAAGCAGUGCAUCGGUUUUCAUUGUCUGCAGAAGAUAAAGCUACCCUCGAAUUAGCUGAGUGGGUGGAUAGUGCCGUCAGAAGACAAUCUGUAUGAUUCAGAUCAAAUUCCUUGAACUGCUUAUUUUAUGCUUGUCAGCUUUAACUAUCUAUAACCGUCUUGCUUAAAUAAUAUUGCUGAAUCUUUGUUGUCUUUGGUUCCAAAUUUACUUUACUUUCCUUUCUAUGUGGACUUUUUUUGUGGUUUUGUUUUGUAUUGCGGUGCCUUCAUCAGUAUUCUCUCAUAAAAUGGCCUCACUUUUCUGGCUUUUCUAGGUAGAAGAUGUAGUCUCUCGUGCUACUGAUGGUGGGACUUCUACAAUACAUGAUCUGGAUUUUUCUUCAUUGCGCUCCCAGUUAGGUCCUUUGGCUGCAGUAAGUGCUUAGAGUGUUAAGUCUCUAUUCCCCUUUGUCUUCAAGUGAGGUUGAAUAUUUAAUCAAUUCUCUAAGGUUUAGGCUGAUAUUCUCAAUAUAACCUUCCAGAUUCUUCUUUGUAUUGACGUUGCUGCUACUUCUGCUCGGUCUGCAAAGAUAUCCCAGCAGCUUUUGGAUCAGGCAAUGCUCAAAUAAACUCGGAAGAUGAAGAUACUGAUAUUUUGUCUUCAUAUAUACUUGUCUUAGAUUAUUUUGUUUUCAAAUUUUCUAAUUUCCAGAAGAUAAGUGGUGUUAAAAAAUCCAAUUAAAAUUUUUAAUGUUUUCUUGAUGAUAUAGAAAUUGCCCAAGCCACCUCUAAGUGGUCAGUAAAUACUUUUACCAAACCAACAUUUAUGAGAAAUCGAUGUGAGGAGGAUAAUCUGAAAGUUUCACUGUCAGUUACUAUUUUACUUUUCCACCCCUAAGCAGUCAGUAAAUACUUUUACCAAACCAACAUUUUUGUUAUUAUCGUCCUCCUAAACAAAUGUCAUUUCAUGGUCUUUUUCCCUGUUCGAAGUAUUAGUUGUAAAACUUGAUGCCAUGUGUGAGAAAUAUUAUGAGUUUGGAAGAAAGUAAAUUUUGCCUCAAUUGCUACUUUGGCUUUCCACUGGUACUGAUUAUUCACUCCUGGAGAAAACUCUCUCCAUGUGUCACAACAUCUAGAAAUUUCAUGUUCCCCCUAAUUUGAAAUUCUCUUAGGCUCCAUUUAGAUGAAGGUAAUUGAAAGAUAGGAUUUGGAUUUAACAAGGCUAUGUUCAAAAAAACUAGAAAACAUCAUGUUGGAUGUAUUUAGAAUAACUAGAUGUAGUAUAUUUGAAAUGACUUUAUGGAAGGAGCCAUCUGGAAUCCAUUUGUUUUCCUCAUUUCCUUCUAAUUAAUAUUUUGGCAUACAUGGAUUGUAGUAGUCUAAAAAAACAAUUUAACCUUAUAAUGUCAUCUAAAUCCCUAGAUUUGAAAUUACUCCAUUCAAAUGGACCCUUAUUUUCCUCCAUAUGGUUUCCAGUAGAUCGGUUUUUGUGUUAGGGUGUUUAAUUCAAGAGUCAUAUGGUCUCCAGUGGUUUGGUUUUACGGAAAGCUAUGAUUUGUUAUAUGUGCAGGCUCAAGUUCUGCUGUCUGAGAUAUAUCCAGGAGUUUCUCCAAAGAUAGGCUCCACUUACUGGGAUCAGAUCCUUGAAGUGGCAGUUAUUUCUGUUUUAAAACGAAUCCUUAAGCGUUUACAUGAGUUCUUGGAUCAGGUGAGAUCUUGAAUUUUUUUUUGGGGGAUAAAGAGUUCUUAUUGGCCAUUAAAGACUGCACUAUCUAAUUAUGAAGGUUGUUUAAUCAGGAUUUAAACACAAUAAUUCGUUGCCAUCCUAUGGUUCUUCCAUUUUUGUUUACUUCUUGGUGUUUACUAUCUGUCCCUAAUAGCUUCACUGUUUAGAAUGCUUACUGCAUUAAAACAUUCUUGGUGUUUACUUCUUACUGUUAGUUAUUGAUCCUGGCUUCUUGAUCUGCUCAUCUAGGAUAAUCCUCCAGCCCUUCAGGUCACUUUGUCUGGCGAGAUUAUUAUUGCCUCACCAAAGGAAUCCCUCCGACUAGGACAACGGGAACGUGUUCUUGAUAUGCUACAUCAUAUGAUUGAGGAUGCUCACAAGGGCAAGCGGCAGUUUCUCAGUGGUACAUUUUAUAGUUCCCCUUUUUCGUAGUGUGGAAGGAAGGGGAAAUAUGCUCUAUGGCUGCUCUGCUUCAUAUGGCUUAAACAGAAAUCUGCUCUAUGGCUGCUCUGCUUCAUAUGGCUUAAACAUAAAUAUGCUCUAUGGCUGCUCUGCUUCAUAUGGCUUAAACAUGUCUUUAAUUUCACACAGGUAAGCUCCAUAAUCUUGCAAGAGCUGUGGCUGAUGAAGAAACAGAGCUAAAUUUCUAUAAAGGAGAAGGCCCAUCUGCUGAACAGAAGGUUCUUUCUGAUCUUGACAAGGAUGGAGUUUUUGGACUUGGGCUAAGAGUUGCCAAGCAGAUACCUUCAAGUUCUGCAAUUGGAGAAACAAGUGUGCAGCCUGUUGGUUAUGAUGUAAAGGACAGUGGGAAGAGAUUUUUUGGUUCAUUAAGUACCAAACCCAUGACAUAUCUUUCACAGUUUAUUCUCCAUAUUGCUGCAAUUGGUGACAUAGUUGAUGGAACUGAUACAACUCAUGAUUUCAACUUUUUUUCACUCGUGUAUGAGUGGCCCAAAGAUGUAAGAUUAUUUUCUGUGUUAUUGAAGAAUUCUUUGCUUUCUGCGUUUUGUUUUCAAUAAAAUUUUGGAAUUGAGAUUUGGUUCAAACAAUCGGAUAUUUUUGGAAGCAUCUUAAUUUCAGGAACUGCGUAGAUACUUAGGUUUAAUUUCAAAAGAGAACCUCAAACUAUACAAUUACAACUAUUGUAGAUGCGACAUGAAGUACUAUGUUAUAUUGACUUUUAGGCCCAACUAUAAUGGAAGUAAAUGUGGAACUGAUGAGUAGUUGUGCUAGUUUUUGUAUGUAGCAUUUCAUGUUGUUUACCAGGAAUGUCCCACUUGCUGAAACAGUAAACGUAUACUGGAUGAAGACAAAAAGUUUUAACUUUAUCCCAAGCUGCAGUUUGGUUGUCAAAAGUAUCUUUUUCUUGAAUACGAUUGUUUUUUCUUAUACAAAAAAAGAAGAAGAGAAUGUAUAAUUAAUGAAAAUGAGGAAAAAGAAAUGCAAUGCAAACUAUAUUUUCCAUGUUACUCAUAUUUGUACAAGUUGAAAACUAUGGUUUUUCUGUUAGAACCUAUUCAAAUAUAAUACUCGUCUCAUGAAAAACUGAUUAGAUAGAUAUGUGUAAUAAUUUUAAUUUUCAGAAAUACAUGGUUUUUAUGGAUCGUUAAUGUAAUGGUAGCAAUGAUAUAUAAAGGGUUAUUACUAGCUCUGUUUGAUGCAGGACUUGCCAGUCUGUUUUUAUUGUUUAAUUUGAUACCAAUGAAAUCUGAUUGUUGAAGGUCUCUUAGUUCUUAAUUAUGUGUCAUGAUCUAUUUGACUUGGACUAACUUGAAAGCUGACAAGUUCUUUAUGUUAGGAGUUGGCAAAUUUCUGUUUCUGCUGUAUUAUUGAUAUGCUCGUGUAUGGCUACUGUAUUUUGCAGCUUUUAACCCGUCUUGUCUUUGAUCGAGGCAGCACUGAUGCAGCUGGUAAGGUAGCUGAGAUUAUGUGUGCAGAUUUUGUCCAUGAAGUAAUUUCAGCAUGUGUACCUCCAGUUUAUCCCCCACGAUCUGGUCAUGGGUGGGCUUGCAUUCCGGUCACUCCCACCUUCCCUAAAAGUGGCUCAGAAAAUAAAGUAUUGUCCCCCUCUUUCAAAGAAGCGAAGCCUAAUAGUUACUGCCGUUCCUCAUCAUUGCCUGGAAUCCCUCUAUACCCUUUAGAGUUAGAUAUAGUAAAACAUUUGGUUAAACUAUCCCCAGUGAGGGCGGUCUUAGCAUGUGUUUUUGGGAGUACCAUUUUGUACAAUGGCAGUGAUUCUUCUAUAUCGAGCUCCUUGGACGGAGGAUUGCUGCAGGCACCUGAUGUUGACCGGUUGUUUUAUGAGUUUGCUCUUGAUCAAUCUGAGAGGUUACUUUCAUGCCUGUAAAUUAUUUUCCUUUGUCAUUUACAUUAUGGUUUCCUAGUUUUUACUUGUUAUUUUGACGUGCAGGUUCCCAACUUUAAACCGAUGGAUACAAAUGCAAACUAACCUUCAUCGAGUUUCGGAGUUUGCUGUAACCAUUAAGCAAACUGCCGAUGGUGGUGAGGCUAGAGCUGAAGCAAGAGCUAUCAAGAGACUACGUGAGAUUGAUAGUGAUACUGAGUCAGAAGUUGAUGACAUUGUUGGUAGCAGUAGUGUUUCAACAGCUUUACCAGACGCCAGUGGCCAAGAUGGUGCAGCUACUGAACCUUGGGAUGGUUCUUCAAAAUCUGACGUUGCUGAGCUUGACACUUCAGUUUUCCUUUCUUUUGAUUGGGAAAAUGAAGAACCAUAUGAGAAAGCUGUACAGCGGUAUUGUAGUUCUGUCUUGUUUCAACAUUCAUUCAAAUAAACAGUUACUCGUUCACUUCUUUUUCCUUUUUGGGUCUCAAUACUUGUUCACUUCUUCAGCUGAUUUUAUUGUUAUCUUCUGCUGGUGUUCUCUAUAAAUGUUUGCUAACAUUCUGGCAUGUUUACUUUGAAUUCUAAGGUGGGACUCACAUUGCUAAGUCAAUUUUUCGAAUUGUAUGACCUACUAAGAUACAUACUCAGAAAUCUUCCACUAGACAGAAAGCAUGAUCGUAUGACUGGUUCUAGUGCUGAAAAAGCAGAGUGAAAGAAGACUUUUCAGACAUAAGGAAUUUUAUGAGAAAUAUAUGCAUGCAUAUGUUGGAUUAGCGUCUUUAGUUUCUAUGGAGUUUCAUGUAUAAAUUAUCUGGUUUUGGAGAGCAUAUUUAUCGGGAAUUGCCUUUAUUUUUUGGAGGGAGGGUGUGUUAUUGGUGUCAAUUCUGUUCUUCUUUUGUUUGCUUUUAGGAUAAUUUUGUCAUCAUGCUGACAAUUGAAGGUGGCAUUACUCUUUCCAGUCACUGAUUGCUGUCAAUUAACAGAUUGAUAGAUGAAGGAAAACUCAUGGAUGCUCUUGCACUUUCUGAUCGCUUUCUACGUAAUGGAGCUUCAGAUCAAUUACUUCAGCUAAUCAUUGAAUGUGGGGAAGAAAAUCAUUCAGUCGCUGGACUCUCUCAGGGUUAUGGAGGCAAUAGUAUCUGGAGCAAUAAUUGGCAGUAUUGCCUGCGGUUGAAAGAUAAACAAGUGGCUGCUAGACUUGCUCUCAAGUAUGUAAUGUCAUGGGUUUAUAAGUUCCCUUGGUGAAUGCUAGCUGAUAAGAAAUAUAUUAAGAUAUUUUCCUUUGGCAUCUAUCAUCUUUAUUUUUUACAUUUGUGGAGCAGUGCUUGGUUCUAGUAAUAAAAAUGUUCCUAUUUGAUAUUUCAGAUUUAUAUACAUGGCCUUUUAUUAAUUUUUAAGUGAUGCAGGAAGUUUAUGAAUCUAUUGCGGUCUUUAAUGAAAAUGUCUUGUUCCUGUUAGUUGGAAAGAGUCAAUUCCCCACUCGUUCCCUCUGAGUCUCUUUUUUUGGUUCGGCUUGGUUCCUAGCAUUACAUGUUGUAAAUCAGCUAAACACUUUUCCCAUUGUUGCACUGAUGGUAUGUAGGAACAAUUACGUGCUUCUUUCCAUAGAAUUUCUAGAAUCUUACAAGUUUUAUUCCAGGUAUAUGCAUAGAUGGGAGUUGGAUGCUGCUUUGGAUGUUCUCACAAUGUGCAGCUGCCACCUACCUCAAAAUGAUCCCAUUAGGAAGGAGGUACUGCUUUUUGAUUUGAUAAGUUGCUUAUAUUCUAUUACUGCUAAAUCUCUGUCUCAAUUACCUGAAGCUUGAUAAGGGUUCUCUAUUUUGCAUUAAUUUUUCAUCUAUUUUUGGUUGAUGAUGUACUCCUUUUGGAUGCAUAGGUCAUGCAUAUGAGACAAGCUUUGCAGAGGUACAGCCACAUUCUAAAUGCAGAUGAGCACUUUAGCAGCUGGCAAGAGGUUAAAAUUCUGGACUCUGUGGACUAAAAUGAGAAGUGAAAAUGAUAGAGAUAUUAAGAGCAUAGUUCUGCUAGUUUUUAUUUAUUUAUUUCAUGGUAGCAUGGAUAUCGUAUUAAUUUGGGUUUUAUUCUCUCUUUUUGUUUUUCUUUGUCCAAUGUCAGGUUGAAGCAGAGUGUAAGGAAGAUCCUGAGGGGUUAGCACUUAGAUUAGCUGGAAAAGGAGCUGUUUCUGCUGCUUUAGAAGUGGCUGAAAGUGCAGGAUUAUCCAUAGAAUUGAGGAGGGAACUGCAGGGCCGGCAACUUGUAAAACUUUUGACUGCAGAUCCUCUCAGUGGUGGAGGUCCAGCAGAAGCUUCACGAUUUCUUUCUUCCCUACGUGACUCAGAUGAUGCUCUACCAGUUGCCAUGGGUGCAAUGCAGCUUUUACCUGAUUUGCGGUCAAAGCAGCUGCUUGUAAUUAGUUUUCUUUUUGGCAAUAUUCUGCUGGAAAUUUAUUUUGAUCUCAUAAAGUAUAGUAUUUGAGUUUUGAAUUUCAUAUACCUCUUAGUUGUGAUUUUUAUUUUUAUUUUUUACUUUUGUAAAGGUUCAUUUCUUCCUGAAGCGAAGAGAAGGGAAUCUUUCAGAUGUUGAGGUUUCUCGGCUUAACUCAUGGGCCUUAGGUCUUCGUGUUCUGGCUGCCUUGCCGUUGCCAUGGCAGCAAAGAUGUUCUUCCUUGCACGAGCACCCGCAUUUGAUACUUGAGGUUCUUCUGAUGAGGAAACAGCUACAGUCUGCUGCAUUGGUUAGAUAUCACUUCUUAAGUUCCUUCAGUCACACACGAAUGUCUAGCAUAUUUUGUAUUUAGAAAGAUUUGAAUACCAUAAGAUCAUUUGUCACUACUUACUGCAUGAAAGGCAUAAAAUUUGGAUUGCGAUUCCUUAUCCGGUUUGGUGUUUUGCAUGUUUUUCUGUGUUUGUAGUUCUCUGAUGCUGUUACUUAAUCAACAUUUUUUUGCUUAACAGAUUCUCAAAGAAUUUCCUUUGUUGAGAGACAAUAAUGUCAUUAUUGCCUACGCUGCUAAAGCUAUUGCUAUCAGUAUUAGCUCACCUCCAAGAGAAUAUCGAGUAUCUGUUUCGGGGACUAGAUUAAAGCAGAAAACAAGAACAGGUGCUCCUGUGAGGUCUUCUUUCACUAGCAGUCUAAAUAACUUGCAAAAAGAGGCUCGUCGAGCUUUCUCUUGGGCUCCACGAAAUACUGGAGACAGGGCCGCCCCAAAAGAUGUUUACCGUAAAAGAAAGAGUUCUGGAUUGACAUCAUCGGAAAAAGUAGCUUGGGAGGCCAUGGCUGGUAUCCAGGAGGAUCGUGCUUCAUCAUAUUCUGUUGAUGGGCAAGAACGGCUUCCUGCUAUUUCAAUUUCUGAAGAAUGGAUGCUAACUGGUGAUUCAACGAAGGAUGAAGCUGUUCGUGCAUCUCACCGAUAUGAAAGUGCCCCUGACAUUACCCUUUUCAAGGUAUUCUAGUGAAAUAGGCUAUACCUUUUGCAUUUUAAUUUGCAAAGCACCCCUAGAUACAUAAUAAAGACAGUAAAGCUAAAUAUGUUCCUUGCUGUCCAUAAAGCUAAUAAUGUUUCAUACUGCCAUUUGCUCCAUUUCAUAUGUAGAUAUUAUGGGAGAAUCCAUGGGUUAAUCUUACAUCGGUAUUCUAACUUCUGAGGAUUGCCAAUUUCAUAAGGGCACGCAAGCUUAAUUAUACACUUUCCCUGUAUGAAGUUUUCCUCUGAUUUGUAACAUUUUAUGCUUGUAUAUCCAGUUAAAGUAGUGGGUUCUUCAGCAUGCUGGGAUCUUGUUUAGGCAUGCUGCUCGGCUGACAGUUUGGUAUUUAUUUUUGUAGGCACUGCUUUCUCUAUGUUCUGAUGACUCUGUCUCUGCAAAGAGUGCAUUGGAUUUGUGUGUUAAUCAGAUGAAGAAUGUGCUGAGCUCCCAACAAUUGCCAGAGAAUGCAUCUAUGGAAAUAAUUGGUCGAGCAUAUCAUGCCACUGAGACGUUUGUACAGGUAUACCUUCAGUAAGCUCUUACAACAUGGUUAAAAUUCCAUAACCAACAAAGGCAGAUCAUGUAUCUUUGCCUUGUAAAGACAGGGUUAUGGUUUUGUUAUGCAAUCACCUUUAUGUGCAGUUUAGUUGGUAAUGCAGAUUGCAAUGCUAGUUCUCACCGCAUGCUUUUACAGGGGCUACUUUAUGCUAAAUCCCUGCUGAGAAAGCUUGUGGGUGGUAGUGAUUUGUCGAGUAAUUCUGAAAGAAGUAGGGACGCUGAUGAUGCAUCCUCUGAUGCUGGUAGCUCCAGUGUGGGCAGUCAGUCCACAGAUGAGCUAUCUGAAGUUCUCUUGCAGGCAGACAUUUGGCUAGGACGUGCUGAGCUGCUCCAGAGCCUUCUGGGAUCCGGAAUUGCUGCUUCUCUAGAUGAUAUUGCCGAUAAAGAGUCAUCUGCCUGUCUCCGUGAUAGGUUGAUUGUAGAUGAACGAUACAGCAUGGCUGUAUAUACAUGCAAAAAGUGCAAGGUAAGUAUCGUAGCUGGAAGUUGCUGUUAAUUCUUCUGUUUUGUUUAGAGUAUGUUUUUCCUUUGGCGUGAUUAUUUAAGGCAUGUUGAGCUUAUGAAUAUGUGGGGCUUCUGUCAGAUUGAUGUUGUCCCUGUUUGGAAUGCAUGGGGACAUGCUUUGAUUCGGAUGGAGCACUAUGCACAAGCUCGUGUGAAGUUCAAGUAUGUUUAGUUCAUAUUUGGCAUAAAAAGGCUAAGGAUUUUUAUUUUUUUGAAUUUGGCAUAAAAAUGCUAUGGCUUUAUUGAUCGAUAGAAAUGAACUAUGUUUCCCCUUCUCUCUCUCUCUCUCUCUCUCUCUCUCUCUCUCUCUCUCUCUCUAUAUAUAUAUAUAUAUAUGGUACAGUUGCUUAUUAAUGUCAUUUUCCCCCUUCUGAUUUUUAGGCAAGCUCUUCAGCUAUACAAGGCCGAUCCUGCGCCUGUCAUUCUCGAGAUCAUCAAUACAAUCGAGGGAGGUCCGCCGGUUGAUGUUUCAGCUGUUCGUUCCAUGUAAGAUGCAAUACAGCUUUGAAAUCAGAAAUUAAAUUUUUAACUUGUGAACGGGAUGCUGUGUGAGCCGGAGUUUGAGACAGGUUUUUUUUCAAGCUAGGCUAGGUUUUAGAAGGUUUCUAUAGGAGUUUGAUAGCUCCUUCUAUUUCCUAAUGGCAGUAUUGCUGAGCAUGUGCUGCGACUUUGUUUUAAAAAAAAUGCUGUUCACAUUAUCACUAGGCUAUUUUGUCUUAAUAACAACUUAGAAGAACACAUUAUCAUUGAAGGUUUUAGAAUCCGAUCUUUGUAGAUGUGAAGGUUUACAAUAAGCAUGAGAAAGAAGAAACUCAACUCUAUGCAGAAAGUCCUAAACUAAACUGAAAGUAAUAAGCUUCAAGAUUCUUUACUGGCUAUUGAGCCUGUUUGCCAAUCUGAAGUUGUUAAAUUUGAGAUGAGGUAAUGUUCAAGAAGAGUUGAGUUUAUCCAUUGCGCGUGCAUGAUGUAUGUAGCAGCCCUUUUCCUGGAAUGGGAAAGGCAUUUUUUCUUUAAUUUAAUAUAUAUAUAUAUUUUAAGAUUGACAUCUAUUUGUGUGGCCCUGGGCCUGGGAUGAGAGGCACUGUAGUGUUGCUCAUGUAUCAGGUCUUGGUUUUUUUAAUUGAGUUUCUGAACAUGACCCUGUAUGACAUUUCCAAUAGAAUUUUGCUUAUGUCUCAGGUACCUUAUGUAUUCUGUGCACUGGAAUUUUGAUUCUGAAUAAGUAAAUCUAUGCUUGAAUUUUUCUCAUGUAAUGAACAAAAGGACAGGAGAAGAAACACUUUUCUGAAGCUAGUCAUUAUGUAUAAACUGAAAAUGCAACUUAUACUGCAGGUAUGAACAUUUGGCUAAAAGUGCACCAACAAUCUUGGAUGAUUCGCUUUCUGCUGAUUCAUAUCUCAAUGUGUUGUACUUGCCUUCCACAUUUCCUCGUUCAGAGAGAUCCAGGCGUUCUCAUGAAUCUGCAAAUAAUAAUUCCACAUAUAUUUCAGACUUUGAAGAUGGACCACGCAGCAACUUAGACAGCGUUCGGUAUGUUGAGUGUGUCAACUAUUUACAAGAAGUAAGUUGCAACUUCCUUCUAUGCUGAAGCUAGAGUUUCAAGUUUGAUACAUUUAUGUCUAGCAUCCCAGUUUACAGAUUCUAAAUGACAAGCAUCUGAAUGUUUAAACUUUGCAUUUUGACGUUUUGUUUUCAGUCACAUGCAUCAACAACAGUAUGACUAAGGAAUCUCAUCAUGAGCUACUUAUAUUACUUGCUAAUUUUUGUAGUAUUUCCUUUUUGCCUAUCUUACCAUUGCGUUUAAUGAUGUACUGCACAUUACCAAAUUUCAGAUUUAUCUGAUAUCUCUAAAUAUUUAGGUGAUACUGCAUUUGAAUGUGAGACUAUAAUGUUGGAUUUGUUAGCAGCUGUGAAGUGAGACUAGAUAUUUCGAAUUUUGAGCUUUUUUUAGCUUACCAUUUUGAGUUGUUCUUUAUUGUUUUUUAUAUUUUCUCUUGAGAUUGUGGAUUACUCUUUGUAAUUAGCUUUCCUACUUCACUAAAAUCCUAUUUUCUUUUAAAAAAAAUUAUUGCAUUUGAAUGAGUCUCUUUAGGUCAAUGUUGAACCUUCGUGAUUGGAUGGUUGCCUGUAUUGGAUUGAGCUUAAAUUUGGUUAAUAUUAUGUUCAUGAUUAGAGCAUUCAAUCCAACACUAGGAUUGACCAAAAACAAAAUCUUGAAAAUUUAUUUAAAUGGUGCGAACUUAACUGCUUUUUGGAUUUUUUUACUAAUAUCAGUUGAUCUUGCCCCACACACAUAUCAUAAGAAGUUCUGUUUUAUUUGUUUUUGUUUGGUAACACAAUUGAUAUUACAUAUUUAGGUGGUUCUUUCUUUAUUUGUUUGUAUCUUAGUGUUAUGAAUGGUAGUGUUCUUGCUACUUCCUUCUCCAGUUCUAUUGCCAAUUAUAAACUUUAUGUUUUUGUUCAUAUAAUCAGGUUCUUGUAUGUAACUUUUUGCAACCCUUUGCAGUAUGCACGACAGCAUUUGCUCAAUUUCAUGUUUAGGCAUGGCCAUUACAAUGAUGCUUGCAUGCUGUUCUUUCCUCCAAAUACUGUUGCCCCACCUCCUCAGCCAUCAACAGUGGGGGUGGCAUCUUCGUCCUCAUCCCCUCAAAGGCCAGACCCUUUGGGAACUGAUUAUGGGACUAUUGACGAUUUGUGUGAUUUGUGUAUUGGUUAUGGCGCAAUGCCUAUUUUGGAAGAAGUGAUUUCAGAAAGAAUGACAUCUGCAAACCCGAAAGAUGUAGCAGUAAACCAGUAUACUGCUGCAGCCCUUGCCCGUAUUUGCAUCUAUUGUGAAACUCAUAGGCAUUUCAAUUAUUUAUACAAGUUUCAGGUAAAGUUUUCACUUAAUGGGUUUUACUUGUACUGAAAUGAGGAUAGUAUAACAAUUUAACUAAAGAUGUUUCUUGUUGUGUCUUCAACAUAUUAAUAAUAUUCGUUGCAUGACACAAAUAGUAAGCAGUGCGACCCCUCUUACACAGUAAGUAGAGGGCUGAUGAUACCCAAAUACUAUCGGCGCCUAUAUUUCUUCAGUGCAACCCCACUAAACGUGGCUUGUUCAUGUGUUUUAUCAAGAAUUCUUCAUAAGCAUUUAUUCCAAUCUUCUGGUCCAUUUUUUCUUCCACUUGUAAACUAUCCCAACACAAAGUCCAUGCUUGUAUCCUUCCAUGGUGCUAUAGCAAUGGACAGUGGGGUUAAUUUGCAACCCAUUAACUACGGAGUUUUUAAAAACUCUUGAGCACCCAAGUGUCUCCCUCCUUGGAUUUGAGAAAAGUCUUCAUCCUUAAUUGGGUCAAGAACCUUUUUAAAUCCACCGUUAUAAAAGAUAAAGAUGUUUUCUCCAAGGCGGACAGUCUUGUUGUAAAACACCAUGGUCUUGCUGAAUAAAGAGGGCAAGCUUCUAUGUCUACCACCCCGCAUAAGACUUCAUCAAAAUAGUUAAUGGAAAAAGGAACAAGGCAUGGUUUUAUUACCUAAAAUUUCAGGACGAACCAUAUUGAUCAGUGUUCCAUCUUUUUUUUUUUCACUAUUUAUUCACUUAAUUGUUUAUUUGUUUGCAGUAUACAUUUAACUUGGGGAAGUUUUGAUCUUAUAAAUGUCCUGUUAGAAUUUAUUGCUUGAAGGUUCAUCAUUUUGUAUUUUUAUUUUCUUUUAGUUGAAUUCAGAAAUUUAUUCCAUCUUUCAGGUUAUUAAGAAGGACCACGUUGCUGCUGGACUUUGCUGCAUCCAAUUGUUUAUGAACUCAUCUUUGCAAGAGGAAGCUAUAAAACACUUGGAAAAUGCCAAGGUAUGCUUUUAUUUAUUGCUUUUGGACCACCUUAAUUGUUGAACUAUUUGCAGGAUUGUUCCUAUGCAUUUGGAUGUAUAAUGGCAGGGGAAUUUCAACCCCAUCGUUUGGGAUUAGGUCUAAGUUUGCAGUAGAUUGGGCAAGUGUAGGUUAGAAGUUUUUUAUUCAGUUUUAUUAUCCAAUCAAGCUUCCCAAAGUGUGAUGACAUUUACCUAAUUCAUUCGAUUAAUGCUUGACAGGUAAAUUACAUUUUAGAGAAUUGCUGAUAAAAUGUAUAUGUUUCACAGGAAAGCUUUGACCCUGAUAGCACCUUUGGCUUACAAAUUUAGAAUUGUUCAUAAUAACAAUUGUUGAAUACGUCCAGAUUAUGUUUCACUUCUGAAGAGCCUGGUGAUGCAAUCAUUGUAUAAAAAUGAUAUUACCUUUGUGUGUGCGUAUUAGUUACCUAAACAUGUUAGUGUUUCAAAUGUACUGAAUUUGUAGUAGUUGCCUGUAUAUGUUUGUCAUGUUGUUCAUUUAUCUUUUGUUGGUUGUAGAUGCACUUUGAUGAAGCGUUAUCAGCACGAUACAAAGGUGGAGAUUCUACUAAGCUUGUGACGAAGGGUGUUAGAGGAAAAAGUGCCUCUGAAAAGCUCACUGAAGAAGGACUUGUCAAGUUUUCGGCUCGGGUAGCAAUUCAGGUGAUUACAUGAUUCAAAUACUAUACUCUCUUAAACACUGUAAGCUUAGUUUUUUCUUGAUAGGUCAGGGCCUGCCCUUCUUGACUCUAUGUUGAUUAAUCCACUGGCAAGUAGAUUGUGCCUUUUUCUAAAGAUAGACGGUUCCCGUAAUUUUGAAAAACAGAGACAGCUGGCAUUCUUAAAGUUACUUGUAUGCACAUUAUUUUGCGAGUGAAAAUGCACAGACAAGCGGGUAUCUAAUUGCCAUGUGUAAUCUCAAAAGCAGAGAUGGAAACAGUCUAAAGUUAGAUUUGGAGAAGAGAAGAGUACGCAUGAGAAUUAAUCCAUCACGAGAUUCAUUGACCUAUGCUUGAGGAACUGCUCACAUAUAUGCACAUUUGACCAAGACAUGCACACUACCAGAAAACUUAGAGCAACGUUAUCUGCUUCUUAAUAAGUUAUGAAGAAACUACAUUUUCUGUGGCAAUUUAAAAUACUGUGAACUGUGUUGAUGAUUUGGCCCUGCCUAAGGUAUCUAAUUUUAUGAAGAAAAGAAAAAAGAAAAAAAAUCCAUGGUAGUUUAGUACAUUGUAAUCUGUAUGGAUCAAAUGAAUAUCUGACUUAUGAAUAUGUAUCUAUUUGGUUGGAACUGAUAUCCAGAAUCUAGUUAAUUCAGUAAACAGCUUGUUUGGUAUUAGUCUCUCAUGUUUCCUGUGGGUUUAUUGUAUGGCAGGUCGAAGUUGUGAGAUCCUAUAACGAUUCAGAUGGACCUCAUUGGAAACAUUCACUUUUCGGAAAUCCAAAUGAUCCUGAAACAUUCAGGUUCGAGUCAUUUUACUUACUGCUGGGCUUAUUGAUCUCUUUAGUUUUUUAUGAUAGUGAAGAAACCAAUCACUUCACUGUCCCAAGCUGUUUCUUUUGCGUUGUAUUUUCAUAUAUUUGUAUAUAUUGCACAAGCAACAAGCAUGACUAGAAUUCCAAGUUAUAAAGACAUUAUGUCUUUUGUUUCUACAAGGGCUUUUAAACAGUUUUGUUUUCUGAAAUAGUUAAUUAAUAUCAAUUCAUGUUAGCGAGUUAAAGAAAAAAACUGUUGAGCAGCGUGUCGUCGGUAGUUAAUAUGCAUUUGUCUUUUAGUUUGUCUUCCAUAAUGCGAAUGUGUCACAAAGUUGACCUUAGGCCUGUUGGGGUUUCUAUUACGAUUGUUGGUGUCAUGUUCUUUAAAAAUGUUCUUCUGCCAUGGUAUAUGGUACUUGUGAAAUAUUUUGAUAUGAUGGUGAGGAAAGUCACACCUUCUCCACCUCCUUUUUGCAGGAGAAGGUGCAAAAUUGCUGAGUCUCUUGUGGAAAAGAACUUUGAUUUGGCUUUCCAAGUGAUUUAUGAAUUCAAUCUUCCAGGUAGCCAUUGCAUAAUGAUUUCAUUUUCAAUCCCGCCUUUCUCUCAUGAAGUAAUUGAUUAGCUUCUAGGAUUAAUGCAUCUUCUCAUAAAUUUCAGCUGUGGAUAUAUAUGCUGGGGUAGCUGCAUCUCUCGCCGAGAGAAAAAGAGGUAGUCAACUGACUGAAUUCUUUAGAAACAUAAAAGGGACCAUUGAUGAUGAUGAUUGGGACCAGGUAAUGUGAUCUACAUCUCUUAGUAGAUUGUAUGUACUGUUUGUAAAAUGACUAGAAAACUUACAGUUUAUUAGUUUCUUGGGUUAGUUUUAGUUGGCUUAAGAGUUGAAAUGAUUAUAACAUAUAUGGUUUUUGACUAAUCAAAAUUUUUCUAAACAUACAAAGAGAGCAUGGAAAUUGGAGAACUGAAAAACGUCUUGAAAUUGAAAGAGUUUAUAUAGUUUGAAUCAUCAUUCAUUGAUGCUCUUCAGUAGAUUUAGUUUGAAGUAAACUAGAUGUGGAGUUGUUGGUCACGUACUUCUUAUUGUAUUGUAAGACCAAAAGGAAAAGAAAAUUUUAUUGUCACUCAAGUAUUGCAAUAUGUAUUUGUGUGUGUUUUAUCUGGCUAUAUCUGGUGCAAUUAUCGAUUAACUCACUUAUAAGACAUCCCAAUUCAAAGGUAGCUUGUGACUACUAAUCACCACAAUAAAUGAGGAAAAUGGUGAGAAUUUCGUCAUCCUCAGUAUUAUUUCAAACUUUCUACGAACGGAAGAGGAACAAUUCAAAGAUAGCUGAAAUACCUCUAAAUUAUUCUGAUCAUUGGUCGAUUAAUAAUAAACUGAUUCUUGAAAUAAAAUUUUAGCUGGCAACAUGUUUUCAGCCUAAGGUUUAUAUCUUGCAUACUUCUAAACUGUAAUUUUUUUGUAAAACUGGUUUUCUGUGUCUCCCAAUCAGCCUACUCUUUGUGGAAGCUGGAAACUAGUUCAAUUUCUGUUCUUUGUUUCUAAAUUUAAUAAAAAGUGUAUUUUUGAAUUGAUGUAGGUCCUGGGUGCUGCAAUUAACGUAUAUGCUAACAAGCACAAAGAACGCCCUGACCGUCUCAUUGACAUGUUGACCAGUAGCCACAGGUAAUGGUUUCUUUCAGUACUCCUUGUUGUCAUUAUUCAUAACUGUACAGAAGAUCUUUGAUUUUAAGUAGAUUUUGAGGACAUUAAAUUAUUAACUUUUAUGUGUUUUUACUUUUUAAGGCAUUUCAUAGUAUUGGUGGUGAUCUGUCAGUGUCAUUAACCCAUUGCUGCUUGAGACCUGCUUUAGGUUCCCAUUAUUGUUCAAAAGUAUCACUUUACCAUUGUGGUUAUUGAUCAAGUUAAUAAUUAAUGGACCCAGACCUCAACAUUUAUGACCAUAUAUGCCUGCCCCAUCCUUUGUUGGCUUCUACUUGCAUACUUCCGUAUGUGGUCUCUUUUUACGGCACUCAAUAAUUACUGUAUAGAACAAGUCUUUGGAUGAAUGCUGAAAUAAUGUUUUCUUUUGGUCAAUUUUUCCAAGCAAUUAACAAUGUCAUUCUUGAGUUAGCCGCUUUAGUUUUACGGCACUGGGAUACUGUUAACUUUGAUUAGUUGAACUUUGGUGCUGAGAAAUUUGUUCCGUGCUUUUUUUGUAUUUGACUUGUAUAUGCAGGAAGGUUCUGGCUUGUGUGGUUUGUGGUCGUCUAAAAAGUGCAUUCCAAAUUGCUUCUCGUAGUGGAAGUGUAGCUGAUGUCCAAUAUGUAGCUCAUCAGGUUACCUUUCUUUCCUCAGAAAAUCUCCCAUAUCUCCCACACUAUCCUUUUCAUCUAUUAAAACUGUGAUGUGGCAGACAUAGGAGAUUAGAGAAGAUGAUAAUGCGCCUAUCACAAAAGAAUCCAUGGAAAAAGGACAUUAUAGGUGUUUAUGUUUUUUACUUGUUUAGGGCUGUUUUGGUUUGGAAUCCAAAAACAAUUACAUUUGGAUUACAGUUUGAGUUUUUUUUUUAAUAUAAUAUAGAUAUUUGGCCUAAAAAUUGAAACCCAGUUUUACGUCUAUGAUUCUUGUGAAAUCAGCUCACCCGCUCCUAUACUAUAUUUAUUCAUAUAGUUAUGCCAACUUUUUUUGCAGGCAUUACAUGCUAAUGCACUUCCUGUGCUCGAUAUGUGUAAACAAUGGUUGGCCCAGUACAUGUGAAAUGUUGCUUGAGGAAAUUACGACCAAUACAAAUUAGGGUUGGCCUUGUUUAGUUAGUUUUCAAACUUUGCUGCACUCAGAAAGGUUGAAAGCCAUGGAGCCUGGUCAAAGAUAGUGGAACCAGUUGCUACUAGAACGGCGUGGUGCUGAAUCUGAUAACUGGUGAUACAUGAACUUUGAACACAUAAGGCAUUUGUCUUCCUUGGCGUUUGCUCCUGCCACAAAUUUUUGUUUUGUAUUGUCCCACCGGCAUUGCCGAAGCUGCUAUUGACGCAUUGAGUUAGCUCUGUCUUAUUGUGAAUGUUCGGCAACUUUGCUCAAGUUUGAAAACAUGCAUAGGGAACAUCAUAUGAAAAGGCCGAACGGAUAUCGAAAAUAAUUUGUGCAAGUAUGAGUGCACAAGUUUCUCGCAUGCGGCAUGAAAGUUAGUCUAAUUGGAAAGAGUGGUGUAGAAUUGAGUUGAAACUAGCUUGAUACGGUGUUUCUUUGCUUCAUCAUUGAUUUCAGUUAGUUGAGUCAAGUUGGGAGGAGUGCCUGCGGCUGUAGAUAGAUAGAUUAUAGAGGAGUGCCUGCGGCUGUAGAUAGAUUAUAGAUAGAUGGGAAAGAAGAAUAGCCUUAUCUUUGUAUAUGUUUCUGUUUUCGUUUUAAAUUUUGCCCCGUGUUUUUUUAUUUUUUCAUUUUAUUUGUCAGAGUUUGAUGUUUUGUAAAAUCUUGGAUCUUUAAUUCCAUAUUUUUCUUAUUUUCUAUCGCUAUGCAGAAUGAAGAUUAUAUUUUACUGUUCAUAAAAAAUAAUUUAUAGACGCUAUGAUCGAUUUAUGAAUAAUACGCCAUUACUUAUAUCCAAAAUUUAGCAGUGAGACUCGGACAUUGUAUUUGACCAUUGAAGUUCGACUAUCUUUUUCAAGAAGCACAUUCACGUGCUUGUCACGUGCUGAGCUGUUGUGGCUAUUUUGACUAGAAUACCCCUUCACAAAAUCAAUGAAAAUUGGAAAUCUGACUGAAAUUGGUAAAAUGUGAAGACCACAUUGGCAUUUUCAACAAAAAUAAAACCACUCGACUUUUUAUUUAAAUCACUAGAACCUACCAUUUAUGAUUACACAUAAGGUAUUUUUUAAUUUUUAAUAUUUAUUUUUUCCUUAAAGCAAGGCAAAAUGUCAAUAGGCCUAGCCUAAGGCCGCCUAUAAAACGUCCUACUUUAGUUUACUCAAGUCAAAAAUUAGGUGUGAAAGGACGAAAACAUGUGAUGCUGACGUGGGACAACAGGUUUUCAGAUUAAGCUCAAUGAAUAAUAUCGAAUUUUAUAUAUAUGUAUAUAUUGACGAUUUGGCCACGGGCAUGACAUCCGCGUUCAUUCAGUCAAAGAAUUAACAGAUGAUGACGUUCACGUAUUAUAAUCUAGAUGAUGAUGUUCACGUAUUGUAAUAUAAGUGCAUACAAACAAAGUCAGCCUCGCUAGUCUAACAAAAAAUGAAAAUCUUAGGCUAACACCUUCGAAUAUUCAAUAUGAAGAAACUUCUUUCUUCAAUAUCUCAAUACUUUAUCAUAAUUUUUACGAAUUGACAAAAUAUUAUUGAUAUGAAAAAGAAAAAGAAAAAAUCCAAUAUGACGGUGCGAAUUGACCAAAUAAGGCAAGACAUUAAGAUGACACUAGUAGUUUAUAGGAUUUGCCUUAAGCAAAGGAAUAUGAUACAAUUAAUUCCCUAAAUCUGCCAUCUUCACGCGAAUUAUGUUACAACAAUGAAUACUAUAAGAUGGUUUGAUAGCUCUCUACCGCCUUACCCUUAUUAUAUAAUAAUUAGCCCUAAUACUUGCACAAAAUAGUAGAACCUAUACAUGGCUAUAUUAUUAUUCUAAUUCAACGAGAUCGUAGACUUGCAUAAACAAGGGGCAAAAAGAGCUCUCUCUCUCUCUCUCUCUCUCUCUCAACAAUGACGUCGUGGACGGAAACAACCUCGCCGCUCCCUUUGCUGUUCCGAAGGCGGUCCAGUGGGGAAAUCAGAAAUUUGGCCUCAGUCUCAAGCAGCAUCUUACCGGCUUUUGGAACUGUGGUCGAUGAAGGGCACUUGCAGCUCAAGAAAUUUGUUAUUGCUCCCUACGACAGGAGAUACCGGUAAAGUAUCAAGAUAUAUAUUCACUGUCUGACAACACAUCUUGAGACAUAUAUUCACAAACUGGCAAAAGAUCAUUCGAUGUGUAUGUUUGAAUGUGACGUCGCAGGUGGUGGCAGGCGUUCUUGGUGUUGCUGGUGAUAUACUCAGCAUGGGCGUCGCCGUUUGAGCUAGCCUUCAAGAAAGUGGCAACGGGGUCUCUCAUGCCCGUUGAUUUGGUGGUGGAUGCGUUCUUCGCCGUUGAUAUAGUCCUAACGUUCUUCGUGGCUUACUUGGACAAGUCAACUUACCUUUUGGUGCUUGAUCACAAGAAAAUUGCUUUGAGGUAUGAUGCAUAUAUCUCUCCUGAAUUUGCUCCCAUUCGUCUCCAAAUUGAUUGCUAGAAAAACAUAUAAACGUGAAACGUUUAGGAGCGAUUCAUGGUCAUAAAGGCAGUUUUUUUUUUUAUAAUCUCUUUUAAACUGUUCUUGGCGUUGUCCCAUAGGCUUUUCAAAAAAAAUAUAUGUUAUAACAGGUGAGACAUUUAAGGGUAAAACUCAAUGACCAAAAUUGCAUUUUACUCAAACAGAAAUUAAAGUUUAAGGAAAGAAUCAACAAAAAAAAUUGGAUACCAUUUAUAACAUGAUAUAGAAGAAGAUUUGAUUUUGGAUUUAAGUGGAAACUAAUAUGCAAAGUUUUUAAAAAAUUUGAGCUUAAAUUCACUAAUCCAAAUUAAUGAGAGAUUUGGAAGGAAAAUUAUAUUCUAAAAAAGUUGAAACAAAUUAAUGUAAAUAAUGGUUUCAAAACAUAUGAGAUUAAGACAAGUUUAUAGAACAAACAUAAAAUUGGUUUACUUAAUAUUAGAAAGUCGUGCCGUUUUUAUGUUUGUGUUAAUUAAUGAUUGCCAUAGUAACAAUUACCGUCCCCAACCUAAUACGUUUUACUUUGAGCCCCGUUUUAUGCUUUUACAAGAAAAGAAAGAAAAAAAAUUGUCCCUCGGGUAGCCUAGCCCUAUACCCCAUUAUAGACCAUAGCCUUGCGGCCCGUGAUAAGAUUCGGUUAGCAUCUGGGGACACUUGAGUCAACAAAAUCCAAAGCACCAUUUGGCCCAGCACUUUUUGUUAUAUAUUUUUUAUUUUUGUCCAAAAUCGGGCUUAGCCGAUUUUCUACCACAUUUGAAAUUUUUUAGAUAAGACAGUCACAUCGUUACGUGGUAUUACUAAUAUAUAUUUUAUUAAAUUAAUAAACGAUAUAGUUGAUAUUUGAUGGACCUAUAGUGAUAUAGUAUUAAUAAAAUAUAUAUAUACAUUAUAAUAUUAAUGAAUUGAUAACACUAUGUGAUCUUGAUACUGAAAAAGAUGUAACGAGGAAUUAACAAUUACCAAAGACAAUUUGAAAUGAUGAUGAUGGUAAUACAAUCUCCUCUUUGUUGGGUACAGGUAUGUGAUAAGCAUAUAUUUUGCAAUGGAUGUAGUCUCAACUCUACCAAUUCAGCUCAUAUACAGAAUGUUUACUGGCAAUUCACACUAUGCCCAGGUCUUUGGCUUCCUCAAUUUGCUUCGUCUCUGGCGUCUUAGGCGCGUCAGUGAACUCUUCAAAAGGUACCUAACUAGCUACAUAAUGUAUUAAUCACACAUAAUUCACAUUUGAUUUUAGAUCCUAAUCAAGAAUUAAUCUCUUAAUUAAUUUCCUGCAGGCUAGAGAAGGACACACGCUUUAGUUACUUUUGGAUAAGAUACAUCAAACUAAUUUGUGUAAGUAGUUUCCCUUCACCAUUCCCCCAUCAUUCCACUCACCAAAUUUUACUACUUUGAGCUUUGUUUCGUUCACCACACAUUUCGCUUUAUUUGAUACAAUUUGAUAUCCAAUAUGUUAAGUUGAUCACACAUUUAGACCGGAUUCUAAAUAAUCAACAGUCUUGAUUAAUAGUUUGACAACAUAGCAUGUUAGAUCAAUUGCAACAGGUUUCAUACUUAACCUCUCUUUUCCCAUGCAUGAGCACAGGUUACACUAUUUGCGGUGCACUCAGCAGGUUGCUUCUACUUUUGGAUGGCCACCCAUCACAAAACAUUAUCGAAUACAUGGAUUGGAACGCAAGUCAAUGACUUUGAGCACAAAAGCAUCUGGUUGUGUUACACCUAUUCCAUCUACUGGGCCACUGUCACCCUCACCACCGUUGGAUAUGGCGACUUGCAUGCAGUCAACUCUGGGGAGAAGAUCUUCAGCAUCUUCUAUAUGCUAUUCAACAUUGGCCUCUUUGCCUAUUUGGUUGGAAACAUGACCAAUCUCGUCGUCCAUAGCGCAGUCCGAACCUUAUUCAUGGUAAAUUUUACUCAUGCUGAACUGUUGAUGUGUGUAAAACUCACCAUGAAAUCCACAACCAUCAACUCUCCAAAUUACCUAUACGUAAAUGAUUAACGCUAGCAUUUCACUUAGAUAAAUGAGAUUCAAUAGUCAAGACUAACUUGGGUGACUAAUUGUAUAUUCUGUUGAAUUAUGGUUUAUAUAUAGAGGGAUGCAAUCAAUGAAAUAUUCAGAUACGCAAGGAAGAACAGGCUCCCAGAAGGCUUGAAAGAGCAAAUGCUGGCACACAUGCAACUCAAGUUCAAGACAGCAGAGUUACAGCAAGAAGAAGUGCUAGAAGACCUUCCGAAAGCAAUCAGAUCCAGCAUUUCCCAGCAUCUCUUCCGCAGAACCGUCGAGAAAACGUACCUAUUCAAAGGAGUCUCUGAGCACCUCACUGUUCAAUUGGUAUAACCAUUUUCUUCCCUCUGAAUCUUAACCCAGAAUAGGAUUUUGUUUUGCCAAUUUACCAGAGACAUUGUUAUUGCAGGCGUCGGAGAUGAAAGCAGAAUAUUUUCCACCCAAAUUUGAUAUUAUCUUACAAAACGAAAUUCCAACAGAUUUUUACAUUUUAGUAUUUGGAGCAUUGGUAUACUCUCUCUCUCUCUCUCUCUCUCUCUCUCUCUCUCUCUCUCUCUCUCUCUCUCUCUCUCUCUAUAUAUAUAUAUAUAUAUAUAUACACACACAAGAAACGUAAUUUAAUUGCACAUCAUAUUUGAAACUGCAGGACGUGCUGCAAUACAAGAACGGCACAGAACAGGUAUCUUUAAACACUUCAUUAUGAUCUAUUCAAUACACUAUUUCGGGGUCUAUAACCUCUCCUGUAUGGAAGAUGCAAUUUACCGGCUCUCAAGGUCCCCGAUAACAAACGGUGGGGAUGGUAAGUUGCCUCUGUCAUACAGAAACUGGGUCUAUGUUCCUACGUGGUAUUUUAACUGUAAUUUCUCAACAUGAAGAAGUAAUCUCCAGGUAAACACAAAAGACCGAAGAGUUUAAGAACUUAUUGUAAUGUAGCAAAACAAAAUAAGGGCUAUGUUAUAACGCAGCGAUAGAGUGGCUAGCUAUGAACAAGGGGCACCUCUUGGCAUUGUAGGAUGUCAAAACCAAGAAUCAAAUUAAGAAAAAACCGAUAGUCAGAUGACUUAAGCAUGUAUUUUGAACUAAAUUCACUUAAGUAGUAUCUGAGACUGCUAACAGCUCCUAAUGUGUCUCUCUAUACACAAAUUGAGUUAUGUCUGUUAAGCUUCCAAUAACCUGCAGAGGCAAAUGAACAACGAUUAUCGAAAUAUCAACUUUAAACCAUAUUCAGGAAAGGAGAUCGUUGUCAUUUAAAAAUGGUUCAUAUCAGACUUCCUCUACAAUUUAAAGGAUGCUAUACAUAUGGAGUUGAAAUACAGAAUCACAGGUAUGGUAAAGCAGAAACCAUGAAAUAUCUAUCUCUUCUCCCACCUUUAAAGGAAAAAAGAAUGUCAAUUGGGAGAUUCCUAACAUGUAAAACAAACUAGCUGGUGACGUAUGAAUCAACUCUCGGAAGAUUUAAGGAUUCUAUCAUAGAGACAAGCUACUACAACAAUGUUGACAGUGAGAAGCAGAUGGGCAGAAUUAAUUAUCUGAACCCUUAUCUUAUAUAUAUUUUCCUGAUUAAACUAGCUUGUAUUUUUCAGUUUUUGUCAAAACUAGGAUCUGCAGACUUGGUAGGGGAGAUUGGAGUAUUUUUCAAUACCCCCCAACCUUUUACAGUGAGAACAAAAAAGCUUUCUCAGGUUAUCCGGAUCAGCCAUCAUCAUUUCAAGGAAAUGGUACAGCCACAGAAUGAAGACGGUAUGAUAAUGAUCAAAAACUUCAUUCAGGUUCGUAACAUUAUUUAUCUCAUUUGUCCCCUCAUAAUUAUCAUAACAUUGUUAUUCAACCAUUUAGAAAUUUCUUAAACAAUACCACCUUAUAACUUGAGUAUUAUCAGCUAGCAAAUUUAGCUUUGUACUGUAACCUGAAUAUCCAUUGCUCUCAUUUCCUUCUUUUAAGAUAUAUAACUAACCCUAAUGCAUAGGCAUUUGUUUACACUGACUCUUUUCUACUCAGCACUUGAAAGACUUAAAACAAGAGAUGCUACAAGAAAUCCCAUUUCUAACAGAAUCGCUGGAUGAGCUGAAUAUAGAGGUACACAUCUCCCUUUUUAACAGAAUACCUAGACUGUAAAUCUAAGUCUACUUAUCUAGCUUUUCCUUAGCUUGCAUUGUAUUUCACAAGGUAUUUGUUUAUCGAAGAAAAUAUUAUGAAUUCUCACCAACGUAAAAGCCAGUAGUGAGUAGUUUCAUUUCAUGCUAAUGAUGAUGACUACAUUUUCAUUGCAGCAUAUACAAGCAAAUGAGAAUACACAAUAUAAUGAGCUGGUGAAUUUCCAUGGAGAUACAAAUAUGGAAGGUAAUAGCAUUUGUGCCAUGUUCACUUACUAUUAAAUUCAAUCUUUGUAUGUAUUAAUAGGUUUGCUAUCAUUUGUACAGAGACAAACGAAACUUCUACUCCAGGGGCAAUCACCCUAAGAGUGAUAAUUCAUGGACAUCAUCCAGAUGAAGGUGACACGAAUGGAAAACUGAUUCAUUUGCCUGAAUCAAUGGAAGACCUUCUGAGAUUAGCAGGUAAUACCAAAUCCGAUACCCCUACCUCUAAAAACCUCUUCUUUUACUAAUGCUUCUUUUCUAAAACAAUACCAAGAUAUUUAUUGAAGACUAAGCUAACCAAUUCCAAAAUACUGUAAGAUGGUCUUGGAUGAUACGUGGCUAUUACAAAUUUGAACGAAUGAGAAUCUAAAAUCAGCCCCUAGAAGGCCAGAGAGUUCAAUGAUUUCACACAUUGCCAAACAAUAUAGAAUAUAUAUAUAUAUAUAUAAAAAAAAUAUCAGAAUCAUCUCAGAAUUGAGUUAUUGGGCUGCCAUUCAAAUUCAUACAUAAAAGAAGAUAAAUUCAAAUUCAUAAAUUCACAUCAAUGACAGCAUUUUGUUUUUUGUUUUUGUGAAUGCAGAGAAAAAGUUGGGAAAAAGAGGAAGCACAGUUGUGAUGGGGGACGGCUCACAGGUCGAAGAAUUAGACGCAUUAAGAGACAACGAUCACUUGUUCAUCUUUUGAACAUGAACAUGAAAAUGAUGUAUGAAUGAUCACUAAUCAGUUUCAGUCACCUUAUCAAUGAAAUUAUAUAGCGUAACUCAUGUCAAAGAUGAAGAUUGGAAGAAGAACUUACAGCACCUACAUGCUAUGCUCUGUUAUUGAGCAUCUCUAGAACGGCAUAAGCAGCUUUCUCAACUUGUUCUUUGGCUUCCUCCAAGCCUCUCUUCUUCUCAAGACUCUGCUCUUUGCACUUCUCUAUCUCUUCGGUUAUUCCGGCAGAGUUCUCAUCAAUUUCGCUACCAAAAAAAAAAAAAACAGAUCGCAAUCAGAACUUCAUAAUAUGCAGAGCGAUCAAACAGCUCCUUGAAAUUAAAAUCAAAAUUGAAAAGCCUUUGAAAACUAACCUCAUCAUCUUCAACAUGUUCUCCAUUGCGCCCUGGACUUCUUGUGAAAUCUCUGCACGAUUUGAUUCAAAUUUUUUACAAAUCAAAUAGAUUUCAUCGGCGCUCAAAAAUCUCAAAACCUCAAACCAAACCGCGCUAAGAAAUCGCAAAUGACAAUGAAAUUGUGCGAGGGAGAAAUGAACUGACCGUAGACGAUAGAUGACAUCUGAGACUCGGUCUCCGGUUGAAGUUGGAGCUGAAGAUCCGGCUGCGAUGGUGAAGAAGACGCCAUUGAGCAGUAGAUGAGUGGAUUUGUGUGUGUAAUUUUAAGCUUUGCAAAGGAUAAGGCGGCGUAUCCAAUUGAGAUUUUAAUAGAUUGUAAUUACAUGAUUUUAAUGUAAUGGAUUUCCGCCGUAUUUAUAAUUAUAUGAUUUUAUUUAUAAUUUUAAUAAAUUAUAAUUACAUGAUUUUAUUUAUGAUUUUAAUUCACUUAUGGUUUUAUUUAUAAUUUUAAUAGAUUGUAAUUACAUGAUUUUGAAGGAAUAUACCCAAUUUUUAGGAUAUAGAUAUCCAAUUUUUAGGGUUAAUACAAAGAUGAAGGCACAUUAACCAUCAAAGGUUAGUCCAAGGAGACUACAUCGACAUCAACAAUGUAACUCCCAACAUAGCCACACAUGGCAAGAAUGAAUACGUUAAAGAAACACAACACAACUGAGAAACCAACAAUAGAAAUACAAAAACAUAAGCAAAAGCUAGAAGCUACAUCCAAAACCACAAACACCUAAUGCAAAACAUAUAGCACUAGAAAUACAAAAUAAAGAAACAUACUGAAAACUCCUAGCCCAACCCCAUGACUACUAGUUUUUGUCAAAGCUUAGACCAAAACUGUGGAGUGAAAAAAACACUUUGCACCUUAUCAACAUUUCUUCUAGAUUGUGGGCAAGGCUUCUUCUUUAUGUUUUUGUUUUUUCCUUGUCCCAAAUGUUUGGGACAUAGAAUUAGAAAAAAUAUUUAACCAUGUGCGCUGUUUGGCUUAAUUGAAAAGUGGUUAGCCAACUAUUUAUAUAGAUGUGGAUUUAUAGCCUAAAUCGGGCUAAUUGCUAAUUGAUACACCAGGAAAAUGGAGGGAACUAAAAACCUAUUGAGUUUGAAAUUGUGCUUAUUCAAAUAGUGGCAAAGCCACUCCUAGACCUGGAGUGGCCUUGGCCCCCUCAUAUUUUUAUCACUUCUCUAUUAUAUUAUAUAUAAUAUAUAGAAUUUGUAAUAAACAACUUAAAAUUUAAGUUAAAAUUUCCUUUCAAAUAAAUUAGACAUGACCCCAUUAAAAAUAUUUAGCUCUAAACAUGUAAGUAUUGAAUACUUAAAUGUUUUAUAUACUUGUAUUUUCUACUUUGACCCCUCUAUUUUUAUAUUUUUAGCUCUGCCUUUCAUCCUUUAGUCUAUUGACAUUCCAUGCGAAUUUUGUUAAGAUUUUUUUAAAAUUUUUAACAUCAUAUAUGAUACUUAAAGGAUCAGUCGGGAGAUUUUUUUUAUUUUUUAUUUAUUAUAUUUUUUAUUUUGAGGCUAAAUAGGAAGCACAUCAAAAUUAGCAUGCACUUCACUUCAUUGCCUUCCUUAAUUGAAGCAACUAGAUAUUGAAUAUUGGAAUUAACUUUCCUUUAAAAAAAAAAAAUUUAAAAUUCACCGAACAAUUGAAUAUAAAAUUUCGGAGAGGGACGCAAAUACCCCCAACAGGCCAACACUGUGUCCACGUGAACAUAUCUACGUGUAGCGUUUACCGAGGAGAAGAAAAAGGUAAUUUAAAAACAUAUUAUUAUAAUAAAUAUAUUUUUGAAAAACCUCUCAUAUAUUUGUUUAUUCCUUACACUUGGAAUUUUUUGGAACUUGUGGAGGUAGCUAGCGUGAUAUAUAAUCUCUUUUUUUUUUUUUGUUGGGUAAGUAGGAAACUUCGAGGAUAUAAGGCUUUGUAAUUACAUACAAUUAGCCCUUAUUAAAACACACGUAUGCUUUUAUUAUUAUUAUUUAUUUGUUGUUUAAGUAAUUUAGUAUUACGUCAUUUACUAUGUUUUGUUUGGAAAAUAAAAUAAGAAGAAGCAGCAGUAAAAGCACCACAGAAAAAAGUGAAACGUACAUUCAUUGCAGUCCUUUUAUUCACGUGGGACCCGCAUGAUUUUACACAGAUCCCCAUCCAAGGUCCAUCCAUCCCAUCCCAGGAGUCGGUGGACGGUUCAGAUACGUUUUCCUGUUCGUAUUUUUUUCUCUAUACGUAUAAAUACAAUUUCAUCGUAUAUACUCAUACGGCGUAGAUUAAAUAUGGGCCUUGGGUUCGCAUUGGGUUGUGGGCUUAAAUCUAGCAAAGGUGUAGAAUUAUUCUUCCAACCUAUUGUGAUAUAUUUCCGAAAUAAAACUCAUAAACGAAAAAAAAAAGGUCUAAAUAAAAAGUCAUGAAAAUCAUCAUAAAGUAUAAUGUCCACGAAAGUUUGGUACUAAUAAUUUAUGCUUGACCAAAAACAAACAUAAAAUAUUAAAUUUAUUGUCGUAUAAAGUAACAUGUUUUUUUUUUAAAUAACAAAUAAAUAAAUAAAGAUUCAAAACUUUUGAUUGAAGGAAAAGUCUAUGCAAUUCCUAAUUAGCCUUAUAAAUUUUCACAACUAUUUUAAUAUCUAUCAUCUCUCAAUCCUCUUUUUCUUUUUUCUUUUUUUAACAUUGGAGUAAACCGAAUCAUCAAUUUAUUAUCAUCGUUUCAAUAGACGUAGAACAAGUGGAAUAUUUCCAAUGCAGUCAGCCACAUAUCAUAAAAAGCAAUGCAAUAAGUUGGAGAACAAUUCCACAUGAUCUAUAUGUAUUAGAUAGUACAUCAUGCAUGUGGUGUACCCGGAACAUAUAAAAAUUUCCCCACUACCUCACCCUUCCUCGCUAUUUAAGCUCCCAAUCCUGUUUUUUUUUUUUUUUUUCGUGUUCGAAAAUAAGUUUGAUUGGGAAAAUAUUAGAUAAGAUAAAGACAUUUUUACAAUCAAUGUAUAGCAUAGCAUGAGUAGGGAGGGGAAAGGGCAAAGGUACUGGCUCCACCAAACACUCAAAGGUGCUUUGGUUUUAUUUCAUGGGGGUUGUGAAUAAUCCAAUUUACAAUAAUUUUGCAUUUUUUUGUGGUCCCAUGUAUUUAUUGGCAUGUUUCUCAAAUCUCAGAAAGAAAAAAAGAGCUUAAACUCACUCAUAUGCACACACACAACAUGAAAACUAUUGGAUUACACUAUUGAUACAUAAAAACCUUAAAAAACAUGUGAAAAAUUAGUCAUUGUCUAGGCACUGCUAAGCUUGGCUUCAAUCCAAAACAUUUAUGUAUGGAUAAAAAUUGUACCACAUGUGGAUUUGUAAUUUGAUGUUGGACUUUUAUAAGUCAUCGCAAUAUUAGUAACCUUUUAUCAUAACAUGGAAUUUAUAAACACUCAACAAAUCUCAAAUGUAUAUGUGGAGCCCACCAUAUCAUUUUCAAACGUGCAUAAUUUACGAAGAAAUGAAAUUAUUGUAUGUUACUAAAAUAUUAUUAAAAAUGUAAUUAUUUCAUUUGUUAUAAUAUGAGGGUGGUCGAUUCAUACUUUAUAACAUAAGAUAUGAAAUAUAUAUUAUAACACUAGUGGAUAUAACACCACGUGUAUACUAUAUUACUAUUGAGAUGAUUCUUUUUACCGUCUAUGUUAUUUAUACUCUCUUUUUUUUUAUUAAUUUAAUAAAAUUAUAUCUCAUUUUUAUAAAUAAAAAACACCACAUGAUAGUGCAAUGGUCUUGUCCAAAAAUUACUCGGUAUUGAAGAGCUCUAAACCACUUGAAUGGGUUAGCUGAUUUAACUUUAAAAAAAUAUUGGUCCAAGGCAUUUAAUUGGUCAUUUUGCCGUAUUGUUUAUCUCGUUUGGGGUUUGGGUGGUAGGUCGCAUAGCACUUUCCGUCCAGUAAAAACGUUUACUCUAAUUACAAAUCACUCUUGACUAUUGAGAAAUACCAACAUUAACGUAUGCUCUAAUAAAUCCGACAAUUUCUUACUUCUCGAAGGGGGUAGUAGGGUUGAUAAAAUUAACUAUUGUUCAUCAUGAUUUAAAUGAAUUUGAGAUAUUAUUAUUGGGAUGACUUCCUUUACAGUAAGUAUAUAUCUUUUAUACUUUUUAUUUAUUUAAAAUUAAUUUAAUAAAAAAAUUUCAAUUUUUUUAUCAAAAUUGAAUUUGAGAUUUUUAUUAGACUACGAGAAAUUAAAGGCAAACUAAAAAAAGUCUCAAUUUUUUUUCUUGUUUAAUCAUUUUGACGGUAAAAUGCACUUGACAGAGUUAAAAGGGUAAAAAAAUGAAUUCCACCUCGGAUCAAAUUCAAAAGGGUAUAGGAAAAGCAAAGACCAAAUGCAUGUAAUUAUUACCCUAACUACCCCACGUGUUCCCCCAUCGAGCAAAAGAUUUAAAAAAAAGGUGAAUUUAGCACAUGAAAUAAACAUGGUAAGGAAAACAAAGACCAAGUUGUAAAUAGUUAAGCAAUGUACAAUGUCCAAAUCAACCCUUUUGCAUUAAUAUAUGACAUGCUUUUGGUAGAAAAUAAUUAAGUCACAGCCUUUAACAAUUUAAGCUACUUUACUAACUAUAAUUAGUAUUAUGUUAUUAAAAGCUGGGCCAUUGAGCUGUGAGAGAGAUCAUGUGAUUUACACAAAAACAGCCAAUAGAACUUACACAAAAACAAUAAAAUGAAGGAAAUGUCACUUUCAUGAGAUUUUGAGAGAAACUCAAAAGUGAGGUUAUAAUUUGGUAUGAACCAGUUUGGAUCGGUUUGUGAGAAUAUUUGACUUUUCUUAAUAUAAACAGAACAAACGACCAAUUGGGUCCCGUAACCUGGUUUUCUGGUUAAUAUCCCACCCCUAGUUUUAAAGGCAUGUCAUAAUCUUUUGGAAUGGAAAUGGUCCUACUUAUUUUUCCAUUAUAUUUGUUUGGUUUCAUUCGUUUGGUUGCAUCUAAAGUUAUAAACCCGCCGUUAACUUCCAAUGAAGUACUAGAGAAAGAGUGCAAGAGAUGUCAUGUCACAUUACAUUGAUACAUACCACCACGUGUCAAAUUAAAUAAAGGCCAAAGGACAUGUUGUACAUUUUGGAAAAUGCCAAAGAUGAGAGAAAUAUUUUUUAAAAAAGUCAAGAUGGAUAAAAAUACCCUUAUUUACAUGUCUUUGGUUUAAAAGUUGAGGGGUUUUUUUUGUCUUUUUGAUAAAAAUUUUGACUUUUUCUAAAAGUGAAAGUUUUUUUGUGGCUAAAACUUAAAUUUACUAAAUGUCUUUAUCCUCUUCAACACAUUGCAAUAAUAAUGCACAAGACGCAUUAAUUAUUAGUAAAUUAACAAACAACUCUCAAAAUCAUUCAAUGUUUACCCAUGUCAUUAAUUUAAGGGGAUAUGAAUUAUGGGGGUUAUAAGAUACUAAUUACAAAGCCAAUGGAAACAAGACACGAAAAUGCAAACUAACAAUGUUUAUUGCAGUUUGUCUUCCAUAUACAUGCAUCAAUAAUACAAAUAAAAUGAAAAGUGAUCGUUUCAAUAAAUAACCAAAUCAUUAAUAAUUGUUCUAUUAGUUUUCUUUAAAGACGAUUGAAAUGAAGCCUGCUUUUUAAAGUAUAAUUUUCUUUUUAGCCAACUUUAUGAAAGGGUGGCAUGAAACUCACACAUACGUGUAUCAUGUGAGCUUCAAUUUGGAAGCACACCAAAGGUCUAGGUCAAUUCAACUAAGAGCAUCUCUAAGGGAGAUGUUAAAUCCAACGUUGCACUUUUAGCAGGUAGAAAAAUUAGAUGAUACUCACUCCAACCGAAAUGUUCCUACGUGGAAUAAUAUUUCUCUCUCUUGCUAUUAUUUUAAAUUUAAUGACUAACGUGGAAAUUUGACAUAUUAUAGAGUUUUACAUUCCACCCGAUAUGUCAAAAUAAAAUAUUAUUUCAUUACAUAUUGUUUAUUGAUUUACUUUAAUUGAGGCACAUUAUUGAAAAAUAAUAAUAAAAUAAUAAAAUAGCAUCACAAUGUCAAACAACAAAAAGUAACAGCAAUAGAAAGAAAUGUUAUUCCACAUAUGAUUUAACAUUUCGGUUGGAGCGAGUCUUAAUUAUUUUUUUACCUACUAAGAGCAUCUCCAUGGGAGAUGUUAAAUACUAAACAUCAAAUUUAAAUUUGAUGGAUGAUGUGGUAAUUUGACAUCUUACACAGCUUUACACUCCACCCGAUAUGUCAAAUUAAAGUAUUAUUUUAUUACAUUUUAGUGUUGAUUCAUUUUUAAUUAAAAAAAAAAGAAAAGAAAAAAUAAUAAGUCAAACCGAUGUGUCAAACGUGCCACACAGACAUUCAACAGCUAGAAAUAACAUCUCACAUCACUCCAACCGAUGUGUCAACGCUGAUGUGGAAUGAAGGCUGAAAGUUGAGAUGUUAUUUUUGACAUCCCAAAAGCCUGAUGUCAAAUGAAUAUUUUAUUAUUUUGUCUUUUCUUUUCUUUUUAAUUAAAAAUAAAUCAACACUAAAAUGUAAUAAAAUAAUAAUUUAAUUUGACAUAUCGGGUGAAGUGUAAAGCUGUGUAAGAUGUCAAAUUGCCACAUCAGUCAUCAAAUUUAAAUUUGAUGUUUGGUAUUUGACAUCUCCCUUGAAGAUGCUCUAAGAGUAUCUCCCAGAGAAAUGUCAAAUGCAAAAUGUUAAAUUUAAAUUUGAUGGCUUAUGUGGCAAUUUGACACUUUGAAAAAAAAUUUAAUUCCACUUGAAAUGCCAAAUAUCAUAUUAUUUUAUUUUUUAAAAGCAAAUAGGGCUCAUAUAAUGCAUAAAGUUUUAAAAGAGAGUAAAUGAUAGUGGGGUCUAUGACUAAAAAAAUCUUAAAAUAAUAUUUGACAUCAAGCUUUUUGAUAUGUUAUUUUUGACAUAUCUCUUCCAGCCUUUAAAUCCAUGUAUGAUUUGACUACUCGGUUGGAGUAGCUUUAAUAUUCAAUUUUUGCCAUUUUGUGUCCAUGUGACAAUUUGACACAUUGGUUGGAGAUACUCUAAAAGUCCCAUAUAGGAUUUAACAUCUCCAAGGGAGAUGCUCUGAAAAAAAAAAAAAAACCCCACUUUUUACCCAAAAAUAAAACACCCCAUUAGUUAAAGUAAAUUUCACAUCCAAAGUAUCUUUAACUGACAUAUCAAAUUAUCAUGUGAACAUAAAAUGCUAAGCAUUAAAGGAGAAAUUUGUUUCAACAUGCAACAAAGACAUUAAAAUUGACAUCAUAUAAAAUUUGGAUGUCAAGUGUUAUUUUAAUAUUUUCUCAUGGUGAAUCUCACAAGUAUUUACUUUCUUUUAAAGUUUUAAUCCUCACGUGCUCUAUAUCUUUUUUUUUCAAAGUAUCAAAUUUCUAUAUAGUCUAUUAAAUUUAAAUUUAAUAUUUUGUAUAUGACAUAUCCUUUAUAUCAUUUUUUUUCUCCAUAAUUACAACAACAAAAAACCUUACAUACUCCGGUGAUGCGACUCUUGUAUAUACACUAUUCAUUACGUAAUAGUCUAAUCACCUAACAAGUGUUGUGAAUAUAAAAAUUAUUACAUCAACCGGGCAUAUAACUUUUUCCAUAAUUUAUAUCGGUACACAAGUACACAUGACAUGGCAAAAAAUUUAAAACCUUGGUAUGCCAAUUUAUAACACAAAUCCAGAUUGUACAAGAAUAAUAUAUAUCAUGAUUGAGACGUUCAUGCUAUGAGUGCCCGAUAGUGCAACUAUAAACACAAAGCAUGAAAGGUACGAACAAAAUGUUUGUGAAAAGGGAAAGGAGGGUGUAAAUUUUUGUAAAUAGAGAUUGGCCCUCCCCAUAUUUUAUAGCUCUUAAAUUUUUGUAAUUUAUUUUAUCAAAUAUAAAAAACUACCCCGUCAAAUCAGCCAAACUGCCCCCCGUUAACAGCCGUGGUGGUCUGUCAGUCAGUCAUAAUAGAAAGGCACCACGAGUCACAAGUCAUUUUUGUCGUCUCGUGUGACUCAGCAAGAAAGGGUAAAGAAGAAAGUACUGAACCAUUUCUUCUUUUUUUAAUUGCCCUUUGACCCAUUUCACCCUCCUCUCUCCACUACUUUACCCUCCAAUUAUGCCAAGUCACCCCCACCCCCACCCACUCCCACUCCCACUCCCACUCCCACUUACUUUCACCACCUCAGUAACUCUCUGAAACAUGUACUGAUGUAAAUCUUACCCACCUCCUUCAAAAAAAUAACAAAUAUUUUAACUUUUGUUUUAUCAUAUUUUUUAAAAUUAAUUUUAAAUUAUUACGCAUGUAAACUUUGAUUGUAGUCAUGGAUUAAACCAGUUAAUUAAGGCAAUGAGCCCGCAAUCUUCUUCUCAUAAAAUUUCCUCGUUUGUAUAUAAAAAAAUCAAUUAAGAUGUAAUUAAUAUAUCUAAAUUGUCUGUUAGUUAGAAGAGUCAUACUGGUUAUCAGUUAGUUUUUGUUCUUAAUGUCAUUGGACUAGAUUUAAAGAAAUUAUGGUAGUUGAGAGGGGUUAUAGAAAUGUUAUUUUCGAGAGUUAUUCUCCACAGAUCGUUUCAGCUUUUCAAAUGACUCAAGUAAUUGGAGAAAUUUUACCCAUGUUUGUCAUAUUGUUAUUGAAAUGGCUUCCUUUACAGAAUAUGUCCUUCGUUAUGUUAUUUUUAUUAAUCUAAUAAUAUUCAAUCGUCUUUUUAUAACAUAAAAAAAGAAAAACUACGAGAAUUAAACUUUGUCAGUAAUUGUUAUUUUACCAAAAAAGGUAAGCUCUUAGGAAAUCGUUUUUGCAGCUAGCGCAUUAUUAAGGAUCUAAUGUAGAUACAUCUUUAAUAAAACAAUAUUAAGAGACGAGAUACGAAUUAAGACUUUGAACGGAAUAAUAAAUGCUCUUAAUCACGAAAGCUGCAAAUUUAACAAAAAUUUAAUGCAAGUUGAUUAUUGGUUAGAUUGAGAUUUGAGAGGCAUUUUGAGUUCCAAAUAAUUCAAUAAGUCAGUGACAUGCAUUUGAGGGUUCUGUCAAAAAUUGAUAAAGAAUGUGGUCCAAACCCAAAACCACUUGGUGAUGAGGUGGCAAUAGAAGAGGAGGAAAGGAUGUAUGUAGUGGCAAAAGUUGGUAAAAUACGUACAAAUGCAUAUCUGUGGGCAAAAUACAUUAUUGCAUACAUACAUUGUUUUGUUCUAGAGAGAGAAAUAGAGGUCAUAGAGAGAGAGAGACUGAGGAGUAUUUCAGAAGCUCAUUGCUUCGCUGAUUUUGAGGCACCAAAUAGAGAGAGAGAAAGGAGUGCAGAACAAGUUUCACAUAGAGACACCGCUUGUGACAAACAAAAAAACUUUCUUAUUUUUACUACAUUUGGGCUUCUUUCCCUCAGAAAACCAUAUAUCUCUCUGAAAUUUCCAGAGCUGAAAGGAGAGAGCUAGAACCCAGGUGGGUUUUUCUUCUUUUAUGUCAUUGUUAUCUGUGUGACUCAUUCUUUUACAAUCCAAUGUUGGGUUCUUCAAGGAUCAUCCUUUUGUUAUAUUUUUCUCUUCUUCUUUUUUUUUUUUUUCUGGGUUUUGCGCGAUUGAGCUAAAAGAUUCAAGCUUUUAGUGUUCUUGGGCAUUGAUCGUCUUCUUAUGCAUGUUUAAUCGGCUUUUAAGGGUUUUCUCUGUACUUUCUUGGGAUUUUUUUUUAUCUGGGUUUUAUCUGUUGUAUAUUAUUAAGUUGAUUUAUUUAUUUAUUAUUUGCUAAUGCUUUAAUGAUAUUCAGGGAUUGAACCCCUCUUUGCCUCUACAUUUUAGUUUUACCAAGGAGGCUAUUUUCCUCGACCUUACAUUUGAUUAGACAUUUCUCUGUCAUUUCAGACUUCCUUUAAUGCUCUAAUCGACCCAAAAUAGGAAAAAAAAAUCUUAUAAUAUGUUUUUUUGGAUGAUCCAAAACCACUAGGCAAAAAAUUAUUCAUCUCAAUCUUUUAAAGCAUCAGGUUCUCUGUGUAUCUGAGAGGUUUAAUCAUAUUUCAUAUAUUUUCUUUUGCCCAAUGCAGCUCAUGGAUUACGCCGAUGAUACUCUUUUCUUGAUGACUAUCAACUGUAUUAACUUCUGAAUAUGGUAAAAUAGUUAUUGAUUUAAACCUUGUUGAUUUUUGGUACAGAAAAGGGGGGCUUUUGGUUCCCAAAAUUGGGAUAGUUGAGAUAAUGCUGAGGAAGAGAAGCAGGUCAAUUCAGAAGGAUCAACACCAAAUGGGUCAUUUGCCAAUUGCUGAUGCUGGGUCUGAUGUUUUGGGACACAAUCCCAAAAGCAACUCUUUUUUCAGUGUUCCUGGUCUGUUUGUGGGGUUGAGUUCUAAGGGUUUAAUAGAUUCUGAUUCAGUUAGGAGCCCAACUUCUCCUCUAGAUUUUAGGGUGUUUUCAAAUUUGGGCAACCCCUUUAGGUCCCCACGGUCCAACAGUGAUGGGCAGCAGAGGAGCUGGGGUAGCAGUAAAGUAGGCUUGAGCAUCAUAGAUUCUUUUGAUGAUGAUGUGAAGUUUUCUGGGAAAGUCCCUCGUUCAUCAGAGAGUAAGAACAUUCUUUUUGGACCUGGAAUGAGGAUUAAAACCCCAGAUUCUCAGUCCAAUACCAAUUCUUUUGCUUCACCUAAAUCUCUACCUAAGAACUAUGCAGUUUUCCCUCAUUCCAAAAUCAAAUCUCCUCUAGAGAAGGGUAGUUCUGAUGUUCUUUUUGAAAUUGGAGAAUCCCCAACAGAGCCUGAGUCAUUUGGAAAAAUCCGGUCCUGUUCACUGGAUUCUGGUAGGGCAUUUUCAACCCUAUCAGGUUUAAGCAACCUUAACCCUAACUCCACUUCUGGAAAUUUUUGUAUGGGAAGUUUAACCACCCAACCAUUUAUUGGAGGGAGCCCAAAUUUAGCCACCCAAAUGAAUACUGGAUCUAUUGGGUCUAGCAAUGGGUUAGUUGGGUCUCUCUCAGCUAGUGAGAUUGAGCUUUCUGAGGAUUAUACUUGUGUAAUUUCUCAUGGUGCCAAUCCCAAAAAAACUCAUAUCUUUGGUGACUGCAUUUUGGGAUGUCACUCUAAUGACUUGAGCAAUUUUGGUAAGAAUGAGGGAAAGGAAAUUGGAUUUGCCCGCCCGGGCACGAGCUUGGGGAAUUUUGUCCAGUACCCCUCAAACAAUUUCUUGAGCUUUUGCUACUAUUGUAACAAGAAAUUGGAAGAGGGGAAAGACAUCUACAUAUACAGGUACAGUUUAUGAAACAGACAUAUCUACUGGCCAUGUUAUGAUCUGCAAAGCAUUUUGUAGAGGAAUUGGAAAUACUUAAUAACAUUUGAUUUCUUUCAGGGGUGAGAAAGCAUUUUGCAGUUUGAGUUGCCGCUCUGAGGAGAUUUUAAUUGAUGAGGAAUUGGAAAAAUGCAAUGACCAGUCUUCUGAGAAACCUCUUGAGUCAGAUGAGGAACUUUUUGAAACUGGCAUCAUUGCUGAUAAGUAAGAGACACUUCUCUUCUGCAGCCACCGUGCCCAUGAUUGAUGAGCCCGUCGCAGACGCAGCUGAUCAUCUGUUAACAAAGAGCUGUUUGUGUGCAUCGCUUGGCAGCCAUGGAUGAUCGUUUUGUAAAUUCACUCGUUUGUUAACUGUGUUUCAGCUUUCAUGGUCUUGGUGAAUGUUGGUUUCAGCUCAACUAGUUUUGCUUUCCAUAAAAUCAGACAUUGAUGAUGUAUGCCAUCAAAGUGCUAUUUCUUUGUAAUUCAUGUAGAAGGGUGAUAAGCCGACUUUUUUGGCUCCCUACUUCAAGUCUCUGUUGCGACCGGAGUUGCUGUGUAAUCUUGAACCAGUUUUUGACUGAAUAUAAAGUACUAUUACAUAUACAACUUCUUGUCUUUCCCUUCAUCUUUAACAUUUUGAUUAAUUUUGUAAAUUUUUAGAGUUUGGAUGAAGAUGAAAAACUAUUGAACAUAGGUUGCAAAUUAUGAUCUGAAUUCACCAAUAAUCUUUACAAGAGCAAUUUCCAUCUACAAACCGAUGGUAUCUGUAAUUAUCCCUGAUAACAAUUUCUCUGUUGUAGGCCUGAGAUAUUAGUUUCAUGGCUGAAUGGCAAUCUCUACAAAUCUGCAGAUUAUUAACUACACGGAUAGGAGUUCUUGGGGGGUUGUUUAAAAGACCAAAAGCAACAGCCAAUCUUUCACUAUGAUGAGAUGAUGUUUCUACUAGGUCCUGUUUUUGCAAUCUACGCUUUAUCUCAUCCAACAUAGCAUAAAUUUCAGCAGAUUGAGGGUUUGAGAAAUCCCAAGCAGUAAAUUCAUGCACAGCUCCAUUUUGUUCUAUUAGACUACAUCCUGGUUGCUUCCUCACUCCUAGUUCAUGCAACUUCUUUCUUGCCCAGCUCACAUCAUCCCACCUACCAGCUUUUGCAUAUAUAUUUGAAAUAAGAGCAUAAGCAGCAUCGUUUAGGGGGUCUAUCUUUAUGAGCUCUUGAAAUACUUUUUCUGCCAAUUCUAGAUUCUGAUGGCUUCCACAUGCUCUCAACAAGGAACUCCAUAUAGAGAUAUCUGGUUUGAUAGGCAUGCUUUCAAUAAACCUCACUGCCUGGUCUAAGCGUCCGGCUCGACCUAGGAGAUCAACCAUACACCCAUAGUGCUGGAUCUUAGGAACAAUACUGUAGACACUACUCAUCUUGUUGAAGUAUGUGUACCCUUCAUUGACUAAGCCUCCAUGGCUACAAGCAGAUAGAAGAGCUACGAAAGUGACAUGAUCUGGCUUUAUUGCUAGAGCUUCCAUUUCUGAGUAGAGAUCAAUAGCUUUCUGGGCUUGCCCUUCCAUGGCACGUGCUGCUAUCAUAGCGGUCCACACAAACACAUUUUUUUCAGUCAUAUCCGAGAAUAUCUCAUAGGCUUGUUCAAUGCUUCCACACUUUCCAUACAUGUCAAUCAAAGCAGUUCCCAACAUAAUAUCCAACUCAAUAUGAUUCUUUUUUAUGUAAACAUGCACCCAAAUGCCAUAAUUCAGGGCUGCAACACUAGCACAGGAAGACAGAACACUGACUAAUGUGAUCUUGUUCGGCUGAACAUUUGAACUCUGCAUUGCACGAAAUAACUCAAACACUUCUCCGAAUCGAUGAGAUAUGGAAUAACAGUUGAUCAUGGUGUUCCAAGAAAUCACAUCCUUCUCAGGAAUCUCAUUGAAGAAGAGUCUAGCCUUCUUAAUAUCUCCACUUCUGCAGAACCCAUCCAACAUCGAAUUCCAAGACACAACACUCUUGCAAGGCAACUGCUCAAAAACUAAGCAAGCCUCAGCCAGUUUUUCACAUUUGGCAUACAAGUCUAUCAGAGCAUUCCCAAGAAACCCUUCAACAUUCAUUCCAUAUUUGAAAAUCAGACUGUGAACGGAUUUGCCUAACUUGCAAUCUCCCACAUGAGCACAUGCUGAAAGUACCGUAACCAAAAGAACCUCAUCAAGGCUCAAAUAUGUUUUUCUCAUUUGCCUGAAUAACUCCAGACUUUCAUAACAGUAACCUCCUUGAACAUAACCUGAAAUCAUCGUCAUCCAUGAAAUCAAGUUCCUCUCUGUCAUCUGGUCAAACAGGCACCUAGCGGCAUGUAUCUCAUUAGAUUUUACAUACCCACCAACCAUAAUAGUCCCCAAAACAACAUCAAUAUCAGGCUUGCAUCUACCCACAAGCUCAAGUGCCUUAUCCAUUUUCCCACACUUAACAUACAUAUCCACCACACAAUUCAACAGAUUCCCACCAAUCUCCAAUUCAUUUUCCUCAAUAUACUGGUGCAACUUCUCCCCCAUUUCCAAAUCCCUGAGCUUCGUACAAGCCGAAACUAAGCUCAGCAUGGUAAUUUCAUCUGGUUCAACUUCUUCAUUAGUCUGCAUUUCCAGAAAUAGAUUCAAAGCCUCGUAAAGCAUUCCCUUAUGGACAUUGCAUGAUAUCAUGGUGUUCCAACUAAUCACAUCUCUCUGAGGUAAUAUCUCAAACAUUUUGCGCACUUCAUCCAAUUUCCCACAUUUCGAAUACAAACCCAUCAAAUUGUUAAUCAAAGACAUAUUAUCCCCCAACCCAAUUUUCAAAAUCCGGCCUUGGAUCUCAGUCCCCUGUUGAAUGGCCAAAAGUCUAGAACAAGCAUGAAUCAAGAAGUGGAAAGUAGAUGCAUCCAGAGGCACACCUUGAGUGACCAUGUUAUAGUAAGUUGAAAGCACAUCUCCAAAAGAACCAUUUUUGAGUCUGUUUUCCAUAAGGGUGUUCCAAAUAAUGGUCUCUGGCUGAUGGGUUUGACUGAAAACUAGUCGAGCAUAAUCAAAGUCUUUGAUGGUGAUGAAGAACCAGAGAACCUGGCUGGCGGUGAAGGGGUCGUGGAUGAGGUUUGUGGUGACCAAACGGGCAUGGAUCGGUGCAAAUUCUCUGAGGUUUGAACAGGAUUUCAACAAGGAGAUGAUGCAGUUUGUUCUUGGAACUCGAUUAUAGACUUUAUUUUUGGUUGGUUUUUGUGUGGAGAGAGACAGGCUUGAGAGAAUGGCAGGAAGGGCUGCGGCCAUUUUGGAAUAUUUGGCACUUGGUUCCCUCCAAAUUUCAUUUUGUAGCAACUGGUAACUUUAUGGAUAAGAUUUUAUUUUCCAUAAUUCGUUUCAAGCUCUUCAUUUGGAUGAUAUUUAUUAAUUAGGACUUCGAAUUAUUUUGUUCAAGUUAGCAACUGAGCUAGACAGCAAUAGCAGUGAGACAAGCACCAGCAGAAAUGCUUUGUCCUAAUCUUACAGUAGAAAAUGUUCAUCAGAAUUCCUCUGAAAAUGCUGUACUGUCAGGCACCUCUUUUCUUGUCUUUUCAUCUUCUUUAAUUCAAAUAACAAUCAUCUUCUUCAUAGUGAGGAAAACCUGCAGGCCAACGCCCUCAUCAAUUUCCAAAUUCUAUAACCACUACACGAAUCAGAUUAGUUUAUAGGAAAACCAUGGUCAAUGACCCAGCUGUACGAGUUGAAUGCAUAAAACUGAGCCUUAAAAGGGGUACGAUUGUCUUUUUCCCCAUGAACUCGUGCCUCUUCCAAAUCAACUCCCUCCACUUUGUCUCAAGCAUGUCAACGUUCUUAAUACCCACCCACUCCUCCAUCCACAGAGACAGGUGAACCGAAGCUCAGGGGCGGUGCCUUUGCAGGAGUAGAUACCAUUUGAAUGCAUUUGCCGGAGUGGGGGAUACUGUUCGAAUAACCAAACGCAAUUGAGAAUGAAGAGAGGAUUACAGAGGAAAACAAGAGAUCAUCCAACCAGAUGAUAAAUCGAGAAAUCAUCAUGGCUACUCUUGGCUUAAUUACAAGGUGAAACCACACAUACAGAAGUAAAUAAAUAAAUAGAUGAGGAAAAGAAACGCAGAAACAAAAAGCGAAUCGCAACGGUGCAUUCGGCCACAGGUUUCCAACAGAGGACAAUCGCAGGACCACAAUUCCCUCUGUCACUGAUACAGCCAGGUGGUCAAGAGUGUACGGAGCCCUUUGUUGCGAGUCUUGUGACACACGUAGCUGCACAAUAAUAGCCAAAGCCAAAAUCAAUUCUGAUGCAACCAUAGCCAACUAGCUCAGCCUCUCGUUUGGCGAGUGUUGUAGGAUUUACAGUUCAGGCAUUUCUGGGCCACAACAUGGUACUGCACUUGUGAGCUUUUCCCGCAGUCGUUGCAGAGGAUCCAGACCUGUUGAAGCGAAUCACGAAAUAAGAAUGACUUCUAACCACACAUUGUACACUUGGAAAGUGUGUAGAGAGAGGAGAGAGAGAGUACCAAUUUGUUUUUAUAUGGUUCAGGCAUUGGUGUAGCUGCAAUCUCCAUGUCAUAUUUCUCCCAUACCUUGGACAUAUCACAAACUGAUUUGGAGCAAAGAGGGCACGCAUAUCUGUCAUAAAGUAUGAUCAACCGGCGAAUUAGAUAAUUCUACUCAACUAGCCAAAUAAAAGGAAUCAAAAUCACAUAGCGGCCAGGCACUUACUGAUAAUGCUCCCUCAUCUCUUUUAAGCAAUCCUUGUGAAUAGUGUGUCCACACAGCAUCACCGUAACAUCAUUUGUUGAUUCAAAUAAGAACUGCAGAUCACCAGGUAUGUUAUACACCAGUAAGGCAGGCAUCAAUAACCCCAAAACAACAAACUAAAUAUUUGUUGUAAGAAUUUGUAACUGCUAGUCUUACCUCAAAGCAAACAGGGCAGUCGUGAUGCAUUGCUCCCUCCACACAAGGGUGGCUGUUUUUUAACAUAAUUGAGUAGCAGCAGCCUAACAAGAAGAUAAUAACAUCAGUCAUGGUACAAUAUAAUACACAGGAUGCUUAGUUUCUUUGGAGAAAAACAAGCACACAUUGCUUACCACACUUGUAGCAGUGGAAGAAAUUCUCACGCCCUCCAAUUCUGUCACAAAUAGUGCACUAUCGAGUCAAACACUAAAGAAUUAAAGCUCAACAAGACAUAAACACAACACAACAAAGAAAGAAGUGAAGGCAGACAAGCAGAAAGUGCAGCUGAGCCAGAAAAAAACUGAAACAUGGAAGAAUAUUUUCUCUAGUGAAUAGAAAGAUGGAUGUCCCCUAUCUUGUUCAGUGCUAAACAAAUAAUACCAAAAGGAGAUUACCAAAACAUCUUUGCACACAGCCUUAACAAGGACAAGAGAAUCUUACCUGCAAAUUCCACAUCCAUUGCAGUGGUACUGUCUCUUAGAUGUCUGAAAAGAAGGCAAAUAGGAUUAGCUUGUUACACAAGCUGAUUACUUGAAAGAAAGUAUCAUGAACUUCCAUGGCAAACUCACAUAAAAAUCCUGACAUAUAACGUAGAACAGAAUUAAAGAAAGUCGAGCACUCACAUCAUCAUCAAAUAGCUUGCAAGUUCCACAGAAAUAUUUCCCCAUGCAUACACCACAGUUAACACAAACUUGUCCAACCUGGUAAUGAAAGCAACCAACAUGAUACUACAGAAACUUGCAAGCAUGUCUUAGAAUUAAAGAUUUGUCUUAAUUAUAGAAUCGAGAAAACAUCUUAAGUUCAGCUAAUGCAUAAUGCAUCAACAAUAUCCACUAUAUCCUAAUUAUUAACAAAUUAAUUACUAGAAUACUGACGUCAAACACAACCCUAUCUCACAAGUUUAAUGACUUAAUACAAAAUCCAAAUAAAUAAAUAAGUAAAUAAAUCUGUCAAUAAAACAAAACUCACCUCUUGCUCAGUGCCACAAAGUGAACAUAUCACCUGAAGUAAAAUGCAGGUAUUUUGUCAGCUUACGAAGCAGAACAAUAUAAAUUAACUAUUAAAAUUCAAACAACGACAGGAGAAGAUAUACACCAACUCAUACAUGGAUUACCUGUUUGACUUGAUGACGUGGUAUGUCAUGCCUAUGCUUCUGAUCGACAUUGAUAUUGUUCUGUACACCAAUAUGAAAUUCAAUACAAGUUGGCACAACUCAAAAAAGAAUUAUCAAUAAAAACAUAAGAAAGGAAGAAUUAUUCCUACUGGAAUAUUCUCUCAAAUUGUACAAAGUGAAUACUCACCUUUGCUUCAUUAUGACAAUGGCGACAAUCAAAAAUCUCAUUGCAGCAAGGAGCUCUAAUGCGGCACCUUCGCCUGUAGUGUGAACAACUGCAGAAGAAGAAAAGGAAACCAAUAUCAUAAUGUUUCUUCGUGACAGGGGAGGGAAUGAAACAAGCAGAGUGAUGAAUAAGAACAUUACCCAUACUCCAUGUGUCCUCUCUCCAACAAUUCAGUGGCCUUUCCAGUAUCCCUUGAUUCUACUUUUGAUUCUACAGUGAGCAUGCACGAUAGAUUCAAAUGGGCAUCCUCCAUUUUGUUCUGUCUAACCAUUCUAUGUUGCUUAUCUCCAAAUUGAUAUGAUAAUAUUUAGAAGCUUGCAGAAGGCCUAAAGCACCUGCAUGUACAAAAAUAUUUAGCAACAAUGGUUAAUCCUCAGGGGCAUAUUAGUCACCCGAUCAAGCCAGGCAAACACCCCAUGAAACUCUGCUUUCUUCUAUAAUGCUGCAGACAUUUGAAAUCAGCAACAACAAAAUCCAAGCAAGGUUGAACAGCUCCAAUCAGCAUUUCUCCAAGAGGAGGAUUCAUCAAAACAAGUAGAUCUAUAAGAAUCCCAAACAAUAACUACAAUGCAGCGCUGGGGAACUCCAGAGCUUCCAUCUGUUGAAAGUAAGCGAUAACAUUGCAUCACUUGAUUCCUUGAAGAAGUCCCAGAACCAAAUCCAACUAUACUGGGCACGACGAAUUGACACCCCAACCUAUGGUAAAAGCAAUAUAUCACACAAUCAAAUGCGUUUUAAAAUGUUUGUAACAAAAUAGGGGAAAGAGUGCGAGAGAUGGAGAAAUGUGUUGUGUUGGUUGUCCAUAGAAGACAGGCCUACCUUAAAUGGAAAUUAUCCACCAUGUCUGCUUCGAGUACUGAACUUACCCAAUAGGCAAAAUCUUAAAAACUCUAUACCGUCAGACUUUGAGUGUUACUGCUUGAAACUGGUGGAGUUCUCUCAUCAUCUAUAUAGUUGAGUUAUGAACUACAAAACAAUCACAACUUUCAUCUCUUGAUUUCCUUUAGAGAAAAUUAACUCUCCUUCAAGGACCACGGCACCCAUGCAAGGCUAAGUCCCUAACCAGAUAAGUGGAGCACCAUUCUUGUCAUUCUUCUCUACUAAACUACUUACAACUUGACGGGUUUGAAUAACAGGUUUAGGGAUGAAAUGAACAAUGUACUUGGAGUAUGAGCUUUGAAACUCAUAAUCAAGAGCAGACAAAUGCUCAGAUUAGCACAAGGGGGCAGAUAAGACAACUCAGAAAAUGAUGUUUCCGCAACAAAGAGUUUCAGUAUGGAAUAUUCACAAUGGGGUAGUACACGGAUAUAGGCGCCAAGAAAGAGGAGACCACAAGAUCUAACUAGAAAUAUACGCUGACAUCUUCGGAUGGAUAUGUGAAGAACCAUAUUUACUGGUAAGACGUUCAAACCCCUCAAUCAGAACCCUGAUAAACCAGCAUAUACACUCUGGAGUUGGAAAUUUCACCUCUGGUACAGAUACAACAGCCCUGCAGAAUACUGCCGAAACUCAAUAUUAACAUAAAAGAAAAACCCAAAGGAAUAAGCCCCCCCCGUAUGCUGCCCUAUCUUUCAAUGCAACCCAAUUAAGAACAAAGAAAAUUAUCUUAUGUAAUUUGUUAAAGCAGUCUCCUUAAAUUUUAACAAAUAUCCACAAGCCUCAAGCUGCAACCAAGCCGUAGACUCAACACAAGCUGUAAUGUUUUCCCGUCCUCAGUAACAGAAACUGAAAAGGCCGAUAAUUAAUAUCAGAAAAUAUAUCAGGUAAUACUUUCUUUUAUCAUUUGCAUUAUGAAAUCCAGAACUGGAAUCCUGAAAUAUUCCACUUGCACAGGUAGUUAACACCCCAAAACACUGAAGCCCUAUACUUUAAAGGCCCUAACGGUUAUCUAUAACGAGCUACUAUAGCUCAGUACCUGAAACAAAGGUCCAGAGGAAGGCCCCACAACAUUGACCUUGGUGUUUCUGGAUGAACAAGGGCUGCUUCAGAAACAAGAGGCUGAGGUACACCAAACGAGAUGCAUGGGCCAUAAAGAGGGGAUGAUGGCUGACAAUACUCACAACUUCACACGCCUAUUUCAGAAGCUUAUAUAGAACAACCACAACAAAAGGACCAAAUUGCCAUUCAUUUCACCCCACAAGCAUGAACUCUAUUUGCUAUCCAAUUACUAUAAAUCCUCGUCCAAAUAAAAAAAAGACCUACUAUAACCCAGUCACAUCACGUAUCCAUUUGGGUAUGUUAUUAUUCAACAGUUGGCUGAAAUCAAGUGGCAAGUAAUAGAGAGAUUUCACCGCCCUAAUUUUGUUUCUAGUUUCUCAACCAAAAAAAGUGCACCGUCAGUAAAAAGAAACAAAAAAGACCUUGUUGAGUAGAAUCACCUAUGAUACAAAACAAAUGCAUCAUGUUCCACAGCUACCCAUUUUCUAUUUUCCUCCUCUCCCUCUGUAAUACUAAUGAUGAAUCCACAAAUAAACGAAAUGUAUAAAUUACAAACAAAGAGUUAGACGUGGCUUCUUUCCCAAGGAAAACCAAUGGUCUCACAUAGCAUUUCAUCCUGGACAUAAAUUUCAUGCACGGAAAAGAUUAUCUACCAGAAGAAGUAACCAAGGCAGCCAUCACAUUUCUUUCAAAAAUUAGCUAAACCAAACAUAUCGAUUAUCGUCAUCAUCAUCAUCAGCAGCAACAACCAAAUUCGUCACACUCAACCAGUCAACAAUCAUCACAAAACCAACAACACAAAUUCAAACAGCACAAAAUAGAACAUAAAACCAUUCACCAAAUCAAAUCCACAGCAAUCCACGCAAUGCAUGAUGAACAAUACAGCAACAGAAAAAUGAAGCAUAAACACAAUUCAUUGAAAAUACGUUACUGCGAAAUCAAAAGCUCAGCAUUAACACCAUAACAUAUCACACACACCUAACGCUUAAGCACACAAACACAAACACACAGAAUUAAAAAACUGCAGCACCAAAUUACCUACGAUGUGAACAAUUAACGCAAAAUUAAAGCCAUUCCAAUCAAAACAGACUACUAAUUAUAUGGAUUUCUUAAAGAAUAACGAACUUUCAAUCGGGAACGACAAGCGGUGCAGUCGCCGAUCCGAAUCCGAUAACAAACGGCGGGAUCCUCUUGACAAUCCGGAGCUCCGGCUCGCCUUUAGAAACUAUGUGCGUGUGUGUACGUGAGAGAGAGAGGGAGAGAGAUACCGAUGUACAGAGUGCAGAGACGAAGAUGAGAGAGAGAAUUCGAAACGAAGCCGAAUUUAUAGCCUCCCUGAAGAUAUGAUCGUUUCCAGAGCCUUCGAAAACGAAAGCGUCAGGUCCACCGGUUUCUUUCUGUUGCUUCUCAAUUGACAGCUUGUGCAGUAAAUUGCCUGAAAAUAUCUCCGUUUUUUCUAAAUUAAGAUAAUCAGAUUUUAUCCGGAGCACUCGCGCCCAUUGUAUAACUGUGCGUAGCGUAAAUCUGGCGGUGUGGAUAUCUUGGUAUUAAAUCGGACGGGUCCAAAGAGAGAGAGUAUGUUAAUUAACGUGCAUACACAUGUAUUAGAAACCUUCGCUUUAAAUGUCGGUGACGUUGAAUAGUAUUAUGUUUCUUUCUUCUCGUUAGGAGAACUUGACCAUUCAACGGUCAUGAUCGAAGCGUACACGUCUGGUCUGGAAUUUAGAUUGAGCUAUAGCGCAACGACGACACGUGUUACUUAAAUUGGUCAAAAGUUCUGAUUGCAUGCCAAGUGUUAAGGCUGACGUGGAUGGAUUUGAUGAUAUUUAAAAAAAUAGUAAUUAAUUUAAGAAAAUCUCCAAAUUGAUGUUUAUCCAAUAAAAGGAAUAUUAUAUAGCAUUGAUUUGUAUAACUCCAUUAGACAUCGUGACAUGUUGGUGAGAUAAGUGAUCAUGCGAAUUGGGAGACCAUUAUGAUUUAGAACAUUUUAUGAUUUUAAGAAACUUUUUUGAACCAUUAGAUUAAUAUUUUCUUUGGACUCUUGUGGUCCAAGAGAUCAGGACUGUAAUGUUAUAAUAUUUAUUUCUCAUAGGAAUGCCAAGUUUCUUGGAAAUCAUUCUAAGCUCACCUUGACUUGCUCAACUGGAUCCAAACGUGAAUCCCUUUGAUGAAUUUCAAUUAUAUAUUUUGUGUUCCGUCUAGCUCAUCGUUGUGAAAUCAAAUAUACGAUUACAUGACCUAAUAUAGUUUUUUUAUUUUUUUAUUUUUAACAGUAAGAUUUGAAUUCAAGACUUCUAACUUUCUCAAUCGAUCUCAAUGCCUUAUGAAUGUGAAAUACUUUAAACUCAUUACACAUUGCGUCUAUUUGUUUUUUCAAGAAGAUGUGUAUUUUAUGGGUCUGUCAUGGUAUUGUGUUUAUAUUAUAAUAUGAAAUGAUCCUGGUAGUAUGAUUUGUAACUCAAUUUGAAACCCAAUAUUCUUCUAAAUUUUCAAUAUAACUAAAUUCAAAAUGAAAGACAAGUCCCAUUAACUUUGUGAUAGGUAGUAAAGAUAUGUUUCAAUCCAAUUCAAUUUGAGAUAUGUGAAAAUUGAAGUUAGAAAAGAAAACGUUAGGAAAUGAUAGUUACACUAAAAAAAUUGUUUGCGAGUAGAGUUACUUAUACUAACACUCCCUAAGGUUUUCAACUUUUUCACAAAACUCCUUAAGUUUUAGAAAUUACAUGAACACUCCAUGAGGUUUUAAAUUGUUUUCACAAAACUCAUUUUCAUUCAUUUUCCAUCCAAAGAUUGAUGAUUUUAUACAAAAAAUUCUCUAAAUGUCGAAGUAGGCCUUUGAGAUUAGAUUGCGUAUACUUCAUUAAGGUUAAUUUUGUCAUUUGUAUAUGUUAUUUUUAAUGAAAUCAUCAAUUUUUGAACAAACAAUCAACGAAAAUGGGUUUUAUAAAAACAAACUAAAACCUCAGGGGUGUUCAUGUAAUUUUUGAGACACGAGGGGGUUUUGUACAAACACAAAAAACCUCAGGGGGUGUUGAUAUAAAUAACUCUUGCGAGUAUGGAUAACUAACUUUAACUCAGUUGAUUAUUAGCCGUAUGUAGGUCUAAUAUGCGUAGUCAAAUUCUUAAUUAUGUCUCACUAAGGGUCUUUUACUAUCCCUCUUAAAAUUCUCUUAUAUCUGCAACUAACACUAACUAACUCAGUUGAUUACAUGCGUGUGGACAAUUAUCAGCCGUAUGUAGGUCUAAUAUGCGUAGUCAAAUUCUUAAUUAUGUCUCACUAAGGUGUCUUCUACUAUCCCUCUUAAAAUUCUAUUAUAUCUACAGCUAACACUAACUUUAAGUCAGACGUGCGUGUGAACAAUUAUCAACCGCAUAUAGGUCUAAUACGCGUAAUCAAAUUCUUAAUUAUGUCUCACUAAGGGUCCUUUACUAUCCCUCUUAAAAUUCUCUUAUAUCUGCAACUAACACCCUCAGGCCCCUAAAUUGGUGUGAAAAACUUGAUCAAGUCCAAGAUGAGAGAGUUAGAAUCGGAACCGUCCCAGAAAAAAACGGUGUUUCCCUUUGACUGGUUCCAUUUUAUACAGAUGUAAUAAGAAUCAUGCAUUCAUCGGUUCCAGCAAAAUCUCAACGUCCCUACCUGCCACUCCUCUGACAUACUUGUCUUGCACAGUGAACACAAUUGUUAUACACAAAGUUUUACAAAAACUCAGUGGCUCUGAGCUUUUACUGUGGAUUUUGAUCAUUUUCCCUCCCCAAAAUCUUCUCCUUUUCUCUCUUAAAAUGCUGAGCAAACCAAAACCAAGAAAUUGAAACCCCAUAGAUGUGAUCUCUUGUAUGUGAUGAAGAGAGAAAUUCAACACAUUUUUCUACCCUCUACUUUCUUGAUACUGAUCCUUUCCCUUGGCUCCACUGCCCAAAACCCUAAUGCAGGCCUGAGAGAGUUAAAACUUUCUCAUAUUAAUCAGAGGCAGCUCUUGUUCUACACUGACCAAGAUGGGUCAAGAGGGGAGCUUGUGGCAGUCCCAUCCUCCCUUGUUUUUCACAACCCAAGACUCAGGAGUGCCUACGUUGCCCUCCAGGCAUGGAAACAAGCCAUGCUCUCAGACCCUCUGGGCCAAACAUCCAACUGGGUUGGAUCCAAUGUCUGCAGCUACACUGGAGUCUUCUGCUCCCGAGCCCUAGAUGACCCGUCAGUCGAAACUGUGGCCGGCAUUGAUCUGAACCACGGCGGCAUUGCAGGGUACCUCCCUGAAGAGCUGGGUCUGCUCUCAGAUAUUGCAUUGUUCCACAUCAACUCCAAUCGGUUUUGCGGCAGUGUCCCGAAGAGUUUCAGCAAACUGAAGCUGCUUUUUGAGCUUGAUCUGAGCAACAACCGCUUUGCUGGGAAGUUCCCUCUUGUUGUUCUUCGACUGCCAAAGCUAAAAUUCCUGGACCUGCGAUUCAAUGAGUUUGAAGGUAAGGUCCCCAAGGAACUGUUUGAUAAAGAUCUAGAUGCAAUCUUCAUCAACCACAACAUGUUCUCCUUCGAAUUGCCAGAUAAUUUGGGGAACUCGCCAGUCUCAGUUAUUGUUCUUGCAAACAACAACUUCCAUGGGUGUGUGCCAGCCAGCCUUGGUAACAUGUCCAAGAAUUUGAACGAAGUGGUGCUCACAAACAACGGCUUCCACUCGUGCUUGCCAAAGGAAAUAGGGAUGCUGAAGGAUGUAACUGUGUUUGAUGUGAGCUAUAAUCGGAUUGUCGGUGAGUUGCCAGAGGCAGUGGGUGAAAUGGUGAGCUUGGAGAAGCUCAAUGUGGCUCAUAACAUGCUAAGAGGGAACAUACCUGAGAGCGUUUGUGAGCUUCAGAACCUGAGGAACUUUAGCUUUGAGCACAACUUCUUCACUAGUGAGCCACCAAUGUGUUUGAAAUUGGAGAAGUUUGAUGACAGCAAGAAUUGCUUGCGGCGUAGGCCAAAGCAGAGAACCAUGUUGCAUUGUAAAUUGGCCUUGUCUAAGGGUGUUCGUUGUAGUUCUUUUGGAUGCCGUCCUUCUGUUCCUCCCUCCCCAUCACCACCACCUCCACCACCACCAUCUCCAUCACCACCACCUCCAUCACCAUCACCACCACCUCCAUCGCCAUCACCUCCACCUCCUCCUCCUCCACCACCUCCACCUCCUCCUUUUCUAGUUCCUUCUUUUUUGGAAUUUUUGUACUUUUCUGGCAAGGUUUGUUCCUUUUAACACUUNNNNNNNNNNNNNNNNNNNNNNNNNNNNNNNNNNNNNNNNNNNNNNNNNNNNNNNNNNNNNNNNNNNNNNNNNNNNNNNNNNNNNNNNNNNNNNNNNNNNAUUAGCCAAUGUUGGUCUAGCAGCCUCAGAAGUUGCAACCCUCUAAUUCUCAUCCAUCGCCGCCUCCACCACCCAUUUAUUCUCCACCACCCGCUUCACCUUCUCCACCUCCAUCUCCGCCACCAUGUAUGAGACCUUCUCCACCUCCACCUUCACCGCCAGCUCCAGUGUAUGAUGGCCCGUUGCCACCAACUAUCGGUGUCUCCUAUGCCUCACCACCACCACCACUGUUUUAUUAGUGAUUCCUUCCAUUUCUUCUCCACCUUCCCAGACAGCUUAAGAGACUGAUACACUAGAGUGACUAAAGUCCCAUGACUUGGAAACGAAUUUCCAAAUUAAAAAUAAUUGCCACGAAUUCAUGAUCUCUACCACUGCAACCAGAGACGCAGGCAAUACAGAACAAGGUCAUCAAAUCAUGUUACAAGGUGAAGGUGAACACAAGAGGAACGAGACAGUGCAUAGUGAAGGUUUUUUCUUAAUUUUUUUAUUCAACCAAAAAAAAAAAAAACUCUAUUUAUUUACAUUGUUAUGGACUUGUCUUUAAAAGUAGAUAAUAAGUUGGAAGAUAAAGUACUAGGCUACUUGGAAUGUAAUUACAAAGCUCUCUAGAUUCUCACAUUUCUGUUAUAUUAAGAGCUUUCCCUUUGCUUAUUUUCAGAGCUAAAUGGUAAAUUAAAGCACACACUUCUACUCAAAUUGAAUACAAUAUGCAAUGCUGGAUUUCUUCCGGUCCCAAUUGAAAUCUCUUUCAACUAAAGAUCUUAGAACCAUUUAGCCAAACAAAGCUUGAAACCCUUGCAACUAAGUUCCAUCAGGUGACUAAAAUGGCCUCAAGCACAUUGAGUUCUCCAGUCAUAUUACUGGUUUAAACUGGUAAAAGGGCAAAAGGUAAAAUUCUACGUGUUGCCUUGAAACUUAAAUGGUCGACCAACCACCAAACAAAACAGUCAGGAGCGACUGAAUUCCUCCCCCAGUUUUUGUCACAUCCUCAUCUUUAAAGCGGCUCUCAUUCGCAAAGGACCCACUAGUGUAGUAGUUUGGAGUAUUUACUCCCUCAGGCAAGGUCCUGGGUUCGAGUCCUAGCAUCCGUGUUGUGUGUAUGAGUUUAAUAUGCUAUCGCCCCUUUUAAUAGGAAAGAUCCUCAAAAAAAAAAAAAAAAAAAAAAGCGGCUCUCUUUCUGCUGAUUUGUCCCAUCUGCUUGCUGUGAGAACAGACAAUUAAUGGAAAACUAACAAACUGAUAUCUAGUCCAGCAGAAAAACAAAACAAAGAAGAAAAAAAAAGGAAAAGAAAGCAAGGAUUAUAAAUGAAACGUAAAUCCUAGUUUCCUACGAAAAUAUGAACGUAAACAUUAGCCUUCUUUCUCUACCUCUUGAAGCAUUACAUGUUAAAGAAUUAUUUCAGAGUUUUUAAUGUAAAACAGUUAUAGAACUACCUGAGUCUUAAAAAGAUGAAUAUGUAAAGAGAAUCAAGGAUUUUUCUAGUUACUGAUAUUCAAGUUGGAAAUUUUUUUCUUACCUUCAACACGGUCUUCAAAAUUUUCAAAACUACACAUCACACCCUUACACCUGAUUGCUUCUUCCUGCAAACUGCACAGAGUUCACAAGUUGUGGCUAAAACUUUCUUUGAUGAACUUUUGAUAAAAAAUGGUCUUUAAAGUAUAAUUUAAAUAGCCAUUUUUUUACAGCCAACCCUGGAGAGAGGAAAUUCUUUUUCUGGAUUCUUUUCAAAUUUCAAGGUAUUGCUUACAAAUAUACCAUUUUGAAAAGUUAGGUCUCACUAUUACCUUCUACAAUGCUCUGCUUCAAUAUUUACGACUCUGAAUAAGAAAUUGUAAAAUCUGCGUUCCAUCUUUUGCUGCAGGAAGAAGAAAGUCAAGAAUCUUCAUUUUCACUUGAGAAAGGAAAAAUUCAAUGCAUAGUUUAAAUAAUAAUUGAAAUAUCAAACUACGUGAAAAGCCGAAUUUGAUUUAAAAAAUUAUUUUUCCUUGAUUUUAUUCUCAACAAACACAUGAGAAAUGAAGAAAAAGGAGAGCUGUAAUCAGAAGCAUGAAAGAUAUAAAUACCUCCAUAAUGCACGUCUGCAUCUGAGUGAAAGAGACAGGGAGAGUCAUGAAUACCAAAGCAUUUCAAAGCUCACUGAGGUACAGUCUGAACUGUACAUCAAGUCUUAACCAUGAGCCAGAUCAAAGAUCAUAACUUCAAGCCUCGUGCAUGUUUCCAUCUCCUUUUUGAUGGCCUAAUCAGUGGAGACGAGGAAAAAGUACAUUGUCUGCUACAUGAGAACUAAUCUCUGAAGGUAAAGGCUGGAGCAACCCACUAUUAGAUAAUACUUCCAAGCCUUUAAUGUCCUGUUGCAAGCGGGUUGCAUGUAAAAUGGCAUGGUCAAGAACUACAGGAUCAUCUGGGGGGUUUUGAAGAAGGGUAAGCAAGGCCUGCCGAUAAACUUGGGCAGACAAUAAUGGUCUUGCAACCUGCCGACUUUUACAUGUGAUUGCCACCUUGAUGACAUGCUUGCAGAGAUUUCCUAGCCUUGACCAAGGGCAAUCACACAAUGAGAACUCAGAACCAGGGUUCCAAAUAGUGUAUGCCAGGCUUCUGUCUGUUUGUGAGAUGACUUUUGCAUACUGGAGAUUUUGCUCAUCCAGUAUGACAUCAACAUUUAGGAUCUGCAAAGCCUGAUACCAAGCAUUUGUUGAGAAAGAUUUGUCCCUCAAGUUUUCAAAAUACCCAGUCUCUAUGCUAUAUUGGUCUAACCAAUAUGAAGAUUGAAAUUCAGUUGUAAGUGUGUGGAUUAACCAGUCAACUCUUGACCAAGAAUUAACAUAUUGUUCAUUGAAAAGCUUGGAUUUCAACCUUAGAUGAUAGGACUCGAUUGCAGCACUUGGCUCUGGACCAGCCACAGGAAGAGACCUUAUGCCAUUGGCCCACAACUCUGCACAACAAGAGCAUAUGCAAAUAUCAAUGUUUGAAAGAACAAUAUAACAAUGUUUGAAGCGGCCAUUGUGAUGGUUACAACAGCAAUCACAACCUCUAGCACAUCAACUGCAUUUUGUAACACUGAAGUUUGAAUAUUAAGAAUAUCACAUUUCAGGAUUCAUGUUUGUAAGUUAGACCACAUAGUUCACAUGUGUCACCUAACAACUAGGCUACACUAACCCUCCUCUCAAUGGGUUUGGGACCAGCUAUAUAAAGUACAAGGCAUGCAAAAUGAUAUCAAACGGAGCUUAAAGACAAAAGCCAAUACUCCAAUGAGGAGAAGACAUAGCUCAUUUGACGGAAACAGGUAUUCUGGCCUGGUAAGAGAAAAUAUGUCUUCUUUUUAUUUUAUGCAUUAAAGGUCUCAAUCAUAAAUGGGAAAAUACCUAUAUUUGGUAACCAUCGACUCUUAAAAUAAUCCAUAAAGGCACAUUGAUCAACAAAUACUUGCAUAAACUCCUCAACUGAAUCCAAAGUAUUUGGCCUUCUUGUGCAAUACAAAAGCCAGCCUAAGUGCUUAAACAUUUCUCGCUGCACAUCAAAGUUGCAGCAUGUCUUUAAAAGUCUUCUUAUCCAAGAAUGCCGAGCACGCCAGAUGCAUAAUAAGACCCGGCAUUGGAAAGCCUCUCUGCAAAUAAAGAAACAAUUGCAGCAAAAAUUCAAUUCAAUUUAUAAACGAAACUCUAAGACUAAACUACAUAGUCACACUAAUAUUAUUACCUUAUUAUAGAAAUUUCAAAGGAAGGAUCAUCCACUAAAAAGGCAUCGAGUCUCCAUCUUGGAUCCUUGGUUUGGAUUCUUUCAGCCAGUAGCCCAAUCCAUUUAUGGAUAUCUUGACUGACGAAAGACGAGGUAAUGACCCAAGCAACUGGUAUUGCAUCCCGUGAUGCGUUGAAAACAAGUAAUGUACACAAGGGAUACUGUUAAGAGAGGACAAAAACAAUAAGGAUACGAUAUCAUAAUUGUUUUGUUUAAUUCUUGAAGUCAAAAACAAUAAGGAAAAAAAAAAAACAAAAGCAUGAAAUAUCAAAUUCACAUAAGAAGCAAUCAUGAUACCUUAAGUUUCUUUAAGCCAAAUGUUGAAUGGAAAGCUAUGUAACCAUUAUGUCCAUAUUGGACCAACUGCUGCAGCUGCCAAUCUGUCUGCAUCCCCAAAACAAAUGGUUCUGAACCAGAGCUAUCUUGAAAAUAGAACACAUUCUUGCGAUGGCGUUGAACCCACAUCCUUAUACUGCAUUCAUCAUCUUCAUGCAACUCAUGAGAAGAAUUGCGAAUCACCCUUUCCAUGUUACGAACAUCAUUACGACUUAGAAAAUCAUCACGGUUAUGAGGUCCCCCAUGCCCCUCGACCAUCUCCAUGUGAUGCUGAACUAUACUGUCCAAAGGUAUUCCAACAUAAAGCAUAGACAUCACUUUCUGGCGUUGCUCCUCUGAAAUUCGUGGAGCAUACAUGGCUCUCGUUCCCAUAGCAUCCUGAUCAAGUAUACCAUGACAAGGUGAUCCUGAUUUGUCUACAUGAUUUCUCUGGUUAUAGAUGAUGAGAGCUAGGAGUGGCCGGGUAUAUAAGCGUUUUACAGUAAAAUGACAGAUGCAUCCCCUCAUCAUGUGACGCCUCCCAGGCCUGCUUCCCUUUCCGGAUGCAGGCUUUGUACUAGAACCAUCCACCAAACCAGAUUCAUUUUCUCGGUAAUCCUCAGGACCAUAAGAACACCAGUAUCUGAUGAAUAACCAUAUACAAAAUUAUGUCUCUCAAAUUUAAGUUGAAAAUCAUUUGAAUGCAUUUAAUUUAAUUGUUUAUGGAGCACAUUACAGUUACAUAUAUUCGCAAGUUUAAUUUAAUAGUUAUAUUCAUGAAUAUUAAUAAACUCUAAGUUAUGGCUAAUGAGCUUAAAUGUGAAAUGAAUUCCUAAUUUUCAAGGUGCGCAGAAACUAGUGAAUCAAGCAGUGAAACUCAGUCAAAGGUUCAAAAGGUCAAAAGGAGGUAUUUAAGACCAGAACUCCAUGAACCCCAACAAACACAGAAAAGAAAGGAAGGCCUAGUGGAUUCUGAAGAGCAAAGACAACACACAGUGUAUACUCAAGAUAGCCGUCAACCCUUGGCUUGCUGAUGCUGCCCUCAGGUCUCCUCCUUCUUGACUCAAUGCGGAAGCUAGCAGGGCAUUCUGCAUUUGAAGAUUCUCCUUUCACAAAAUCACCCACUCUAGCAAAUGGGAUUAGGGCAAUAUCAUCGCCACCUUGGCGACCGCCUUCUACUUUUACCCAUUUGAUAUGAGCCGCAGAAAACUCUGCACAUGGAGGAUCUUGUACUGGAAGGUUAAGAAUGUCCUCCAUUCUUGGAAUCUGUGAUCACAUAAAACCAAAUCAAACCUCUUCUAAUUUUUGUAGCACAAAAAUCCAAGCUAAGAUUUUGGAAUAAUUGGUCUGUGCUAAUCUCAUGCUGCCUUUUCUGCCUUAAAAAUCAAAUAAGGUUUCACUUACCAUUACAUAACACCAAGUUACCAACUUAAACAAGCAAAAUGCAAAGCUACUUGAGAUUGCAAAAUAAAAUGGUUGGAAUUUUAAGAUGACAGCACAGUAGGAACUUCAAAGAUUGCUCAGGUAAAAGAAAUUGAAUAAAAUUUACCUUGUGUUCAUGGCCCUUCAUGCUUCUCCUUCUCCACUAGCUCAAAAAGUGUAAAUUCUGAAACUUUUAUACUGCAAAUGAAUUAUCAAGUUAAGAUUUACAUAAAAACUAAAAUAAUAAUCAACAAAAAAUUCCAGAGAGUCCUGGAAAGAGGAAAACCAAGGAGCAGCUGAGAAAAAUGCAAAAAGAUCAACACAAAGAAAAUCCAUGUGAAAAAAAAAAAGAGUAAAAAAGAAAUAAGUAAAGCUAAGGAAAACAGAUAGUAAGAUUGAGGAGGGAUAUCUACCUCUAGAGGCUGCCAUUUGAAUGGAAAGCCAUGGAAGAGUGAUUUGAGGUCUUCGAAGUUUCAGUGGAGCGUUGGAGUUUUUGCCUUCUGGUGAUCACUGUGUAUCGGACAAAGCUAUUAAUUUACCAAAAUGACCUCAGUUCUUCUCUCGUUCUUUUCUUUUUGGGCUCGCAAAAUGGGUCCAACCCAAACCAUAUGCUUGGAUCAGAUGUAUGUUUGGGCCAGAUCAAAAAUAUGGGCCCAUCUUUUCUAGCCUAGCCCAGCUCAUAUGGAAAUGUUAAUUCCAGCCCAACCGAGCCUCACACUCAAAAGUUGGCUCCUACUUAUAAUAUUUCCUUUUUAGGUUUUAAAGAAGAGGGCAGUGCUUAGGGCAAUCUCCUGCACGCGCCAGGAGACUGACGAUCAUUGAUGUAAAUGAAUUUCAUAAUAGUACAUACAUAUAUUAACAGCUGAAAGUUAUUCACACGCUGGUUAGUUAUUGUCUUUAGCAUUUCUUAAAGAUAAAAGAAAGGUCCAUACAGUGAAAAGUUUUAUAAUUAUACUUGGUAGCGUCAUUAUCAUUCAUGUCAAAGUUUGAUUCUCGUUCUUCUCAUCUUUGAAAUAAAAUAUAAAAUAAAAAUUAAGGACCCGCAUGAAUGGUUGUCCAUGCAGCUCUACACCUUGUACGGCUUCCACGGCUCUAAAAAGUUUGCAUUACUUCACUACUUUUUUAAAGAGUGUUGCUAAAUGAACCCUAAAAUUAUCUUAGUACACCUUAUGAUCUGAGUAUACCCUAAUAUUUAAAUUAAAAUGUAGAAUUAACUAAGUACACCCUAUUUAACUACCAAAAUACCCCUGAUACACCCUAAUACACCACACCACCAAAUUUGUCCAAUUACAUCCCAUGGCUUUUUGCUCUGAAACUAUGAAUGCACUGGAGUUGCACCAUGGGAGGAAUUGUUGCAUUUAGCUCAUAGUCGUAGCACCAACGGCCAUAAUUUAGACUUUAUAAGUGACUAUCAUGAUCCCCACUGAGAUCUGUCUAAAAGUUGGAAGGUUUCAGACUUCCAGCAAUACUACUUGACAUUGGAUGACCAGAAUAAUGAGGAUGGAAGUCUUCAGAGGCACCGCAGUAGAAAUCAACCAUGAAAGAUGGUGCUUAUAUCCAACAGAAGACAAAACCUCCUGAUUACAACCCAACUGAUUCUCAUCAUGGUUACCAACCAAAUUAUCAGUCGAACCAAAGCUUUAUGGCAGUUGCUGAUCUUGAUUUCCAUUUCUAAUGUCCCCAUUUCCAGUUGAUGAGUGAGAGAAAUACAUAUGAGGUGCAUGAUGGGAUUUACCUAAAGGUUCUAUACUCACUUCGCCAUUGGAAGGGGAAGAUUUUGAGCAUCAUGUGAAAUUGCGAGACCUUGAAAUCUAGAGGUAUGGAAAGAUCUUUUGCAUCCCCAUAAGACGGUAUUCUAAAACAGCAAUUCCAUUUGGGGAAUUUUCAUCUUCCGAGAACAUUGGUGGGGAUGCCACCUUCACAACGUUUUCAUGUGGUCCAUUCACACAUUGACAAGGUAUCUGAACAUUUGUAACUUCACCAAAGUCUCCAAAGCAUAUGUAGAAAUCAAACCAUGAUAGGUAACAAGAAGUAGAGUUUUUCGCUUUCCUUCGAUAAAGGUUGAAUAUUGUGAGUAGAGUGUACUUAUUAAAAGUAUAUUUGUUUCACAAUUUAAUAUAUCCUUUUUGGUCAUUUUAUAUUAGGGUAAAUUAGUAAUUCAAUAAAUAGUUUGGUAGUAUGGUGUACUCAGUUAAUUUUAGGGUUCGUUUAACAGCACUCUUUUUACACCACCAUUUCUUUCCAAAAAGGGAUAAUGCGUCGUCCAGCAAAACGAAAGUAAAUCCAACAUUAUUAAUGUCCAAUAAGCAUUCCAUCCAAUUAAUCCAACACCAAUAAUUCCACCUAUAAUCCUAUUUGCUAGGAUGACCUUUUAGCACUCAAUUAGGUGAGAUAGUGAAGGUAGAUUCAAAACACCAAAAUUAACAAAUGUUCUGAUUGUGUUUGUCUCUUUGUAUGUGUGACACACUUUGAAACUUUUUGUGUGAAAUGAGUCAAAUGACGUGAUAAGAUAGGAGAAACAAAAAAAAAAAAAUUUUGAUUGUAUGCGGGUCAUUGGGUAUGAUACAAGCGGUAAUCUAAACCACUUUCAACUAUUAUAAUCCAAAAUAAAAGGAAUUCGAAUUGCUCUGUUUAACUGUUAUAACUUAUAACCCACAUAUACAUCCUAUUGCAUUUUUGUCGAUAGAAUGAGAUUGUACCCUAAAUUGCAUUUUCGUCAUUGAUCUCCAAAAAUAGGGCCCACUAAAUUUAAAAAUCGUAUAUUUAAAUAAAGAAAAUAUUCACUACCACAUAAAUCAUGUUAAGGCUUGUUAUUAUUUUAAACCUCUAAUCCCUAAUCAGAGAAGUGUGUUUAGACUGCAUGACAUGAUACAGAUGUGUGUAGACGUAUUUUUACACCUCAAUAUCUUUCAAUUUUUAUUGUACUUCAGGUUCUUUUCUUUUCUUUCAUUAGGGUUUUUAAAAAAAAUUUUAGGGUUUUUUUAAGUAGGUUAUGCACGUACAAAUAUUCUACUUGAAGUUGAUUGAAGCAAUCAUCACUGUCAUUAGGGCUUUUUAUUGCAUUAUUUAAAUACAGUUAAUAAUCAAUUUGGCUCAUCCUACUAGAACUUGAUAGAAGAAAUCAUCAUUAAUUAUAAGAUUAGUUGUGCUAACCCACCCAAGUACAACUUCAUUUUCUUUUUUUUUUUCUUUUUUUCACAAAACAAGCAGCAGAAUUUAGACUCGCAGAGGCACGCAGGCCCAAACAUAUCCAAGUAAUUUAUACUAGCCUCUCUCCACGCGCUUCUGCGCCUGCGAGAGGCUUUUUUUAAAAAAAUUUAAAUUUAUUUUAGAAUUAAAAAAGAUAAUGAAUAGUUGUGUUCUAUAAAAAUAAGAUCCAUUAUCUGAAUUUUCUUUUAAUUUUAAUUUUUUUAAUAUGAAAAUUUGUGAAUUUACCAUAUUAUCCUCAUUUAAUUAAUAAUUUUAAUUCUUAAUGUUUGCAUUAACCAAGAGCAUUUUCUAGUAUUUUGAAUGUUUCACCAUUUUCUGCCUUUUGCUUUAUAUAUAUAGAUAAUACUAAAUAUUGUAGAAGUAAAAGAAUAUUUUAAACAAAAAAGGAACGUAUACAAUGCUUCACAAAUGAUCUCUGAUAAAAGACUUUAUGCUAGCUGUUUGUUCCAACAUGAUCAUUUUGAAAAGGCAAAAAAAAAAUGAUGAAAUAGAUGUCAACCAAAAAAUUCUAACCAUUACUGAUUUGCUGGUGUAGGUUGUUCUUUGGGGUUUUUCCCCCCUUUGUCGUCAUUUUAAAAAAAAAAAAGAAAAAAAAAAGUCUAACAAAUGGUUAAUUGAUUUUCCAGUUUCGUGUAGGCCAGAGAUUUUCUUGUAGAAUGAUUCUUUUGCCAUCACCAUUGCGAGAAAAACUUUUCUGGCACGGAGAUGCCAGGUAAGCAAUUCAGUUAAGUAUUUUUUUUGUUUAUCAAUAGUUUAGAGCAUUAUUUAUUAUAAUUAGGGAUGGCCCUGGCAUGGUGCAAGUGGCGCUACUGCACAGACCUCCAAUUUUGAGGGCUCCCGAAAUUUUUUUACUUUAUAAAAACUUUAUAUAUACUCAAGCGUGCAACACAUUGACACAAAAGUAUAUUUGAUGGAGAUGGUUUCUAGUGCAUAUCUCUUAAUACAAGGACUAGGUUCUAGUCUUAAUGAUGUCAUUCUAUUCAUAUUUUUAUUCCUUUUUCAUUAUAACAACAAAAUUUAAAUAAUUAAAAAAAAAAUAAAGGGGAAAGAUCCAACUAAACUAACAAUAGUAUAUCACACCCAUAUGAUUUCUACUUAAAAAAAAAGUACUUUCUUCCACUCAAAACAAAAAUUCAUGCCUUCUUUUUUCUCUUUAACUCUUAUUAACAUUUAUGAAUUUAUCAAAUGAAAAUAUUAAAAAAUUUAUGACUUUGAUUUGUGAUUGUUAUUACAUGUUAAGUGGUGAUGAAUUUUAGUUAUUAAAAAAUUAUUUUAUGACAUUAAGUAAUGACAAUUUUUUUUAAAAUAUUUUAAUAUUAGAUUAUGUGAAGACUCCAGUUGAAGUUUUGCACAGGGCCCUCAAAAUCUCAGGACCGGCCUUGAUUACAAUUAGGCCUUUACAUGGGCCUCUACUGUACCCUUUUGAGUGCUUGUUGGUGAAGAGCCACAUCAUCAGGAUUGGUACGCUUGCAGGGACGGAGGCUAUCGAUUUCCUACCAUAUUAAAUGUUAUUUUCAUAGAAAACAGUCACAGGCUCACCAUUUGGAAAGGUGGUAACCAACUAAUGACGGAGUUGGUACAACUUGGAGCUAUUUUGAGUGACGGCAUAGGUUUUCCGAGUUGCUUCCCACACCACACAAGCAGUUGGGCAGUGAUCAAAUAAGACACGUACAUUCUUAGUCAUGGAGUUAAGGAGCCAUGACUGCACCAAAAAAUUGUCUUCAUCCCAAGCGUCAUAGCUAGAGUCAUUAAUGGCAGGGACAAUGUUUUUACCAUUGAUGAAACCAGCCAUACGACGAGUAGUAAUGGCCAAACGAACACUACGAGACCACGCAGAGUAGUUGGACCCAUAUGCUAAUCUGGAGUAAUUUGAGAGGAGUAGUUGUGAGAGGAACAGACUGGUGGAGUUGAGGAGUUAGCCUUAGUGGAGUCGGCCGUGGUGGAGUCAAUGUUGGUUGAGUCGUUGGUGUCACCCAUGAGAGAAGUAGGUAAAUAAAUAGAGCUGAAGAUAGCUAGAACACAGCAAACAAGAGCAACAAGUGCACAACCAAGCAAAGCAAAUAAGAGCACAAAUAAGGAUUAUUGUCACAACAAAGACAAGGGUAGAGGUAGGGACAAUGUAGUAGCAAAGUAAUCGCAAGGUUAAGUAGAGACAAGACAAGAACAAGGUUAUGCAGAGGCAACCAAAAUUGAUUCCUCUAAGAGCAGUUCCACCGGGAUGACUGAGCCCAAGGCUGGGGGGGGGGGGGGGCCGAAAAAAAAUUCGUUCCAACGGGGAGCCCAGGCCCGGGUUGCGUGUGGGACCCACCAACUCGGGCUGGCCCUCGGGCUAGUUUAGCCCGCGUGCAAAACCCAGGCUGAUGACGUCACGGCUUGCGUCAGCGUGAUGUCAUCGCCCGGUAUUAAAUUUUUUUUUUUAAAAUCGAUUUUUUUUUAAAAAAUUCUAAAAAAGUCAGAUUUUUUCUUCUAUAAAUACCUAUCAAUACCCUUCACUUUCAACACCAAUCCUCAUACAUUUUCUUUGUCCUUUUACUUUCAUUUAUUUUUAUAUUACUCCAUUUACUUAAGUUUACAAUGUAAAUAAGGAAGUGCCCCCCAUUUGGAUUCAAAUAAAAAUACUAGAAAAUCAAAUUCCCACUAAAUCAAAAUAUGAAAAAUCGGUUUUAGUGCAAAAUACGAUUUAGGCUAAAAAUGAUGGCUCAUUAAGUCAAUAUAUACUUCAUAUUAAAAUCCCAUAAAAUCAAGUUUUCUUAUUUGAUGUGUAAGGAAUAAAAGCCGCCAAAAAAUUAUCUUGAGAAAAUGAUUAUUCCGAAAAACCAUUUUUCAUACUUAGCCAAUAUUGCACCUCCGCUACAAAAAUUAUGGGUCCGCCCGUGUCUAUAAAUACCAACCAAUACUCUUCACUUUUAACACCAAAUCCUCAUACUUUUUUUUUCUAUAAAUACCAACUAAUACAACUAAUAAAAUAAAAUCUUAUCUGAUAUGAAUAGUAUUGACACGUAGGAACCCAAAAAUCAUAUCCGAAAAUAUUAUCCAAAUUAAUUAUUUAAGUAAAAAAAAGUUGUGAAAAAACAAAAAAAUGAAUAGUAAUUGCCCUUAGCCAUGGCAAUGGGUGAAAACACAAAAUACUAUUUGCAUGGGCAACCACUAUUCACGUGAAUAGUGGCUGCCCUAGCUCCACCCUUGCCAUGACUAAGGGCAAAUGGGUGAAGUUGCUCUAAUACCAUGCAAGAAUAAAAGUAUGAGAAGAAAGGUUUUCCAGUUACAAUUCUAUUUCUCUUCGUAUUAUAUACAACAUAACUUAUACAAGGGGAAGGCUUGCUAAUCAAGCUCUGUAAUGACUUGUUACAGAAGACUGAAAAGAAGUCAUUUUGGAAAGAGGUCAUUUUUGGACGAAAAUAUCAUCUUAUUUCCUAGAGAAAAGGAAGGUACACCUGGCUCAACUCAAUGGCCUCCAAUUUGCACCAUAGCAGGUAACAUUUCUUGUGUUUGUAAUGUGUUUCAUAGGCUCAGCUCAAUGGCCUCCAUUUAUAUUUGUUGAUUAGUUUUCUCCAAUAUCUUAAUUGACUCCCAUUCACUUUGAUAUAUUUAUAAUAUUUAACAAACCAAAUUUACAGGAUGCAAUGUUCACAACACAAACAUUUUUCUAUAUAAACUAUCCAUGCGUUUGAAAAUUAUCACAAAAUUCUAGUGAGAAAAUAAGACACAAGAAAUUUAUUCAAAACUUUAGCCAGGUUUCAAAAUUAUCACAAAAUCUUCGUGAAAUUUGUUGGAAUUUUGAGCACUUGUUCCCAAACAAAAUUUUUGAAACCAUAAGGAUAGCAGAUCAAUUUUGAAGUGGUAAUAAUGUAUUAAUAUAGUUUUGUUAGAACUUUAACAUUGCCAUUUACCUAACUGUGGCUAACUACUCAUUGUGACAAUAAGCUAACUGUGGCUAAUUAUUUCCCUUUGGUCCUGUUUGGUGGGCUGGACUGGAUGAGACUUUUUAAAUUAAAAUGGACAUGAGUCCUGUCUGUUGUUUGGUGGGCUUAAUUACAUCACACACUGGCUUGAACUUAAAUUUCUGUUUAGGAUAUGAAUCCAGCAUAUGCUGGAUAACAAAACCCAAGGUGAGACAUGGGUUUCGAAGCUGUUUUCUUAGUCUUCUCGUCUUCUCUCUCUCUCUCUCUCUCUCUCUCUCUCUCUCUCUCUCUCUCGCUCCCCCAAUUCAUCAGCCCAAUCUCGCUCAUCUCCUUGUUCCACCGCCUUUGACCUUUCUCUAGAGUUAUGGCCUCUGACGAUAAGCUCUCUCCUACGACCGUCUAAUGACAUUGUCGUUGGGUUGAUCCAGCUGACCGCCUACUCAAACCCUCCAUGGCCAUGGAGUCAUUUUAUAGUGAGGGUCUUAUUUAAAGCCUUUAGAUAAGGUCAUAUUUCUCAAUCGUUGGAUCAAACUAACCAAUUUAAUUGAACGGUUAAGCAUUAAUGUGCUUAACUAUCACUUAAACUACAAACUUCUCUGAAUAAUUCAUUUACAUUUUAGACUAGGAUGAUUAGACAUAGUCAAAUUCAAGUUAUUUUUAGACGACCAAACAAGUGACUAGGAUUGUGAAUCCUUUGCCAGACAUGUAGCUUCAAUAUUCAUAACAUAACACAAUCAAAGUUUAGUGACCAUUAAUAGUCUAAUAAUAGCAUCAUAAUCAGAUAACUUCUAAAACUUUUUCUAAGAGGUCCAAAUGGUUGGUUGCUUCUAGAAGACCUAGUUCUAGUUGUGCUGGGUAGCCAUUGUUAGCGUGACUUGUGGAUAUUGACUUACUUUCCUUACACACCAAGAAUUCCUAUUAUAAUUGUAAUUGAUUUACUUUAAUUAUUGAUUUCCUACUGUAAAUAGAUUUAGGAAUUUACUAUUUACUUGCCCAUUCAGGUUUCGUUGUAUUAUAAAUAUGACUUCCUACAAGGAGAAGAAUACACAGAAAAUUCCCACAAACAAAUAUUCUCUCAUAGUUUUUAUAUUUUAGCAUGGUAUCAGAGCGGCGAUCUUGGAAUUGCUGACUCUAAUUUCAAACCCCCGCCGCUGUUAUGGGGGUUGAUGAUUUUUUCAACCCUCAUGGAGGUAGCACCACCGACUCCUUCUCUCAUUCUCAACCAACCAUCGUUGAGUUGAGUGCCCAGAUGGCUCCGCUCCUACAAAUGCAGACUUUGACCCCGAACCCGAUCCAGAAUCAGGAUCCUCUUUUGACGACCCCGACCCCGACCCCGACUAUGACGACGACGACCCCAACCCCCAUUCCGAUGAUGACCCCAACCCCGAAUUUGUCUCUGAUUCAGCCCCUGAUCCUGAUUUCGACUCCGACUCCGGCCCCGACUCAGGCUCAGAUUCCAAUCCAAAUUCCUACUCAAUCUGUAUCCUAUGCAUCUUCCGCUGCCCAGAUUAUGACUUCUAGACUAACGACCCCGACACAUGGACCAAAUUGCGCAUAUUGUGGUGAUCCGAGACACACUUGUGAGCCUUGUUUUAAAACGCAUGGCUAUCCCAAUUGGUAGGCUACUCUUACAGAUCGAGGACAAUGCAAUAUGACCAGUAAUGAUACUGGUUAUGGAUUCCAUACUUUCGAUAAGAUUGAUUCCAGGAGCUGGAUAAUUGAUUCCGGUGCAACUGAUCAUAUGACGUUUGAUCCUGAUGAUUUUCUGAAUUCUACACAACCUCGACGAACCUGUAUUGCAAAUGCCAAUGGUGUUACUUAUCCUAUGACAGGGGCUGGCACUGUUGCACUCUCAUCCUCUCUCACAUUGUCUAAUACUUUACUUGUUCCAUCUUUAUCCACUAAAUUAUUGUCAGUUAGUCAGCUUACUGAACAAUUGAAUUGUUGUGUACUCAUUUACCCAAGUUUUUAUUUGCUUCAGGAUAUUCACACUAAGAAGAUUCUUGGUCGUGGUACUAAGAGAAGGGGGCUAUAUUAUGUCGAUGACUUCAGUCCCGGCGUGGCUAACAGUGUGACACAUCCCUUUGAUAGCAAACAAAAGCAAAUCUGGUUGUGGUACCGUCGAUUGGGACAUUCAUCUUUUAGUUAUAUGAAGCAUCUUAUACCAAAUUUAUUCUCAGGUUUCAAGGACUCCGACUUCACAUGUGAUACUUGUAUUUUGGCCAAGAGUCACCGUGUGCCAUACUCGUUGAGUACGAACAAGUGUACUACUCCAUUUAUGUUAAUUCACUCUGAUGUCUGGGGACCUUCUCCUAUCACUGCUCAUUCUGGUGUUUGAUGGUUUGUCACAUUCAUCGAUGAUUGUACACGGAUGACAUGGCUUUAUUUGAUGAAGAAUAAAAACGAAGUGUUUUCCCAUUUUCAGUCCUUCUACAAACAGAUGAAAACUCAGUUUAAUGCUCAAAUCCAGAUUCUUCGCUCAGACAAUGGUGGAGAAUUUGUCAAUCAUGACUUUCAGACUUACUUCCAACAACAUGGAAUUAUCCAUAAGACGACUUGUCCUCAGACACCGCAACAAAAUGGUGUUGCUGAAUGAAAGAAUCGACAUCUUCUUGAAACCGCCCGAGCACUUCUGAUUGGCACUCAUGUUUCUCGCCAUCACUGGGAUGAUGCUAUUGUCACCGCAGUUCAUCUGAUCAACUGCAUGCCUUCUGGUGUACUGACCUUUAAAACUCCCUUACAGGUGCUUGCACAACACAGACCUAUGCCUUCUGUUUUGGUACGCAUAACCCGAAUCUUUGGAUGUAUGGCUUUCGUUCAUCUCCACAAAAGUCAAUGUAGCAAACUUGAUCCAUGUGCACUUCGUUGUGUUUUUGUGGGUUAUGCCACUCAUCAGAAAGGCUACCACUGUUAUCACCCUCCUACCCAACGAACCUAUGUCACUUUGGAUGUGACCUUUCUGGAAUCUGAGCUAUUCUUCCAUGACCCAUCAUCCAAUUCUACGCUUCAGGGGGAGAUACGAAGUGAAGAGCAGAAUUGGAGCAACUUGAAAAAUAAAGAAAUUCUCCUCUGUACAGAAAUGAUUGAUCAUCCCGAGUUUGGAGCACGAGAUUACUCUCUGUCAAAAAGCGACUAAUCGUCCAUUCAUAGCGAUCAAUUGCCUGACCCACCUGAUCCAUGCGAAGAUAUUUCUGAUCCGAGUCUCACACCUACAGACAAUACAGAACAACAAGAUGAAGAACCCCCCUCUAACUCAAUAGUACAAACAGACCAAUCUCCUGAAAAUAUCCUUGAGGUAACUACUCCUACUAGACUUGUGCAUUUAGAUGAUAAAACUAUUGGAUAUCAAUUACCUUUCAGGCAAAAUCGUGGGAAGCCACCAAACCGUUAUUCACCUGAUAUUGGCAAGACAUCCAAGUAUCCAAUUGCAAAUCAUGUAUCCACUGAGAAGCUGUCUGAACCACUCAAGGCUUUUGUGCAUCAGUUGUCUACUAUCCAUAUUCCAACCAAGGUCUCUGAAGCAUUGAAAGAUCCUAAGUGGGUCCAAGCUAUAAAAGAGGAGAUGAAAGCCCUUGAGAAAAAUCAGACUUGGACAUUGGAGACUAUACCUCGAGGAAAAAAACUAUCGGAUGUAGAUGGGUGUUUACUAUAAAACACAAUGCAGAUGGAUCUAUCAAGUGAUACAAGGCAAGACUUGUGGCAAAAGGGUAUACACAGACCUAUGAUAUAGACUAUGAAGAAACCUUUGCUCCAGUUGCAAAGUUAAACACCGUCAGAGUCUUAUUGUCCCUUGAAGCUAAUUUGGAUUGGCCACUACACCAGUUUGAUGUAAAUAAUGCUUUUCUGCAUGGCGAACUCACGGAGGAGGUGUACAUGGACAUUCCUCUUGGAUAUAAUACUACUCAGACUGGAACAGUUUGCAGGUUACGAAAAGCAUUGUAUGGAUUGAAACAGUCACCACGUGCAUGGUUUGGACGGUUCACCAUGGCAAUGAAGAACAACGGUUUCAAACAGUGCAACUCAGAUCAUACUCUGUUCUUGAAACAUAGAAAAGGGAAGGUAACAACAUUAAUAAUCUAUGUUGAUGAUAUGAUUAUUACUGGGAAUGAUAAACAGGAAAUAUCACAGCCACAAGACUAUCUGGCUACGAAGUUUGAGAUGAAGGAUCUAGGUGGACUCAAGUAUUUCUUGGGAAUUGAGGUGGCUAGAUUGCAGCAAGGCAUAUUUCUCUCUCAAAGGAAAUAUGUCUUAGACUUGUUGACAGACACAGGAAUGCUAGAUUGUAAACCUGCGGACACUCCUAUUGUUCAGAAUCAUCAUCUUGGAGAAUAUUUGGAUCAAGUUCCAACUAACAAAGAAAGAUGCCAAAGGUUAGUGGGAAGAUUGAUCUAUUUGUCACAUACUCGACCAGACAUUGCUUAUGCGGUGAGCGUUGUCAGUCAAUUUAUGCACUCUCUAAAUGAAGACCACAUGAAUGCAGUUCUUCGGAUACUUAGAUAUUUGAAGUCUGCACCUGGAAAAGGAUUUAUGUUCUCAAAGCAUGGUCAUUUAAAUAUUGAUGGUUAUUCAGAUGCAGAUUGGGCAGGUAAUAUAACAGAUAGAAAAUCCACAUCGGGUUACUUCACAUUCGUAGAAGGUAAUUUGGUGACAUGGAGAAAUAAGAAACAGAAUGUAGUAGCUUUAUCCAGUGCAGAAGCCGAGUUCAGAGGCAUGACUAAAGGGAUUUGUGAACUUCUUUGAUUAAGAAAGUUGCUUACUGAACUUGGGUAUAAACCUAUAUCUACAAUGAAUCUCUUUUGUGACAACAAGGCUGCUAUAGCCAUUGCACAGAAUCCGGUUCAACAUGAUCGUACUAAACAUGUUGAGGUGGAUCAACACUUCAUCAAACAGAAGCUUGAGGGUAAAGUGUUUCAGUUUCCUUUUGUGAAAUCUGAGGAUCAAUUGGCGGAUAUUUUGACAAAGGCAAUUUCCAGUAAAGCAUUCCACAAUUCACUAGAUCAGUUGGGCAUUGACGACAUCUAUGCACCAACGUGAGGGGAACUGUUGGCGUGACUUGUGGAUAUUGACUUACUUUCCUUACACACCAAGAAUUCCUAUUAUAAUUGUAAUUGAUUUACUUUAAUUACUGAUUUCCUACUGUAAAUAGAUUUAGGAAUUUAUUAUUUACUUGUCCAUUCAGGUUUCGUUGUAUUAUAAAUAUGACAUCCUACAAAGAGAAGAAUACACAAAAAAUUCCCACAAACAAAUAUUCUCUCAUAAUUUUCAUAUUUUAGCAGCUAUUAGGUCAUGCAAAGAAACCAAAGCCAUAGCAAUCAAAAUCCUCAUCAAGUAUCAAAAGCCCAGUUGAACUUCUACAUGUGUUGGUAGGCGUAGCCUCAAAAGAAACCCACUCAUAGAUUAUUAUUAUUAUUUUUUUGGGGUAAGUGGGGGCCUAAAAGUCCAAACCAAAUCGAUUACAAAAUAACAGAACGAGGCCUCACAGUGCCCCUGAUAUCCGCAGCAAGGAUAUCUUCAAAGAAGUCAGGAACCUCAUCAUAAACAUGGAGACCAGAGCCAAAAUUAUAACUUCUGGUAGCCGAAGCAUCAGCAGCUACUACAACCCACUCAUAGACUUUUGACUUUGGGAAAAGGAUGCUAAUUAUAAGGCUGUCGUUAUCAUAUCCUCCAUUGUACACAACAUCAAGAUUUCGAUUCUCAAAUUGAUAAGUAUAGUAUGAUAUCAUAAUUGAUGUUCGUUCACAUCAUUAAUUUAUCUUAAGAUAUAUUAUUUUAUUGGUGACAACCAUUCUAAUUUAUUUUAGUCUUUAUUUUGUUUGAUCCCACUUGGAUCAUCCUAAAACAUAAAAAUAAAUAAAUAAAUAAAUAAAUACAUAUAUAUAUAUAUAUAUAUAUAUAUAACUACCAAGUCUAUAGGUUUGGCCUGUUUUUGGCCGAGAUAUUUGAAUUUGCAGUUGCUUUGCUUUAUGAAUUUUGAUGUUCAUGAUUUUUUUAAUUAAUUUAUCAAAAUGAUAUUUUAAAUUACUAAAAUUUACGGAAAAAGAGAUUUAAACUCGGUUGGAAAAUAGUAGGCACACUAUAGUGCCUACUAUAGAGAUAUAAAAGAACUCCAAAGAAUUAGAAGAACUGGGCUUUAGGCUGAGUUGGUUAAUGCUUUUUUUAGGUCAUUUAGUGGGCUAAGUUGAAUUGUGAUGGGGCUACAAGUUCUUAAAAAAUAUUAUAAUUGGCUGAAUUAGUUAAACAAUUAGGUGGUUAAAUUUAAAAUUUUACAUCCAAGUGGGUUCGAUAUUGCUCUAACUAACUAACUGCCCUAACUCACAUAUGCAAUUUCGAUUUUAUUUAAAAGCCUAAAAUCAUAACAAAUCACUUUCUACUUUGUGACAUAACCCUGUCACACUAACCAAUGAAACCCUAUUUCAGAUUUCUAAUCAUGACUUUUAUAACAUCAAAUUAUGUGGCGUGAUUAGUAAAUAAUGAUAUUAAUUUACUAUAUUCAGUAAUAAAUGGUACUAAAAAUCAAACUUCUAAAUAAAACUUAAGACUUUUUUUUCCUUGCUUUUUUGUUUCAUGAAAGCUAUAGAUUGAAAACAAUGGAAAACCGCUUUUUCUUUUCAGCCUUUAUCAGUUUAAUGGGUAAUGCUAGGCUUACCACAUUUUUAUACCAUAUUGUGUAUCACCUCUCUAAUAGAGAUGGAGCCCACUAAUACAAUGAGUCUCACUUAUAUUAGAGAGAUGGUACAUAAUGUAGUAUGAAAAAUGUGGUAAGCCUCACAUUUUUCAUAAAUUCUCGAUGAAACCAAAGUGUGAAUGAUGAUUAGAGUCGUGAGACAAAACGCUUGAGAAUGACUAUAAAAAGAAAAAAAAAAAGAAAAAAAAAGAGAGAAAACUAUUUUUCUCAAAUUUGUUUUUUAUUUUCCAAAUCCCGCGCAUAUUUUCCAUUGAUGUUAGUGUUCAAAGGUCCAAUUGCAUUUUCAGGUUAAAAAACUAUGGUCUUUAACAUGAGAACAUUUGUGUGAAACGGGGAUAACACUGUUUUAUUAUCUCUGGCUAAUCACAGUAUGUCACUCGUGAUAAUUUUUUUACAUGACAGUCUAUGAUUGACCAGGAAUAACAAAACAUACUAUUCCCAUUUCAUCACCAAGUUUUUCUGCCUCGGCAGGUGACAGAAUCAAUGCCAAGUCUGAUAGAGAUUCUGUGGGCCACAAUCAUGACACGUGGUGUGUAUAGAAGAAGAGUGCAAGCUGCUUUUGUGCUUUAUUUAUUUAUUUAUAUAUUCUUUCUACUUGGUAAGCUACCUGGAUUUAGCUUUUUUAUUUAUAGAAAUUCUAUGAUUGCAUUCAUAAUUCAGCCAAAAAAGUCAUUAGCCACAAAAUGGCCAAUACAAACUAGCCACAAAAAGGCCAUUACAAUGACGAAGCGAUCUAACAUCAAAAUUAAGACAAUUUGGUGCACCACGACUAACGAUCAUGCAUGAUCAAAGAAACUCUGGUAUAUGCAUCUCAACUAAGAUUGCAAACUUAGAAUAAUCAAAAAGAGAUAAAGCUUGAAAAACCCAAGCCAUAACAAUACAAAUAAAACUCUCACAAAGGAGAGGAGAAAAACUUUCACAAAAGGAGAGGUGAAAAACUUUCACAAAAGGAGAGGUGAAAACAACACAGAGAACCCAAAGAGUCUCUGCAACUUAUUCCAAACAUAAAGAAACAGCAAAAAAGAUGAUGUUAGAGAUCCAAUGCCAAAACGCAGGUGGAUUUAGCUUUUAUUUUUAUGAGUUUUUUUUUUUCUUCAACUUAAAUUUGAUCAUAUCAUAAGUUUUUUUCCCUAAAAAUAUUACAGAUUUGCAUUAAAAUGGUUGAAGAUGAGAUAGAGUUUUAAUAUGCUCUCUAGCCUCUUGUAUUGAGAUUAAAAAAAAUGAACUAUAAUAUUUUUCAUUAUGAUAUAAAUAAAAAGAAAAGAAAACUAUAUUCUAGUAAAAUUUAGAAAAUAAAUUUGAAUUACCCUUCAAAAAUUUUCUAUUAUAAUAAUCACCCUCUAUAAAUCUAUCGAGCUAAUUCAUGCAUUUGGUUAGUAGGAAAAGGAAUGAUUUCCCAUGUUUGGUAAGUCCAAAUUUGAAAAAUGAUUUCAUGACUCAUGAGAAAAUAUAGGAGAAAAUGAAACCCUCCAUCUACCUUAGGUUUCAUUUUCCAUUCGCAUGGGGCAUGUGUUUUAAGAGAUUUAACUUCAUCUCCUUGGUUUAUAUAUUAGUUUUUUUAAAAUAAUUUUUUUUUGUCCUUGAAUAUAUAUUUUUCUUUAAAUAUUUAGUUAUAUAUAUCAAAAAAUCACUUGAAUCCAAUAUCAUUUGGCUACUCAAUUAAAUUACUGAAAUUUUAGGACUUUCUUGAAAUUUUUUGUAAAUAUAAUAUAUGAAUGAAGACUUAAAAAAAUAGAUAAUUUGAAUCAUUAGAAAAAAAUAAUUGUAAAAAAUUUUAAUUUUUUAAUAUUAAAAAAUGUGAAUUUACGAUAUUAUCCUCAUUUAAUUAAUAAUUUCAAUUCUUAAUGUUUGAAUUAACAAAGGGCAUUUUCUGGUAUUUUGAAUGUUUCACCAUUCUUUGCCUUUUGCUUUAUACUAGCCUCUCUGCACGCGCUUCCGCGCUUGCGAGAGGUUUUUUUUAAAAAAUAAGUAAAUUUAUUUUAGAAUUAAAAAAGAUAAUGGGUAGUUGUGUUCCAUAAAAAUAGGAUCCAUUAUCUGCUUUUUUUUUUCUUUUUUUUUUAAAAUAUGAAAAAGUGUGAAUUUAUCAUAUUAUCCUCAUUUAAUUAAUAAUUUGAAUUCUUAAUGUUUGCAUUAACCAAGGGCAUUUUCUGAUAUUUUGAAUGUUUCACCAUUUUCUACCUUUUGCUUUAUAUAUAUAGAUAUAUAGAUUCUUCAAAUAAAAUUAUUUAAAUAAUUUUUCAAUAUAAAAGGAAUAUAUAUAUAUUUUAUUCAUUAGAGGAUUCAACACGCUUAAAGAGGAGGAGUGGCACUGGCAACAAGGUUAACAGAGUACGUGUUUCCAAGUAAAACUGCUAUAAAUAAGUCACACGCCCAUAAGACCAUUUCAGAUUGAUCUACCAAACCGAUUUCACGUAUGGAGUCCCAAAACAACCAAAUCCCUCCAACCCAAAACCCUCCUCCUCAUCAACCUUUUCCUCAGUCUCAGUCAUCAGCACCACCACCCGGUUUCUCAGCCAAAGUUGUCAGCCAAGUAAAAUCCAAUCUGAUUUUCAAGUCCAAGUGGGCAGAAUUGAAUGGGGCAGUGGGUGAUUUGGGCACAUACAUACCAAUUGUUGUGGCCUUGACACUCUCUAGGGACUUGAAUUUGGGCACAACAUUGAUUUUCACUGGGGUCUACAACAUUAUCACUGGUGCCAUCUAUGGAGUCCCCAUGCCAGUCCAACCCAUGAAGGCAAUUGCAGCCACUGCUCUGGCCAACCCAGAUUUUGGUGUGCCUGAAAUCAUGGCUGCUGGGAUUUUAACUGGAGGCAUCUUACUUGUUCUGGGUGUCACAGGGUUGAUGAAGUUGGUUUACAAGUUUAUCCCUUUAUGUGUUGUUAGGGGGAUUCAGCUAGCACAAGGCUUGUCAUUUGCGUUGACUGCGGUCAAAUACAUUAAGAAAGUUCAAAACUUGCCCAAGUCUAAGGCUUUGGGGGAGAGGCAUUGGUUUGGUUUAGAUGGAUUGGUUCUGGCUAUUGUUUGUACUUGUUUUAUAGUGCUUGUUAAUGGUGCAGGUGAGGAAUAUCAUCAGAGAAGUGAGGGGCAGGCUGAUGCUGCUGUGGGUUCUAAUAAUGAUGUGGAAGGGAGGCCUGGCAGAAAGGCAAGGUGGAGGAAAAUCAUAGCCUCACUUCCUUCAGCUUUUCUGAUUUUUGUGUUGGGUGUGAUUUUGGCCUUUAUAAGAAAACCAAAGAUUGUGCAUGAAAUUAAAUUUGGACCCUCUCCCUUGGAAGUGGUGAAGAUUUCUAGGCAUGCAUGGAAAGAAGGGUUCAUCAAAGGGGCAAUUCCUCAGCUACCCUUGUCUAUAUUGAAUUCAGUGGUAGCUGUGUGCAAACUGUCCAAUGAUCUUUUUCCUGAGAGGGAUUUCUCAGCCACUUCACUUUCAGUGACAGUUGGGUUGAUGAAUGUGGUGGGGAGUUGGUUUGGGGCCAUGCCAAGUUGCCAUGGAGCUGGUGGGCUAGCAGGGCAGUACAAGUUUGGGGGUAGGAGUGGUGGGUGUGUGGCUCUUCUAGGCACAGCCAAAUUGGUGCUGGGUUUGGUCUUAGGGACCUCCUUGGUGACCAUUUUGAACCAGUUUCCUGUUGGGGUCUUGGGGGUUCUGCUUUUGUUUGCUGGGAUUGAACUAGCCAUGUGUGCCAGGGACAUGAACACAAAGGGGGAGUCUUUUGUGAUGCUUAUUUGCACUGCAGUCUCACUAGUGGGAUCAAGCGCAGCACUUGGCUUUGUGGUUGGGAUGGUUGUGUAUUUGCUUCUGUGUAUUAGAAAAUUGGGCAGGGACAAGCCUGCUUCUAUGAUAUGGAUGCAUGGUGUUGUCUAGACUUUUGUAUUUGUUUGAUGAUGUAGCGUACAUUUUGAAGUUGGUAAUUAAGUUGGUGCAUGCAAGGUUUGGAAUUGAUUUGAAAAAGAGUGAGGAUUUUGUGGGAUUGAGGACUUUUCUGCAGAACAGAAAGAAAAGGUGCUUGCUUUUUAGUUUUUUACUUGUAACUUUGCCUUUUUGUAAUGGUUUUAAAUUGGUGUUCUGGGAGAGAGUCAACAAGUGAAAAAAUUACUCACUAGUGAGUUGAGUCUCAGUAUUUGUUGCCUGCAGCUUUUCCCUACUUGCUUACAUUGUAGAUCGCCUACACUGUAAUAUGUAUAUAUUGACUUACUAUGAAUAAAGGAAAGCAAUUGUGUUCAUAUUUCUUGAAGCUGUUGUCUAUCUUUCUACUGAUCAUACAUAUAUUGACUUGCUAAAGAGGUACAUUCAUUGUAAGCUGGGUUUUUGUUUUGCCAGUGUGUAUCUCUCUCAUCACUUAACUUGAAAAAGAUAGACACGUAAUUGUAUACAACCGUUACACUUAAAAAUUUCCUCCGUACAGAAGCUCAUGUUUUUGACUGACCUGAUCAAACACUUGCACAUCAGAUUCACCAUUAUAAAUUGAUGUCCACAUUCAUGUAAUUGUACUUUUUGAUGCAGAGGUGGAAAGAAUCGUAAGCUGCAGUAAUUACCAACUUCUAGUACUUUUUGGUUCCUCCAACUGCGCCUCCACAAUAGCUGCAAAGAUAUGAAUAAAUAUAGAAAGGAUAAGAGCCCAUUUGCGCCUAAGCAUAUUCUUCAUUAAUUGUGCUGCUAAUCUGCAUCAAAGAUAAGAUAACCAACCCAUUUUCCAUGAUUUUGUUCCCCUUAGUUGAAAUUCAAGAGUUUGAACGGUUGACCUUCCACUUGGGUAAAAAGUUAAAAAGGCAAAAAGGGAAAACAGAGGAUGCCUCUGAAUAAACAAAUUUAAGUAUAUAGAAUAAUUUAGUAAUGUUGCUGACUGACGUGUAAACCUAAUUAUGAGCCAUUUCUCAUCUCAGAAGUCAAUUUCUGCAUCUGAUUGGAAUUAGUGCGUUGGUAGAGGCUUUUACUACAACAGAAUGAUAACAUACCUCCUCCUUUAAAUAAAGAGGAUGCCCUGCUUAUAUGCACAAGGCUUUGAAUAAAUUCUGCUGCUGUUCAUAGGGACCAUACAUAUAUGCUUCAGUAAUUUUGUUGACAUUCCUAUAUUCCUAGGGGAUCUACUUCAGUUAAAACCACAAAAACAUUUUCUUUUGUAAAAAACAAGUCUAAUUUCUCAUACUGUCGAGGUUUCUUACCCCAAAAAAAUAAAAAAGCGAGUGAACCAAAAACAAAUGAUACAUUGUGUUAUAUUUUUUUAGGAUCCAAAAAUUUGAUGCUCAAGUGUGAAGCCUAUAGAGUUACUCUCAUAAGUAUACACUAUCUAAAGCAUUGCCUAAAUAAUUUGUGUCCAUUUUCCAUUUUUUUUCCUUUUAAUUUUACAUUAUUUCAGCAUCUCUUCUUGUCACCUGGAUAUUGGCUCUGGAUUAUUUUUCUAUAUUUAUAAAUGGCUUUUCAGUUGGGAUGUGUGGUCAGGGGACACUAGGAACUUAUUCCCCUAGAACAUGAGCAGUUAGCUCAGCUUAACUUCCACUUUUUAACUUGAAAAGAAAAAUAAGGAAAAGAGAGAGAGAGAGAGAGAGAGAGAUUGUUUACAAAUUAUGUCCAUUCAUGACAUCUUAAGGCAAUAAUAACCCAUUCGUCAUUCCAGAAGCCAGUCUAUGCAUCUACCAUGCCUAAAUGCAAGCCAGAGGGGUCAAAAGGAAAACGCUGCUUCCAUCAUUUUGGAAGUACAAUGGCCACUUCAGAAAUUGAGAAAUUAUUGGCUCGUUCUCUGACAGCUUCGUAAAAACUCAAAUUCGGGUAUAGCAAAACGAAGAGGCUCCUAACCUCAUCCAAAAAGUGUAUCAUAAACAAUAUAAUGGCAUAAGAGAGCAUUUUUUAAUUUCAAAUACACAAGAUUCAGCUCCAGUUGAGUAAAAUAUGAUAGCAGCCUCAUGCAAAAUUAGAGAAUCAACAGGAAUACUGAGAGAUCUUUGUAUGUUUGGUGACAGUGGUAAAGUCCUUGACUGCAAAUGUGUAUAUUAAGCAACAAAGUAAGAAAAAACCAUAAACUACAUAAGACAUAAGAGAAAGCAGUAUAUUUACAUUGAAGAAUUUUCAGAAUAAUUCAUAAUCAGUGAUUGCUAAACUGAAUUUUCAAUAUUUAAUAAGGAGGAAACGAUAUUUAUCUUACCUCACCAUUUGAAGCUCGAACCGGAGUAUUUAUAUGUUUUGAACCACUAUCUGCAGCGAAGGAUUGCUGAAUUUUCAAUAUUUAAUAUAGAAAAAUAAUCCACAGCCAUUAUCCAGGUGACAAGAAGAGAUGCUGAAAUAAGGUAAAAUUAAAAGGAAAAAAAAGGAAGAAGGAAAAUGGACACAAUCAUCACACAAUCUAUGUUUCUGCCUGUCCUAGACACCAACCUCAAAACCAGAGGGCACCCGUAACAGGCGAAACAGUUGGCGACGAGGAUUGGAUUGUUGAAAUAUAAGUGUCUUAGCUGAAAUGUUUUUGUACUUAGUUUAAUUUUUAGUAUUUCAAAUGUAAGCCAUUGGAUUACAUUCCAAUGGACAGCUAAGAUGAAGUCUUAGAGUUAAGAGUCAACUUAUGCCACUUGUCACUAUAUUAUAGGGUGAUUUGGAUGAUCUAAUGGGAAUAUUCUAUUCCCAACGGUUAAGUGUGUGCACAGAUUGUGUGUCCGAUCAAUGAAUAAAUAGCUCAUCUUUGUUUUUCCUUUAAAGCUCUCUCUCACUCUGCAAAUCUCUCUGAAAAACUUUACUCAUUCAAUAUCAUUUUGUAGAAUGCAAGUUAUAAUUCAGAUCAUAGUCUGAAUUCUAACAUGGCCUUAGAGCCAGGUUCGAUUGUUUAACUUUGGGCGAUUAAAUCUGUGAAGAAAACAAGCUGAAAUUUGGAAAAGUGGUUUCGCGAUCUGUGUCUAACAUGGCAAGGUCUGGAGGUGGUGAGCUGAGAGUGCCGAUCUUUGGCGGUGAUAACUAUGAGUUCUGGAGCAUAAGAAUGAAAAACCAUUUUCAAAUCUCAUGGGCUUUGGGAAUUGGUUGAGAAGGGAAUAGAGUGCUCAAAUUCGAAGGAAGCUGGCGAAUCUGAUGCUAAGAAGAAAGAAAAGGAAGAAUCGAGUGGUGCUGGGAAGAUGACUCUCACCGAGCUACUCAUGAAGGAUGCUAAAGCUCUGGGUCUGAUUCAAAGAGCAGUGUCCGAUGAGAUCUUCCCUCAAAUCUCUCAUGAAGAAACCUCUAAGGGAGCUUGGGAUAUCUUGAUGAAGGAAUUCCAUGGUGAUAAACAGGUUAGAAGUGUUAAAUUGCAAGGUCUACAUAGAGAAUUUGAAUAUACGAUAAUGAGAGAUGAUGAGUCCCUUUCUGCUUAUCUUACCAAACUUUUUGAUCUGAUAAACCAAAUGAGGAGCUAUGGAGAGGAUUUAGAUAGAUCAAGGAUUGUUCAAAAAUUACUAAUUAGUUUGCCAUCAGCUUAUGAUUCGAUCUGUUCCGUUAUUGAGCAUUCUAAGAAUUUGGAUGUAAUUGAGGUACAAGAAGUGGUAGCUUCUUUGAAGAGUUUUGAAUUAAGGCUAGAUAGGCACUCUGGAGAUAAGACUGAGAAAGCAUUUGCUAGUCUUAGUGUGAAUCCCAAAUUAGAAAAAUACAGUGGAAGUCAAAGUGGUUCUAAGGAUCAAAAGAAUUGGAAGGCAAAAGGCAAAAAGUGGGAUAAUAAAUCAACAGAUGGAGCUAGAAACCCCUGCAAACAUUGUGGCAAACUACAUUUGGGUGAGUGUCGGUUUAAGGGAAAACCAAAAUGUUACAACUGUGACAAAUUUGGUCAUAUUGCAAAAGAUCGCUAUAGCAAGAAACCAUGGCAACAGCUCAACUAUGCUACUCAGAUCGAAUCCACACCAACCAUGUUUUAUGGUAGUAAUAAAGGUUCUGCUAGUGUAAAAGGAUGUGAUGAUGUAUGGUAUUUGGAUAGUGGAUGCAGCAACCAUAUGACUACCAGAGAAGAUGUAUUAGUUGAUGUAGAUAGGAAUAUAACUGCAAAAGUUGCAAUGGAGACAGGACAAUUGGUUGAUGUUGUUGGAAAAUGAAAUCUUGUUGUUGACACUAAGAUGGGAAUAAGGUAUGUCAAAGAAGUACUGUUAGUUGUUGGCCUCAAGAAGAAUUUGCUCAGUGUAGGGCAAAUGAUGGAGCAUGGAUAUGUUUUGAUUUUUGGAGCCAAUAAGGUUGAAAUUUAUGAUGAUUGUUCUCUAUCAAAUCCAGUUGCUAAGGUGCAAAUGAAAGGCAACAAAAGCUUUCCUUUGAAGCUUCACACAACUUUACAGGUUGCAUUAAGGGCAAAUGUAGAGUCAUCAACCUUAGUUUGGCAUAGAAGAAUGGGGCAUUUAAACUUCACCAGUUUGAAGCUGCUGCAAGAUCAGGAAAUGGUAUUUGGAUUGCCAGAAAUUAAGCUUGUCAAUGAAGUGUGUGAGGGGUAUACUUUUGGAAAACAUUGCAGAGAUUCCUUUCCAAAAGAAACAACAAGCAGAGCCACAAUCCCACUCGAGUUGGUACACAUAGAUGUCUGUGGACCAAUGCAGACUGUUACAAAGCUGGAAAUAUGUAUUUUCUUACCUUCAUAGAUGAUUGUACUCAUAUGUGUUGGAUAUAUUUCUUGAGAUACAAAUCAGAAGUCCUUAAUGUCUUUUAAGAAAUUUAAAGCCACUGUUGAGCUGCAAAGUGGAUAUAAAUUGAAGAAAAUAAGAAGUGACAGGGGGGAGAAUAUACUUCCAAUGAAUUCAACAAAUUUUGUGAAGACAUGGGAAUGGAAAGGCAACUAACUGUGGCAUAUUCACCACGUCAAAACGGAGUAGCAGAACAAAAGAACAGAACAAUUAUGGAGAUGGCUAAAUGCAUGAUGAUUGAGAAGAAGAUGCCUCUAGAAUUUUGGGCUGAGGCAGUCAACACUGCAGUGUAUGUUCAGAAUAGAUGUCCAACUAACGCCUUAGACAAGAAAACUCUAUUUGAAGCUUAUAAUGGUAGAACACAAGGAGUUAAACAUUUAAGAGUGUUUGGUUCUUUGUGCUAUGCACAUGUUCCAAAUCAACAAAGGCAGAAGCUCGACUUAUCUAGUACAAGAUGUCUAUUUCUGGGGUAUGGUAGUUGUGAAAAAGGCUACAAACUAUAUAACAUUGCAUAUGGAAAAAUGAUUAUUUCCAGGGAUGUGAUAUUCAAUGAGGCAGCUGUUUAGGAUUGGAAUGCGCAAAAGGAAUGUGAUAUCUCAAUACCUCUUAAUGAGACACUCACUGAGAGAGAAGAGGAAUCUAGUGAAUCUAGCCUGAUUCAAGAAGAGAUUUCAGAAGAGGGGCAUGUUGAUCCUGACUCUGGAUCACAGGAUGUUGAUCACACACCUCUGAAAUACAAGAGUAUUGCAGAAGUGUAUAAGAGAUGUAACUUGUAUAUUAUCGAGCCUGAGACUUUUGAAGUGGCUGUUAAGGAUGAAGCAUGACAGAAAGCAAUGGAGAAUGAGAUAGAAAUGAUAGAGAAGAACAAAACUUGGGAGUUGGUUGAUAGACCAACUGAUAAACCAGUAAUUGGUGUCAAAUGGAUUUAUAAAACCAAGCUGAAUUUAGAUGGUACAGUUCAGAAAAAAUAAGACUCGACUAGUGGCAAAUGGCUAUUCUCAAAAGCCAGGGAUAGAUUUCAAUGAAACUUUUGCACCUGUUGCUAGGCUGGAUACCAUUAGGACAUUGGUGGCAUUGGCAGCAUUGGCUGCACAAAAGGGGUGGAAACUGUUCAGUUAGAUGUGAAGUCUGCAUUCUUAUGAAGAGGUGUAUGUGGAUCAACCUCCUGGUUUUAUGAUUAAGAACAAAGAGGACAUAGUGUAUAGACUCAAGAAGGCAUUACAUGGACUUAAACAAGCUCCAAGAGCUUGGUAUGGAGAAAUCAAUUCUUACUUCACCAAGGCAGGUUUCCAAAGAAGUCCUACUGAGGCAACACUAUAUGUAAAGGCUGCAGAAGUGGUAUUAUUAUUGUUUCUUUAUAUGUAGAUGAUAUUAUCUGCACUGGAAGCUCAAAAGCCUUGAUGAUGGAGUUCAAAACUGAAAUGAUGAUGCCAUAUGAAAUGACUGAUUUCGGUUUGCUUCAUCAUUUCUUGGGGUUAGGAGUGAUACAAACUGAGCCUUACAUUUUCUUGCACUAGAAGAAGUAUGCUAAAACAUUGCUAGACAAAUUUGGCUUCAAGGAUUGUAAAGCAGUGGCUACUCUUCUUGCAAUGAAUGAAAAGCUAUCCAAUGAAGAUGGAAGUGAACAAGCUGAUGAAGGGGUUUAUAGGCAGAUAGUUGGAAGUCUGUUGUACUUGACUACAACAAGGCCAGACAUCAUGUUUGCAGCAAGUCUUUUGGCUAGAUUUAUGCGUGGACCUACCAGAAAACAUAUGGGAACUGCCAAAAAGGUACUGAGGUACAUUCAAGGCACAUUUGAUUAUGGCAUAGCAUAUGAGAAUGGAAAAGAAGCAAGGCUCAUUGGCUACUGUGACAGUGAUUGGUCAGGGAGUGAGGAUGACAUGAGAAGCACCUCUAGAUAUGCAUUUAAUCUUGGAUCAUGUGUGUUUUCCUGGGCUUCAGUCAAGCAAAGUAGUGUAGCUCUAUCUACUGCAGAGGCAGAGUAUAUUAGUGCAGCAGAAGCUACUGCACAAGCAAUCUGGUUGCGUUUUGUUCUCUCAGACUUUGGUGAAGAACAGGUGGGUGCUACUACAAUUCUAUGUGAUAAUACCUCUGCUAUUGCCAUAACCAAGAAUCCUGUGCAUCAUCAUAAGACAAGGCAUAUAAACAGAAGGUUUCACUUCAUCCGAGAUGCUUUGCAAAAUGGAGAGAUUGAAUUAUUGUAUUGCAAAACUGAAGAGCAGACUGCAUGCAUUUUUACUAAAGCUCUAGCAAGAGAUCGUUUUGAGUACUUGGAAGGAAGCUUGGAGUAAUCUCAACUAAACACUUAGAAGGGAGUGUUGAAAUAUAAGUGUCUUAGCUGAAAUGUUUUUGUACUUAAAAUGUCAGAUCAGGUUGAGGAGACUUUAUAUCUCUAUCCAAUGGACAAAUUUAGGGAGGCACUUGUAGAUUGUAUGCUUUACAUGAUGAAUUUGAUCCUUUUUUGUGAUAAAGGAAGUUUGCUUUGGUGUUACAGACAGAGCAUGGACAAUAUGUUGUUUUGCGUCUUGGUAUGUUUCUAGAUACAUUAAUUCUUGAUAGUUUGAGGACUUUGAUAUAAAUGAAGGCUUCUCUAACGUAACAAUUCAACACUCAAACAUUGGGUAGAACCACAAAGCCAAAGCAUAUAUAUAAAAAAAUAUAUAGAUUAAUAUCUCUUCAUAAAUAUUACAUGCUUUAUGAGUACAAGUUGAAGUCUAUAUUAGUUACAAGAGAAAACAUGAUCGGGUUAAUUUCAAGCAGUUUCUGUAAUCUGUGUUUUUUGGCAACCCGACCACUAAUCCCAAAAACUUCAUCUCAUCAUAUAUCUUACACCACAUGAUGAAGAUGUUGAAUCAUAAAUUCCUGUUGGUUUAAGUUUUAUUUUACAGAUGUAAUAUUUUGGUUGGAUGAAACUUAUAUGACUCAUAUUUAAGACAAGUGUCCAGCUUACAUUGCUAGAUCAAUUGUAGGCUAAUAUCACAUUCUCAGCAUUGUAAAAAGGAAUGGUUCCGUUAGAAAUGAGAGUACUGUGCACUACCAUGUUUUGUGCAUAGCAACGAACCUUUGAGCAUGACUGAGUAGCCAAUCCAUUCUUUCUCUGCAUUUUUCUGUUUUCUUCAAUUCAUCUGGUUUUGUGUGAGCUGAUGCAUUGUGUGUGCAAGUUCUGAUUGAAAUCUCAACAUGGUAUUAGAGCCAGGUUCGACUCUGCAUCUGGGCGUCGUGAAAUCAGAAUCGAAGAAAUCCAACGUAGAUAACCUCUAUCUCGUGGGUUUGGUCUCAUAUGGCUGGAUCUGGAAUGAGUGAGCUUUCGUGCUCCCAUUUUCAAUGGCAACAACUACGAUUUUUGGAGAAUCAAGAUGUGUACGAUUUUCAAAUCUCACAAGCUCUGGGAUAUGGUAGAAACUGGGUUUGAACAACUAGUGAAGAAGGAGGAUAGUGAAGCUCUGACUACAGCUCAGAAGCUUGCACUGGAGGAAAAUGUAGCAAAGGAUGCUAAGGCGUUGGGUCUGAUUCAGAGUGAAGUCUCUGAUAAAAAUUUUCCCAGAAUCGCUCUACAAGAAUUUGCCAAAGCAGCUUGGGAGAUUUUGCAACAGGAAUUUCGAGGAGAUAAGAAGGUAUGAUCUAUAAAAUUGCAAGCACUUAGAAGGGAUUUUGAAUAUACUCGUAUGCAAGAUGAUGAGUCUCUAUCUAGGUAUAUAACCAAAUUGCUUGAGCUUAUAAAUCAAAUGAAGUCUUAUGGAGAGGAUAUUUCUGAUCAAAGAAUCGUACAGAAACUUUUGAUUAGUUUAUCUAGAGAAUAUGAUUCUAAUGUAGAGGUGAUAGAGGAGACCAAAGACACAGAGACUACAGGAGUUCAGGAGGUUAUUGGAUCUUUGAAAUCCCAUGAACAACGGUUGCAAAGACACACUGAGAAACUGACAGAAAAGGCUUUCUCUAGCCUAGGUGUGAACCCCAUAGAGCAGUCAAAUGCUGCAUAAGAUAGGAGUUCUAAGUCCAAGAAGAAUUGGAAAUCAUAAAACAAGAAGAAAUGGGAGGGGAAGUCUGGAAAUACUUUCAAAAAGGAAAAUCAGAAUGAAGGAGCUAAGGGUUCUAGCAAAAUCUGUGAUAAAUUGCAUUAUGGUUUGUUGGUUCAAGGGUAAACCUAAAUGUUAUAAGUGUGAAAGGUUUGGUCACUUGGCAAAGGAUUGCUGUGGGAAAACACCUCAGGCAGCUCAUUUUGCAAAACACAUGGAGGAAGAAGGGACAAUGCUCUAUGCUUGUCAUGCUGCCUCUGUAAUCAAGAACAGUAGUGUGUGGUAUGUGGAUAGUGCUUGUAGCAAGUAUAUGACCUCACAUGAAUCUCUGCUCAUUGAUAUAGACACCAAUGUCACUGCAAAAGUGAAGAUGAGAACUGGAGAUCCUGUUCAAGCCACUGGUAAAGGCACUCUAGUGAUUGAAACGAAAUUUGGACCAAGGCAUAUAAAGGAAGUCAUGCUUGUACCAGGGUUGGAUGAGAAUCUGCUUAGUGUUGGAUAGAUGAUUGAGCAUGGAUAUUUCUUGCUCUUUGGUGAUUCUAUAGUGGAGAUAUAUGAUGGCAAGUCACUGAAACACCUUGUGACUAAGGUUCCAAUGACUGGAAACAGAUGUUUUCCUCUCUCCCUUCAGUAUGCAAAUGCAGUAGCUAUGAAGGCAAUGUUGGCGUGACUUGUGGAUAUUGACUUACUUUCCUUAUACACCAAGAUUUCCUAUUAUAAUUGUAAUUGAUUUACUUUAAUUCAUGAUUUCCUACUGUAAAUAGAUUUAGGAAUUUAUUUUUUACUUGCCCAUUCAGGUUUCGUUGUAUUAUAAAUAUUACCUCAUAGAAGGAGAAGAAUACAAAGAAAAUUCCCACAAACAAAUAUUCUCUCAUAGUUUUCAUAUUUUAGCAUGGUAUCAGAGUAGCGAUCUUGGGAUUGCUGACUCUAGUUUCUAAACCCUAGCAGCCACCAUGAGGGAGGAUGACUCUUCUAACCCUCAUGGCGGUAGCACCAUUACUUCCUUCUCAACUAACCAUAGCCGAGUUGAGUGCCCACGUGGCUCAACUAAUGCAGAUGCAGACUCAGACCUCGAACUCGAUCCUAAAUCAGGAUCCUACUAAGGCGACCUCGACCUUGUCUCAGACGACGACCCCGAACUCGAGCCUUGAACCCGAAUCAGACAACAAUUCUGACGACAAUUACCUAUGAAGCUUCUGCUACACAGAUUGGCAUAAAGUUGGAUGGCACCAACUAUGCCCUAUGGUCCAAGGUUGUUGAGUUGUAUAUCUCUGGCAAAGACAAAUUGGGAUAUAUUAAUGGCGAUCUUCCACAACCUCAUUCGACUGCUCCAACGUUUCCUCGCUAGCGCACUGAGAACUCUAUUGUGAAGGGAUGACUCAUCAAUUCUCUGGAGCAGAGCUUGAUUGGCAAUUUCAUUGGUUUCCAACGGCAAAAGCAGUGUGGGAUGCAAUUGCCACAACUUACUAUGAAGACACUAACACCUCUCAGGUUUAUGAUCUGAAAUGACGAGUCUCCCGUAUGCGACAAGUUGGCGGCUCCAUUGAAACCUAUUACAAUACUCUCCAAAGAUUAUGGAGAGAGAUUGAUUUCCGUCGUCCAAAUAUGAUGGAGUAUGAAAGUGAUAUCAAGCGCUAUAAUGAUAUUCUGCAAGAAGAUCGAGUUUACAUAUUUUUGGAUGGCCUUGAUAAUCGUCUUGAUAAGGCCCGAAGUGAUGUUCUUCACAUGACUCCAUUCCCUACUGUGGACCAAGCUUAUGCCUAUGUUCGCCGUGAAGAUGUUCGACAAGCAGUGAUGAUGGGUUCAUCUACACCCACUGGCGCUUGCUUAGCGACCAAGAGUGCACCUCGAUCAGGUCCCCCUACUCAUGCCGGACAGCCCCAUAAUUCCUUUACUGCGGCCCACCUUCAGAUCCAGUCAUAUGCUACUGCUGCUGGUGCGCCACCUCCUAAAACCAUCCCACAUUCCCGUCCCAAGGCUCCGACUGAUGGAAGUGGUUGCACGCACUGUGGCAACCCUAAACAUACCCGUGACACCUAUUUUAAGCUGCAUGGUUAUCCUGAUUGGUGGGAGGACCUCCGUGCUCGCAAGCUCAGAGAAACUGCUAGUAAUUUCGACCGUGCCACUCUUGUCUCUACCGAACCCCAAUUAGCAUUGUUCCCGCUGGUAGACCCUACUAAUAGUCCGACGCAUCCGGAUGUCUCAGGUAACUGUGGUUAUGCAUUUCAUACAUCUAGUCUACGAGAUACUAUUGGUUGGAUAAUUGAUUCUGGCGCCACUGAUCAUAUGACCUUUGAUCCGAAUGAUUUUUUGCACACCACUACAUCCCGCCGCACAAGUAUUGCCAAUUUGAAUAAAGUUACCUAUCCUGUGACAGGGAUCAACACUGUCGCCCUUUCACCUUCUCUGUCCCUUUCUAAUACUCUACUCGUUCCAUCUUUGUCUAAUAAAUUAAUGUCUGUGAGCCAAGCAACUGAACAACUAAAUUGUUAUGCACUGAUUUAUCCCAAUUUUUGUUUACUACAGGAUAUUCUCACCAAGGAGAUCAUUGGGCGUGGUACUAAAAGAAGGGGGCUGUACUAUGUGGAUGACUUCAGUAUGGGACAUGCCAACAGUGUGAAGCAUCCGUCUGAUGACAAGCACCGACAGAUUUGGCUCUGGCACCGACGUUUGGGGCAUCCAUCUUUUGGUUAUAUGAGACACUUAUUGCCCGAGUUGUUUUCUGUAUUAAGGACUCAGAUUUUAAAUGUGACACUUGCAUUUUAGCCAAAAGUCACUGAGCAUCCUAUCCUUUAAGUAUGAAUAAAAGUACUAUUUAUUUUGCUUUAAUUCAUUCUGAUGUUUGGGGACCUUUACCUAUUUCUACUCAUUCCGGUAUUCAUUGGUUUGUCACAUUCGUCGAUGAUUGUACACGGAUGACAUGGCUUUAUUUGAUGAAAAAUAAGAAUGAAGUGUUUUCCCUGUUCCAAUCCUUUCACAAACAGAUGGAAACACAGUUCAAUGCUCGAAUACAGAUUCUUCACUCUGACAACGGUGGAGAAUUUGUUAAUCAUGAUUUUCAGACUUACUUUUAGACACAUGGCAUUAUUCAUGAGAUAACUUGCCCUCAGACACCACAACAAAAUGAUGUUGCCGAACGGAAGAAUCGUCAUCUCCUUGAAACAGGCUGUGCUCUUCUCAUUUGUGGCCAUGUUCCUCGUCAUCACUGGGAUGAUGCUGUCGUCACUGCUGUCCAUCUUAUCAACCGCAUGCCUUCUGGGGUCUUGAACUUCAAAACUCUAUUACAAGUGCUAGCGCAACAAGGGUUUCUGCCCUCUGUUUUGGUGCUUACCCCUCGUAUUUUGGUUGUGUGGCCUUCGUUCAUCUCCACAAAAAUCAAUGAAGCAAACUUGAUCCAUGUGCACUUCGUUGUGUUUUUUUGGGUUAUGCCACUCAUCAGAAAAGCUACCGAUGUUAUCACCUUCCUACCCGGCAAACCUAUGUCACUUUGGAUGUCACCUUUCUAGAAUCGGAGAUGUUCUUCUAUGACCCAUCAUCCAAUUCUGCUCUUCAGGGGGAGAUACAGAGUGAAGAGCUUAAUUGGAGCAGCUUGGAAAACGAAGAUAUUCAUCUAUGCACGAAGAUUGCUCUCGACCAAGAAGCAAUAACAAUCGAUUGUCCCGACUCUGGCACGUGCGAAUGCUCUCUGCCAAACAUCGAUCAAUCGCCUAACCCUUGCGAAGCUGUUUUUGAUUCAAGUUAUACUCUUACGGACAACUCAGAACAACAAGAUGAAGACCCUCCAUUCUCACUCAAUAGUACCGACGGACCAAUCUCCUGAGAAUAUCUUUGAGGUAACUGCUCCUACUAGACUUGUGCAUUUAGAUGAUAAAACUAUUGGAUAUCAAUUACCUUUCAGGCAAAAUCGUGGGAAGCCACCAAACCAUUAUUCACCUGAUAUUGGCAAUACAUCCAAGUAUCCAAUUGCAAAUCAUGUAUCCACUAAUAAGCUGUCUGAACCACUCAAGGCUUUUGUGCAUCAGUUGUCUGCUAUCCAUAUUCCAACCAAGGUCUCUGAAGCAUUGAAAGAUCCUAAGUGGGUCCAAGCUAUAAAAGAGGAGAUGAAAGCUUUUAAGAAAAAUCAGACUUGGACAUUGGAAACUAUACCACGAGGAAAAAAGACUAUCGAAUGUAGAUGGGUGUUUACUAUAAAACACAAUGCAUAUAGAUCUAUCAAGCGACACAAGGCAAGAUUUGUGGCAAAAGGGUACACACAGACCUAUGGUAUAAACUAUGAAGAAACCUUUGCACCAGUUGCAAAGUUAAACACCAUCAGAGUCUUAUUGUCCCUUGCAGCUAAUUUGGAUUGGCCACUACAUCAGUUUGAUGUCAAGAAUGCUUUUCUACAUAGCGAACUCACGGAGGAGGUGUACAUGGACAUUCCUCCUGGAUAUAAUACUACUCAGACUGGAACAGUUUGCAGGUUACGAAAAGCAUUGUAUGGAUUGAAACAGUCAUCACGUGCAUGGUUUGGACGGUUCACCAUGGCAAUAAAGAACAAUGGUUUCAAACAGUGCAACUCAGAUUAUACUCUAUUCUUGAAACAUAGGAAAGGGAAGGUAACAUCAUUAAUAAUCUAUGUUGAUGAUAUGAUUAUUACUGGGAAUGAUAAACAGGAAAUAUCACAGCUACAAGACUAUUUGGCUACUGAGUUUGAGAUGAAGGAUCUAGGUGGAUUCAAGUAUUUCUUAGGAAUUGAGGUGGCUCGAUCGCAGCAAGACAUAUUUCUCUCACAAAGGAAAUAUGUCUUGGACUUGUUGACAGACACAUGAAUGCUAGAUUGCAAACUUGCGGACACUCCUAUUGUUCAGAAUCAUCAUCUUGGAGAAUAUCCGGAUCAAGUUCCAACUAACAAAGAAAGAUACCAAAGGUUAGUUGGAAGAUUGAUCUAUUUGUCAUAUACUUGACCAGACUUUGCUUAUGCGGUAAGCGUUGUCAGUCAAUUUAUGCAAUCUCCAAGUGAAGACCACAUGAAUGCAGUUCUUCGGAUACUUAGAUAUUUGAAGUAUGCACCUGAAAAAGAACUUAUGUUCUCAAAGCAUGGUCAUCUAAAUAUUGAUGGUUAUUCAGAUGCAGAGUGGGCAGGUAAUAUAAUAGAUAGAAAAUCCACAUCAGGUUACUUCACAUUCGUGAGAGGUAAUUUGGUGACAUGGAGGAGCAAGAAACAGAAUGUAGUAGCUUUGUCCAGUGCAGAAGCCGAGUUCAGAGGCAUGACUAAAGGGAUUUGUGAACUUCUUUGGUUAAGAAAGUUGCUUACUGAACUUGGGUAUAAACCUACAUUCACAAUGAAUCUCUUUUGUGACAACAAGGCUGCUAUAGCUAUUGCACAGAAUCCGGUUCAGCAUGAUCGUACUAAACAUGUUGAGGUGGAACAACACUUUAUCAAACAGAAGCUUGAGGCUAAAGUGUUUCAGUUUUCUUUUGUGAAAUCCGAAGAUCAAUUGGCGAAUAUUUUGACAAAGACGAUUUCCAAUAAAGCAUUCCACAAUUCACUGGAUCAGUUAGGCAUUGGGAACAUCUAUACACCAACGUGAGGGGGAGUGUUGGCGUGACUUGUGGAUAUUGACUUACUUUCCUUACACACCAAGAUUUCCUAUUAUAAUUGUAAUUGAUUUACUUUAAUUCCUGAUUUCAUAUUGUAAAUAAAUUUAGGAAUAUAUUAUUUACUUGCCCAUUCAGGUUUCGUUGUAUUAUAAAUAUAACCUCCUACAAGGAGAAGAAUACAAAGAAAAUUCCCACAAACAAAUAUUCUCUCAUAGUUUUCAUAUUUUAGCAGGCAACAAUUAAAGAAACUACAUGGUGUUGGCAUAGAAGAUAUGGUCAUCUAAAUUUUCCUAACUUGAGAAUGUUAUAACAAAAAGAAUUGGUGUAUGGACGGCCUGAAAUUGGUGACUUAGAGAAGGUGUGUCAAGGUUGUGCAAUGGGAAAAUCACACAGAGAGGCAUUCGAUAAAGAGAAGGCAUAGAGAGCAAGCAUGCCACUAGAGCUCAUACACUCAGAUGUGUGUGGACCAAUGCAAUCCACAACCAUUGGAGGUAACAGAUACUUCCUAUCCUUCACUGAUGAUUGCACAAGAAUGUGUUGGGUAUACUUCAUGCAACACAAGUAUGAAGUAUUCAACAUCUUCAAGAAAUUCAAAGCCAUGGUGGAAUUACAGAGUGGAUACAAGAUUAAAAGGCUCAGAAGUGACAGAGGUGGGGAAUACACCUCAACUGAAUUUUUGAAGUUUUGUGAGCAUGUAAGAUUGGAAAGGCAGUUAACUAUAGCCUAUUCACCUCAGCAAAAUGGGGUAGCUGAGAGAAAAAAUAGAACUAUUGUGGAAAUGAGUAAAGCAAUGAUGCAUGAGAAGAGGCUACCUUAUAAGUUUUGGGGAGAGGCAGUGAACAGGGCUGUCUACAUUCAAAACUGAUGUCCAACAACAGCUCUAAAUGAUUCAACUCCAUUUGAAGCAUUUAGUGGUAGGAAGCUUGGAAUUAAGCACCUGAGGGUAUUUGGCUGUAUGUGUUACUGUCAUGUGCCUAGUCAGUUGAGGCUCAAAUUGGAUGAUUCGGCAACCAAGUGUAUCUUUAUUGGUUAUGGUAAGUGUGAGGAGGGCUAUAGAGUUUACAACUUGCAAACUCACAAAAUUAUUGUUUCUAGGAGUGUAAUAUUUGAUGAAGAUGCAUUAUGGGAUUGGGGAAAACAUGAUGUGGAGCAUGUUUUUGUUCCUAUAAGUUUUGAGGAAAAUCCUAGAACCACUGAAGAAGAAGAUGAAGUCACAGGUUCACCUACAACAGAAUCUUAGAUUGAAAGUGGCUCAGGUUCAACUAGUGCCAGUUCACAAAGUGCAUCACCAAGUUCUACUCCUGUGAAACUAAGAGAUAUAGCUGAGAUCUAUCCUAGAUGCAAUAUGAGCAUCAUUGAGCCAGAAAAUUAUGAAGAAGCUUCAAAAGAUAAAGCUUGGCAGAAAGCUAUGGAGGUUGAAAUGGAUAUGAUUGAUAAAAAUGAGACAUGGGAAUUGGUAAACAGACCAAUUUAAAUGGGUUUAUAAAACUAAGUUAAAUCUUGAUGGUUCAAUACAGAAACACAAAGCUAGGCUGGUGGUCAAAGGUUAUGCACAAAAGCCUGGAAUUGACUUCAAUGAAACUUUUGCUCCUGUUGCCAGAUUAGACACCAUUAGAACUCUUAUUGCAUUGGCAGCUCAAAAGGGGUGGAAGUUGUAUCAAUUGGAUGUCAAGUCUGCUUUUCUGAAUGGUGUGCUUAAGGAAGAAGUAUAUGUGGACCAGCCAGAUGGUUUUGUGAUUAAGAACUCUAAAGACAAAGUGUACAAACUAAAGAAAGCUCUGUAUGGUCUAAAACAGGCGCCAAGAGCAUGGUAUGAGGAAAUAAAUUCGUAUCUUAUUGACUGCGGUUAUACAAGGAGCUCUAGUGAAGCAACUCUCUAUUGCAAGACCAAGGAAAACUCUAGAACACUCAUUGUAUCGAUAUAUGUUGAUGAUAUAGUGUAUACAAGAAGCAGUGAAGAAUUGAUUGCAGAUUUUAAGUCUGAGAUGAUGAGAAGGUAUGAAAUGACUAACUUCGGUCUUUUGUAUCAUUUUCUUGGUAUGGCUGUGAUUCAAAUUGAAAAGAGUAUUUUCAUAAGUCAAAAGAAAUAUGCUUUGACUAAGCAAGUUUGGCUUAAAACAAUGUAAACCUGUUAGCACUACUCUGGUGGCAAGUGAGAAAUUAUGCAAAGCUGAUGGAAGUGAUCCAACAAAUGAGAAUGAAUAUAGGCAAAUUGUGGGAAGUUUGUUGUACUUAACAGCUACAAGGCCUGACAUAAUGUUUGCAGCUAGCUUAUUAGCUAGAUUCAUGCAUUGUCCUAAAAGAAACACUAUGGAACAACUAAGAGGGUGUUGAGGUAUAUCAAAGGCACAAUUGAUUAUGGUAUUGAAUACCAGAAGGGAAAAGAAGUUGUAUUAAUUGGAUACUGUGACAGUGACUGGAGUGGGAGUCAAGAUGACAUGAAGAGCACUUCUGGAUAUGCUUUCUCAUUUGGAAGUGGAGUGUUCUCUUGGGCAUCUGUCAAGCAACCCAGUGUUGCUCUCUCCACAGCUGAAGUUGAAUAUGUUAGUGCAAAUGAAGCUACUACUCAAGCUAUAUGGUUGAGGUUUGUGCUUGAAGACUUUGGAGAAUUGCAGACAGAGGCAACUCCAUUAAUGGUAGAUAACACCUCUGCCAUUGCAAUGACAAGGAAUCCAGUUUUCCAUCAAAAGACCAAACACAUUAACUGCAUAUACCAUUUCAUUCGAGAUGCUUUGCAAGAAGGUGUGGUGGAUCUAAGAUACUGCAAGUCUGAAGAGCAAGCAGCUGACAUAUUCACUAAAGCUUUGUCUAAGGAUCGAUUCAAUUACUUAAGAGGUCUACUUGGUGUUAAACCAGUCAACAAUUUAGAAGGGAAUGUCGAAUUAUAAAUUCCUGCUACUUUAGGUUUUAUUUUACAGAUGUAAUAUUUUGGUUGGAUGAAACUUAUAUGACUCAGAUUUAAGACAAGUGUCCAGCUUACAUUGCUGGAUCAAUUGUAAGGCUGAGAUCACACUCUCAACAUUGUAAAAAGGAAUGGUUCCGUUAGAAAUGAGAGUAUUGUGCACUUCCAUGUUUUGUGCAUAGCAACGAACCUUUGAGCAUUACUGAGUUGCCAAUCCAUUCUUUCUCUGCAUUUUUCUGUUUUCUUAAAUUCAUCUGGUUUUGUGUGAGCUGAUGCAUUGUGUGUGCAAGUUCUGAUUGAAAUCUCAACAGAAGAGGCAGAAAUAAGUAGAGUAGGGAGAUAAUUAUACAGGGGUGCAAGCUUAUUAUACGUACAAUGCUAAGUGAUGAUCAUGCAGAUUUGUGGUUCGGAACCCAGGCAAUAGCAUCUGUGGAAAGGAAAUGGCAGAUGGGAAUGGUUCCGGGCUUAACUUUGAGGAUUUGGAAGGCCAAAUGCUUUGGGUUCCAUUCUGAUGUGUCUAGAUGGCAGAUGGUUACUGCUUUAACCUUCACCCCAUCAUCGCCUUUCAGGGAGAGAACAUAAGCUGCUGUCUGUUUUAUUGCAUGGCAGAAAAACACAGCAUAGGGAUAGUUCUCCUUAUGACACACAACGACUUUGUCACCUGCCAACUUCUUCAGUCCCGGCAUUGUUGUAUACUUGUGCAUGGACAUGGUGGCUCCUUUUUCCAAUACCUCAGUCGAGAUUGCUUGAACGUUUCUUGUUCUAAGCUUGGAAGUGCUAAAAUCAACCAUUGAUUCUAAAGAUGUGGCGCAAUAUCUUUCCUCUCCCUUAAUGCCUGGAGCUUCACACUCUUCGAUUGUUUUCUUAAUUGUUUUGGCUUCCACAGAUGUUGGCUUCACUGAAAAAUGGUUGAAAAUUUCUGAUAGUUUGUUAGAGGAGAAGGGGAUCGAUUGAGCACUUUCACGUGGCAGGAAAGUAGCCGUGUUUGAAUUUCUAGUGAAUUGGAAGUUCAUUGUUGCGCCAAGGCGCAUGUCCUUCCCCAAGAAGAAAAUAGUCAUGUUUUUAUAAUAUUGGAGUUGAUUGUCAGAAUUAGGAACUCCUGCAUACUGUACUUGAAUUGUGUAUCCGCUAAACAAUGCCUUCAUUUUAGGUUUGCCGUUGUGGUCCGUUGGCUUUCCAUUCCCAACAGCAUUCAUGAUAUUUGUGCUCUUUUCUUCAUUUGUGGAGUCUGAAAAUUAUAUAUCAACGUCAUAAUGGAAAAUAAGUGAUCAGCCGAUUGAAGAGUCAGUGAGACAUUUGUGAAUAUGUUGCCGUACGUACUCUAGUACCAUACUAUAAUUACUCAUGUAGAGGUUAAUAAUAAAUUGGAAAACAGUAGUUAACCGAUAAAUAUGUGGUCGAACAAAUUUUAGUAAAAUGGCAGGUAGAAAAAAUAUCUAAGAUUCUAAAGUGAUUAACACAAACCAGGAUGCAGAAGUUCACUGAUAGUUCUUGGCAUCUGUGUGUUUGGCAGGACGGAGUUCCAGUAAAGUUGAGCUGCUGGUUGAGCAGCAUGGUUUGCCAGUGCCACCGCUGCUAGCUGCAACAUUAAUUCGAACUCAAAUUAAAAUCAAAUCACAAAGUGUAAUUAAUUAGUGGACGACACUUUCGGAGAGGAUUAUAUAGAGUACAGUGAGAGAGAAUGGAAAAGUUAAUCAAAUUGCAAAGCUUACACUGAGAAUAGCAAAGAUGAGUGGGAGAUGAAACCCCAUUAGGACUGAAAUUAACUUGGCAACAGAUGUAGCUAGUGGAUAUGAAGCAAGAAAUUAAAGAAAGUCGGAGCUGGCUCUUAUAGUAACAGUAGCAACUGGCUUCACCAUUUUAUGGACGAAUGAUGAGGGGUACCCAGAAGUAACACUCCACCCACCAAUAAUAGAGCUUAAUUACUUCCCACUGCCUCACUCACUUAAAUUCAUUUGAGGCAAGUGGCAUGAUGUGAUGUAUCAGACAUAAUACAUGGUUAAUCAUAAUGGACGCAAGUGAUUAAAUUUGAGAUAAUAUUGAAAAUAAUAAUACACAAUAGGUUUUCAAUCGAGAGGGGGUGGAGAGCUCACUAGGACUUGAAAACAAAAAAAAAAUAUGUCCAUAUAUAAUUAAAGGGUACAAUUUCUGCUUUAUUAAUUUUACUUGAUUUUCCGUGGUUCAGAAAAUUCCCAGAAAACAAAAGAUUUUAUAAAUCCAGCGAACCAUGUUUGGCCUACACAUAUUGGUCUUGUGGUGUAGGUGGUGGCUAAGGUGAUAAGUAUUCCGCAGCCUCCCCUGCAUUACUCCAUUUUCUGUCUUCUUCAUUGUCUCCCAAUUGUGAUGAACAGCCAAAGAUGUCUGCCAGUUGUGGAUAUGGUUUUCGUCUUGAAAGAAACCCAAAUAAAAAAAUUUCAAAUUAAGGUAUAUAAGAUGAUCUACAAUCAUGCUCCCUAUUUUUUAGUUAAAUUUAGCUAAAAACACACAAAAGCUAUUUUAGGAGCUCUUUAUAAAAUUUGAACUCCAAUCAUACUCCCUAGUUUAGAGAAUCAUAAAUACUUAAAUUAUUUUUUAAUUCAAUAUAAUUGGUUCAUCUGUCUACAAAAUAAUAUAAAAAAAUAAUUUGAUUUAAUUAAAAAUUUAAAAUAUGCAUAAAACAAAGCAACAUUAAAUUAUAGGGAGUCAAUAAAAGUCAUUUCUCUCUCCUCAGAUUUAGGAGCUCCUAGAGGUCCCCUUAUUUUAGGAGGUGGAUAGGGAGCAUGGUUGGAGUUAUACUUUUCCAAUUCCUCCCUAAAAUUUGUCUAAGGAGAUGGUUUAGAGAGCUCAUUGUGGAUGAUACUUAACCAAUUAAAGAAACCCAAAAAUCUUCAGUAUGACGUAACAUAUGUUGUCCACAUCACUCAUGUUUUACCAGAGUUAGAGCAUUCUAUUGUGAAUUUUAGACAACCUGAAAAAUGGAGAUUAUAAAGAUUAGUCUAAAUACAAAUUAUACUCGCAAGUGCACAAGGUCAAUCGUAAUAUAGUACUGGCUAAUACGAGGCCAUUCCCACGAGGAUUGAGUUCAACUUCCAAUUAGUCCAACCUAAUUUACUUCACAAAAUAUUUUAACUACUCUAAUUAUAUAAACAAGAAAGGGUUAAUGACCUAAAUGGUCCCCCAACUAUCGCUCCAGUACCAUUUUGGUCCACCAACUAAAAUUUUCAUUUCAAACGUCCUUAAACUUUUUAUUUUGUACUAAGAGGGUCCUUUCGUCAAAGUCUGUGUAUUAUUCCGUUAAAUCGAGGGACAAAACCGUAUUUUUAGGUGAGUAUCCUCUUCUAAAACGACCAAGCCACUAUAGUAUCGCAUUCCCUCCCAUUUAUGUUAGAAGCUCCACCAAAAACCCCAAAUUAGAACCCUAGGUUUGCAAUUUCGGAGAUUUCAACGUCAGAGAUUUCAACGACCUCAAGUGGGACGAGUCGGUACUGCGCCUAUGGGACGAAGAUAAUUCGUCGGACUUCGUGGACAGAUUUGAACCCAGGAAGAAGGUUCGAUGCUUGUGAUAAAAAUUGGGUAAUUUAUUAUUUGGGUUGCAAAAGUUGUUCUUUUCCAUUUGUAAUUGCUUGAUGAGGUUUGAAAUUUGGUAAGAUUUGAUUUGCCAGAAUAGCAGAAGAGGUAUGCAUUAUUUCGAGUGGGUGGAUAAUGAAACUUGUCCAAGAGGAAAACAAGUGGUCCCUGGUUUGCUUAGAAGACUUAGAGCAACGAAGGAGGAAGGUAGAGCAAAGGAAGAACAAUUGAGAGCUGUGGAAGCAAAAAAGAAAGAACUGCAGCAUAAAUUGCAAGAAAUGGUUCAGGAAAAAAAGGUUUUUGAAUGGGGUCAUGGCAAAGACAAUUCAUAAUAUGGGUUUCCUUGAUUUUGUCUUGGGGUUUGUUUAUAACAUUUGUGAUGAGUGGGAAGUUGUAAUUGUUAUGGGGUUUGUUCCUUUGAAUGUAAAGGUUCUGAAAUGUGCAUUAGUGUUUUGCAAUAUGCAUUAGUGUUAUGAAAUUUUCUUGAAUUGAGGUUAUUUGAAUAUCUGGGAGAUGCCAUUCCAUUGAGUAUAACAAAUUAAAAGCCAUUCCAUUCUUGACCACACAGGCAAUUUACAAAAUGAACAUCCAUAUAAACAUUCGAAUUCCAAUUACAUAGUUUGAGCCCAUGAAACUGAAGACCAGUUAGACCAAUUAUAGAAUUCCAAUUACAAAAUGCACCUGCCUAAAAAAGUACAUAAGCCAAAACAGACAACCAAUUACACAGUUUGAGCUGUUCUAGCUCAAAACCAAGGACACAAAGUACACAAAAUCCUCAUGCCCAAAAAAGUACCUAACCCAAAAUAGGCAAGCAAUUACAUAGUUUUAGCCCUCAAACUCAAAACCAAUUACACAGUCUAAAGUCAGAAUCAGUCCCUUUUGUCACAAAAUCCCUCUGGCCAGAAAAUUACAUAUCCCAAAAUACACAAAAUACGACAGCCUUAGCAAUAAUUUCCCCUAUAUUGAGGCCAUGCUAUUAUCUUGGGAAAUGUUGUCCAAAGUUGGUCCUCCUUGUCCCCUUCCUCUUGCCACCUAAACAAUGUAGUAAUGUCAGGUGUAUAAUAGUUGAAAAUUGGCAAUUAGUGAAAUGAAUAAGAAAAUUGGCAAUGGUGGAAGAGUGGUAACAAUACGAAUAAGCAGAUUAAUAUCUAAGUAUGUUCAAGCUUCCUUGAGCUGCAGGAAACUUAAGCAGUAGUUUCAAGAAAUGGAUAAUCAGUGUAACCAAUUACCGGAUCAGAUGUAUAGAAUGUCUCUCGGUUGUACUUAUUUAGAGGAGCAUUAAGCUCAAAUCUCUUGGGAAAAUCUGGAUUAGCCAAGAACAAACGUCCAUAAGCAAUAAGAUCUGCACGACCCUCUGCCACAGCAUUGUUCCCAUCUUCCCUGUCAAAACCACCAGCAGCAAUGAAGGUACCUUUAAAAGCUUCUCUCAUGGGCAGAAGACUGUAAGGGGUUUCACUUUUGUCUCCAACUGUCUUCAUUCUUGGCUCAACCACAUGGCAGUACAGGAUCCCGUAUUUGUUCAAGGAUUUGGCCAUAUAAAGGCCUAAUGCUUUCGGAUUCGAAUACCCUGAUUCCAUAUAGUCUGCAAAUGGUGAUAAUCUAAUUCCAACUUUAUCUGCUCCUAUCUCAUUAGCAACAGCUUCAACGAUUUCCAGAGCAAACCGGCAACGAUUCUCCAGCGAUCCACCAUAUUCAUCUGUUCGAUCGUUCACUUGGUCUUUCAUAAACUGAUCAAUCAGGUAGCCAUGAGCCCCAUGAAUUUCAACCCCAUCAAAGCCUACAUAUCACACAAGCAUUUUCUAAUGUAUUUUUAUUUAUUUUUAAUUCAUUUUUUGUUUCAAUGUCGCCCCUUGUGCCUUGAAUCGGGUAAUAGUAAUUUAUGUGAUAAUAUUUAUCCAUUUAUGACGUUUGUCAUUGAAUAGAAAAGGAAAAUAUCGCAAACAGAUCCCAGAGAGCAUUUAAAGCCCCCUCCUUCACUGUGCCAAACAUAAAGCUUCCAAAAGAAAAUCCGUGGCAAAAAUUCUAUAUAUACUAAAACCCAAUGCAACUAAAUACUGUAGCUAAGCACAGUAAAUUUAAGAAAAUGCCUUUAUUUUAAACUGUUCAGUCAGCUUUUUCUCUCCCUUUGCACAGUAAAAUUGCGAUUUUGCCCUUGGCUAAUUGUUUUGUGUUUUUCCCGUUUUGCCCUCUCUUUCCUUGGGAUGUAACUAGCGGCUGUUUAGGGUUGAGAGGCGUCUGGCUGGAUUUCAACUAGCUGGUUGGAGAGCUUCAAGGGUAAAAUGGGAGAGGUGUUGGUUCUUCGAUGUCUACAUCUGGAGUCUUUUACUGUUUUACACAGCCAUAGUUCACCGACUUCAGUUUUGGCUUCCAUUCUUCACCGACUUCCUUGCUUUCUUCUCUUUCGAUUCGAAGAUCAAUUUCCAUCUAAACUCAUCUCCGUCUGCUGCUCGCCUGGCCUUGGCCUCUGAUCAGGUUAGCCUCUUAAUGGUUCAUGAAACUAUAGUGAAGUAUCUGAAAUUCAAUUUGGUUUAACGAUAUACCAAUUUAAAUUUCUCUAUCUGAUUAAUAUCAUAGUUUGAGAUGUGCAACAGAUUUCUUAGGUUCCGACUUCUGAUCUCUUUGCACGAUGUGAUUGUUAGUUAACCCAAAACAUCCUUUUAGUUAUUGAGUUUUGCUGAUGUGAUAAGGCCCCUUAAAACCAAUAUCUCCCUCUUUAUUGAGUUUUCAGUGGAUAAAUUUUGCUCAUAGUUUUCUUCAAUUGCGUUUAAUUGAAUCUUAAUUAAUAAGCAUGUGUUUUUAUUUAAUAUAUCUGUGUGUUUUAAUGUGCAAAGGGUCGUGUUUUCAGGUGAUUUUAUCAUUAAGAUGCCAAUGUUGACUGCUCCAAGUACAAUUGUUAGCUCGCCUCUAUUGCCAACAGGUAUUUUAUGAGUACCCAUUGCUAAGUUUCUGUGAUUUUUUUAAGAUAAUAAUACUAAUGAUUGAUUUGAUUGGAAGCUACAGAUUUUGAAAUGAGGUAUUUCUUCCAUCAGUUUGUGUUUUCAUUGUUUACCGACUUCCUUGCCUUCGUCUUUUUCAUCGCUAUGAUCUUCCUCUUAUCUUCCAAGGUGCUCACUUUCCGACUCACUUGGGUUCUAUCAGGAAGGGGAUUGAAUCUCACAGAUUAGCUCAGGUAUUUCCAUUGUUCUUAUUAUUAAUUUUUUUAAUCAAUUGUCGAUUCAAUGACUUUGCUCUCUUGGAGAAAUCUUAGAAAUGGAAAUCAUUCCCAAUUUCUGUUUUGGUUGCCAAUAAAACAGUGGAAAGCAAAGACCAAGGGUGCUUGAAGAAAAAAAAAAUUCCUUUUUUAAUCUGUUUUUGGUUGCUGUAUCCUAAAUAUGGAGAAAAAAAAAUUAAUGAUAAAACACAAGGAAAAAAGAAGUGAAGAUUAAUCAUGUUUCGACAAAAUAGAAUUGGGUGCUUUAUUCUUUUUGGGCUUAACUUUUCUCAUAGAUUGCUUGCACUUGAGGGCAUUCCCCCGCAUGUUAUUGUUUUAAUGCUUUUGUCCUCUGUUGGGUCAUUUGGGUUGGUGUCAUUUUACAUUGCUAACCUUAUGUUUGUAUAUAUUGCUUGAAUUUCAGCUGCACCCAGAAAACUAUCUGAGAAGAUAAUCUGCAGAGCAAGGAAUUUGCAAUCUAUUGAGGUUAAGUAUCUUUGAAACCACUCCAAUGACCUCCUCUCCUUUGAGUUGUAGUUUCAUUUAAGUUGCCAAAAACUCCUGCAGUAACUUUGAUACCUCACCAGCUACAUGUUCCAAUGGAUCUUUUUUUGCUUCACAGUUUCUUAGGUUCCAUUUAAUUUGGUAUUUAUUUUGGUGUGAUAUAUUUCUCUUAGGGUGUGUCAAAUGGUAAAGCUGCAAGUAAACCAUCCAUUGAUAAUAAUAAAAAUGAGCUUUCUAACCCUAAACCCUCUAAUAUCUGAGUAUAUUGUUGAAUCUAUUGGGUGUUUUGUUGAGGUUACAACAAUGGAUUGAAACAUCUGAGCAUGUUGUUGAAUAUUUGGAGUGUUUUGAGACUGAUGGAGAGAGAAAAACAUAGGAAAAUAGUAUCUGAAUAGAGUUUUUUUCUUUCAAUUACUUAUAAGAUUUCUUCAUAUAAAGCCCUUUGUUUAAUAUCAGUUUCUAUUGAGCUCCCUUAGUUUUUGGUGGAUGUUGGUGUGUAAGUGUGUGUUCUUCCUGUUAUUCACACUAAACCCAUUUUUCUGGAAGGCCAUAACGGUAUAAAUUAGGUCAAAAUGCUUCUGUAGAGGACUUUUCUGUAUGUAUGGAAUUUUGAUCUUUGUGGAAAUAUGAAUGGUAUGUUAGAAAGUGAAUUCAUAUAGACUGCAUAGUUGGAAUUUUGAGUUCUUAGGUUUAUUUUUGUGCAAAGUCUUCUGUUAGAAGAUUCAUUAAAGAGCCAUUUCUUUCCUUUUUAAGUCUCUCUUCUAUCACUUGAAAGGCUAAAGUACUUGCAAGGGCAUGAAUUCUUGCAGGAAUUAUAGCUCAUGAGAGCAAUACUUUUUUUAUUUAUUUAUAUAAAUCUAUUUAAAGGAUGAGACAUAGAAGGAUCUUUGAAAAUUAUGGUUUGGAAUGGAUAUUUUGCAGACCAAAGUUUGAGAGGUCUGUCAUUGGGAAUGCAUAAUUGUAUCCAAAAGCUUCCCGUGAUGAACUUUAGGCCAAACUCAUAAAGAGAGAACAUUUAAAUUCGUAAAGAAGGGGUAGUGUUCAAGCUAUUUCCCAAGUUAUUAUUUCAAAUCUUUGCCCUUCCAAGUUUUAAAGGUUUAAAUUGUUUGUUAGGGUUUCUCAAUUUGGGUGUUUGAUUUACGAAUUUUAAUUCUUCUCUCUUUCUAAGUUUGAAAACUACCUUCAUUAUCUGGUUGGAGUGUUGAUGUAACCAGAACCAGAUUUUAAAUUCAGUUGGGAUUGUUGGGAGAUAAGAAUGGGAGAUUUUUUUUGGCUGGCUCUUUGUCAGUUGGGAUUUGUUUUUCUUUUCUUUUCUUAAUGCUUCAUAAUUCCUGUUUUGCUUUAGCAAAGUGUUCAGCUCGCAUGAAUUUGAUCUUUCGGUUAAUAGAGCAUAGAAAUUAGCUUACGGCACCAUAUGAAAAUGGGUUUAAUUUUCUUUAGGUUUACAGUGAAGAAGUCGAUCGUUUAAAAGGGUUUUUCUUCAAGAACAAACAUAUAGUGUAAUUUAAGAUAAACAAAAAGAAACUAAACUAUUUUUAUAUCACCAAAAAUUUCAGUGUCUCUGAUACCAAAUCAGACCAAAGUGAGUCAAAUUAAAGUUAGUAACCAACUGAACUUACUACAAGUGAAAUGUGUCUGAACAAUGAGUUGAGGCAAACAUCAGAGGAGCCACAAUAAGUUAUUAAUUGUUCUUCAAAACAAGAAAACAAACUAAAGAAAUUAAACACAUAAUUUCAAAAGUUCAGAGUGAAUUGUGUCCUGUCUGCUUUUUUUUUUUUUUUAUAAACUCCACAAUCAGUUUUGCCCUUGCAUGGCCCUCUGAAAUUUGGAACUGUUCAGUUAAACCCAUAUGUGCCAUAAGAAGCCAGACAUGGGUGAGUAGCUCUCCUCCUCGCCUGAGCUGCUGAGCCUGACCACUCCAUCGACAUUGAUUGGCGGCAUAAGGGAGCAUCUCCACCCACACAUGACUUACAAACUGCCACUUUCUCCCUCUAUUUGACUCCAGGGACUGCAAGGCUUUAGCAAGCCUGCAUGCAUCAAAUAGAACUGACUUGCUUCUAUCUCCUUUCACUUUAGAUGGAAGGAUGUCUGUGCACACAUCCAGUAGCUUUGUGCAUGCUUUCCUUUCACCCAAUUUCAUUAUUUUCUUUUCCUUGAAAAAUCCUUCAGCCUCAGCACAUGUGUCUCUAAACCUUAUCUGUCCAAUCCCAUUCAGUCGCAUGAAGGGGCACAUGACUAAUAGUUCGAUAACAGCUUACUGUUUUCACAAUUUUCACUAGGAACCGAGUUCGAGUUUCGAUUCACAUCAGAAUAAUAACAUAGAUCAGUUUGUGCAUUUGGUAUUUGUUUUUGUGUGAUAUUUUUCUGUUAGGGCGUGUCAAAUGGUAAAGCUGUUGAUUUGUUGGAAUUUAGGGUUUAUGAUUUGUUGAUUAAAUUUUGUGAUGGACCUCUUUUCCUCUUUCUGUUGGUGCAUUUGUCUUAAUUAAAUUUGUUUCUUUAAAAAAAAAAAUGGUGUGUUGAUUAAUUGAUAUGACAGUUUGGUUUGAUUAAUUCAUGUGUAUGACAGCAAAGGUUGGGAGCUGCUUUUGGAGCCUCAUUUAUUUGGCCUGCAAGCUUGAUUUACUUCUCCAGGUUUUCAUUCUCUUCCAUCUCCAUCUCCGAUUUUAAUCUACUGGUUUGGAAAAGCUCAUAUUCAAGUGAUUUUUAAACUCUAAAUCCCUAAUUGAUGAUAAUGCCUAAUAUUUUUAGUUAGUUGAAAUUUUUAUAAUGAGUUAUUAGAUGAAUAUUGAUGAUUUUCUUUGUGGAUAAUGAUUUAUUAGAUUGAAUGAAUAUUGAUGAUUUUGUGUGUGGAUAAUGAUUUGUUGGAUUAUAGAUGACUAUAUAUGAUUAUUUGAUUUGUUGGAAUUUAGGGUUUAUGAUUUGUUGAUUAAAUUUUGUGAUAGACUUUUUUUUAUAACUUAAUAAUCUAUUUAUCGAUGAUGUGUAAAUAACAUAGUAGCAUAUUUAAAUUUUUUAACAGGUGUUUUGAAUCAAGUGCUUCCUUCUAUUCUUCAAAAAGACAUAUAUUCUGGUAAACUUAAUUGAGUUUGAGCUUAUGGGGUUAAACUUUUUGCCAUAUUUUUAUUGCACUGUUUCUUUUCUUAUUCUUAUAUGCAGGGAUGAUUUGUUUCUUUUUUUCCUUCUUCUCAAUUUCAAACAGAUUUACAGUACUUUCUCUUGCUGAAAUUUUGUGAAAUAUAUGUAUAUAGGGGAGCUCAAAUUAAGAAAUAGUGGUUACGCAUUAUUCCUUUUUCAUAAAAUUCAAUUUUUCUUCAAUACAUCAAACUAUGAUUCUUUUACCUCUCUUCAACUUUUCCUUUAGAUAAACACAGAAUUUAAAAUAUGUUUACUUUGUGUUACAUCAAUUGGAAAGCCAUCUAGAACUUGCUCAUUAGUUCUCUUAAUUUCGUUACUUUGUGUUUCCUCGAUUGGAAAACCAUUUAUAACUUUCUUAUUAAAUUGUUAAAUUAUAUUAUUCAUGUUUAUACAUAAUUAGAUGUUUAUGAUUAUUGUCCUAACUCAAUUUUCCCCAUUCAUCAACACUAACACUUACUAUUUUCCCACUUUUUUAUAACAGGUCAAGAUCUCCAUCAAAGAGAAGAAAAGUCAUGAAGAAAUUGCAAAACAAAAACUGCCCAAUUAAACAGCAUGCUACUCAAAACUAUCUAAAUUUUGCUAUUUUGAUAACUGCUUCGCACUAUUAAUAUCUCAAUGUAUAUACAAACAUGCCUACUAUUUUAACAUAACAAGCAGCCUGUAAAAUAUGGUAUUACUUUCUUUUUUAGCAACUUAUACUUCCUUAGUUAAGCAUAAUGCUACAAAUUAAAUCUCAUUGUAUAUAAACAAUCUUAUUUUGUCUACGUAAUUUCAAAACCCGCAGCAUCGUGCGGGCUUUUUUUCUAGUGUAAACUAAAUAUCAAGAUAUUUCCUAAGAUGCACUUCUCUUAUGAACAAUCAGUUUCAUACCCCAAGAGCUGUUCUCCCACUUCUUCUUCACAUCGCAGCCUUCAUUGCAGCAAGCAAUUCCUUUUUCGUGGGGACCAUUUUUAUGUCAAUUUUGAUGUAAGAUACGGAAAGUCUCUCAAAAUUCAUUUGGCAUAGCAAGGUGCUUGGUGGAUGACUGCAUGUCUAUUUUGGCUCAAUUUGCUCGAGCCUUUAUUUUACAUGUUUUUGGGGAAGCAAAUACAGUAGCACAUCAUUUAGCACAUGACUUAUUGGUAACAAAUUUUAUUUUUGUCCACCCUAUGGUAGGGGUAUAUUACAUACUCUUAUAGAUAUAUUAUCAUUCUCUUGCCUAUUGCAUAGGUAUAUAUAUGUAUUUUUCAUAUUUUCGAUAACAUAUAAUAAUAUUUUAUGUACCAUUUUUUUAAUAGGUAGCAUACAAUUUUUAUUUGUCUAUUUUUGUAUCUAAAUUAUACGUGAUCUUCUUAUUUAUGUUCCUAACUUAUAAGUAAUCUUUUAAUUUAUGUUCCUGACUUAUACGUAACACGAUUUAUCACUAAGUUUUUUCCAUUGCUAAUAAUAACACUCUUUACCUUUAUGUUAGGUACAUAAUUUCAUGUCGCCUAAGUAAUUGGUAUAAUAUGUGGAUUUUCACUGUCAUGAAUUAAAUUAAAUUUUAUCCAUAUAUGAGGUAAAUAUUACCAAGGAAAGAAUUGAAAAUUUAAUUUAUGAAAUUCAAUUAUGAUAUUAAAUUUAGAUUUUCAAUGUGUUUUCUUUAUUUACCCUAAUGGGUAAAUUGACACAAGAAAAAGGUAAUAAAAGUCAAAGGACUUACAUCUAAAACCAAAAACGCGUGGACUAAAUUCAAUGACAGCUAAUCAUUUUGGAUCUAAGAACCCCUUAUAUUUUCCACUCAAAGGUUCUUAAAGGGAGCUUCAAGCAUUGAUCAACACUUCUACUCAACACCAUUUAAGAAAAAUAUGCUUGUAAGUGUCCAAAGUUGUUAUUGUCAUAAUUAUUGCUAGAGUGAUUGUCUUGCAUUUCCUAUUAGAGGCAUAGCCGUGCGGCUAUACUUUUUAAAUAUAUUUGAAUAUUUUAAAGGUAUAGCUGGUCGGCUAUACUCUUUCAUGUAUCCAGGGUUUAGCGCUCCUUUUCCAUGUAGACAAACAAAGAAUUGCAAAAUCAGAAACGUACGUAAAUUGGACGCCAUGGUAGCCACGGAUAGGGGACUCGAACUCGUCACUACGAACGUCUAGGGCACAGAGCAAGCCCGUGCCAGGUUUCGAUCAGUGUUCGAAAAAUCGGCCUAGGCACUAGCCGGGAGGACACCGACGCCAGGGAGUUAGGCGGCCUGGAAGGAUCUAGGUGGCACCUUGGCGGCCUGGAAGGAUCUAGGCGGCUCCUAGGCGGCCUGGAAGGAUCUAGGAGGCCUGGACUGAUCUAGGCUGCGCCUAGGCGGCCUGGGAGGAUCUAGGUGGCCUGGGCGGGUCGUGUCCAUAGUUAUAAUCAACUUAGGCAUGCAUAGUUUUCCAAAAAUUUACAAACAGCAAAACAGAGAAAAGACGCGAAUCAUGGAGUUACCAAUCCUUCGAUCUGAACAACUCUGAGGGAGGAAGCAACCUCUUCUGUCGCUGCCACCUGAAGAAAGGAUCUUGCCACCGCCGUACAAUCAACAAAACAAAACCAAAUUUUCACAAAGAAGAAAAACAAACGCAUUCAAAUUUACAGAUAGAGAAUUGUACGAACGGGUUGCCAUGUUGUAAUUUCACGGAGAGAGCAAAAGAAGAGAAGAGAGACAGAGCAAUAGUAUAAGAUGGGAAGCUUUGUCUCUCACGGGUGCGGAGGAACCUCUGUGUAUGGUGAAUGUGAAGAUGAUUGCUUAACCCUAGUUGUCGAAGGACUGGAAAAUUGGGCCUUGCUCACCCAUGCCUUUCUGCUUUAUUGAUUUCUUUCUAGUAUUAGAAGCCUAAUGUUACUGUCUAAUAAAGUCACUUAGAAAAUCCUUGCAUCUUCUGCUCUGCAACUACAUGCCUAUAAAAAAAUUUAUUUAUUUAAAUAUUUUGACUGUACAAGUGGAAUAGCACUGUAGGGGUGGACGCUACUUUAGACGGGCCAAUGAAAUCUUUCAACAGAUUCAAAGAAAAUUUUGGUUGAAAUUUUGUACACCUUAUUUUGGAGGCUUGUAGUGUAGAUAUGCAUAAUCCUUAUGGCUUUGGUGAUGUCAAAAAAAGCAUACAUAAUUGUUUAUUCCAAUUCUGGAAUGAAAUGGAAGACACCUUCAACUAGUUUUAGCCUUUUAAUUAAUUAGUUACUGGCAAAAGAGAGAUAAAACAAUAAUUCUGAGCUGGCAAAAACAGUACUUAAUUAGUUACUGGGCAAAAUCUUAUCUGUGUUUGAGUAGGUUUGCCUAAGUUCUUGUUUUUGUUUAUGAAUUUCAUAGCAAGUGUUACUGGUAUGGUGUUUGGUUGGUGGGAAAACCUAGCAAGUGUUAAUAUUUCUUUAUUUCUAAAAAAAUUACUAAUUCUUUACUUGCUUAGUUGCUUUGUUUUUAAAUUAGUUACACCUAGUAUGAUAAGAUAAUGCCUUCUUUUUGUUUUUUUACUGUAUAGACGUCUGCCAAGUGAGAUGGUUGGGCAUCUAAAUUCAUUUUGAGAUUUGGAUGAGUUGAGGGGAGAUCCAAUCCUCGUCACCAACUGCUUCGCCUGUUACGGGUGCCCUCUGGUUUUGAGGUUGGUGUCUAGGGCAGGCAGAAACAUAGAUUGUGUGAUGAUUGUCACCUGGAUAAUGGCUGUGGAUUAUUUUUCUAUAUUUAUAAAUGGCUUUUCAGUUGGGUUGUGUGGUCAGGGCACACUAGGAACUUAUUAUUCCCCCAGAACAUGAGCAGUUGGCUCAGCUUAACUUCCACUUUUUAACUUGAAAAGAAAAAUAAGGAAAAGAUUGAGAGAGAGAGAGAGAGAGAGAGUUUAACUUGAAAAGAAAAAUAAGGAAAAGAUUGAGAGAGGGAGAGAGAGAGAGAGAGAGAGAGAGAGAGAGAGAGAGAGAGAUUGUUUACAAAUUAUGUCCAUUCAUGACAUCUUAAGGCAAUAAAUAACCCAUUCGUCAUUCCAGAAGCCAGUCUAUGCAUCUACCAUGCCUAAAUGCAAGCCAGAGGGGUCAAAAGGAAAACGCUGCUUCCAUCAUUUUGGAAGUACAAUGGCCACUUCAGAAAUUGAGAAAUUAUUGGCUCGUUCUCCGACAGCUUCGUAAAAACUCAAAUCGGGUAAAGCAAAACGAAGAGGCUCCUAACCUCAUCUAAAAAGUGUAUCCUAAACAAUAUAAUGGCAUAAGAGAGCAUUUUUUAUUUCCAAAUACACAAGAUUCAGCUCCAGUUGAGUAAAAUAUGAUAGCGGCCUCAUGCAAAAUUAGAGAAUCUUGGUCACAAAGGAACUAUAUAUUAAUAAUAUACAAAUUAGUACAGCCAUGGAAGAACAUAUUUGCUCAUGGUAGCAAGAUAUUUACAAAUCUUGAGAAAAUGGCUUGGACCCCAGUGAAACUGUAGGAUGUCUACAAAGUAGUAUCUAUAUUUACUCAUUACACUUGAUGUUUAACCAGAAAGGAUGCAGAUCUUCCUCCUGAAAAUGCUUGAAGGCCAAAAGAAUUUUUAAACUUAAUGGAAGAAAUAAUCUUUCAUCUAUCCAAAUGGGUUUCCUCUCUUUGAAGAAAAAGUUUCUGAGUUGCUGGGUGCUGGGUAUCUGAUACUUGGUUGCUGAAAUGGUUGCUGAGUUGUGCUUAAGGCGCCAAACACAGCUUCGCCCCUGCCAAAGCCACCGACUCCUUGUGGUCUGCAAUGAGGAUAGUGGCCGAAAAAUUAAGAAAUUAUAUUCAUUGUCAGCUGAAAUGGCUCGUAGCAUGCAAUGCGAUACAAAAAACGAUAACCAAGAACAAAUCAUUUACCUCACGUAAUUAUUUUGCAAUUGCUGCCCCAUGUAGGCACCUGAGAUGAUUAUAUUAUUAGACAUAAACAAAACAAGAAGCCAAGACAAGUUGACAAGAAACAGAAGAUAACGAAAUGAAUUUACUAGGAGAGAAUGCAGUUGCAAAGGAAGGCGAAUGUGAUGGCAUCAUGGAUUCAUUAGUUGGAGAUUGAGGUGUCUUCAACUGCGAAAAAUGAGUAGGAAGGCUGGAAGCAUGCAUCAAGCCUGGAGGUGCUGACACAUGAUGCAGAGCUCCUUGCAAUGGUGCCAUGGAAGGAAACUACAACAAAAAUAAUACUUGGAAGGUUCAAAAUAACUAUGAUUUGAACUUUUAUUUAUUGAGAAGAAAAAGAAUGCUCUUAAACAUAAAAAUAAAAAUAAAAAAAGUCAACUAAGAGUACGAAUUUUAAAAACUUCACAAAAUUGAGAAAGAAUAAGAUGUCAGUUUGAAUGUUGUGCAUACAUGUGUGGAAUGUACUACACUUUUUUCUUCAUUAAGAUCAAACGGGUUUGUUGGUUUUGCUGGAGCAGGAAAUGCAGGAGCAGGCUGUAAAUGAAAAUAACAUAUCAAUAAUCUGCGUACAGUAAGAAAUCUUAACACAGAACAUAUUCAGCUUGAUUCAUUUUUAUACAUUAUAUACCGUUGUGUUAGGGUAAUACUGCAUGCUGUACCCCAUUCCAGGAGCUGGAGCAGUAUGCCAACCUGAAGCUUGUGCAGGGACUGAUGAAUACCUUGCAGAGAAAAGGUCCUGUAGAGAAUUCAAUAUAAGAUAAUGACUAAGAAAUUUUUUACAGAAAAAAGAAAUAUGAAACAACAUAAGACAAUUUGAUACCACUGGAAGUUCCUUUCUCAUACUAGCUCUUGUUUCCGCUGGAAAAUAUUCGGAUCCAGCUCUACUGCCGGUAUCUUCAGCUGGCUUUAAAGAAGAUUGAGUUGAUUUUUCAACAGGAAUACUGAGAGAUCUUUGUAUGUUUGGUGCCAGUGCUAAAGUCCUUGACUGCAAAUGUGUAUAUUAAGCAACAAAGUAAGAAAAAACCAUAAACUACAUAAGACAUAAGAGAAAGCAGUAUAUUUACAUUGAAGAAUUUUCAGAAUAAUUCAUAAUCAGUGAUUGCUAAACUGAAUUUUCAAUAUUUAAUAAGGAGGAAACGAUAUUUAUCUUACCUCACCAUUUGAAGCUCGAACCGGAGUAUUUAUAUGUUGUGAACCGCUAUCUGCAGUGAAGGAUAGCUGCAUACUUGGUGGCUGUUGCCCAUUAUUAACUUUUAGAGUGGUAUCACCCCCACUAGGAGGAGGUAGAGCUAGCAAAGUACCUACAUUAGCAGGUUGUUCUGGUACAGCGGUACUAGUUGAUGUAGAUGUAGAAGCAGUUAGAGCAUCAAGUAAUGUUGGCAUCUGCUCUACAGGUGCAGCUGGGGCAGCACCACCUGCAGGCAUGUUGCUUAUACACAAAGUUGAGGGUGCAACGUCAUUGCGUGGUGUCUCAGAUGCAUUAGUCGCAGGUACAGAUGAGGGAGCUGACAAUUCAAGUAGCAAAGACUCCAAAGGGUCUGGGUUUGGAACCUGAGAUGCCUUCUCCUUUGAAGAUGAAUCAAAUGAGGCCCAGUUGUUAUCAUUAUUAGGUGGAGGUGUUUGCUGUGAUUGUGAAUUUGCUGCGGCAUGUGGGGGGUCGGAAUCAGUAUUGAAAUCAAUCAAGCUUACUAUUUUGUUUUCCGUCUCAUUCCCAUCCUGGCCAUUGGCAGAUUUGAUUUUCUACAGAGGAAACCACAAACUAUAAGUGCAUAUCUUUCUUGAAAACUGUCUACAGAGCCUAUGAACCUACAUAAAGAAAAACACCUAUGCUCCAAUCAAAUAUCCAUCAUAAUGUAGCAGCAACUGACCUGAUUAGGAGCAGAACCAUCAGCAUUCUUCUGAUUUUCUGUAGAAAUUUCACCAAUCUGUAGAGGAGGCACAUUCUGCGCUAGUUUCUCUUCAGUGGUGCGUGCAACAAGGGAACGAGACCUCUCCAUGUUCUUCUUAUUUUCAGUUGCCCUGCUUUGGACCUUGAAUUCUCCACUUGAGGAUCCAUUGCGUCUGGUUUUUUCCUCCCGAAUCCUGUUAUCAACAAUCUCAAAACGCAGAGGAUUUCUCUUGACACCACCACUCCUUACAUUUUCUUGAGAAUAUCGAGGACUUCUUCUUUCAUCAUAGUAAUAUCUUAAACUUCUGUCGGUACCUCUUUCACCUGGACUCAUUCCUUGACUAUAACUCCGUUCAUGCAUGUCGUCAUCAUGGAAGCUCCUAGAUCCACCAUGAUAUGAACCUACCUUCCUGCCUUCAUCAGACUCCUCAUUACUCUGUAUAAAAUGAACAAGAAUCUUUAACUGGGGGCAAUCAACAGAACUUACAAACAAUCCAUCAUCACAAAACCAAAAUGAGGUCUAUGUUUGUAGUGCUUGCUGCUGCUGAUAUAGCGUGCAGAUCAGGAAUGGCCAAGCUCUCCGCAGACGAAAGUAGUAAAAUAUGAAAUAAAAUAUUGUAUGUGCAACCAUUAAUAAAUGUGUAGCUCACCAAUCGCAGCCUUGAGAGCUUGUUCAUACUUCUCUCACCAGUGUAAACACUCCUCUCACCAGUGUAUUUUCUAUUCACGUAGACAUGCUUGAUAAAAUCCCUGAGUCUAUGAAGAUUACUGGAGGAAAGUAUGUGAAUUAGAAAACAUCUGGUAUGAAUUCAUUAACCCAUUAAUAGAAGAUAAAUACGCUUAAUCACCUGCCAUCAGGGUAAGCAUGGUACUGAGGAUCCCAUUCUUUAAAAUAAAUUUGUCUUGCUCGCUGUAAAUGAAAAUUUUAGUAAGAACCUGAACAGAACAUAUACAUACAGAAAGACCAAUGAGUAUGCACGCUCACCUCAUUCCCCCCUGCCUGCAGAGCACUAACUUCUUCUGCAUUAAAUUUAGCCAUCGACACUGAUUUCACUCGGUGAGUGAACUCCCGACUGAAGAAUACGAAAAAUCUUAAUAGGUCAGCACUUGUAAAACACAAAAUCAAAAUGAUGCCAUGCAGAAUUUAUGCACAUCACAACAAGAAUAAAGAAAACUAUAGAAAAGAAGGGUAUCACGGAGAGGUAGUGAGUGUAAACCAGAUAAGAAUACUUACUGUACUCCACUACAAUUUGUACACACAAAAGUCAAGAAGGUUGUACAAACAUAUUGUGGUCCCUGCACAAAGAAUACAUGUUAAGAAUAAUGUUGAACAUUUGCUUGUAAGAGAAAACGUAUGAAACCGCGCUUUCCACCAAAAUAUAAUUAAAUUUUUCACAAAAACAUAUAUAUUUCUCAAGUAUCUUCUCAUAUAUCUUUCGAAGCACAGUGCGUCUUGAAUGCAAUAAGAAAUCUAACACAUAAUUAAUCAUGCAUUUACAGAGUUCAAAUGUUAAUUUGCAGAAAAUAACAAAUUGAGGGUUUCGCUGCUUUCCCUGAUAUGCUGCAGAUGAAGAACCGUUGUUGAUGUUUUUAAUUUCACUUGUAUAAGGACCAUAUAACAAUGAAGGACACACACCAAAGAGAUAAGAAAAUAUGUAAAGAAGAUGUCAUACCAGACAAUUGCAAUUGAUGCAUCUUUUAUUCUGAGGAUGUUUCAAAAGAGUGCGAAUUGUUCUUUCGAUUUUCUCAUCUUCCUUCAAUCGAUUACCCAUUUCUCAGGAAAUUAUGUAACCUGAACAAAAAAGAAUGGAUAAAUAAUUAUUCCCACACAAAAAAAGGUCAUCUUUACUUUCUUCUCCAAAAUUUCUCACCAUCCAAAGGGAAAAUUACAGGAGGAAACCAACCUGAUUAUAUAACCAGUGCAGAUUAUAUCGAUUUCAGCAUGCAGAAAAAUUUGGCACCUCCUUCCAUCCAAAAAAUAGAAAUGUCAUCUUUCAUAAAUAAUUCAAACAUCAUCUAUAAAAUGAUUAGAAAUGCAUAUUUUCUCUUUUUUCUUCAGAAAAAGAAAAUUGAGAAUAAUCCUUCAACUAUAUGAAUGCAAUGUUUUACAUGAAUAUGAAUGUUCCCUGUCCUCUACUUUUCCCACAUUUUCUCAGUAACCAAACAGACGGAAAUGAAAUAAAACCACUUGUUAUCCAUAUCCGAUCAAAAUGAAGGAAAAGAGGACGACAUUUACUCUACUUAGCUCAAUUUUCUGAGCAAGCAAACAGAAAAUUGCAUGGGGAAACCAACCUGAUUAUAUAACCAGUGUAACUUUUGUAUGAUCUAUGCCUGCAUCCACCGGCGUGCAGAAGAAACCCCAGAAAUUGGCAACCGAGGGAGGAAGUGAAGAUAAUAAGCGUCGCAGAGAACCGACGGCUUAGAGUCGGACAUUUGUGCAACGAAGUCGGUUAGAGAGAAAAAGAGAGAGAGGAGAUAAAGAGGUCAAAGGGAGGGAGUGAAAGUUGCCGAUUCGAACGGUUAAAUUUACCGCUAAAUAAUAGUAGCCGUUGAAUCUACGCUGAUUCUUUUUUUUAGUAACAAAAACAACCGCCACUUCCUAAUUAAACCAUUCGUCGCUCGCUAAUUAUCAAUUUCGAAUAAAUAAAUAGCAGAUGUGAGUUAGACCGCCCACCCCAUUUCAUGACAGGAUGCCAGUGGGCCAAAUGAAUCUUUCAAGCUAGCCUCGACGGUAUUAUUUUUAGAUGUGAUGAUGCAUCAAAGAAUGAUGUCAUACCAGUUUAGCAGUAAAUUGAAUAACAGACUUAUUUUAGGUAUUGUUCUUUCGAGAGUAUAUUAUUUCCCUAUAUUAUUAUUAUUGAUGAUAUUAGUGAUGGCGGUAGGAGUGAAUAAGUUGUAUAGUUUUCUUCGGUUUCCUUUCCGUUUCUAUUUUUCUUCUAGGGAUUGUGGGCGCUAGGCGCUAUGCUGGUCUUUUUAUUUAUUUAUUUAUUAAAAGUAUAGCCGCAAUAUUGUAUACUGGCAGAACUUUUAAGUUAUAAUUUGUCAAAAUUUAAAGAAUAAAACAACUACAUAUUCUAUUCGUAUAGCUGCACGGCUAUACAAAAUCAAUAUUUAUAAAAUAUAAACUAAUGCAACUAGGACGAUCCUUUUUUUUUAUAUAUAAAUUAAAUAGUCUAGCCAUUCAGCUGUACUACGAUUUUACGCAAAAGGAAAUAGUAUAGCCGGGCGGCUAUACUAUCAUUUUGCAAUAUAGCCGCACGGCUAUACGCUGUUUUUUAAUUUUUAAAAGAAAUAGUAUGGCCGUCCGGCUAUACUCGAUUUUUCCUAAUUUUCUAAUAAGCAAACGUUCAAUACUCGUCUUGAACUGGUAUGUACGUAUUUUUCAUAUAUAAUACACGUAUUUUUUUAACUGUUUUAAUAAUACGCACAAAAUUCACGUCGUAUACAUAUAAUUCUCAUAUAUUAUUGAAUACAGAUAAUAUAUAUUAAAUUAUUUUAUAGUAGCUGAACUUUUAACUUGUAAUUUGCCAAAAUUUUGGCGAAUAAAAUAAUUACGUAUUUUAUUCUUAUAGCCGUGUCUAUGUGGCUAUACGAAAUCAAUAUCUAUUAAGUAUAAACUAAUGCUACUAAGUGCCCGUUUAGCAUUGCUUAUUUGGGGUGAUAAGUUAUUUUAAAAAAAAAAAUUGGGAAGCCCAGCCUAUGUGAUAAACUAUGAGAAAAUCACUUAUUGUUAAAAAUUGCUAUGAGAGAGAGCUAUAAGGAAAAGCAGCUAAGAGGCUCCGUCUUUCUUAAUAUAUAUAUUUUUUAAUUAAAUAGUCUACCUUUGCGGCUAUACAAGGCCUUUCAAUUUUUUUUUAAGAUAUAGUCUAGCCGUACGGCUACACUUUGUUUUUUCUAAUUUUUAAAAACCAAUAGUAUAGCCGCACGGCUAUACUGGAUUUCUUCCUAAUUUUUUAAUAAGCAAACGUACAAAACUUGUCUUGAACAUGUACGUAUGUAAUUUUCAUAUAUAUAUAUACACGUAUUUUUUUAUAAAAUUUUCAAUGAUACACACAAAAUUAACAUAUUAUACACAUAAUUCUCACAUAUUAUUGAAUACAAAUAAUAUAUAUUAAAAUAUUGUAUAGUGGCUGGACUAUUAAGUUGUAAUUUGCCAAAAUUUUGGCGAAUAAAACAUGUAUUUUAUUCGCGCGGCUAUAUGAAAUCAAUAUCUAUAAAGUAUAAACUAAUGCAACUUAGAGGUCCUUUUUUCUUACUAUUUUUUUAAUUAAAUAGAAUAGCCGUGCGGCUAUACUGUGCGCUUUAUUUUUUUAUUUUUUUUAUAAAGAAAUAGCAUAGCCGGCCGGCUCUAUGCUGAUUUUUUUAAUUUUUUUUAAAGAAAUAGUAUAGCCGUGCGGCUAUACUCUGUUUUUCAUUAAGAGAAAUAGUACAGCCGUUUGGCUAUACGCUUCUUUUAAAUUUUAAAAGAAACAGUAUAGCCGCACGGCAUACCCUGUUUUUUAAAAAAUUUGAUUGUGCUUCAUGGCGAAUUUUUUUUAACAGAAACAUCGGAAAUUAAAUUCAAUGAUGAAUGAAAAUAUACCCCUACAAAUCAUAUUCGUUAAGAAUCACACCUCUCAUAUGCGAAAGUCCCUGUCGCUACCGUCCAAAUCAAGUGUAUCACCAUUUUUGUUUUUGUUCAGAAAGAGCUAGAGAGAAGGGGAUGAGGCGAAGAAGAUGGAUUGGGAGGAAGGAAGAAGAAGAUGGAUGGGCGGAGGGUUUGCCAUGACAACUUUACGUCAAGAAGAUGGAUGGGCGGACCCUUUACAUGAGAGAGAUCAGAAAUGCCAAUACUUGUAAUUUAUUCGUGAUACGUAUGUGGAAAUGUAUGCAUCCGCUUAUGCACUGUAAUUAUGAAAAAGCCUCGAGACAAUGAUUGAAGAGAAUGCUUCUGUUGCCAGCCAAAUUUAUACCAGCACAAUUGCCAAAAGAUAGCUUUCUUUGUUUCGAUAAAUCCAUUUUGGCUGUGAUAAACUUUUUUUUUUAAAAAAAAAUUAAAUUUAUUUUAGAAUUAAAAAAGAUAAUGGGUAAUUGUGUUCCAUAAAAAUAGGAUUCAUUAUCUGAUUUUUUUAAAUAUUUUUUUAAUAUGAAAAAGUGUGAAUUUAUCAUAUUAUCUUCAUUUAAUUAAUAAUUUUAAUUCUUAAUGUUUGGAUUAAUCAAGAGCAUUUUCUGGUAUUUUGAAUGUUUCACCAUUCUCUGCCUUUUGCUUUAUAUAUCUAGAUACAUAAUUGGCCCUUUAUUCGGCUAUUUGUAUAUAAAUAUAUAGGGUUAAUUUUUUUUUAGUCCUUAAAUUUAGACCCGAUUUAUAUUUGAGUACCUCAAUUUCCAAAAUGGUUCCCAUGGGCCUUUUUUUUUUUUUUUUUUUAGAAUGAGAAUUCAUUCAUAAAACCACAUACGUACAAAGAGUGACAUGAUACAGUGGCCUCGUUAAAACCUUUCAAGGACAACCUCAUGGGACAAAUCCCAGGAGAGGAAAGAGUACCACACACGUCAUGUGCUAACAUGAGAGUCCAAUUCAUGUCACUUUGGACCAUUACAAUAAAAGAACAAGUCAAAAACAAAACCUAACACAAAGACCUCUGACGAGAACCGCAACUAGAGACCAACACAGUAAACCCACAUGAGAGAACCGCAGAAACCACAACUAGUAAACCCACAAGAGAGGACCGCAGAACAUCCCAAUUGUCAAAAAGAAGCCUUCUAUGAGUAAAAUCAUAGUCAUUUGACACCUAUAUAAACUGUAAGUCAUACUAUAGUAGAAACCAGGAGAGAACACGAAGGACGAACACAGAAACAACAAUAAAAUGACCCAUGAGAACCACUCCAUUUCAACUCAAAAUCUGAUAAAGAAAACCUCAUAUGACCAAGCAUAGUUCUUCGGUCGGCACAGAGUAAAGAAGAGCACCACAUCCCAACAACUACCACCAGCGUCGCUGCUGCCGCCACCGUUAAAACAGAGACAAAACAUUAGCCACCAGGUAUUAUAACUCUCCUAAAGAGAGACACAAUCCAGCGUCACUACUGUCGCCGCCGCCGAGACAAAGACAACACCAGCCACCUAAAACACUGCAAAAACAACCAAACAAAACAAACAGACAAACAGACUUAGAUCCAAACAGAUCUAGACUAUCUGGGGAGAGGAAGAGGAGGAGAAGAGGGGAUAAGAGGAAAGGAAAAAUAUGGAAGAAAAAGAUGGGGAGAUGAGGAGAGGAAGGGGAAGAUGGGCGGAGAGGAGGAGGGGCAGUGGCCACCUCCCCUGCUAGCUUCCUCGCAGUUGGUUGUCAGCAAGGAGAAAGGGGAUCAGAGUGCGGCUAGGGUUUCAAUCCAGUUCCCGUGGUCCUUUAACUUUAGUUUCGUUAUGACAAAUGGUUAUGCCGUCAAUUUUGUUAACUUUUUUGUUAAAUGCAUGGGCAAAAUAGUAUUUUUGUAUCAAAAUUGAUUAAAAUAUAAAUUAAAAAUUAAAAAAUUAAAAAUAAACUCUCUCUCUCCUCCUCUAUCCUGAUUUCUAACCCACCCAAACUUUAUUAUUAUUUUUUGUUGUUUUUUUAUUUGAUUUUCUUUUAUUGUUAUUUUAAAGAUAUAAUUUUUAUUCAUUUUUUUUGUUUUAAUAUAAAAAUAUCAUUUUGUCCCUGUAUUUAACAAAAAAAAAGUUAACAAAAUUAUCAACAGGACCAUUUGUCCAAACGAAAUUAAAGUUAAAGGACCACAGGAACCAUUUUGAAAAUUGAGGUACUCUAAUCCAAAUCGGGUCAAAAUCCAAGGACUAAUAAAACGAUUAACCCUAAAAAUAUAUGUUCAAUUCUUUGUUCGAGCGAUGAUGCCCAAGUCUUUUCACAUGCAAGAAGAGUAAGAUUGUAGAGUUUUACAAACUAGUGUAAAAAAAAAGUUCAUGACUAUUUCAGACAUUUCCCCAAUAAUCUUAAUGAAAAAAGUGUUUACGUUUGGUUUCCAAACGGUGUAAUUCAUGAGUCUGUUGAAUCAGGUUGUCGCGUAUUAUGUAAAGCAAGCUGAGUGUUCCACAGCAAAAGGCAAUCAUUCCUUUUUCUUUUUCUUUCUUUUUUUUCCCAAGUGGAGUGUUAUUUGGACAAACUGCUCCGUUUAAUACCGAACACUUAAAACACUGAGAGGGGGGUUAAGGGGGACAAAGAACAAAGGACAAGGAAAAAGAUCUGUACAAUGAGAUUGGCAGCCAAAAAUUUCAUAUACCCCUCCCCCUCUCCCUCCCUAACCUGCAGGAUCAGUACAAAGAUUGCACUGAUUUGAACCGAGUAGACAGACCUCGAGCUGGUAAAAAAAAAUCUCGCUAGUAGAAGAAUCAGGGGCGUUGCUGGUGUCGUUGGAGCAAUGAUUUUCUUCCCCACUUAUACUGCUCAUGGCUCUCAUGUUAGAAUUUCUCUAUCGUAUCUGCGUAAAAAAAACGGAAAAAAAGCCACCACUAUCGACAAAGUAGAACCGGACUGACUGAUUCCACCAAAAACAUUGUCGAGUCUAAGAGUAGUUCUCUUUAGGCUGCCUGCACAACAGCAAGCUGAGGGAUUUGGCAUUUCAAUUCUGUCAUCUCAUGUUUAAUUUUGAUGUUCUACCCUUCGCUAUCAGAGUCCUCGGAAGAACCUUUGAUUGCUUCUGCAGUCAUGAGAGAAACCACGGCCUUGUGAAUUGCUAGAUCUGCUCUGUAAAACAAUUUCUGAGCUUUCUCUCUCUUGAGCCUAGCAACGUUAUGUGCAUGCUGAGCGGCACCAGAUGCAUCACGCAGUCUGAACUCAUCGAGAUCAGGACCAUCCAACAAUCCCAUGUCAUGCCUCUGAGGCCCAUCUGUUUGAUAAUAACGCUGGCUUGACCAAUCAGGGAAGCCCGUAUUCCAUCGCUGAACUCCAUUUCUGUUUCCUACCACUCUGUGACUGUAAGGAGACACCAUCUGGGGUUCAACAGGUGAUACCGUCCUUCCAAAUUUCUUUGACUUGCUUCUGUGAAUUCUAUGUAGAUGAUUCCUCUCAAACCCAUCAUUGCUAAUCAAGAUGUUAGUUGCAUCCCUUGGUGAAAAUACCCUAGGUGAUGUCUGAGACAAUGGGGAAUCGUCUAAAGAGUCAUAGUUGUGGCCUGGAUAUACAACUUUUUCGUCACCAAAAGCAAACCCAUUUGAUCUUCUUCCUGAGGGAAUAAACAAAACCCAAUAAAAAAGAUGCUUGCAAAAGAAAUUAGUCAAAAUUUGUAUUUAGGGAAAAGAUUUUGAUUGAAAUACCAGGGGUAAAGAAAAUUACCAAUAGCAUGGAAACCAUCCUGAUCUCCUAACAUGCCACUGCUAUGUCCAGAAACUGAAAAUCUCUUCUGUGACCGUUGUUUUGAUCCCUUGUUGGGAACUUCCAGGCCCCGUGGUUUCAGACAAAAAGCAAACAUUGGUGGCUUCUCAACUGAUGCAGCUUUCUCGUGGCAUCCAUUGGGGAGGAUGGUAUUGGUUUUGAUCAUAGCUUGCUCCCAUUCUCUCACUUGUUGUUGAUACCUUUCCCAUGCAGAUGGCUGUAAAUAAAAAAUAAAAAAAUUUGUAAAGCAUUCAAAUGAACAAACAAAAGGCAGAUGGCUUUUCCACAAUGAAAAUAAAAAUUCAAGGGUGACCAGGAAUUAAUAGAUAUAACUAUAAGCAUCCCACCCCAUGAAUUACAGGCUACAUAAUAAAAUCACCCUGUCAAGAUCCUAAAUGUGGGUUCAAAAAUUACAUGGUUACUACCACAGGGAAAACUGAGUAUUCUCAAUAAAGAAAAUUACUAAAAGCUUUUAAGCAAGAAUAUGAUCUGAUGAAUGUCAACUUCUCCCUAAACAGGUUCAUCUUAUUAUAAUAAUGGUGGAUACUGUUUACAGAGUUUGGCACAGGAACCAAGCAGGAGUUAAAUUGGCUGUGAGAAGUACAUUCCCAACCAUAGAAGAAAACUUGUAACUAAUGCAGAGAUGAAAUGUAGAUGAGUGUCCCAUUAUUCUAAACUACCUAAAAGGUAUAGCUAUCACAUAAAAUAAAUAACAUUCAGAAAGUACCUGGAGAUGUCGGAUUAAAGGCAUUCCCUUCCUUAGCCUUUUCCCUCGCCAAUGUUCGUAAAUGGUUUUAAUCACAUCCAUGGGACCAACUACAGCCACGAACUCUUCUAUUUCUUCAUAUGUGAACUGAUCACACUGUUGAGCAUACGCAGCCUUCUCAAACAUGUCCAUUGUCUUUUCAAACAUCUCCUCGUCGAUCUCUAUAGAACUACUGUUGUCAACUUCUGAAGAAUUUUGAAACUUCAUGAUCCACUGCUCAUCAUCACUAUCCAUGUCAUACAAGACCCGAGAUGGAUCCAAAGCCAUCUCAACAUCUGUUUCUGUCUGCCGGAAAUACUUCGUAGAACUGCGAAGAAACGAUAUUUCUGCUCCAUUAUCAUCACUUUCUUCAAUUAAGCGGACACCAGGAAUAGGAAUGUUUUUUACCAAAGCAGAACGAAUAUUCCGAUUGUAACACUCUUCAUGCAUCUCCCUGAAAAGUGCCCACUGGCUCCUAUCUGGAAACUCCAAGAUCCAAUCCUUUCCUCCCUUCCACAUCAUAGCAUGAGUAUAGCGGUUUGUCGACCCAGGCUGCAAAAAUUGAUGUGCCUUGUAUGAAUACUUUGUAGUCCCUGAUAUUUUCACAGCAAGCUUCCACUCAUUAUGAUCAAAAAGCUCUAAUACUAUAUGUGCCCCACAUUCCCUCCACCCUCUGUCACUGCCAUUGAUUAACACAUUUGCUUCGCAGGAUAACUGCUCCAAGUUUCUUUGGGAACCUCUAGAAACGUCUGAUAACCUCUUCUCAUUAGCCCUCCUAAUUCGUUUAGGAGGAAUCCCUUUCUGAAGGUUUCUUUGCUUCGAGCUAAAAUCAAAACCUCCAUAAGGCAAUGUGUAUGAGACCUGAGUUCGGGGCUUCUUUGGUCCAUUGCCAAAACCAUUAUGGAAAAGGUCAGCCUUUCCAUCAGACCAACCGUGUGAGAGGGAUCCAAAUGAUGAUGAACUAUUUCUACUUCGGUGCCAUGUACUUCUAGGAGCCGUGGGGUUAGGGCUAGGGAUAAUGCUACCACUCAUAUUCCAAGAACAAUCUGUAGGCUGUUGAGCACUUUGCACCUCCCCAUCCACAGGCUUCUCAAAUCGGUCAAAUGAUGGGAUCUCGACAGUGAGACCAUUCAAAAAAGACUGGGAAUCAGUGUCAGACUUCUCUUUGCCAACCAAAUGCUUUGGUGAUAAAGAACAUUGAUCUGACUCUGGAUGGUGGACAACUGCAUCAGUUCCUGUCUUUUCAGGGACCUCAGUACCAGUGGAGGAUCCAGCAACACUAAGAACGCCAUUUUGGUAAUGCUGAGAUGACUUUGUCCAACCUCCAUUGCAUAGAGCAAGAGCAGUUUCUGUUUCUGGUUUGGAAAAGGAGUGAUCAGAAGUAGCAUUACCUGGUGAUGCCUUUAAAUUGUUCUCAUGAGUAAUUUUUGAACCUCUGUUAAAAAAGUCCUCCACACUAGAACAGUCAACUGCCAACAUACUGCCAGAGUUUCCUAAAAGCUCCACUGAAUCAGGGUCCCGAAAGCAUAUAUUAGCAACACAAUGCUCCAUAAGCAGCUUAAGAUGCAAACUAAGGAAGAAAGUAGGUGCAGCAGUAAAAGAUAGGGCGAGUGGAGGAAGUUUUCUGGGAAGCUCAUCAGAAUGAGAAGUAGAAUGACUGAUAUUUACAAAAGUAGAUUCCCUGGAACCACCCAUGAAGUUAAUGCCCUGCCUGGACCUCCUCCGUGUACCCUGGUUGGUGGAAAAACUAUAUAAGUAAAUGCCUUCAUAAUACAAAUACAUUGAUGAACAAUAUAAUUAUCUACACAGGGUGGAAGACUAGGAAAAAAAAUUCAGUUAAAACCAAAAAUUGUUUUCGGAAUAUGUAGAGAACAUAAGACAAAUACCUUGACAGAGGAGGGACGCCCACAAAGAGACAUAAAAGGUGACUGAUUUGUUCCAUUUUGAAGUGCUUGAAUACUAUCGUAGGUGCAUUCAGACAGAGGCAGUUUCUUGGUGAGCAAACAAUGGCUCCUAACUUUUGAGUCUAGGUACUUCCACUUUGACUUUUUCACUUGAGAGAAGUUGUAGACUGCAAACACAAGUUGCUUCCGAAGAAGCUGAACACAAGAGAACUUGAACCUGAUUGAAGUUACUGGUAACUGGAAAUCCAGAAACUUCCCCUGUUCAAUAGGGUGAUGAAAUAAUGCCAGGACAAGAAAAACAAAGGCCACAGCCUGCUCCAAGCAACCUUCAAACAAGAGAAACCUCAGCCCAACUACAUUAUCAACAAAAAGCAUCUCCAAAUAAACCUUUGGCCAUGUGAUCACCACUGUACCAUACCGAUGCAGCAUUGCAGCAUGAAACAACGAAAAUUCUACUCCAAAAGAAUCAUUAAUAGUUGAAUGCAUCGGAACGCCUAACUCAAAAGUAACUUUCCCUGCUUCUGUCCGAGGAAGAGUCAACUUUAGCAACCCUGCAUCAUCAAUAUACCACAAUGGCCCAUUGGCAUCCAACCUUCUCACAAAAUCAUAUGGCUCUUCCAAAUCCCCAAUCUCCUUAACAGGAACAAAAGAAGUAAUGGAACCAAGUUCACUCACGUAGGCAUGAUUGCCCUUGGAUGUGUGAGACAAUACAGACCCAGUUUUGCGCCGCCUCCGAAAAUAAACAAUAGGCAUUUUGCUAUCUCUGGGGCAAGUGCUGCCUUGUGAGGUAGGCUUUUCUUGCCUCAAAACAUCAGAUGAUCUGCCAGAAUUAUGAGAAGUUCUAAUUUUAUCCCUUCUAAAUGAACCAUCACCCAGAGAUCCAUGUAACAUGACAUCUUCAUCAGACAACGGUGGCUUUAAAGAUAGACCUGAUGUUUUUUGCUUCUUUACAGCACAGGAAGGAGACUUGACCCUACGGUUAGAUCGCGCCAACCAUGAAAUAAUGGGUUCAGUGUCCAUAUAGCUGCCCAUGCAGCUAUCAUCCUCCGAAGUCAACUCUCUCUUUUUCUUUUCUUUUCUGGGUUUCAAGUUUCCUUUUCUCUCAACAGAACUUCUAUUCCGCUGUGUUGAUUUUUUCCGUUCUAUCUUACCAGGAACUUCACUAGGAAGUAGCAAGAGCUUGAACCUCUCAUUUUGAAGGUCAAUCCAUUCUUCAUCACGGUCAUCGUAUUUAACAUGAUGAAGUUUUUUUUCCUUGUCAUAGUCAUUCACAAGGCCGUAGUACCAAGUUUGGUCCAAGGGCCAGAAGACUUUGAUUCUCCGGUUCGUUACCCAGUAAGCAUCCAAGUUCCCCAAAAAAACUUCAUAGAAAUGGCGCCUUUUCCGCGAAUGUCCCUUUUCUUUGUGCUGUUUCCUCGGCCUCAACACUCUACCAGAAUUAUCAACCGAAGGAGAUUCUGACCCAGAAAUAGACUUUGACCUACGACUAUCAAAAUCCUGACCAGAAGAUAGCAGAAAAGACAAUCCAUUCGCAGAUUCCAAUGCAGAAGCCUUGUUGUUUGAAGAAAACCCAGUACAGCUUGGAUCAAACCUCGAUGAAAGCAUCCUUGCUGCAUUCUCUUCAAGAUUCUCCUCAUCGUCCUCUUGUAAAUCAUGGCAACUUUUUGUAGAACUAUCAACCAAUGGAUCAGCUUCCUUUGCAGCACUUUUACUACCACAUGCUAAAUCCUUCCUCUUCCUGCGACUCCUCCGAUUCUCCUCAUUGUCUUCUUGUGAAUCAUGGCAUGUUUUUGUAGAACUAUCGACCAAAGGCUCAGCUUCCUUUGCAGCAAUUUUACUAUCACGUGCCAAAUCCUUCCUUUUCCUCCGAUUCCUCCGAUUCCUCCGAUUCUCCUCAUUGUCUUCUUGUGAAUCAUGGCAUGUUUUUGUGGAACUAUCGACCAAAGGCUCAGCUUCCUUUGCAGCAAUUUUACUAUCACAUGCCAAAUCCUUCCUUUUCCUACGAUUCCUCCGUGACUUUUUCAAAGAUGAAUCCCCAUUGCUUACAACCGAGUGACUUGUAUGAACACCUUCCUUAUCAGCAUGUGGUGCUGAAUUCAACUCACUAUCUAUGUUUUCCUUAAAAUCAUCACGACCCUUCUUUCUUUUAACAUUCAACAACUCAUCUUGAGUCCCUAAAUCAUCAACAUUUAACUUAGCUAUCUGAUGAUUCUGAUCAACAAGACCUACUUUACCAGCAGACUGAUCUGGCAGCUUCAGUACCUGACCACCUUCAAAUUUCUUUCGGCCCACAAAACCCCGUUUACGCCUAGGGAUUUGAAUAACAUUAUUACCCAAACUAAGUGAUGAAACGCCAUUAAACCCACUACCGCUAUCCAAUAUCUGGCUCGACCCACAUUUCACCGCCUCUGGGUCAUGUGAACCAGAAUUCAACCCACUAUGAUACACUUCAUCUAAACUCUUCUUGCUACUAGUAUUAACAUUCUUCAAACUACUGAGAGACACCUCUUUCCUACUCUUCUUCUUCUUGUCCCUGUUCUCAUCACCAUCCUCUGCACUACCUUUUCUCUUCAAGCUCUUGGUUGGGACCUCUUUUGUAGUCCUGGAUUUGUACAAACUCUUAAGAUCCAAAGAUCUCGAUUUCCUGGGAAUUUCAGUGCCAUGUGAGUUCUCUAUUCUAUUUUCCAUCAACAAUCCCUCAAUCCAAGCACCCAAACCGAGAAAACCCAAUUUUCACAUUCCAUCAUACAUGCCCCUACACAGUUUUCAGAUCUGUUACAGCAAAAGCAAGGCAAAAAUUACAAAAGUCCCCCAAAUAAAACCCAAAAACCAAGCGAUCACACCCUAUUCCCCCACGCAUUGAGAUCAUUUCCGAAAAAACGUUAAAAUUUUCAUAAAAAUUCAAAAUAAUAAACUCAAUCACAAGCGUACCUUAACCGUAAUACAACGAAUCAUCGGUUCCCCAAAAGAAUUGAGAAAAUCAUGAACGCGAAGCAUCAACUAGGGUUCGAUUCCUGACCUCCUGAUUUGAAACCCUAAUGUAAUUCCCCAAUUUUCGAAUUUAAUUUUCGAUAAUUGUUGAAAUUUCAGCUUUUUUUUUCACCGUAAGAGACGGGACGAGAGCUAGGGUUUCUUCGGUUCCACGAGAGUAAGGGUUUUGAUCGAAAAUAACGAAAAAAAUGAAAACAAAAUGGAAAAUAGCGAAUCCUUUGGAUAAUACCACGUGGCGAUAUCUGGAACGUCCGAUUGGUAAGUCGAUGUGGGGAACUCAAUUCCUCCGCUUCAUUUUGUACCAUAGUCGGCUAGAGCUUAACAAUUUCGUGCCAAAUAAGCUGAAAAUGGACGGUCAGAUUUCAUAUAAAAAAACGAACGGUUCAGAUUGGAUAAAUAUUCAUAAUUUUUUGAAAAAUAGUAAUUAAUGAAAAGAGUUGGUUUGCGGUACUUAAAACUCGGCCUCAUUGUACGUGAAAUAUCGGGAAUGCCAUUGCGUUUGAGAAAUGAGGCGCCAGAAAGGAAACAUAAACUCGCUUUAAGGAAGCGACACGUGGUGGGUAAUGAGCUUGGGUCUAUCAAAAGAGCUUGGAGGAGCGCGUGAGCACAGUGUUGAAGCGGGCGUUUCUAGCAGUGCCCGGAAGCCAAUAUAACCGCACGCAGUGACGUGGUCAAAGGAAACAAACGAAUUAAGUAGGUACAGGGAAGCAGCGAGCAGUUAUUGUCUACGUCGCGCUCUAAUUACUGGGUGUUGAAACCGAUCGCAUAUGCGUAUCAUGUGAAUAUGACCCACCGGCCUAAAGUUUCCUUCAUUGGGAAGGAAGAAAUGCGAUGUGUAACAUGUAAAAACGAUUCAUGGCCUAAAUUUUUUUGAUAAGGGUUGUGCAAUAAUUUGGACAAAUUUAAUGAGGUCUAAAGUUGAAUGUGAAAUAUUUUGAUGAGCAUUAGGUGUGAGGUGCAUAAAGUAUGAAUUGUUUGCAUGCGUUUUGAAUUUUUUAUUAUUGUUUUAAAUGAAAAUGGUGAGAAUUAUGCUUAAGGUAAAAAUUGAUAUUCAUAACUUGUAGAAAAGAAAGUUUAAUUAUAUGUUGACAACAACAAUAGUGCUAAGUUUAUCAAUUUUGUUCAUUAAACUAUAUUCUUAUAAAAUUUAUAGUAUGUCUAGAUUUGAAGAAACGAUAAAUUGUUGCAUUAUUUUUGUAAGCAAAAUUUGAUGAUUGUACCAACAUUGAAACACAAAUUGUUUUUCUUGUGCGAUCAAACUUUUGUCAAGUUAGUCAUAUCAAAACUACAUUUUACAUUACCAAAUACCAACUCAAAAAACAAGGUUCUUCGAUGAUUCUCAUAAGUCAUGUCAAAUUGAAAUUUCAUAACUCGAUUAAAUGCAACCAAUGAUGGUUUUAAAUUUCGUGAUUUGUAAUAUAAUCUAGGGUUAUUCGCAGCAAUGGUCCCUCAACUAUACCCAUAGUUACAUUUAGGUCAUUGAACUCAAUUAUUAGUUGCAGACGUCACUCAAUUAGGUGUUGUGUUGCACCAUUAGUCCUUCCGUCAAAUUCUGUUAAAUUUUUUUGUCAAAAGUAAGGAUAAAUUCGAAAAUUCAUUCACAACCCUCCCCUUCCUCCACAACCCUUCAUUGCUGCAACCCAAUCUUUGCCGACACCAAAAAAUUCAAUUAAAAAGAUGCCGCACAGCAACAAGAAUAUUUUCAAAUAUUCAUAAUAAAUACCUUCAGACCAGCAAACAGAUUCAAGAUCUCUCAUUUUACCUUCAGACCAAUCCUUCUCCUAAAUCACAUCGGUCUUCCAUAAUCUUCGAACCCAAUUCAAAUACACCAAUUUAAAACCCGACCCUUUUGCAAGAGCCGAGCCACUAAAUCUAACUCAUGGGUGCUAAAAAUUGUAGACUUUUGAAACAAAAAUGAACAAGGGUAAGUGCUGAAAUGAUUAAUCUUUGGACCUCCCCGAGGGAGCAAACAAUAAUGGAAGGUUGAACCAUAGGUUCGGCACAAGAGGAAUCUUUUUUAGACUCGGUUCGCUGUCAGUUUGCAAACCAUCGAGAGGUUGAGAUGGAAGAGGGGUUGGUAGGUUAGGGUUUUGAAGUUUUGUGUAGAAGAUUUGUGAGAAUUUUUAUUAUUUGAUAUUCAAUUUAAAUUUCUGAAUUUAUAAAUUUACAAAUUUUGAAGUUGUGGAGGAUAGGGAGGGUUGUGGAUAAAUUUUCGAAUUUACCCUCACUUUUGACAGAAAAUUUAACAAAACUUGACGGAAGGACUACUGGUGCAACAAAACACAUAUUUGAGUGACCUCUGCAAAUAAUAAUUGAAUUCAAUGACCCAUAUGUAACUACGGGUAUAGUUGAGGGAUCAUUGCUGCGAAUAACCCUAUAAUCUAGGUUUUGGCAAUAUCUUUAUUCAUACUCUUUAAUGAAGGGUUUUCUACUGCUGCAGAUGUAAAGUUUCUUAUUAAUUAACUUUUGUGAAAUGCUCUAUUUUGUGAAAAAUGGUCUCAUAUUCUAAAAUUAACUUAGAGGGAUGGAGAUUCGAACUCAGAUGUAGAGUGGGAAACACAUCUGUUCUAGUCAACUUGGCUAAGGGCUAGUUUGGAAUUCUGUCACUUAAAAAAAAAAGUUGUGUAUUAUGUGCUUUGAAAAUAAUUAGUUGUAAAGUAAAGUAGCUCCAUGUUUUUAGUAAACAAUUUUUUAAAGUGUUAUUAGCACAAAAAGCAAUGUCAAAACAGUUUGGUAAAUUUUAAUAUAAAAUUAUUAUAACUAUGAAUAAUGACUAAAAUAGACAUGAUAUUGAAGUAUUAUGUGCUAAUCAUGUGGUGGUGUUUGGGCCUAAUUUGGCACAGAUGGUGGUGGUUAUGAAGGUGAAGGUGGUGGUUAUGGUAUUGGUGGUGGUGGGGAUGGUGGUUGUGGAGGUAGAGGUGGUGGUGGUGGUGGUGGUAGUGGUUAUGGUAGUGGUCGUGGCGGAGGAGGUGGUGAAGGUGGUGGAGUUGGAUGUGGAGGUGAAGGUAGUGUCAUUUUUAAAAAUGAAUUAUGGUAUUUUGGGAAUUAAAAAAAAUCAUUACAUGCUCAUCUCUACUUAUUUUGAAAGCAGCUUUGAAAAGCAACACAUAACCUGCUUUUAAAACAUGCUGUCAAAAGGCCACUGUUUUUUUUUUUUUGAGAAAUCUAUGAUUGCAUUCAUAAUUCAGCCAAAAAAGUCAUUAGCCACAAAGGGCCAAUACAAACUAGCUACAAAAGGGCCAUUACAAUAAAAAGCGGUCUAAUAUCAAAAUUAAGAAAAUUAGGUAUGUCUCCACUAACGAUCAGGCAAGAUCGAAGAAAUUUUGGUAUAGGCAUUCCAACUAAGAUUGCAAAUUUAGAAUAAUAAAAAAGAGAUAAAGCUUGAAAAAACUAAAUCAUAAUAAUACAAAUCAAACUCUCACCGAUGAGAGAUGAAAAGCUCUCACAAAGGAGAGAUGAAAAACUUUCACAAAAGGAGAGGUGAAAACUACACAGAGAACCCAAAGAGUCUCUGCAACUUAUUCCAAACAUAAAAAAAUUGCAAAAAAGAUGGUGGUGGAGAUCCGAAGCCGAAAUGCAGGUGAAGAUCCGACGCUGAGCCGCAACUGCAUAUAAUGGUUGAAUGAAAAUCAUAACAAAACUAAGACAAAUAUGGAAAACCCUUUAUCUCUGAAAAUGGGAGAAGAGAUGAAAGGAGGAAGAGAGGAAGAGAAGAGGGGAGAGGGGGGAAGAGCAAUGGCUUCCUCCCCCUUCAAAGUGGAAAAGGCUCAAAGAAUGUUUUUUUGGGAGAAAGGGGGCUAGGGUUUGCACAAUUGGUUUGCUUAACCCUUAUCAGUCAUCGAGGCUAAGUGGAGAUGUUUGCAUUUCUCCAAUGUUUUAAAAAUAAGCAGGAUAUUUUAUUUUUACCAAAUACCUUAAAUUGCUUAACUUUAAAGAAAGCAUAUUUUUGGCAUAAAAAAAAAAUAUUCCCAAAGGAGGCCUAAACCUAUGUCUGCAAACAUGUCAUAUUUUGUUGCAUGAAAUUUCUCUAUUGUAUAUAUGGUGAAAUAAGUUUCGCCAAUAUGGGGGUUCGAAUAUGAGACAAUGGUAUACAAGUCAAUACCUUUUCUCACUCGGCUAUACUCCAUUUUUUUUUGGCCAAAGGUAGUACAAUAUAAAUCAAUAAAGUAAUGUGACUAUAAAAACCAUAGUUUAAGAUAUCAAUAAUAUCAACGAAAUAUUCAGUAUAUUAUCGUUUUUUCGAGUCACAGAUAUUUCAGAAUGUAUUCAUAUACAUAUUGUAUAAAUAUCGAUAAUGUUGAAAAAUAUUAAUGUCGAUAAUUUCGCUUACACUUCAACAAUAUUUUGUCAAAAUAUCGCUAUAAUAUCAAAAAUAUCAAAAAUAUCGAUGUAAUGGAAAAAAGUGAAAAAAACAUAAAGCACACGCAAAGGGGAUUCAAACCUUUGCCAUUUCACUCCUCCAACAUCUUAACCACCAUAUUUCUUAUGUUUUUGUGAUAAUAUGCUGAAAUAUGUAUAUUUAUAUUGUUUUGUUUCCCUACAAGAAUUAGAUUUUCACAUAAGAAUGUGAGUCUUUAACUUUUCCUUUUGGGAUGGAAUUGAGCGGCUCAUAGAAAGAAUCUGAGACCCAAUCUUCAAAUGAUUUUGCUUAUGGACAAUGUCAAUAAAUCUCGGAUCCAUAGGUGACAUGUUAACAAUUACAUGCAAAACUAUUUUGGGGAUUUAUCAUUUGAUGACUACUCUUCGCAAUACACUUACUCUACACAUAGAGAUAUAGUGAAAAAUUUGAACCUCAUAGGAACUCUAUGUGGUACUAAGUCACUCAUGUAUCUUAUCAUACAAUGUAUAAAGUGUAAAAUAUUAUAGUAAAUUAUUAUAUAUAAAUGAUUAUAGUGUGUUUAAUUUUUUUCAUUAAUUACUAUAUAUUUUCUACACUCACAAUGUUUGUCAGUUCGCUAUGUAAUCAUUAAAUCAAUUAAACCCAUCAUGUAAUGCAUUUCCUUCCAAUUUUUUAUAAUAAACUAAUAGAUAAUUGACUAAAUAAACAUCCUCCAAAAUUUCAAUAAAAAUUUUCAAGUUUUUCUAACAAUUUUCGUGGUUUUUAUUCAAUUGUUAUAUAUCCCGAUAUUUCCAUAGAAAAUUUCUUGUUUUUAGAUUACCGAUAUCUUCAAUACCAUCGAUAUUUUAGACCUUGGUAAAAAUAACAUCUCACUACACCCAACUUGAAUACACUUUAAUUUAUGAUUGAAUACAACUAAAUUUAAAUAGAUAAAGUAUAAAUUGAAUACAUUCAGAUUUUUCAAGACUUCUAUAAAAUCUUGAUUGAUGCUCAUAGACUUUUAAACUUUUUAAAAAUCGUUUAAAAUCUAAACUGAAUCACACGAAAUUAAAAUACUCAGUUACUUCCAAACAAAAAAACCUUAACACUCACCAAAAAAUAAAUGAAUAAAACAAUGUACAUCUGUAAUUUUCCAAGAGAUUCUUGGAUCCAUAUGGUACGAAAAAAAUUAAAUAGAAAUCAAGGGACCAUUCUGCAAAAACUCCCAUCCGACGAUAUUGCAGUAAAUUUUUAGUUUUUAGUUUUUGGUCAGAAUAACAAAAUUUUGUUCAGCUACAGCUCCCACGACGCGCAACAAGUGUUCUCUGUUUCCCGCAAGAUUAAAUUUUGCAUUAGAUCUAACCUCGCAUCAAAAUCUCUUCAAUUUCACCCCCAAACAUUUACACACGUGAACUCGCAUUCGCUCGCGCGAUCUCGAUCCAGACGCAGCGUUUCACCUUCCCGCGAGCUCUUUUCCCGAAUCAGUUUCUCUUCACUUUGCUAAGAGAACUUCAAUUCCGCGGGUCUAGGGUUUCAGAUCUCGCUCUCGCGGAGGUAAUUUCGCUAUUUCCUGAUUUAAUUUCCCUUUUUGCUGUUUGGAUGCCGAGAAGGAUGGGAAGGCCGAACAAAAUGAGGGUUUUGAUAUGGUUUUUCAAUCAAAUUUCGCAUCACCUAGGCCAAAUAGAAACUAUGACACUUAUAUGAUAUAAAAUGUCUAAUUGAGCAGCCAUUUGAGUAUUGGAGUGAAUUUAUGCGAUUUCAGGUGGUUAUGCUAUUGUAGAAUUGCAAUUUGAAGAUUUAGGGUCUGGAAAAUGCAUGCGAAAGCGGCACAAUCGUCUUUUAGGGAUCGGACGCAGGAGUUUCAGAGUGUAGCAGAGAGGCUAAAAAAGUCGUUCUCAUCAGGACCAGGGUCGGGGCAGAAUGGUCCAAGUAGUGGAUCGAAAUCGAAAUUCGAGGAACAACGUUCUGUGGUUGCGGUUCAGUCCGAGUUCAAUAAGAGGGCUUCCAAAAUCGGGUACGGGAUACACCAGACAUCGCAGAAGCUUGGAAAGCUGACUAAGUGUGAGUUAUUGAUGAUUGGUAGUACAAUUGUAAUUGUUUUUUAUUUGAAAUUGGAGACAUUGCAAAUUUAUUUAUGCGGUGUUUGCUUAACUUAUAUCUGAAAAAGGUCUCUGGAGCAGUCAUUGACUUGUGCUUGUUGUCAUGAAUGACUUUAACAUAUUCUCAUGUUCUGAUCGAAAGCAAGAACCAGUUGCAUCUCUGCACCUGACUUUUAAAAGGAAAUUCAUGGCUCAAAGUUGCAAAACCAUACCCCUAAUAUAAUAUAUAAUCACACUGACAUAGGGCGUUGCCUCUGUUCUCAACCCUCUAUUUGGUAGAUUGGGAGCUGAUGGACCAGGCUUCAUCCCCUCCUUGGAAUGUUCCGGAUGAUGAUUAAAUUAGGUUUAAUUUCUUUCCACUGUAAAGUGUGACUACCUGGAAGGGCGUCGAAUUUUUUUGAAUAUUGGUGGUUUUUGUGUUGCUAUUGCUAUAGUUAAUUAUGAUUGAGAAAUGUUUAUCUAUUUAUUUUAAGGUAUUUGUCUUGUCAUGUAGUGGCAAAGAGGACUUCCGUGUUUGAUGACCCUACCAGGGAAAUUCAGGAGCUGACAGCAGUUAUCAAGCAGGAUAUUACUGCACUUAACUCUGCAGUGGUAGACCUUCAGCUUCUAUCCAACUCCAGAAAUGACAGUGGGAAUAUUUCUAGUGACACGACUAGUCAUUCAACCACAGUUGUUGAUGACUUGAAAAAUCGGCUUAUGAGCACUACAAAAGAGUUUAAAGAAGUCCUCACCAUGCGGACUGAGGUAAGGCCUAAUGUUGCUGAAUAUUAAUUCCUGUCCAGUUAGGCUGGUGAUCUUAGUAUGAGAGAGCUCUGCUAUUGCUGCUCCUUAGGUUAUUUUCUAAGACUAACGUAUCUUUUCUAUUGAUUUUGUGAAGAAUAUGAAGGUUCAUGAGAAUAGAAGACAAUUGUUUUCUGCUUCUGCAUCUAAGGAUGCUGCAAAUCCUUUUGUUCGUCAGCGUCCACUGGCUGCCAGGUCAGCUGCUAGUUCUUCAAGUGCCUCUCCUCCUCCAUGGGCUAAUGGAUCACCAUCUUCAUCACAGUUGUUCCCCAAGUAAGAGAGUAAUUUUUUUGUUUUUUGCAUUUUUUUUUGGUUCAGCUGUGGAUAACUGAUACCCUUUAAGUGCAUGAGUAGCUAUGUUUAUCAGACAUCAAGUACAUAGGUGAUUUUUGUGAUUGUUGCAUUGUCAAUAUUGUGGUUUGUUUUCCCUGAAUUUCUCAAUAAUUGUCGCAACUGCAUGCACCCUUUCUUCUUCUUGAACAUCCUGAAAAUUACUGACCCCUCUGUCUCUCUCCCUUUUUUUUUGUUAUGAUGUUAAAGAUUAUCUCAGUUCACGGUAUCGAAUUCUAAACUAAUUUAUUUAUUCUUUCAUAGCUGUUUGACCAUUUCUUGUCAGGAUUUUGUUUUUCAAAUUUUUUAUUGUGAUCUGCUUCUGUUGUGGGGCCUGUAACUUCUUAAGUUGAGAUGACUUGAUUCAGUGAUCAAAAUUUGAGAUUGUAUCUUGUGGAACAUUUAUUGGUUUCUAAUUUUACAGGAAGCAGACGGAUGGGGAGAGUCAGCCAUUGCUCCAGCAGCAGCAGCAACAGCAACAGCAACAACAGGAGAUGGUUCCGUUGCAAGAUAGUUACAUGCAGAGCAGAGCUGAAGCUUUGCAAAAUGUUGAGUCCACUAUUCAUGAGCUAAGCAAUAUUUUCAACCAGCUGGCGACCUUGGUGUCUCAGCAAGGGGAGAUUGCCAUCAGGUUUUAAUCUAAUUCCCGUAUCUUACUUUGAUGUGGAAUUCAGUGGUUGUGUUCUAAACAGAUGGAUCACUUUUUAUUAUUAGGUAUUUCACACACUACCUUUUUUACUGUUACUUGUCAAGUGAUUGUUAAUUUUGCUAUAUAAGUCAUUAUAAUCAUCAUCCUUUCUAAACCACUAAAUGUUAUGUUAAAUUGUUCUAUUUUUUAAGGACAUCAGAAGCUAAGAAAUAAUACUUAUCUGAUAUUUGAGCUCCAUUUGACCCCCAUGACAUAAUCAUUUAGUCAAACAAAUCUGAGUAACAAGUUACCGUUGAUCAUGGGUAAAAGUAUUGCCCAGUAAAUUGGUUUGUCUCUGACCUCGGGGGUUCUGACAGUUUACUCAAGCAGAUUAUAAAUGGAAAAUUGAAGGCAGCUUAUAGUUCACUUGUUUAACAUUUUUUUCGAUAAGAUGGAUAGCUUAUCAUUCAGGUUUCCAUGCAUUCAGUACAAUUGCUAUAUGUAUAUUUAUAGUUUUCAUUUGGUCCCAAGGUUUUUUUUUUUCCAGAUGGUCCUAAGGUUUCUAGUCAGACAGAAAAUUUAUUGUGGAAAUUGCUAAUCUCGAUGGUCCUACUGCAUCUGUCGGGUGUUUCUGAUGACUUUGAUAGCUAUGGGCAUAUAAUUGUUUAUUGCAUGGUUGAAAAGCGCGACUUUGACAAACAGAGAUGGUUUUCCUAUAAGUAGUGUUCCUCUAACACUUGACUUUGAUUCAACUGGAAUCUUGAUGAUGGCAUUUCUUCCUGCAGGAUUGAUGAGAACAUGGAUGACACGUUGGCGAAUGUGGAGGGUGCACAAGGGGCACUGCUCAAGUAUCUGAAUAGCAUAUCAUCUAAUAGGUGGCUGAUGAUCAAGAUAUUCUUUGUACUAAUUUUUUUCCUCAUGGUUUUCCUAUUUUUUGUGGCAUAGUCAUUGCAAAGACAUUAAAAAGAAGGAAGAAAAUGACAAUGCUUUUUAGUAUUUUUACUGUCGAUAGGCCCUUUCCAUUCUUUUUGUAUCCUCUUUUUGCUUGAUCGGAUGUUCACGCGGGCAUAAACGAGAUAAGUACCUGAUUCUCCGUAUUGUAAUAUAUAUAUGUACGGGAUACAUGUAAUUGUAAAAUUUGUUGAGAUCAAUGUGACUGGCAAAAACUAUUAAUUUAUCUGCUCUUAUUGUUCUAUAUCUGUUUGGAUUUUUUUUUCGGUCGAAAUAUAUCUGUUUGGAUUUUAGUUCCCAGGAAGACUGCCUUCUACCGACCCUAGCAGAAGUAUAGAUGCUUGCUUUUUGUAAGUAAAGUCAAAAAGGUAAGAGAAAAUAGAGAGUAGCUUCUUUGUGUUCUUUGUUUUUUCUUUCCUAGCAGAGCACAAAAAACCCGUGGAGACCAAUUCUUCCGAACUUUGACCUAGAUGAAAUCUAUUUGGUAACAUAUUUUCUUAAUUCUAGUUACAUGGUCACGUACACCCUAUUUCUUGAAGAUGAAUAUUCCACUGUAAAAAGGUGCAUCCAUAGUAAAUGGAUAAAAAUCAAAUAUGAAAUAACAUUUAGAAAAAAGAAAUUUUUUUCCACUGAGGGAGGAUGCUAGUGACAUUUAGAAAAUCAAAUAUGAAAUAAGAAAAGUCAUCAAUGGAGUCUAGGCACUGAAGUUUAAAAAAAAUUUGUUUUCACUUUUAAAAUUACAUAUACAUAAAUUAUACUAACAAUUCUUCUCCGGACGUCCAUACCUUAUUACCGUCAUUGUAUAUGUAUACAGUUUCUAACAUUGUGGUAUUUGGUUUGUUUUAAUAGAAAAACGUGUUGCUUUUCAAUUGCAAAGAGAAGGAAACCAAGAUUGAACAUGCUUGGCUUAUGGAAAGUAAGACAUGAAAAUAAAAAUAAUACGACAUGAAAACAAAAUACAAGAAUAAAUAAUAAUAAAAAAAACAGUAAAUGUUUAAAAAAAAUAAAACAUGAAAAUAUUAAAAACAAACAAAAAACAAAAGCAGAAAAAUAAAAAAACAGAGGACGUACAUUGGUAUUAGUUUGAAAUGUUUUACAAAGUUGAGACCAGCUUGAAAUUACCCGUAAACGUUGGGACUAGUUUGAAGAACAAUAAGUUGGAGGACCAAUCGGUAAAAAGCAAAAACACAGCCACCUAUAUAAGCUCCUCUUCGGCACUCCAUUACGUUAUCCAGUCCUCUUCAAUUUAGCCCUACUUUGCAAACGUAACCAACUCAUCCCCCUUCAUCCUCCAUAGCUCCCUCUCCCUCAUUCUCUCUUCAUAUUAAUAAUCCCAAUCCCUAAUUUCACCAUCUGCUCCAAACCCCAAUUUUUCCCUUCACUUCCAUCACCAGCCCUCACAAUCCCCGCCAAAUCUCCGAUCUCCGACUCUCUCUCGAUUUCCCGCGAUCAAAAUUUUGACACCACCAAAACUCCGAGAAUUUUCGUCGGUUUAAUUUAUCUUUUAAUUUUUUAUAUAUAAUAUUGUUUGGUUUCCGUUCAUCAAAGGCUCGAAACCCUAAUUGUAAACAAAGUUUAGCUUAUUCAAUUUUCGCGAUAAUCGAGUCUUGCAAAUUUGUGAAUUGAAAAACCGCGAGGCUUCACACGCAUUUUCUCGGUUCCCGCAUAGUUUGGCUGAUCUCGAGUUGUUGAAACAGAGAUGGUUGGCGGUGGAAGCAGGAGAGACGAGGGCUCGCUCGUCAUCAACAACACCAACGUGUUCGCGGCGCUCGAGACUCUGAGGAAGAAGAAGAAGUCCGAUAAGGAUCGCAAGAGCAAAGGGUCCUCCAAGUCGGCCCAGUCGGCCCAGCCCAAGGCGCCCGAGGCCCAGGUUUUUUGGGCUCCGGCUCCCUUGAACGCGAAAUCGUGGGCCGAUGUGGAUGACGAAGAUGAUGAUGACUAUUACGCCACAACGGCUCCGCCUCAAUCCGUUUGGGGACCUUCGGAGCCCCACCAGAAUAAGGACAGGCCAAAUGUAGAGGUCAGAACUUCGCUUAAUUUUAUUUUUUCUGUUGAUGUUUGGUAUCUGAAUUUUGUGUUUUAUUCGUUAGUUUGUUUGAUUUUUGUUCACUAAAGAUAUUUUCUGAUAGACGGAAAUGAAUUGAUGAAUAGAGAUAGUGUAGUUGGGUAUUGAUGUUACUCUAAGAACUAUGGAAAUGCCAACUUUGCAAGACUUUGGCUUAAUAGAGGAAAACGUUGGUUGGUUCUUUUUCCAGAAAAAGAAAAACCAAGCUAAUGAGUUGCUGGGGGAAUGUUCUUAGUUUGGCUUGUCGGUUGUUUAAGGAGGAAGUUCGUGGAGGCAUAUCUUAAGAUUUGUUAUUGUGAUCAAAGUGCUGAUUUCCGGUGGAGAUCAAACUUCUGCUAUAAGGAAAGCAGAAGCAAAGCGAUUGUAAUUCAUAUUGUUAUCCAAAUGUUAAAGAUGGAGUUCGAUGGGUGAAAAGUGAUUAGGUUUCGUGUGGAAUGAGGAGAUACUCUGUGUAUGCGAGUGUCGGUAAAUGCUUGUAACAUGAGUUUUCAAGGUGGACUGCAUUCGUACUUCUACAAUGUAGCUAUGUUGGCUGCUAGUUAACCUUCAAAGUGAGGAGAAGGGCAAAAUAGUUGGAAUCGAAGGCUGAAAUGUAGCCGAGUAUGUUUCAUAAAUACUCAUUCCUUUAUUUUCAUAAGUUGUUUACACGACAUUCUUUGUUUCAUUGAGAUGGCCUUUUCUAUUGGACUAUGCAUGUCACUUUGUAUGGUUAUACAUUUGUCACAAAAUUGCAGGCAACUGAUGAAACGCUUUGAAGGAAACCUGAAUGAAGUUCUUAUAACUGCUUGUCAAUUUGUGAUUACAGGAUAGUGAGAGUGAAGAAGAUAUUCUUGAUGAAGGUGAUGAUGAUGUAGAGGAAGAGCAUGAUAAUGAACCAGAGGUGCCAGUAAACCCUGAGCCAGUGCUGAAGAAGCCUGCUGAUGUUCCUGCGCCACCUAAGGAGGCAGAAAGGCAACUUUCAAAAAAGGAAAAAAAGAAAAAGGAACUUGCAGAACUUGAGGCCCUUCUGGCUGAUUUUGGAGUUACUCAAAAGGAGAGUGAUAGUCAAGAUGAAUCACGUGGUAAUUGUGAACAAUUAUUUCCUAUAAGUUUUACUAUAGUGAUCAGCAAUUUUUUGCUUGGUUCAGUUUUGCUCUUAUAGUGCUUUUUUCUAAAGUUAAGAAAGAAUAAAAACUGAAUGUUACAAUGAUUUCAUUUUGUUAUUUAUGAAUUGAAAUUUGAGUUUAGGCAUACAAAGACACGAAGAUGGUUAAACUUUCUUUGUAAACAUUACACAUUCAUGUAUGGUAUGUGAUAUGCCAUUUGAAACACAUUUGUUGGUUAUCAUUCACCACACACAUUGAUUCUAAAGUAAGCUUAGAAUCAAUUGGCAAACAUAUGUUUGAAGGUGAAGUUGUGGUAUUUAUUUAUUUAUUUCUAGUCUUAUGGCAGAUGGUGGAGUCUUGUUUCUUAUUUAUUUAUCUAUUCUUGGCAUCAGAACCUCUACAGGCAAGGUUUCUUUGGUGUCACCUCAUGUUCAAUAUUCAACCUUUGUUAUGUUACAUUUGCAGGUGCUGCACAAGAGAAGGAUAGUGCGCUGAAUGGAGAUGGAGAAAAGAAGGAAAAUCAGCCCGCAGAGUCCAAGAGCGCCAAGAAGAAGAAAAAGAAAGAUAAAGCUUCCAAGGAGGUGAAAGAAUCUCAAGACCAACCAAACAACUCAGGGGCAACUAAUGGACUGGGUGAAGUUACUGCAGCUGAACAGACAGAGGAGGAUACAUCAAAUGUUGAUGUGAAGGAGCGAUUAAAGAAGGUUGUAACCGCGAAGAAGAAGAAGUCUAGUAAAGAGAUGGAUGCUGCUGCGAAAGCAGCUGCUCAAGAGGCUGCUGCUAGGAGAGCACGGCUUGCUGCAGCUAAGAAGAAAGAGAAGAACCAUUACAACCAGCAGCCCGUGCGGUAAAAGCCCAGUUUCGUCCAACAUUUUAUAUAUGAACAUGUAAUUUCUCUUUGUUCAUAUGACCAAAGUUGUGCGAAAUAAAGAGUGGGUAUGGCUCUGGUUUUGUGAAAGAUGACCUUUAAUUUCAUUGUGGUGGACUAAUAGGAAGUUUCCGUUUCGCUGUUCUCGAUCAUUUUUUUGCUCAGUUGUCAUGGGACGUAUGAAUCAGCCAGUUUUGCUCAUUGGAUAUUAUUCCCUGAAAAGUCGUUAACUUGAUAGCUCUCUGUAUUUUAGUUCUUCCUCCAUUUCUUUGUUACGAACUUAUUGUGUAUGAAUGGACACAAUGAGAAAUUAUUGCAUUCUAAUGGAGUGAGUUUUCCUCUUGAACUGAAACCCAAUAAUCUGAGCCUUGGUUUAAAAUAUUAGGUAUGCCAGUUGUGGGUGCAUCUGUUACAGCUUUCAACUUUAUUGUGAUCAACAACCUUAAGAAAUUUUUAUCCUUGCUGGUUUUGAUUUGGGGCGCUAACCAUACCUUGCCGGGGUUUGAUUCGAUGUCAAAUUAAAUCAGAUUACAUCAAAUCAGAUUCCCCCAAAUUCGACGUUUGUUCAAGUGGUACUUGCUAGGAGAUAAAAGGGAUAAAAGGGAAUUGACAAGUGAGCUAGGUUCUAGUGGUACUUGCUAGGAGAUAAAAGGGAUGAAAGGGAAUUGACAAGGGAGUUAGGUUGGGAAAUUGAAUGUAAUGAUUUAUAACUUAGGCGCGGUUUGGUUCAUGGAAUGAAUUUGAGGGGAAAUCAUUUCUUAUGUCUUUCCCCAAAGAAUGGGAAUGAAAGAUUUUUUUAUAAAUUUUCAAUUAUACCCAUAUUAAAUCAAAUAAAAAAAGAAUGCAUUUGAUGAUAUCAGUCCCGAUCUCUUGGACUACAGUGGUCCAAGAGAUUUGUGGUCACUCACCAUUAGAUGUAAAUUCAACGGUUCACUCACUCUUGUACUCAUUUUAAAAAACUUUUUUGAACCAUUGGAUUAAUAUCCAACGGUGGGUGACCACAAUCUCUUGGACUCCUGUGGUCCAAGAGAUUUGUGGUCACUCACCAUUAGAUGUAAAUUCAACGGUUCACUCACCAUUAGAUGAAUUUGAGGGGAAAUCAUUUCUUAUGUCUUUCCCCAAAGAAUGAGAAUGAAAGAUUUUUUUAUAAAUUUUCAAUUAUACUCAUAUUAAAUCAAAUAAAAAAAGAAUGCAUUUGAUGAUAUCAGUCCCGAUCUCUUGGACUACAGUGGUUCAAGAGAUUUGUGGUCACUCACCAUUAGAUGUAAAUUCAACGGUUCACUCACUCUUGUACUCAUUUUAAAAAACUUUUUUGAACCAUUGGAUUAAUAUCCAACGGUGGGUGACCACAAUCUCUUGGACUCCUGUGGUCUAAGAGAUCGGGACUGAUGAACCGUUGAAUUUACAUCUAAUGGUGAGAGUGACCACAAAUCGCAUGAUCCGUAGGGAGUUCAAGAAGAUAUGUAAGUCACCCACCGAUUGCAAAUAGUUCCAGUGUUACACUGAAGUUUUUAUAAUAUUGNNNNNNNNNNNNNNNNNNNNNNNNNNNNNNNNNNNNNNNNNNNNNNNNNNNNNNNNNNNNNNNNNNNNNNNNNNNNNNNNNNNNNNNNNNNNNNNNNNNNAAGUUCUCUGUUUUUUUCAUGACAUGUAUCACUUUUCUUGCACUUAAAAAUCACUCAUUUUCCUUGUGGCUAGGAUCAGCCACGAGUGAAAAGUAAGAGGCGCUUUAAUGUCCCAUUUGGUUCUUGGGAAUGAAAAAUCAAUUGUUUUCCCAUGUUUGGUAAGUCUAUGUAUGGAAAAUCGUUGUCUGGCUCAUGGGAAAGGAGAGGAGAAAGUAAAGUCAUCCUCCCAACAUGGGUUUUGUUUUCCCUCCUCAUGGGAAAGUUUGGGAAAAUGAGCUAACAUUAAAUACAUUUUUUUAUGAUCAUUUUAUUCCCAUUAACAAUUUAGAAUUACAAUAUAUCAUCAACAGUCCUGAUCUCUUGGACCACUGUAGUCCAAGAGAUCAGGACUGUUGAUGAUAUAUUGUAAUUCUAAAUUGUUAAUGGGAAUAAAAUGAUCAUAAAAAAAUGUAUUUAAUGUUAGCUCAUUUUCCCAAACUUUCCCAUGAGGAGGGAAAACAAAACCCAUGUUGGGAGGAUGACUUUACUUUCUCCUCUCCUUUCCCAUGAGCCAGACAACGAUUUUCCAUACAUAGACUUACCAAACAUGGGAAAACAAUUGAUUUUUCAUUCCCAAGAACCAAAUGGGACAUUAAAGCGCCUCUUACUUUUCACUCGUGGCUGAUCCUAGCCACAAGGAAAAUGAGUGAUUUUUAAGUGCAAGAAAAGUGAUACAUGUCAUGAAAAAAACAGAGAACUUUAAAAAGAGAAGGUUGCCACCGUCUCCUUUCUAAAUAAGAGACAUGGACAGAAAAUAAUGAUAGAUCCAUAUUAUUCUAGUUCAACCUUGUACGCUAUCGACAUGUAAGGUCAUUUUGGACAUUUCCUGCGUUCCACCGUGGCAUUUCCGUCACAAAUCCAAAAAUAUUGAUACUCCCUCCCCUUAAUUCCCAGUUGUUGUCACCAUGAAGAAGGAGAAAAAUAGAAAAAAAAUUUCAAAAGGGGGAGAAUAAGCCUAUAACAAACGGGCAAUUCAAGCAAAGCCGCAACGAAAAGGCCCAGAGCCUUCUUCUUAUUUGUCUCUCUUUGGUUCUCUCCCUCCUCUCUCUGAAGCAAACAACUGAAACAAACCCGCAAGCAACACCUGCAAUAAGCCUACAACCAGUCUCAGCGAAAAUGUUUCGUUUCAACACUCUAGGUUCCAUUUUCUGCUCACAAGUUUUCAUUUCUUGGUUUAGUUCUUCAAACGCUCGCGUUUCGUUUCGGUAAAUGAAAGUAGAAUAGAAAAGUUGGAAAUUUCGUGUUUGAUUGUGUGUUUUGGGUGCAAAACGAGUAGAGAGAGAGUCUAUGUGUCUGGUACUCUGCUCCGGAGUGAGAGUGACGAGCGGUUUUAGGGCUGUUUUUUCUAAUUAGUGAUUUAAUUGAAUGGCAACUCCCAAUUUCUGUGUAGUUCUUGGGUUGUUCAAGGCUUAGUGUUUACUGUUGAACAAUGUUUUCAUGAUUUGUAACUAGAAUAACGAUUAUUAUCUCUUUUACUUUCUAUCCAUUUGAUGCUAGUUCUGUACUUGGUGUGAAGUAUUAAUUGAAAAUCAACAUCUAUUUCCAUAGGGUUCAAAUGUCUUGCCGUUUCGUGAUUUUCUGAUUUGUUAGGGGACUAAGAGCAGCUCUUGGUCCCUGGCCGAUGACUUGCAAUUGGAUCUUGAUGCCUAAGGGAAGAUAAUGAGUGGAAAACUCCAUUGCCCAUUUCUUGGGGUUUCACUUCACAGUUCUCUAAAUGGUAGAAACAAUGGAAAUUUCAUUUGUUGGGAAAGAGGGAAUGUGGCAAAAAGGGCUCCUCGCAGGUGUGUAUGUGAAAAGCAGAAUUAUUGGAUUACCCAAGCAAUUAGAGUUUCACAGUUUUUGGGGAAAAAUGUGGAAUUGUUAAGGAGAACCUUCGAGCUGAAAAAUGGGAUGAAGGUACAAUGUGUUAAGGAGCCUUUUUCUCGAAGCAAGGCUCUGGUGAGGUCUUUGUCUCCUCUGUGGGAAGAGGGGUUACUUUUAGUUAGGUGCUCUGUAUUUUUGGCCGUGAUAUCUGGGGUAUGUUUAUUGGUAUGGUAUGGCCAAUCCAAAGCCAAGGGUUUUAUUGAAGACAAGCUUUUGCCUUCUGUUUGUUCAGUACUCAGUGAAUAUAUUCAGCGUGAAGUUGUUUUUGGUAAGGUUCGAAGGCUAUCACCUUUGAGCAUCACGCUGGAGUCCUGUUCGGUUGGGCCUCAUAGUGAGGAAUUUUCUUGUGGUGAGGUCCCAUCAAUGAAACUUCGCCUUCGUCCUUUUGCAAGUCUAAGGAGGGGAAGGAUUGUGAUUGAUGCAGUUUUGUCACAUCCAACUGUCUUGGUUGCGCAGAAGAAGGAUUAUACUUGGUUAGGGAUACCCUCAUCUGAAGGUGGUCUACAGAGGCACUUAUCUACUGAAGAAGGAAUUGAUCAUCGAACGAAAACCCGGAGGCUUUCUAGAGAGGAAGCGGCGGCUCGCUGGGAAAGAGAAAGGGAUGAAGCAGCAAAGAAAGCUGCAGAGAUGGGCUACAUUGUUUCUGACAAGGCUUCCAGCCCAUCAAAAGGGGAUGACUCAAAGGAAGGUGAUAGCCAUUCUGCAGAUUUAGCAAGUUCCGAGUCUUUUCCAUGCAUGGAUGAAAAGAUGCACUGGAGGGAUCAUUGCAUGGACACAGGUGUUGAUUAUGAAAUAAAGCAUGCAGAUUUGGAGAAAUCAUUGGGUGUAAAAAUUCCUGGGUCAGGGCUUAAAUUUUGGUCCAGAGUGAUAAAGGGGCCUAAAAAGCACAAAGUUAAAAGGAAGGGUUAUGGGAGUGAUAUCUCUGCAUCUGGAAUUACUGCCAAAAGAAGAAUUCUCCAGUCCAGUGCAGUAAGGGCACUUGCAUAUUUUCAGGAUCUAUCUCAGGGGAAGACUGACGAGCCUUCACAGUCAUCCGGCGGUUAUGAUGUGAUCAACCUUGACUCCUAUUUGAUGAACAAUGUGGUUGAAACUAAUGCCGACACUUCUAUCACAAGUACUGGUGAAGAUACUACAAGAGAUGACAACCAGGAUGGAAAACAUUGUGGAGAUUCAGCAGGCCAUCCUCUUAAAGAAAAUGAGAAUGUCAACAGUCAUUUAAGUAGUUCGAAUUAUAUACAUUUAAAUAGGUCUAAUGGAGACGGGACAUCCAGUAAAAAUUCCGCUUUCUCUGCAAAUGCUGUAGGAACUAAUACUAAUAGUUGUAAUGUAAAAGAUGAGGAUUCUAGAGUUGAUGUUGUUAAUAAGCAUACUGAUGAUGAGAUAUCUGAGAGGCAAGCAGGUCAAACGUUGCAGAAUUCAACUUCCAUACUACCUUCGGUUGCAACGUAUGAUCAAGUUCCUAUCUGGCCCCUAAGCCUGAAAUUAGGCUUUCCCUCUUUUUCUAGAAAUUCCGGAGAGCCAUUAUCACAUCUUCUCUCUGGUUCCAUUCAAAAGUUGACGUCUAGCAUGGGAACGAGAGUUGAUGAUAUUGUUGCAGAACUCGUAGAUGGGGUCAGUGUUGUGCAAUCUGAAGGCAUUGAGAAGAUGCUUCCAGUUACACUAGAUUCAGUACAUUUCAAAGGAGGAACGCUGAUGCUACUUGCAUAUGGUGACAGGGAACCUCGGUAGGGCCACUCAAUUAUAUAUUUUCUUAAUUUAAACUUGAGAAUAACAUUAUUGUUUGCUGGCUCUUAUCAUAAAAAGUUAUUUAUUUAUGCAACAGAUGCUGGCUUUGCUUGAAAAUUUUAUUGCUGUUGGAAUUUUGGCAUAUAGGAUAGAGGUUUAUCUAUAAUCAUUAGGAUACUCAUCUUUUAAGAGGCUUCCUAAUUAAAAUAUGGUAAACUUUUCUGUGUAUAAUGACAAUGCAUCCACUUAUGCAAAGUUUAUAACAAGAAAAUUUUUCAUUGAGCAUUUAUGAUUUUAAUACAAUGUUUAUAGUGCGAUGGAGAAUGUUGAUGGACACGUGAAGUUUCAAAAUCACUAUGGUCGGGUUCAUGUACAACUUAGUGGAAACUGUCAGAUGUGGAGGUCCGAUAACAUAUCUGAAGAUGGUGGCUGGUUGUCUGCAGAUGUUUUUGUUGACAUGGUUGAACAGAAAUGGCAUGCUAACUUAAAAAUUGCCAACCUUUUUGUUCCGGUAAGCGAGACACUACAAAGUAAAUAUGAUGCCUAAUUGAGAUUGCCAACACCUUUUUGUUUCCAAUCUGAGGUCAUAAAGUUUGUUCAUGUGCCUUGUGUGCUGGUUGUCUCUUCUUCUGCAGCUUUUUGAACGGAUCUUAGAAAUUCCAAUAAAUUGGUCCAAAGGAAGAGCCACUGGUGAGGUGCUUCUCGAACUUCAAUGCAUAAUUUUUUGUUUUUCUCUUCUAAAUUUGAUGGGGGCACAUCUCCGGUUUAUGCCUCUAAAUGGGUUAUGUUGAUUCUGUUGCUGAAGUAAUUACUUGAAUUCAUUCUUUGAGGCAAUUGCUGCUUCUUGAUUAUUCGUAUUUUUUCCUAAUUUGAUAUAAGAUUUUGCACAUCUGAAACCACGAAAUGCCACAUUUUCUUCUUGAAACUGUAAUUUCUCAUUUGACAUUUAGGUAGGAGGAAAAAGAUCCAUGUUUUGUUGAUCUUGAGAUAUAUUAUGUACUUCCCCACUUUUUUCAGGUUCACUUGUGCAUGUCAGGAGGAGAAACAUUUCCAAAUCUUCAUGGACAGCUUGAUGUGACAGGGUUGGCUUUUCAAACAAUUGAUGCUCCAUCUUCGUUUUCUGUAUGUCUCGGUUAUGAAUUCUUUUUUCUUGAAUCUUUAUGGAUAAAAUGCUUGUUGGGGUGGAUAUUUUAUUCCCGCCAAAUAUGCUUGGUAGGUCACAAACCAGGAUAUAUAUAAUCUCCUAAGGCUGUCCAAACAGUAAAUGAUUUAAUGGAGUGUGUUUUGAUGCAUUUUGCAGUUUCUUUGCCAGGGCUUCAAUCUUUUAACUUCAAACUUGUCUUAUUGCAUGUUACUAUUUGUAACAGCACAUUAUAUGCGAAAGACAAUUGCUAUAUGAUUCUCUAAUCUUGCAAAAGGUUUACGGUUGAAAACAUCCAUCAUGCUUAUUGUCCGUCAUGUUUUCCUUGAAAUCUGAAAUUUUUUGUACCAUGUGUCUCUUUUAUGCAGGACAUUUCAGCGAGCUUAUGUUUCCGUGGCCAACGAAUAUUCUUACACAACGCAAGUGGCUGGUUUGGUGAUGUUCCCCUGGAAGCUUCUGGAGAUUUUGGUAUUCAUCCUGAGGAAGGAGAGUUUCAUCUUAUGUGUCAGGUAUGCUUUUGGAGAUGCUUCUUCGAGUGUGUGGUACUAGAAUUCCUAACUUUAGUUCAGUUAUGUAGAAGUAGAUAAAUUUGUUUUAAUAAGAAGCUACUGAAGGCCAUCAGGAUAUGCAUUUGUCAGUUGAGUUGAUGAUCCUCCUUACCAGUUCUAGAUUUAUUUUAUGUAGCUUACACUAAGAGUUCUGAACACCUUCGAUUCUUUCUAGAAUCAUGGCUCUGAUAAGAAUGCAUUUCUUUUGAGCUUGAACUGGCAACUUGAAAUGUCUUAUUUGAUUUCCCUUCUAUUUUAUUUAAUUAUGCCGCACCCAAUUAGUAAUCUUUGUAUUUUGCAGGUUUCUUGUGUGGAAGUAAAUGCCUUGAUGAGAACUUUCAAGAUGAAACCUCUCUUGUUUCCGGUAUGUGUAUGUUGUGUAUGCAUGUUGCAUCUGUCUUUUCCUUUUCCCUAUUUGAUAACACAGAAAUAAUAGGCUGCAAUUUAGAUGCUAGCUUCUCCCUGGUCCCAUCAUGUGUGGACGGUAGAACCCAUGACUUCUCCUUUUAAAAGGGAAGGUCUAAACUUGGACGCAAUUGCCACACUUUGACAUGGAUAUGAAACUAGCAUUUUCCUGACAGGAGCACAUUGUUGUUUAUAUGCGUCUUUGUGAAGUUUUAACACAUUAUCGAUGUAAGAGUGUCUUCCUGCAUGUGACAAUCAUGGAGGCAAACAUGUAUUAAUUAGCAUGACAGCCUUAAUAGAACUUCUUCUUAAUCAUAGUUAAUUGUAAUAAAACUCUUUAAAAGUCUGUACGAGUCUCAUACAUUGGCCAACACAUGUAUGGCAUCCUCAACUGCCUGAACUCUGAAGCACUAAGGCUACAAAUGUGGUACAAAUCAUAUCAUAUGUGUUUUAAAAUCAUUGACUGCUAAUAUUUAAUAUUUGAGGUUUCUUAUAUUCUGUCUUUUCUCGGUUUUUCUUUUCUUUUCAUUUUUUAAAGUUUCAUUCACGUCUCUAAAGAAUUGUUUCAAAUGCUUUCAUUAGCUAUUUUUACAUUGCCUACUAUGAUUUCUCCUAAUUCCUCAUUAUAGCGUUGGAUGCAUUAGUUUCGCUUACUUAGUUCCCACAAGAAAUAAUGCAGUGAUAAUAGGUGAGGUGAUAUAUGUCAUAUUGACCAUCUCUCUUUGAAUUACUCCCAUGUAGCUGGCUGGUUCAGUGACUGCUGUGUUUAACUGUCAAGGUCCAUUGGAUGCUCCUUUAUUUGUGGGAAGUGGAAUGGUAUCUAGAAGGAUUUCUCAAUCAGUUUCUGAUUUUCCUCCGUCUUCGGCAUCAGAAGCAGUUUUGAGAAGUAAGGAAGCUGGUGCAGUAGCAGCAUUUGAUCGUGUACCAUUUUCAUGCGUGUCGGCCAAUUUCACUUUUAACACUGAUAGCUGUGUAAGUUUGUGAGGAGAAACUAAAAUGCUUAUGUCCAAAAUUGUGUGGUAAUUCUUAUCUCAUGCCAUUGUAUCUAUAUUAUUGUAAUUAUUUUUAAUUUUCUAUAGGUUGCUGACUUGUAUGGAAUAAGAGCUAGCCUUGUAGAUGGAGGUGAAAUUCGAGGAGCAGGGAAUGCAUGGAUUUGCCCAGAGGUAUGAUUGAUGAUGAGAUGGACUUUUGUUUUGUGUUGAAAUUUUGGCCAAGCUUAUGUAGAUUCAUCUUAGUGAGUUUUUAUACUAGCGGGCCCUGUCUGUCUGUCUGUCUGUCUCUUUCCAUGGGGAUUAUUCGACCUAUAAUGCUAUGUUUUAGCUUUCAUAUUGAGUUGAAGCGUUUGGAAUGACGAUGCACUCUAACAUUUCUAUUUGGAAAGUUAAUCCUGUGAUGUUCUGCACAGGGUGAGGUUGAUGAUACAUCAAUGGAUGUGAAUUUCUCCGGAAGUUUGUGCUUUGAUAAAAUUCUGCAUCGAUAUGUACCUGGGUAUCUUCAACUAAUGCCACUCAAAUUAGGGGAUUUAAAUGGGGAGACAAAACUUUCUGGAUCACUAUUGAGGCCGUAAGAUUCCUGGGUCUACCCUCCUAACUGUUGAUCAAGAAUGAUUGAUGUUGCUUUUUGCUUCAUCUGCUUUUUGUUUUAGUAUUUUUUUAAUAAAAAUUUACAUGAUGCUGAUGAUAGUCUGCAUUUGUUGUCGGUCAUUCUUUAGGUUCACUCACUUGUGUUUCAAUUAUUUAUUUAUUUUUUUAAUGCAGGAGGUUUGACAUUAAAUGGACAGCUCCAAAAGCUGAAGGGUCCUUCAGUGAUGCUCGAGGAGAUAUCAUAAUCUCGCAUGAUUCCAUUACUGUUAAUUCCUCAUCUGCUGCUUUCGACUUGUCCUCAAAAGUUCAAACAUCUUACACUGACGAAGACUGGCUACGGAGAAGAGAUGCUGAUGCAAAUAGUGCCAUGCCAUUCGUUGUUGAGGGAAUUGACUUGGAUUUGCGUAUGCGUAGUUUUGAGUUUUUCAACUUGGUAUCUCCUUAUCCGUUUGAUUCUCCGAAACCUAUGCAUUUGAAAGCAACAGGCAAGAUCAAGUUUCAGGGAAAGGUUUUAAAGCCUUAUAUUGAUCAUGGACAAGAUUUUGGUUUUGAGAGGAAUAAGCAACCUGUGGAAAUGACAGAUAAAGGAAAGACAGACAGUCUUGUUGGAGAGGUUUCCAUUUCAGGUCUUAAAUUGAAUCAGUUGAUGUUGGCACCUCAGUUGGCUGGAUCAUUGAGCAUGUCGCGUGAGUGUAUCAAGGUAAUGCAAAGAAUCUUUAUGCUGAUGUUCUAGUCAAUUGUUGGCACCUCAGUUCACCUCUCAUUUUUCUUGUAAUGGAGCUCAAUAUAUUAAGCUGAUCUUCUAGUCAAUUGUCGCCACUCUAACCUUUGAAUUAAUAUGUUGACUCAUUUAUUCCUGAUGUUUUGCAUUGUAGAGUAUAACUGGUAAUAAGCUUUAAAAUUAUAUUCUAUCUUAUCAUGGAAGCUCUUUGUGACGUAAUAGCUUUUAGCAGGCUAAAGCUACUUGUAUAUGAGUUUUUUUUUAUUUAAAAAAAGUAGCUUGUCAAAGAUUUAGAGAGCGAACUUCUCAAGUUUGAAAGUUAUAGAUUGCUUUGGCAUGCCCAUGUGCCUAAGUUGAGUUUUAGACAUAUGUUUCUGCUGCAUAUUUUUGCAUGCCUAUGCUCUGGGAAUGGAAAUCAUGAUAAAUAAUUCAUAGGGAUCUUUUAAUUUUAAUUUUUUUUAUUUUAUGAAUGCUGUGGUUAGUGAGAUGUCAUCAGAUAGAGCUAAAGGAAGAGUUGGACGUUGGCGUUGACUGUUGAUUGAUCCCCUAUUAUUGCUUGUUCCUGCUUCUUACAGUUCAUUCUUAAAUAUGAGAUGUUUCUGGUGGUGCAGUUGGAUGCCACAGGUAGGCCAGAUGAAAGUCUUGUAAUGGAGUUUGUUGGACCCUUGAAGCCUAAUAAUGAAGAUAAUUCCCAAAGUGGACAGUUGCUGUCUUUUUUCCUUCAAAAGGGGCAACUAAAAGCAAACAUUUGCUUCCAGCCAUUUCAUUCUGCUAGCUUGGAGGUACCUGUAUUUAAGCAAAAUAUUCUUUGUUUUCCUAUUUUGGUCCUUGUUAGUUGAGCUUAUUAGUAAUAACAAAUUGAGUAAAUUGAGUACCAACUUUUAUUUUGUCUUUGUGUUGGUCAUAGAUACGCCAGCUACCACUGGAUGAAUUGGAGUUGGCCUCACUGCGUGGAACAAUACAGAAGGUAACCCAGCAGGCAUUCUAGAUUUAAGUGUUUUCUGUACCCCAUUUCUCCUCCUUCCUUAUUCCUCUUCAGUGCACAUGUCGAUCAUUAUAAGAUGGCUGUCAAGAAUGGUUCAGACAAUCACUGGAGCUUUUGAUUUCAUGGAUGUUUAUUCUAAUAAUGUUUUAAAAUAAUAAGAGGACCCUAUUUCUGUUGUUGCAAGGACAAGUUUAUUAAUAAGGAACUUGGGAUGUUAAGGCCAAUUUAACCGUCUAGUUUUUAUUAUCUUUGAUCAUCGCUUCAAGGUACUUCACAGAGGUAAAAGAGAAAGAAGGGGUAAAAAAAACCCCUGAAACGACUUCAACCUAUCCACUGUUUUUCGGGCAUUCAGUGCUAUCUUUUUCCUUAAGACAUUCUGGGUAAUAAUGUCACUGGUUUGCUGUUUUUCUUUUCUAAUCCAAUCUAUAUAUUGGUUCAUUCUAUUUCUAACUAGGUUAUACUUUUAAGUGAAAUCAUAAGGUUGCUUUUUCAUAUUUUAAAGAGAAAUCAUAAUCAAAUUUAAGCUUUGUAAAGAGAUUAUUUUGUGAUAGUUGUUUCUACUCUGUUGCUUUUCAAUUCUAAAAUGUUUAGGUGGUUGUUUUCUUUCAGGCCGAAAUUCAGCUUAAUCUUCAGAAACGAAGAGGUCAUGGACUGCUGUCUGUACUUCGGCCGAAAUUCAGCGGUGUGCUAGGUGAAGCCCUUGAUGUGGCGGCUAGAUGGAGUGGGGAUGUUGUGAGUACCCCUGGGUUUUUGUAUUUUUCAUCUGUCCUUACGGAUUCAUUUCGAGGAAAAUUUUAUUGAGAUGAUUGUCUUCCUUCCACUCACAUAUUUUUUAUUGUAAACUUGAAUUGACUUGUUGCUAUUCUUAAUGGUUAUAAGCUACCCUUCCCAAUUCCAAGAGGUCCAUGCAUGUGAAAAAAAGUAGAAAAUGCAUAUUGAGGUGAAGCAGAAUAUUUGAUUUGAGUUCUCUUUGUUUGUUUAUCUCUGCCUCUGUCUAAUUUCUCUAUGAUUUGUCUUCUUCUUGUCACAUUUGUUGCUGAGUUUAAUGCCAGUCACUUUGGUUUCUGAUUUCAUGCCAUGAUAGUGAUGCAUAUUUUUCGCAAGCUUUCCCUACUUGAUGGUUAUUUGUCUUCCUUUUGCCCCGUUGAGAUGUUCUCAUUUCUCUUGCUUUGGUAAUAACCAAGAAAUUGACAACACUUCCUUUAAGUCUAUUUAACCAUGAUAUAUCAACUAAGUCAAUGUGUUUUCACUCGCCAUGAACAAGCUUUGUUAUUUCAGCGUUUCUGUUAGAUUUACAAUCAGGACAUCGAAUUAUGGCCCCUUAUACUUAAUGAAUGGUGUCAAAGUCUUUUGGAAUGAAUUAGUAUCAAUAUCCAAUAAUAAUUUGUCUUGACUUUUUUGGGGCUCCAUGUGGUGUUACUAAUUCACAACUACAACAUGUCUAGAUCACUGUUGAGAAAACAGUCCUGGAGCAAAGCAACAGCCGAUACGAGCUUCAGGGUGAAUAUGUAUUGCCUGGAACGCGAGAUCGCAACCCUGCUGGAAAGGAAAAGGGUGGCUUGUUGGAAAGGGCAAUGGCUGGGCAUCUGGGUAGUGUCAUAUCUUCUAUGGGGAGGUGGAGAAUGAGACUGGAAGUUCCUAGAGCUGAGGUUGCUGAGAUGCUUCCCCUAGCCAGGCUUGUUUCUCGAAGUACAGAUCCUGCUGUUCAUUCAAGAUCAAAGGUUGUAUCCCGUUUAAAUAAGUUGGAAAUAAGGAUAUAUAGCAAUUAUCAUCUUUUCAGUUGAGCCCAGAACAUUAACUUUGUCAUUUAAAUAGCAUCUAAGUGUGUAAUCAGUAGUACAUUAUACCAAAUGCAGGAGUCAUGGUCCACAUGUUUUCAAAUAACUAAAAGAAAACAGGAAAAAUGAAUUCCUUGUCGCUUAUACAGUUUGAAGGCCCUCUAUAGAAGCAUAGGUUACUUGUGAUGAAUUUUAAUUCUCUGACUGUACUUUUUUUACUCAUAAAAAGUAAUUCCAAAAAAGAAAAAACCUCUGAUUCUACAUAUUUCUGUGAAAUUUGCAUGCAGGAUCUCUUUAUUCAGAGUUUGCAGUCAGUGGGAUUAUAUACUGAAAGUCUUACAGAACUACUCGAGGUACUUUGUGGACGAAACACCAUGUGUUUAUAUCUGAUUUGAAGCUGUAUUACCUGAUGCAUAUCACCUGGUGUACAUGAAAUUGGGAUCUGAUGUCUUUAUAGAAUUUUUUUUUUUUUCCUUCUGUUUGUAGUAAUGAGAUCAGCCGGGGCAGUUAUGUAUAUAUGAUUGUUGUUGAUCCAUUAUUUCAGGUUAUACGGGGACAUUAUACUCCAUUAAAUGAAGUUGUUCUAGAAGAAUUGAAUCUUCCAGGUUUAACUGAGCUUAGAGGUAGCUGGCAUGGCUCUCUUGAUGCAAGUGGUGGUGGCAAUGGGGAUACAAUGGUAUAUAUCUUUCCCAUCCUUGCUUGGGUUCAAAUAUCAAAUAUCUUUUUUCUAGAGAAUUUAGUUAUGAAUACCAAAAUUGCAAGGAGAUGGGUAAUCAUUUUUUGGACAACUGGAUGUUGGGACACAAAUGAUAGUGAGUCCUAUCCUAUGAAGUUCUGCUGUCCUAUCCUAUGAGGUUCUCCUGUGCACUCAUAUUACAAAUUGAUGAUCACUUGAACUUUGCUCCUUGAUAAUCCUCUCAGUUGAAGGAAAAACCAACUUUUAGAUAAUAAGCAUAACCUUUUGUUUUAAUUGUUGCUAGUCCAACUUAAAUGUAGCAGUUAGACCUGGAAUGCAUAGCUACCAUGGUUACUUUUUGAAUCUUGGCAUGUAGGCUUUGUCCUCUAAUAAUUGGUUUUAUCAUUAUAUAUUUUUGUCAGGCAGAAUUUGAUUUUCAUGGGGAGGAUUGGGAGUGGGGAACCUACAAAACUCAGCGUGUUCUGGCAGUUGGUGCAUACAGCAACGAUGAUGGUUUGCGCCUGGAAAAGAUGUUUAUUCAGAAAGAUAAUGCUACAAUUCACGCAGAUGGGACUUUGUUAGGGCCUAAAACGAAUCUUCACUUUGCUGUUCUAAACUUUCCUGUUAGUCUAGUUCCUACUGUUAUUCAGGUGGUCGAAUCUUCUGCUACUGAUGUGGUUCAAUCUUUACGGAAAUUUUUAGCACCAAUUAGGGGUAUAUUGCACAUGGAAGGCGAUCUCAGAGGGAAUCUUGCAAAACCAGAAUGUGAUGUGCAAGUAAGGCUCCUGGAUGGUGCCAUUGGGGGGAUUGAUCUUGGACGAGCUGAAAUUGUUGCUUCCUUAACCUCAACCAGUCGUUUUCUGUUCAAUGCAAAAUUUGAACCAAUCAUCCAAAUUGGCCAUGUUCACAUUCAAGGAAGUGUUCCUGUCACUUUUGUUCAGAAUAACAUGUCAGAGGAAGAAGAUUUAGAAAAAGAUAAAAGUCGUGCAAGUUGGGACCAUGGUUGGGUAAAGGAAAGAGGUAGGGGUUCCGUAGAUGACUCCGGUGAAAAGAAACUUUCAAGAGAGCGAAAUGAAGAAGGGUGGGAUACUCGAUUAGCAGAAAGCCUCAAAGGUUUAAACUGGAACCUUCUCGAUGUAGGUGAAGUCAGAAUAGAUGCUGAUAUUAAAGAUGGGGGCAUGAUGCUGUUAACUGCCUUAUCUUCUUAUGCUAAAUGGCUUCAGGGAAACGCUGAUGUCAUACUUCAGGUGGGUCAAUUGAAUGUUGGUUUUUUGCAUGCCUGUAAUUUCAUAUACUGUGUUUCUUUUUCCCGUCAAAUUGCUCUGUUAUGGUUCAGUUUAAGGCCAUGAUUAAAGUUUGUUGAGGAUUGUAAUAUCAAUAGGUCAGAGGCACAGUUGAACAACCAGUGCUGGAUGGAUAUGCAUCAUUCCACAGGGCAUCCAUAUCAUCACCAGUUCUCUGGAAACCACUCACAAACUUCGGUGGCACAGUUCAUGUGAAAUCGAAUAGGUUAUGCAUCACUUCGUUGGAGAGUAGAGUAAGCAGAAGGGGGAAACUGUUUGUAAAAGGAAACCUGCCCCUUAGAACAAGUGAAGCAUCCCUUGGAGAUAAAAUUGACUUGAAAUGUGAAGUUCUGGAAGUACGUGCAAAGAAUAUUCUGAGGUACUUGUUUUUGUUUCUUAUGAUUGAAAGGCUAAGUUCAUUCGCAUCGCUAAUAGGUUGAUUUUUGGAUUCUUAUGCUUUUCAGAAUCCUUAAAAUCCCAAUUUUUAUUUUGCUGCUUUGAUGUUUCCAUUGGUUCUGGUGUUGUGGUACAAAUCCAAAAUAGGAAGAGAGAACAAAUAAGAUAAACUUACUCCAGAAAUGGAGUCCUUUCCCUUCCUUUGAGAGUUAAUCCAUGUUUUAAUAGCAGUCUUAGCUGCAUAUUCCUUUUGUUUGCAGUCCGAAAAAAACUCAUGUGUUAACUAAAAUUGCAGCGCCCAGGUUGACACUCAGAUGCAGAUAACUGGUUCUAUAUUGCAACCCAACAUCUCUGGAAGUAUUAAAUUGAGCCAUGGUGAAGCAUAUCUACCACACGAUAAGGGUAGUGGGGCUGCUACUAAUAGAUUGGCAUCAAAUGAGUCCAGGCUCCCUGGUACUGGUGUCGAUCGAGUAGUUGCCUCGAGGUAUGUUUCGCGGUUUUUCAGUUCACAACCUGCUGCUUCAAGGACAAAGUUCCCUCAACCUUCAGGUAAGACAUCACUGCCUCUUUUGUUUCAUUGUGUGACAUUAUGAUACUAUAAAUUCAGACUAGAAUAUGAUUGGUAAAGUUGAUAUCUGCAAAUUCUGCUUUUUAACCUUCAACCUUCUGGAUUGGCAGUUCAACCAACUGAAAAGGAGAUGGAGCAAGUGAACAUUAAACCGAAUGUAGACAUUCAGCUUAGUGAUUUGAAGCUCGCUCUAGGACCAGAGUUGAGGGUAGUUUAUCCUUUAAUCCUCAAUUUCGCAGUUAGUGGAGAGCUUGAAUUAAAUGGCCCAGCUCAUCCCAAAUCGAUACAACCUAGAGGUGUCUUAACUUUUGAGAAUGGUGAUGUAAAUCUUGUUGCAACUCAGGUGGGGUGUUCAAGCUAAUCCAUAUACUGCUCGUCUUUGUGGUUACUCUGCUUUUGGCCUUCUCUUAAUCUCAUUAACUUUGCAAUUGCAGGUGAGACUCAAGCAAGAGCAUCUGAAUAUUGCAAAAUUUGAGCCUGAACAUGGUCUAGAUCCGAUGCUAGAUUUAGUUUUGGUAGGUUCUGAGUGGCAAUUCAGGAUUCAAAGUCGAGCCAGAAACUGGCAGGACAAACUGGUUGUAACUUCUACUGGCUCUGUGGAACAGGAUGCCAUCUCACCUACUGAGGUAUAUCGUUUUAUAUUGGCGGGAGUAUUCAGUUCCUUGUGUCGUAUGAAAUGAUCAAUCCAAUAGGUCACUCCUGCAGGUUUUCUUGUCUUUGUCACAUAGUGGACUCUAUAUACUCCGCAUUAAGUCACUCUGUGAAAUCUACUUUCACAUUUGUUUUAUUUGCCCUGGAUUUCUGAUUUAGGAUUUGCAAAACUUUGUUCAAGUUUUCAUGCCCUAGACUUACUGGCACUUUGAUCUGAUCUAUUUUCCCCAUAUUCAUAGGCUGCCAGAGUUUUCGAAAGUCAAUUGGCAGAGUCCAUCUUGGAAAACGAUGGGCAGCUUGCGUUCCAAAAGCUUGCAACUACAACACUUGAAAAACUGAUGCCAAGAAUAGAAGGGAAGGGAGAGUUUGGCCAGGCAAGGUGGAGGCUAGUGUAUGCACCACAGAUCCCUAGUUUGCUUUCUGUUGAUCCAACGGUGGAUCCUCUCAAAUCCCUGGCCAGUAAUAUUUCAUUUGGUACAGAAGUUGAAGUCCAACUUGGGAAACGCCUUCAGGUUAUCUUAAUGAAACUCUUCAACGUGCUGUCAAUUCUUUUGCCUCUCAAAAUUUGAUAUUUCCAUUUAUUAUAGGGGAAUUAAUUGAUUGAUACUGUUUUACUUCUUUUCCUUCAAGUUUUGUUUAUGAUCAUUUAAGAGUAUUUUUUUUUCCUCAGGCCACAAUUGUUAGGCAAAUGAAGGACUCGGAGAUGGCAAUGCAAUGGACCUUAAUCUACCAGCUUACGAGCCGCCUGCGGGUUCUCCUACAGUCUGCUCCGUCAAAACGCCUCCUUUUCGAAUAUUCUGCUACGUCUCAGGAUUAGUCUGCUAGCCAAUUUCUUUUAGCUCUAACUUUUCUGUGGAUCAGAUCAAGCCUUCAAUUGGAGCUUUGAAAUCUCAGUCAGUUAUACGUUCUAUUUCUUUCUUCUUCCUUUUUUUCCUUUACUUUUUAAGUUUCUGAUUAUGUAUAAUUAUUCUUUGCUCAAAAUUGAAUGAGCUCCCUUGUAAGUUCAAUGCGUUCACUUUGUAAAUAGUUCAAUAUUAUCAAUGAAAGAAAAUUACCGGUUCUAAGUUUCCAACGCUUGGUGAUUGCAAUUAAACUCUUAUUCGAGAUUUGUUAGUAUAGCUCGUUCAUUCUCAAUAGAAAAGGUCCUCCAACCAAAAAAAUAGGUGGCUGGAUUUUUCAAUCAUAUUAAUUGCGUUUUAUUAUUAUUUAUUUUGCCUUUCGAUCAGAAGUGUUCUGUUCAAAAAAUUCACUCAAUAAAAUUCCCAAAUUAUUCAAAGUGUUCUGAUAAAAAAAUUCACUCGUAAAUUUUAGGGUUAUUCACAGCAAUGGUCCCUUAACUAUACCCGUAGUUACAAUUUGGUCACCCAAUUCAAUUAUUAGUUGCAGAGGUUACUUAAGUAGGUGUUUUGUUGCACCAUUAAUCUUUCCGUCAACUCUGUUAAAUUUUCUGUCAAAAGUGAGAAUAAAUUCGAAAAUUCAUCCACAAUCCUCCCCUUCCUCCACAACCCUCCAUUGCCGCAACCCAAUCCUUGUGAACACCAAAAAAUUUCCCCUAGAACCCUUCCUGGCUAUCUUCUUGAAUUCGUCUCUCAAAUGCUCUAGAAACUGAAGAACACCAGGGUUUCCCAAACUCUCAUCAACAAUUGUGAAAUAAAUAUACCCAUCUUCAAUUAGGAACCCAUAAGUCCUUUUACCCACGGUCUCAAAAUACCACCUAAGAAAAGGAGUCGUCUUUUCCAAGCACAAAGUAGCCAAGUUCUCAAUUUCACCAUCUCCACCACUGUAUACAUAAAUGAUCCAAUUACCCCUUGAUACACAACAAUAGUAAACGGUAUUUUGAAUCGAACCCAUAUUAUACUCAAUUGUAGUCUACAACCAAUUCUACUGGUGAACCUCAGUGCCAAGCAUCAUUAGUACCAAACAAAAUGUAAUUAUGUAAACAACAACUUAGAUACAAAAUCAAAAGCGUCCAAGUAAUACGAGAGCAGUUCACUGAAGUUGUGAGGAUGCUUAAGAAUGCAGAGACUGAUAUCGCAAUCGUCUUCUUCUUUAGUCCAAGCUCCUUUGUUGGUGUGAGCCUUUCACAACAAGGAGAUCUUCCCACUUCUUGUUGCUGUGCGGCUUCGAAUUUUUUGGUGUUUGCAAGGAUUGAGUUGGGCAAUAGAGGGUUGUGGAGGAAUGGGAGGGUUGUGGAUAAAUUUCUGAAUUUACCCUCACUUUUGACAGAAAAUUUAACAGAGUUUGACGGAAUGACUAAUGGUGCAACAAAACACCUACUUGAGUGACCUUUGCAAGUAAUAAUUGAAUUGAGUGACCAAACUAUAACUACGCGUAUACUUGGGACCAUUGCUGCGAAUAACCCUAAAUUUUAUUCUUACUACAGAAAAUUAGAUUUACGAGUCCACAAUGAAUCAUAAUUGAAAUUAUUAUUUUUUUCUGAAAAGGUUAGACUAAAAUUAGUCAGGGGCUGCGCGAACGCAGGCCCCCGCUAGCACAAAUUAUGACAUUGGCUCUCCUACGUUGGGGAGACCAUAGACUGGCACCCCUCCUGAGUGCAAUGGAGGUCACCAACCUAGGCCAUGGGCCCUCUUGAUCGCCCAUUGACCCUGUCCAGGUAAGUAUGUUUUAACGUUCUCCUUGAUCCUCUUUUAUAUCAACUCUUCCCACUCACUCUUUUCUCCCAGUCGAUGUGGGAUUAGUUUAAAAUGCCAAAAGGAAACACAAUUAACCAAAGAAUUUGCAUACAAAUUUGUCAUCUACCCUUUACUCAUCAUCAACCCAAAGAGAAACGUAAUGGAACGUAGAGCCAAAAUUUCAAUGUUGAUGGAAUAAAUGAGUGAAAAAUUAGUGGGACGACAAAAUCGAGUACACUCUCACCAAAAUCUCCAUGGAUCCUUGUAUGGAGGAACAUAGUUUUCUGUGGGAGGGAGGAGGUGAAAAGAAGCAAUGGUUUUUUGCAAGAUAGGCCCCACCUGCAUCACAUAAAAUGCAUAUCAAUAAUUAUAUGUAAGCAGAAGAUAUAAAUAACAACAAAACUUCAUUUCCUUCAUCAGAGAGAGAGAGAGAGAGUUACUAUGUUCCACUGCUUGUUGAGAGUUGAAGCAUUUAUAGAGUACAAAUAACCUACAAUUGAGUUUUUGUAAGAUUCAAUGACAGGUUUUAUAUUGCAAUAUUAACCCAAUAAAAACAUAGCCGUUACUUUUUUAAUCAAAUGGCAUCUUCUCCACCACAAGUAUGCGUAAUGCAGAUAAUGAUGAGAAAAAAGAAUGAGAUGAAAAAUCUUAUGUUUAGCACUGGAAUGGUUGAACAAAGAAACUAUUUUCCUACCAUCUCUUUCGGUUGUUGAAGCUACAUAGUGCCUAUAAUUGUUAGAUUCUUCAGCCUGCACAAUUUUCAACUGUUGUAAGAAUCCUGAAGAAACCAGGACAGUGAGCGAAUUUUUAUUCAACUGAAAACUGCUCUUAGAAAGAACACUUACAGUUUUCGUGGGUGCUUUGCGAACAAGGUACUCAUAAUACCAGUAUGGCUCACCAGCAAUCUGAGGAAUAAAAAUGAUCAAGCUUCAUACGUCGCCAAGUAGAUUUUACAACGACAGUUUCAGCUAUGUAAACCCAAAAAGGUGUGGGAAGCUUACUUCACCGGAAUGUGCAUCAAGAACUGAACUCUCCGCCAUGCGCUGACUUGAGGUGACCCGCUGCAGAGAAUUGUAGCAUGUCAGAUCAAACAAGCAUUAACUUGACAACAUCAAGCAGUCAAGGCCAUAGAAUAUUCCCCCAAAAAUUGGUUGGGUAACUCUACAACGGACUGCACCAUCCCAUCCAACCACAAUCCUCUUUACAGCUAUUCUACCCAAGCAAAUUGAAGGCAAAUUGGUUUUUCGAUUCAUCGUUGUUUUACUGGACAAUUUCUUUCCUCCCUUGGGAUGCUUCCUAAGAAUGUAUUAUCAUGUCACAGUUACAUCAAAAUUAGUACACUUUGAUUUUUCAAGAUCCUCCGGUUGGGGAUAAUCUAUCAUGCCUAAGGUUUCACUUUUUAAUAUUUCUUUCAGUCCUAGUUAAACUUCAAAAAAAAUUCACACGUGGACAAUCAAUCGUAACAAAUUUUUUCUAUUCAGCCAGAGCCAGCCUUAAAAUCAAAAGCUAUUAGAAAAGAGCCAGUGGAAUAUUACCAAUGCAGACUUGUCAGCCAAAACAGAAUCAGCAACAUCUUUUGCAGUCCAUGUACUCUUGUCUAGUGAUUUUAUAAUCUUUGAAUUCGGGGGACCUAUCUGAAUCAAAGGAAAUUAAAUUAUAAACCUUUGAAAGAUAACUAAGGGGAUUUGCACUUAACAAGUAGUGAUCUUAUCAGGAGUUACCGAAAUAGAAAUGAUGAGAUUAUCAACAAUGUCAACACGCUCAGAAACAAUGCGAAGCCGUGCAUCAGCUGAAUAAUAUAUAAAACAGUUUCUAGUCAGGUUCUGUUGAAAGACUUUCAUCAUUCUAUUUUUGAAGCUGAACUUACGAGAUAAUGGUGCAGCUGAUGAAUAGCGUUCUGGCUUUCUUGACUCCACCCUGAAAUACAUGAAAAUAGUCAGGUUCCUACAAUUUAUAUGCCACGAUAAUUGCAAAUAAUUCAACAGUUGGUUUUUGUGCUAAAAAGGAAAAAGAAAUAUACAGAAAACUAUUAUCAGCGUCUCAUUUAAAGAAAACAAUGCAUGAUUCAAAAGGUUAUGAACAUUAACUCUGAUAACAUUAUGGGCGAAAAAAAGCAUAAGUUUCCGUUCAGAUUCAAAUUUGUUCCUCUGAACCGAAAAGUAACAACAACAACGAUACAUACACGUAUCGAAAAUGGGGCAAAUUGCAUACCAUUUGAAAAUGACCUUCUUAGAUGGCAACUCCACUGGGUAUAGAUAAGAACAGGAAUUUAUUUCAUCAACAAACGUAGCCAUUUUCAAGUCUUCCUCUGCAAGGGACCCUGCAACAACAGUGGCCUAUUGAUAAUUGCUAAUUACAAAGAUACAAAAAAGAAUUUUAAAUUAUUAGAGAUUAUAUUCAUAAACAUGUAUACUAACAACCAUAACAUAUUUCCAAAAAAGAAUAAAUAAAAUUUUCAUUUUCCAUGUUCUUCCCAGUUUCUUCAGAGACUGUAAAAAUCAACUGACCAAAUUACCAAAGUGUGAAUUGAGAAAGCUCACCUGAAGAUGGGAACACUACAAGCACUGGAGCAGAAAGGCCAAAGAGCAACAACUCCCUUCUGCAAAACCCACUUUGCAAAGUGGGUUUUGAGAUGGCACUAGAACAUGGCUGCCAUUUGUUCUGCUGUAUCACAGUUCUAGCCUGCUCUCUAACACCAACCCAAAAACAGUACCAAUAAUUUAAAGAGAUAAAUAAAAAUACACAGAAAUAUUCAUUCACACAUUCAUGUCCAUGAUAAGAUUAAGAGAGAGAAAGUACCUGAAAAACAUAUUUGUAGGAACAAGCUGGUUGGAUGUGAAGAGGGAGAGAGGAGAGAGAACAACCAUUUUUGCUCUCUUCUUUCUUUUGCUCUGCUUUUCUCUCUGUUCUUGCUUGGCUCAUCCACUCAAUGGAGGACCCAACUCCCAACAAAAAUAUUAAAACCCAGCUGUUUAACACGUGUCCUUGUAAUAAGAGGGUAUAUGGUCUGAUUAACCACUGACCAAUCAUUUUAUGCCACGUGGUAUGCUUAGUCAUAAAACUUAAAUAGAAUACAACUAACCCUGUCUCCAAACAGGGCCCCAAACUGUUAUAGUAAACCCAGUAAAACGUCCGUGUCAUGCAAAGUGAAGAGAAGAAACUUUUUAUUAUUAGCUUUCCGCUACACUAAACAUUUCUCACAGAGCGAAAAAUAGAAGAAUUUCCCCGAAAAUCAUUUGCUCUUUUUUCUUCUGCGUCCUCUGCGAUCUCGGGAACUAGGGUUUCGGCGAUUUCGAGUUCUUCGUUUUGCUUCUUUGGAUUUCAAGAUCGCCUCCUCGCUCUCGGUGAGCUCUCAUUGACCUUCGUUGGUUCAUGCUGUUAACUUUUUUUUUCUUUGAUCUUGAUCGUAAUUAGGUUUCAUAUUACGAUGAUCCGAGUUUUGGAAUUUCUUUUUUGCGAUGAGAUUCGAGUUGAUUAUCUGAGGUUUGAGAUUUUGUUGAUCCGUACGUGUAUUUUGUUCUUGUUUACUUUGUGGAAAACGGGAUUUUAUACUUGAUUGAUUACUUGAAGUCUAAUGAGAAAAGCAAUAAUCAAAUAUGGAUUUUGUUAAAGUGAAUCUUGAUCUAGAGUUUGUUUACUUAUAUCAUUUUUUUCUUUUCGUGAGGAAAUUGGAUAGUGAUCUGAUGUAGUGUAUCUUCUUGUGUGGAUAUUGGAUAGUGAUCUGAUGUAGUGUAUCUUCUUAUGUGGAUAUGAGAUAUGAAAUUGAGUUCUUGACAAGUUGAGGCACUAACUUUGACUGGUUUGGUUUCUGAAGGAUUAGUGGAUUGAAUAAUUUGUUUGGUUUAGUUGUUUGUGAAGGAUUUGUAAUCUUAUGUGAUUAAAUUGCACACGAGUUUGAAUGGUGUUUUCAAAAUCAGUCCUCUUUUCAUCUAAUCAAAGGUCAUAGAUAUGAUAUGUUUUGGGUUUGUCAGUUACACUCUCACCAUCAACUGAAAUUUUUUGGUACAACAAUUAGCUUAUGCUUUGAGUAAAUUCAAAGUAAAGUAAGACCCAGGAUUUUAUCUCUUUAUUAGUGGAAUCCCAGCUUAUUUUGACAUGAAAGCUUUAUAUUUUUGUUUCAUCCAUGAUUACAUUAUUAAUAUUGUCUGAUAAUAUCCGGUUUUGCAUUUCUUUCAAAGUAGCAGAUUUUUAUGAAUUGAGACCAUGAAGCCAGGAUUGUCUUCUUUGAAUCCCUAUGCAGCAGCAUACAUUCCACUCUCCAAAAGGGAGACGGAUGAUAGAAUGUAUGUGACGACGAAAGAUUCUAGCCGCAGCAAUGAGGCAGUCUGGUUUGGGACCCCACAGAAUAACUCCCAGAAUCAACCGCAUAGCAAAUCUUAUCUUGAAUCUGAUGCCCCUGGUACUGCAAGACUCCCCAGUCCAAAGUCAUUUGCUGUAAAGAGCUACCCUGCCCACGGUUCUUAUGGUUCAUCUUCACAGAAUGUGAAUGAAGUGACAGCACAUGAAGAUUUUGAUAUGGCUUUGGAUUAUCUUGAGAUGACAUUUCCUGGUAUAUCUGAUCAGUCCCUUACUGAUGUUUAUUUGGCAAAUAAGGGUGACCUGGAUGCCACCAUUGACAUGCUGAACCAACUUGAGGUGAGACUUCCAUUUUUUAUUUUUUUUUGGGUGUAGUUAAAUAUUCUUCAUUCGGUAAAGUCAUACAUUAUCCUCUACCAUCUGUCCAUCUACAAUUAUGUUGCUAUGAAUUACAUUAUAAAUACUUAAAUAAUGCUGCUUGCAAUUCUGAAACAGUUACAGGUCAAAAUUGGAAUGUCUUUAUCCAAUUUGAAGCAUAAACUGUGUAUGUGCUGUGUUCAUGUCACCGACUAAUUAAAACAAAAAAGAAUAAUCAAGCUCCUCGUUUUCUUUGAAAAUUUUCUCUAUUGCAAGUUCAUUUGACUUUGUAUGCUUUGCCAUGUUGGUAGGUGGUGCAAUUACUGUGUGAUUUAAUUGACUCAUAGUGACAGUAAUCUGUUUUGCCAUGUUGAUUGUUUAUGACAUUUCUUAUUUAUAUGAGAAAUCUUGCUCCCUUGAUAUAAUUGUAUAUUGGACAGCUAGUGAAACUCUAUAUUGGACAAGCAAGAAUGGUUUUCGAUUGGCUAGAAUGUAUUUAACUUUUUGUUCGGUAGGCGAGUUUUAUUAUGAACUUUAUAAAGUUGAGAAUAUUCUGGAUAUCCAUCUCCGGCUGUUUGUUUCCUAACAUCAAACUAUAGAAAUUUUGUGUCUAUGUUUAUCAACAUCAGCUCAGAGAUAAACUCUAUCAUUUAGCAUACAUGUUUGGAUUAUUUGCCUUUACUAUAAUUCUUUAAGAACAAUUCUAACUUUGGUACUCAUCCUGAAAAUUGGUUUGUCUCUUACAGUUCUACACAGUUGAGUCUUCUGAAAGUCUUCCAGACACUUUGGACAUUGGAGAUGUUUCUGAAUCUGGGUUGCCAGGCAAUAGUGCAUGGAAACUGAAGAAUGUAGCAGGUGAAGCCAGCGGUUCACCCAAAUCGUAGCUCCCAUUGUCAUCUCCUGUUCGUUUUUUGUGGAAAACAAGAAAAAUGUCAGUUGUUUUACCUUGACAUGUUUGGUUUAUGGGCAACAAGUAUAUAAAUAGAGGAUCUUAUCUUGGGGUCAUGGACAUUAUGCACACAGUUGUUUGAUAAUGGUUGUAUAGCUUCUUAGAUGCUUGUUCUUAAUCUCUCAUUAACAUUUUUCUCGACACCUUCGGGUUUUAUGGGCCAAAAGCUCACAGUGCAAACGUCAUGCCGCUUUACGGUUUUCUGCAAUGAAAAUGAUGUGCUUCUGAAUGUCGUAUUGUACCCAUACUUUACCCUUUUAUUUUCUUAAAGGGAAAGAUUGAGGCUAGGCCUAAAGGCCUCUGGUGAAGUAAGACCUUAUUUAAUUCUUUCUCAUGGGUUACGACCCAAAAGUAAAAUUAUAUAAAAACCAGGCCGGGAUGGCCCAGAUUCAUUUAUGCCCACGAAGGCCCUACACUGUCAAGCAUUUGCUUAAACCCCUCUUUAAGCUACAAGCCUCCCAUUUUAUGACCAGCUCAUGUUAGGAUUUCUUUUCGUUCUUCAUCUCCGGCUUACUUACGGUCCUACUUACCGGGAACCAUGCUCUGUUUGGCUGGAGAUUGGGUUGUCGUCUGUGAUGUAUCUUUGUACAGUUCGUACAGUCAGUUGUUUCUCACCACAGAAUGAUUUGGUGGAUUUACUUUUAUUGUGCUUGGGGAUUAAGGAGAUUAGGAGAUACUGUGAUAUUCUUUGGAAUAUCCUGGUGGAAGUUGAGCGGUAAUGCCCUCCACUCUUGAGGUAUUUACUGUCCCACGAAGUUUGAGAUUGGAAUAUCCUGGUGGAAGUUGAGCGGUAAUGCCCUCCACUCUUGAGGUAUGUAAUGCCCUCCACUCUUGAGGUAUUUACUGUCCCACGAAGUUUGAGAGUUUGUUCUCCGUCUUAAUCUCUUUUAAACACUUGUUGCGACAGGAAAAGGAUCCUCAUCAUCUGUAACUCCUUGUUAGCUGGGUUUAAAGUUGUAUAUUUGUUUUCUAACUAUCUUGUAAUAUUUGAGCUUAAUUGGUGUUGUUGUUACAAUCUAUAUUGCAAGAACCUCCUUCCAGGGUUGUGUUAUAUUUUGUAUUGUUGUAUUCUGAGUUUGUGCCAUGUUUCUUCAAUUGAAUUGAUACAGUUUCGCAAAAACAAAAAAAAACUCUUAGGUCCAUCCGGUAACGUUUUCGGAGCAUGGCACCCUCAUUUCUCUUCAACUAGUUUAGCCACAAGUCAAGUUUUAUCUAAAUAAAAACACAUUGAGCAGUUUUGAACUAGACUACAAAUGUAUUGGUAAUAGACACCAAUGUUAUUUAUUAUCUUGAAAUAACAUGUGAUAUAACAAAAUAUAACGAUAUAUAACAUUGACAAUAUCGAUGAUAUAAAAUUUGUCAUUUAAGAAAUGACGGACGUCAUGCACACCGAGUUGGAGGCUUGGGAAUUGGAGAAGUAUCCAAACGUAGCCUCACUCUUCUUGAGCCGUCAUUGUUAUGUGAUAAUGUGAGGCACUCGGGGUUCAGCUAAUUCAAUUAAAUUACAGACAGUUAGUUUGUGCGGUUAAUUUGUAGAGGUGCCAGAAAUAUGUCCGUGAGCUUCGGUAGUUAAAAAAGAUACAAUAUCCAUCAAACGCGGUCUUAACUCUUAACAAAACAUACACUAAAACAAACAAGAUUGCAUCGUCAAGUCAUCAUCAUAUAUUAAAUACAAGAUCAACAAUUCUGAAGAAGACUAAUCUAAUCAUUUCUGAAAGAACCCAUUUCACCAUUUGCUUCUUUCUUUCUGAGCCUCAGACAAUCUUUGACCAUCCUGAAUUGUGUGAUUUUGGCCUUAGAGAGAGAGCGAGAGAGAGAAAAAGAGGUGGAUGCUGAUCUGGGUUUUUGUCAAAGGUUACAGCUUUGAAGAAUUGCAUCUGAUCUGAUAGUGAUUGAAGAUCAACAAUCUCUUUUUUUUUUCUGGAGGGUAUAGAAGAUGGGGGUGGAUUAUUAUAACGUAUUGAAGGUAAACAGAAAUGCUACAGAGGAUGAUCUAAAGAAGGCUUAUAGGAGGCUGGCCAUGAAAUGGCACCCUGAUAAGAAUCCUAAUAACAAGAAAGAAGCAGAAGCCAAAUUCAAGCAGAUCUCCGAGGCAUAUGAGGCAUGUUCUCUUUCUUUCUGCUAUUUUUGUUACACGUUCAUUCUUCUAUAUGCAUAUUUAGAUAGGUAAACAAAUUUUUAAAGAAAAAAUAAACAGAAGAAAAAGGUUUAAGCUUGUUGAUUUUGUCAAUUUUCAUAGUUCAAGAUUCAUAUGCUGGAUGAUUGCAAUGCAAAUGUAGGAUAAGAAAGAACAAAACUUUAAUGUUUCUGAAAGUUGGUUUUUAUUCUUUGGAGAAUUGGGUAGUCAGCCAAGAAUGAUUACAAUGGGACUUCAAAUAAUGGGAAACUCUUAAGAAGAUCAAGUAAUUAAUUGUGUCAGGCUCAAUUCAGGUGGACUUUUAUUUUCUGUUCCGUCUCCAACAAGGAAUUCUUUAAUUACCAAAUGGGGUGUGGUUGAUCAAAAUUAAAAGAAAAAAAAAAAAAAAAAGAAUGAAAGCAUCUAUGCUCAUUCAUAUCUGCAAGCAGUGAAUUGAUUGGGGUGUACAGAGUGAAAAUAACAGAAUGAAAUGUUUUUUGUGAAUACAGGUCUUGAGCGAUUCUCAGAAAAGAGCAAUUUACGAUCAGUAUGGCGAAGAAGGACUGAAAGAUAUGCCGCCUCCAGAAAGAUAUGCAAAUGGAAAUGGAGGUGGAUCAAAAGGAUUUAAUCCUAGGAAUGCAGAGGAUAUAUUUGCAGAAUUCUUUGGAAGUAGUCCUUUCGGAUUUGGGUCAACAGGACCUGGGAGGUCUAUGAGAUUCCAAUCUGAUGGAGGAGGGGGAAUGUUUGGCGGAUUUGGAGGAAACGAAAAUAUUUUCCGAUCAUAUAGUGAGGGUGUUACACCAAAGAAACCAACAGCAGUGGAGAGCAAAUUGCCUUGCAGCCUUGAGGAGCUGUAUACUGGAUCAACAAGGAAAAUGAAGAUCUCAAGAACUGUGGUUGAUGCAAAUGGGUAAUUCAUUUUAACACUGUCCCCAGUUUAUUUCUUUGUUUCCUUUAUUGCCAUAGAUUAAUUGGUUAUAAUUUAAAUAGGAUAUAGCAAUUAGUACUUCCAGUAUUUCAUCUGCCUUACAUGGUAGUUAUUUAUGAUUCUAAUGCUAGUCAGUUUAUUAAAUGGCUCAAGUGAGCAUCAAUUUAGCUAAGAUAUGAUCUUUAUAAAUGAUAAUCCCGUUUUUUUUUUCUCAUUGUGUUUCCAGACGUCAAGUGCCAGAACAAGAGAUAUUGACCAUUGAUGUGAAGCCAGGAUGGAAGAAGGGAACCAAGAUUACAUUUCCAGAUAAAGGUAAUGAGCAGCUUGGCCAGCUGCCAGCAGACCUUGUUUUUGUGAUUGAUGAGAAGCCCCAUGACACAUACAAGAGAGACGGCAAUGACCUCGUUGUGAACCACAAAGUGACAUUAGCGGAGGCAUUGGGUGGAACCACGGUGCAUCUCACUACGCUCGAUGGUCGUGAUCUAUCCAUCCCGGUGACUGACAUUGUGAGCCCGGGCUACGAACUUCUUGUUGCCAGGGAGGGCAUGCCAAUACCAAAAGAGCCUCGUAACCGGGGUGAUUUGAAGAUCAAAUUUGAGGUGAGGUUCCCUACAAGAUUAACCCCAGAGCAAAGAGCCGGACUUAAACGAACUUUGGCCGGUUGAAGAGUAUGUCAUGACCUUUUCCAUUGUAAGUUGGCCAACAGUUGGGGUAGCUUUGAAGUCACAUACAUACAAGUCAAAGCUGCAUUUGUUUAGUUUGUAGGCUGUGCUUUCUCUGCACUGGGAUGAAUGCCGGCAUUUUAAACAAGUGAUGUGCCAAAUUACCUAUUGUUUGAUAUACAUUCAUUAUUUUUUGUAUAUUUUGUUGUCAGCAAUCAGUGUUAGGUUCAUGUAUUGUGUCAUUGCUUGUAUCCUUCUAACUUUUCUUUUGCUAUAUCCUUAACUGUUCUGUAUUUUUUUACAAUAUAGUUUCCUACAAGGCAGAUGCACUGAGUCAGUCCCAACCAUUAAUCUGUAUUCAGAAUAAGAAAAUCUCAGAUCAAGUUUUUUCCCAGGAUAUUUUGGGUGUUUUUACCUCUUAUCCAUUGCCUUUGCUUUGCUUAAAAUGGUGGGUAGUCCCAGGAUUCCAACAUAACUAUCUCCACUGAUUAUUAACAGAUGGCAAAUGACAGGAAUUGGACCAUUCCCAAAAUUGGCAUAGAGCGAGAAAUAGCAACAAACAUGCAUGUUGUCCUAAGGAUCUUGAACCUCACGAGUGUUGUCUUUAUUCUUUUUUUUGGGUGGCCAUGAGACCCAGUACAGGUAAAAAACCUUUUUAAGAGAACCUUAUGUUCAGACAGGAAUUGGCAUUAUUACAAAAAUAAAUAAAUAAAUAAAUAAACAAAUGAGAAUUGUCACCAAAAGUAAACAAAUGAUUCUCACAACUUAAAUAUCCAUGUGGUCUGAUGCCUCACCACUUGCAUGACAUUUACUUGUCUUUUUGUCCUUGUUUAGCUCAUUCUGAAAGAUACGAGUUUGUAUGCAUGAAUAAAGUUGGGGGUAUUUAAUGCUCUAUGAUAAAUAAAUAAAAAUUAAAAGAAAAUCCUUUUUUUUUUGGCAAAUCUAUUAUUUUUGCUUACAUUGUCAUCAAUAUUAUUAUAACAGCUCAACCGUAAGAAUAAAUGGAGAAGAAAGGAGAAGGUAUAACUGUACAAACAAGAAUCCAUCUAUUAUUAUCUAACUACAAAUCUUGGAACCUCUCUCUGAUCUUUACAUCCAUGCGUCGUUGAAAUGCAAAAAUCAUUUUUACUUACAUUGUCAACAAACAUGAGCUCCACAUUGCCAUUUCAACACUGUCAAAGCCUCUAAGGCAGCUCUGCCUGCGUGUAUCUCUACCAAGCUCCCCAUCACCCAAGAAAAACUGUUAAAAAAAGGAAGGCUUGAACUUGGACAAUCAUCCAUCCAUUUUGAAACAAGAUUCUUGCAUCGGCGUACUUGAAGCCACGAAGGGUCAUACAUUCUGUGCCUAAAAUAUAGUGUUGGCCACUUCAUUGCCCACCCUACUAUCACCGCGUUGCUGAGUGCCACUGAUCGCAGAGAGAGAGCCCAAAAUGCUCUCACCAACCUCGCUCUUGCAAAGGGGACAAGAUGCAUUGAUCUUCAACCACUUAUCCACGCACUCCUUGUGGAAAAAAUGAGAACAUGGCAACUCUCUCAGCUCAUCAUUGUUUGCGUAUUUUGCCAAGCAGAUGCAACAAACCUGUUCAAUUUUACGACAUUAUUAGUAAUACCGAGUACAAUAGCAGGGCAAAGGCUUCCCAAAAAAAGAAGGAAAAGGGAACCACUCUGUAAAGAAAAAAAUACAUAAUACUUUUAUCAAUCAUACCACCAGGCAAACAUAUCUGGUAAAAUCCGGCAUCAAACCACCCUCUACUAAAUUUUCAGUAUGGUACUACUAGAUUCCAAGACAAAUAGUGACACCAAGAAAUGCCAAAUCAAUACACAUUUGAUAAUUUCAGUGUAAAGAGUGUCAAACAUUUAAAAUCUAGUCUCCAAUUUGAUCAGGAACUUGACUGACUGGAUACAGAAUCACUACACUCAAAUGAAUAUGGGAGGAAGCAGGUUUCAAAUGGCAAGUCAUGUUAUAAUACUACUUAGUGUCAGGGAAGAAAAGUAAUUCACCAAGCGAGUAAUAUCAUGCAUUCAUUACUCAUUUCAUCACUAGUCACUAGUCAGGCAUAGGUCCUAAAUAUAUUGUGAAGACUUGUACUUCGCUAAACUUGCCAGACCAUACAUACCGCAUCCUCUCCAGAGAUCACACGCUCCUUCUCAGUUCCUGCAGCCACAACACCACCUUCAGAGACACCUGCGCUGCUGCUAUCUCUAUUGUCACUAUUUUUGUUUUUCUUUAAUUUGAACUUGUAUGUUGGCAGAGCAUUAAUUGAUUCAGGUGUGGCUCCUCGUGCCUGUGUCAGGUCUUCUCGAAAUCCAAGGACAGAUAUUAUACAAGGAAGACAACAGCAGAUUGUUGCGCACAAAAUGAAAGGCAUGGCGUAUCCAAUACAACUAAAUGUAAGAAAUACUAUACAUAACCUGCAUGGAGAAAAAUUGAUAUGAUCUCCCCACUCAAAAAAUCCAGAACUGGAAAAGUAAAUCAGAUUGACAAAAGUACCUGUAUAGGUUAGGAGCCUCACUGGCAGAUGAGUGCCCACCAAAAAUCCAAACAUUGCCAACUACGAACCAAACCGCAAAGAAACAAUCCAAUGCCAUCUUAAAGUAUUCCACAAGUACCUUGACUCUGUUAGGCAAAAAUGACCUCAUGUGUCAGACAACUUUUUCUAGUACUAGCUUCCUUAUUAAACUUGCAACUCAAGUUACCUUCUCAAGACAAAGGCAAACCGAGUAACAUAAUUUCUAACAAAUAGACACAUAGGCUUCUCAUGGAUAAACAAUUUAAAAUAUAGAAAGAAUCAUAAAGCAACAACACUAACAUGAAUAAAACAUAAAUUGAAAGGGAAAAUAGUUGAAAAGUAGCUGUCAAAUUCUAAAAGACUAUACUAAAUCAAACAAAAUUUACCAUUCUCUUAAAAUUGACAAUAAUUACCAUUCCAGACGAUCUUGACAUUAAUUUAAAGCAACAAGUGACACAGACCAAAAUGGAUUUAGCUCAAAUAAAUUGGAAUAUUCUUCAGGUAAAAAUAUAAAUACGAAAAAAUAACCCAAGAAUGAGACAGCCACAUUGGACCUUCAUUAAUAUGGUUGUAAACUUGUAACAGAGAGAAGCAAAAAGAAAACUCCAGAUACCAAGAUCCUUUCACACAAAGGAUUUGUUACAGAUCCCUAAACUGUACCCAUGUUGUGUAACUUCAACAAGUGUGUUCAAGGAAUUUUAAACCAUCAAGACAAGAGGAACCCAAAUUGUGUGAACUCCCAAAACAUGUAGGCUCCCAAAUUGUGUGAACAUCCAAACCAUCUCUUCUUUUAACCUCUCAUUUUCUGUAAGCUCCCACUGAUAUCACACAAUAGAGACAACAAAAGACACGAGCGACCCUUUAUGAUGAACUAUCAAUAUGGCACUUAUGACAACUUAACUUUAACAAUGAAAACCGAGCGUACUCAUCUCCAAGGAGUUUAAUUACUUUCUUUUGGGGUCGGGAGAGGGAUUGGAGUAGAUAAGGGGCACAACAAUAUGACUGUUCUGAAAGAAUCAUUCAAUGCAGGCACAUUGUAAUUUCACUCAAAAUGAUGCGGCCACAACUCUAAAAAUAGUCUAUGAUAAUGCCAAGAAACAUGCCGUCUCUAUAAUUUUAAGUCUACGUGGAGCUUCAACCUUCAUUGAAUAAAAUAAAAGGUUUUAAAUAUCAUUAAUAAUCAUGCAACUUAGGAAGAGAAUCACAAAAUGUAUGCCAAACAAGGACAAUAUGUUUCAUUUUAUAAAGCACAAUGCCUGAAAAACAACAGCAAACCAUACCUUCGGCUUAGUACUUCCGAACUUUGACUGCUUCUAGAAGAUGCAGUGGUAGUCUGAAGAUCUCCUUCAGAAGUCCUAGAAACAGAAAGAGAAAAUGGUCUUGCUGGUACAUUAAUCUGAGAACUGUGACGGGCUUGAGCAGAAUCUUGUUCUGAAACCUGGUUGCGGUGACGAUAGCGCCAAUAUAGAAGAGGAAGAAUAGCAACACAUCCAGAUGCAUAACCAACAAUCCAUGCAAACAAUGGAGUGCGAGGAUGCUCAUGCCUUGACAAAGACAAAACAACAACAGAUGCAACAAUUUGGCUCACAGUAAGAACCAGUUCAAUAGAUAUCCAUAAUCCAGAAUUCAACGGACUUCUGCGGCGACGAGUAUCCCCUCUCCUUCCUGUUGCACUGUUCCUAGAGUUUGAUCCAUUAGAGGAAAAAAUUGAAGGUUGAAAUGUGGAUGCUCUUGGACUAGUUGAAGGUCUGUCUUCUUGCUGUGAUGCAUUUAAGCUAUUUAAAGAUCUACCAUGUGGCAAGCUAGAUGAGGAGGCAUCACUACUCCCAGUUAUGUCAAUAAUAUGCUCACUUCCGUUCAUAUCCUCAGGUCGUGAUUGCUCCAUUAACAAUGAGGAAGUGUAUGUUUGACUUUCAAGUGGAAGCUUCAAUGACGCAACAUCCAUCUAAGUCCACCGAGACAACACGGAACAGGAAUGCAUAGAUCUUUAGAGCAAGAAUCCCACCUUUAUGUUCAUCUUCUCAAAUGUGCUAACCAACUCACUCUCGUCCUAAAGACCUAUGCUGAACCAACCAACAUAGAUUAUGUGGCACCACGAGAACAAUAUCAAUCCUGUUCAAGAGCAAAAUAUUAAAAUCAGAAUUGUAUUAGUCAUAUUCUCAAAGCAACAUUUUGCUUUUGAUAGAAAAAUUAUAAGAGGUACAAUGGGAAAAUAAGAAUCCAAGGACUUUGUUAGUUCAACCAGUGGAAACAAUCAAGAAAAAACUCGAAUCAGGGAAUAUGCUAAAAGAAAACCAUCAAUUUUGAAAACACUAAAGUAUUAGAACAAAUUUCAAAAUAAAUGAUGUAGAUACUAAAGUAUUAUCAAUAUUAGAUUAGUCAUGCAAACUGAGAAAGCAGAGGUAAUAUUGACAGUCACAUAGAUCAAAAUCUACCCAAUGGUGCAAGUAAAAAAUUAUUUGUUUGGUCACUUGAAAAAUAUGAAACUAUAAUAGAACUAACAUACUGGGCAUUAAGCAUCAAAUAUUGGAGGUUCCAAAGGGCACAAUCCAUCAAUUUUAAAAUAAUAAAAAAUAUUAUUGUUCAACAACAGAAUUCUACUCACAGUUCAACUCCCUACUCUUUUCCUAGAUUUUCUCAGCAACCAAACAGCAGGUAUCAGUUCACCCUUUCUUUCUCUAUAGCAUAACGUUCAAGAAUUUCCCAAUGGGUAAACUGUGCCUUCAAUUCAACAGUUGAUUAAUACCAUUUCAAUAAUAUAUACCAAUCGAAAUCCUAAAAUUCAAAUAUGCUAAUUAUUCUUCAAGAACAACCCAACACUCAAAGAAUCGAAAACACAACAACCCACUUUCAAAUUCGAAACCUAAACCCAAAAACAAAAACCAUUUUUCACAUAAAUUAUUGAUUCCCAAUCUGCUUACGCAUAUACAAUUAUACAUAUAUGGAGAGAGAGAGAGAGAGAGAGAGAGAGAGAGUACCAGAUUGAAGCAGAGUGAGAGGGAGAAGAAGGUGUAGAAAAUAAGGUAGCGCCGUCUGGAAAUCGAGUGAUUGCUAUGAAAUUUAGGUGGGUUUUUGUUGGUACUUGGAGGGAGCGAGAAAUUUAGAGAAAAAUAGCGUCGUGCUGUCAAGACUCAGCUUUGGACCUUCGUUGAGGAAAAGAAAAGAAUUUUUCCUUCUUUUAUAAUUUUUAAUUAUCCCUUUUGCCUUUUUUUCUUUUUUCUUUUUCUUUUUUGCAUUUUUCAUUUUCGGGGUAGCUUCGGUUUCCGUGUACUCUUUUUGGCAAAUAUCAGUUUCCUCCCUGAACUUUAUGGAAAUUGUUAAUGGGCAUGAUAAUUGCUUACGUCAUACUCCACCUGCCCCUCCUCCUCCAGUUGAUGUCUCCAACUCCAACAGGCAACUUCAUGCUUCUUCUUUUUAAUUUUCUAUUUUUUUAUUGGCUUUUUAAAGCAAAUGUCAAACUGGUAUUUUAUACGGAAAUGGCACUAUGACUAUAUUAAAUGUAUUUUUCCCUCUAUACAUUGUAACGUAGAGUUCAAUUCAAUAUGAACAAAUCCAAGGUAUACUUAAAUAUUUGUUUGCAAUAUGAAUUUUUAUUGUAUAACUUUUCAAGAUAAAUUUAAAUCACUUGCAGAUUAUAAGUACGUUUGAACGACUCUAAUCGUUGAUCAAUAUAGAAUAUAUAUACACGUAGAUGUCAAACACUACGACUACUCUCCUCUAUCACAACAAACUAGUCAUGUAUACGGAAAAUAGCACUAUGACUAUAUUAAAUGUUUUCUUUUUCUAAAAUAUCUAUUGUAAAGUUUGACUAAUAAUUAAGGAAAUUGAAUAGUAUAUGAAUUCUUAUUUCUUGUUAUUCUUGUUAUUUCACAUGCCUACGGAUGACUGUGUAAGCAAACAUAAAUCUUCUUUUUAGCUCUAUCUUACUCAGAAGCCAAACACAAAAGACUACCAUCAUUCACAACAAACAAUAUUCAAAUAGGGAUUGGUUAAAUUGCAAUGCAAAAAAAAAAGGUUAAGAUUAAAGAAAUUUGUCUCAUAAAAUCAGUGCUUUAUGACAUGCAUACGUGAUUUAGACUAAUUGAUUAAAGUUUUGUACUCACCCCCGUUAUUAUUUUUUAAACAAAACUACAUGUAUUUUGGUAUAUUAAGUGAAAUUGAAAUAACAAGAAGAAAAAUAUAUAAUUUAGAUAUACUUUUUUGUUUGAAAAUAAUUGAAAUCCACCAUGUUUCUUUUCUUCUUAUUAUAAGUAUGAUUGAUUCUAUACAUAUUGGUACUAAUGCAGUGGCAGAUUCAGACUUUCGUUCAUCUAGGGGCUUAAAAAUAAAUCCAAUCAAUAUAUAGCCAAACAAAAAAUAUUUUGACUUAAAGUGAACUUAGUGGCUGAGUUCUCCACAAAAUUACAGAAUGAGUAAACUUGGUGGGAUCUCUAUUCUUCUUUUAUAUACAUAUAAUUUUUCUUUUUUAAUAUAAGCUUUGGGCUUAAAGUGUAUAUUGAAUGGGCCAUGUGGGGGCUCCACCAAAGAAGGACCUAAAUUUUUUUUAAAAAAUGUGAGUUUAAGUGGGAUUAUAUGGCUGCAACUUUUUUUUUUUAAGUGUGGGCAAGUGCCCACAGAAGCCCUUCAUUGGUUCUACCAAUGUACUAAUGCAGUCAAUCAAUUAAAACUACACACACAUAUAUAUAUAUAUAUAUAUAUAUAAGUUCUUCUAUGCGGAUAUUCGGACGUUAUUAUCGUGUGAACGCUAUAUAUUUUGUAUUACGCCUCCUUGCUUUCCUGUCUGUUUACAAUAGCAUCUGCAUGAUAAUAAUCCGCGGACAUUCGAAUAAAAGAAUAAUUUAUAUACAGAAAUUUUCCUAUGCGGACAUCCGGACGUUAUUAUUGUGCUGAUGUCAUGUAUUUUGUAAUAUCCCUCCUUAUUUUUCUGCAUGUUUACAAUAACAUCCGCACGAUAAUAACAUAAAAACAUCCAUAUAAGAGAAUAAUUGAAAUAAUCUUAGCUAUAACCCUUUCAAAAUGGAGCCUAGAUUUUUUUUCCACGAAAAAACAAAUGAAGGCUAGAUUUUCUACAUGCAUCAUGAGACAUUAUGCCUGUCGCAAUCUGUAUUAUAUUACAAUAAAUUUUCCAAGAUGUCCCAAUCUUCAUUGUGAUAUGUGAUUCACAACAUGCCUUUCAAAACAGAACAAGGAAAUGAAAACUACCAAAGCAAAUCUACAUUACUACGUGUUAUCAGUUUAUCAAUUUCAUCAUCCAGCUCACACUAAAUGACAGAAACCCCUGUUUUAUCCACCAUUUAAAUAACCAAAAUAAAUAGAUAAACAAAAACCCAAUUUCAAAAUAUUUUGGGGUAAAUUAGUUUCAUUUGUAUCUAAUUACACCCAAUCUAACUUCAUUAACACCCACUGUCCUAAAGAGACACCCUGCAUUUCCCGAGAAAAUGCCUUAAUUUUCUCCUCCACCGUGGACAGCAUCCAAAAAGAAAAAGAAAGAAAACACAGAGAAAAACAAGACAGUAAAAAACCCAAAGAUGGGUCCAUUCAUUUCUCUCUCACGGAGAUCACAAACAAUAAUCUGCAACCCAUAAUCACAAAAUAAGAAAGAAACUCCAUAGAUCUCCAUCUCAGAAUCUCUCUCUUUUUCCUUCCCCUACCUGCAAAAAAUAAAAAUAAAAACUCUUUCUUUUGUUUUUUUGAAAUCUUUCAAUGUUGCCUUUCAGAUUCAAACCUUUGCAAUCAACAUCAACCUGAAAUAACCCCCACCUUCAUGUAUAUUUACAUGUCUUCCUCUCUCUCACCAAAUUUAUUGAGAGGUUUCAUGUUUGAUUGGUGAGCUUCAUAUGUAAUCAACCUUGCAUCCCUCAAAGCCUCAAAAUUUCAUUGUUGUUCUUGUUCUUGUGCUGGUUCAAAUCAGAAUCUAACUACAAGAUCUGAUUUUUAAUCAAUGCCCACUUCAAUUUCAAAACUUUGCCUCACUAAAUCUCAUACAUUGUCUCUGUUUGCUCCCCAUUUAACCCCAGAUCUAUGACAGAGAUCUAGGUUAGGGUUUGGUUUCCCCAAAUUUCAUAAUUUAUCGUACUUACCCUCAUGGCUUUUUGAUCUAAAGUCUCUGUCUUUAUUUGAUAUUUUCAUAAAAUUUCACCACAAUGCUCAAGCAAUUCCUCAGUAAACUCCCGCGGAAGGCGCUCAAAUCGGAUGAGCGGCCCGAGUCACCGCGCACGAGCACGCCGCGGUCCAGCUCCCGGACCGGACCGUCCGGAGUGGGCGGAGGAACCCCUCGAUCCAACGGUGGAGGUAACUUGGGCCCGGUUCGAUCAAACGGCCCGAAACGCAUGUCAUCGGCGGUGUUCCCGGCGAGUGUGGUGGCCGGUAUCGAGCCUUUGGUGCCAUUCAAGGACGUGCCCACUUCGGAGAAGAUGAACCUCUUUGUGAGCAAGGUGAGCCUUUGCUGUGUAACGUUUGAUUUCACAGACCCAACUAAGAAUUCUAUAGAGAAAGAUGUUAAAAGGCAGACAUUGCUUGAACUUGUGGAUUUUGUAGCAUCUGGGUCGAUGAGAUUUAGCGAGCCUGCUAUUUUGGCAACCUGUAGAAUGUGUGCUAUUAAUCUGUUUAGAGUUUUCCCGCCAAAUUACAGGAAUGGUGGUGGGGGUGAAAAUGAUGAUGAUGAGCCCAUGUUUGAUCCUGCUUGGCCACAUUUGCAAAUUGUGUAUGAAUUACUGCUUAAAUUCGUGACUUCUUCGUUUCUUGAUGCGAAAAUAGCGAAGAAGUAUGUAGAUCAUUCGUUUAUUUUGAGAUUGCUUGAAUUGUUUGAUUCCGAAGACCCUAGGGAGAGAGACUGUUUGAAGACCAUUCUGCAUAGGAUUUAUGGGAAGUUCAUGGUUCAUAGGCCGUUUAUUCGCAAGGCUAUAAACAACAUAUUCUAUAGGUUUUUGUUUGAGACUGAGAGACAUAAUGGGAUUGCUGAGUUGCUGGAGAUAUUCGGGAGUAUUAUUAGCGGGUUUGCAUUGCCGUUGAAAGAGGAACACAGAAUGUUCUUGUGGAGGGUUUUGAUUCCUCUGCAUAAGCCGAAAAAUCUGGGGUCUUACUUCCAGCAGUUGUCCUAUUGUAUCACGCAGUUUAUAGAGAAGGAGCCAAAGUUGGCAAGUGUUGUUAUAAAGGGUUUGUUGAAAUACUGGCCAAUAACAAGUAGUCAGAAAGAGGUGAUGUUCUUGGGUGAGUUAGAAGAGAUUUUGGAGGCAGUUAACAUGGUGGAAUUUCAGAAGGUCAUGGUCCCUUUGUUCUGCCGGAUUGGAUGCUGUAUUAACAGUUCCCACUUCCAGGUAACUGUCUCUUCAACUUUAGUUUCUCCUUCCAUGGGAUUUGUGUUUAUUCAUCAGUUUGACUCGUAUUAUCUUCAUUUUGAAGUAGAUUUCACACCUAUAAGUUUUAUGAUGGACUUUAGGCAUGUGUACUUUAUUGUUAAGGAAUUUGAUGAUUGCUUCAUGUGUUUGUCAAGGAAUGUAUUCUCGUCUUAGCUCAUUCCUUGGAAAACAAUUUGUAACUUAUCUUAAAUGUUUUCAGGUGGCUGAAAGGGCCCUUUUCUUUUGGAACAAUGAUCACAUUGUCAACCUAAUUGCACAUAACCGUCAAGUGAUUCUGCCCAUCAUUUUACCAGCCUUGGAGAGGAAUGCGCAUAACCACUGGAACCAAGCAGUGCUCAACUUAACUCUAAAUGUCAGAAAGAUGUUUGUGGAGAUGGAUGAUCAGCUAUUCCUCUCCAGUCAUGCUCACUAUAUGGAGGAAGAAGCAAAGCAAAGUUCGGCAGCCAAGAAGCGGAAGGAAGCAUGGGAGCGGUUAGAGAAUGCAGCUAGUCUACAGCCAGUAACUGGAACUACUGCUGUUCUGGUAACCUCCCUAGCAACCUCAAUCGCCUGUUAAAAUAUUAACUUUUGAACUGAUGUUAUAUCCCAACCGUUCCUUUUCCGGUAUUUCCUCUCUUUUUUUAUGGUGGUGGGGAGAUUACAAGUAAUGUAUGGAAAAAUGGCUGUAGUUUGGGGGUGGGAUUUUAUUGUCAUGGUCCUUUGGCAGCCAGCAGUUGUAACCUUGUUUCCAUCUUGUAUUCCCCUGCUGCUGUGUGGGAUGUUAAUUGUUUCCCUCAGAAAGGCUUCUGGGGAGGGCCAUGCAGUGACUUUCCGCAAUUUUCUGUACUACUACUAGCUUAAUGGAUUCCUUUUUGCCCUUUGUAACCCCUCUCUCUCUCUCUCUCUCUCUCUCUCUCUCUCUCUNNNNNNNNNNNNNNNNNNNNNNNNNNNNNNNNNNNNNNNNNNNNNNNNNNNNNNNNNNNNNNNNNNNNNNNNNNNNNNNNNNNNNNNNNNNNNNNNNNNNUAUGAUUUAAUGGGUCCCCCUAUAAAUGCUACCUGAUAUAAUGAAAGGAACGAAUAUGGGGUGAUAUGAAAUAAAAUAAAAUAAAGUAUUGGCAAUAUCAGACAGAAAGUGGAGACUUGAGAUCUCUGAAAGAUAAAGAUGUAAAGGUCAUCACAUCAUUUUCAUCAUGGGUUCCCCUAUUGGCUGGCAGGUGGUUUGAUUGGAAAAAUAUAAAUAUAAAAAGAAGGGGGUGAAAUGAGGUUGCAAGUAAGAAGUUUCUCAACGAAGGCUAACCAUUGAUGUCCAUUGCAGCAGCUCCAGGUUAAAACCUCAUGGCAUCUGGGUUUUCAACAUCUUGAGCUGCUGAGUGCUCUUUGGGCCACCAUUUUCAAGUAUUUGGUUCCCCUGGAAAGCUGGAACUUAGACAUGAAAAGGCAAAGUUGUCACCUUGUUAGGCAGAUGGGAAAAGAAAGCUGAAACAUCUUUCUGCAGCUGCUAUAAACAUCUACACUACAGCCUCCAGAUUAUGAGGGGCUCUGUCAAAUAAUAAUACUAUGCACCCAAAUGAAAAUGAAAUAACAUGUUUAUUUAUUUGGAAUAAGUAUUGGAAUUAUUGUGUGCUUAGUUACUAACACAUACGGAAUAAAAAAAUACCGAGGCCAUGAUAAUGAAGUCGUUGACCCAUACCCAGUCAUUUUCUCUCAUGUUCCUAACUCCUUUGAUCAUACCUUUUAUUGGAGUGGCAUAUUGUAAUUAACACACCCAACGCAAUUUUAUAACCCGGCACAUCUUUGAAACAAUAAACGACAACCUUGUCUAAGCCCAUAUUUACAAACGGCAGCUUUGUCUUAAAAAUGCAACAAUAACAACGGUCCGUUGUCAGUUGGCUGAACAAAAAAGAUAAUUGUUUGUCCUUGCCGAAAACAAACCCAACUAGCCGUUACAGACAAAUUCUCAAGAUGAACAAAGUUUUUUGCUAAAAAAACGUUUUUUUGUCUUUGUAAAACACUUUUACUUGAUUAUAUAUAUAUAUUUUGUUUAUAUUAAACCCAACAUAAGGAUCUGCGCAUAUCACCUCUGUAGCUCACAUUUUGAUGAUGGUAGGCGAGAGGAAGUCAUGCUUAGCACACAAUGAGAUAAGAAUCAAUCAAAUGACUGAUAAACUAUUUUCAUUUUUUUUUUUCAUAUAUGAGGGGUUUUGGAUACAUAAUAAUCAAGGAGCUGCAGUUCCUAUUUGGAGCCUGCAACCCAUCGCAGUCACUCUUAAAACUUCCCAAGUGCUGAGAAGUUUUGAUACAUUAUUUUGCCAAGAGGCAAAAUGUGCUUGAUCUAAAAAAAAUGAGGUUACAAAGACAGAUCUGGAAGCACCAGAAUGAGAUAACAUUAACAACGAAGGACCGACAGACGAACAGACAACAAAGUUAGGGUACGGAUAGUCAAUGAACUUUCAUGUUGGAGCUCUGGAUGUCCCUCAAAGUUCCAGAAUGCAGAGAGCUUCCCCAACUGAUAAAUAUCCUGAUCCAAGUCUUAGAGAAGAAUCAGCGAUUAUUGAUCUUGGAAAGAGCGAAUCACCCGUUGUUUGGAGGUCAAAGUAGCCACAGACUUGAACUGUCAAGAAAAUAACUAAAUCAAAAUGCUGAGUAUCAAUGAUGCACAACUAAACAUCACUUUCAACAUUAAAACGUGCCGUUUUAAGAAUCUACACGCCUGCGGCGAUACGAGUAGGCUUCACAUGAAUUUGUUAGGAGAUGGUCCUUUUUAGUUCUAUUAGUUUGAUCUGAGAGCUAGGUGAUCCGUCUUUUGAUGAACACAAAAGGAUCCUCAGAAGUUCUGAAGGUACUUCCGGCAAUACUUCUAGUGUAUGAUAAUAGGUUUUGCCAGAUGCAAUAACAGAAUGAAAUGUACAAGUAUUAUUCUACCCAACAUUCUGUUGGGCUUUGUGGUCAGUCUGCAAAAUACCUUCUGGUGUCUGUACUUCUCGCGUAUCGCAUUUAGGGGACAGCCCUUGGUGUUCAAUUGCAAAUCUUCUAGUGCAACAACUGUAGUUUUGAGCUCUGAUGUUUUGUAAGAGGUAUAGCGCUCUAAAGUAGGAUUCUGCAAGAAUCAAACAUGAACGUUAUUUUUGACAAUUCUCAACGAAGAGGUAAGUAAAAACCUUUACGAAGAAGGCACAGAAAUGCAAACCCAUGGAUGGUCAGACUGAUCGAGUGUCCAUCUGGCAAGGAACACAGCAGAGGCAGCAAUGAGGGAAGGUAGGAACUUCAGGAAACCAUAUUCAGCAAGAGUCAACUCUGCUAAAUAAUUUGCCAAUAACUCCAGUUCAACACAAGGAACCUGCAUAACAAAUUAAUUAAAAUAAAACCAUUUUCUUGUAUGGCAAUUGAUUUUCCAGAAGUAACGAAUGGGGACAACACUCCAUUUAGAAUACCUUAUAAGAAGCUUGUGCUGCAUGAAUGAACCUCCUGAAACACAAAAAUAGGUUUAUUGAACUCACUUUAAAUGACAUUUUCUAAGCAACAUAGAUAAAGCCUGGUGAGCGCAUUACCUAAGAAAUGUUUUUGUGGUGGGAACAGAUAACUGGAAGUGCAAGAAAUUUAGAACUUUACUCUCCAUUUCUAAUACCUGCAAGAGUUAUUCAGGAACUUUAUAUGUCAGUAUAUAACUAGUGAUACCACUGGAAAGGAGGUAAUAUCAAGCAGGAUGUUGGGCAUUGCCAUGUGAACUACAAAACUGGAUUUUGCUUUUGAAUUAUGGUACGAAAACAAAUCAAAGUUUUAUGCGUCUAAUGUAGGCAAAGUCUAUGGCUGAGACGAGAUAAAAAUCAACUGCAGCACCCAGGAUCAUGCAGUUGAAGUUGAUGGAAAUAAGAGAACUCCAGAAGGCUACCAGCAUGCAUGGAAAAGCCAAAAGCAGUCAUAAUUAGACAUGUCAUGUAGCCAAUUUCAUACCUCGUCUCUUGAGUAAGUAUUGUCCGUGAUGAAGCAAAAUUCUUCCACUCGCGGUGCACAUAUUUCUUCAUACUUCCUUUUGAGUCAUAACAAAAAAUACAUACCCGUCAAGCAAUGUAAUGAUGAAAUAAUCAGGAGAAAAAUAUUGUUAUUGAUUCCUUGUUCACACACAUGUGCCAGUGCACACACCACACACAAAUAUAAAGAAGUCUGUCCACGUAUACCAAAGAUGACUUCCUGAAAUAGCCUCAGUAAACAUCCCUAAGGAUUUAUUUCAUAAUUAAUUGACUACAAAAAAUUCAUCACAUUUCACUAGAAACCACCACCUAUUCACCUAAUAUAGCACUUACGAGGCAAUUAGCGUGCAAGUGACUCCAAGCAGCUGAAGCCUUUGCUUUUCAACAUAAUUGUGAGAGAGAAACCGAUCAAUGAGAUUUACUGUGAGGUAAAGUGUAUCUGGAACCAGCUUAUAUUCUUCGGAAACCUGAUAGAGACGUAAGUUAGUAUGGAUGCUUCCAAACAAGGGCACACCAUUUCGUAGAAAUACUAUAGUCAUUAGGUACAUCCGAUUAUACUGACCUCUACAAGCCAAUCAAUCAAAAUUCCUCGCAUGCUUGGAGUGAUAUCUUGCUGCAAUGUUUCCAUAUAAGUAGUUGACGGUCUUCGCUCCACCUGAGGAAGAAUAAGUUUCCACUAAAAGUCAGAAUCAAUUAUGUUACUGAUAGACAGCAAAUUAGUAGCUCACUAGUCCUUGAAUUAUUCUAUGUUUCAAAUUAUAUAGGAAACCUCACAUUUCUCUGUCCUGUCAACACAAGUGAAGAUUAAAUAUUGCAAUAGUAUUAUGUUUAUUAAUAACGUCAGACUCUAGUAAAAGGGCUCCAACACUAACCUCUAUAAGGCUUAUAUUACUGUAUAUAUCAGGGGCAUACAAGCUGCACGCUUGAGGAUCCUUUAAGUUUGAGUCAAUAUCCACGAUGUCCAGGUCAUUUGAGGAUCCCAAUAUCUCCCAGAUCAUAUUUUCUUCUGCAUAGUCCAAUGAAAAACAUCAUCAAGCUUUGCUAAUGUCAACAUGAAAACAGAAGUCAGUAAUAGCAAUUAUACAGGUGACUGAGCAGUAAUCUUCUUUCUGUAACAAAGGAAAUUCCAUAAUUGCCAAAGCGUGCAUCAGCAGGUUGCAACAACUUUUCACAACCCCUUUAAAGCCAAUCAAAAUUUCUUGUAAACUAAUAAACUGAAAUUUCAACACUAAGAAAGACUCAAUUUUGCAAUCAGAAGGCUCGGAACAAAACUUGUCAUCUUAGACCUUGCAAGCAUCCCUCUUAUGAAGUACAGACAUAGAGAGUGGACACCCUUAAGUUAGCCAGUUUAAAAAGAUAAGUCAUAUACUGUUGCACUCUCCUGAACAAAUCUGAAACAUAAAAUGUACCUUUCUUUUGGGGGUUCUGAAGUUCAGCAGGUUCUGCGGAAGGCUGUACUCUAAGCAUCAAAUCUGCUCCUCUAUGUUGUCCCAAGAUAUGACACAUACCCUGGGGUACUGGCUCUUUUUCUCCCAACUUCACUGGCAAAGUGGCUUCUAGGGGUUCUGCCACCCUUAUUUUGGAUAAUUCAUCAGCUAACUUUGCUUUUGCGUCCUCUUGAACCACUGUACUUUCUUCCGAGACAUUUGAGGCUGCCUUUACAUUCUUUGCAAGACCUCUUCUGGCCUGCUUACUAGCCUGUCAGGGAGCAAUACCAACAAAUUCUAAGUUAGAAUUACUUUAAUGAACAUACAGAAGCAUGCUAGAUCCUACACAUGCUUAAACAAUGGCUUUGUGUUACAGACAAACCAUAUCCUCUUUUUCAUUAAUGGAGGUAACAAUUAAUUUUAUUUAAAAUCAUGUGAGGCCUCUGGAGAAAAAUAGUAUUCAUUGACUAUUCAAAUUUUUUGCAUAUUAGAAAGGGAAAUAUGCAAAUCUGUACCUGAACCUGAGAGGCAUCAGUGGUGCAUUUCACAUAUGAAUUUUCACAGAUGACGUUUGCUACAUCUUUAAGAACUGCCCUCCUUUUAUGCUGCAAGCCAAUGGUGGCAAUUGCAGAUCCUUUGUUCUCGUCUGAUGCUGCUCUUUUGGAAUUUGCUCGAACACCAUGCUUCUGAUCUUGUUUAAAGAAAGGUUUUGAGGAGGACACUACCUCCCCGGAAGUGCCAAAGGCUUUAGCCCGUGCCCUUGUGAUUCGGACGGUAGGCUCUUCAACUUUGGCAGCAUUUGUAUUUUCUUUAUUCAUCUUUGCCUACCUUGUAGAAGAGCAAUGAGUGAAUUCAGAACGAAUUCUUGUUCAUUGAACCUGCAUUUUCAAAUCAGUUGAUGUCAACAAGAGAUACUGCGUCAUCCGACACAAGCAAGCAGAACAAACCCAACCCGAGAAAGCAUUCGGGGCCAAGUAUGAAAGGAUCAAAAAGACGUGUUUUUUAAUGAUCAUCAACAAAAAUUUGAUUUGUACAUCGUCUUUUUGUGUAAGUUGAUAUCUCCUGUUAAACCAAAUACUAUUAUCCAUUUUACACAACACAAUACAACAGAAGUUGGGAAGGCAUCUUCGUCUCAAUAAUAAAUCCAACCAUUUUUUCUUCUAUUGAAAAAGAAAAAUCAUGGUGCUUUACUCUGUUUUCCUUUGACAAAACCCAUGACAGCUUGCAAUACAAGGCCUUAAAUGAAGAUAACACAAAGGGUCCUACACCACAAGCAUAGAACAAAUUUUCAGCUCUUUGUUCUUGUCGAAGCGAGAAAACCUUUGGAAAUAGAAGAAAACAAGCGUUUUAAUCCACCGUUGGCUGGUGUUACUUAAAUUACAGGAGAAACUCACUUCAACCAAGCCCAGUUGACCAAACAUUUUUCAUUUUUCGUCGGUCCAGAGUGCAUGAAAGACAAAUGUUUUGCAGCCUGCUAUUUCUCUGACACAUUUUUCCGAGUAACCAAACAGAAGAAAAAACAUUUAAUAAGAACCCGAGACACCGUAAUAUCCAACCCCAAAACCCUAAUUUCUUCAAAAUUUUCAACUAUCACCGCACCAGAUCGUCAAAACCAUAACAAAACAUAAAAUCGCAAACACAUUUGACAAAAGGCGGACCAAAAUCCAAACCAUAAAAAUGUAAAAAAUAUAAGAAUUUAAAAGAACAAAAAUGGGAAGAGCCAGCCCCGAGAUCUAUGUAGCGAACCCGUCAGGCGUAAAAAGGACGUAGUUCCAUUAGAAUCUGGCGGUGGAAAACAGAGCGACGAAGCUCAAACACCUAGAAUGCAAAAAACAACCAAAAAAAAACUAUGCACGGCUAUGCGUUUGGGAGCUGAGCUUACUCUGUUGGUGGGAGCUCCGGCACCUUCUCCGGUGACGGUUUGAAGAGCUCGGGGGAAGAAGAAGAAGCAGAGGAAAUAUGGAGGCUAGCUUCGGACAGAGAAUUGUGUGGAAGUGACAGUGAGUGUGAGAGAAAGAGAGAGAGUGUGUGUUUGAUAUAAGGGGGGAGAGAGAGAGGGGAGCGUGAGCGGGACGGGGUUUACAGUUUGAACUUCCAAAAUUCCAAAUGGAAGCCAAAAAGCAAAAAAUAUGUAUUUUUUUUGUUGUUGUUGUUUUGACUUAUUUCCGCCGAGUGUUUUGUAUUAUUUUAUUUCACUUUUUAACACAUGAGGUGAGAACUGAGAUUGUCUUUUGAUGGGUUAUGAAUGUUUUUUUUUUCCUUCAAAUAUCUACCUUGUUAUGUUAUGUUCUUAUAUUGUGAAUAUAUUAAUUAUCGAUUCAGACAUUAAUACUAGAGGGGCGAGUUUUUCACUUCGAGUUUGGUACAUUUUCACUCUUUCCGUAACAUGAUCUAAGCGAUUAAAAAUUUAUUAACGCUUAAAUGGUCAAUAUAUAUGAAAACUUGCAUGUCACAAGUUCAUACGCAUUUUUCUUUCUCUUCACAUGUCAAGUCACGUGAAGAAAAAUAUAACAGGUAUAGAUAAUUGAUGUAAUAAAAUUUAAAGAAUAUGAGAGUGUUUGUAGUCUUUUUCUAUUAAACUUUUGUCUUUUUUUAAUUGUUCUUUUUGAAUCAAUUUGUAAUAUAAAUAUCCGGAGUAUAAAAUAUGAUGUGAAAUAGGUUGAGCUGUAACAACCCAUUUGAAUAAGUGUUUAGAAAAUAAUAUGGAUUUAUUUUCUCAUUAAUAUAUAUCAUUGACCCUACUACAAGCAAGGGCACGCUGACCUCUAAAAUUGUGUCCUACAUGAAAAUUUUGAAAGGUCCCUAUCACCUAUGCUAUAGUAUGCUAGAUGCCAAUAUAGGGGCAAAGGCCGCCGUCCCAACUCCCAAGUCGGACUUUUGAAUGAGGCAUAGGUAGCCCUAAAUAUGCAUACUUUAUUGGGGCAGUUUUUAAUGACACAUCCAUUUGUUGCAAUUCAAAAUUUUGAUUCAUUUUCUCUCUCCAAUGCUAGAAAAUGCCUCGAGUUCAAAUUCUUUAUUUUUCGUUAAUAAAAUUAAGGUCUUGAUAUUUUGAUAGUAAUGAAUAUCAGCCUUUUGAUUUCGAGUCGAAUUUUAAGAAUUAUGCAUUUUAUGAUCAUCGAUGACCACACAAUGUACACAUACACUUAAUUAGUAAAAAAAUUUUACCUUUAUUUUUAUUUAUAAAAUUAAAAAAGUUCGAAAUAUGGUUGGUUUUGAUUGAGUAAAUUAUGGUGUUUUAGUGAUUCAAAUUUUUUUCUCCCUAUCCCCCAUGAGAGAGGGAAUUGACAAAAAGUCAAAAUGGACUUCAUAUGAAUCUCAACAUUUUGAAACAAAUGAUUUCAGAGUAAUUUGGGCAAACUCGACUGAAUUUCCACUUGGGUUUUCUUCAACAUUGACAGAUCAAUAAUCUUUGAUUGGAAAUGUAUUUUUAAGACUGAUCCAGUUAGCCCCCCCAUGUGUGGUGGUCAGAUUCAAAUGGUUUCAGCAGAAAUGGAAAGGACUUGUUGUCUUAUAAUUUAUGACAAACUUGCUGGUUUUGUCCAUUAUUUAUUUUAUCCAUAGCGAUUUAAAAAAAUUUAACAAUGUCAAAUAUUUAUGUUUUUAAAAUUAUAAAAGGGAAAAAAUAUGAGAGUAAUUAGAGAUAUUGAAGAAAAUAUAUAUAUAUAUAUAUAUAUUUGUCGUAAUUUUUUUGCAUUUUCUUUAAAAACCAAAAAAUUCAUUAUCACUUUAGUAAUCUUAGAAAUGUCAUCCAACCAAGAAGCCCUUAGAUUUUGGAUCGAGUCACUCAAUAUAUGGUAACUCAUGAAAAAAAAUAUAGAGAUUUUUAUUUUCUAAAAUCUUGUAAAAAAUUCCCCAAAUCUAGUGAAAAAUUCCCCAAAUCUAAUGAAAAAUUCCCCAAAUCUAAUGAAAAGUUUCCAAAGAAAAAAUUAUUAUUAUUUUAGUCAUAUAUGGAAAGAAAAAAAAAAUUCGGUGGUAAGAAUUAUAUAUGGAAAGUUUAAAAUUAAGAGCCAAAUAUCUGGUGGAAGUUAUUUAUUUAUUUGAAAAAAGAAAGAAUGGUUGUCCUGAUUCCUGAAGCCCAUUUAAAAACUUUGUAGAUCCAAAAGCCGAAGUGGUCCAUUGUGUGUGGCCCUCUCUACGCACUCCUACGAGGUGGCCCCAACCCCUUUUCACACAGUGAAAGCCCUCAGCGGGAGGCAAAGUGUGUGUGUUUGAUGAGGUCCCGACAAAUCUAUUUUGGAAAAAGGCACUUGAAAUAAAGUUUUUAUUUCCAGAUGAAAAAAUAUAUAAAGUUAUUUAUUUGAAUGAUGAAUGAAUAAUAAUCAUAAAAAAUGUUGACUUUAAAUUCAAAAGGUUGUAAUUAUAAGAGAGAGUUUGGGUUUAGGCAGGCUCUUCCAAAAAGUGUAAAUAAAAGAUGGCCAAUUCUGCUCCGCUCCUCCCUUAUCACCUUUUCUACCUUGAGAAAACCUUAGGAUUGUUUCUGACACGUUGCAAUACUGAGUGGUAAGAACAACCUCACAUAAGCUUCUUUCCGUAUAGCUUGACUUACGGCUAAUAACAUGUUUACUUGCACAAUGAGAAUGAAAAGCAACCGUGGUCCCUGUAAAAUUAUGACUUUGAUUCCUGAUAUUGGGGGAAUUGAAUUCUUGAGGAGUAGGUAGGAUUAGGCAAGGAUGAACCGAAAUGACCUUUUUUUUACCCAAAUUGUCCUCUUAUAUUUUGUGAAAACACCAAAACACACAUUAUACGUCCACUCUUUUUUUGGUCGAAACCCAUUAUAUGCCCUUUGGCAAAAGAAAAACAAUAUAUAUUUAAAUAUAUUGCAAGUAAAUAAUCAAACUUAUUAAAAAUGAAUAAUUUUACAAAUAUUUAAUUAGAUUUAUUAUACUAUAUAUAAAAAAUUGGUAGGGGAAGCAUGGGAGAACAAGAAAACUUGGGAAUGUAACAUAAGUUACCUUGAAAUUAGACCAACUAUGAUUCGUAUAAUUGGUUGCCGAAAGAUAACAUAAAUUCUUGGAGAUGACUCACUACAGCCAUACUUACGCUAAUGUAGUAAAACAAAUCAAGAGAUUACAUGUAAUUAAUAAUCAAUACGACACUUGAAUCAAACUUCGCAAUAAUAUUUACGUGUCAUUUUAUUAUUAGUUUGUUGUAUUGUGUCGUAAUAGUUAUUUAUUUGUACAAAAUUCUACACACAGCCGAACAUAAAAAUUGGAAUUUUGGACAAUCGUCUCAUCUCAAUAAACCCGGAUGACAAAUGUGGAUCAUAAUUCAUAAUCUGGUCUCUUACUUUUUCCACUGGGGGAUCCUCUGAACCACAACCUGCAAACCACAAUCAGAACAAUAUUUGCAUAACAUAAGUAAGUAAUCCAUUCUGAAUGCUUGGGUUUAAAAAGCAUAGGAUUUUUCCUUCUUGUUUUGAAGUCAAAUCAAGAUAAAAAAAUAUUUUGAAAAUACUUUACACGUACGAAUAAAAAAUAAAAGGAGAGUGGUGAGAAGUACCUUCCCAGAAUUUUCCUUAUUUCCAACUAUAGUUUGACAAGCAAGUCUCCAAGAUUCGGGUUUCUGUAUGUUGUUUGACCCAAUGUAAAAAUAUAAAAUAAAAUAAAAUAGAAAUAGAAAUUUACUUCAAAUGAGAAAUUAACAAAAAGUGAAAAGAAAACCCACAUUUACAGGAAAAAAGAAAAAGAAAAAGGAAAACAAAGGAGAUUAGUUUAUCAAGAGAGUAGUGUUUUUCAGGGGGUGAGAGAGAGAGAGAGAGAGAGAGCUUGCCUUCUUCAAAUACUUGAGUUCAGUAUUUGUUCUUUCAUUCAAAAGGUCCUUCCCAUCAAUAAUCUGCACACCCAAAAAAAAAAAAAAAAAAAAACAAGGAAAUUAGCUGAAGCAAAUCUUCCAUAAGUUUCAACUCAAGAAACUAGGGAAGACACAAUAUAAUAUGAAUGUUGAGAAUAUUCAUACCUCUACUAUACAAGUCCCACAGCUUCCUCCUCCUCCACAGUUCAUCAGUUUCCCCUACAAUUAAAAUUGCAACGCCUUUUUCAAUCACUUGUAUUUCACAUAUUUGCUUAUUAUUAUGAAAUUCUAUGUAAUUAUGCUAGACAUCAGCCCCAUAAGGUGUGUCAUGUAAGAGUAGUUAGGUUCACAAGUUGUGUACAAGGAAGGGAAUCGAACUCGAGUGCAAGAGGAAUGACAUACUGCCUUAAUCAACUGGUCUAACUUAUGUGAUUUAUUUAUUUAUUUUAAAUUUGGGUUUGAAUGUGCAUUGCUCCAAUAGGCCCCAUAGUUAUUGGGCUGUGAUACCCAAUUACAAUUUACAGAGACGGCGCACGUUAGAAACUGUGGCAGGAAAUAACUAAAUUACGCGGGAUGCAAUGUGAGGUAGUUAGUUAGCAUUGAAGAGUGAGAGAGCACUCACAUACGUGGCGUAGAGCUCGAUCUUGUUAUCCGACAUGACAUCCCUUAGCAACUUCUCUCCACUAAUCGCCUUCGCGCUCUCCACCGGAUACGACCCGUCGUUCCCGGGCUUCGGCUAACCCAAUCACAAAACUUCAGACAAAUAUCUAGUAAUUACAUAAUUUUAAACUAAAAUAAAUAAAUAAAUAAAACGGCAUACCCCUAUGAAUUCGAGCUCGAUUUCGGGCUUUCCGGGCUGAGCUGGAGACAUUUCUGCCGAAAUACCGGCGAAAGAGACCGAAACGGACUUCCUUCUGGGGAGAGUUUGGUAAUCUCGGGUCCCGGCGCCGGAGAGUUGCUCUGGCCGGAACGACACGGCAUUCGUGAAUUGCAUGCAAGCCAUGUUGGAUGUGGUGUGUGCUUCUCUCGCUCACGCACUCUCCUUCAUUUCGUUUCGUUUCGUUUCGUUUUAAAUAGGCAAAAAUAGUUAACGAAGUUGAGGAAGGGGUAUAGUGGUAAUUUUAACUGUACUGAAACUAACAAGUUUGGAGCUCAGUGACAGUGAGUCUCUCAGUCUAGGAGCCCACUGGUUGUUAUGCCCUCUCACAAAACCCGCCAUUUUCUGUCUCUGGCGCUCCUCCUCUUCAAACCAAACCCUAACCUUAACCUUCGUGCUCUCUCUUUGCGAUUCUUCUCCAACCAGUCAUGGCUGUCCGUACGAGGCAACCCCAUCAUCAAGUGGCCCUCGCCGCCCGACAUACCGUGCUCUCUCCCGCACCCGAACCCCGCCCCAAACCCUAACCCUAACCCUAAUAGCUCCGGCCCCAAUUUUUCACAAAAUGACUUCUCUACCAUCGCUAACGUGCUCGCCGACCCUAGCAUUUCCCCCGGUUCAUCGCUCCAGAGCGCAUUGGACCGGACCGGAAUCGAGCCGGGUCCGUGUCUGUUACAGGCUGUGUUCGACCACUUCGAUUCGUCUCCCAAAUUGCUUCACACGCUGUUUCUUUGGGCAGAAAAGCGGCCGGGGUUUCGAUCCUCUGCGACGCUCUUCGGCUGCAUGAUCAAUGUCCUUGCUAAGUCGAGGGAGUUCGAGUCGGCGUGGUCUCUGAUUCUUAAUCGGAUCGGUGGAGAUGAGGAGCCUGGUUUGGUUUCUGUAGAUACGUUUGUGAUCAUGAUCAGACGGUAUUCCCGCGCAGGUAUAUUGCUAUGUGAUUGUAAUAAUGUACUUAAUUGAAUGUACAAUUUUAAUUUUUAGUUUAAUUAUUGAGUUUUCAAGUUCAAUUGGGCAUCUUGGAUUUUUGAUACAUGUAGCGUAGGCCUAGUUUAUGGUUCUCAAAUUGAUUGAAUCUGAUAAAUGGUUAGUUAGAGUUGCGAGUUUACACGUUGGUAAUCUCUGCAUAACUUUGGCCCUUCACAAUUUGAAGAAAAGUUCUGAGCUUGCAUGUACAACUUAGUUGGGGUUGCCUAAAGUUGCUUGUAUUCUGAAAUUAUAUUUGGGUUUUAUGGAUUAGGAGGGUUGCAUAUGCAUUUGUGUUAGACCUGUUUUUGGUAUUGAUUCACUACUUUUAAAUCCAUCAUCCUUUCCGGUGGUGGUACAUUUUAUGCAGGUAUGUCCCAAUCGGCAAUCCGGACUUUUGAAUUUGCAAGUAAUUUAGACUCAUUUCUUAAUUCAGAGUCAGAAAUGAGUUUGUUUGAAGUUUUGUUGGAUUCCCUUUGUAAGGAAGGCCUUGUUAGGGUGGCUUCAGAGUACUUUGAUAUGAAAAGAAAGUUGCAUCCAGAUUGGAUUCCAUCAGUUCGGGUUUAUAAUAUACUGUUGAAUGGAUGGUUUCGAUCAAGGAAGCUGAAACGGGCAGAGCGGCUUUGGGCGGAGAUGAAGAGGGAUAAUGUGAAACCUAGUGUUGUAACAUAUGGUACACUGAUUGAAGGAUAUUGUCGGAUGCGUCGUGCUGAAAUUGCAAUUGAAUUGGUGAGUGAGAUGAGGAGUGAAGGAAUUGAGCCCAAUGCAAUUGUGUAUAAUGCAAUAAUUGAUGCGUUGGGGGAAGCUGGGAAGUUCAAGGAGGCAUUGGGGAUGAUGGAGCACUUUUUGGUCCUCGAAUCAGGCCCUACUAUUUCAACGUACAAUUCACUGGCAAAGGGCUUUUGCAAGGCCGGAGAUCUUGUAGGGGCUAGUAAGAUCCUUAAGAUGAUGAUAAGUAAGGGUUGUGUCCCUACUCCAACAACCUAUAACUAUUUCUUUAGGUACUUUUCAAAGUUCGGGAAAAUUGAGGAGGGAAUGAACCUUUAUACCAAAAUGAUUGAAUCUGGGUAUACCCCGGAUCGGCUUACUUUCCAUCUUUUAUUGAAGAUGUUGUGUGACGAGGGGAGAUUGGGUUUGGCAGUUCAAGUUAGCAAGGAAAUGAGAUCUAGGGGAUUGGAUAUGGAUUUAGCUACAAGCACCAUGUUGAUUCAUUUGCUUUGCAAUGUGCAUAAAUUCAAAGAGGCUUUUGCAGAGUUUGAGGACAUGAUACGGAGGGGUUUAGUUCCUCAGUAUCUUACUUUUCAGAGAAUGAAUGUCGAGUUAAGGAAACAAGGAAUGACUGAGAUGGCACAUAAGAUGUGCAACAUGAUGUCUUCCGUUCCCCAUUCAACAAAUUUGCCAAACACAUAUGUCAGAGAAAGAGAUGCAUCUCAUGCAAGGAGAAAAUCUAUAAUCCAGAAGGCUGAAGCAAUGUCUGAUUUGUUGAAAACUUGUUCAGAUCCAAGAGAACUUGUCAAGUAUAGAAGUUUGCCUGAGAAUGUUGUAUCAAGAGCAAACCAGUUGGUAGAGGAUAUUAAGAGAAAAGCUAACAUCCAAUGAUAUAUAUUUUUGCUUUUCUUGGGUAACAGGCAUUAAGUUUUGGAUUCAGUUGGCAUUUUCUGAAAGGUAGGUAAACAGGAGUUUACUGCAGGAUACAGAGGAAGUUUUCCAGCAGAAGAAAUAAAGACUCUUUAAAUUCAUGUGCAUUUUGGUAAAAGUUUGAUAUUUAUAUGGGACAACUACUUUUGGAGGGCUUCCUUUAUAUGGAUUCAGACUACUUGUAACGUUAGAAACUUUUUGCAAUAUUGUAGCUGUGCAGCAUUCUGAAUCCUGAUGGACGUCUAUUAUGCAGUCAAGUGGUUUGAAUGCAGGUUCAUCACACAUACAAACUGCGUUGUGGUGGUACAAGUAAAGAGAGACUAUGAAAGAGACUAUGAGACAUAACUGGAUGCGCAUCUGGACUUUGGAGUCUUGGGGGCCCUGAAGGAUGGUGACGUUAGUGUCCUUUGUAAAUAGAUGGCAGUUGACCAUUGAAACAGGAGCGCAUGGUAUGUACAAUUUCCAACUAAUUAACCUUUUAAUCAAGAGCACAUGAAGCUUCCUGAUUUAAGAAACAAUCUGUUAAUUUGAUUUGCCGCAUUCAAGUCAAAUUGGUUUAGUUUCUUAUGCUGCUGACCCUUGAUCAAGAAAUAUGUUAUUGUUGACACAAUGUUGAAUAUGUUAUUUUCAACUUGCAGUGUUUUAACUUAACUCGAAGCAUUGGGACACAUGACAUAUAACAUUAUGAUAUUACUUCUUCUGAGGUCUUUUUUUUUGUUGUCUUUGAAUCAGGCUCACUGGAUGCCUUGUCUUUGCAUGUGGACUUGUGCAUUUGGAAUUUGUCGAAGGUCUGCAAAUACUGGGUUGAAGAGCAGUCUUCGCAUAUUUUUUUGUUCGCAAGUGCAAAAGAUGCAAAAGAGAAAGAACCAUCAAAACGUAGCCACCAGCCGUUCUAUUUUUGUGUGGGAGUGUUGUAUUACUAGCAGCUUUUUUAUCAUAUAUUUUUUUCCUUGGUCAAAUCUUUUUUUAGCAUUUAAGUUUUGGUCUUUAGAGGGAUGGAGGACAAUGGACAUGUUAGAGAUAUAGUCCAAUCCCCACGGAAGUUUCCGUCAAGUUGGAAUGGGUUUCACAGUAUUUUUGCACUUAUUUUCGAUUGUGCUAGUCAAUCAUGCCUGAUGAGACUUGUAUGGACAAUUGGAUAUAUGUGAUGCCUGAGGGCCAAUUGACAGACAAAAGCCUGAAAGAGAUUUCCUUUGGAUUGUCAAGGGAUUUGAAAAAAUCCCAAGAUCCAUCCUUGUCGAGUAAAAUAAAAUGAGAAGGUAUAAUCGCUUGAGCUACAAAAACUAUUUUAGGCCCCGUUUGGUUCAUGGGAAAGGAGGUUUGGGAAUGAGAAAUCAAUUGUUUUUUCAUAUUUAAUAAGUUCAGACAUAGGAAAUGGUUGCCUGAUAGAUGGGAAAGUAGAGAGGAAAGUGAAGUCCUCUUCUCAACUUGAGUUUUGUUUUCCCUCCUCAUCGGAAAGUUUGGGAAAGUGAGCCAACAUUAAGUGCAUAUUGUUCAUGAUUAUUUUGUCCGCAUUAACAAUUUAGAAUUACACUAUAUCAUUAAAUACAUUCUUGUUUUUAUUUGAUUUAACAUGAGUAUAAUUGUAAAAUAAACAAAUUUUGUUUUUCAUUCCUACUCAAAAUAAACAUGGGAAAUAAAAUAAAGUGAUAUUUUCCGGUUAUGUUCAUGGCAUUACCAAACGUGAAAAAAGAAUCUUCUGUUUCCCAUCCCUUAAAAAAUGACAUGGGAAGUGAUUUCUCCUUAAAUUCAUUUCGUGAAUCAAACGGGACCUUAGAAUGUGAAUAACGACUCUCUUGAAGAUGUCAUUCCCUCCCACUAGUAAAAGAAAUUACAUAUGUCAAUGUAGAAGCACAGUUAUAUUUCUGUGCUUAGCUUGUGAAAAUCUCUGUCUAGCAUGGAAGGCAAGGAGAUGUGUGGGAAUCUUUGUGUCAACUCACCACCACUGCAUCCAAGGCAAGUUAAGUCGAAAAAAGAGGAAUUAUUACUCACAGAAGCUUUGCUGAGUAAAUAAACUCUCAUGCAACGAGAAUAAUACUUUUUGCUACCCCAGUUAAUAAUGCAAUGAUACGUAGAAUAACUUUUUCACGUAUCAUCGUAUUAUUAACCGAAUAGCAAAACAGUGUUAUCCCCAUUCUCCAUUAUAUGUAAGGUUUUUUUCCUGAGCACAACAACUAGCUAGCCACUUGCCACAAAGAACUCAGAUAGAGAGAGAGAGAGAGAGAGAGAGUUUAAAAAGGAAAAAAAAAGUGUUUAUUUAUUAUAAUUAUGGUUAAUUUCAAUUCAAUGAUGAAUGUCUGAGUGAGAGUGAGUUGAGUUGGGCAAACGAGGUUGGGUUGGGUUGGGGGUGGAGGUCUUCGCACGAUGCCCCAAGUCGGAAAACGACGGCAUCGGGCUUUGGUGGUGGUUUGCAGUCAACAAAAGUACUUGAGAAGUUAAGAAGUUGAGAGAGAGAGAGAGAGAGAGAGAGAGAGAGAGAGAGAGAAUCUGUGCUUCAAUAUUCUUCCCCCACUCGUCGGUUUUUAGCUUCCACCACAUCAAUUCCCACUCUUCACUCAUUUUUCUCUUAUUAUAAUAAUAAUAAUAAUCGAAAUCGAAAUUAAAAUCAAGUAUAUUGUAGGCAACAAAAUGAGCACAUAAACAUUACACUUCAUAAUAGUAAUGCCACAUUGCAUAACUUUUUUUUUUCUUCCAUUGAAAUCUCUUGUCUAUAACAUGACUUAUAUGGAGUGCUUUUAUCAUAUGAUUUUCACUUUUAUGCUUGGUAUAUGCACAAGGUGGAUGUGAAUGAUAUAUACAUGAUGAACCCAUUUUUAUGGGUGCAAAGGUUUUGUAUGAAAAGUAAGAACAAAAAAAUAUACAAGGUUAGAACCAAAGAAAUUCUAAAUACAUUCUAAUCCUUGACAUGCCGUAGACUAUUACAAGGAAAACUCAUACGUCUUAAUUUUUUAUUGGUACAAUUUUUAAUGGUAAAUAUUAAGUUAGUGAGUAACAAUUCAAAUUAUCAUAUGAAAAAUCUCACUUUACAUCCUAUUAAUUACAUCAGACUUAAUUUAGGUUCGAAUCAAAAUUCAACCAUCGACAAUUAUAAAUGAUUUGAUACUCAUUCUUUUAGAUGUGGAUAACAUGCAUCUAGCUUCCAAAUUUAUAUACACAUGAAAAAAAAUGAAAAAAAGAAAGGCUUAUUUUUUAAUAUAGAAAGAAGAUAUCCGAUAACAUAAUUAUGAAGAAAAAAACACACAAAGGGAUUUUUUUAUUAAGAAAAAUAGCAAGGAAAAAGGAUUUUUUAAACCCUAUGAAAAAGCAGGCACUGGCAGUGAGCCACGUUAGUGCAUACGCACAGAGGCACAAAACCCCUCGUCGUACGCUAUCUUUCUCCCCAUUGCUUCUUCCUUUUGCUCUCCCAAUGCAAAAACAACAAAAAUAAUUGCCAGAAAAAAACACACAAACACACACCUCCCAACCCAAACAUAUAUUCUCACACAACCAAACAACCCAACCCCCACACUCACAGACACAGCAUUUUUAAGCAAACAGAGGAGAGAGAGAGGAAAAACUCAGAAAAGCCCAAGCACAAGUCACAAACACUUGCCCAAGAACCUUUUUCUUUUUAACGCUCUCUCUCUCUCUCUCUAUCUCUCUCUCUCUCUCUCUCUCUCUCUCUCCCCCUCCCUCGGUCUCUGCUCACAAAGACCCCCGAUUCUCUCUUUUUCUUUUUCAUUUUCUUUUCUCUUUUCUGAAAAUCGUGCUCUCUUUUUAUGCUCUUUACACAAACACAAUCACACUCUGUCUCCAGCUAGCAAAUAAGCUUUGCAGAGUGGUAUGGCUAUGGGGAUGAAAUGGCUGUACUGAUAAUGGCUCAGCAAGGCGUGCCCAACAAUGCCACUACUAACAACAGUAGCCAGCAGCAGAAACAGAAGCAAGAAGAGCAGCUAUUGAAGCCCAUCUUUCAUGACUUUCUGGGCAUGAAGCCUGGUGAUUCCCCUGUUGUUUUGGCCCCCAAAGCCUCUGAUUGUAGGCUCUCUGAGGUCUCACCCUCAGCUUCUGCUUCACUUGGGGCUUCUUCGGGUGGUGGCCGUGGGCCCAUCUCUACCACCUCUGAUCUGGGUUCUGGUCAGUCACUCCCCAUUUGUUAAAAAACUGUUUCUUUUUCCCCCCAGUGAUUUAUUUUUUUGUUCAUAUAUGUAAAAGAAAAAAAACCCAGACCUUAUCUCAUUUUGUUUUCCUUAAAUAUGGUUGCUUUUAUAUGUUUAUUUAAUCAGCUUAAAAAGUUUUUACCUUUACUAAUUUUUAUUUUUGGAGGAGGGGAGGGAGGGGGCUCUUUUGUUUCGGAUGGCUUUGUUAUAUUCAUGGGGGGUUAGGAACUUUAUCGUGUGAGUGAGUGAGUGAGUGAGUAAUGAGUGUGGACAUGCAAAAUAAGAAAGAUGGGGGUUGGUUUCUAACAUGGAUUAGUUAGUGAAGUCAGUAAGGAGUUUGGUUGCUGUUGUGGGUUUUUCUUUUCCCUCUAUGCUUUUGAUUUGUUAAGUCUUCUUUUUAAGGAUAGGUUGAAUCAAGGGCAAGCUGUUCACUUACUUUUCCUCUUCCCUUUUGGGCUCUCUUUAUCUUUUGUAAGCAUGUUGCCGGAGCAUUUGGAAUUAGGUUUGCGAAAAAUGAUGCUUAAAUGUUUUUAUCCAUGUAUUGUCAUUUUGCAAUGUGGUGGGUUUUUGUUUUUGUUUUUGGUGUUACCAAUUGAGCAAUGGAGAAAGUUGAGAGUGCUUGUCAAAAAUUUAUCAUUACAAAUAAAGUGAGACUUAAUUAAGUGUAAGCACCUCAUUCUGAUGAACUUUUUUUUUUUCAUGACAUGUUUCUGUUAUAUUGUUAGCCUUUUUUGUCCGUGUAUGAACAUUUACUACCAAUUUUGAAGCUUAUCUGUUACGAUUGUAUUACUGAAAUUUCGACACCUGAAGUGCUUAUUCCUUCUGAUUUAAGAUUCUGUAUAUUUACAUUUGAGUUUGAUUCAUUGUCUUGUUCCAUUAAUUUUGUAGAAAGACAAGCUGGAAAUCAUCUUGAGGGUGUUCCAUUCUAUGGCCCGAGGAGUGAUAUUUCUGGGCCUGAGAUAAGUAACAGGUUACUAGGAAGUAAGAGGAGUAAUUCGGACUCCACUUUUAAGGGCUCAUCCAGAGAUGGGGUCCCUCAUACCGGUCCUGACUCCCUUGAGAGCUUGCAUUUGAUGAAGGUAUGAGAUUGACAUCAUGCAAUAUUCUUAUUCUAUUCUUGCAUAUGGGAAAAAGCCCCAUCUAUGGUUUCUUCAUCUGAUGCUUUUUAGUUAUCCUGAAAUUCAGAUGCUUCGAAAUGGAACAGGGGGAGAGCGACCUAGAAGGUCCAAUGACGAUGAAGCAGUCUUUGCUACACAGCCGCUGAGGCCAACUUCUGCCUCACAUAUUUUUCAGCCUCCACUUGGUGGUAGAGUUGAUACCAAUAUUUCCAAAUGGGACAGAUCUACUCCCAUGAAUCUGGGUGCUGCAGUACAGUACCCUCCACGAGGAGGUCAUUUCGUACCCUUUGUGCAUCAAUUACCUUCAAACAGAUUUAGGGAUGCCAAUGCCAGUCCAGCUAAUAUCUCUCAAUCAGCUGCUGAUGAGGGAUCUAGAACUGGAAUCAAAGGCCCGGGAAUUUUGAGUUCCAUUAAUGCCAGCAGUAGUGCUCCUGAAAGAAACUCUUCUGGGGUGCUGCCUAGUGGCAGCAGGCAGAAAUCUGGGACUAAUAUUUUAGAGCCAGAACCUUCUACUCCAAGGUAAACAUAAUUAUGCAAUAUAGAGGACAUUCUCCUCUGUUGCAUUUGUUUGCGUUCAUUGAAGUAAAAGGACAAUUGAUGCCAUAUCUUUUUUCUGUUGUCAUGGCAGUCGACAUGGAUUUACGUCUGCUGGUCGGCAGAUGACCAUAUUCUAUGGCGGUCAAGCUCACGUCUUUGAUGAUGUCCAUCCAAACAAGGUUUGCUUUCUUACUGUUUGAUUCUAGUAGAGACAGCUCCCUUGGUUAAUGAGUUUAUAUGCAUUGACAGAAAAUAUAAGUGAAGAUUAUCUGUAAAGAAUAUAUACCAUUGAUAUCAACAUUGUCUAACUCAUUUAAUUGUUGCAUACUGAUAAACAAACUUGGUACUGUCUGUAGAAUUUCAGAAUUAGUGUGAUCGGAUCUUAACUUAUAGGUUUAGAGAAUGCGAUUUUUGCCUUGUAAGUUGUUUUCUAGCCAUUACACUUUCUUGAUAUUAUCUUAAGCUUAACUUUUUAGAUGUCCAUAUUUAGUUGUUAGUAAAUAAAAGAGCGGAUUUUAGUUUAUUUAGGAUUCCUAGCUAGGAGAAGCAAGGCACUGUUUGAAGAUUUUUGGGAGUUGAUUGUUCACCUUUUUUUAGGAACAUUCCAAUUUUUUUUUUUUAUAAUUAUUUUUAAUUCCUGAAAAAAAGAAGAUGGGGAAGUUGCUUUCUCUGUCAGUUAGUUGCGAGGGAAUGACAAGUUAAUAACUAGAAGUCCCUAAAAUUGGCGUGAAGAGGAUUUUCAAGGCUAUAAAAGACAACAAUUUAUCUGCUCUUUGGCUCUGAGCCGGUGGUGUUGUGAGUAUUUCUUUCGCAUUGGUGCUUGUUUCUGCUGUUGUUGUUGUUGUUGUCAGUUUUGCUACUUCUAUAAUUCUUGGGUGUUGGUUGGAUUAAUGGUCCUUAUGUUGAGUGAUGUGGAAAGUCAAACAAUCGUUGCUUAUAUUGUUGUUGGCAAUACAAGUGUGACAUGGUUUUAAAUUCCCUGUUAUUAUGUUAGACACGUAACACUUGCUGGUUAAGUUAUGUACACUUAAUUUGAAGGAAAUUAUGAGGUAGGUAGGUAGGUGUAACAAAGAAUUAGUAUAUCAUAGUGAAUCUCCUAUAAAAAUUCCUGUUUGGUGUGAGGAACUUCAUUUGUACAUCAUUUUCAUUUUGUGCGGGGAGGUUCUUCAGUUUCUGUAUACUCAUUCUGGUAGUGGGCAGCUGGUAUUUUUCACUUGAAAUAUGCAGCAGUGGUUUUCUUGUACAGAUAAAUUAUGAAGUCCUAUUGGCUUCCAUUUUACAUUGUGAGGUGUUAAGUGUUUCCCCUUUAAUUGUCUUUUGUGGGGAUCCAUAUGUGAGAUAUUAAGAAAUAUUAAGAAAAGGGAGGGAUUGUUCUACGUUGGUCUGACUGAAGACUCAUAGGCUUAUUGGGGAUGUUCAACAUUGGUUUGACUGAAGAUUCAUAGGCUUAAGCCUUCUGAAGUCUAGCGGUGUUCAACUCACGUUAUCUAGUCUCUCAUCUACUCAUGUAUGCCACAUCAAGCCAUGGGUGAUGUAGUCUCCCUAGACUUUGUCAUCCUAUUAGAACUGUCGUCUACUAAUCCUUAAAGAGGAAAAUAAUAUGGACUUAAAUUUGUUCUUAUAGAGGUAAAUUGAGAAUCAUGAAUGUUUCUUUGUGGUUGAUGUUUGGAGAAAAGGACUUAACACAUUGCACCCUCUCUCUUUAUUUUCCUCGCGUAGUUUUCCACAUUUCUUCACCAAUCUUGUCUAUCAGCAACAAAGUAUGAAUUCAAACAUGUUUUCCCUCUCCCGGCUGUUAACUACAUAUACAUAACAUUUUUGUGACCACUGUACUUUUUCAGGCUGACGUUAUAAUGGCCUUAGCUGGAUCAAAUGGAGGAUCUUGGUCGACAACAUACUCACUAAAACCUACUACGAGGCCGGGCAGUGAAAAUCACAUGCCUAGUGGAGAGGUUGAAGCUGGUACUGCAAGUAACAUAGCAUUGUUGCGAGAAUACCGUGGUAGGUUAUGCAUUCCUGGAAAUUCUAGUCAAGCAGUGGGUUUUGCUGAUCGAGUAUUGACACCGGCAGGUGAUCUUCUAACUUAAUCUUCUGGUGUGUAUUGUGAUAGUUUUCAUUAUAUCUAGGGAUGUUUACACAUAGAGAUCGGUGAGAACAAUUCCCCACAUCCCAGGUUUAAGGAUAGGUAUUCAUGACAUGACCCACAAACAUGAUAGUCGAAUUUGGUUCAGAUAAAUUAAUCAAAGUAAAUGUGUUAUUUGAUAAUCAAAAUUUCACUGAUUGUGUGUUGUAUGAUUAUUUGUUUUGUUAUUUACUGCUGGAUACUUGGUUGUAGGUGGCCAUCAAGGCAGCAAUUUAGCCAAAGAUACGAGAAACACAAUUCAAGCAGCAGAACCCAGUUCUAAAGAGAAAAAUGAUCCUUGAUGUUACAGAGUUUUCAUGUUUUGAAUCUAGGAUACAGUAAACCUUUCACCCUUGUAGUUUGAUUGGUAUUUCAAUUUGGUCUCAACUUUUCCAAUUGAACAACAUUAAUCCUAAAAUUUUGAAUUUGUGUUGAAGCCUUCGGUUGAGUGACACCCGCCACCUAUGCCACCGAUGCCGGUGAUAACAGAGCUUCUCCCCUCGACCAAGAACUUGACUUCGUUGUCCCUGUGACAUGGUUAAAUUAAUUGUUGCAAGUGAAGCCCGCGAAUUUCCCUCCAUUAGAAUGCUCAGAUUGAAAGUGAUUUUGAUUGGCAAAGAGCAAGUAUUCUAAAAAUUCUAAACCCAAACUAAGUCAACUUGGUUUCAUGCAAUGCAGGAAACAAAAUCUACCAAAACAUCAUUUUCAGAUUUUAGCUCGAUUGUAAUGACUAAAGGCAGAGGUAAGCUUGGGAAUGCUUAAGCACAUGCACAUGCAAUGUCUUAAGAUUUUGAGGGUUCUGUGUGAAAUUUAAAUGAGACCCUCACAUAAUUUAAUACGAAAAUAGUAAAAAUAAUAAUUUUCCCUAACUUAAAUGUCAUAAAACAAUUUUUUUUUUAUAUAACUAAAAUUCAUCAUCAACAAAAGCACAAAUUUUGAGUGAUCUUUAUGAAUUUAGGAAUUAGGAUAUUUAUGUUUUGGUGUUGAAAUUCUUGAAUUUGAAAUAAAAACAAAAAUUGUCAAAGGAUUGAACGAAAGAGCCAAAGAGAAAUUGAUGAAUGAUAAUAAUUAAUUUUUUUUUUUUUCCUUUUGGUGUUGAUUGGAGGAGAAAGCGUGAGGGUGUAUAUAUAUUGAUGGUGAAGAGAAAUGCAUUUGAAACCAAACCAGCCAAACACACACUUGUGUCAAUGUGCUGCGUGCAAGAAUAUAUAUAAAAUAUUUAUAAUAUUAACUAUAAAAGAUAUAAAGUUAAACAUUUUUGGUGGCCUUCAAAAAUUAAAGGCUCUGUGCGGUAGCGUCACUUGCUCUAUCCAAGUCCGCCCUGCUUUUUAAGCAUAAAGAAUCCAUUUUAGUGCUUACGUUAAAAGAUCUCAAGAAGCACUUUCAGAUGGUAUUUUUGAAUGAGAUCUUCUAUGCACCGCCAAAAAUAUCAAAAGCAAACCUUAACAGGUGCUAAACCUGAACCUCUUCAUUUUUGGUGAUUACUAAUUAGGUUCAAACUUCAAUUUUGAUUUGGCCCUUUUUUAUUUUUCCAUGAUAUUCUGAUUGGGUCCUCAAUAGUUAGCCUAAUGGGCCUUUCUGACCCAAUAAGCAAAUAUCGGCUGCAUCUCUUUCUUAGCUAACUGGGUUACACACAACUCAGAACUUAGAAGAGGCCCACACUGCAUUGUGAUCCUUGCAGCUAGAGUCUUUUUUUUCUUGGGUAACUGUUACGAUUUUUCUUUUUUAUGUAUGAACUAUGAACUCACUUUUUUCGUCCAAUCACUUUUGGGGUGGAAAUUAUUAUUUUAUUUUAGUUUUGCAAAAGUUAGGUAGGAAAAAGGGAAGGGGGAGGGUGGUUUUCCACUAGGCUAGACUCAGUUGGCUUUUAGUAUGGACAACUUUUUACAAUAUCUGGUGAUGAUAAUCAGUGGCGUAUUUAGGAAUUUUCUUUUUUAGGGACAAUAAACCACUAUUGCAAAGCCACUAAUAAUGAAGAUCAAUCAACUCUUAAAUGUAAGAUAAAAAAACACACACACACAAUCAUAUAAACAUAUUCAUGCAUAAAUUAGAAACACAACACAUUCCACUUAUUUCCUCUACUAACGGCACAAACAGAAAAAUGAGAAGAGUAAGUCUAAAGAACAAGAAGAAUAACAUAAGUAACGGAGUAGAGUAGGUUGCCCACUUACCUCCCGCCUUAAUCUUCUUUGAGGCAUUUUAUCAGACAACUUGCCCUUAUUAAAUACAAAACUUCAUAAAAAAAAUUGACACCUUGAUAGAUAAAUAAUAUAAUUGAGUGAGGAGAAUUACCCUUAAUGGAUCCGCCGAUAAUGAUAAUAUGGACCAUAAAGAACUUUUUGUCAAUAAUGCAUUUUCAUAUUUUGAAGUUUCUUAGUAAUUGCAUUGCCUCAUUGGAGUCCAAAAAGUCAUAUUGGACUCUUAAAAAGUACAAUUUCUCCAUUAUAUUAUUAUACAUCCGGAUUUUGUAUAAUCCAUUGUUAUGAUAUUUUUACAUGUAAUGAACAUAUACAUGAAUCAUGAUGGGUCGAGGGAUCUGCCGUCCAUAUGUACUAACAAAAUUCAAAUGAAUCGGCUGGCAGCAAUACAAUGAGGUUGGACUUUGUAGUUAAGAGAGAGAAAAGGGUCGUUGAAAAGUGUGGAUGCAUAGAUAUUGUCCAUAAGUUAAUGAUACAAUCCCUUGAAAUCCAACUUGAUUAUAUAAAGUAAUCUCUCUGCUAAUCAUUUGCCUCUUGACUUGAGGUAUGAACAAUUUGAUUGUUUUGUUUUUGUGGUGAAGUUGGAAUUAAUAGGACCGAUUUGGCCAUUUGCAUAGCUCCAAAGGGCCACCCACGACUGCACGUUUGGUUGACUCAUUACAUAAAAUUUUAGAGUUAACGUAAAUGUCAAUCGUCUUACUCCUCAAGGGUCAAGAGGCAGCCAGAUUUCCCUCGUCGGUCAUUAAACACACAACAUGUAGCACACAACUUCCAUGCUCCUACUAACUAAGCUACUACCCAGUGUUAAUUACAUCUUAAUUUGUUUCAAUACCACAACAUGAAGAUACUGACUCCGUGAUUGAGGCUUGUAAAGUCUCUUAUCCUAAAGAUCAAUUUUGUAUUAAACCAUUGAAAACUAUUAAUAAUAUACAUAGGAUUUAUUUGAACAAAAAAUGAAAAUUGACAUGAAGAUACAAUAUCUCUAUUGAUGCUUCGCUACCAAAAAAAACUAAAGGCUCGUUUGAGAGUGAUUCUUGAUAGACCAUAAUUACUUCUAGAGAGAAUCACUUUUCAUGUGCUUUUCUAUAUAAUCACUUUAAGUGAUUUUAAGUGAUUAUGAGCAUAAAUACCUCAUAUGUGCUUCUUCAUAAAAUCACUUAAAACCACUUGAAGUGAUUCUCCAUAGAAAUGAUUUUUGACAUAUUCAGAAUCACUCCUAAACGAACCCUAAGUGCCCGUUUGGUAUUGCUUAUUUGAGAUGAUAAGUGAUUUUUUAAAAAAUUUAAAAAACUAAGACCGUUUGGUAAACUAUGAGAAAAUCACUUAUUGUUAAAAAUUACUGUUUAAAAAAACUAUUAAAAAAAAAAAAAAACUAAUAAAGUACUUUCAUUUUCUGAAGAGCCAGUGUGAUUUUCGAGCAGCCAAUUGAAAAAGGUGGUUCAAUUUCAAAAACCUGCAGUUUUUGUUAUUUGUUCAGACACCACGUUCCAUGAGAGUUGCAUCAUUUCCAACUUUUUCUCUCCGUCGACAGCAACCUGAACCUUCUCUUUCUUUCUUUUUUCUUUUUUUUUAUCCCUUUAUUUAUUUAUUUAUUUAUUACCAAACGAUAAGAGAGAUUCUCUCAUUACAUGUAAAUCCGCACCGUUUUGAAAUUCUAGCAACACGACACCAAUUGCUUUUUUAAUCCAACAAAAAUAGACAAAUAUUAUUAUAUAUAUAUAUAUAGUCUUGAUCUCUUGGACUACAGGAGUCCAAGAGAUUGUGGUCGUGUAUAGUCUUGAUCUCUUGGACUACAGGAGUCCAAGAGAUUGUGGUCACUCACCGUUGAAUGUAAAUUCAACGGUUCACUCACUCUUGCACUCCUUUUAAGAAACUUUUUUGAACCAUUGGAUUAAUAUCCAACAGUGGGUGACUACAAUCUCUUGGAUUCCUGUGGUCCAAGAGAUCGGGACUGUAUAUAUAUAUAUAUAUAUUAUAUAUACAUAUAUUACCCAAAUAUCUUCUGAAACUUCCGUCAAAUCUUACUUUGCCCCAUCAAAUUUAAAAUGACCUACUUUCAUCCAUUGAUCGAAGUUUGGUGACCUACUUUACUCAUUACCAACAACUCCAUCUAAAACUCUAUUAACUUUCAUGACAUAAUAAGGGUGUUUUUGUAAUUUCAUACAUAUGGAUUAUUACUCAUCAAUUAAGUGGGUGAUGUGACAAGUAGAGUCUAGCUCCACAUAAAUAAAAAUAUAAUUAAAUAUUAUAAUAAUUAAAAUGGACUUAUAAUUUUACAUUUCCAAAAUACCGGCAUGGAGAAUAUGAACAGAAAUUUACCCACAUGCUUAAUUUCAUGGGUUUUAGUCAUUCGAUUUUCAAUGCCUAACGUUCUUCCAAUCAAAAUUCACCACUUGGAUUUUUGGUACAGAUCAGAAGAGGGUACAAAAGUACUUUAAAAUGUUACGACUUACUUGAAGCAUGCCCAUCCCAUGGAAUGCAUGUCCCUUCUUGAGUUUGAAUUUUCUAUUCAUAUUUUUCUGUUCAUGUUAACUUAAACUAAUAUUAAACAUUGUAUCUUCAAUAAUUUUUUUUUUAUUAAAAUUUUUUAGCCGAACGUGGGCAUAAAUCCUCAACUAAUUUUUUGUGAGUUAAAAAUUCCUCAAUUAGUUAAGCACCACACUAUUCUACUAUAGUGUUGCAAUUUGGAUCAUAUUUAUUGAUCACAUUACGCCAUCUUUAGUCAUAGGACUAAAUAUAGUCCAGGGUUAUAAAUUUAGCCCUAUAAAAUAUUAAUUUUUUAAAGAAUAGUGUAGGAUUAAAUUUGUCUGUUCCACAAUCAUGCAGAGCUAUAUUUUAGGGUCAUUCAUAUUUUAUUAUUUUGAGAAAAACUAUGGUACAAUACUCAUACAUUCUACAACUAUGUAUUGUUUAAUUAUAUUAAACUACUAUUUAGAGACAAUAUUUCAUAUAUGACACGUGUACGUUGAUAAGCAUUUGAAAAGAUUUCUGAUAAGAUUUUGUGUCCACGUGGCACGUCUUAUCUUGAAAGAAUCUUAAUAAUUUUUUGGAUAUGAGUUUCGAGUGACAUGUGUCGGUCUAGGAGCAACUAUCCAGAUUUCUGAUUAGAUUUUUGUCUAUGUGACACCUCUUAUCUUCAUCUUCAAAUGUCAAUAAAUGGAGUGUUUUCAAUUCAAUAUCUUACAACUUCAUCUCGUUCCUUUGUAAAUGGAAGGAUUGAUGAUGCCUCUGUGUAUUUUUGUGAGAUGCGUUCCCAAAGCCCAGUGCUUUUUUGGUUAGUACCCACAACACUAUCUUCGAAGACUUUUAUGAAAGCCUUGCAAAGAUGUUCAUCUUCCACUCGUGACCAAUUUCGUCCCUUCAAGUCCGGGACAUUUUUCAAACAAUAUGAAUAAUAAAAUAAGUAAAGAAAAUAAAUUUGUAGGAAAUGUUUAGAUGAAAUGAGUGUGAAAAAUAUUUGACAAAAAGAAAGAGUGUGGAAAGUUGUGAAUGUAAUAGAAUUUAUAAGAAAUGAGUGAGAAAUUUUUUGAAGAAAUUUUGAGGUAUUUAUCGACAUAUUUUAGGGUUUAAAUUUUUUAUAAAAAAUAAUAAUAAAGCCAACAAAGACAAUUUAUAAAAUAAAAUAUAAAAAAAAGGUCUGCGUUUCAAUGGUUCUAACCUCCAAUGGUCAUAACCAAUUUUUUAUAUAUUUAAAAAAAAAGAAAGAAACGAAUUUAAAACAUUUAAAAAGAUUUUAAAUUAAAACAAAGGUAACUUUUCAAUUAAUGGUUCUGACCUCCAAUAGUCAGAAAUCAAUUAUAUAAAAUGAAACAUUUAAAAAGGUUAUUAAAAAAAAAAAACCUGACAGCUAGAUGACGUCAGCACACCAUUAAUAUUGGUUGUUAGAUCUGCAGUUGUAUGAGAUGUUUCGUGCUCUUGCCCACUCAUGAUAUUUUUUCUUCUUGGAAAACACAUGCGCUGGGCCCAUAAAAAAUUUGGUUUAGGUCAAAGUUGGACUACAAGUGGCGUGAUUGGAGGGUUAAAGGGCCAAAUGUGGCCCUCCAAAUUUGGCCAAAUUUUUUUUUAGCUCAUGACGGGAGAUGAGUUUUGCAUUAUUUUAGGGCUAUAUUUGGCCUAUGGCCCAUAACUGGAGGUGGCCUUACGUAUUGACCAUCUCUCUAAACCCUAAACCCUCUAAUAUAGGUGAAUUCCGCAUACAGUUAUAGAACCUAUCUAUAUUAAAUGGAUAAUGAGUAAUGUGGUAAAUAAAUGUGGUACAUAUAACUUUAUUUUUUACUAUUGAUAUAUAAAACACAUGCAUAUAUCAAAGCCACAGUUUUAACUUAUUCUAGAUAAACUAUAUUUUUUUUAGUGGGGUAGGGGGACUAGCUGGGAUGGUAGUUAUCUCUACCUAAUGAAACGAAUGCGUUUUGGCUCCUAGACAUGUAUAAAAACAUGUAGACCCGGUUCUUGUGGACAAGGCAUGAUCAUUUUGUUCAGAAAAGCAGAAAGGAAAAGGAUGUCUUCCUGAUCAUGGGACAACGAGACUGUUUUUUCCAAGUUUAAGAAGAUGCCAUUGUUUGUUUCGUCCCAUUCAACUAUAUAUAUUAUCCUACAAAUAAUACCUCCAAAUCCACGCAGAAAGACACACUUGUGUCCAAACAGCCGCCCUAUCCCUACUGUUCAUCAUUUGGACCCAAUACACUUUCAAUCAACAUUUUUAUUCUUAUACUAUUAAUGUCGACGCAUAGUCUUAAAACGUAUACCAUUUAGUAUUUUAAUAAAAUAUUUAACUGUUAAUACGACAAAAAUAUAAAAUAUUUAGGUAAUUAAAUGAUAUGUAUUUAUCUUUUGGACAUAUAUCGAAUUUGAUCCGUAGGUAAUAUUUGUAUGAAACGAGUAAAACACAUUACACAUACACCAUAUUCCUAAGAUAUACAUUUCCGAUUCGUAUUUUAAUAAAAUAUUUAACCGUUAAAAAAAUUGAAAACAAAGACAUGUAUAUAUAUUUUGAAUGUCGUAUUGACUAUAAAGAAUUCUACGUAUAUAUAUGAACUCUUAUAUGUACAUACAUAUACGUAGACAUGUGUGCAUAUAUAUGGAAAAUAUUUGUCUUCUUUCCUGAUACUUUCUUGCCAAUCACAGUUUGAUAUGUGUGCAUAUAUUUUUGUUUUUGUUUUUUGUUUUUAAUUUUGGAUGGAUUAUUUUUACAUAUGGGUGAAACUAAGAAGUAGAAAAUAUUCAUAUAAUAUUAGAUUCUAUAUAUAGGGUCGUAACCCCGAUAAAUAUCUCUCUCUCUCUGAUCUCCAUGUCUAUAUAUACAUUCCAAUCAACACAGGCAAACAACCAAUCUCAUUGAGCUCUGAUCUUUUCUCACUCUUACGUUGUUGUUGUUUCUCUCCUAAGACAGUUGCUAAUGGGUGCUCUCGCAGAAGCCUAUAAACACAGCCUCCUCGACAAGCAACCUAUCCCCCUUGACUAUGGCUCUGUCCGAACAUUGCCUGAGUCCCAUAUAUGGCUUGAUCAGUCCGACGAGUCUCCAUAUGUGGCCCACUCCACCGGCCCGAUAUCGCCGCCAGUUAUCGACCUCAUGGAUCCGGAUGCUCCGAGGCUCAUAAUCCAGGCAUGUGAGACAUGGGGUGUCUUUCAACUGAUAGGCCAUGGCAUUCCCACUAAACUUAUGGAGGAUGUGGAGUCUGAGGCUGAAAAAUUGUUUGGUCUACCAGUUGACCAAAAAUUGAAGGCCUUACGAUCUCCAGGUGGGGGUGCAGGAUACGGUCUCCCUCAUAUAUCGCCAUUUUUUAACAAGCAUAUGUGGCAUGAAGGGUUUACUAUCAUGGGGUCUCCGAUCUAUCAUACUAGGCAACUUUGGCCCCAGGCCUAUCAAGGGUUUUGGUAAGUCCUCCAUGCAUUUCCAUGACGUAGACAAAAUGAAAAUUUUUUCCGAUUAAAGUUUCUAUAUAUAUAUAUAUAUAUGUUAUGCUUUUCGUUUGGGAUUUGUUAGGGUAAAAGUUUGCUUUUCGGCCUCGUCUGAAAUUUGUAGUAAUGUAUAUGUCUUGAUGACUAUUUGGUGAACUUAUUAAAUUGAAUAACAAUACAAUAAAGUAUCUUACAAGUCUCACCUUACAAGUCUCGUAUCUUAGAGAGACGAGAUUUAUAAGAACUGACUUGUACUUAAUUCCAAUCCAGUUCAAGUUGAGUCACCAAAUGAAGCCUUUAAGCCUUGAAGUUUAAGGUUAUGCAUGUUUUCAUUUUUUGUAGUGAGACAAUGGUUGAUUAUCAGAACCAAUUGAAGGCAUUAACCGAGCAGCUAAUCCGCAUUAUCUUCAAAUCCUUGAACAUUAAUUCUGAAGAAGUAGAUUGGCUUAAGGACUCUCAAGGAUCAAGUACUGCUUUGCAGUUAAACUCUUACCCGGCAUGCCCCGACCCAACUCGAGCCAUGGGCCUAGCGCCCCACACAGACACAUCCCUAAUAACCAUUCUCCAAUCCAAAACCAGUGGCCUCCAAGUCUUCAAAGAGGGAGCCGGGUGGAUCCUGGUGCAACCCAUACCCGGUGCCCUCAUAGUUAACGUUGGUGACUUUCUCCACAUCCUCUCCAACGGGGUGUUUACAACUGUCCGUCAUCGUGUGGUGGUCACCCAUAUUCAACGGUUCUCCGCAGCCCAUUUCUAUGCUCCUCCAGGUGAUGUUAUAGUCUCUCCAGUGAUGUCCAAGGAUUUUGGUGGAGUGCCAAGGUACCAUUCUGUAUCAGUGAAAGGGUAUGUCGAGAGCAAGGGCAAGCAUUUUGAAAAGGCGCUUUCUUUAAUUAAAAAAUAAAUGAAAUUUUUACUUAUUUAUUUUAUGGUGAGUCUAGGAUAAAAUAGUUAGGUCAAUUUUUUUUUUUUAUAAUUAACCCUCCUUGGCCUAUCAGAAAUAAUCUAUAUAAAAAGACCGACUCGUUAUCGUGUUGCCGUAAUCAACUAACCUAAUUCAAUUCAAUUUUACAAGUUUGAAUUUUACCAAGAAGAAUUAUUAAACAAUAUCGUUAGCAAAGAUAUCGUGCACAUGCAUUUCUUUCUUUUAAGUUCUAAAAGAUUUUUGCAUUUUUGAUUGGACCGUAUGCAAUAAAAGUAAUAAGAAGAAGAGAGAUGUUAUUUUGGUUUUAUCACCAUUUAGUGUAUUGAUAAACUAAUUUUAUUAGUAUCACGCUUGGCAAAGGUCCAAAAGACAAGUCGGCUACCUUUGGCCAUCAAGCUAUGAAUGAUUACAGUCUAUACACAUGACGGGUCAAUCAAUAACGUAUCAAAAAAAAUAAAAAAAAUGCUUUGACGGGCCAAUCAUAUGAUGACACGUUAUUAUUACCUCCUUGUUUAUCCUACAAUUGUGCAGGUCUGAUUUGUUGUUUUUAUUUUAUUUGUUGUUGUGUAGGUUGAAUAUAAUAAGAUAAGAUAUGUGCAAAUUUUCUUGUUGGGGCAGAAGUUGCGUACUUAGUUGCAACUAUAAUCGCAUCAAGUCUUGUCCACAUAAUAUGUCCAAGGGAAGGCCUCAUUGAAUAAGCAGAAAUCAAUCUCGUUUUAAUUACUAAUGAUCAUCAAAUGCAUCGUCUUAAUACACGCGUUUGGUGAUACUCGGUUACAAAGUCUUAAGUUCAAAUUUCAUCUAUGACCGGUAGUUGAAUAAAAAAACACGUAUUUAACGUGUAAAGUAGUCGGUAGUAUCCAAUUUGCCAAUGUCCACUUACAUUUGUCUUCUUCAAAAGGUUCAUUGCCGUCCACCAUGGGGAUCCAAAAGAGGGUACAAUGAUAGACGACUUGAGAAAUUCACUGUCCACUUGGCUAUGUUUGUAUCAUGUUUUCUCUGGGUUUCUUUAAUGAGAUUAGACUUGGACCAAAAAAUAACUGUCCAAUUGGCUGCUAUGACUGUAUGAGCACAUAUACAACCACAGCAAGAACAAAACUGACCUGCUAGAUACUGUACGGUUUAUGUUUUUGUUUUUCUGUGGCUGUGACGAACGUUUGAAUGAAUCAAAGGCACAAUUAAGGCACGACGCAAAUAAUUAAUUACAAUUACAUUGCUGACUGUGUUCUAAUCAGAGAGGAGUUGGCAGUGGCUAAGAGUAGAUCGAUAGAAACAAAAAUGUCAUUGUUUGCUUUAUUGUCUUAUUUUAUUUUAUUUUUUGGGGUCAAAAGUUUGCUUCAUUGUCCUUAUGUGAAAAAGAGAUGGGAACAACUUUAUGUUGUAUCAAAGUCUGACUUGGAGGAACAAGAUCUUCCAGAGAAUUAAGACAUCGCUCACAUCAUCUCGUAUGGAAAAAUUAGUUCAAGUUCUCAAUCAAGCUAAUGAAGCUGAUCUUUCUAUUCACAUGCCACGCCUUCAUUUCAAUUGAAUAAGUAAGCAAUCGACGGAUGAGCGAUGGCAUGAAGUUGGCUGAAGAACUUAACUUAGUUUAGGUUUAUAAGGAGUUGGGCUACAUUCGCUUAUUGUCAAUUGGUUUUGGGGUGGAACUUCAAAUUUCUUCAUGGUAUCAGAGUAAGGUUGCACAUGUUGGGUCCAACGGUCAUACGUGUUCCCACGUCACACAACAUGUGUUGUCCACAUGUUAGGUUUGAAAGUUCGACAUACAUGCGGAGGCGUGUUAAGAGUAUUUGUCUCACAUUGAAAAGUUAAAGGACCUAACUUGAAUUUAUAAGGAGUUGGACUACAUCUCCCCAUUGCCAAUUCGUUUUGGGGUGAAACCUCAGCUUCCUUCAAACUUCACAUGUUGCUUAGAUGUUCUAAGCGGCACUUCUUUGGAGCACCUCAUUUUUUUUUUAAUACAAACGAUAGGAGAUGAAUCACACAGAAAGGGAUGGAAAAACAGUUGAUCAUGGUUUUAUAACAUUAGACAUUCUCUUAAAGUAGCACUUCCUAAAUAAUUAAUCAUUGAUACCAGAACGGAAGUUUUAACCGAGGACUUCGGUGUCGCAAAAUAUUAAUUAAAGUUAUCUCUCUACUCAUAAUUUGCCGCUUGACUUGAGCUUCACAUUUGGUAUGAAUAAUUGUUUUUGUUGUUGUUGUAAAUUUUGGAUUUGGACCGAUUUGGCCACUUGCAAAGCUCCAAAGGAUGGGCAACAGACACGACCUCCUCUACCUUCAUCAACACAUCAAUGGGCCACCCACCACUACACUUCAUGACUGUUUGUUUCAUGGAAUUUAAGAAUUAACGUAAAUGUCAAUCAUCUUCCUCCUCAAGGGCCAAGAGGCAGGCGGGCAGAAAGAUUUCUAGUCGGUAAUGUUUUUUUUUAUUUGAGAAGAAGUAAUAAUAAUUAUUGAUGAAACAAAAUAAAAUACAAAGAAGCUGUAGUGCCGAAUAUGAAUACAAUAUCUUGAGUAACCAAAUACAACAGUAUGUUGAUUUGAUCUUGAGAGAACUACACCUUAACCAAAAAACACUUAAAUCCCCUAUUCAGCGGCCAAAACUGUGAAGGUAAAAAAUCUCACAUUGGAAAGUUGAGAAAUAUAAUAAGGGUUUAUCUUGGACUACUCCCUUCAUUGCCAAUUGGUUUUGGGGUGGAAGCUCAACUUCAUUCAUGGUAUUAGAGCGAGUUAUCCCACGUGUGAAAGCCCACGGCCACACGUGCUCCACGUCACCCAAUAUGUGUUGUCCAUAUGUUAAGCUUGAAAAUUUGCCACACGUGCGAGAACGUUUGAGAAUGCGAAGGUAAAAAGUCCCACAUUGAAAAGUUGAGAAAUCUAACUUCAAGCCUCAACUGGUUUUGGAGUGGAACCUCAACUUGCUAAAAAAUUACAUGUACUCAGACUUACAAUAUGGAUUUACCGCGCAACGGCAGAAACAGUAAAUCCGUAUAGAAAGUCGACAACUAAAAUACAAAACACAGCAAAUUCUUAAAGAGUUCAUAAGAAUUAUUAAUAGAUUGAAACAAACAAAGAAACAUGAUCACCGCUCCACGUCAUCUCCGUCAAUCCAAGAUACUUAUAAUGCCAAAUCAACUAAAUCCUUAGAACCCCAACCACCUAUUCGUGCGUGCUUGUUAAAUGUUUGUUCUUUCAAAAUACAAUAAUCCUAAUAGAACGCAUGGAAGAUACUCUGCAGGUGGAAAAGCAAUUAAGGAGGAAGAGCCAAGUAUCCUUAUUUCCGAACAGCCAAUUAAGAUAGGUGGUUCAAUUUCAAAAGCUGCAAUGGUUUGUAAUUUGUACAGACACCACGUUUUUUUUUCUGGACGAAGUUCAGACACCACGUUCGUUAGCAAAGAGCAAAGAGUUGCAUCAUUUCCAACCCUUUUUCUCUACCGACAGCAACCUUCUGCAUUUGAAUCCACAGACCAGACCUCUUUUUUGGGUACAGAAAGGGAAAAGCCCAGAAAAAGAGUACACAGAAACUAGAUGAGACUUGCCUUUUUUUCCAAGUAACUGCGAGUAUUUUUUUUAAAAAUUACGCUUUUGUUCUUCCUGUUUCUCAUGUUUGGAUUUUAGAUAGUAUUAGUUGUUUUCAGUGCUAUCUUUUGUACACUCUUAUGUUAUUUAUUUUUUAAUAAAGCAUCUAUUUCAAGAAAAAAAAACCUACUUCCAAUCAAUAUUCUCCGCUUGGAUUUUUGUUACAGAUCAGAAUAGGGUACAAAACUAUUUUAAAAUGUUACGAUUUAUUUGAAGCCCGUGCUUGUCGUUUCUAGAGUUUGAAUUUUCUAUUCAUAUUUUUCUGUUGAUAUUUACUGAAACUAAAUAUUAAACAUUAAAUCUUCAUUUUUUUAAAUUUUUAGCCGGAUAUGGGCGCAAGUCCUCACCUAAUUGAGCACAACGUGUUAGUUAUUAGCAUGACAUCCAUUAUCCAUCCAUAUAUAAAGACAGAAGCCUCAAAUACUGAAACAUCCAAAAACCCUGAAAAUGUCCGUACUUAACAAAAAUAUUAGAAAAUCACAAUCUAAUAUACUGAGAGUAUAAUAGUAAAAAAUUAAUUUGCUAAACUAAUUUGAUAAAAACUAGUUUCUUUUUAUCGUUUUAUGUAUCUAUAUAUUUAACUAAUUUAAAAAAUAAGAAAAACAAAGAAGCCUAGUAACACACGUGUGCCAAGAGGCUAAUUGGUUAUAAUUCUACUAUAUUGAUAUAAAACAUGCAUGUAUCAAAGCCACAGUUUUAACUUAUUCUAGAUAUUGUGAAACGAAAAUGAGAAAGAAAUUAAGUACCCGUUUGGCAUUGCUUAUUUAAGGUGAUAAGUGAUUUUAAAAAAAAUUUGAGAAGCCCAACUCGUUUGGUAAACGGUGAGAAAAUCACUGAUUGUUAAAAAUUAUUGUGAGAGAAAACUACAAGGGAAAUCAGCUAAUGAGGUGCUUUCAUUUUCUGAUUAUGUAGGAAUCAGUUUCGAUGAGGCGCUGAGUUUAAUGAUUAUGCGACAAUCAUUUUCUGAUUAUGCGUAAAAUCAAUACCAACAACACUUUUAACAAAAAUUUUACCAAACGUCAAACUGCUUUCUCUCACAGCUAAUUUCUCUCACAGCAAAUCUGACAGUGAUUAUUUUCACAGCACAUCAAUGCCAAACUGGCCCUUACUCAGCUCUACUGUUCAUUAUUCGGUCCUUCUUCAAUCAAACUUUUAAUUCUUAUAUUAUUAAUCUCUACGCGUACUCUUAAAAUCAGUUAAUAUUUUAAUACGACAUUUAACCGUUAAUACCAUGAAAACAUAAAAUAAUGUAAGUAAAUGAUAUGUUUAUAUCUUUGGAAUUUCAUCCUGACAACUAAGAAACAUUACAUGUAUGCAGGAAUUCUCAUAUGUAUAGACAAAUCAAAUAUAGCAUUUAUUUGAAACGAGAAAAAACACCUCCAAAUCCACACUUAAGGAUGUGAUAUGUAUGCAUGAACUCUCACAAUACACACAUUCAUCGAAUGUAAUCCAUGGAUAACAUUCAUAUGAAACGAUCAAAACACAGUAUACAUAUAUCGAAAAUCUACUUAAGAUAUACAUUAUUAAUUAGCAUUUUAAUAAGACAUUUAUAACCGUUAAUACACCGAAAACAUAAGUACAUGACAAGAUAUAACUUAUAUGCAUGAACUCUCAUAUGUGCAUACAUUGAAUGUGAUUCAUGCAUAACAUUCAUAUGAAACGACAUUCUAUAUGGGUUGCUCAUAAUAUUCAUACACAUUUUGGCAGCAAAUAGAAAAAGAUAUAUACAAAUAUAUAGAUAUAUGCAUUUCUAUAUAAGAUUGUAUUCUAUAUAUAGGGUCGUACCUUUCCAUCUAGGGUCAAAACCCAAUACAAUCUUUCUCUUUGAUCUCCAUGUAUAUAACUAUAUAUAUAUAUACAUUCCAGUCAACACAGGCAAAACAACCAGUCUCUUUGAGUCUUGAUCUUUUCUCAGUUUUACGUUGCUGCUGUUUCUUUCUCCUAAGACAAUUACUAAUGGGUGCUCUCGCAGAAUCCUAUAAAGACACCCUUCUCGAACCGCAACACAUCCCCCUUGACUAUGGUUCUGUCCAUACAUUACCCGACUCCCAUGUAUGGCUUGAUGAGUCCGACGAGUCUCCAUCUGGGGUCCACUCCACUGGCCCGCCCGUUAUCGACCUCGCGGAUCCAGAUUCUGCGAGGCUCAUAAUCCAGGCAUGUGAGACAUGGGGUGUGUUUCAACUGAUAGGCCAUGGCAUUCCCACCAAGCUUAUGGAGGAUGUGCAGUCUGAGGCUGAAAAAUUGUUUGAUCUACCAGUUGACCAAAAGAUGAAGGCCUUAAGAUCUCCAGGGGGAAGCCAAUCAGGAUAUGGUCUCCCUCCUAUAUCGCCAUUUUUUGAAAAGCUUAUGUGGCACGAAGGUUAUCAUAUCAUGGGGUCUCCGAUCGAUCAUGCUAAGCUGCUUUGGCCCAAUGACUAUCAAGGGUUUUGGUAAGUCCUCCAUGCAUUUCCAUGCACGUAGACAAAAUGAAAAUUAUUCCAAUUAUAGUUUCUUCCAUAUAUGUAUAUUUCGUUUGGGAUUUGCGAGGGUAAUAGUUUACUUUUCGCCCUCUGGAAUUUGUACUAAUGCCUUGACCACAGUUUAGUGAACUUAUUAAAUUGCAUAACAGUUCAAUAUAGUGUUUUAUAGGUCUUAUUUAGAGAGGUGAAACUUAUAAGAACCAACUUUAACUUAUAAUUUUUAUGUAGUUCAAAUUGAACCACCAAAUAAAAUCUUCGCGGUUAUGUAUAUAUGUUUGUAUAGAAAUGAUUGCCUAUAUAUUUUAGUUCAACAAUGUAAUUAUUACACUUAAUUAAAUUAUGACUUCCACAAAUUUUUAUGAUUUUUUUUUUUGGCAGUGACACAAUGGUUCAUUAUCGGAGCCAAUUGAAGGCAUUAACCGAGCAGCUAAUCCGCAUUAUCUUCAAAUCCUUGAACAUUAAUCCAGAUGAAGUGGCUUGGCUUAAGGAAUCUCAAGGGUUAAGUAUUGGUCUGCAGUUAAACUGUUACCCGCCCUGCCCUGACCCAACCCGAGCCAUGGGCAUAGCACCCCACACAGACACAUCCCUAAUAACCGUUCUCCAGCAAUCCAAAGUCAGCGGCCUCCAAGUCUUCAAAGAGGGAGCCGGGUGGGUCCUGGUGCAACCCGUACCCGGUGCCAUCACAGUUAACCUUGGUGACUUUUUCCACAUCCUCUCCAACGGGGUGUUUACAACUGUCCGUCAUCGUGUUGUGGCCACCCGGAUCCGACGGCUCUCCUUUGCCUAUUUCUAUGCUCCCCCGGGUGAUUUUAUAGUCUCCCCAGUUUUGUCCAAGGAUUUUGGGGAAGUGCCUAGGUAUCAAACUCUGUCAGUGAAGGAGUAUGUUGGAAUCAAGGGCAAGCAUUUCGAGAAGGCGCUUUCUGUUAUUCAAAAUUAAAUGGGAUUUUUCCCUAUAUAUUUUAUGGUGAAUCUAAGUUAAUUAAAUAAUGAGGUCAAACACACAGAUGGUUUUUGUAAUUUUUAUUUUAUUUUAUGGUUUUUUUUUUUUUUGAAAGGUUUAUUUUAUGGGUAUUAAUCCUUGGCCAGAGGUGUUAUCGUUUAAGAGUUUUUUUCUUCUUCUUCUUGUUUUUUGUUUUUAUAGCCAGGAGAGUCUAAAAUUUUAGAUAAAGAAUAAUAAUUCACAUCAAGGAAUUCGAAUUUAGAUACAAAUAAACGGAAGCUCACUAUCUGUCGAACCUAACUCACUCCUGUUACUGUUAGCAAAGAUGUCGUGCAUGCAUGCUCUCUUUUUUUUAAAAACUUCUCGAAGACUUUAUAUUAAUGAUUGGACCGCAUGCAAUAAAAGUACACAAAGGGGAAGAGAAACGUUCUUUUGAUUUUAAUCAGCAUUUAUGGCCGGUUUGGUUUCCAUUUCUACUCAAAAUAAAUAUGGGGGAAAUGAAAUAAAGUGAUAUUUCUCGGUUACUUUCUCAAUAUUACCAAACGUGGAAAAUAAAUAUUUCAUUUCCCAUCCAUUGGGAAAUGACAUGAGAAAUGAUUUUCCCUCAAAUUCAUUCCGUGAACCAAACGGGACUUUAGUGUAUUAAUAAAGUACAGUCAAUCAAGGAUGAGGAGCCAAUCAUAUGAUGACACAUUAUUACCUUAAUGUUAUCCUACAAUUACAAUUGCAUAGGUCUGAUUUAUUGUUUUUAUUAUUUUAUUUGUUGUUGUGCAGGUUGAAUAUAAGAUGAUAGGUGUGCAAAUUUUCUUCUUCGGCUCAUAAUACGUCCAAGGAAAAGCCUCAUACAAUAAGCAGAAAAGAAUCUUACAAAUCCGAGCUAUCUGUCCACCCAUAUAAAUUGUGUACAAAAGACAUGCCAUGCGAAACAUUUUUAUGUUUUCUCAACUACAUAAUGUGAUAAUUAUAUGCCAAUAUAUCAACACAUCAUCAUAUUUAUGUUUAGUAAUACUCGUUGAGAAGUCUUGAGUUCAAAUCUCGGUUGAAUAAAUAAAUAAAAAUUCCACGUUUUUAUCAUGCAAAGUAGGAUUUCCAAUUUGCCAAUUCACAUGUCCCCUCCUAUAUUUGUUUUCUUCGAAGGGUUCCAUGGCCGUCCACAAUGGGGAUCCAAAAGAGGGUACAAGGAUCGAAUGAGACGACUUGAGACGACUUAAUUUUUUAUCUUUUGGAUUUUUUUUGUUAAUUAAUUUAACGUGUGUGAAGAUUCAUGAACAAAACUGACCUGGUAGAUAAGGCACAAUUAAGGCGACGCAAUUAAUUAAUUAAUUAAUGUAUCCUAAUCAGAAAGGAUUAGGUAUUGUAUGUAGAUCGAUAGAAACAAAAAAAAAUGUCAUUGUAUGCGUCGUUGCCUUUGUAUGAAAAGAGAUACGCCAGAGAAUAAGACGUCGCUCACAUCAUUCACAUCCAGUAUGAAAAAGAUGAGUUGAAUUUCUACAUCAAGCUGAUUAAGCUGAUCUUUCCAUUCAUUAUUUUUAUCUUGGUACGUAGUACAACAUUCAAGAAGCUCGACCUGGAAAAUGUUUGAUUUUUAAUUUACAAGAACUUAUGAUGACCAAUCCUUCAUUUCAAAUGAAUAAGUAAGCAUUCAACCGAUGCGCAUGAAGUUGGUUUAACAACUCGACUUCACAUGCUGCGGAGAUGUUCUAAGCGGCACCUCUUCUGAGUACCUCAUUCUUUGUACAUUCCUCCUGCAUAUUCAAAGUACUACUUCAGUAAUUUCGAGGGAAUCGGUAAACUGAGAGUUGGUUAUAGAUAGAUUGGCAACAGCCAGGACAAUUACUAUCAAUUCUUGCCAAACUGCUAACCAACACUCUUACAUCUCUGUGAAGUAGUAGACAAUGAUAUCAACCACGAUAGGAAAAUAUAAAUUUCUAGGUACCGCAGCAUUUGGACCACCCAGAAAGGGAUGGAAAAACAGUUGAUGGUUUUCUAACAUUAGACAUUUUCUUAAGUAGCAGCACUUCCUAAAUAAUUAUUCAUUAAUACCAGAAUAUGAUAGACAAGAACAGAAGUUUUAACUGAAGGCUCCAGUGUUGCAGACACUAAAUAUUAAUUGUGAUGUCAUGAUUACAGUGCUUACCUGGAAAGCUUUUAAGAGAGAAUAGCAGUGCCUUUGCUCUGCAGUUGCUGCAACAUGCUUCGCCUUCAGAGCAUCACAAACUUUUUGCUCUUCUUUAAGUCCAAGUUGUACCUUUAGUAGCUUCUGUAAAAUAGAUUCGGCAGUAAAAUUUAGGAAUAACUAGAAGCAUUUGUGAAAAAGUAUGUACACAAGUUGAAAACGAGUUGAGGCUAACGAGGCUAAUAAAAUACUCAGUCAUGUAGAAGUUUAAGUUGAGUUUGAUUGAAGUAGCAGACAAUACUGGGAUAUAAAAUUGUUGGGCGCGAAUGUGUAAGCACAUACUAGAUUCAUUUACUCCUCAAUAUGCUGGACACAGAACUCGGUUGAAUUAUAUUAGUUUUAUCUUAUUUGUAUCUCUAAUAACUCAACACGGGGUUUGGCCUGUUACAGGUGUUAUUUUUAGCACAUGAAUUAUAUCUUAUUUCUCUCUUCACUUAGCGGGUGCAUCUGUUUGGUUUCAACCCUUAUCCUACACUAGGGAUGACAUAUCAAUACCAAUAACUAUCUCAUGUUUAUGUCUGGAUGCUUACCAAAUUUUGAAGUGCCCAGGUUGUACAAAAUCUACUAGGAUGUCCCUGAUACUAUUCAGUGAACUACACUGCUAAAGAUUCAUUAUCAACAGUGAUGAUUGGCAACAGGGCAACUGGGUUCACCAGGUUGCCGCAAGGCAGAAAGUCAGUUCCUCUCCAAGGCUAUGCGUAUAAAUCCACACUAGUUAGAACUCUAACUGCUUCUCCCAUGCAAGGAGUUAAAAGGCCAUAAAUUCAAGUCCUUGUAAGGUCAUACGGAUCAAAAGGCUAUGUGACUAGAUGCUAGUAAAUGAUUUACGAGGAAGGUAAAGGGCCAAAACUUUCCAUUUUCUAAAGGAAAAUCAAAGCAGCGCAAGUCGUUUGGUUAUCUUUGAGGGGAACCAUGCUACUAGACUAGAAAACGGAAUACAGAAACUAUGGAUCUCUGUGGACACAUAAAUAAAGUUGUAUAAGGGAGUAAAAGCAAUGCUCUUUAGAAUCAACUAAAGCAUACAUUCCAAGAUUGAGGAACUGAAGUUUCUUCUUUACUAGGAUUGCACAAUAGUUUCAAGGCAGAGUUGGGGUUUUCUUUUCCUGAUCCCCAACAGAAUAUAUGCAGACAAUUUGAUGACAUUUGGGCAUUACCUGUUGACUGCCCUUUAUGAUUCCCUCCAUGGAGUUAAUAAGUUUCAUGCGACCAUCAGUGCUAGUGAUUGCAUCUUGAAACUAUUUACAAGCAAAAUAAGUUGGUAAUAAUAACAGUAUAAUAAUAGCAGAAACAAGUGAAAAACAUCCUGCAUAAAAUCAAAUUAUCGCAGAGAAAUGAAGAAGAAGAAAAAUGGUAGCAUCCCAUAAGAGGAUAUUGAUGACAAAAUUUACAGCAGACUACCUGUGAACUUAUUGAAUUCAAUAAAGAUGUUUCCUUUAGCAUCAAUUCUUUGAUCUCCAAAAGUGCAUUAUAUGUGGCAUAGAAUUUACGAGUUUGUUGAAGUUUUCCCUGAAUUUGAGCAUUCAGUUCUGAAAACCGGCGUUCAUACCUGCAGAGCCAAGGUUGAGACAGUCGGUGUUUUUUCUUUUUCUAUCAUAAACGCAGAAAAAAUAAUCAAAGACCAUACAUAAAAAAUGCCCCAAACUUCAAAUUUCAUACUUUAAGUUGCAUUUGAAGUCUACCCAACUCAUCUAAAUCCUUCAAACUGGUUUUCGUUAGCAACCAUCUAGAAUCUAAGUCCUAAACAAACCCACAAUUUAUAAUCAGAGAAAAAAAGGAAGACAUACUGGAUGAGUUCUGAUUGAGAUGGAACAUCAUCAAUCUGUCGCUGCACUGCCAGCACUGCCCUUGAUCUAGCUGCAAGUUCCUACACAUAUUACUGUUUUCAUCACCAAAUAAAAAAUAAAAAAAUUAUAGCAACACCAUGUUGCAGAAAAUAAUCAUAAUGUUGUGAGCAACAGCAAAUUACCCCUUUAGCUGAAUCAAUUUUCUCCACUGAUUCACUCAACAGACGAUCCAAUUCAUCAGAGACAGUCUGGCCAUCAUACCCAUUUGUUAUUUGGUCCUCCAAUCUACGAACCUCAGCAUCCAAUUCAGAAUUACUAGAAGACUGGAUUUCAAGCUCUUGCCUUUCCAGCUCCUGUAAAAAACAGAAUAAAAUAUCAAUCAAUACCCAUCACCAAAAAACGAAGACGCUUCGAGUAUAAACAGAAUCACAAGGAAACUAGCGAACCUUCAAUGCCUGCCUCAGCGAUAUCAACUUGUGCACCGCAGCUUUAUCUCCUUCCUUAUCGAUUUUCUCUCUUAAACUCUGCAAUUCAUUCGUAACAUUCGCUUUCCUCUCAAUCUGAAAUCAAAAAUGAAAACCCACAUUAUUAAUAAAUCCAACAACUUUUUCUUUGCAUAGAAAAUCAAAAGACUCCAUUUUUGCUACAAAUGGUCAAUAUUUUACUGACCAAUUCAUUCAGAUUGUCUUCUGACAUCGUUGAUCUUACGAAUUGUUAAGUUUCACAGUAAAAACACAACAGUUUAUAGAACGACGGCGUUUUGUAAUUGGUCGGGCUUCGUUGCGAACAAUGUCGGAUUGGGGGUGAGUGAGUGAGGGAACUUGACAGUUUAGGACGGCGAUGCACCAGGCCGCGUAACGAACUUUUUUUUUUCUUUUUCUGUUUUCUUUUUCCCCCUAAACCACGAGGCAUUUUGUGGGCUCAAGAAAUUGGGCUUCUGGUGUUCUCGAGUGCAUUAGAUUUGGGCUUUGAGCUUAAGAGAUUGUCAAGUAUUGGAUGAAGAUUGCAGGGUAACAUCGGCCUGCCAAAUUUCUUUUUACAUUGGGUUUUUUUUUUUUUUUUUUCCUUUCUCAUUUGAGGUUAAUAUAUAUUUUUGAAAUUAGGGUUCAGUCAACUAUGUUUGGUCAGAAACUAUGAAGACGAGAUAAUUAGUUUUCAACCGGAAACAAAUUAACAUUGGGCUUAGUAGCGUGGACUUCUAAGGGCUCGUUUGAGAGUGAUUUUGAAUUGGCUAAAAUCAUUUUUGGGAAGAAGUACAUUCCACGUGCUUUUCUAAAAAAUCAAUUUUAGUGAGGAGGUGCUUCUCCAUAAUCACUUUCAAACGAACCCUAAGAAUGAAAUUAAAGUAAUUGGUCAUUUGAGCUAAGCCUUGCUAGUCAAGUGAGGCAGUGCUCUUCAGAUAUUCACUACGGUGAAAGUAGGGCCCCCCAAACAAAAAGGGUGGGUAGCAACACAAAACUCAGCUGGAAUUUGGAUUGGGUCCGUUAGGUACCCAAAAAAGACAUGAAACAUAUUAGCAAGUUUAUGGUCUGAACCAAAAGCCCCUUGAUUCAAAUCUCAUAAUGAUAUGAUCUUUUAACAUGAUUCAUGAACAAUAAGAAAAGUUAACUCAGUUUCUGAUACGACAAACAUGGUAAAUCAAAUAUUGUAUAUAAAGAAGAUACACAAUUCUUUUUCCCCCCCUUCUUAAUGUGACGAAUUCUUAUGUCCUUAAGUUGAGUUUGGUUCAAAAACGAGUAGAGGGGGAAAAUUAAGUCUUAAUAACUCCAAGUCAAAGCAAUUGAAUUCUCAAUAUUUGAGGGCAAAGAGGUGCCAGGCAUGCAUGAGCUAAACUUGGACUUUUAUCGUUUAAGUCAUCUAAACCAAAGAAAAAAUGAAAAUGAAAAAAACCCAGUGUUUGUGGAUUGGGGGGCAAAAUCAUGAUCUCUGGCUGGCCUAAUGAAAGCUUUUGGUUGACCAAAUAAGACAGGAAGAAACAGCAAGUACCGCACAAACCACGCCCACAUUUGAUGGAGUACAUGUACAAAUGUAAGGUAAUGAGGCAAUUAAGGGUCAAUCAAAUCUGAUCUUGUCAUCAUGAUUUACGACUAAGCAAUGCAUGAGGGCAAACAACUUGAGCAAAUAAUACAGGCUAGCCUAGCUAUCAGAGUACAAAGUACAAAACAUGAUGAUGCAUGAUCUAUAUAUACAGUCUUUUUUCAACCAUCCAAAUUAUUUAUUUUUCACAUCUUUAUUUUGGAAUUAUACUUGCAAAAAAUCAUACAAAUUAAAAAUCAUUAAGUCAUCUAAUUGAAACGAACAAAAUCAAUGAACACGAUAAUUCAAGAAAGUACUUAAAUUUUAAUAAUUUAAUUAAGUGAUCUAAUGAUAUCAUAUUUAAGUGAUUUUUUGUAGAAUUAAUUUUUGAAUGAAUAUCUACAAAAUAGACGGUUUGGAUUAGUGAAAUAUAAUGCGAAAUGGGCUCUACAAAUGUGCCUAUCUAUUAUAUAUAUAUAUAUAUAUAAUUUCCGUUGAAGGAUCCCUUAAUAGAAAGGAAUUAUAUAUUAUGUUCCCUAAAUAUAUUUAAAAAAUGGCUUCUACUUAAAGUUAAAAAACGGCUUCUACUUAAAGUUCAAAUUUGCUUAAUUAGUUUAUAUCAUUGCCUUAAAUCGUGGCUUGGGGUGGGGUUUGAGGUCAAUGUGCACAUCACAUAUCAUAUACACUCACAUGCAGACCUCCAUGAUUAGCAACUAAUAGAGCCAAAUUAAUCAUAUAACCCAAGUUUAUUGUUUUUUCUUUUCUUUUUUUUUCAUAACAUUCACAUGGCAUAUAUUACAACCCAAGUAAGUAUUAAUUAUAUUUAACUAUGAAUGUCUUUGAUUAAUUAUUAAUCACACAUGUCAUUCAUUGUGCAGAUUAGGAUUGCCCUAGAUUUUGUAAUUUGAUUAUAUAGAUACUUUCACUGUAAGCUUCUUUUCUUAGAACAUCUCUAAGGAAGAUGUCAAGUACCAAACAUCAAAUUUAAAUUUGAUGGCUGAUGUGCCAAUUUGACAUUUACACAGUUUUACACUCCACUGGAUAUGUCAAAUAAAAUAUUCAUUUGAUAUCUUACUUUUGGGAUGUCAAAAGUAACAGCUGAACCUUCAGCCUUCAUUCCACAUCAGUUUUGACAAUUCGGUUGGAGUGAUGUGAGAUAUUAUUUCUAGCCUUUAAAUAUCUAUGUGACACUUUUGACAUAUCAGUUGGAGAUGCUCUUAUGUGGCUUUAUUAUAGAUCAACAAUGGAAAUCCUUUAUAUAUUUUAUUUCUCGUUUCAUGUGUUAUUUGCAUUGCACUCUCUCAAAAGGUUGACUUGCCUCAUGAGCUGUAGAUCGGGAUGGGCAAUAAAGUUUUUUAUUUAUUAUUUAUUUAAAUGUUUUCAUCUGCUGGGUAUUUUAGAGCGCAAAUGAUCCUUAUUAGCUCCCCAUCUCCAGCCCUCAUCUCUAGAUCCUUUCCAUUUCUCUAGCACUACCUAUUUCCAAUAUGUUCGAGAAGAAUGUAACAGUAUUUCUCUUUAUGAUAUUACAACAUAUACUACUCUCGAAUCUCUUCUCCAAAUAUAUAUUAAAAAAUAAAUAAAAGAACCUUGUCUCCGCCUUUGCCCACAGGAUUGCAAGAAUGCAAGCUACUCCCCAUCCUAAUUUAUUAUGUGCAUUGUCAAUGAAUGCCCUAAUUACACUAGCCACCACACAUUUUUAAGAUAAAAAUUACUCGUGAAACCGGCUUAUAAUUCAAGUGGUUAAGAGCAUUUAUUCAUGCACAUGAGGUUUUAGAUUCGAUUUUCUCCUUCUUCACUAUCGCUUAUGAAAAGAUGAAAAUAACCUGUACUGUAUAUCAAUGAUCCAACCCAUAAUUAAACCAAAUAUAUUUAUAAGGAAAAGAUGCAAGAUACUUCUACACAUAUAAUGUCUAAAUUCCAUACCAACCACACACACUAAAAUUAUUUGUCUUUAAUGAAAUUAGUAAAACGCACCACACAUACAUAAUAAAGCAACCUUAUUACAAAACACAUCCCCCGAUGGAUAUAUAUAAUCAUAAUUAUAUAUCAAACUCCAGCAUAUAAUUCAAGUGCAUCCUCACGAGUAUUGGACGUGAAGUAUGUGAAGUAUUCAGCAAAGUUGAAUGGCUUGUAUAGCAAAGGGUGCUCUUUGUCUAUAAAUUCCUGAGGUACUUCAAUUACCACCUCCUCUUUAGGCAAAGAAAAUAGGGCAUACGAGUACCUCUCUUUGUCCCCACUCAUCAUAACCCUAUGUGUCACUGCAUGAAGCCUCCCAUUGCUCCAGGCUUUAAGUGCAUCCCCAACAAACACCAUAACAGCUUCUUUCGGGACCAUCACCUCCGCCCAUUUGCCUUGUUUGGUCAGAAUCUCUAGGCCUUGCACAUCGUUUUGGCACAGAAUGGUUAGGGUGUUUUUGUCAGUGUGAGGCACAAGACCAAGGGCAUUGUUAAUGUUGCUUGGAGGAGGAGCUUUGUACUUCAUGAAACGAAACGCACUGGUGGUGUUUUGGGCAUGGGAUUCAUAGUGGUCUCCCAAGCCAAAGCUCUCCAGAAUCAUCCUAAGGAUGAUGAGAUUCAAUUCCAUCAUCUUUGAAGUCAUGGAUUUCAUAGCCUCACUACCAUAACAAAACAAAACAUAUAUAGUCAUGUACCAGAAAAAUGUAACAGUACCCGUUAACCAUUAUCACUAGCAUAUAUAACAAUUCAAUAAUCUUGGAUUUUCAAUUCCACCUAAGUCACGAGGUUUUCAAGAGGAAAAAACUAGGAUAGGGACUUUCCUGCCACGUUGCAGCUUGAUUUGUUUCCUUCAAACAUAUCAUAUAUUAUAAAUUUUUAAUUAUAAUUCAAAUUUUAUAACACAUAUUAUGUUUUAACUAAACGGUACCUGUCACGUGAGAGAAACUCUCCAUUCAAAAUUUUCUCCUCAUGAAGCUCAUGAAUAUAUGCACCUACCCGUUCUCAUUAUAUAUGUACUCUUGUGAUGGGAUAUAUGGAGUUGAAGUUAUUGUUGACUUUUGUACAUAAUCCAAGAAAGUGCAACUGAGUUUUAAAUGAGGCAGUUAUAUCUGCAUAAGAAACUGAUUAUCUUGCCCUGUGCUGGAGUUCUACAAGGACAUGUGCAGGCAUGAUAUAGCCAGAACUAUAUAUAACAAUCAUAUAAAGCUGGCACUCCUUUAAUUCAAUCUGUUUCAAGGGAUAAGCCUUAUUAAAUGAGGCAUUGGCAGGUAGCGAGGGUGUUGGGUAGCAGCCAUUGUCAUGUCAAAAACAUGGAGUUUUUAUGUCAUCAAAAAGCUGUUGCUUGGUUUGAAAGUGUCCAAUUUAAGGAAAGAUUCUCAAUCAUCUAGUGACCUUAACAACAAUUCUUUCCUAAUCUGAUCUAAACAGAUAGUGAUUAAUAGUGAUUAAUCUUCUGUUUAGCUGCAAUUAUAUGUAUUUAUAAUUAACUCCCCGCCCUCUUCAAAUCCAACUUUCGAAAUCAAUAACUUAUUGAAAGGUAAUAUAUGACACGAGAAAAAUGUUUGAAUUUUAUUCUUAGCUACUAUUGGUUUGUCUAUCUUAGACUCCUACAGUGGGAUAUCUCAGACUGAGAACAACAGUUCUUGCUUUUUUAUUAAAAAUAAAAAUAAAAACCAAAAUUAAAUUUGGCCUUGUGGGGGUUUUUUUUUUUUUUUUUUUAAUUUUAUUUUUUUACAACAAGCGAUAGAAUUUUAUUCGAACAACUGGAUACAUAUAUUUGGGUGACGAAGCAUGUAAAUAUAUAUGUGAUCAAAGCUAAACCAACAUGUUUAUUUUCCAAAGCUUAAUUAGAACGCAAGAAAAUCUCACCAGAAAGAAGGCUUGCCUUGUGGCCACAUUAGGUUGGUGAAGGCUUCAGCUACAUCGAGCUCGCAGGCAUUGUCGAUGCCAAAGCUUUCGUUCAAGGGAAUGACAGGGCUCUUCCCUUCAUAGCUUUGGUAAGGCUUGGGGCUUGUGUGCUUCUGCUUGGUCUCUUCAGGCAGAUCAAACAAAGCUUUCAUGGCCGCCACCAUUUCUUCACGUAAAUUCAUGGGGAUCUCAUCCUUCACUAACACAAGAAAGCAACCAUAAUUCUCACAUGCCUCUCUAACUUUGUUGUUCAUAGCUUUCCAUUCCUCAGUCCCUUGUUUUAAAACUAAACCCUCUGAAAAAUCAAGAAUUGGAAGUACUUGAUCAGCAUGAGCUUCCUCUCCCAUCUCUAUCUUUCUCUCUCUUUGUCUGUCUCCUACUCUCCAACUCGUUUCUUAGAAAUUUAAGGGGAAGAACCCUCACUCAAUAUAUAGGAAGCUAUGGCUAAUGGCUCCACAGGGUAAGCCCCCAACAAAAAAAAUAUAUUAAUUUUGUCCUACCCUUUUAGCUGGUUAUUUGGGCACCCACUUAUUUUUCUACCCGUUUUAUUUCUUUGCUCGGAUGUAGAUCUUAUGUCACAUGUCAUCACUCCUAUGAGUAAUACAUACAUCACUUGUCACAUAAUGUGUCAUUAGCUAAUGCCUCUCAUUUGGAUAUAUAUCAUUCUUUGCUAUAAAAUUUUGCCAAACUAUAACUUAUUAAUAUAAGAGGAAGGCUACUUGUAAGCAAAAUUUGUUUAAUCAAAAUGUUUUGCUAAUUAGCAAAUAAAACAGCUAUUUAUAUAGACUUUUUAGUUGUCAUAGUCCCUGAAUUUAGACCCGAUUUACAUUUUGGUCCUCGAAUACAUAAAAUGGUUGAUGUAGUCCUUCAACUUCACUUUCGUUUCCUACCGUCAUAUUUGUUAAAUUUUCUGUUAAAUUUAGAGGUAAAAUUGUUACUUCAAAUCCAACCCCCAUCACUCACACCAGCACCACUCCCACCACCACUUUGUACCAAAAUCCACCAUUUCCACCACCACGAAAACAAAGAACAAGAACAAGACCCCGUUGCCUUCUUUGAAUUUUUUUUAUUUACACCCAUCCAAUAUCUAAGUUCACACCCUAAUGUUUAUUCAAAACCUUAAAAUCCAACUAUAACGUAUGACCAACACUGCUAACGGAAGUGGAGUUCAGGGACUAAAUCAACUAUUUUGCAAAUUCGAUAACUAAAAUGUAAUUUAUGUCUAAAUUUAGAGACCAUGGCAACUAAAAUAAUUUACAAAUUCACAGAGUUUUUAUAUAUUAUUAGCGAAUUAUGAUAUAUAGUGAUCUCUACGAAACCAAGAAGGAUAAAUUAUCUAGUUGAAAGCAAAAAUGCAUAUAGUUUGUAGCAAACUUAACAAGUAACAAAAGUAGAUAUGGAGAAAAAAAAAAUACCUUCAAAAAGUUUUAACAAACAAAUACCAAAGGUCGAUGGUUCAAGUUUCUUCUAGUCAGAUGAUCUUAAAUACAAACAGCCCACAGCUCUGUGAGUUGAAGAGAAGACUUUCGUACCCACAUGGGUGCAUGGUGUGCAGCUCCUCUAAUAAAGAUAUGGGGUGAGGGAGGGGUACCCAAAUAAUUUGUCCAAAUUCAAUAUAAACCCUAUCAUUUAAGGAUCCCUCUCAAUUAUUAUUCAUAAAAAUAAAAUAAAAACCUCAUUUACAAAUCAAUCAAUGCUUUGUGUUUCUGCAUUAAUUAAGUUGUCAUUUAUGGUGUGGUUCCUUUUUUUUCCUUUUUCUUCUUUCUGUCAUUUAUAUUCCGUUGGCAAUAUUGAAAAUGAUUAGGGAGCAUAAUGUAAUGAACUGGUUGGAAAAUGAUAUGUGAGUAGAUUGAAGAAGAUGUGCAACAGUUGUAUCCCACAAAUUACAAAAACUAAAUUCAGCUGAUGAGACAUGCACCAAGAACAAACGCCUUUGUGCUUGACUCGACAUUCGACAAGUCGGCAAGCUACACAUGGCACAUUAUAUGUUACAUAAAUUGCUCUAUUUGUGAAUUUUGUGAGGCUAUUCACACAUAUAUAUAUAUAUAUACAUAUAUAACUAUUAAUUGACUUGUGAGUCGGUCCAACAACCAUGUGCUUUUGAACACACUACCCUAUUUAUCUUCAUUUUGUUAUAAUUUUCCUCUAUUAAUUACAGGAGGACGUAUCUCGACAUUGAAUCUCUACUUAAGUUUUGAUGUCUGAUUUCUACCAUCAUCCUUUUUUGUGAUUUCUUCAAGUUUGGAAUAAGUCGCAGAGACUCUUUGGAUUUUUUUUGUGUAGUUUUCACAUAUUCUUUUUGUGAGAGUUUUUCACCUCUCUUUUGCGAGAGUUUUAUUUGUAUUGUUGUGAUUUGGAUUUCUCAAGCUUUCCCUCUUUUUGGUUGUUCUGAGUUUGCAAUCUUAGUUGGAAUGUCUAUGCCGAAAUUUCUUUGAUCCUGCGUGAUCAUUAGUGGAGAAGCCUUAUAUUGUCUUCAAUUUGAUGUUAGAUCACUCCGUUAUUAUAAUUGCGUUUUGUGACUAAUGACUUUUUUGGCUAAAUUAUAAAUGCAAUCCCAUAAUUUCUCAACAAAAAAAAAAAAAAUCACUUCAAAUUGUGGUCUCAAACGAAAUUAAUUAGCUUCUAGAUGGAUUAAGGUAUCUUAUCCUUCAAAAUCUUUCUUUUAUCUUUUUGGCUAAUAAAACCCUUAAGUUGGUGAAUUAAAAUGGAUCCCUAGUUGUUAAGGGGUCAUCUAAUGUCAUAAUCACAUGCCUUUGAUUCGAUGGGUGACAUGGUAGGUAUAUGCUUGAUGUUUAUACUUGGCAAUAUUUUACCCACUAUUCAUACCACAUUUACGAAUUACAUUAUUAUUUUUUUUUUUUUUGUUAAAAGAAGAUUUUUGUGAAGCCCACACCAAUGGAAAUGAGUUUCACAUUACUGUAGUCCAUGGACAAUUAUGGACCAAGCCAUUGUCAUAGUUGUUGCUGAAACAGAGUCAGAGGGAAAGAUUAAUAGUCACUUUUUGGUUGCCAAACCAUUAAACAUGUGCAAUACGAAAACAUUCUGUGCAUUUUAUUAUGUCUUCUGGGUAAUCGUACAGUAUGGCUUUAUAUAUAAGUGGUCCAAGAAACACAGCGCAAUUCUUUCUUGCUUUAAUAGACCUUUCACAAUUAGGUCCUAAUAAAAAUGGUGGAAGAUUUAAGUAGGGUAUGGACCAUGGACCAUCUUCAUUGGUGUCCCAGACUCAUAGACUUGGUAGGGUUGCACCACAUUUAGAACCCUUUGCCCUUCAUAGCAAGGUACACUCAAAUGGGUCAAAAACUUUACCACAUUAUGAAGGAAUCUUUUUUGAAUACAAGGGAUAGUCUAAACUACAAGGAGAUGAAGGUUUCAUACACAACCAAAGUGUUAUGAGGGUUCAAAUCUAAGACUACCGGUCUGCAAGUCAAGAUCAUUUUCCAAUGGGCUAGACCCGUUGGCCAUUAUGAAAGAAUCUUUGACAUGAAUGUAAGAGAAAAAGAGGGUAAAAGAAAGUAGACAAAAAUAUUAAGUGUUUUCUCUGUGGAGCAAAAGAUUCUUUUCUUCUUCUUCUUUCGUUUUCUUAAUCCUUUCUCUUUGAAGCAACUCGAUGGCUUCUGUGGACCAAGCCACGCAGAAUCCCAUUUGAACUGUAUAUCUCACUUUGGUUGAAUCUCUUCAAAUUUGAACUAUCUUUUGAGACUACCUAGAGCUAGCUAUCCAUUUUUGUGUCACUUUGUUAGUUUCCUUUGCACACCUGCCUUAAACUUUUGAUUUCAAAAGUUGGUGGCUAAGAGAGUUGCUUAGAUACGCUUUGUACAUUAAUGGGUCUAUUUCAAAACCAACAAACAAGAACCACUUUGUUUUCUAAAUUUAUCAAAUUUCAAUUCUGCACGGUUGCUAAAAACAAAUUGCAGGUGCAAACUGCAAAGAGCCUGAGAGUGUCCUCAAGUGCUAAUUCCAGCAAACGCAAAAACUGGCAACUGGCUUUGCUGAGUCAAUGGCCACUCCUUCCUCUGAAGAAAAGAACCUAAAAAAUUCCAUAAAGUCAAACUCUUUAAGAAUUUGGGGAUGUUCUUCAUCCAUUAGCUCCUUUGGUGGCUUGAUGAUGGUACCCUCUGUUGGAACUGGAAAUAUUCCUAACGAAAUUCGUUCUUUCUCUCCGCGCAUCAUCACUCGAUGCUUCACAGGAUGCAUUCUUCCAUUCCUCCAUGCCUGCAAGUCAAUGUUCCAAUGACCACAAGUUACCAUUAGUGAUUUUUAACCUUUGUUUAAUUUUUACAUCAUCAAAGUUCAAGGCAAGGGAAAACUUCAGCCCUCCCAGAAGGUGUUACCAAGUUGCAUGCUGCACAAUUUAAUUAGUUCACAUGGUCUAAUUGUAUUUCAGUUAUAAAGUAGUUUACUAAUAAGUUGUACCAUCCCAGAAGGUGUUACCAAGUUGCAUAUUUGCUGCACAAUUUAAUUAGUUCACAUGGUCUAAUUGUAUUUCAGUUAUAAAGUAGUUUACUAAUAAGUUGUAUCACAAGAGGAUCUCCAACAAUAAAGAGAAAGGAGCUAGGAGAUAGAGACAAUUUGACCCAUUGUCCGUCCUUGGUUUCAAAUUCAAUCCCUGAAACUUGAUCCUCACAAAGGAUGGCGCUCAAUAGUUUGUCAGUGUGAGCAGUGAGCCCUACCUCCUCCCCUGAUGGAGGUGCGCCGCACUUCAUUACCCGUAGCAGCGUAUUGCACGGUAUGAUCAAAUCUGAUUUCUCUCCCAAACCAUAACUAUCAAGAAUCAUCAUUUCAAUCAUGUCCUUCAGCUCAUCUAGCUGCCUCAUCAUAGUAACUAUAGUGUUGCUGUUGGAAACAGAACAACAUCAACAAGUGCUUCAGCAAUAAAUAUGAGGAUAAAAUGUAAUGGGGUAUGCAUAUAUAAAACCAUGUUAUAUAUAGGUUGAAUUAAACAGGCUCAAAAUAAGCUAUAAAUAAAUAAAAAUUAUUACCAAAAGUGGUCAUGGCCAUUAGGCCAGAGUAGUUCUGUGAAUUAUCUAACAGCUUCAAAGUUGGAGGCAUCUUCAAGGCCAAGGCUCUCAUACAAGCGAACAUGUGGAUACUCUCCACAGUAACCAUGGAAAGGCUUUGGAUUAACAUUCUUCUUCUUUGUUUCCAGUGGAAGGCUGAAAAGUUGCCUUACCAGUGAGAAGGCCUCAGCUCUUAACUGCAGAGGUAUCUUAUCAUACACUAUUUCAAAACAUCCAUAAUUUUCACAAGCCUCUCUAACCCUCUUGCACAAACUGUUCCACUUAUCAGUUCCUCUGUCCACUGCCAGAGAAGUCAUUGACAACUCUAUGGCAGGAACCCCGUGCCGAAAAUCUGAACCCAUUUUCUCCUACUUGUCCUGAAGCCAAGUACUGUUUCUUAAUUCUAGUUGUGCUUUGGUGAAUUGCUUCUUUGUUGGAGGAUUUUAUUUAUAUUGCACAUGGUUCUUCUAGUGAAAAUGAUAUACAGACAAAUACCAACUUUCUAAUUGAUCUAAAAUAAAUCCCAACUAGAAUCAAAGACCAAUCAGAGGCCAUCAAUUAGACAUAAUAGCUGUCCAGAAAAUUCAAGAACACUAGAAGGCUACAUAAUACAACGUUAACUAAACAACCAACUGUAACCAUCACCUUACAUAAGCAUCUGAGAAAUUGCAGUCAAUAGAUAGUUCGUUUAUUUGCUACCAAACAUAUUAGAAUAAUGUCCGGCCAUGUCGUGUUUCAAGAUAAACUAAUAUUUUUCAAGUAUAUACUUUUUAUUACCCCUUUGUUGUCUUCACCAUUCACUUAACAAAAAUGGGCAUGGCUCCAUUAACCAUUGUAUACUUCUUGUAUUGACAAAUUGUGCAGCCAUUGAUAUUCAGGCUCUAUCAAAAGCAUGCAUUAUAAAGAACAUGAAUCAACGAAAGGAACUGAAGGCCGUCCUGCCUUCGAUGAUCGAAACUCUUGCUCCUCCACUAUCUGGUUCAAUCAAUGACAGAGAAAUUUUAACUAGAGGCUCCAAAUUAACCAUAUUUUAUAAUUCUCAAGUUUAACAUUACAUUCCUUUUCUUGUCCUCCAUUGAAACUGCAUAUUAUCAUCUGAAGAAGAAUCGCCAGCUCAGAAUUAUGCGCCUUAAACAACUUUGAAACCGAAUGAGAAUUGAAGCGCAAAAUUUCUAUAGAGCUGUUUGAAGAGUUACAACAGGUCCAUGAAGCAUGAACAUAGAAUACAACAAAAAUAGUAUUAUAAGGUCAAUCAAAGUUCAUCUAAACAGAGAAACAACCAUUCCUUCACUUCCAGAGCUUGACAAUCUUAUCAUAACUAGCUGAAGCAACCACACCUGUAACAGGUGACACAGCCAAAGAAGCAACACAUCCUUCAUGUGCUGGUAGAAGCAUUGUCUUCAUCUCGGGAAUGUUCCAUAGCUACAAAACCUACAGUUAUUGUCCCCAGUUAAAAAUCAGGCAUGAAACCGGUGCAGCAAGAACAUAACUGUCAGUCUAGGAUCCCUUUCUGGCAGUGAAACAGGUGAAAUGGGAACCAAGCCACAAGGUUUAGUACCCCUCCCAGCCAUAUGGGACUAUAACGAAAUUCCAAACAGAGAAGAAAAUAAAGCAAAAAAAAAAAAAAAAAAAUAGGAAAAGCACAUACAGUGGAGAGGGAGAACUACUCUUUACGCAUUUAUCUUCUCUCCCAGUUGGAAGAUGAGAGGGAGGGUGACACAGAGAGAAAGACCGACACUGAUUUAAAUAUUCGAAUAUAUUUAAAGAGUACAGUCAUUGACUGUAGUUUUUUAAUAUAUACUUUUUAAAUAUUCCUAUAUUUAAACAAUAUAGCCGUGCUGCUUUACUAUUUAAAAUUCCAAAGUGUGUAUCAAGCAGACUCCAAAAAGGCAAAAGCACCAAGCAACCCCACAUUUAUGUUCGCGUAAGAAUCAAUUAUUUAACAUGUAUUUCUUUUAAAAAUAUCCGUUUAUUAUAUCCUUUUCUUGGAAAUUUAGAUAAUCAUUCACACACCUUUUUAUCAAGGCCACCACCACUGGCCCUGUUUAUUUUCUGAUGUCUUUUGUUAGAGGGUUUAUUAAUAUUGACCAGCUGCUGAAGCUGAAGUGAAAAUGAUUUUAAAAUAGUAUUGCCGCGCGGUUUAACUCAGCUCUUUUUUUAAAUAAAUAGUAUGGCCAUGCAGCUAUACGUUCUUUAAAAAUAAAAUAAAAUUCUAAAAACCAAGUAUAGCAGGCGGAAAACAUGGGGGGGGGGGGGGUGUGGGGGAGGAACUAGUAUAGCCGCGCGGUGAUACUAUUUCUUUACAAAAACUAAAAACGAGUAUAGCCGACUGGCUAUACUAUAAUUUUUUUUUAUUACGAACCUAGUAUAGCCGUUCAGCUAUCCUAUUUAUUUUCAUAUAAAAAGUUGGAAAAACCACAUAUAGCCGGUCGGCUAUACUAUUUAUUAAAAAGAGAUUUUUUUUUAAAAGCGCCAAGUAAAGCCGAGCCUUUAUAUUAUACAAAAAAUUAGAAAAAAACUGCGGCUAUACUAUUUUCUUUGAAAAAAAUUGGAAAAACCCCAGUAUAGCCGGGCGGCUAUACUAUUUUUUUGAAAAGGGGAAAAACAAGUAUAGCCGAUCGGCUAUACUACAACUUUUUUGGAAAAUUACCAAAAAACCGAGUAUAGCCGAGCAGCUAUACUACUACUUUUCAAAAAUUACAAAAAAACUGAGUAUAGCCGGUCGGCUAUACUAUUUCUGUUUUAAAAAAGUAAAAAAGUGUAUAUUCUUAAAAUAAAUUUACCGGCUGUACGACUUCUUUUUGAAAAAUUACAAAAACGGAGUAUAGCCGUCCAGCUAUACUACUUUUUAAAAAUUACAAAAAACCGAGUAUGGCCGAGCGGCUAUACUAUUUAUUUUUUAAAACAAAAUUGAAAAAAUACCAUUAUGCCCGCGCGGCUAUACUAUUUCUUUGAAAAAAAUUGGGAAAAAACCGUGUAUAGCCGGUCGGCUAUACCAUUUGUUCUUAAAAAAUUAAAAAGCGAAUAUAGCCGGGCGGCUAUACUAUUUCUUUUAAAACAAUUGGUAAACACCCAGUACGACUAUACUAGUUCUUUCAGUAAAAUUGGAAAAAACCUAGUAUAGCCGCUCGGCUAUCCUGUUUUUAAAAAAAAAAAUUUUAAAAACCGAGUAUAGCCGUUCGGCUAUACAAUUUCUUUUUAAAAAAAAAUUGGGAAAAUCCAGGUAUAGCCGCAUGGCGAUACUAUUUCUUUUUCAAAAUUGGAAAAAACCGAGUAUACCCACUUUCCAAUCAGACGCCAUCUAAAGUUUUAAAUUUGGAUCACUUGAUAGGGAGAGAUGGAAUCUCUAAUUAGAAUAUCAACUUAUUAAAUUAGCCAGUAUAAUACGAUGUUAAGUUGUUAACUAGAAAACCAUAUACUUAUCUAUCACCUUACACAAGCGUGUUUUCUUUUUCUAAAGAACCAUUUCGUCCGGCCAAGUAGGAUUUUUACAUAAGCUGACAUCCAAACUUGUUCUAGUUGAGAUUAGACAUAUGCUGGGCAUGCCCAUAUUUAUCAAGUCAAAUCAUGCCCAUCAAACCUCUUGUUUAAUAUCACAUUCCUUUGGUUUCCGAUUUCAUCUCAUAACGAAUCUGCAGCUCGAAACUGAAUAGUUUGUUUCUCAAAUAUGAAUUUAGGGAGAAGCAAAUCAUAUGCAUGCCUUAACAUUCUGAAACCCAAUGAGAAUGGAAAUAGAAAAUUUCUAUACAACUGUUUGGAGUGUCUCAAAAGAUCCAUGAAGUUGUUCUCAAAGUGCAAAUUCCAGCAAACACAAAAACUUGCCUUGCUGAGUCUAUGGCCCUUCCUUCCUCUGAAUAGGACAACUUGGUAAAAUCCAUGUGGUCAAAUUCUUUGAGAAUUUGAGGAUAUUCUUCAUCAACUAACUCCUUUGGUGUCUUGAUGAUGGUACCCUCAACUGGAACUGCAAAUGCUCCUAGAGAGUAUCGAUCUUUUUCUCCAGACAUCAUCACACGAUGCUUCACGGGAUGCAUUCUGCCAUUACUCCAUGCCUGCAAGUCGAUGUCAAGGACAAGUAGUCAUCAUGAGUGAUCACAUAUAUGUGUAUCUUCAAGCUUCAGCACAUUUAGAAGGUGUUACCAAGUUGCAUGUUUGCUGCACAAGAUCAUAUUGAGCACAUGUUCUGAUUGUAUCGGAUAUGUUAAAAUCUAAGUAAUUUCAGUUAUAAAUAAAUUAGUUUCAAAUUGUACCAUAAGAGGAUCUCCAACAAAGAAGAUGAAGGAGCUAGGAGAUAGAGAUAACUUGUUCCAUUGUCCAUCCUUGGUUUCAAAUUCAAGCCCAGAAACUUGAUCAUCACAAAGUAUUGUGCUGAAUUGUUUGUCCGUGUGAGCUUGGAGCCCUUUCAUGUGUGUUGGAAUAAAAAAAUCACAAAAAUCACAAAAUAUUGGAACGUGGGGGGAAGUUUGGAAAAAGGUGGGGGUCUAAACCAAUGAAAACGUUCAAGAGAGUUUAGUGGCUCCUAUUUUUGGGGGAGCUGGUUAUCCAGUUUUUAGUAUAAAUAUUUUGCAUUAAAGGGGGAAGAAAAAAAAGGAGGAGAGGACGACAGAAGAAGAAAACGGUUGCAGGAGGAAAAUUGCAGGAGCACAAAUACAAGAGGAGACAUUUUCACAGGUAUUUUGGAUCCUGUCAAUUAAUUCUUGUUGGGUGGCAACCCUCAAAUCAUUUUCUUGGAUGAUGAAUCCAUAUUGGGUGGCAACCCUCAAAUAAAACUCUUGGAUGAUAAAUCCAUAAUGGGUGGCAACCCUUAAAUCAUGAACAACAAAUCCAUGAGAGGAUUCCUGUUUAACAAAGCUCUGCCGAGCAAAAGGAAAUCCUUUGAAAUGGAUACAAAAUAUUGGAUACAAAAUCCAUCAUGGGUGUGUAACCCUCAAUCAAAUACCCUGAAUAGUAUAUCCAUUUUUGGACAUAAAACUCAUUCAGUGAGUUCUCAAGAGCACAAAUCCAAUUUCGGUACAAAACCCACCAACAUAAUCGUGGAGGGAUUUAAUCUCACAGCAAAUAAAAAUCAGCUGUGUGCACAAAAAAGAGAGGAACAAAGCUUGAAAAGAAAGGCCACGUUUGUGCAGCCUAUCCUUUGAAUUCUUCAUCUGGGGAUUGUAUGUGAACAAUCAAAACCAAGGGAGGAAGAAGGAAGGAUGGAGGUCUUUAAAAGAAAAAGAUAAAAAAGGAUAGCCACGUUCCUGUUGGCAACUUCUGGAGGCGCAGCAAACCAAAAGCAAAAGAAAAAAAAAAAAAACAAGAACAGAAGCAGCAGCCAAGAAGAAACAGAAGAAGAAAAGUCAACAAAAAAAAUAAAAUAAAAUAAAAGGGAAGUGGCUCACGCCACUUUGCUGAAAUGGGAAGAAAAGAAAAAAAAACAAGGACAAGAACCAUGCUGUUGCAGAGAAGAAAAAUAAGGAAAAAGACAAAAAAAAGUCUGAAACCUCUUUGAUGUUGCGGCAGUUUCUUUUUUUUCUUUCUUCUGGCUUUCUCUUUUUUGUUUGCAAAGGCUGUAUAUUAUUUUCUUUAAAGACUGAACAGUAACAGUGUUUACCUUUAAUUCGGGCUGAUCACAAGCAUUCCAGAUAAAGAUGGGACUGCAAGAUCAGAUUUUACUUAGAAACAAACUCUAUAAAGAGUUGGAUAGCUAUCAGGUUGUUUUAAUCGCCUACUGGAUCAAAGUUUUCUGGGCUCUUUGCUCAUGGGCUAUCAGGGAAUAAUUAUUCAUUGACUCUCAGAAGCCCAUACAAUUAAUGGGUAACCCAAAUAAUUACCUAUUAAAUUCCCUAAGGCCCAAAUUUCCUAUCAUAUGGUUAAUGGAUUAGUUAUAAAAAAAAAUCCUUGUAGCUAUAUUUGGGUCCAAGUGCAAAUGUCAACUUUAGAAAAUUAGUGGGUUAAGCAAAAUUGCUCAUUAAUUUUCUGGGACAUUGACAAAAAGAAAAAGUGGUACAAAACCAUCCAAAUUUUUCCCAUGGGUCAUCUACCCAUGAAAAUUCCAAUGAGAUUAAAUUCAAAUAUCUCAAACACAAAUUCUCAAUUAAUGGGCCACACUUACCCAUUAAUUUCAAAAUUUUCCCAUUAGGUCACCUACCUAUGAAAAUCCCCAAAUUAUCUCAAAGAUACAAAUUCUAAAUUAUUGGGUCAUACAUACCCAUUAAUUUCCAAUUUUUCCCAUAGGUCAUCUACCUAUGAAAAUCUUCAAAUCGUCUCAAAGACACCAACUCUAAAUUAUUGGGCCACACUUACCCAUUAAUUUCUAAACUUUCGAACUACGUUGGUUUGAUCCCUUUACAAGGGUACGUAGGCAAUCUAGAGAUUCAAUCUAGAUGCAACCAUCCCAAACAUAUUUCCAUAUCGAAUCCCUGGUUUAUUCAGCUAAAUUCACUCAAACACUCCUCAAUCAAACUCAUUCAAAUUCUUCGUUUUGCGAUGAGUCAUUUAUUCAUCGUGAAUCUUUGAACUACGAGUGGCUUGAUUCCCGCAAGGGAUACGUAGGCAUCCUGAGGUUGGACUUAGGAGCAGCUGCAAAAUCAAACACACACGUUCUGUUUCUUUAUGAUGGAAUCAAAGGGUUUUCCCUUGAAGCAAGGGAUUGUAAUUAAGAGGCUUGCGUCUCGAAUGGGUCGAACCUAAAAUAAUAAAACCCCAUUAUUUAAUUAGUGGUGGUGAAAUUAUAUUAGGAAGAUCACAAUUUUCCUUCAACAAUGUGGAGGUGGGCUGUACUUCAUCACCUGUAGCAGCCUCUUACAUGGCACGAUUGAAUUUGGUUUCUCUCCCAAACCAUAACUAUCAAGAAUCAUCAUGUCAAUCAUAUUCUUCAGCUCAUCCAGUCUCGUCAUCAUGGUAACUACAGUGUUACUGUGGAAACAUAUUACCAAAACUGGUCAUGACCACUAGGACACGUCUUUGCUGGAGAUGUUCUUAAACCUACUUUGCGUUUCUGAUGAGUUGCUUCUUCUUUAGAGGGUUUUAUUUACAUUGCAGAGCAGAGUUUCUGUAGCGACAAUGAUAUAUAACCAAAUAACCAAUUUACAAGUGCUCUAAAAUAUCCCAACUGGAAUCAAUGGCCAGAGGCUAUCUUAAUAUUUAACUUUAAACAUGAAAGGGAGAGGGCCGGAAAAUCCAAGAACACUAUAAGCUUACAUAAUACGAUGUUAACUAGAAAAACAUAUAUAUCUGUAUCACCUUACGCAAACAUGUAAAAAAUUUAGAACAGAUAAACAUAGGAAAAUAAAUUUUGUUUGGCCAAGUAGAUUUUUUACGUAAGAUAUCAGCCAAACUUGAUUUACUUGUCGUUAGACUGGCAUGGUUCCCUUGGCCAUUGGAUAUUCUUUUAUCCAGAGACCUUUGACAUUCAGGCUUUAAGCAAUGCAUCACAGAGAAAUAAUUUGCGUUGGAGUCUCUCAAGAUGCCACGGGAUGUUACCGGCACACAACAAUCUCUCCCUUCCCGGGCUGUCAAAACCUCAUGCUCCGCCAGGGAUCCCUCUGUGGCAGUACCUAACUGAAGUAACGGACAUAUGAAGCACAGGAUCUGAAACAAAUUUCUUUAGUGGUGGGUAUUUCAUUUGCUUAGUUUUAGGCGGCAACGAAACGCAAUCAGCCUCAAUUUUAUUAAUGACCUCUCUUAAGUGUAAAAUUUCAUACGUAUAGAAAAACUUUGACACAGUUGCACAGAAGGCACAGGAACCCAUUUAAACUGACGAAAUCGACAUUGAUGAGAGAACAAUUAUCAUCUCAAAGAGAUUCGGGAGCUUGGAAUUAUAUAGUUUGCAUUGAACCAAAAUGAAACAAAAUGAGAAAGGAAUCAUAAAAAUUCUAUUUUACUGUUUGAAGAGCGUUACAAGAGUUCCAUGAAGCAUGACAGAUCUCCAGGUUUACUAUUAUAGUAACAGGUAGACAAAUACAACAAUAAUCUUACAAGGUCAGUUUCUGGGGGUCAUAUGGAGCCGAAGUUCGAGAUCCAAAAAAGCAAAAGACGACGAUCAAUCGAGCAACCAAAAGACAAACUACAAAGCAUUGGACCAAGACUGGUAGAAACCUAUUCCUAUUUUGUGAAGUACAGUUAAGCAGAGUAACAAUCAUUUCACUUCCAGAGCUUGACAAACUUAUCAUGACUAGCCGAAGCAACCAAACCCGUAACAGUUGACAUAGCCAAAGCAGCAAUAAGUCCAUCAUGUGCUGAUAGAGUCAUUGUCUUGUUCUCUGUCAUGUUCCACAACUCCAAUGACUGCAAUUAUUUUCCCAUAUAAUAAUCAAAUGUGAUAUUUUGCAGCAACAUAACCAUCAGUAAAGAAUCGUUUCUAUGGCAGUGAAACAGGUAAAAUAGGAACAAACAUCCUAACAGCUUAAGAGAAUGGUGGUCUCUGACCAAAAAUGUAACAAACAUUACUUCAGCGCAAUAAUGCAGAAUUGACUUGCCUGAUAACAGCCAAUGACCAGCAGGGAAGUAUACGUCGGAUGGAAAACACAUGAAUGAAAUUUACUUCCAUUGCAGCUCAACUCAUGAACACAUUCCCCUUCACCUCCUGAUCUGAGUGUCCAAACUCUUACAGAGUCCUCACUGACAGAUGCAAGGAACUCGCCAGAUGGAUCCCAGCACACAGAAUGGACAGGCUUACUAUGCCCCUGCAUUCAAAACCAAAUUCCAAGUAACACAAUUGAGAAUCUACAUGAAAAUAUUAGGACAACAGAAGUAAAUAGUUCAAGAAUUUGUAUAGGAACAUCAAAUUGCAUCAUAAGUGCCAAAAGACAACAGAUAAAUACGUUAGUAGAAAUUCAACGAAAUAUUUAAUCCUACAAAAAUCACCGUUUCCCAGUGAAACAAGCACCUGAACCAUCCAGAUACUUGCAACGAGACCACAAUAAUGAUUAUCAGACUAAGCCCUUUAGGUUAGCUAAGUGGUGAGGGAGGGUAGGGAUAUGGGUUAGGGUUAAGAUUAGGAUAGGUCAAGGGUCUGAUCCCUUCCAAUGUAACCCAAAAAAGAAAUAAAGUUUAUAAGAGUCGAGCAGGAUCCUUUUUUUCUGUGAAAUAAUGCCACUGUUAUUCACCAAAAAGAAUAUCAUCGUUGAUAUAGAACUCAAGAAAGAAUCAGAAGUUAAAAUGUAGCAUUACAUAAUCAGUUUAACUCACAAUUAUCAAACGGACAAUUAUGAUGAAACAAAAUGUUAAACUGACCUGUAAUGAAUGCCGACAAGCCUGUGUCUCGACAUCCAGUAUAGAUACAACAUUAUCUGCCGCUGCAGCAAGAAAUCUUCCAUGGCGGGGUUGAAAUCUCAUCUGUGCUGUACCACCCUAAUACGUACAAACCAAACACAAUUUAUAAAAAUGCGAAUAAUCUGAGAACCACUAUUACCCCACCCCACUGAACUUCUACAUCCAAAUAGACAAGAUUCUACCUUGAACACACUUGAGCAGCUGCCAUUGUUAAUACUCCAGUAGCGUAUCUGACCAUCCGAGUCGCAGGAGCAGAUAAGGUCAUCUUUAUUUGGGUGGAAAUCUAAUGACAUAACAGAGGCAGAAUGUCCCAUAAAGGUACGGAGUGAAUAGCCAGGCUGCAGAUUAAAGACAUAACGAUGCUUUAAUACAGCACAUCCGUUGCAUGUCACAGUUAAAAGAUACAAAAAAGAUAAAUCAUCAUCACUUUUAAGAAUAGAGCCACCACUUCAGCACCCCAGCAAUGACCCAGCACAAAGACAAACUUAUCAUGGGAAAGAUUAUGGAAUAUAUGAUAGAGAUCAAUCUAGAAGUAUACUUGGUCUGAUUGCUUAAAGUAUUCGAUUUUUGAAACAAAAGGUUAUUUUUAAAGUAUAAGCUAAGCAGAUGAAUAGAACGAAAGAAUUUUCCACUAACAUUGUCAGCAUCCCAGACCCUGACAGUUUUGUCGAAUGAAGACGUUGCAAGACGUGGCAUGCUUGGACUAAAACGAACAUCAGUGAUCAAAGCUGAAUGUUCUUCAAGAGUUGAUUUUACCUUUAAUGUAUCUGUGUACCACAAUACAGCCUGCAUCAUACAUAUAUCAAGAAGACUUUCAAUAAGUAAAUGCAAGACCCCAAAAAACAACCUUAUUGCUUUUAAUAAGUAAAUUAAACAAGCAAUUUCACAUUUAUGUUCUGGAAGAAUCAAUAUGCAGCAGCGUUGAAUCCUCCCCACAGCACUUCUUAGCAAUUAGACAUUCAUUCACUCACCUUUUUAUCAUGGCCACCACUAGCAAGAAACUUUCCAUCCGACGAGAAGUGACAGCUAUUAACCUUGGUUGUGCUUGCUUUAACAGAGUGUACUUCCGUAAAUGUGAACCCUAAAGUCAAAUUCAAAUUCUGAGCCCUCAAAGUAAAUGAUAGUAGCUUCACCACAACCACAUUUAAAAACAUGUAUAUAUAUAUAUAUAUAUAUACACAUACAGAGUGCUUCCAUUGAGGGAUCCCUCAAAUAACUUAUUUGAGGGACACCCUUGUAGAGCCCAUUCCGUAUUGUAUUUUACUAAUCCAAAUCGUCUAUUUUGUAGAUAUUCAUUCAAAGAUCAUCUCUACAAAAAAUCACUUGAAUCCGAUAUCAUUUGACCACUCAAUUGAAUUAUUGAAAAUUUAGUACUUUCUUGAAGUGUGUUCAUUGAUUUUGUAGGACACAAUUGGAUGUUGAAACGGUUUUCGAUUUCUCUAAUUUUUUGCAAGGAUGAUCUAUGAAUGUAGACUUAAAAAAUAGAUGGUUUGGAUCGUUGAAAAAAAAUUCGUAGGGGACCUUAAAGGGUGUCCCUCAAAUAAUUUAGGGUCCCCUACGAAUAAAAUUAUUUGAGGGAUCCCUCAAUAGAAGGGGACUGUAUAUAUAUAUAAUGCUGGGAUUAUGCACUGACAUUGUUUCUAAGUUUGUGAAUGGCACAAUUACCAAAAACACAUGGUAGUUAAUACAAGUGAGAAAAAAAUUAAUGAAAAAAAAAAGAUGUUUGAUUGAGACUUGUGAUUCAAUACCUAUUACUUGCAGUGCCCCGGUAUUUUAUUAAUGUAUUUAUCCACUUAACAUUAGAGAAAUUGAAAAAGAAUUGCAAAAUAAUGAAGAAAAAUAUGGCAUAUACUACAUUCAGGAUGAUCUUAAACUAAAUAUUCAUUCAAUAAAAUGACAUCCAUCGCACCUUUGCUGACAUCCAUACAUCGACCAACAGCAUCUCUAGGGUCCACAUCAUCAUGGGAUAAAAAAGACUCGACAUUAUCAUCAAGAGAACCAUCCUCUACAAAUCGAUCCAUAUCAGCCUGCAAUUCAAGAUCUUUAUCAUCCCACUGCCAAAAUGGAAUUCCAAUGAGAAUACAUGCAAGGAGUUGCCAAUUCCUUCUAAUACACGAAGUUGAAGAAGUCGCUCACCAACUGAUUUGAUGGUGACGUAAGAGUCCCAGUACCAUCAGGGCCAAACAUCAUCAGAGGCUUGGAGGAGCUACCACUAUGGGGCAAGGCAGGCAUUGAGAUUACAUCUCCAGGAGUGUGCGUUGAGGGAGUUGAAGGGGCUGAACUCGGGGAAGGCCCAGCUGUGUUUGCUGUUCCCGUGCUAUUGGCAGGACCUGAAGAUGACACUGGCUGCUUUCUCUUUCUCCCAGCCUGGUUUUUUGAAACCUUAAUUGCAUUGCCAAAACUAUGUCAGGAACCUUCCCAAGAAUUCUAUAUAACAUAUAAAUUAAGUUGAACAGCAACCUUUCCCCCUCCCCAAAACAAUAAAAGGACAGACCUGAUCAUUUCCUCGAAAGGAGUUCGAGAUGCUACCAUCCAUAGUGAUACUACCAGCACCGCCUAUUUUAUCUUGCUGGUGGGGAUUGAGAUUUGAACUUUGCGACUGCUGAGCAGAAAGAUUAUGCUGCUGAAGCUGUUGCUGCUGCUGUUGUGGAUUACUGUUUUGUUGCUGGUGUAAAUGAGCCAUUUUUAACUACAAAUAAACAGGCACUCUCAUAAGCUAAAGGACAAUGAACUUUUUGAUAACAUGUGGAAGCACAGAGGGGGGAAACACCACCAUAUCGACUACAACUACAAGCAGAAGGAAAUCUACAGAGAUAAGAGCACCUUAAUCAGCAUAUCUGUAUCUCCACGAGGCAUAAUAGGCCCAGCAGCUUGAAGAGGUGAUCCCACAUCACCAACAGAAUUUGGAAGGCCAUCCUUCCCAAGACCCAUACUGCGAUUAUUCAUUAGCAUUCUUAGUCUUCUACUUUCAUCACUUGCAGAAGGUGAUGUCAAAUUUUGCUGAGCAAGCAUAAGUUGCUGCUGGUGUUGUGGUGUCAACAUCUGAAGCUGGUGAAAGGGCUGGGGAGCUUGUAUAAAAGGUUUUUGUUGCUGAAGAAGCCCACUGCGAAGCUGCUCCAAACCCUAACAAGGAGAAAAAUAAGUUGUAUAGCACUAAUGACGAGACUCUAAGCUUCACAGAUGCAUAUCAAACAAAGAAUAAAGAUUAUGAAUUUACACAAGAAUUUGAUCAUUUUGAGAUUCUCAACUUCAGAGAUAGACAACAACGAACAAUCGAGUUUCAAAAUUCAGAAAGAAUUGUCACUUUGAUGCAUUCAACAUAUAUAUUACCACUGUGUUAAUACAGGAUCGGAAACUAAAGAAAACAAAUUAUCCAAACACACACAACAAACUUUCUAAUUGUAGGAAACUAAAAAUCUAUCCAGCCAUCAAAAACUUACUGUGAGGGGCCAUCCUUUUAAAGUCAAAUUGUUACCACCCUGAUUUGAUCCUGAAACAAAAGACUCUUACACGUAAGCUACAAGCAUAAUUAUACAAUACCAACACAACCCUUUUAAACUCUUUGCAACUCCUAACUCCAAAAUUACUUUAGUAUGCCAGACUUAAAUAUAAAAAUGGCCAACAAGCACAGUGGAUCAUUCUGUGCCAAUGGUAUUCAAAAGAGUGAGACAUAGUCAACCAAACAUUGGAAAGGACAAGGCGAGAAUACCAGGAAUUCCUAUUAAUGAUCCCUCGGGGCAUGCAGCUCUGGGAUUCAAUACUGGAUUGAUUUCAGUCUUUAUGUCCUGAUUCCAUGUAUAAGUCAGAACACAUAAAAAGUACUAGGAAAAUAUAUAAUGAAACGAAGCAUACCGGUGUAGACCCUGGCAACUGCUGAUUUCGAGCUUGCACUUGUUGAGUCAUCCCACCAGCUGUACCAUGCAAUACUUGCCUGAAAAAUAAAGAGUUCACUGUUUUUAUUUUUAAUGUUGGUAGAAGGAUUUAGCAACAGCUUCCACAUCUAAAACCCUGGACCAAUGAGUAUGCAGACGCAGCAUAUGUAAUAACAUUCUACAAGUUUCCAUGGCAUAUGCAGGUCACACUUCUACUGUAAAUUCUAAAAAUACAAUGUUGGAGCAAUCCCAAAUUAACCAUCAACAAUAUCAAAAUGUCUUUUGUAAACCCUAAUUUCUGUGCAUUUAGUAGAAUAGAAGAUAAAAUGAUAAGUACAAACAAGUCCAUAUCGUUUCACAAACAAAUAAGAACAGUGGAAGAUAUAAAAUUUCAGAGAAAAGCACCCUGAAGGCUGGCCGGCUGCUGCAGCUGACUUUAAUAUUGAAGCAUGAUUUUGAUCCAAAAUCUGGCCCACAUUCUCACCAAAUCUCUGCUGUAGAUUGUUCCUAAUACAGUUAGAAAACUGUGAAAGUCAUUUUAUUCAAAAUAACAAGGAUAAUUCACCUACCUUCAUAGAUGCAUCAUCCAAAGAAUCUCUCUGAAGUGGAAGUUUUAAUUUUUCCUCGUACAUCUUUGUGGCCAUUGCAUUUGCUGUUCCAGGAUUUUGUCGCAUGAGAGGAUCAUUUCCGACAAGCCCAUUUGUAGUUCCAUUGAGGAAAUGGACCCCAUCUCUUCUCUGUUGUGGCUGUGGCUGUUGCUGUUGCUGCUGUGGCUGCUGCUGUUGUUGCUGCUGUUGUUGUUGCUGCUGCUGCUGCUGCUGCUGCUGUUGCUGCUGUUGCUGCUGCUGCUGAGCAUGCCUGUGCAACAGGAGCUGCUGCAUUUGCAUGUGCUGCUGCUGCUGUUGCUGCUGUUGUUGGGAGUGUUGGGGUUGCUGGGAUUGUUGCUGUUGUUGUUGCUGUUGUUGUUGUUGUUGCUGUUGUUGCUGCUGCUGCUGCUGCUCCCUUGCUUUAAUUAACUGUGUCUGCACUUGCAAUAUAUCAUGAGCUUCCAAUAGGUACCAAAUUUUUUUAUAAGUACCGUCAGAAAUUCUCAAAAUCUACUCCACCAUAGGUUCCUUGAACAAAGUAAGAAUAUCACUCCAAUAAGAGUAGAAGCUCAUUCCAUUUAAAAUGGUUUGUGGAGAAUGCAUAAAGCAUGAAAUAAGUCUCCACAUUACCAAACUCACCCUAUUCUUUUCUCUUCAAACUCACAUUGUAAAUGAUAUAUGGCCUACAGAAUAUACAAAACUAAUAGGCAAUAAGGCAUUCUCAAACUAACCUCAAUGUAAGAUGCAGCAACCUCUGAAUGCUUCUCAUUAGUCCUAGCAAUGAAUAUAUCCCAGAAAACUGACCACCAUUCAAAUAGGAAACCUCCCGGUGCAUCAAUAGCUGUAAACCCAUUCCCGAAAACAUUCAUAAACAAUAGCAACCAAAAAAAAAAGUUCAUUUCAAUAGUGAUAAGAAAAAUAAUUUCCAUCACUCAAAGGUUUUUGUACUCCUUAGGUCACAAUUUCUGAAGAUGCUUACCAACUGGAUCUGAGGAUACUUUUCCUUCAGCUUGAAAAGCUUGAGCAGAAGCUUUUAAAUCUCUCUUCACUAAAUAGUCGUGGAUAUACACAUCUAACCUGUUAGUCAAUCAGAAACAGAUGUUAAAGACUAUUCUGGUUAAUAAAAACCCAAAUAUUAGUACGAGUAAUAGAAUUAUAGAGAGCCCUUCGAAGAGAAGUAAUGCACUAGACAAGGCUAAGUCCAGAAACCCAAAUUCUACAGUAAGAAGUGAAGCAAAUUAGUUUUAAAAAUCAACAACUGCCCAAACUCAAAACCAUCAGAAGAAACAAACCCUAGAAUACGCACACUGACUGAAAUUAACAUAUAAAUAUAUGGAAACAGGAUAAAGAACAAAACCUGAAUCCAAACGGCUGCAGCAAGUAACAAAACCCAGAAAUCCCAGAAACCCAGAACCCAAAUCGACCAGGAAACAACAAGAGGGGGCCAGCAAAUGAGAAGAAAACAGAAACCCAGAUAGGGAACAGAGACAAAAAGAGAGAGAGAAACUGACCAAUCUGCAUAAGAAACUUACAUUUUAUCAGCUUCCCAGUUGGUCUGAGACAUUCUGUUGAAUGCAAUAACUCACCCGAGACUGAAUAAUACUGUCUGAUUCUGAGGUAACAAUCUUAUUCUGCUUCUUUUCAGCUCUGAAGCAUAUCAAAUCCAGAAGAGAAAACUGAUAAAUUUUUGUUACAAAAAAGGAAUGUACAGUAAGAGCAAGAGGGGGAAGAGAAAAGAUGUGGGGUGAACAUAUGCAGAACCUCUGGUUUUUUGCAAAGGAAAAUACAGAGACAAAAAAAAAUUGCACAUAUAUAAUUUUCAGCUGAUGUUAAUUCAAUAAAUGAAUAAAGAAAGGGAAAGAUGAUAGAGAUACCUUGAACCCAAAAAUGUUUAUUUUGUUUUUGAGCUUUAAUAUAGUAGUUGUUGUGUUCUUAUUUCAUCUUUUUUUACUUUUGUUUUUUCUUUUCAGGGUACUAAGAAUUUUUCUGAUAGUGUUGGACUGUUGGUGGAUUGAGCUGCUGUUGCAGAUAUCAUAAUGGUUUUCCCCAUUGAAUUUACUUAAUCAGCCCUCAAAUCCUGUCAAAUUUUCAACCUAAAACCAUUGAGUUACUGCAGAGCUUUUAGUUGGAAUGACUGAAAUACCCCUUCCUAUUGCCAUAUUUGCACUUCAUUGGGUUGAGUAAGUGGUGCGUUUGUAAUUUUGUAAAGCUAACUAAGAGUAAUUUGUAGUUACCAUAUGUAUUGAUCGCUUAAUUAGGAACAAGAGAGUAUUAUCGUUACCGUGAACUAGUAACAUCAGAUAGCGAUGUUUGAUAAUCGGUGACCUAAUUACUUUAAUGUAAGAGAUUUUCUCAAAUUUGAUAAUUACUUAUUUUAAUGACAAGCCCUAAGCUUUGGUCAUUUUGAUUCUCCUCUACACUUUCUAGAUUCUCUAUGCACUCAUCUCUUGUUAGGUGGCUAGCCUAACUAAAACUUUGAUCAUAUUAAACUAAGAAACAUUCAUGACCUCAAAAAAAUCAUGAAGCUAAUAGGGUUGUAAUAUUGGAUAUAGUUAGGUAUAAAUAAUGGUAGCCUAAGACUCAUCCAAAUGGGCAAAUCCCAGAUUCCAAGCUCCCAACAACCUUACAAAAUUCAAUCUUGUUGUCUAUCUUUUGUCUAAUUAGCAUGAUUGAAGAAAAGAUCUCUUCAAGCCAAUCUAGCAACUCACCUAGUCAAACUAGUCAAAUAAAAAUGGGCUUUUAGAUAAAAUUGCAAGCUAGCUUUUGAGUCUUCACAAAACAUUCUUUGUUGAUAAUUUGAUGCAUGCACUGUGCACAACCUGAAGACAUUGUGUCUUUUUAAGGGCAAGAAAGACAAGUACAUAGACUUAGGGUAAAAAGUACAGCAAGGCCAACUCUAUCUCAUGGUCUCACCCAACUGGUAUUUUGUUAUUUUAUUUUAGGCUAAAAGUCAUUUUUGAUCUCUGUACUUUGGCACUUUAACCAUUUUUGACCAUAUAGUUUCAAUUCUGUCAAUUUUGAUCAUGUAGUUUCGCAUUUGUAGCAAUGCAAGGACAAAUUAGUAUUCUUAUCAAUUUCUUUGAUGGUGCAAUGGGCAAUUUCGUCAACUCAAAAUUCUUGAGCAUAAAAGCUCGUCUAAGAAUCCCAUAAUACAUAUUAGGGCUUAAAAUUGGUCAUUUGGGUUUAGGAUUCUUCAAACAUUGGGAUUAGUAGUUGAAUUUCGAGCCCUAAUAUGGAAUAGGGAGAAUUUCAUAUGAGCUUUUAUGCUCAAGGGUUUUUGGUUGACGAAAUUGUCCUUUGCAUUGUUAAAGAAAUUGAUAAGAAUACUAACAUGUCCUUGAAUUGCUAUAAAUAUGAAACUAUAAUGGCAAAAUUGACAUACUUAAAACUACAGAGUUAAAAGUGGUUAAAGUGCCAAACUGCAGAGACCAAAAGUGACUUUUGACCUUUAUUUUAUUGUUAUUGCUAAUAAGUGAAAGUCUUGUAAAGGCACAUAUGUUCUGGGAAUUUUUUUUUUCCUGGGUUGCUGGGAAUAUAUUAUCUGAAAUUGUAAAUCUAUAUAUCUAUAUAUAAAAAUCAAAAUGCAAAGAAUGGUGAAACAUUCAAAAUAUAAAUAAAUAAUCUAUAGUUAAUACAAAUAUUAAGGAUUGAAAUUAUUAAUUAAAUGAAGAUAAUAUGGUAAAUUCAAACUUUUUCAUAUUUUUAAAAAAAUUUAAUUAAAACAAAAUCAGAUAAUCGCUCCUAUUUUUAUGGAACUCAACUACCUAUUUUAUCUUUCUUAAUUCUAAGAGAGUCAUGCCAAUUAGCGGCCUGUUUUAUUCUUGAUAAAAUUGCCUUAAUCUGGAACAAUGAAGGCAGGAGAUAGGGGUUUUAGACAAGUAAUUAUUUAGAUUGAUUCUCUUCAGAUUAUGCUGGCUCAAGUAACUGGAGAAAUUUACCCAUAUUCAUGCUAUUGCUAAUUGAGAUGGCUCCCUUUGUACUUUUUUUUUUUAUAGUUGUUCUAAUAAAAUCGCUUGUUAUAAUAAAAAAUAAAAAACCAACUGGCACAGGCUAAUCUAUAUAUAUAAAGCAAAAGGCAAAGAAUGGUGAAACAUUCAAAAUACCAGAAAAUGCCAUUGGUUAAUGCAAACAUUAAGAAUUCAAAUUAUUAAUUAAAUGAGGAUAAUAUGGUAAAUUCAUAUUUUUUCAUAUUUAAAAAAAUUAAAAGAAAAAGAAAAAGCAGAUAAUGGAUCUUAUUUUUAUGGAACACAACUACCCAUUAUCUUUUUUAAUUCUAAAAUAAAUUUACUUUUUUUUUUAAAAAACAUCUCGCAAGCGCGGAAGCGCGUGCAGAGAGGCUAGUAUAAAUAAAGCAACUUUUACAAACAGAAAAAACCAGGAUAGUGUAAAGUAGAAACUUUUUGUUCAUAUCCAGCACAAAAGAACUUUGGGAGAUUCCAUCAACUGACCAUAUCAUAUGUUUCAUUAGCUUUAUAUCACACUGAGAUCAUUUAAAUUUUUUUUAUUUUUAAAAAUACUGUUUUUGGGUGUUUGGGGAAGAAAGAGGCCAAGGAAUUUAGUUAUGGGAGCAAGAAAGAUAGUUUGUACUUAAAUUACAAAGAUGUCCAAAAGGGUCAACUCAGUGUCGGAAAUGGUUUUUUUUACUUUUUUCUUUCUGUGGGUUAAAGAGGGAAUGGCUUACUUUACUUUAAUAAUUGUAGCUCUGUGUUUCGAGGCUUUGAGGCUUUGACCAGAGAAAACCUACGUAUUUCUGAACAAAGAAAAACAGACCAAAGCAAAGCAUGUUGGGUCAAGUCCAGAAACUUCUUCACUUUCUUAUCUUGGUUUUAAAAAAAUAAAGUCAAUUUUAGACCAAUCAGGAAAUAGCCAUUUUGGAGUAACAAAUAAAUAUAAAAACUUUGUAUUAUGACUAAACUGCCCCCAAUUCCAACUUCAUUUAAAUUAUAAUAAAUAAAAAAAGGCCCAAGGGUGCUACAACAAAGUGCAAACAGUUUGGGUCAUCGUGAAGAGAUUGAUUGGGUUGGUCGGGCCAUCAUUGGGUUUGGGUUAGGUUUAGGUUUUUCUGAUUGGAAAUUGGAACUGGGCCUUCAACGAAGCUUGUUGAUGGGCCCUAACAAUCGACCUCUUUUUCAUUUGGGGAUUGGGUUGCAGGUAUGAAAAUUACGUAGACCAAACGUCGUCUGCACUUUUACAUAAAUGGUCUGUCAAACGACCUCAAUCUUAAGUGCAAACAAUAAGAAUUGCACCUCCAAAUUCAUACAUUUUUCUGAUUUGCACUUUACCGUUUGAUAUGUGGUGGAUUAUAUGACUGAAUAUGAUUCAUAAUCCUAGUUAAAUGUUUAGUGGCCUAAUUAAAAAUAAACUGAAUUGGAUUGUGUCUAUUUUUAUUGGGGCAAAAUGUGGUCGGAUUACGAAUCCCACUAAAACAACCUAAUUGGAAUUAAGUUAGAUUGUAUGUCUAACCUUAUACUAGAGCAUGUGAUAUCAUAUUUUAGUUCAUUCGACCCCUUAAUCAUGUGGAGUACCAAAUACAUUAUUGAUUAAUUAUUAUCCUUUCCAAUCCAGUUAUACUUCGUGAGUUCAAUCAAAUCAGAGUCACAAAACAUAGAGUUGGACAAAAAAUACUCUUUAAUAAGCGUUAAAUUACAAUUAGCAAUAUAUCAACAUAUAUAUAUCUACGUAUUUGUUGAAGAGAAAAGCAAAAUCCCGACCGAAAAAACCAAAAGCAAAAGAAGAGAAAAAGUAACAUAAUUGGUCCCAAAUUGAUCAUAAACAAAAAGAAUAAGGUAGCCAUUGAAGUGUCUCUUCCCUUUAACAUUCUCUCGGUCAGCAAAGUAAGAAGAAAGGAACAGCGUAAAAAAAAAUUUGACAAUACUGCUGAUGCAGAAAGUACGUAAUAAUAAUAAACAAAUAAACCAUGAUAUAUAUAUUUGGGAGAUUGAAUAAUUUAAAAGGGCAGGAAGAAGUCAAGAAAGGGUGGUCAUUGAGAGGUCCUUCUCUUCUCUUCCAAUGCUAUGAUGCAUAGUUUUCUAUAUCUAUAUAUGCAUAGCUUGCUGCUCCCAGUGUGUUGUAUAUGCAAAAAAUGUGUCAGCUUGAGCUAAGCUGCUGCAAAAGCAACAUGCCACUGAGAUCCAAGUGGGCCCCGGUUCAUCAAAGGAAGAAGAGAAUUUCUCUUCUCUCUUCUCUCUGUGGGCCCUUCGUCGUCAUCAUCUCAUAAAACUUCCAGGAAUUGGAUAUGCCAUAAUUAUUUGAAGUUAUAUACAUACAAUGAAACUUAUUGCAUGGGGCUACGGGGAAGAUGGCAUGCAUGCAGAAGCAGUGAUAUCAGUGCAUUUGCAUGCCAUGUCAUGCCAAGCUAUACUUUCAUGGAUACGCCCAGCAUCUAACUUUGAGUCUGAGUCAUAUGCAUCAUUUAUGCCCCCACAACAACACAACCCAAAUUCCCCAUGCCUCGUCUAUCUGCUGUUUUAUUGCAUACGCAUGUGACCUAUAUAUAUAUAUAUAUAUAUAUAUAUAUGGACCCAGUUCCUCCUAGGUCUUUAAUUACAUUACAUAAUAUAUAAUACUUAUGCCUUAUGUGUAUUGCAUAAUAUUUUCAGUCUUUUAUGUAUUGGAUGGUGGUGUACUCGGAAGAUAGAGGUGGGAGCUGACUGUGUUAUUAACUUUUUUUAACUUUGUUUUAAAUUUAUAAUAUUUAUAAAUUGUACUUUUAAUAUUUUUGUGGGUAAAAAGUCCAAUUUACUUUUAAAAUUGGAGCAUGUGUCAUCCACGCGAUUUAGCUUAACGAAAAAUUGGACGGUAGGACUGUUUUGAUAUCAAAUAAAGAGUUGAAGGACAAUUGAAAUGAAAAUUUUAGUUAAUAGACCAAAACAAUACUAAAGCAAAAAUUAGGAAACUAUUUCGAUCAAAAGCCGUAUGGGUUGAUCAUACUUGUUACAGUUUUGCAAUAUACAAUAAUUUAGGUUUGUACUUAUAUUAUUAAAGAAGAACAUUUAUUUUUUAAUUUUAUAAUAUUUAUGAGAUGCAUUGAAUUUUUAUAUGACAUCACGUAAUUGAAUUUGAUUGUUGAUGCAUUAUGAAGACCAACAGUGUUAAGAAUCUCUAACAUGAGUUUGAGAGGCUCGCUCUAGCACAAUUUAUCUAUUACUUUAUUAUCUAAGAGCAUUCGUAAUGGUUGCUCAACAGUUCAAUUUAUUGAACUUUUUUGGUAGCUAUUAAACUGAACUGCAGUUUCACUUGCAAUGGCUGUAACACCCCGACUUCAAAUUUAACCCCUUAUUUAAAUUAUUGAGUAAAAUUACAAAUUUACCCUUGGGGUAGGGGUAUUUUGGUCAUUUUCUUAUCCAAAAGGAGUUUGGGGCAGUGACAAGUAUUUUUGGAUAGAUCGUACUAAGAUGAUUCCGUAGACACGUGGUAAGCUCGAAUCGGAGUUGUAACAAGAGAGAUAUGGUCAAAAGAAACUCAGUGGCACAAUCGUAAAUAUUUGGAAGUGGGAUUUUUUUUAUAAAAAUCAGAUUUCUCUCUCUCUCUCUCUCUCUCUCUCUCUCUCUCUCUCUCUCUCUCUCGCUCGCGCAGUGGCAGACAGCCACGUUUUGGCCGGCCGUUCUCUCCUCCGACCACCAAUGACGACGGGGCUGGUACCAAAAUGACCGGGCCGUCGUCCUUUUCCAUCCCCAGCAAGCUCCCGCCUCCAGCCGCCGCGAUUUCGCCGAAAAAUGGAGAAGAAGCGGCCGAUGUUGUCCGAACUUCUCUGCCAUCGAUCUCCCUCCUCCGGCCACCGAUUCCAAUGAGUAAGGUAUGGUUUCUCACCUACUUUUCAUGCUCUAGCUGCCUGUUGGGUAGGAUUCGAUCGAUUUUUAGCGUAGGUAAUUCGAUUUAUGAAUUGAAAUUCGCCCGAUUUUGGGAUCGCGAUACAGGCCACCUCCGGUUAGUUUUUGGGGUAGGUCCAAGAACAAAAGUGGCUCCAAAUAGGGUGUUAUACCUAGGGUAGGAGUUUGGGGCCGUGAUUUUGAGAUUUUCCGGCGAUGCGUAAUCGCUUUGGGCACCCAGUGCUGCCGGCCCGUGUGGCAGCGCAUGGGUGAGGGUAGUGAAGUUUCACUGUGUCUUGAUGAGAUCCUUAGGUUGUCACGAGUGCGUAGGAUUUUGCGGAUCUCAAUUCGGACGUCGUUUGACUAUCGAACGGAUAUCGCCUAUUGCGCGUUAUCCAGGUUCGAUAGGUUAGGACCGUUGGAUGGUCUCAAAUUUAAUAUAUGUUAAUCUAGGUAUUUCUAGGAUCGUGUAAGAAUUCACGGAUUUCGAAUCGAAGCCCCGGAUGUUCCGAUUAAAUAAUUUGAAGUUUAUGUUUUAUAAUAACCGUCAGAUCGUGCGAUCGUGAGCGAUCCAACCUUCCGAUCUGGACCAAACUUGCAAGACGAGUGUCCUAUACCUUGUAGAACCCAUAGGAACUUUCGGAUCGAAAUUUGGAGGUCGUGGGCCCCGUGGGCCCGUUUGACCAGGGUUAGGGUAGUUUGACCUUUGGUUGACCCUGAGUCUCCCGAAGUAAUCUCACCUUCCCAAGGGCCCUGGUUGUACAGGCGUAUGGGGAGAUAUUGUGAUAUGAUGUUCAGGUCUCACGUGGCGUAGGUUAUCCGGCGUUGAGACAGACCCUAUACGUGGCGUUGGUUGUACCGGCGUAUGGGGAGAUUAUGUGAUAUUAUGUUAAGGUCGCACGUGGCGUAGCUUAUCCGGCGUUGAGACAGAUCCCAUAUGUGGCGUUGGUUGUACCGGCGUAUGGGGAGAUAUUGUGAUAUGAUGUUCAGGUCUCACGUGGCGUAGGUUAUCCGGCGUUGAGACAGGCCCCAUACGUGGGGUUGGUUGUACCGGCUUAUGGGGAGAUCUUGUGAUAGUAUGUUGAGGUCGCACAUGGUGUAGGUUAUCCGGCAUGUUGACAGGCCCCAUACGUGACGUUGGUAGUACCGGCGUAUGGGGAGAUAAUGUGAAAUACAGAGAGAUGAAUAAAGGUAUUAUAUAUGCUUGGAAUCGGGUUUCAGUAGGGAAGAACUACGUGUGGCUUGAUCCCUCAAUGAGGGUACGUAGGCAGCCUAAAAUUAUUAGGUGCAGCCGGGGACGUAGAGGUGGUUGUGUUAGGAGGUUAAAACCUUGUAUGUUGGAUUUGGAAAAGUUAGAUGAUGUACGUUGUAGUUAAUAUUCGUAAUUCAUAUUUGAAUGUAUUGUUUGCCUUGUUUAAGGUAUGAAUUGAUUUGAUAGUGUGCUUGGUAGGUUGUUGAGAAUUAUUGGUAAGCCGAAGGCCCUUUUUGUGAAUUGCAUGAAAUUAUCUUGUACAUGCUGCCAGUUGGGAAUAUAAAUUGUGUUUUAUGCAUGUUGAAAUUUGGGGCAAAUGUUCAAUUUACAGGAGAGACUCCGCUGAAAUUUCUGCCCAUUUUGGAAAAAAAGUAUAGUUUUAGAAGUGGGCCCGACAUCGGGGUGAUGUCGAAAAUUUCCACAUGAUUCUUCUCGGGUUUUGGGAAAUUCGGGGCUGGUCCUUUCUAUGGUGCAGUUUAAUAGCUUACAAAAUAAAAACUAUAUUUUAAAAAAAUAUCUUUUUAAAUGAUUGAAUAAAAUAAAAUGAAUAAAGCUAAUUACGAUAUGAAUUAUACAAUUACAAUGAUUUCAAAUAUAAGUCCCGAUCUCUUGGACCACAUGAGUCCAAGAGAUUUGUGGUCACCCACCAUUGGAUGUAAAUUCAAUGGUUCAAAAAAGUUUGAUAAUAUUAUAUUAAUACUUUUUUUUCUAAACAAUUGGAAGUUGAGAUUAAAUGAGAACACAUUAGAGCAUCUCUUUUUCAAGUUAUUGCAUAACAAAAUUUAAUAUGAAUAAGCAAAAUUAAAAAGUAAAACGUAAUGUUGUCCAUGUGUCAAUAAAAGAGAGGAUAUAGAUUCAUUAUGAUGGGUCAGCUUAUUAAAAUGAAUUUCAUUUCAGAAUUUAUUUUACUGGCCUCUGAAAUGAACUAUUGAUCCAUAGAAUGAAAUAUUGAUAUCUAAAAUAAACUUUACCACUGUAAGUCAAAAGUUCAAUUUAUUGAAAUAAAAUUGAAAUGAACCUCACCAUUGCAGAUGCUCUAACAAUCAAUUCAUUGCUAGACAAAAUUCCAAUAUUUUAUUACAGAUGAUGAACACUUUAUAUGGUUUUACUAAAGUGUCAAUAUCAUUGUCAAUAACACAACGCAUUAAUAUGUUAUGUCCUCGCCUUGCAAACAACAUACAUCUUACACAGACCAAUUUAGCAAGAAUACAUUUUUCUUUUUUUGCAAUUGCAAAUCAUUUAUACAUCAUGGGUAGGGACAAUAAAUUCUUAGCUUUUAUCAGAGAGGGUAAGUGAAUGUGAGAGAAAGGGCCAAGAUGGGUGGGGAUCAUGACAUCAGGUGUGGAAUGCAAAGAGGUAAGAAAUGAAUCUAACAAGAGAUCAGAUUCUGAGAUACAGAGAGAGAGAGAGAGAGAGAGAGAGAAGGUGUUCAAUCAACCAUGCAUUCUGUCCUUCCCAGUCCUCUCUCUUUCUCUCUCUGGCUCUUGGCUCUGCUGCCUUCCUCUCUCUCUUUCUCUCUGCAAAAUGCGUCAGUAGCAGUACAGAGUAGAGAGAGAGAGAGAUACACAGAAGAAAGCGUGACGUAAGUACUGAACACCGUAACGCGUGCUUUGGAAGCGUGCGAAGUGGGAUUUCGAAUUCAAUGUCAGACACAGAGAGAGAGAGAGAGAGAGAGAGAGAGAGAGAGAGAGAGAGAGAGCUAGGCGCUAGCUUGCUUUUACUCUCUGCUUGGACUUUUCCACCCCAUCUAUCCAUAUUCACCGCAUUGUCUAUAUAUGGCGGCAUAGAGAGAGAAGAAACUGGAUAUUUAUUUUGAUGAUAUUUGUAUUUGAAUAUGUAAUUUGAUUUCAUAAUAAAAUUUAUUUAGGCAUGCAUGGGAUGGGAUGGGUUUGCAAAUUGCAUGGCAGUGCAUCAGCUACAGAGGAUGCAGAGAGAAAGAGAUGGAAGAAGGCAAGGCAGAGCUGUCAAUCGGGUUUUCUCUGAGAGCUUCGUACGAUCAUCUCCUGUAUAUAAUAACAUCAAUAUGCAUAUGGGAAGAAGAGGGCUCAGAGCCCCAUCAUUGUCUCAAUUAUCAGAUCCUCCUCAGUACGUGAGAUUGGCCUUUUAACCUCUGCCCUUGUGUGUCGUAUAUAUUAUCUUUUGAUGCAAACUGGUGCUGCCUAAAGAUUGCCUAAUCUAAUUAUUUGCCUUAUAGUACAUUGCAUGUUGGCGUACUAUAACUUGUAUACACAGUAAUUAUUGUGCGAUUGUUAUAAGUUGCGUGAUAUCACGAGACAUGACGGUGUGACGAACGUUACGCUUGAUUACUUGAAGUUUAUAACCAACAUCUUUUAUGUUAGUAUUUUCUUUAAUGUAGUGUGGUCCAAUAUAAUUAGCUUUAAAUAAACAGCUAUGUAUCUCAAGAUGGAAAACAUGGAAACAUGGAUAUCGAAAGUAAAAUAAUGGGAAUAUGAAACAAAUCAUACAAAAAACAUACAUCAAGAAAAUGAAGGUCUCAACCCCCUCACGCAAGUAUUUGACAUGAAUUCAAGGCACAUAGUAAGGUAAAGCAAAAGAAUCAAAGGAGCAAAUCGGUGUGCUUGGAAUUGAAUUGCUUCUGAAAAUUCAAAAGCAUUAAUGGAAUUUUGUUUUGGAAGACCGAGGACUUCAUUUGAUGAUGUGACUGUGAUGGAAAGCUGGCAGCUGCACAGUAUUUAACUUUGAUGUUUUGGCAAUUAAAAUAAGAGGAGGCUGCAGCAUUUGCUGCAUUUGGUGCAAGUAUUAAUUAAUUAGAGUUUGAAAAUGUAGCAAUCUUUCUCUAAAUGGCCCAACUGAAAGGGCAUGCACGUGUAAACCUACUUUUUACCAAAAUUACGGCAGGAGUUGAACAAUCAACAUUCAAGAUUGUAGUUGUAUUGGGUAAUUAUUAUGUCUACACACAACACUCGGAAUUUUACCAAAGUCUAUAUUUGUAUGUGGGUUCAAAGACCAAACUUGACAAAGGGGUGAAAGUAAAAGAAAAGAAAAUGGAGCUCAUUCAUUGAGCAUAUACCUACACGUUUGUAGACUGCCAAGAAUGGACCAAGAGAGGCUAUAAAUAUGAGAAAACGUGAAAGAGAAUUGUGUAAGUGUAAGUAAACAGAAAGUGGCAUGCAUUCCACUACAUGUUUUGUAAGAUGGAUAUGUCUCUCAUUAUUAUUCAAUGGAGAGUGGAGACAGCCACAUCAUCAGCUCAGCAUCAAAACGCACCGCAUAGCAACAUUGCAUAUAUAACAUGUUUACUAAUCCUCGAAAUCAAAGUAAGGAGUUUGAUUUCGAUUACGGAUUACUCAUGUGUUUACUUCACAUAAAGGAAUCACAAUGCAAGUGACGCUCAUACAAAAUUAGGAGUUGGAAGAAUUGGGCUCUUGGGUGGGAGGUAUCAAUUCUUGGAUAACUAACCCAUCAGGAAUCCAUCAUUUUUACCAAUUAUAUCCUCACACAAUUUUAAAUUUUCAAAUUUGUCAUCCAUUUUAACUCAACAAGAAGGGCAUUUUAGUAAUCAAACUUGUUUCAAUUUUGAUUCAUGGGAUUUUAGUAAACGACUUAUAAGGAAAUCAUUCAUACCUUGAUUCCAUGUAGUUUAGUAAACAGUUUCAAUUAGAAUAUGAAUUCUAAUUCCUUCUCAAUUCAAUUCAUCCUUACUCAAUUACGGAUUAGUAAAACAUGUCAUUAAUUUGACCUAUAUUCAAUUCGGCUUCUUAGUUUAAACCAUAAAUUAUAUUUCUCCUAACGUUAAUAGAAAUCUCAAAUUCAAAAUUCAUCUAUUUCGCUGAAAAAUUAAAUAGUUAAAUGCUCUAACCUAUAAUAAUAAAAGUGAGCAAGUUUUAUAUUACGUUAUGUGAGAUGAGACUAAUCUUAGUCCAUUCAUUUUAUGAGCUAUCAUUAGACUUUGUCAUGUUUGGUGACUAGUAUUUGAUUGGAUUGGAAAAGUUAUUAAAUCCAAGGUAUAUUGGAGGAGGAAAUGAAGGUAAGGAUGAAUGAGUUUCCAUGUUGGGGGAUUAGGAGGGAUUAGUUAUAAGGUGUUGUUAUCCUACAAUUUUGUAGGAAUUAGAUGGGAUAAAUUUUUUUAAUAAGUAAUCUAUCUUCUACAUUCAAUUGGUACAUUUCUUCCUUAAACAUGUUUUAAAUGUAAGGGAGUAUCCAAUCCAAUCUAAUACUAGUCACCAAAUACGAAAAUCAUCUUGGUUAAACCAAAAAGAAAUGCACUCCUUCCUUAUCAAAAUGAUAAGAGAGAAAUUACACUCGAGAAGUGAAUAAUGACAUUUUAAAAAUAAAAAAAACCAAUGGCAUCACUUUAUAUUUUUGUUGAACUUUAUAAAUUUCAAUCCAAUAACAAGCCUCAGAGCAAAGCAUAAUCACCACAUGAACAUAGCUCUGCAAAACGAUUUAGAGAGUACCAUAUGGGCACUUAAGAUCAUAAAAGAACAUUUGUUCAACUAAGCUUAUGUUCAUCAAGCCAAACAUGCUUAUAUCUCCUUAUUGUAUAUCAGCUGACCCCAAGAUUGGAGUUAGAUAUACCAAUCAGUUUUGCCUAGCAUGACCAAAAUUAAAUAGUUUGAUAUGAUAUUGAUAAGGUGUCGAUAUCAUUAUCAAUAACAUGUUAAUGACCAAACAUAUCCACAAUAUGGAAAAAAAAAAUCUGUGAAGAUAUGUAUAUGUAAUCCACUAGUUGCACUUAUUGCCAAAAGGUAAAGGGAUCGAUCAAAACUAAGAAACAAGAAAUGUAAGGUUUGGAAGAUGACAAUUCAUGUACCAACAAUCCCCUUAAAACUGAGAUAUAUGAAAUGAUCGAUGAUAGUGAUGCUAUAUAAUGUUUAAUUUGACUUGUAAUUAGAGCCUUGCAUAUUUGUCACGACUUGUGGAGCUAAAAAUACAUUCUAUUUCUGAAAUUGUUUGUACAAAGCUAAGGAACAUACAUGUGACGGAAAGGAAAUCUAAGCCCCCAAGCAAAAUUGUUACAUAUACAAACCCAAAAAAAAAAAAAAAAAAAAAAAACAGAUAAAAAAAAAAGAAGAGAAAAUUGAAGCACAAGCCUUGCUAGCUAAAGGUAAAUAAAAUCGCCAACGGAGUCUAGCCGAGUAGAAAAAGCUUUGACUUGCGGACCAGAAGUCUCAUGUUCAGAUCCCCACAGCAUCAUAGUUGUGUGUGAAAAAUUCUCAUCCCCCUAAUUUAGACUAUCGCUUGUACUAAGUUAAAUAAAAAUCAUUAUCCCCUGUCAACACCACUAACUCAGAGAAUAACCUAAUUUCUCACCUUUUUUUUUUCUUCCUUAUUUUUUUUUUAUACAACAAGUCAAUAUUGUUAAACAUUAUUUCAGAAGAAUAAUAUGGGAAUUACAAGAACUCCUGCAGUCUUUGUUUGUCUUCCAAAGUUGAGCAACGUCGUUGGCAAUCUCAACAGCAUCAGAGGCCGUUCCAAGAAGCCCUCUUCUUGUGAAGCCAACUGUGUAAAGUCCUUCACUUCCUCUCCAGCAGUCAGGAAAGGGUGUUUUGGGCAUGCCAUCUUUGGUGAAAAAAUCACAACCCUGAAAUUAAAAUUAAUAAUUUUAAUAAUUUUUUAAAAAAAUAUGCAUACUGCCUGAGAAGUAGCCAUCAUACAUGAAGAGGCAAACCAAAAUGCAAAAAAAAACCCGACUUGUUUUAUUCUUUUUUGCAUGGAGAAAAUAAGGGUUUUGUAGGUGUAUGUGGCAUGUGUCCAAGAAAGAAAGUGACAGGUGAUGCAGAAAAAGAUAGAAGUAAAUACUAAAAAAAGUUGCAGCUGGGCAUUGUCAAGCUUACCUUGAGCCAAGUAGGCACAUUGCUUUUGUACCCAGUUGCUAAGAUUAUAGAAUCAAACUCCUUUUCCUGUCCAUUCAUAAAUCUGGCUCCAUUUCUUGUUAUCUCUUUCACACCUUCCACCACCACCUGCAAUACCAACAAGUUAGCUAUGAAUCACAAACCAUUCUUUUUGGUUUCCUUUUUGGGUUGGUUAAAGGCUCAAAGCAAGUACCUUUAUUUUGCCAGAUUUUAUCUGUGACAAUGCUCCUACAUCAAGCACGGGGGUUUUUCCUGUGGCAUUUUUGAGCUCAAUUGGACCAGUUUUUGGCCUCCUGAGGCCUAAUUGGUCUGUGUUGCCUAGGAUGAUUGUGGCCAGUAGCAAGAGGACCUUGUCAACAAGUUUCAACGGCAGCCAUUUGAGAAGUGCCAUUGCAAUUCCAAAGGUUGAGAAACCAAACAUCUCUCUUGGUAGAACAUGAACCUGUGGCAUCAAAAUUGCAAACAUAAAUCAACAAAACCCAGAAAAGAAAAUUAUGCUGAAACAAUGUAGAGAGAGUGGAGGCUUACAGUGUUUCUAACAACCAUAUGAGGAUUUGCAUUGUGUCUGCAGAGGUCUAGGCUGACUUCCAUGCCAGAAUUUCCACAGCCAACAACCAAAACUCUUUGGUUUUUGAAAUCAGAGCCAGAUUUGUAGAGACUGGUGUGAAGAAUAGGGCCUUGAAAUUUCUCCAUCCCACCAAUUUCUGGUAUCGCAGGCUCAGCAUUCUCACCUGUGGCCACAAUAAGCCACUUGGAAAUGUACUCAAAAUCUUGAGUCUUAACCCUCCAAAACCCAGAAUCAAACUCAGCACUCUGAACAGCUUGGUUGAACUUGGGCUUGAUUGAGAAGUGUGAAGCAUAGGUUUCCAUGUAGGAAAUGAACUGGAAUUUUGUUGGGUACCUUGGGAAAUCUUCAGGGAAGCCCAUGAGUGGAAGCUCACAGAAUUGUUUGGGAAGGUGAAGCUUGAGGCGGUCGUAGGUCUUGUGCUGCCAUAGAGAAGCUAUGCAGUCACUUUUCUCAAGAAUUAGCGAAGGGACGCCAUGGUUGGAGAGGCAAGCAGCUGCUGCAAGACCAGAUGGUCCUGCGCCUACAAUUAUAGGCCCUUGAACAAACCCACAAUUUGGUUGUUGUGGGUUUUCUUGUUGGUUUUCUUUACAAGAACCCAUGUAGGAAAAUCCCAAGAAAAGUGAGAGAGAGAGAGAGAGAGAGAGAGGCUUAAAGAGGGAAAGGGAAAGAAACCUUUGUGUUUCUUUUUACUUGCUCUGUUUUGAAGACUCUGUUAAGGCUCUGUUUCUUUCACUCUGUUUUGCUGAGGAAAAGAAAAUCUUGGGGGGUGGAUGGAUGAGGUGGGAAGGAAUUUAAAGAGGGUGGGAUGAAGGGUUUAGGGAAGUUCAAUGCAAAGCGAAUCAGCGGUCUGAGAUGUCUGAGGACUGAUGAGGACCUUUUAAUGCAUAGAGAACAGAGUAAGCAAAUAAAUAAAUAAAAAAACCAGAGUUAUUAUGAGAAGUGAUAGGUAGAGAGAGAAACAGAGAGAAUGAGAGAGAGAGAGAGAGAGAGCGGUGUAAUGGAGGCGUGAAGGUUAAGAAAAAGGAUUUGGUUCUCUUUCUCAAGGCUUCCUUCUCAGCUCUCUGUGUGCAGAGUUUUUGGGAGGGUAGAAGUUGUAGUAGUAGGCAAUGGGGCGAAGGGGAGGUAUAAAUACAUUUAUGGGGGCUUUUAAUUUAAGUUGAAUUUUGGAGCAUUGGACAUGUCCCACUCGCACUUUACAACAUCGGUUUGUACCCUCUCUGGCCAGUUCUUGUUUGGCCUCUUCAAACAGACAUCGGCCAGCUGAUUGAAUUUAAACAUGUAAAUACCCAGUGAGAAUGACUAAAGAUGGUGGGUACAAAGAACGGGAGAUGGAGAUAAAAAAGUGCAUAUUGAUCAUCUAGUAUGUGAAGGAGAAAACGUAUAAACACCCUACUUUUGAAGCGAUAUGAGAUUAGAUUGUUAUCCAAGUUUAUAUGGCACAAUAAUUUGAUUUAGAUUCCAUAUGAGACUAUUAGGGCGAUCAAAACUCAAAUCGGUCAGAUCAAUUUCUUUCAGUUUUUUACAAGGAACACAAUUGUUAUUUACUAAUUAGUUUGAUUCUUGGUUUGACAAAAACUCAAAAUCCAAUAAGCUUACAAGUCAUUCAAAAAAUUAAGGGAGUAGUUGUUGCACCGCAGGAAGCAGCGGUGAGGAAUAUUUGCUUGUGUCAACAGCCGUCCGAUCGCGUACUAUUGCGCCACGUGGCAUAACUCUUGCCGUCAAAGUAACAACACGAAAAUGGUAUUACAACAUUUUGAUGUCGAUUGCAUUUUAAAAAGUAAUUUUACUAACAACUUGGGAGUGAGAUGAGAUUUGGACCCUUAUGUAGCCUUUUUUUUUUAGUGAACUCCUAUAGUGGUUUAAAGCAGUACAUUAUAGUCAUGUGCUUUUUUCUUUUCUUUUUCGAAAAAAGUUUAGGGAAAGAUUGGUCACUCUCACCACCAGCGUUAGGGCAAAUUCACAACCUCAAGUCGGAAUGAUUUGUGUGUGGUAUCCAAUUACCAAUUGCCAAUGGUAUGGAUUUAUGCAGGGAAUACAGAUCUCCAACCAAGGAAGACUACUAGAAGAGGGACUCGAACACUGAUGGGGUUACGCACAGUGUAGGGACCUUAUUAACUGAACCAACCCUUGUUGGCAUAGUCAUUUGUUCUUCUUUUUUUGGGGGGGUAAAUGUCACGAGGUGUCCCCACACCCGAAGGGUAGAAUUAAUCCCCGCUCGAGGUUCAGCUUGCUACUGGCCACACAGUGCUUUCAACGAGUUUCGAACCCCUGCUAUUGAAGUACUAGGUAGCUGGCCAGUUGAAGGUGGCAGUUUGUCAAUCCCACCACACCUUGCAGUUUAGUCAUGUGCUUUUAAUUACAUAACCAAGUUGAAAUUUUGGGUGGACCAAUUCCAUGUUUUUUUAAAAAUAAUUUUUUUUAAUUGUAGAUGUAGAUUAGGUCAAUUAACCACAACCCAAGUAAAUUAAAAUAAUUUUGUAUAGCUUAAACUAUAAUUUAUAUAAAAUAAAAUGAUAAUCGUAACUAAAAUAUACAUAUGUGUACAUGUACAUAAUUUUGUAUUAUUAUAAGAAUAAAAAGAAUUUUUUUUAUAGUUAUAGAUGUGGAUUAGGUCAAUUAAUCACGAUCCAAAUAAAUUAAAAUAAUUUAAUACAGUUUAAAUUAUCGUUGUAUAAAAAAAUGAUAAUUGUAACUAAAAUAUACGUAUGUGUACAUGUAAAUAAUUUUUUACUAUUAUAACAAUACUAUUGUUUUUGGUAAUGGUACUUGUAAUAAUAAUAAAAUACUUUUACUUUAAAAGUUAAACAGAUGGCAGUCCUACAAUUUUGUCCAUUGAUAUAAUUAACAUGAAAAAGGAAAGUUUUGUUUUUUUGGAAACUUGUUGUCUCUAAUUAUUUAUUUUGAUAACUCAGUUAUUAUAUUUAAAAGAAGAAGAGGCUCCAAGGGAGGAACACUUUCCUCGACAUUGGGAAGAAAAUGAGUAGAGUCAUGAGUGGUUUGGUAUCGGUUAUGUAUUGAUGUGAAGUUGUUGUCAUGUAAAAAUGUUGCAUGAAAAAGUUCAUAAUACAGAUAAAAAGAUAAGAGACCCGACCGAAAAUCUAAAAAUCCCAACAUUUAUAUUUUGUCUUUGGAGGCCAAAAGAUAUACAUGCUGUCAUUUGUUCCCUACCCUCUUGUUCUUUUGCUGCCUCUAGCAUGCCAGCUUUUUGUAAUCACAAUUAAAUUAAAAGUUGACUAAAACUCUUUGUCACAUAUAGUUUGAUUUUAUUAAUUAUAUAUUGGAAGAAGGUAGUGAGUUAGGUAGUUAAGAGCAUUCAUAAUGGACUCUCUAAAUCACUUCCUUAAAUUGGGAAAAAUUGUAAAAAUGCAACUUCAACCACGCUCCCUAUUCACCUCCUAAAAUAAGGAGCCCUCUAGGAGUUUCUCCCUAUAAUUUAAUGCUGCUUUAUUUAAUGAGAAUUUCAAACCGUUAUUUAAUGCUAACUAUUUUUAAUUUUAGAUCUUAUUUCAUGCUAACUAUUGUGGAUGCUCUAACUUCAUCUGUACGAUAAGAGAACACAUAGUUUGGUCUUAUUAAUUAUAUAUUAAAAUAAAGUAGUGAAUUAAGUAGUAACUUGACCUGUAUGAUAAGAGAACACAUAAAUUCUUAUUUUAACCGACACGAUAUGAUGAAGGAACGUAUAUAAUUUUUAAAAUUUUGGUAGGCACAAUAGACACAUGAGGAUUGCAUAUACUCCUAGCUAACGCACCAUCUAAUUAAGACAAUUAAUGUCGAUGUGUACUUGUCGAAAGUUGGCAAGACAAUCAAAGGACAAGAAGAAGAAUAUAUGUUUAGGGGUCAAUGAGGAAAUAAGAUCCCAAUAACCUCAAUGCAUGAUGGUGUUUGGAUACGAGGAUCUAAGGGAGCUAGAAUGGAUUCAAUAUAAAAUGAAAUGCACAAUCUAGGUUAGAGAAAUAAAAUCUAGGGGAAAUAUCUUUAUUCUUCAUGGAAUAUACACUUAGUUGGAGCGCAUUAGUUUCAGUUGCUAGCCAUGGCCUACUAUUUAUCAUAUUAAUUUGUCUUUCUUCAAUCUUUACACCUGUUGAUUUCUAAUUAAAGCACUAGGCAUGCAGGGCAGCUUGGAGUUUUGCAAAAUGGGGACAAUUUGCUGACCUCAUCUGAAUCCACAUAUAAUUUUAAUUUUUUAAGUUGGAUUUAAUCUUCUCGUCAAAAGAAGGAAAAGAACUUUCUUAUAACGGAGAUAACACUGUUUUGUUAUAUCCGUUGUUAUUAGUCGGGAAUAGUAAAAAAUGUUAUUCACGUUGUAUGAGAGUUUUUCUCAACAAAAAAAAAGGUAAGGCUAAUGAUUACAUAAUCCAAAUUACCCUAAGUUGGCUAAUGAAUAUCUGAUUAUUAGUUUCUAACUUAUUAUAAACCCUGAUGUAACAUAAAGAAUGAAAUAAUGCAGCUUGGCGUUCCUGUAAAGUAGAUUCUUGUCUACAAUAUUAUGAUGACAGGGAUCUAGUAUACUAUGGAAAUUCCAUCUCAUUCAUACUUUGAUAGGCAUGCUGAGAAGAAGAAGGUCUUUCUCCAUAUGUAAUUUUGAGCAACUUUUUCAUAUAUACACUGUGUAUUGUAUACAGUUCAGUUAGAUCGAAAGCAACAUUCACACCCAUUUCUCUCUCUCUCUCUCUCUCUCUCUCUCUCUCUCUCUCUCUCUCUCUUCACAGUUGGGGUUGGCAACUAAAAUGUCGAUGAGCCCCAUACUAGUUUUCGAACUUCAACGUUAUAGUUGUGCAUUUUUAGGGACAAACCCAUCUCUGCAUUUAGGAUAGUUUAUCCCUCAUGAUAAUUUAUCAGAGGACUCGAUGGAGUUGAUUUGUAAAUUAUGGGAAGUUGUUUUCAAGAGCGUGCAUGAGCAAGAUGCCCUUCACAAGUCCCAAUUCAUCAAGUGCUAACCACUCAUUUUGACGCACACGCACCCCACAAUUUGCCUUAUUAAUAUUGAUUUGUAAUCAUAAGGUAAUAUCAACCGAAAUGAACAAACAAACAUAACAAUAAUUUUUUUUUUCCUCCAAGUCAUUUAUACUUAACUAAUUUAUUUAUUUUCCAAAAAAGUUUGUUAUUUCCAUUUGCAUGCAUGAUUAUGAAUUUGAUGGAGGAGCAAAUGUACUUAUUGUUGGUAAAAUAUAAAGAUAAUUGCUAUAUUUAUAAAUUUUUGAAAAUAAAAUUUUACUAUAAAUUUGAAAUAAAUACAAAAAAAUAAUGAUAAGGAAAAUUAAGAAUACUUUACAGAUAAUCGAGUCUAGAACUUGGUUCUAUCUUCUUAAGAUGAAAUUGCCUUUUCACAGGUGCUUUUAGGAUUUGUUUAGCAAACGUCUCUCAGGAUACAACGAUCGACUUCUUGUUGAAGUAGCACUAUAAUCCCCAAGAAAAGUAAACUCAAACUUGUAUGUAUGAAUUCUCUCAUACAAACUCACUAUAUUUCUGAAAAUAUAAUGCUAAGAAUACUCUAAAAACUACUAUUGUUGGAUGACAAUUGGAUGAAUCAAAUGUUGUAGGACCUUCUCUAUUUAUAGGCAACAAGGCCUCUGUUCAGAAAAGAUGUGACUGAAAAAUAUUAACAAAUGUGUCUUUUCAUAUUGCAAGCAUAAGCCAAGAAGUGCAAUGUUUCAAUUACUAUGAAACAAUGCAACUUAAGCCAAGAAGUGCAAUGUUUCAAUUUAUAUGAAACAAUGCAACUUAACACAUAAGGUAUUAUUGUUUUAUUCAAAAAAUAAUAUUGUAUUUUUCAUCAGUUAAGAACAUGACUAUUCCUAAUUAAUACAUACCAAUUCGUAAUAGUAAUGUACUUAAAGUCACAAGUCUCACAAUUUAAUUUCCAUUCAAUUAUUAAAUCUUUCACCAAAAAAAAAUUGUACUUACGAAAUUAUGUUUUUGCCUUAAUUAGUUUUGGGGAAGAAGAAUGUACGACACAUCGUAGAUGCCAUGCCAGGGUCAAGUUUGCGUCAUGUCUCAAGAGUUUAGUUCGGGCCCAGACGGCAACGCUGAUGUCACGUGACCUAUACUUACCGUCAACCCUGGCAGUCACGUGGCACUUGUACAGUAAAAUCUCUCGCCAAUGGAAUCUCCACAUGCAAACGUUGGUCAUGCUGACCGAAAAGACCAAAACGACCCUGACAGCUUUUGACACUGAUAUGAUAGCAAUGGCUAGGACAUAACGUUAAAGACUGAAGUGACCCCAGCAUUUGUAUAAGGAUCAGUGCAGUUUGAUUUGAUGGUCGAGGGCAUUCUCGUCAUUAAGGCUCUUUACCACGCGUCACCAACCCGUUUGUCUUGUUACCUGUUUUGGAAAGAUUUGACUGAAGUUUUAUACUUCGACGUCGAUCUUUGUGUAAAAACCCACGCUUGAAUCUGGUCCGUCGGAUGGAUCUCGAAAGAUGCAUCACACGGGCUCCGAAGCGAAUCCAACGGCUGGGAGUUGAAUUGACUUGUUCUUUUUUCACUGACAGAUGCUUGAUUACUUCGUUAAUCAAACAGUCUCUAGUAUUAAUGAGAUGGAUUUUGUAGGUAGAUUUCUUAUCUGCUCCAAAGAUGAUCUCAGGAUGAAUUUGACCUUUUCUAUUGAAGACGUAAAGGUAGAUUUUGUGAAUUGUAAUUUCAAUUCUAUUAUAAUUACUCUUUUUUUUUGGGGGGUUUAUAUUGUGUGAAUUUAAUUGUAUCUUUUUUAGAAUUUUUGUCUUGUUAUGUAUUUAAAUUGAACUCCCAUAAUCUAGAGAGAUUAUAGAAUACUACGGUACGGCCACGUGGUACAUCUUGUACACGUAUUAUAAUAUAAGUGAAGCAUUUAGUAGGAUGGUUUUGUGUUGAUUCUCCACUGUUUAACAAUGGAGUGAGAAAAAUUUGUGAAAGAGUUCAUAAGAAUCCGGAGGAAAAUUGGGUGUGUUGAUAUGAAGUUUAUGAUUUGAAAUGACAUAACUAAUCAUGUAAAGAAGUCAAUAACAAUCAAAUCUUUAUUCAAUUUUAAUAUUAAAUAAGCCCAAUAACGUUUCACCAUAUUAGCUAGGAGAUUUUUCUUUUUGAGAGACUAGUGGUUUUUUCUUUGUUUUUGUGUUUGUUUCCGGGAAGAGAUAAUUUAUACAUGAAGUCAAAGUAACUGAGUCAAUAGCAAAGAAGAUGAGUUUCUGGGGUAUGAUUACGCAGUAAUGAAGAACAAAAAAGAAAAAGGAAAAAGUGAACCUUAUGAGACUAUACAACAUAUAUAAUUAAGGAAGUAACUAUUUAUAUUUAUCUGUCUCUUCAUUUGAUCAAUCAUGCGAGUGACGUUUUUCUUUACACAUGUAUACGAAGUGUAAAGCCAUGCAUUAAAAUAGAUAUCCUACAAGCUCUUUUCAGUCAUAACGAAUUGAUUUUGAGUUGGAUCAUCAUAGCUUGUUAGGCUAAUUGUUGGUUCCGGGAUGAACGCCUCCUCCUAACUUUAAAAAAAUUAAAAAUGAGUAAAAAGCAUUGAGAAUAUACCAUAUUUACCUUAUUUUUCUUAAACGAAGUUUUAAAUUUAUUUUUUAAGUUUUGGCUCGUAAGGAUCUUGGUGAGUUGUACAAAAUCCAAGUGUAGGAAUCUGAUAGCGAUGUUGCGAUAUCCAGUGUUCUUGGAUUUCAUGUUCUUACUGUCAAUCAUACAAGCAAUUUGUAGACACUUGUAGUAGUAAAUGGCCGGCACUGGUCGCGGCUACUAGCUAUAUAAAAAAAGCUGUAAAAGCCCUGCACCAUUAUGCAUAAGUUUCGUCAGGACGAUCAUGGCCGCGUGAUUACUUCAUGCGUUGCUCAAACGCUAUGGCCCCAUCUCCACUGUUUGGAAACCAAGAAAAUUAUGGAACUCUCUGACUCUAAAUGUAGAUGUAGGGUUUGAGCAGUCGAGGGCUACGACACCAGUUCCAGCCUUGAAAGUGGGAUAUAUGAAUGUUAUAUGGCAAUCCAUGAAACUGUAGGUGACCCCCCAGUACGUAGGUCCAUAAUUCCAUUUCCAUAAUGAUUCACCAAAUAUUGGAUACAGCAGGCCAGAAUAUAUAUCUGAUUGCACUUUUCAGUUAAUAUCAAAUCUUUCUUCUAGUAAUCAUCCAUAUUUGCUCAACUUGUCUAGCUUUAUACGAGAGAGGAAACUGCAUUUCUGCAACAAUACGCAUUUGCAUUACAAGGGAGAUAUUUGUUUUAUUAUUGCCUAGUUAGCGAUUCUCGAUAUGCCAUUAUUUUCUCAUAAUCAUUUGCUGAUUCGGGUGCCAGUCGAAUCCAAGAUAUCGAUUAGGCUAUAAGAUCAACAAGUUUCAAGAACAACGAAGGUAUGCCAUUUCAAAAACAUAAAACAACGAAAACAUUUUCGAAAUCAAUGUUACUCUCAGAGUUGUCAUUGUGCACUUUUCAGAAUGAAAUAAAAAGAUGUUUCUAAUUUGGUUAAUGAAUGUGCAUGGAUGCUUCAAUAGAAGAAACAUUUUUUGUGCAUACGACUCGAAGUUUCCUUUUGGUUACUUAAGAGGGGAUAUAAAUUUUUGUAAGUUUUUGUAUUUGGUAUUAUAUGAGAUUUGAUCAUACGUAGAUGAGACCUUAACUUUUAAUUGUUAAAUCAAUUUGAUUAGCUAUUGAAUCAAAUUAGUUAGUUUGAUCCAAUGGUUAAGAGAUAAAUCCUCAUCUAGGAGCCUUAGAUAAUAAGACCUUAAUUAAAGAAUGAUUCCAUACAUGACACUAUCACUAUAAAAUUUCGCAUCAUGCAGGCUAUACCUAGCUAGAGGAAGUCAUCAUGCGUCAUUGAAUUACACAACGGCCAUGAAAUAUCAAUUGUGGACAGAUCACAUAUAAAGCCAAGAAAGAAAGAAAAAGAGAAGCUACGAGCUAAAACCUAUUCAAUGUUGUCGUCUACAACAAAAUGAUACGCAUGCAGGUAGCUAUCUUAUGCCAAAUCUAACUUGGAUUCAUCAUGUUGAAAUUUCACCCAAAUUUUCAUGUGACAUCAAAGUUUUCUAUUUGGACGGGUCCGCAGCUUUCUUAUACUAAAGCAAAAAUAAUACACCAAGACAAAAAUAUGUACAAUAGAUAUAUAAUUGCCCACCGACAUGGACUUCGUCAAGUUGAUUAGAGCGGAUGUGCUUCUCACUAUGCACUCGAAUUCGAAUAUUCCUCCCCAUAAUUUAGAUUAAAUUUAAAUCAAAUGUCGUUUGUAUUAAAAAUAUAUAUAUAUAUAUAUAUAUAUAACUGCCCAAAUUGUGACUUCUUACUAAGCCCAAAUUUAAUUGGAAAAGGUACAUCAAUAGUAUUGAUAUUGCAAGAAUUCUAUAGUGAGGGCCUUAUAUAUGGUCCUUAAGUGAGACCAUAUCUUUUAAUAGUUAGAUCAAAUUAGUUAAUCGUUGAAUCAAGUUAGUUGGUCAAUAUAUACAGAAUAGCGCACAAAAUGUUUGUUCAAGAUUGUUUGCUUUUUAGUUAAAGCAACAGCAACCUCUCUGUUAGCCCAACUGAAGUGAAGCCCAUUUCAAGGCCCAAAUUGUCUUCCCAAAAGAGAAUGAUCACUACUUAAACUCGAUCAACUACUAGUUUUUAUCCCAAAAUCGUUUACUUGGUUGGCUGACAUAAUUAGGGAAAAAAAGGUCAAGAAAUACUACACCAUGUUGUAAAUUCAUUGAUUGUGGAUGACCACCAUAAUAUCAUUCAUAAUACUUACUAUAAAACACAUCUUAAUAUCACUGUAACCUAUGCACACUAAGGAUUGUAAUUAGUACAUUUAUGGGUUGUAAUUAUAUGUUUGUUACCUACUAAUAAUUGGUGGUGAAUGUUUGUCUAUUCUCGAAGUCUAUAAAUAGUAGGUAUCAAAGAUGAAUGGUAUACAAGUUCAUAGAACAAAUUCUUUGUCUUUCACUUUCUCUUAUUGCUAUAUACAAUUCCCUCUAAUUUUAUAACACACCAUAUAUUAUCAUUUCUCAUAGAUGUGGAUCAUUGAUCAUCGGUUAUUGACAUAUACUUGCAUAAAGUCUUAGCAAUAAUUUCUCAAGUUCUUCUUACUCCACUUUUGUUAGCAAUAGAAGUCAUGUCGUAUGUUUUGUUAGUUUUUAUAUAUUAAAUUUAGAGGUAAAUAUGCCUUUUUAUGUUAAUUUUAGUUUCCAUAAUUCUGAAACUCAUAUUUCCUUGAUCAAUAAGAUAUAAUUCAAUUAGUUAAGCUAUUUCACCUUUACAUAUGCGGGCAGGACAUUUACUUCGAGGGAUCACAUUUGGAAAUGAUCAUUUUGUUGUUGUCCAUGCUUUACACUUUGAGUUGUAUACCUGGCAGCCUUUGAUUGGUUGUCAAUAUUAAAUACUCACCCCAAAUUAAAAUAUUAUUGAAAUUGCACCUUUCAUACUUUCAAAAUUUAUAAAUUGUUCCAUUUUCUUGCAGUAACAUCAUCACCUUACUUACACAUGCAUGACACCUCUCUACUUUCAGCUUUCUAGAAAGAUAAGCUAGGUUUAUCACAUUUUUAUAACACCUUCUCUAAUAGAGGUAAAGCCCACCAAUACAAUAGGACCCACCUCUAUUAAAGAAAUGAUACACGAUGUGAUAUAAAAAUAUAAUAAGCCUAACAUUUUCCUUCUAGAAAAAAGAUACUUAAUAGAGCUAGUCUUUUGGACCAAGAUCACACGACAACAUAAGCGGUUCUAUGUGGUCAACAAGGGCGGUGAAAUCUUAAAAAUAAUUCUUGCCUCAACAUCAAUAACUGCCCUUUCACUAUUUCAACGGUAAUUUACUUGUUUAAAUGAAGAAGCCCAUAUGAUUAUAGACUACGUACGGGAAGCCAUACAUGUACAAAGCAUUAAUUCAAUAAGGUUUCCUCAAGCACUUAUUCAUUACUUUCUCUAAUUAUUCUACUAAUCACCUCCAUUAACCUAAACACUCAAUUAGUUUUUGCUCAGCCACGUUUACCUGUCCAUGUCUUGUUUUCCCAACAAAGGCAACUACACCACCAACAGCACUUACCACACAAACCUCAACAGCCUUCUAUCAGCCUCCCUCCUCUCCAAUACGGUAACGGCCACGGCUUCUACAGCUCCUUAUCCGCCCAAAGAGUCUAUGCAAUCGGGCUCUGCAGAGGAGACAUUAACCCCGAUGCUUGCGGUAGUUGCCUCAGUAACUCUACAAUUUCCAUCGCACAAGCUUGCCCUAACCAAAAGGGGCAGUAUGGCGGGACUAAUGCAUGCUACUCUACCCAAACCGCUCCAUACGUGGCUUCAUGGAAGCCUGUCCGAUUUUCUAUACCACGAGCUCUGGCAACGUGUUGUCAUCUGACAUCGGAGGGUUCAACCUGAUAAACAUGGCAGAAAAAGAGAUUUAGGUUUUGAGUUUUAGUGAGAGAGUUAAAAAGAGAGAAGCUCUGUAUAUUUCUUUCUGAAAAAUCUUAUACAUCCCAAGUUAAUCUUAAGCAGAGCUUAAGCUUAACCUUAUGUAGCUAACUAACAUAACUUCUCCUGUGAGUAAACUAUACUAACACACACGUGUAUUCAAGUGGACUAAACACUAAUAAGCACGUGAACAAUCCAGCUCACUAAACACCUCAGCAGCAGCAUACUGUUAACACAACCGGCAGCUCAUGAUCCUGCUGGAAAGACUGAGAGGUGGAGCAUUGGUUUGGCAGCGGCUACUGAAAAAAAAGCUGUAAAAGCCCUGCACAUGAUUAUAUAUAAGGUUCGUCAGGAGACGAUCAUGGCCGCGUGAUUACUAAUGCGCUCUUCAAACACUAUGGCCCCAUCUCCACUGUUUGGCAACCAAGAAAAUUAUGAGACUCUCUGACUCUAUAUGUAAUAUAUAUAAUUGACAUGAGACGAAUACUCUCUCUCUCUCUCUCUCUCUCUCUGUGUAGGGUUUUUAGCAGUUCAGGGCUACGACGCCAGUUGCAGCCUUGAAAGUGGGAUGUGCAUGGUUUAUGGCAAUCCAUAGGUGACCCCCACAGUAGGUCCAUAAUUCCAUUUCCAUGAUUCAAAUAUUGGAUACAGCAGGCCAGAAUAUAUAUAUAUCUCGUUGCGCUUUUCUGUUAAUAUCUUUUCUUUCUUCUAGCAAUCAUCCAUAUGUGCUCAACUUGUUUAGCUUUAUACGAGAGAAGAGACUGCAUGUCUGCGAUGUUUUAUUAUUGCUUUGUCAGUCGUUCUUGAUACCAAUUUUUUUAUUAUUUUUAAUCCUAACCAAUAUUCGUUGAUUCGGGUGCCGAUCAAAUCCAAAAUAUAUGCUGAUCUUUGAUUAGACUAUAAAAUCAACAAGCUUCAAGAACACCGAUCGAUGAUUUGUCAUUUUAUUUAACACAUAAAAUAUGGAAAACAUUUUUAAAAUAAAAAUGAUAUUCACACGCUCAAAAUUGUCAUCAUAUUCUCUCUAAAACAAAAAUAAAAACAUAUUUCUAAAUUGGUUAUUAGUAGGCGCUUUAAUAGAAGAACCAUUUUUUGUGUGCUUUUAAUUAAGUUACGUGUUUGAAUGUGAUCCAUGGACCAGUAAAUAAGGGCCAAAUAUUAAUUCAAGCUAGCUAUGUUGAGAGUGAUAAGUUUUGGUAUGUUUGUUUUGUAAUUGGAACUAUAUGAUUGAUCCUAUAGGCUAUACCUAUAGCUAGAGGGAGGCACUCUCUGAAGUGGCACUGGCCCAUUGAAUUACUAUCAGUUGCCGACAGAUCACUGAUAAAGCCAAAGCCUAGCUAGGAUCAGCUAAACCUAAUUCGUGUUCGACCAAAAAAAGCUAAACCUAUUUUGUGUCAUUCUUUCGACCACAAAAUGAUACGCAUGCAGCUAGCAAUCUUAUGGAGGAUCUAGGAUCAUCAUGUUCAAAAUUUCAACCCAAAUGUUUGAUGUGAUAUCAAAGUUUUCUGUGUGGAGUGGUCUCGCAGCUUUCUUGUUCUCUCUCUAAGACUAAACUACUUUAGAAAAAUAAUUACCCAAAUUUUGACUUCUUACUAAAGCCCAGAUUUGAUGAGAAAAGGUCCAGUAUUGGUUUGAACCCAUUACAUUGGAACCACAGACAAGGAAUAUCCCACAAAAUGUUCCUUUGUGCCCAAACGGGAAGAGAGAGAAUGAAAGGUGGAAAGAUACUAAGAUGCAUCUUAAUAAUACUAAUGACAUGCUUACUAAUAAUAAUUAAGUUAAGAGGAAUUGAAUUUUAAUUCGUUUUUCCAUUACGAGUUGUAUCCUUUUUGUAAUUAAUGGAUAGAUAUAUAUAUAUAUAUAUAUAUCAUCUUGGUUUCUUUUUUAAUAAGUGGAAAAUGAGAUAUGAGUACUUGAGAUAUCUUUCAACAUUGAGAAGAGAAAUACUAUUAAAUUAAGAGUUAGUUAAUGUAAAAUAUCAUCUUGGUUCAACAUUUAAGUUUAGUGUUUGAUCAUGAAUUCGGGUGUUAGUAUCGAGUUUUAUUUGAGUGCGAGUGAGUUUAGGUUGAGCUUGGUUUGCGCCUGAAGCCUCAACCAAAACUCAGAUCCAGUUUGAUCAAGUUUACAAUUUCUGUUUGAGCAUAAUCUUGACGAUGUUUCAAAAGGGUUGUGACAGUCUACCAUUUUGUCCUUAUCACCUUCCCAAAAAAGAAUAUCGAUCAACUAAGAGCAUCUUCAACCGAUGUGUCAAAAGUGCCACAUAGACAUUUAACGGCCAGAAAUAGCAUCUCACAUCACUCCAACUGAUGUGUCAAAGCUGAUGUGGAAUGAAGGCUAGAGGUUGAGAUGUUAUUUUUGACAUCCCAAAAGCAAGAUGUCAAAUGAAUAUUUUAUUAUUUUUAAAAGAUAGUUGGCUGUUACUUUCAUUUAUUAUUAUCAUUUUUUUAUUUUUUCUUCUUUAUCUUAAAUGAUUUGACUGUUACAAUAAUUAUUUAUUUGACAUAUCGGGUGGAGUGUAAAACUGUGUAAAUGUCAAAUUGCCACAUCAGCCAUCAAAUUUAAAUUUGAUAUUUGGUAUUUGACAUCUCCCUUGGAGAUGCUCUAAGGAAAGAAAGAGUCUAGAAAGACUAGACCACAUAUUUAUUUCAUACUUUCAGAAUUUAUAAAUUGUUCUCGAAAACAUUUACUUCAUUAAAUUGUUCUAAAAAAUUAUUCUUGCCGGCCUUGUCCUCACUCCUCACCUUUCACAGUCACUCAACCAGCGCCCUUUCACUAUUUUCCAGUGGUAAUUUUUUUUUUCAAUUAGUCAAAAUAAUAUACAUCACGUAUAUAAUUUUAAUCAAUCAAUUGUAAUCAAAGAAGAAAACCAUAAUAUAAUUUCAAUCAAUCAAUUGUAAUUAAAAAAAAAAAAAGCCAUAUAAUUUAUAGACUGCAUAUGGGAAGCCACACAAGUCAUUAGUUCAAUAUGGUUUCCUCAAGCUCUCAUUCAUUACUUUCUCGAAUUACUCUAGUAAUCAUCACCAUUAACCUAAACACUCAAUUAAUCUUUGCUCAGCCACGUUACCUGUCCAAGUUUUGUUUUCCCAACGAAGGCAACUACACCACCAACAGCACUUACCGCACAAACCUCAACAGACUUCUCUCCACUUCUCUCCUCUCCAACGGUAACGGCCACGGCUUCUACAGCUCCUCCUCCACCCAAAACGACCUCGAAAGGAUCUGCGCAAUCGGGCUCUGUACAGGAGACAUUAACCCCGAUGCUUGCGGUAGUUGCCUCAGUAACUCUACAAUCUUCAUCGCACAAGCUUGCCCUAACCAAAAGGUGGCAGUUCUAUGGCGGGAGGUUUGCAUGCUACGCUACUCAAACCGCUCCAUACGUGGCUUCAUGGAAGCCGGUGCGAUUUUCUAUACCACGAGCUCCGGCAACAUGUCGUCAUCUAACGUCGGAAGGUUCAACCGGCAGCUCAUGACCCUGCUGGAAAGAUUGAGAGGUGAAGCAGCGGCUGGUGGCGAUCUUGUUAAGUUUGCAGUUGGAAACGUUUCGAAAAAUAAUGUUAUUUCUCAGACGAUAUAUGGACUUGCUCAGUGUACACCGGAUUUGACUGAGCUCGACUGUAACAAUUGCUUAGUAUCAAUUGCUGGUGACAUCCCACAGUGCUGUUAUGGGAAGCUUGGUGGGAGACUUGGUACACCCAGCUGUUAUAUAUAUAAAUAUAUCAGCCCACUUCUACAUUGGGAUAUAUACCUUCAAGCUUUGCAAUUCGAUUUUGCCUCCAUUAGAGUUGCCACAAAUAACUUUUCUGAAGAAAAUAAGCUCGGAUGGGGUGGAUUUGGUGAUGUUUACAGGGUAUAAUGACACAAAUGUUUUGAGCAAAAAAUUUAUAAAUUAUAUAUAUGUGCCUAAAUGAGAAACAAUAUUGAAGUUAAUUUUCAGAUUAAUCGCUUGAAUGCAGGGGACGCUUCUCAGUGGAGAAGAUAUAGCAGUGAAAAGACUAUCUACGGAUUCUGCACUAGGAGAUUUGGAAUUUAAAAAUGAGGUCUUGUUAGUGGCCAGGCUACAACACCGCAAUUUAGUUAGGCUCCUUGGUUUUUGCCUGGAAGGAAAUGAAAGGCUUCUUGUCUAUGAGUUUGUCCCUAACGCAAGUCUCGAUCAAUUCAUAUUUGGUAUGACUGAAUUCUAGUUUAUUUCAAUAAUGCAUUUCGGAAAAGUUCAUUUGUGUGGCUACAUUUUACAGAUUACUAAUUUUUCUUGAAUAUGUAGAUCCAAUCAAGUGCGCUAAUUUGGUUUGGGAGAGUCGCUACAAAAUCAUACUAGGAAUUGGAUGGGGGCUCCUUUUCCCUCACGAAGAUUCUCGUUUUAGAAUUAUUCACUGUGAUUUGAAAACUAGCAACAUUUUGUUAGAUGCAGAAAUGAAUGCAAAAAUUUCAGAUUUUGGCAUGACAAAGUUGUUUAUGCUUGAUCAAAGACAAGGCGAGACCAUUCGAAUUGUGGGGACCUAGUAAGUAUACUAAACUAGGCUAACUUCUGAGCAUAACCAUGCAAAGUUUUAAUCCAAGUAAAUUAAAGCUUAUGAUAGGCCUUUUUGACGUGCAGUGGAUAUAUGGCUCAUGAAUAUGGAUACUUUUAUGAUAAGUCCGAUGUUUAUAGCUUUGGUGUACUAGUUUUGGAGAUAAUAAGUGGACAAAAAAUGUGUUCUUCCCGCCAUGAAGAGAAUGAGGAUCUUCUAAGCUAUGUAAGUAAAGAAACAUUCGGACCGAUUUACACGAAAGAAUGAAGUGAAACUAGUCUCUAAUAUUGUGUUUAUUCGCAUUCACAAAUCAUACAGGCACGGAAAAAUUGGAAGGAAGGGACAGCUUCAAAUCUAAUAGAUCCCACCUUGAGAACUGGUUCAAGAACUGAUGAAAUAAUGAGAUGCAUCCAAAUUGGAUUGUUAUGGCUGCAACAAUCUAUGGCUGCAAGGCCAACUAUGGCUUCAGUUAUUCUCAUGCUUACUAGCAGCUCUCUCAGUCUCCCAGUACCCUCACAGCCACCCUUUUUUAUGAUCGAAUUGGAGAUGUCUGGUGUGGUAGGAUGAGAUCAGUCCAAGAGCAACUCUGUCCAACAAUCGGUUAAUGAGGCCUCAUUACUGAACUGUCUCCUCGCUAUAAAAGCUACAAAACUAAAGAAAAAUAAUUGCCCAAAUUGUGAUUUCUUACUAAAGCCCAAAUUCAAUGAGAAAAAGGUCCAGUAUUGAUAUGAACCCAUUACACACAGAAAAGUGUAGGACUAAGGCGAAACAGAAUAGCCCACAAAAAUGUGCGAAGAAUGAAAAUUUGAACUUGAAAUCUCUUUCAACGUUAAUUGAUAUGGAUAACAUUUUAUUCAAUACAUAACUUUAGGAUUUUCAAAGUUUAGUGUUUGGUCAUGAAUUUGAGUGUUGGUAUUAAAUUUUAUAUAAAUGCGAGUGAGUUUAGGUUAAGCUUGGUUUUGCUUGAACCCUCAACGAGAACUCGAUAAGAGUAUGAUGAAGUUGACAAUUUAUGAACCCAAACUCAAUUAAACUGUCUCUAACUUGUGCAUGCAUGUUCAAAUUUGAGUAUUUUCUGUUUGAGCUUACUACUUUUCUAUAUAAUCUUGACGAUGGUUCAAAGGGACAGUCUACCAUUUUGUCCUUAUCGCCUUCCUAAAAAAGAGUAUUCAGUCAUUAAACCUGGAUCAACUAAAAGUUUUAUCCCAAAAUCGUUUACUUUGUCUACUUAACUAAAGAUUAUGUUGAAUUCAAAAUAUGUUUAAAAAUAUUUAUAUAUACAGAAAGACGAGACCCCACAUAUUAUAAUUUCUCAUAGAUCAACAUCAUCUUGAGCAAUUAUCAGGACAGUUGACCGUAUAUCCUCCUCCAAAAAAUGCAUGAAGUUUCCUGGAAUGAUUAACUUAUAUACUUGAAAAUGAUAUUUGUUGUCCAUGCUUUACAUUUGGCGUUUAAACCGGUCAGUUUUUGAUUGGCUGUCUUUCCUAUUAAAUUAGCACGAUAAAUUAAUAUAUAUAUUUUUUUAGUACAAGUGAUAGUCUACACUAUAGGGAAUGAGAAUUUCUCACACACACACAACUAUGAUGCUUUAGAAAUUCGAACUUGAGACCUCUCGUAUGCAAAUUAAUGGUAAUUUUUUAUUGGGUUAAUCCUGUUGGCAAAUUCGAAUAUUUUAAUUACAUUUAUAAAUUGUUCACUUUCUUUAACAAAACCAUCAACACCUUCCGCAUGUAUGGAACCUCCAGCUUCCUAAAGUCGUUUUCUUCCAACAAAAAAGAAUCCCCGUUUUCUUUUGGACCAAGUUCACACGUCGACAACGUAAGCACUUGGGUGUGGUCAACAAGGGCGGUGAAACCUUAAAAAUUAUUCUUGCCGGCCUUGUCCUCACUUCUUCUCACCCUCCACUCAACCACAGCCGCCCUUUCACUAUUUCAUUGGUAAUUUACUUGUUUAACGUAUUCAAUUAGUCAAAUUGAUAUACAUCAUGUAUAUAAUUUUAAUCAAUUAGCUCUCAUUCAUUACUUUCUCUAAUUAUUCUACUAAUUACCUCCAUUAACCUAAUCACUCAAUUCGUGGUUGCUCAGCCACGUUACCUGUCCAAGUUCUGUUUUCCCAACAAAGGCAACUUACCACACAAACCUCAACAACCUUCUAUCCCCUUCCCUCCUCUCCAACCGUAACGGCCACGGCUUCUACAGCUCCUCCUCCGCCCAAAAAGACGUCGAAAGAGUCUAUGCAAUCGGGCUCACCCCGAUUCUUGCGGUAGUUGCCUCUGGUGAUGUGCCUGCCACCUCCAAUCCUGAAUAUCUAAAGUGGUUUGAUGUCAUCAACUCAUCGUCAGCUACCUUAAUUACCUCCACCAUUACCGUUGGUUGUGCUUCUUCUCGCGACAUUUGAACUUGUCUUCAGACUCACUUUUUUUUUUCAUGGGUGACUAACUAUUAUCAAAACAAAUCCAGCGGGUCUUAGAGACCCCCAUCACGUCGUCAGCUAAUAAGGUGCCAAUCCAAGCUGGAGCAGAGUCAAGAGGGCACGGUAAACAUGAUUUUUACACCACAAUUUCCAACUUGUUCUACAAACUUUCUGCAGUCUGAGAGCACUCCAGCAAGAGGGUCUUCAAACUCACUUCGCUCAAGCUUCGGUUUGAUAUAGAUUAUAGAAUUUAGGAGUAAUUGUGGCAAUGUUCUUGAACUAUACCCGUAGGUGCAUUUUGGUUCAAAAAUAGCUGCAGAGGUUCCCCAAUUAUGUAUGGUGUUGCAUUACUAGUCCCUUCCGUUAAGUCUGUCUAUUUUUUCGUUAAAUCCAUGGGUAAACUUGGAAUUUUUUUCCAAAUAUUUAUAAAAACGAAAUAACAAAAAGUAAAUAAAUAAGGGUUAUUUGUAGAAAUGGUCCCUCAACUAUAUUCGGAAUUACAUUUUGGUCACUCAACUCCAAAAAUAGUUACAGAGAGGUCNNNNNNNNNNNNNNNNNNNNNNNNNNNNNNNNNNNNNNNNNNNNNNNNNNNNNNNNNNNNNNNNNNNNNNNNNNNNNNNNNNNNNNNNNNNNNNNNNNNNAGAAAGCUGCGAGACCACUCCACACAGAAAACUCUGAUAUCACAUCAACAUUUGGGUUGAAAUUUGACAUGAUGAUCCAGAUCCUCCAUAAGACUGCUAGCUGCAUGCGUAUCAUUUUGUGUCGAAAGAAUGACACAACAUCAGGUAUUAGACGUGAUCUUGUGUAGACUAGUAUUGGAGUUCAGUGACUAAAAUGAAACUCCGAGUAUAAUUGAGGGACCAUUGCUACAAAUAAUCCUAGAAUUUAAAAGUUAUUUUCUUUUUUAAUACAACCAAUUUUUAUUCUUGACGUACAAUCCAAACAUAUCAGGCAGCGUGAACUCUACGACAAGAAAAGCUCACAAAUCAUCGUCCAUGUGUUUAAAUCUCUCUUAAACCAAAAAAACUUCAUCCGGUCCUCUUCUCCGUCCUAUCACUUACAAUACAUGAACAAAUAAUACUAUUGGGUAUAUUGAAAAUAUAAAACUGAGACACCCAAUUUAUGUGGGCAGAUGUUCGAAAUCCAGACACUCAAUGAAUAUGUGUGUAAACCCCUUCCUCCAAUCACUUGCGCUAAAAAAAAUCAACCGUAAAAAUUAGAAAUUAUUAUAAAGUAGUUUUUUUUUUUGGUUGAAAAAUAUUUCUAUAAAAUGGGAACCGAAAAAUGAAUUUGUAUAUUCAGGAUCUGAAAAUGUGACUCAUAGCUUAGUUAAAAAUGAAGCUUGAUUGCAGCAAUGAUUCUCAGAAUAUACCUUUUCACAUUUUAGUCUCCGGAAUUUUAAUAAUAUUUGAUGUCGUACUCUAAGUGACACAUUGUCAUUUCCGUAAACGCAACGAGAUGGCUUAAAUUUUUCUUGUGAAUAUGGUGGCCUUCUUUGGCAAGGCAAACAAAAGUAAUUUUUAUAUAGCGCGUCAAUUUUCUAUUAUAACAAAUAUUGUAAACAAGCAUUGGUGGCGAUUAUUAUUUUAAACUUGGCGUGUGAAACGAGAUUGCUAAGAAAUUCUAUAUUAUAGGUGCCCAGCUCAUUGUCGCAUUAUCUUUUAAAAUUUUGGCUUGAUUUUUAUUUUAUUUUUAAUACAACACUUUCAAAACGUACGUUACGAGGAUUCGAACUUGUAAAUGUCCUUUUUUAAUGUGCUAGAAUUCGUUGGCAUUUUGGCUUUGCUAUUGAUAAGUAAAUAACACAUCCCUUUUACAUAAAAUUUUUACAACACAUAAUAAGUAAAUAACACGUCCGUUUUACAUAAAUUUUUACAAAACUUGGACAUAACAUUUACAAACUCAGAUUAUGAAACACUCUUAACUGCUUUGUAAAGCAGUUUUAUUGAAAGCAAAACAAAAACAAACUAGCCCGUAUUGUCACGGCUUCCUGCAAUACAAACCUGAACAGAAACCAUGAAAUACUAUCUUGUCCAACACAAAAUUCACCAACUUGAAACCCAUUUCCACGAACUUCAUCCGGUUCUCAGCAAACUAUAAAGUGAUCACGAAAAACACAGUCAACAAAUCAAUCACACUCAUGAUCAAUAGUACGUAAUACCAAAAACAAAACAACAAAAAACCCCUAAAUUUCAUUAUUUGCUUUUUUUUUUCUUUUCUUUCCCAGACUUGAAUCUGCUUGAUUUUUAUUCUAAGCAUGCCACGUCAUUUAGAAAUAAUCCAAACACGAAAAAACAAGAAACCACAUAGUUUUCCCUAGCUGCCUUCUUCUCCAUUUUAGCAUUCUCUCAAAACCAAGAGGAACCUCUUCUCCUUUCAAUCACCCUUUUCCCUUUACUUUUCUUUUCUCCAGAAAGCCAACAGCUUUCGUCUCCCGGCCAUCUCUUUCUUUCUAUUUAUCUAAUUCUACAAUCCGGACAGAAUUCUUUUAAUUUUUUUUUUCCUUGCUUGCUGAUAUAAGUCCUGAUCUGAUACGCGUGGCUACUUCCGUGGAGGAAAAUAGGAGAAAACAAGGUCUUUUACAAGGGACUUACAUGAAACUUCCUUAAUUGAAAGAUGAACAAAUUAUACGUUUUGAGAGAAUGCUAAAAUGAAGAAGAAAGAGCUGCCAAGGGAAAAAUAUGUGGUUUUAUGUUUUUAGCUUUCGGAUGAUGUUUAAAUGAUGUGCCAUGCAUGCUCUGAAGAAAGUCAAGCAGAUCCAAGCUAGAAAAAACCAAGCACAGGAUCCGCGUCCUAUUUUGUAAGGCUACAUAUCCAACCUUAAAGAGGUGAACACAGAUCCACAUAUCCAUGGGGAACUGGCUUGAACCUCUAUGCACUGAAAUAUAUAUAUUAGAGAGAGAUGAUACCGAUCAUUUACCUCAUGAGUAUACCCGUGUAGAGUGUGAGAAACGCCCAAUACCCCUGCAAUUCACAACUCAUGACGUUAGGAAAAUUUAUUGAUAUUGCACACACACACACACACACAUAUAUCAAUACAAGCUGACAACUGAGGGAUCAUUUACCUCAUGAUGAUGCUUUUUGGGGGGAUCGUUUCUGCCUCCGCCACCAGUUUUCCAUUUUCUAGAAGAAAGGUGACUCGUCCGUUGGUAUUGAAAUACUGUGCUGAAAGGACCGUCGUGGUCCUCGUACCAUUAGCCGUUGCGAUGACAUGAACGGUUCUGGGAACACCAGUAUAAGAACUAUGAUCUAGGAAUUUCUUCGCUCUUAUCAAAUUGCGACCCGCAGGUGGCAUCUUAGCAACUAGCCUUCCCACCGAGACAUCACCUCUCUCGACCUCUCUUAUUUCAACCUCCACCGCUGUAUUGUUUUUAAUCUCGGUCAUCCGAGCAAACAAAUCAAAAAAGUUCUUCAUUGAUUAACUAUUUCACCACAACCCACAGGCUCUGCUCCCCAAGGCUCUUUAACCGCUAUAUAUUGGCUAGGGUCAGCCACACUGAUAAAAUAAGUUGGGGUCAAAAAAAGACAAGAUCAACCUACUAAUAUUAUAAGGGUGGGCAUUGGAACUUCAGAACCGAUCAACCGUAUUGAACUGGGCCGAAGGAGAUUUAAAUACUAAAAAAUAAAAAAUGCCGAGUUCGCCAACUAAAUUAACUUAGGUUGAAUACCAAAUUGAACCGGUCCGAUUUCAGUCCCAAUUUUUGUGAUGAAUCUGCAGGUCGGUACCAAACCAGACCAGUUGCGUGAGAUAUUAUUUUUUGGAUACUGUUUGUGAAGGAUGUAUUUCUACUUUAUGUAAAUCACGUUUUGACAUAUGUAAAAAUAAUUCUAAAAAAUAUAAAAGAAAAAAUCUCUACACAUGUCAAAUUGUGAUUAGCAGAAAAGUAAGAAUUCCUACUUCCUACAAGAAGUAUUUUCUUAUUUGUUUUAAAUAUUCAAGCCUAAAAUGUAUCAACCUAAUACCUAAUCCCCAAGCCCAAACCUCUCUCUCUCUCUCUCUCUCUCUCUCUCUCUCUCUUCCUUCUUAUGUGCCUUUUCUCUCUCGUCUUCUUCUUUCUCUUUUAUUUUUCUCCUUCUGUCUUUCCAGUGGUGGAUCCAAAAUUUUUCUGUGGGAGAUGCAAUAUUAACCAAAAUAAAUAUUAAUUAGUCAAUAUCUUCAAUAUCAGUGGUGGACUCUCAUACUAGCCAAAAUCAAUAUCAAUAAAUUUAACUAAAAUAAACAUCAAUUAAUAAAAUAAAAAAUUAUAUCAAAUUAUAAAUUAAUCUAACUAAUUAUAAUUGAUCAUAUUGAGUCGUGCACAACAUAGUCUCUAUGCUCGAGUUUGUUCUAGUUUAACAAUAUGUAUUACAUUCUAACUUACUUUGAAAGCUUGAUCGAUACAAUAUUUUCUUUGAUUUGUAUGAGAAUGUUCAUGGCAUGGAAUUUCAAGAUUUCAUUUUGGAACCUACUUCUUUUUGAGAAAUCUCACCAUAGCUUUGCACGUCAAAGUUUUAAACUCUUAUCUCUUUCAUUGCACUACUUUGGAAAACUUGGUUUUUUCUUUGGUUUGUCUGAGAGUGUUCAUGACAUGGAAAUGAGUUUUCAAGAUUUCAUUUUGUAAGCUGCUUUUUUUUAAUAGAAAAUAUGACCAUAGCUUUGCACUUCAAAGUUUUAAUAUCUCAUCUCUUUCAUUUGCACCAUUUUGGAAAACUUGAUUUUCUCCUUGAUUUGUUUGAGAGUGUUUGAAAUAAGGGUUUCAAAUAUUUUUUGAAUAUUCCUUCUAUUUUCGAAAUCUACUUCACCCAUUGGGAAAUUUUUGGAGUAAUUUUGCUCUGCAUUUUUUACUUGGUGAAGUCUAGGUUUUUCAUUGUGAGAUUUUGAAAAUGGUUUUUGAAAUUUGCUGUACUUUUAAAAUAUGCAUAUGGGUUCAUUUUGACUAGUCAGAUUCUUGGUUGAUUUCUUCAAGAGUAUGGUUUCUUGAAGGAAUUGACCAUUUCAUCUCAAAAUCUAUAUUUCAUUAUGUAUGUUCGAUCCAAAGCUGAGUUGUGAUGCCAUGAAGUGAAGAAGUUGAUGGAUUAGCUGUAUUUUUCUUGAAGGAUAGGAUACUAGCUCCACUAAGUUGGAGAAGAAGGUUACAGGGAGGUAGUGCUAAUUUCCUAAAUAGAUCUAGAACUGCUUGAGUUUGUAAUCUCUGUAAGAACCUUUUUAACUUAAUAAAUUUAAUAAUCGGAUGAUGACCUUCAGUUUUUCCCAGUAAUAAGUUUAUGAGUGAACAUUUAUGGUGUCCUGUUCUUGAAAAAUACCACAGGCGGAGAGAUGAUUGACCACUCGGACUGUUCGAUGCAUCUCCCCAGUCAAUGAUUGCCUUGCACAUUUGAUUUUUUAUUUUAAUUGACCUGGUCAAAUUUAUGUACUUCUCAUGGUAAAAAAUAGCGGGCCAAAGGCCCAGCUUUCUAUUAAGCUUUCGACUCAACAUAAAAUGGCGGGCUUUUUUAUUAUUAUUAUUAGGAUGCUAAUUUUCUCAUUCUAUUUUAUUAUUAAGGAGAAUCCUGUUUUGUCUAUUUAUACUUUCUUUGUAUGUUAUAAAGUUUUUUUUUUUUUUUUUUUAAAAACAAAAUAGAGUGUAAGUAGACUAAAGAAGAGAAAAAAUCAACUCCCUUAUUAUUAUUUUUGGUUCUUUGACGAGGCAAGAAAAUUAAAAAAAGAUGUCGUCCAAAGUCGAACUUUUAUAUAAUGCGUAUAUUUUCUAUUGUAAUAAAUAUUGUAAAUAAUUGACAGAACAACGAAAAAUCAGUGGGGAUGUGAUCAUGUGAUAAUUUCAAAUUUCUCUUGUGAAACAAGGAAGGUUCCCCUCUUCGACCAAAAGAGAAGAAGAUGCCCUCUUAUGUAAAGACAUGCACUACCCCCAUCCUUAAUCAUAUAGUAAUUAAACUACUGCUUAUAUUUAAAAAAUUUAAAAAAAAAAUGUCCAAAAAGUAGUAAUUAAAAUGGUGGAUAAUACCCAUAUAAUACCCGUAAUUACAAUAAAUGGUGGAUAGCAGAGGUGCUGGGCGUGGGCCUUUUGCAAUUGAAUUUUUUGGGGUUAAUUUUGUCCUUUGCUACGCGCGAAUCUAUGCCUGAUGGUUUCCAAGAAAGAAGACUUGUUCUUAUAUGAGUGAAUAAUAGUUGUUUAAAAGAUAUAAAAAAAUUGUUAAGCACCUAUUUGUAAUAAAUUAAACAAAUAAAUUAAAAGUUUUUAAAUAAAAAAAAACAUGGAGCGACUUGUGGGUUGUCGGCCCACCGUCUUUCGCUUUGGCAUUGCCUUUCGUUUUGCAUUUUUUUUGUCCUCGUCAAUUUGUAUUUAUUUCUUGGGUUGCUGUACCUACUAUUUUGCUCCGACCCUAGUGUAUUGAGUGGGACAAUUUACCAUGCAUGCAAUUAUUUAUUUGUUUUUAUUUAAAUAUUAAGGAGAGCAUCAUGGUUAAGUUUUUCAUUAAUUAUGGGGUGAUUUUCACUUUUUUACCCUUAAGUUUAUUGAGUUUCAGCCUUUAUUACAUAAAGUCUUGAGUUUUUAUCAUUAACAUUUCAAAAGUGUUUAUUUGAGUCUUUCAACUUUGAAAUCAAUCAAUUUUGUCCUUAAUUGUGCUCAGCAAUUCAGUUUGGUCCAUCUCAUUGCAUUUCAUAAAAAAAUAUUUGUUAAAAUUGGUCAUGCGAUCAACUUUAAGGCUUCAUUUUUAUCAAAACACAGCCUAUGUACUCAUAACGAAAAAUAAAUCUUAUGUAUUUUUCUUGAUAAGGCUAUCCGGUCUCCUUGAUAGAACCAAAAUGUAAAAUCAUAAAUGGAGAAACGAUGACAUUUUGGAGCAAUAAUGUGAGUGUUAUGACUUAAAUGAGGUAAAAAAAAUCCCUUUUAAAGUUGGCAACGUGAUGAUGUGAGACAAAAUUCACCGAAUGUUUUGUCAAAAUGCAACAACAAUGUAGACCAAAAGAUGAAGGACCACAUUAAUUGAUUUGAGAGUUUAAUGACUAAAAUGAGAACUUCUAAAAAGUUCAGAAACCAUUUGUGAUAAAAACCUAAAGGUUUUUUUUUUUAAAUCUCACAUACACAAAGUUCAUUUUCCUACCACCUUUAUAGCUACUUCACUCAGUAUGUUAAUCACUGGUGUAACAAUAAAUAUGCCAUGUCGGCCCACUCAUAUGGUGCCACGUGAUUAGACAAAAUAAAUAUGAAAAAUUGGAUUAAACAAAAAUAUAAAACUUAUAUAUAUUUGUAAUUUUUUUUUAUUUAUAAAAAAAAUAAAUCUCUCUCAUGCUCCCUUUCCUCCUUCUUUCUUCAACAACCAUGAACAUUAACCCACCCUUCCCCCCCUAUCUCGUUAGCCUCCAUCCACCACCUAUAGUGCAGCCUCUAGCCAUCUCAUCUAGCCCUUUCUCCCUAUCUUCUUUUCCCUCCUUUUCCAUCUUCUCCCACCUCAAGCCACUGCCUCCAAACAACUGCGCCCCACCCCAAGAUCUGUUGAAGAUUGGCUCCCUAUUUGAUGCGGGAAGAAGAAGAAACUAAAGGGGCUGCAAAGGAGCAGCAAGAGAGAAAGAGCAUAAGUUGCAAGGAGGCAAUAUCACAGCAGGCGGUUGAUCGCUUGGCAAAACUACUGGUCGUCGCUUCAAUUAGUGAGAGCUAAGGCGGUUCAAGACUGUAAUGAAAGUUGUUCUUAUAUAGUAGUGAAUUUCUUAGGUGGAUCACCAAAAGGAUGUAGGCACGAGGCAGAACCUCUAUAAAUCUUUGUGCUCUUGUGUGUUUGUUUUCUCUCUUCGGUCUGCGUGUGUUUUAUUCUCAAAGGGAUUUGUGUGUGUGUCGUUGCAUAGUCCAUGAACGACAAGGUCUUGGAGUGUUUUCGCACAACAAGUGGUAUCAGUAGCCUAGGUCAGCAAUAUGUAUUGGUUUUAUGCCCAAGUGCUCUUAUAGUUUUAAGAGUGUUUGUAAGUGUUGAGGAUGACUGGCAACAAGAAGACGGUGGGAGAAAGCUCCCAAACAAAGACAUCAUAAACGGAUAGCAUGAAGCUCGAGGUGAAGAUAUUCACAAGAAAGGAGAACUUCAAGAAAGAAGAACUUCAAGCUAUGGGGAAUGAAACAUGACCUAGCCCAGCAAGGUUUAACCAUUAUCUUGGUAGGCAAAGAGUCAAGGUCGAAAAUUAGGACAACGGAAGAGAGGGACAUUCUCGGCAAGUUGGUUAGGGGGUCAUUCAAGGCGAUGGAAGACACUGCAAAGCAAACACAAGAAAAGCUCAAAUGGAUGUUUGUAGGGAAUGUCCCUAUCAAACGAACGCUUCAUGAAGGAAGAACUCAUAAAUCUUCGGAUGAAGGGGGGUGGAAAUCUCACGGAGCAUGUUAACACUUUUAAUAUGUGUAUUGCGGGCUUGCAGAAGGUAGACGUGGUUUAUAGCACAGAGGAUGUGGCGAUGAUGUUGUGGGCACCAUUGCCUCCACCCUAUAAACACUUUCGGAAGAUGCUGAUGAUUGGCAAGAUUAUUCUUAAUUUUGAGGAGGUGGUGCAAGACUUGGUGCAUCACAGAUUGGCUCAAAAUUUUGGAGAUAGCUCUCAAGGUGAGGGUCUAUUAACAUGAACCGAAUAGCGGGGUCGUUCAAGCAAGCGUAAGGGCAAGAAAGGCAAUGGGAGGAAUCCUAAAUUCAAGGACAAUAAAAGGUGCUUCAAGUGUGGGUUGACAAAGCAUUGGAAACAAGAUUGUCCGGUAUGGAACGAGAAGCGGAACAAGAUGAAGAAUGCUGAAAGUUCAAGCGCAGCCAAUGAUGAACUUUUGACGAUUAGAGAAGAGGAGCGUAACAGGGACGUCAUGACAAGUUCUUAGGAUAUGGGUUCUACUUCAGUUUGGAUUUUAGAUUUCGGAUGCUCUUAUCAUGUGUGUUUAAAACAAGAUUAUGUUAGGAGAUAAAACAAGUUGUGAUGUUUUGGGCUUAGGAACAGUGAAGAUCAAGAUGCAAGAUGGUGUUCUAGAUAGAGAAAGGGUAUUCGUACAAGGCCAAAGAACGGAAGCUCUUAGUCACACAAGGUUCAGUGGUGAAUAUGACGGGGAAGAUUUAACCUAACAACGUUUAUCAGCUUUUUUUUGGGGAGGGGGGUUGGUACAAUUGCAGGUGGAACAAAAAAUUCUACCAAGAUGGCACUUGUACCAAAGAAACAUGGGCAAGGGAUCUUACUGUCAAAGAGCCGAUGCAACGAAAUUAAGCUACUGGUUUGCUCAAGACUAGUUGGGCAAAGAAGGUUAAUCAGGGUCGUAUAAUUACCAGUUUAUCAUCAAAGGUGCUUGAUUUCAUAGUGGUUUGGGCUUCGACUUUUGUAAGUAUGUGUGGUUGUAUUUUGAGUGUUUUACUGUUUUGUUUGAAUUUUUGUUUGGUUUUGGUAAUUUUUGUCAUUAUAUAUAUUUUCUAAACCUUCUAGUAUUUUAAUUCUUGUAUGUUGUGAUCUUUAUUUGCUUUAGUACAUUUCAUUUCUUGUUAUAACAUUGCCUAUGCCUAAUUUUUCAACAUUGAGGACAACGUUAAUUUCUAAGUUUGGGAACGGAUAACAAGUCAUUUUUGUUUCACUUAAUUUCUUGCUUUGUUUUGUUUUUCUUGCAUUAUUUCGUUUUCUUUUGUUUUCAUUUUUGAGUCAUUUUUUUUUCUUACGAGUCACUUUCCGAACACAUAUGAUGAGAUUGUGAUGAAUGUUUGCAUGAGUUGAUUGAAAAUUUGAAUUUAUUAUUAUUUUUAUUAUUAUUCACUUAAUGGCAUUGUUCUAGCAUGAUAUGUUUGAAACCUUAGAUGCACUUGCCAUGUGUUUCAUAAUUCUUGGUGGGAAUGUUUUUGCUUUGUUUAUGUUGUGUUAGUUUUCUGAAAACUUUGAGUGUUCUUUGUACCUAAGUCUGUACAUUUUUGUAACUGAUUUUGCCAUUUGGUUCUUGUGUGUUCUUCAUUUUUCUGUGCCGAAGCCAACCAUAUAAAGAACGUGAAAUUUGGACAAAUGGUUGGAAAGUUAUUGGUCAAAAAUUAGACAGAGGUCGAAGUUGAAAAUAGGGCGCACACUUUGCCUAAAAAUGACCGAUUGUUUUGUUCGUGCCACUGGUUGACUUUCAUCUUGUUUAAACAUGCCACAACUUGCUUCAAAACGACCGGUCGUGCACUAUUCAUCACAUUGUUUAACAAUAAAAAAAAAAAUUAAUUUUUUUUUUUUUUGGAGUCAUUUUAAUUUUCCUUCCAACUGUUGUUUAUAACAUUGUUUGUUCCUAAAUUUCAAACAUUCAUGACAAUGCUUACUGUAAGUUUGGGAAGGUAAAAAAAAAUUUAUUUUUAUUGAGAGAUUGUCUUCCCCCUAAAGCUUUGAAAAAUGUAAUUUUAUUUAUAAAAAUUACAAAUGACGAAAAAGUCAAAAUUGUUUGUAGACAAAGCACAAUAGUACUUAUACUUUCAUAACAUAACUCUAAGGUUUGUGUGAUUCAUUGGUGAACAUAAAUACAAAUAUACGAAAUCCUGAUUUUAGCAUUCUAAUAUAGAAAAAUAAAGAAUUUAGGGUUUAAGGUAUAUUGAAACGACGCAUGUUUCUUCUUGACGGUUUUUGGUCAAUUACGCCCUUGGUCAAGCACGUUCGAAUUCCUGGAAAAUCAAAUCCCACCUAAUUAUUUUAUUUUUUAAGAUGUUGGUGUUAGUUUUUGCGCUGUGAAAAGGUUUUACUACUGCAUAAUCCAUAUAUUACUGCCGUAGUAAAGUCGUACAACGGCCCUAUACAUGUCAUAACUGUCGUCUUCGUCGUGACCUUCAACGAUGUUUUUUUUAUUAUUAUCGUUUUCGUAGUUUUUUAGAAAAGCGGGCCUUUGAAAUAUUUGACUGCGAUCUAAAUUUUUUAGAAUUCGCCCUUCCUCGAAAACAUUUCGCUCUCUCUCUUCAACUCAAAUUCUAAUCUUAAAGUUUUCGCUUUGCAUCCUCUGUUGUUUCUGAUUGCGCUUUCCCUCUCAAAGCAUUGGUGAUAUUCUCUGAGCUCUGUCUACCUGUAAGUACAAACCUUAAUCUCACAUGCUUGUCCUACUUUAUUUAAUGAUAUUGUGUUAUAGGUUCUUAAGUAUGAACCUAAUCUGACAUGCUUCUUAAAUCAAUUAAUGAUUUCGUUUGUUUUGGUAGCUAUGAGUUCUUAAUAUAUAUUUUUGGGAGCUAUGGGUUCUUAAUAUAUGUUUUGGGAGUUAUGGGUUCUUAAUCGGGAAUGGAAUCUGAAAAACCCAUUUAAUGUUUGCAUGCUUUUCAUAAUAACUCUCUGUUAUGUGUUCUUAAUGCAUGUUUGGUUAGCUAUGGGUUCUUGAAAAAUGAUUGGGAAUUGGAGAUUUAUUUUCUGGAUUUCUGUAUCAUACAACAAUGGUCAUUGGGGCAAAUUGUGGUAUGUAUUGUCAUUAUACGUCGGUAGUUCUGCAACUAUCGUCGUAUUAAAUUUGUAUUGCAUUUUGAAGAAUAAUUUUCUAGGUUUUGGUAGCCUAAAGACGAUGGUUAUUGGAGAUACCAUUGUCUGUAUUACUAUAACACGAUGGUCUUCUUGUUAAUACCGUCGUUUGAAACUUGUAUUAUUUGCUUUUAAAAAAAAUUAUACUCUGCUAUGUGAAUACCGUCGUCUGUCAUUGCUUGUCUUUUCACUUUAUUAUAUAUAUGAUUAUAUAUUGUGGAAGAUGGAUAAGUCAUGGAUGCAUGCGGAUAGAAGAUCGAAGGCAUAUGAGUUAGGAGUGGAAGAAUUUUUGAAUAUUGCUACAGAAAAUCUCGGAAAUACAACACAUAUUCAUUGUCCAUGUAUUAAAUGUGGGAAUAUUCGAUUGUUUGGGGUUGAAAAUAUAAGGGACCACUUAUACUUUAAUGGAGUUGACCAAAGCUAUAAGAUUUGGACAUGGCACGGAGAACCUUGGGGAUGGACUACUAAUGCUAGUAGAAAUGUGGAAGAAGAUGACCAAAGUAGGUACAGUGUUGUUUCUGAAGAAUUAGAGAUGGAUGAUAAUGAUUUAGGCAAUAUUGGAUCUGAUCCUUAUGAGUUUACCAAUGUGAUUGGGGAUGGAGAUCAACCUUUGUACCAUGGUUUGCAGUAAGUACACGAAGUUGUUGGCUUUAACGAAGUUAUAUAAUUUGAAAGCAAAACAUGAGAUGAGAGAUGUCUGUUUUACAGAAUUAUUGAUACUUCAAAGAAAUUUGCUUCUAGAAGGAAAUACAAUACCUUCCUUUAUGUACGAGGCAAAAAAGACUUUGUCUAUAUUGGGGAUGAGUUAUGAGAAAAUCUACGCAUGUCUCAAUGACUGCAUCUUGUAUAGAAAGGAUUAUGAAGAUUCAACUAAUUCUUAUACUUGUGGACACUGGCUGACCUAGGAAUUUUUGAGCGGAGGUGUAAUAUUGAAUAAGUAUAAAAAUGGUUUUUUGGAAUAAUCAUUUUCUCAAUAUAAUUUUUGGCGGCUUUUAUUCCUUAGACAUCAAAUAAGAAAACUUGAUUUUAUGAGAUUUUAAACUUGAUUUUAUGGGAUUUUAGUAAGAAGUAUAUAUUUCCAAAUGGGGGGUACUUCCUUAUUUAUAUUGUAAACUUAAGUAAAUUGAGUAAUAUAAAAAUAAAUGAAAGUAAAAGGACAAAGACAUUUACUUAAAUAUUGAAAAUGGAAAUAAGGUAAUCUGUACACCAGUUGAGCAAAUGGACAAUUUGAAGCACCUACAAUGGUUUUUCCGACGAGGGAAGGUGCAGCUGCACCUUCUUGGGCCUUAAUAAGUCAACCACUAAGUUGUGGUAUCUCAAGGUAGAAGGAAGGCAAAAAUUCAAUUUUAAAAGAUGGUGUGCCAACGAAGGUGGUAUGGUAUUUUCCGCCAAUUUCAAGGUUUAAAAAGAUGUUUCAAUCACUUAAGACAUCUAAGAGUUUGACUUGGCUUGUUGAUAGAAAAUCAAUUGACGGUCAUAUAUCUCAUCCAGCAGAUUCCACGUCUUGGAAACUUGUUAAUGAUAAAUGGCCCGAGUUUGGUAAAAAGUCGAGAAACUUGAAAUUGGCUCUCUUAUCUAAUGGAUUCAAUCCUCACAGUUCUUUAAGUAGCAGAUAUAGUUUUUGGCCAGUUAUCUUAGUUACAUAUAAUCUACCACCAUGGCUAUGCAUGAAACGAAAGUUCAUGAUGUCGACCUUAUUGAUUUCCGGUCCUAAACAACUUGGAAAUGAUAUAGACGUCUACUUAGAGCCUUGAUUGAAGAUUUAAAUUCUUUGUGGGAUGAGAUUAGAGAAGUGAAUGAUGCACGCAUAGGAGAAUACUUUACACUAAGAGGUGUAUUACUGUCGAUAAUUAAUGAUUUUCCUGCAUAUGGAAACUUAUCUGGUUGUGUCGUUAAAUGAUAUAAAACUUGUCCAAUAUGCGGCAAUGAUACACCUAGUCACAGGUUGAAAAAUGACAACAAAAUUUGUUACAUCGGGCAUAGAAAAUGGUUACCAACAUAUCAUCCAUAUCAGAUGUAACAUGCAAUUUUUAAUGGGAAACCAGAAUAUGACACGCCUCCCGAGCCAUUAAUCAGAGAAGAAGUGCUGUAAAUGGUUGAAGGUAUUAAUUACAAAUGGGGCUCGAAAAAAGGGGAAAUGUUGGUGAAAAUGAUGGUGACAUGUUGGAAGAAGAAGUCAAAAUUCUUUGAUCUUGAGCAUUGGAAAUACCUUCCUGUGAGACAUGCCCUAGAUGUUAUGCACAUUGAGAAGAAUGUUUGUGAUAGUAUCAUUAGUACGUUGUUGGAGAUCCUGGGAAAAAAUAAAGAUGACAUUGCUGCUCGGUUAGAUUUAUUGAACAUGGAGGUCAAAAUAGAUUUGCAGCCUGAGUAUGGAGAAAGACGUAUUCGCUUACCUCUAGGGCCUUAGAAUUUGUCAAGAGCAGAGAAGAGAGCGGUUUGCAAUUUUUUUUAUGGUAUGAAGGUCCAUGAAGGUUAUUCUUCAAAUAUAAAAAAUCUUGUAUCUUUACAAGAGUCAAGACUUCUUGGCCUUAAAUCACAUGAUUGUCAUACCUUGAUGCAACAAUUACUCCCUCUGGCAAUUCAUUUUGUUUUGGAGAAGCCUGCAAGGUAUGCAAUAACUCGAUUGUGCUUCUUCUUCAAUGCUAUAUGUGCAAAGACGGUAGAUGUUUCCAAGCUAGAUAAAUUAGAAGAAGAUGUAUUAGUUACUUUGUGUUUGCUUGAGAAAUACUUUCCUCUUUCAUUCUUCGAUCUCAUGGUUCAUCUAGAAGUACAUCUUGUCAGAGAAGUUUGUCUAUGUGGGCUCAUUUUUUCAGAUGGAUGUAUCAUUUCGAAAGAUAUAUGAAAGUGCUAAAAGGGUAUGUUCAAAAUCGUACUCAUCCUGAAGGUUGCAUUGCUGAGCGGUAUCUAGCUGAAGAAGCUGUAGAGUUUUGCACCGAGCAUUUGUCUGAUGUUAAUACAGUUGGAGUGCCAUCAAGCCAGAAGAUGGGACUUUCAAAGCCAUUAUCAGGUUGCACAGUAAGCUUAGUUGAUCGGGACCUGUUGAACCAGGCACAUCUAUAUGUCUUGGAGAAUACGGAGUAAGUCCUACCUUAUAUCGAGUAUGAGUUUUAUUCUUUAAGUUAGCCAUUUCAAAUUAUCUUAUGUUUAUCUUAUAUACAAGGGACCGUAAUGCUUGAAUUUUUCGUGUUAUGUAGGGAACAUAUGAUCCACAUCAAGACUACUUACCCAAAAUUUAAAAAGAGAACAAAGUGGCUGCAAGAUAAGCAUAAUAGCAUUUUCAUUCAAUGGCUACGCUUUAAGGUAUAUGUUAUUGAAUAAUAUAUUGGCCUUUAAUUUUCUUCUUUUUAUGUUAGAUUGAAUUAAGAUAUGAUUAAUUUGAAGGUUCAAAGUGAACUCAAUGGGAAAGACAAUAAUGGCGUAUCAAAAAAUUUGAGAUGGCUAGCAGCUAGUCCAAGCAUGGCAGUGCCAUCAUUUAGGAGCUAUCUUGUUAAUGGUGUUAAAUUCAACACAAAGGCGCAAGAUGAUGUGCGAAUUGUCCAAAAUAAUGGAGUUUAUUUACUUGCACAUACUAUAUAAGUUGCUUGUGCCAAGGAUAAAAACUCGAUUGUCUCCAAUAUGCGAUUUUAUGGUGUCAUUCAAGAAAUUUGGGACAUUGACUACCAAAAAUUUAGAAUCCCAGUCUUCAGGUCUGAUUGGAUAGAUAACACUUUGGGCCUUGUAGUCAACGAACUUGGAUUUAUCCUUAUAGAUCUGAGUAAAAUUGGACAUACGAAUGAUCAAUUUGUUAUGACUUCUCAAGUCAAACAAGUAUUUUUUGUUGACGACUCAAUGCAUCAUAGUUGGUAUGUAGUGUUAUCUGACACAUUUGAUGACCUAGUGAGUGUGUAGAUAUAUGGAUUGAUUGAUUGUUGUAAUGUAUGACAUUAGUUAUGCAGUUAAUUGUAUGACAUUAAUUAAUGGCUCUGUAUGACAUUAAUUUUGUAAUAAAUUGUAAUGUUUGACAUUAUUUUUAUCACUUUUUCAUUAUGCAAAAUUUGGGCGCGACAAUUCCAGCAUUAAUACGACUGUCCAGUUAACAAAUUACAAAAAUAGACGUCUGAAUCAUACCCAAAGUCGUAGUUUAACAAACGACGUAGAAUGGACGAUGUAAACGACCAUACAUAAAUAAAAACCGUCAUUUGAAAUAAAAAACACGUCGGUUAAUUAAAAUUGAUAUUACAUAACAAUUAGGCGACCGUAAAAAAAAAAAAAAUUCCAAUAACGACUGUCACGUUAAGCCGUUACUACUCAAAAUUCACGUCGGCGUUGUUCAUAGAAGUGACAUUUCAAAAGUAAUAACACAACGGUAAAGGGCACAAACCGACAAAUUUUACAAGAUCACUACGACCUCCCAUAAAUAUUUACCGUCGUCUAAAAAAACCAUAAAAGGCUUCUUAGUUUAAGUAUCUAUAGUGAGAGUUCUUCUGAACGUUGGUAAAAUGACAGCUACCAUCGUAUCAUAAAAUACACAUGACGAUAUUAGUGUUACAAGUGCCGUGUACCAUAGGAACCACGUCUAUAUUUAUAUUGUACACGUUGUGGUAAGCUAAUUAACAACGUCGUUUGGGUAAAUACUAGGGCCGUAGUAGAUAAAUUAACCACGAUAAUUUAUUUUAAAUCACCAUUGUUAAAGCAAUUAACCACGGUGGUUUAUUUUAAAUAACCGCCGUGAAAGUAGUUUUGAACAACCGUUUAUGUAAUAUUUAGGGUCAUGGUUACUCUAUGUUACGGUAGGACAUGAAUAAAUUGUGACAUGUUAUCUUCUUCAGAUGUCACAAAGUUUCAAAAAGCGUCAUCUAAGCUUAUCUAAGUUGCCUUUUUUGCUUUUUAUUUAUUUAUUUAUAUUAAUCAGACAUUAGUUAUGAAACAAUAGCAUUGUCGUAUAUAGUAAUAACUACGUUCUUUUCACAUUUACAAGCAUUAAUACCUGUUUUGCACGUCGGUAGGGAUCGUAAGUGUCGUGGAAUAUGUAUUAACUAGACGGUUUAUUUUAAUGUACCGUCGUGGAAGAUUGUCUAAAUGACAGGAAGUUAAUAUUUAAGGUUGUCUUUACUCUAUGUGACAUCGGUACGUGGUGAAUUUGUGACAUGUUAUCUGCUUUAGAUGGCUCAAGUUUCUAAAAGCGUCGUCUAAGGUUGUCUAAGUUUUCCUCUUUUUUUUCUUUUUUUUUUCCUUCCCCGUUUUUAUAGUAAGUAGACGUCGCCUGGUGUUUAGAUAUGACGUAGUUGUCGGUAAUUUACCUUCAUAGUCUUAUGCAUAAAAGAUGGCGGUCGAUUUCACGACGGUUUAAAAACCAUCUACAUGAUGAUGGAUUUCCGUCGUCUAUUGCGAUUUUUGUAGUAGUGCAAAGAUAUGCAACUCCAAGAAUUAAAUAGUCAUUUUACAGAGACUAAUACUGAGUUGCUUCUUUGUAUGGCAUGUUUAAGUCCACUUGAUUUAUUCUCUGCUUUCAACAAACAAAAGUUGAUUCGCCUUACUCAAUUUUAUUCGAAGGACUUUUUAGAGAAUGAUAUCUUAGCACUUGAGGAUGAACUUGAGACUUACAUAUUUGAUAUGAAAUCUAGUAGCAUGUUUUGGGAUUGAAAGGAAUUGGUGAUCUUGGAGAAAAAUUGGCAGAGACAAAAAAAAAAAAAGAAAAGAAAAGAAAGGGUAUACCCAAUGACAGAUCUAGGAAUUUUUCAAGGGAGGUGCAAUAUUUAAAAGGCUAAAAAUUUAUAAAGGACUCAAGCAAGGCCCUGGGUUCAAGUCCUAACAUCCGUGUAAUGUGUUAAAAAAUAUAAGGUUAAAAAUUCAAAAAAUUUUUAUACAGCCAAAUGCCCUUAGAAUUUAACCAAUACUAAUUUCACUCAUAAUUAAAACAAAUAAGAGUUUUACGUCUACAACUAAUUGAUUAUAGUCUAUAUGGAUAUCAAUUAAUAUGAACAAAAUCCUUGUCAUUGACACAAUUAAUUUACCAAAAAAUUCAUAUCAAAUAUGAACAAAAUCCAUGUCAACUACAUAAUUAAUCUAACAAAAGUAAAUACCAAUUAAUCUAACCAAAAACACAUGUAAAUUGGAGGUCAUGAAAUAAAAGUACACAUGAUUAAAAGUUUGGGGUAAUUUUUGGUGAAUUUUUUGGCACACAUAUGAGUUUUUAAUAAAAUUUUUAAUUUAGGCCAAUUCGAAAUAGCCAUGUGUUGGCUUUCUAUUGGAUCAUUUAAAAAAGAAUCAAAAUUACAAGCGCUGACGCGGAGUUUUUCUUCUUCCUUGAUGUGCCUCUGCGACUUAACUUCAAAUAAUCUAGAAAAACUUCGAAAAUUCAUAACUUCGGUUGUGGAGCUCUGAUUAAUGAACCGUUAUCUCCUACAUGCGUGUGAGAUCGAGCAUCGAGCUCAACAACAUAAGGUAAAUAUUCAGGGUCUCACAAUGCAGCAAACAAUACAACGUCUUUGAGGCAUUUAGUCGAACAAUUAGUGAGCACUAGCAAAUGGGCAAAUUCUGGCAUCCCUAAGGAAGUUUCCAGCGAGGGGAGGUGCAGCUGCACCUCCUUGCGCCUCUGUGGAUCCGCAAAUGGGUAUACCCAUUGGUUUAUUUGCUUGUGAUACUGGCAGUAAUCCUACCAGUUGUGACUGCCUCUGUGAAAAGAGCAUUUUUUGCUAUGAAUAUACUGAAAAGUAAUAGGUGUAACCGAAUGGGAAAUAUAUGGAUAAAUGACAGCUUGAUCAUAUAUAUUGAGAAAGAUACAUUUGAUAUUAUUGAUAAUGAAGUGGUUAUGAAAAGAUUUCAAAAGAUGAAAACUCGUCGUGGACGAUUGUAGAUGUAUUAAGGACCAUUAAUAUCACAAAAAGUCCUUAAGUAAGAUGACAAUUUCACAGACCUUAGGACUAUUUGCGAUAAAACGCCUUUAAACUUAUAUAGCAUUUUGGUUUGGAAGUAUGUGAGAGGAACAAGAUGAUAACAGAAGAGGUAUUGUACAUGAUGAGAUAACAAAGUCAUCCUCGUAUUCGAAGAACUGACUUGGUAGGUACAAAUUACAAUGGCCCGUCAGGCAAUUUCUAAUUUUACAAACGCGCAGAGAGAAAUGUUAAAAUCAUACAUCCCAUAAUAACUAAGUGCAAGCUUUAUAAGCUUUAUUACAUUCCAAGAAAAGCUGAUCUUCCACUUGGAAUUAAUCUACACAAAGCCUAAUGCAUAUUUAUCAUUCAGCUUAGUUCUAACACUGAGCUCCUGGUUUGCGAAGAGUCUUUACGCAAACCAAAUACAUGAUGACGGAAACGCCAACAUAAAAACUUAGGCAAAAGACAAUGAAGACGACACGAAGCACACUACCCUUUCUAGACCGCACUAGUUGUGCAGCAGCGGGAGGAGCAGCCGGGGGAGCAGCGGGCGGAGCAGCGGGGGGAGCAGCGGGCGGAGCAGCGUGGGGAGCAGCGGGCGGAGCAGCGUGGGGAGCAGCAGGCGGAGCAGCUGGAGGAGCAGCGUGGGGAGCAGCGGGCGGAGCGGCGGGAGGAGCAGCACGCGGAGCGGCGGGGGGAGCAGCGGGAGGAGCGGCGGGGGGAGCAGCAGGAGGAGCAGCAGCAGCGGGGGGAGCAGCCGGCGGAGCGGCAGCGGGGGGAGCAGCGGGGGGAGCAGCGGGCGNNNNNNNNNNNNNNNNNNNNNNNNNNNNNNNNNNNNNNNNNNNNNNNNNNNNNNNNNNNNNNNNNNNNNNNNNNNNNNNNNNNNNNNNNNNNNNNNNNNNUUUUUUUUUUUUUUUUUUUUUUUUUUUUUUUUUUUUUUUUUUUUUUUUUUUUUUUUUUUUUUUUUUUUUUUUAAUUUUUUUUUACUUUUUUUAUUUUUUUUUUUUUUUUUUU